UACGUUAUAAAAUUUUUUUGAGUAACUCUCAUUCUUGCAAAAGCCAUCAUGAGUUUUUCAUAUUGAUUCCAAAGUUUAAGACACAUAAUAAUGUUUAUUAUACUCUCUCUCUCUCUCUCUCUCUCUCUCACACGCACACACACACACACACACACACACACACACACAAUGUAUGUCUAGUAAUGCGUAUAAUUAUUAGUGACUAGCUCAAAGACAGCCACAGUUGAACAUAUUAAUGUGACAUGAAAAUGAUUUGAUUCCACCUGCUUCUCUAAUAACGAAUCAUACUCGUAACAGUUUUCAUGUAAUCGGAAUCUUCCCUUUAUUGUAGGUAUGGCUAUAUAACAUAGGAUUUGGUAGUUAUCAGGUUGAGAAAGUUUGUGAUACCUCAGGAGAAGAUGCAUCAUGCAGCAAGUGAUGAGCUAGUUUCAGUCGAAGCUACUUGUUCAAACAAUUAUUUUGUGGAUUUAUCAUGCAAGAUGCAAUAAGUCGUGAUGGACCAGCUUGUUCUAGAGAAUGUCUGUCCUUUGUUACUAGGAAUAUUUGUGGACAACUGAUCAGGGUAUUUUCCUGCAGAUUGGUAACCGGUAACAGCAUUGUGGACCAUUUAGUCUUUCUGUAGUGUGCAAUUAAUGGCUAAGUCAUGAGAAUCGUGCAAAAUUGUCACGGACACUAUUGACGGAAUGUGGAGGUGAAGAUGUCAAAGGAAAUCUUAUGCUUUCCAGGAAUCCUUUUGUUUCUGCAUCGAGGCUGCAUUCAGACUCUGAUGCCAAGAGGAAAUUCAGUUGAAAUGCUCCUGGGUCAGUACCUGGAUUCUCAAAGAUCAUCAGGGACCUCUGUGAUGAAGUUUGGUCACAAAAUGCAUUCCAUCGAUCUGUUGUCCAUAUCCAUCACAAGAUACAGAGGAGCUCUACUCUAAUUUAUUCUGAAUGUAAAUAGCGCAAAGUUGAAGGUAUCAUCCUUGUAAAUACAAUUCUGUGGUUUCAAUUGAAUGAAUAUGUUCGCAAGUUUGCCUGUCAAUCAUUAUUGGGCUUGGGGCUUUGUUACCUGACUUGAUGUGUGGAUGCUGAGCUGAGCUAUAUUCAUAGUUGAAUGACGCAGCUAUUUUCCCUAUUUUUUUUUGGUUUGUUGAAGUCAUGUUGAACUUCACAAAAUUGGUAGAUGUGUGAAUGUUGCAACUGUGACACUUGCAUGGUUAGGCAAUUAACCACUUUUUAUAAGGUGAAACAAAGACUACGUUCACAGACCACUUCUCAAUCUAUGACACCUUACCUUCUCCUACAGGCACAUUGGCACAUAAGAUUUCUUGGCAGAACUAAGUACUUCAACUAUUUCCUCGUACGGAAUUGUGCAGAUGAACUGUUAAAUCAAACCAUCUCGGAGACAGAUGAUGACUUUGUCUUACAUCAUUUCCACUGGCAACCUUUGCAAAAUUUUUACUUUUAGGAGGUAAACAAUUUAUAUCAUCUUGGCUUUGAUAUGUAACAAUGAUCACAUCAGCAUUUGGAACAAGAGUUGUAAGCUUUUACCUUCUUUUUCUAAUAUGCAGGAAUUAAUAUUAGUGGAAACCUGAAGAACUAAAAUGCCUUCAUCAUUUCAAAGCAUAUAUUGCCAAUUAUGACCAUUUGAAGCAGAUAUAAGUCCUUGACACUGUAUGAUAAGCUAGAGUUUGUACAUUACAGUAAAAGCUAGAGUACAACACCAAAACAUUGGGAAAGGUAUAUUGUUCUGUCGUCUUAACCCUCGCCAUUGUGAUUGAGGCACUUCUGCAAUCGCAAAUUGCCAGCUUCAGAGGCGGACAUGGCAAUCUGCUCUUGCUAAAAACUGAGAGGGCUCAAAGUAGAUAGAGCAAUUGGGAGUUUCUGUCAUUAUUCUAAUAAAAUAGGGCACGAUAACUCUUGAAACAAGAUGCGACUAGUACAUCAGAAACUAAAUUCGGAGUUCCACGACCAAUGGGCAGCGAGAUAUGCAUAAAUUAAGACAAGCUCACGAGGAACUACAUCUUCCUCACUUCUUCUCAAUUAGCUUUUCGAUCAUGUCCGCAGCUUCCUGGACAUUUGUGAUACUUUGAGCACUUUCUUCCUCCACACCAAUCCCGAAUUCCUCCUCAAGUCCCAUCACAAUCUCCACCUAAAUUGCAAAAGAGCAAUGGUCUCAUCACAAUCCCAAUUUAUUGAAUGGAGUAAGCUGGUAAGCGUCGGAAUCAGAUAAGCAGAAAAAACAAUUCCAACAUCGUAGAAGUACCGUCCUGCACCGCUUCAUAAUGAAUGGAUCAAGUGAAAGCUCAUUAAAGUCUGCAGAAAAGGAAAGAAACAUGUGGAUGAACGGCUUACGAUGUACAGAGAAUCGGCUUCCAUGUUAGCAAAUUUUGACUCUCCAGUCACCCGUAGCAUCAUCUGGUAAAGCCAGCUGCUUCCUUACUAUUUGGCACACUUUAUCCACUCUCCUUUUUAGCCUGCUCACAUCUCAAGUGGAUUAUUUACAAGUUCUAAAACCUACUUAUGGAUGGGCUUCACACUGAGUGGUUAGAACAUUGGCAAGACCAAUCCAAGCAUUCCUCCAGAGCAAGCAAAAUGAUAUGUUGGAACACGGUAUGAAAAAUAUUCUGGGCAUCCACUUUCCCAGAAGAAGCAUGUUUCAAAUGACAUGAUUAUAAUCGCACAGCAAGAUCGUUCAACAUGAGACGAAAAUAAUGGCCCAGACUUCAGAUACAUAAGAACUUGUAGUCACUUUGCUUUGCUUUAGUUUUGUUGUUAUAGUUGGCUUGACAUAGUAAUACAGACCGUACCCGAAACCUGGAAGCGGCGUGCCUUGAGAGAAGGGAAACUUCUGCCACUGAUAGGAAGGGAAACAGAACUGAAAUUAGAUGUCUUGCUGACAGGUACCUGUUCAAAACGUCAAAAGUGAGCAUUACCAAAGUGCUAAGUAAGCUCAUGGUGCUACACAAGUCAGGUCUAAAGUACAAUGCCAAAUGUUUACUAAUGUUUCAAAGAUCCAAUCUAGUUCAAAGGCAGAACCUCAACCAGGUCAGCCAAGCCACAUCCCAAAUUGCACAGAAAAUUUGGGCGAAUUACAUUUUGCCGCCAAGUUUUUGGCAUAAUGGCAAGCUACCCAUGAUGUUUCAAGUUUUGCAUCCUAGACUUUUUGAAAUUGGACACCAUGUGCAGCAAAAUGUUCUCGUAAAUCUAACAACGUGACUGCACGGGACUAGUUAUGAAAGGCAAAUUUGACAUAUAUCAUCUAUAUAUGUGGGGAAAAAAAACAGGGACUACCCAAAAACAUAUUUUAAAACUAUCUAUUGAUAUGCAUUUAGCAUUGAUCCAAUCAAAUUCUUGUUGGAAUUGUAAUCACAUGCUCUCAAGUGCAAUAUAUUUUUUUCUAAUUAUUCUUCUACUUAUUAUAUGUAUGUGCUAAUAUGACAAAUUUCCUCCGUAAUCAGACACGUUGCUGGAGCUCCAAGUGGAAAUUGAUCGAAGUCAAUCCAGGGAACGCAUAGCAAUCUAUUUCCAAAAUUCAUAGGCAAAUUGCAAAAAUUGAAACAUCACUGGCCAAUAGACGACAACUGUAAAACUUGGGGGGCAAUAUAUAAUUUGCCCGAGAAAAUUUACAUAGUUUUCAGACCAGUAGAUUACUAGCAAUUAUUAGACCAACAUCAAACCUCAAGAACCUUCGGAAGCUAAUGGAGAUGCUACUAUCAGCAUCACUAAUAACCACAACAAUGAGACAGCGAAAACAAAUUGAAAGAAGUUGAAAAAAAAAAUCGAACAUGCAAAAGCUGCUACCUGAGAGCAACUCAACAACACAUAAAAAAAAAAAAAAAAAAAAAAAAAAAAGCGAACUCGAUUAGGGGUCCACCUAAUUAAUUAUGGAAUACAAAAGCGGCAGGAAACCAAAACCAAGUAUCGCUGGCCUAAACUCAUUAUUAACCCAAACAGCUCAUCUAGUCGAUCUAGACAUUUGAAAUCCUCAUUUGGCGGUGCUGUAGCUUUCCGAUGUAGUCACAAAUGCAUGCUUUAGCGAUGCUUACGCAGUUCAUCCAUUCCUAUAUCUACCCCGACUAAUGCCGCAAAUGUGACCCUUUUUUUAAUUUAAAACCGCCAGAGCAUCUACUCAUCUCUCAAUCAAAUCCUUAACAUAGCCAAUGAUUCGCUCUGUUUGAUCAAUCAUCACGCAUAUUUUCCAACACAAACAUUCUGAACCAGCAUCUCCAGUCCCAUCCAGCAGAAUUCAUAAAUCCAGGCACUAAACAAAUUGAAAGUAGACCAAUUUCUUCCCUUUUUUUUCCCUAUCAAGAAGAAUGAAAUGCCACUCCUCGAUCAAUCCACAGAAAAAAACUGAACAUUUGCCACAACCCAAUGGACAGAAAAACACCUCCAGUGUAACGACAUAGGAGCUACUGCUAGAAGGAGUGGAAGCAAUCAUAUCUUAUCUUGUCUUCGAGAUUCUUGACUUGUAAACUUGAAGAAGAUAUUGAUUGAAUAUUCAUUUCUUGACCUCAAAGUGCAUACCUUUUGUGUAAGCCCAUGACUAAGUCAUCAUUACAGUCCCUUUAAAAGACCUUUUGACCAAUGGAUUGUAUUCACCGUGAAUGUCUCCGAAAGCCAUAGACAUAGGUUGAGUGAGACUUCUCCAGUGAGAUUUAAACAGUUUUCUCAUAUCAAUGGUUGGGAACAAAAGCCCUUUUUGAGAGCUAGUGUGAAAGACCUCUUUUGAUUAGGAUAUUUCCAAUUGGCAUAUUUGAUUUAAGCCUUAGAUGGUUAAUCAAAUCUCAUUUUGUUAAAAUCUUUUCUGAAAGGAUUUGACAAUCAAUAUCAUUUCGCAAGAUUGGUUCUCCAGCAAUUUCGAAACUCAUAACUAGUCGAAACCCGUUUGUAUAUGGUGAGACUAUCAUACCCGGUCGAAACCCGUUUGUAUACGGUGAGACCUUUCUCCCAGUCGAAACCCGUUUGUAUACGGUGAGAACUUUCUCUCAGUCGAAACCCGUUUGUAUACGGUAAGACUAUCAUACCCAGUCGAAACCCAUUUGUAUACGAUGAAACUAUCAUACCCGGUUGAAACCCGUUUGUAUAUGGUGAGACCUUUCUCUCAGUCGAAAACUGUUUGUAUACGGUGAGACAUUUCUUUCAGUCGAAACCCGUUUGUAUACGGUGAGACUAUCAUACCCAGUCGAAACCCGUUUGUAUACAGUGAGACUAUUAUACUUGAUCGAAACCUGUUUGUAUACGGUGAGACCUUUCUCCCAGUCGAAACCUGUUUUUACAUGGUGAGACAUUUCUCUCAGUCGAAACCCAUUUAUAUACGGUGAGACUAUCAUACCUGGUCGAAACCCGUUUUUACACGGUGAGACAUUUCUCCCAGUCGAAACCCGUUUUUACACGGUGAGACAUUUCUCUCAGUUGAAACCCGUUUGUACACGGUAAGAUUAUCGCAUCCAGUCAAAAUCCAUUUUUAUACAGUGAGAUUUUUUUUUUUAGUCUAAACUAUAAGGUUCGUGGAUCAAUCCUUAAACCACAUGAUUUGUGUGUCCAUCCUUAAACAUUAUUUCUUAGUUCUAGGUUAUUCUUAAACCUUGUCGUUAGGUUCUAGGUUAUCCUUAAACCUUGUCGUUAGGUUCCAGGUCAUUCUUAAACCUUGUCUCUGUAAGUUCCCGGUCAUCCUUAAAUCUUGUUUUCAGGUUCUAGGUUAUCCUUAAACCUUGUCUCUUUAGGUUUUCGGUGAUCCUUAAACCUUGUCUUUAGGUUAGUGGUUAUCCUUAAAUCAUUCCUUAUUUAUUUAGUGAUUUCAUUGCCUACAUACCAUUCCAUGAGAGAGAGAAACAGAGAUAGAGUGAAUAAACCCCAACAAGAGUUCAGAUACCCUUAUGAGCAAAGGUGAGUAUCAAGUACGUCCCUAACCAUAUAUCAUUGAUUUUGUCUUUCCUCUAUUUCCCAAUGGAGUCGCCAAGCCUGUCGCGACUUGAACGCGCCGCCCUCGAUGUCAAAAGGGGGAAAGAGUUCUCUCACGAGAUCACGAGCUCUCCCAAGCUCGUACCCCGUGCGACAACGGGUUUAUUUAUGUGAUCUAGUUGUUUAACAAUCUAAGAAUAUAUAGGAGUCGCCACUAGCCUCAUUUUUUUUUUUUUUUUUGGGUCGGCUAGAAAACCCAAUUGAGGAUCGGGAGAGUUUCCUCGAUUCCUACAUAACCAGAUAUCUUAACGCCAUUUCGGUACCUAAACAGUAUGUUGUGUUUUUCCUAACAUGUCCAUGCGUAUCUUUUUACAUUUUCGGGAUCAUCAGUUCUAAACUAAGUGAUCACGCGUGGUUUAUGCAAUUAAAAAAGAAAGAAAGAAAGAAAGAAAGAAAACUCGAAAACUAAGUGAUCACGUGUGGUUGGUUCAUUAUGCAAUUAAAAAAGAAAGAAAGAAAACUCAGUCAUUAUGCAAUUAAAAAAGAAAGAAAACUCGAAAACUAAGUGAUCACGCGUGGUUGGUUCAUUAUGCAAUUAAAAAAGAAAGAAAGAAAGAAAACUCGAACCCACCGUGUAAUAUUUGUCCGCUUUGAACACUGAGUCCAUUGCGUCAUGCAGGAGCCGCCCUCUUCCAAGGGAUAAUAUUGUUCGCUUUAAAGGCAUGCACAUAGCAACCUCCUCCCUCACGGGUUUGUUUUCAGCGUAGCAGAAGCUUUACACAGGUAUGGGUUUGUUUUCGCUGCAAUUAAAAAGAAAGAAAGGAAAAAAGAAAGAAAACUCGGUCAUUAUGCAAUUAAAAAAGAAAGAAAACUCGGUCAUUAUGCAAUUAAAAAAGAAAGAAAACUCGAAAACUAAGUGAUCACGCGUGGUUAGUUCAUUAUGCAAUUAAAAAAGAAAGAAAGAAAGAAAAAUCGAACCCAUCCAAGGGAUAAUAUUGUUCGCUUUAGAGGCAUGCACAUAGCAACCUCCUCCCUCACGGGUUUGUUUUCAGCGUCCAAGGGAUAAUAUUGUUCGCUUUAGAGGCAUGGACAUAGCAACCUCCUCCCUCACAUGUUUGUUUUCAGCGUAGCGGAAGCUUAACCUCCUCCCUCACUUCCCUCACGUGUUUGUUUUCAGCGUAGCGGAAGCUUAACCUCCUCCCUCACGUGUUUGUUUUCAGCGUAGCGGAAGCUUUACACAGGUUAAAAGGACCAAAGCCUUAUAAACUAGCCUCAAGACUCCCUAGAGAAGACCCCUUCUCCCAAGACUCUCCCUUAAACGAUGUGGGACUAGAGAGGACCCCUUCUCUUUUCUUGGGCUGUCACACUCUCCAUCCCUUAAGAGCAUAGCGUCUCCAUCCCUUAAGAAGACCCCUUCUCCCAAGACUCUCCCUUAAACGAUGUGGGGACUAGAGAGGACCCCUUCUCUUUUCUUGGGCUGUCACACUCUCCAUCCCUUAAGAGCAUAGCAUCCUCCCAAGGCAUGCACAUAGCAACCUCCUCCCUCACGGGUUUGUUUUCAGCGCAGCGAAAGCUCAUGUGAAACGUGUUACACAGGUUAAAGGGACCCAAGCCUUAUAAACUAGCUCCUGGACUCCCCCUUAAGCGAUAUGGGACUAGAAAGGACCCAUUCUCCUUCCUUGGGUUGUCACAUCAUCCAGCACAAAAAACACGAACACGUUCAUCCCAGUUUGGGAAAAAGCUAACGUCCAAGCUGACAAUAUGCCUCGAAAAUACUGCCAGCGAUCGAGCGCCAAUCAAACAAAACCAAAUCACGCAGAAUCGACAUUCCCCAUCGUCCGAAAACGCAUCAAAGCCUCGUUAGUGGCUUAAAGAACAAUAAUAUAUCUUCCUUUGACUUGUCAGUGGGGCAAUUGGGUUCAUAUCCUGAAAAGAUGCAGCUCAGCCAAAUGAGUGAUGCCGCUUAGCAUAUGAAAGCCUUUUAUUGAUCAAGAUGCCACGAGAAAUUUUACCCGCCCAAGUUCUACUUCCAAGAACAACUUCAAUUCGGCAUUCGGAACCUUAUUUGACACUUCUCUCAACUAUCCUACCUACGGUACAUCCAGAAGAAAAACAAAUACGGUGGGAAAGAAAGUAGAGACCCAAUCAAAAGGCAUUGGAACAGUGGAUAAAGCACGACGAAAUGAACAUAAGCAGUACGGAAAAUUUAAAGAGACAAACGAAAGAACAAAAGGGAAAAUCGAAAAGAGGAAGCAUCUCUGCCAAUAAAAUGCAUAAUCAAAAGAUAUCCUCCCCAUGCAAGUAAGAGAAAACCUAUCACUCUGAAGAACAAUUAACUCCCACAAGAAUAAGCUGAGCAAGCAUCUUCCCCAUUAUUUUCCACUCGUACACAAAAAUAAUCAACUAAGUGAUAAGAAAAACUCAAGUACCAGAUAAUAGAAGGCAGGUAGUGCAGCACAUUAACACAACAUUACGUAGACUUAAAAGGCUAAAUGAUUACCCAGCUGAAGCUAAACAGAAACUAAGCCAAUAAUAAAAAAAUGUGCAUGAAAAAGAGUUCUGAGGAAUGUGCACCGGAACGCCGAAUUCUUUAGCAACCUCCUCCUGAAAAAAUACAGCAGUUUUUGUAUUCACUUGGUUUAAUAUGUGUUGGAGCAAUCCUUGAAACUGUAAACAGAAAAGACAAUCGCCAGAGAUGACCAAAAGCUAGUUUGCUAGACACGGUGAUACUGUUUCGAUAGGAUAUUGCAGCGUAAUUUCACUGUGACAAAGUCAACGAUGCCUGGUGUACACCGUCCAUUCGUUUCCAAUGUACAGCCAAACAGCAGUGUGGUUUUGUGCUCUUCAGCAUCUAAUGCAUAAUGUAAGGUUCAUCAGCGAUUUCGUGGAUGAUUCCAACAAUUUGUUUGCAAUAAUCUAACCGCAACGAUUGAGAGUCCAGUGGGGAAGAAUGGACACGAAACAUCAGAUCCCUAUCCGAAAUUAGGACGGGCACAUGCCCACAUUGUCAGGCAUAUCAGAGAUAAAGAUGUCCACUGUUAAUGAUCGUUCAAUAAGUUUUAGCACUAGGCUCCAAGCUCAUCAUAGACUAAAAUUUAGGAAAAAAAAAAAGAAAAGAAAAGAAAAGAAAAAAGAAUGGCUCUUCUCAUGUCUAAGCACAAAAAUUGGUUCUUUAUGUGCCGCAAUAGUCUCAAAAUUUUCUCUGUCAAGGACUUGCGGACGUUGUGAGAACAUUAGUCUAUAGGAAUUCCAAGUUCAGAAUAAAUACUGAUACACUGCUAUUCAUUUGAUAUGUCAAAACAAAAAAUAAAGCGCCAAUAUUCUGGUCAUUAUUUCAAGUUUAGCUCAACCGCAUUUGAACAAGUAUAUUUGUUCUAAGUCCUUUAAAAUCUAACUCUGCGACUCCAUCAUUAUGAUUUGACAUGUGAUUCAAGGUCCUCUUGUUUUCGGUCUUCUGAUAUGUAAAACCACAAGGCGAUAGUAACAAGGGGAGUGAUAUGUAGGAACAACGAUCAUCUCUCCAACCCCAAUGCGCACAUAAAAAAUCCCAUAAAUCACAUCCAGUAGCUCCAACCCUUGAGUCUGUUCUCUGUUUGACAAUUUUUGGCGUUGAGAACCGAACUGCAUCACUGUAAUUUUACGGAACUAAGGUAUAAAAACUGCUUAAGAUUAGUUAUGGGAUUCUCGCGAUGCUGCUUCUUCGAUUCAGUUGCUCUUUGCUACUUCUCCAGUUGCUAAAUGAGCCACAACUUCCUGCAAAGAAAAAUAUUUCCAUUAACUUGUUAAGAAUUAACCAUCUCAAUCAGAAAACCAGCUCAAAAAGUCCGUCUGAGAUGUUUGUACCUCUUGGUCUUCACGUCAAUGUUUAAUGCGCAGUAAAUGUAUCAAAAUCAAUGGAAAAGAAUGGGUUGUGUAGAUUAGCGUGAAUAUAAUCCGCGUCAAGACAUAUGUCUGCGAACCUGUACAUGUGAUCUUAUGAUCCCGAAUACAUGUAUCUAUUAUUCGAACUCAGCAGUUAAAUUCUCGGAAGAUUCAUUCAAGUACCUCAUCAGGAGCAGAGUCAUUUUCCUUCUUCCUCAAUUCCUCUUCCUUUUCCAGUCCAGUUGGAUUCUUCUCUUCCAUCACCACUUUAUCAUACUCGCCCUCCUUCACAUGUUCAUGCCGAGGCAAGUUGUACUCGGAGGAGAGGCCCUCAGACACGAUCCCUUCCGGCACUUCCUCGUCUCUUCUGGGAGAGAAGUAACGAUCCGGCAAGUCAUGGGAUGUGAACCUCCCUGGCUCUGCCUCAUCCUCUUCUACUAGCGGUUCUGUCUCCGGCUCCAGCUCAAUCUCCUUUUCUUCCUCUACACGCUUCUCUUCCUCUCUGUCUUCAUCCUCGGCCUUUGUUUCUUCUACUUCUUUGUUCUCUUCUUCUUGUUCAGGCUCGGGAUGUUCAGUUAUGUCCUUAACAUCAGCCGCAGUUCCUGUACCCUGGCUCACCGCAUUAUUGAUUUCUUGUUGCACGAGUAAUGCCGCGCCAUUCCCAAUUGCUUCCAUCUGAGGAAACGUUCUGUUCCACUUGUUUGUUCUUCUCGGGAUUGGUGCUCGAAACUCCUGCUUUCAGUAAUGGUGUUUCCGGUGGCAACAGCAUGCUUCGACUCCGCGCAACGCAUUUUCGUAAAAGGAAACGUCAAUCGAAAGGAAUUAGAUUUGGGUAUUGAUUCUCUCUCCCUUUGUGCGUCAGAUUGAAAUGAAGUUUCGGCUUUCGUUUUCUUUGGCUGUUGCAGUUUUGAUUUGCUGAAGCGGGUUGUAUCCGUGGUUGACAAAAGGAAGGAGUUUUUUCUGUUGUGGAUUGAGGGGGGAGAGGAUACAGUUGCAGCUUAAGUUAAAAAGGAGAGUUUCUCCCUCGAAUCUAGAAAACGACAAUUCGUUUCUUAUUAUCGGUGGGGUUUUCCUUUCAUUUUUUCCAACCCAACCUUAGUUCAAUGAAAAAACAUACUUUAGAAUUAACAUAUGCAUACAUCCAAGCAAAAUCCAAUAUUGAAAAGACCGAAUUAUUCCUACUCAAAAACUUAUUUAAGUCUCUCGCUCCAUGUUUGAGCAAUUUAAUUUUCACUUGGUUUUGAGUGCUUUUGAGGGUAAGACUUUAGGACUUGUGGAUGGACUUUUUUAAGAGAAAAUGACAAUUCUUUUAUACAAAGGAACACAAGGUUAAUCGACAUAGAAAUGCGAAAAGUGAGGUAUGUUUUUGAUAUUUUAUAAUGUCAAUCGACCUCAUAAACCAAAAUUUAUAUGGUCGUGAAACAUGAGAUUGUUUGCACUUAAUCUAAUUGAAAAUUGAACUUACCUAAUUUUUCAAAUUCACAUAUAAAUCCUUUCAUGAACCAUUAAAUCAAAAAUUGACCAAAGAGGAGGUAUGUCAAAAAGUGAAAUAUGAUAAAAAGAUUAAUUAUAAUAAUGUUAACAAACGAAUAAUCAAAAUAUUACCAAAUAAUCCCACAAAUGCUUUACUUCCCAAAUGGAAUUUAAAUUUCUCUCGACUUGCCAUAAUUUAUUUUUUUCUUAGGCUAAAGGGAUAAGUGUUCUAGAAGUCCUACAACUUAUCACAAAAAUGCAUUUCAGUCCUAAAACUUGCAAAAAGUGCAUUUAAGUCCUAAAAUUUGUCAAUUUAUUUCAAACGAGUUCUAAGAUCGAUGCCAUUAGCCUUUUCCGUUAAAUAUGCUGACGUGACAUUUUAAAUAAUUUUUUUAUUUUCCAUGUGAAUUUAUUUAAUUAUUUUUUAAAAAAAUUAGAUUUUGAAAACUAAAAAAAAUCAAAUUUAUUCAGUUUAUCUUAUUUUUACCAAAACUUAAAAACUUAAAAAUAUUUAUUGAAAAAAAAAAGACUUAGUGCUGCUCCUCUCCAUCGACUACCGCAGCCGAUGUAUGCAGGAUACUCAUGUAUUUAUACCUUGAUAUUAGAUAGUGUCCAAUACCUAUAGUUCAAAGUGAGUAGAGUGUGACCCUUCUANNNNNNNNNNNNNNNNNNNNNNNNNNNNNNNNNNNNNNNNNNNNNNNNNNNNNNNNNNNNNNNNNNNNNNNNNNNNNNNNNNNNNNNNNNNNNNNNNNNNNNNNNNNNNNNNNNNNNNNNNNNNNNNNNNNNNNNNNNNNNNNNNNNNNNNNNNNNNNNNNNNNNNNNNNNNNNNNNNNNNNNNNNNNNNNNNNNNNNNNNNNNNNNNNNNNNNNNNNNNNNNNNNNNNNNNNNNNNNNNNNNNNNNNNNNNNNNNNNNNNNNNNNNNNNNNNNNNNNNNNNNNNNNNNNNNNNNNNNNNNNNNNNNNNNNNNNNNNNNNNNNNNNNNNNNNNNNNNNNNNNNNNNNNNNNNNNNNNNNNNNNNNNNNNNNNNNNNNNNNNNNNNNNNNNNNNNNNNNNNNNNNNNNNNNNNNNNNNNNNNNNNNNNNNNNNNNNNNNNNNNNNNNNNNNNNNNNNNNNNNNNNNNNNNNNNNNNNNNNNNNNNNNNNNNNNNNNNNNNNNNNNNNNNNNNNNNNNNNNNNNNNNNNNNNNNNNNNNNNNNNNNNNNNNNNNNNNNNNNNNNNNNNNNNNNNNNNNNNNNNNNNNNNNNNNNNNNNNNNNNNNNNNNNNNNNNNNNNNNNNNNNNNNNNNNNNNNNNNNNNNNNNNNNNNNNNNNNNNNNNNNNNNNNNNNNNNNNNNNNNNNNNNNNNNNNNNNNNNNNNNNNNNNNNNNNNNNNNNNNNNNNNNNNNNNNNNNNNNNNNNNNNNNNNNNNNNNNNNNNNNNNNNNNNNNNNNNNNNNNNNNNNNNNNNNNNNNNNNNNNNNNNNNNNNNNNNNNNNNNNNNNNNNNNNNNNNNNNNNNNNNNNNNNNNNNNNNNNNNNNNNNNNNNNNNNNNNNNNNNNNNNNNNNNNNNNNNNNNNNNNNNNNNNNNNNNNNNNNNNNNNNNNNNNNNNNNNNNNNNNNNNNNNNNNNNNNNNNNNNNNNNNNNNNNNNNNNNNNNNNNNNNNNNNNNNNNNNNNNNNNNNNNNNNNNNNNNNNNNNNNNNNNNNNNNNNNNNNNNNNNNNNNNNNNNNNNNNNNNNNNNNNNNNNNNNNNNNNNNNNNNNNNNNNNNNNNNNNNNNNNNNNNNNNNNNNNNNNNNNNNNNNNNNNNNNNNNNNNNNNNNNNNNNNNNNNNNNNNNNNNNNNNNNNNNNNNNNNNNNNNNNNNNNNNNNNNNNNNNNNNNNNNNNNNNNNNNNNNNNNNNNNNNNNNNNNNNNNNNNNNNNNNNNNNNNNNNNNNNNNNNNNNNNNNNNNNNNNNNNNNNNNNNNNNNNNNNNNNNNNNNNNNNNNNNNNNNNNNNNNNNNNNNNNNNNNNNNNNNACUGCUAAUGGCAUCCAUCUUAGGACUUGUUUGAAAUAAUUUGACAAGUUUUAGGACUUACAUGCUUUAGGACUGAAAUGCAUUUUCGUGACAAGUUGUAGGACUUCUGGAACACUUAUCCCUAGGCUAAAUAAUAAGCAUCUCCAAACAUAUAUCCUCUCUAAAUAUAUUACACCGUAAGUGGCCAUGGACGCCGCCACAGGAAAACAUCACCGUAUUCCCUCCUUUUUCCUCGCUGGAGCCAUGCUCGCCGCCGCUGCGAGAGCUUGCAGCCUCCGGUUCAUGUCGGCUCGGCUGGAUUCGUCCCUCCGGAUGACCACCGAGUCACAGACUGUGCAAGCAUGUCGAGAUCGCAGCUCCUCCUCCUCCUCUGCUGCUCAGUCCCUCGGUUUUCGCAGGUAGCGUGCUUGUCGUCGUCUGUUAGGCUUUUCUUUUUUCGCUGCUGAGGAAUCUCGACGUGGAUUGUAGAUGCCAGACUAAUGGGUUCUUUGUCAGUAGGGGGCCUUCUUUAGGUUGAGUUUGAUGUCUAGAUAUGGGGCGGCGGUUGGAGAAUUUUAUGAUUGAUGAGGAAGUCUGAAUAACUUAUUCGAGGGAUGUGUACCUAGUGGAGCGGUCGAGUUGAAGUGGAGGGAUGAUUAUGCUGUCGGGAUCGUGCUUGUUGAUCGAGACGCCGUAUUUUUUUAUUGUGUUCAUCGUGUUUGCUUCGUAUAUUUGAUAUUGGAGACAUGAUUCUGUAAUAGAAUGAAUCGCGUCGAAUUGUUUCUUCUAGUCUAGCGCUUCAUGUUCUUCAAUGUCGGUUCUGGGUUGAAUUAGUUUGUUGAUACAAAACGGAGCUGCGUUUCUCUUGGCAGUAUAAGGUUUUGAUGCGACCGUCGUUGGAAUUCACAGGGCCGACUUGUGGCAAUAGAUUGUCUGCUUCCCCUUGUUCAAUAAUUUCUAGUUUACCGUAUUCUUCUGAAGCAAGUGCUGAAAUGGAGGAACCCACAGGAUUUUUUGCCUUUUUUCCAUCUAAUGUGUGUCUUGACACAUUGUGGAGUUCUUUUUCCGAUAUUUGGUUCUUGUAAUAUAAUGCAGAGACCGUGAAGGAGAUGUAUGAUAAAAUUCUGGAGUCCAUAUUAGCUUCAAAUGCAUGGACAUGGCCAAUGAUUGAAAAUUGCAAGAACAGAGAGGAUAUCCAGCUUCUCUUUGAUGUCUUGCAGAACCUACAGAUUUGUCAGUGGACUUCUUUCUCCAUUUGAGAAAUAAAGUUUUAAUUUGUGAGUAGUUGAUAAAUCAACCUGGUCUUUUACUUUCAUUGCGGAGAUUGUCAAAUCUUCGAAUUCAUGAGAAUUUUAACUGCAAUCUUUGUCAGGAAGUCACAAAAGCGUGUGUGCAUGCAAGGGCUCUCGAUUUUGGUGAGCGUUAUCUCCACAAGUUGUGUGCCAAGUUCGAAAAUUUAAUAUCUUGCUGAUAUAUAUACCCGGUUCUUCUUCUGCAUUCGAUUGUUGCUACUUACCCUAUCAUUAGCACAAUCAUUUUGUUGUAUGUUAUUUGUUCUCAAAUGAUCUUUUUACCUCAAGCGUGUCAUGCUUGGAGAACAUAUUCAGCUGCUUAUGAAAUUUUUUUACCACCCCGCUGGUACUGUUAGCUAGUUAUGCUUCUGUGUUUUUUUUUCCUUGAUGUGUCAAUUAUGUAAACCAGAAUUUUGUGCUACACGGAUGCUACAUGUGUAUUAAGCAUGGGUAUGGAAAUAACAUGACACAUAUAACAUAUUCAAGAAAUAGUUUUUCAUGUUUGAAUGUGUAAAGGCACAUUCAAUUUAAAGUACAUAGAACAUUGUUAAAUGUGUACUGACUUUUCUUGUGUGAGUAACAUGUUAACCUGCUUGACAUGCUUCAAUGUGUUUUAAGUGGUUAAAAGGGUCAAUUUAUUUUACAUGUACAAAUUGGUUAAUUCGUUGAUGACUUGGUGUUGACACCUAAAUUUCGGCGACCUGUUUAGUCAUUUAUUGCAUUAAAAAAUUAGGGGUUAAUUUUAUCCUUAAAAAAAUAGUUAAUUGCAUAGCAUAUAGUUUUAGGUACAUUUAUUUUUAAUUUGCAUUUACAUUGGGCUGGUGAUAGAUGGGUUGAUGCUUCAGAAACUUAAAUUUGAUGAGUCGGGCUAAGCCCACGAAGAGCAAAUUGGCUCAAGCCCGUAUUUUUGGGGAGAUUUUACGAAUUUAUCUUUGUGAAAUUUCAAUUCAAAAGCAAAUAUUGCGUUUGGAAAAACAAAUAUUAUGUUUGGAAAAGAACUUUUUGUGGAUAUGAUUUUGAAAAAUUAAAAAUCUUAAUCUGUAGCCUAUAAAUAAAUUAAUAUGCGUAGGGUUUUGAAUGGGGCCACGUAUCGAUACAUACGGCCACACAAGAGGGGAGUGGGCAAAGUGUUCGUAAGGGUUUGUUCGAGGGGCCUUCUCUCGUUCGAAAAAAGAAAGAAAGAAAAGUUUAAAAGAGAGGAAGAGAAGAAAAGUCAACAGAGGCUUUUGCUUCUGCAGAGAGGGUACAGAGAGACGUGAGAGAGAGAGAGAGAGAGAGAGAUAGGUGAGAGUGACGAAGAGAGAGAGAGAAAAGAAAAAGAAAGAAAAAAUAAGGAAAAAACGGAGGAAGAAGGAGUCGGUCGAGCCCCCUCGCCUGUUGAUAAAAUAGUUAUUUUCUUUUUCACAUGAUGCUGAUUUGGUUUUUAGUUAUUAGAGUUAGUGGAGUCAUGUGUGUUGGUUAUCCUAGUUUUUAGGUGUUAGUGGGGUAAGUGCUUUAUGGAGAACAUGGGUAGUUAUGGUGUGUUUUACGUUAUGUAUUUUAUCUUUUGUAAAAGACUUGGUUGCUUUGUACGUAAGAUGAAAUUUUAGCCUCAUCUCUCCUCCCUUUAGCAAUUUAACAGUGGUAUCAGAGCCUGAGAGAAACGUGAGAGUUUAAAAAAAAAACUUUCGUGAGAAAAUUGCAGUAGCAAUAUUUCCAAUGGCCACCGACAAUUUUGUUCAACCAGCAAUUCCAUGCUUUGAUGGUCACUAUGACCAUUGGAGCAUGCUGAUGGAGAAUUUUUUAUGAUCAAAGGAGUAUUGGUCGGUUGUCGAAUCUGGAAUUCAAGAGCCACCAGUAGGCAUGGCUUUGACAGAUCCCUAGAAAGCAGAGUUGGAAGCUAGAAAGUUGAAGGCCCCGAAGGCAAAAAAUUAUUUUUUUUAGGCUAUCGAUCGUCCUAUCUUGGAGACUAUUCUUUGCAAAGAAACUUCCAAGGAUAUUUAGGAUUCUAUGAAGAAGAAAUAUCAAGGCUCUUUUAGAGUGAAGCGUGCGCAGCUUCAAGCCUUGAGAAAAGAUUUUGAGACACUAUCGAUGAAAGAUGGAGAAUCUGUCACUAGUUAUUGUGCCAGAACAAUGGAGAUCAACAACAAAAUGCGAUUCCAUUGCGAGAAGAUGGACGAUGUCACCAUUGUGGAGAAGAUUUUGUGUUCCUUGACACCAAAGUUUAAUUAUGUUUUCUGCUCAAUUGAAGAGUCGAAAGACAUAGAUGCGCUCUCUCUUGAUGAAUUGCAAAGCUCCUUAUUGGUCCAUGAAUAGAAGAUGAACAAAAGUUCAACAGUAGAGGAGCAAGCGUUGAAGGCUUCUACCAAUACUCAUUCCAAUAAUUUCAGAGGAAGGGGUAGAGGUAGAGGUAGAAGUAGAGGAAUGGGAGAUCGAGGAAAUAGAGAUGUUGGUAGGAAUUUUAAAGCCAAUAAUGACCAAUUUCAAAGCAAAGGCAGAGGACGGGAUCCUAACAAAUUCAAGGCAAAGUGUUUUAGAUGUCAUAAAUUUGGUCAUUAUGCAUCUGAAUGUUAUACUAGGCUGCCUAAUAAUAAAGAAAAGGCAGAGAGUUCAAAUUUUGUUGAAGGAAGCAGAAACAUUGUUGAUGGCUGUUCAAGAUGAAAAGAAGCGUGAGUCAGAUAUUUGGUAUGUGGAUACAGGCUGCAGUAACCACAUGAGUGGAAGUAAGAAGACCACAUGAGUGGAAGUAAGUCUUCUUUUUCUCAUCUAAAUGAAGAUUUUCAUUCCACUGUGAGUUUUGGGGAUCUAUCUACUAUGAAAGUGAUGGGAAAAGGUGAUAUUAAGAUAAGAACCAAGAAUGAUUUUGUGGAAACGAUCUCUAAUGUGUUGUAUGUUCCUGACUUGAAAAGUAACCUAUUGAGUGCUGGCCAAUUACAAGAAAAUGGUUAUGUAAUAACCAUUCAGAGGGGUGUCUGUGAAAUUUAUGAUUCCGUUAGAGGUGCUAUUGUAGUUGUUCCCAUGAAUUCAAAUAGAUUGUUUCCAUUAAAGAUUAAAAAUAUUCAGUCUUGUUUGAUGGCUGAAAAGAAAGAUCCCUCAUGGCUUUGGCACUUUCGCUAUGGUCACUUGAGUUUUGGUGGAUUGAAGACCCUCCAACAGAAAAACAUGGUGACGGGUCUUCCUCAAAUUACUGUUCCUUCCCAAAUCUGUGAAGAAUGUGUUGUUAGCAAACAGUAUCGUUCUCAAUUUUCAAAAGAAAAGUCAUGGAGAGCAAAUGAUGUUUUGCAGCUGGUGCAUUCGGACAUUUACAGUCCCAUAAAUCCAUCUUCUAAUGGAGGUAAAAUAUACUUAAUUACCUUCAUUGAUGAUUUUUCCAGAAAAACUUGGGUUUAUUUUUUACAGGAAAAAUCAGAAGCUUUCUCCACAUUUAAAAGCUUCAAAACUCGUGUUGAAAAUGAAGCAGGAAAGACCAUUAAGACUCUUCGAACAGAUCGUGGUGGUGAAUAUUGCUCAAAAGAAUUUGAAGUUUUUUGUGCAGAGUAUGGCAUUCAAAAAGAGCUUACUGCUGCAUAUACACCACAGCAGAAUAGUGUAUCUGAGAGGAAAAAUAGAACAAUUCUCAACAUGGUGAGAAGUUUAUUGGCAAGAGGAAGAGUUCCAAAGACUUUCUGGCCAGAAGCAGUAAAUUGGAGUAUUCAUGUUUUGAACAGAAGUCCAACUUUUGCAGUUCAAAAUAUGACACCUGAAGAGGCUUUGAGUGGGAGAAGACCGGCUGUAGAUCACUUCAGAAUUUUUGGAUGCAUCGCAUAAUGCCCAUGUCCCGGAUGUGAAAAGGAAGAAACUUGAUGACAAGGCUGAAAAAAUGUGUCUUUUUUGGUGUAAGUGAAGCAUACAAAGCAUAUAAAUUAUUCAAUCCACUAACAAAGAAGAUUUUGACUAGCAGGGAUGUUGUUUUCGAUGAAGAGAACACUUGGGAUUGGAAUAGGCAGCAGCCUACCCAAGUUCUUUAUGACAAUGAUGCUAAACAGGAGUAAAUUUCAGCACCUUAUAUGCCCCAAAAUUCAUCAAAUACAACUUCUACAGCUGCUGGAAUUUCACCAACAUGUGUUGAAAUCAAUGAAAGAGAAGCCCAAUCUCUUCACCGCGUUAGAAGAAAGCCUACUUAGAUGGAAGAUUAUGAGGUAACUAGAAUUGGAGAUUCAAUUACUCACUUUGCCUUAUUUUCAGACUAUAACCCUACAACUUUUGAGAGUGCUGUCAAAGAAGAAAAAUGGCGAAAAGCAAUGGAUGAUGAAAUCAAUGCCAUCAAAAGAAAUGAUACUUGGGACUCCCAAGUGUGCAAAAUACCCGGGAACCGCCCGGAACUGGACCGGAACCGCCCGGAACCGGCAGUUCUUGAGGGAACCGGUCCGGUUCCCGGUUCCAAUUUUUGGGAACCGGUCCGGUUCCCGGUUCCAUGGGCGGAUCCGCCCACCCGGACCGGACCGGUUCCCUUUUAAUAUUAAAAAAAAAUACUAAAAUUGAAUACAAAGCAAUUGUUUUGUGGCAAUUGUUUUUGCUGCAGGAUGAAUACAGAGCUAAAUAUUGGGGAAUUCUUAUGCUUUUUCGUUGUUUAGUUUAUUUAUUAAUAUAAUGAUGAAGGUGAUGUAUUCAAUAAAGUCUUGUUUAGUUGCACUUCCUUUGUUUUCCUGUGUUUGGAUGGUGCCUCAUUUCACCUCAUUUGAUUUGUUUGUGCGACUUGUGAUAUUUUGCCGAACCUAAUGAGGGGUAUGUCCAGUUCAUAGCUUUAAGAGAGACCCAUUUUUCCUAAACACUUACUACUCUCUCUACCUCUAUAUUGACUUACGUACAUCCAUUCCUUCAUUGGUUGCAUUUAUAGUUGCAACAAAUUAAUUUUUGUUCCACGUACUUAAAUUUGGUUUUUCUUUUUGUGGCUUGCUUCGAUGUCACGUAGUCGUUUUAUGUUGAAAAUCAAAAUUGUUUCGCGUCAAGAUCGGUUCCAAUUUUUCGGAACCGGUCCUUAGCGGGCGGUUCCCGGUUCUAGGUCGGGAACCGCCCGCCUGGACCAUGCACACCCCUACUUGGGAGCUAUCCGAUCUUUCAGAUGGACAAAAAACCAUUGGUGUAAAGUGAGUCUUUAAAACAAAACUGAAAGAAAAUGGUAAAGUUGACAAAUACAAAGCACGUUUGGUAGCCAAGGGAUACAAGCAACAAUAUGGAAUUGACUAUACAGAGGUUUUUUCUCCAGUUGCGAGACAUGACACGAUUAGAUUGGUGGUUGCAUUGGCGGCACAUAAUUCUUGGCCUAUUUUUAAGCUAGAUGUCAAAUCGGCAUUCUUGCAUGGAUACUUGAAGGAACAGGUAUUUGUUGAGCAACCCCCUAGUUAUGUCAAGAUUGGAAAUUAGCAUAAAGUUAAUAGAUUGAAGAAAGCUCUUUAUGGGCUAAAACAAGCCCAUCGGGCUUGGUAUAGUCGUAUUGAAACUUAUUUUCUUAAAGUUGGUUUUUCAAAAUGUCCUUAUGAGCAUACACUUUUUGUCAAGAUUGGAGAUAAAUGGAAAAUGCUUAUUGUCUGCUUGUAUGUUGAUGAUCUUAUAUUUACUAGAAGUUGUGAUGGCAUGUUUGAAGAAUUUAAGAAAUUUAUGAUGGAUGAGUUUGAAAUGUCUGAUCUUGGUAUGAUGCAUUACUUCCUUGGCAUAGAAGCGGUACAAUCGGAUGAUGGGAUUUUUAUUUCUCAAAAGAAAUAUGUGGGAGAAAUUUUGGAUAGGUUUCAGAUGAAGGAUUGUAAUCCUGUAAACACUCUAGUUGAAUUUGGCUUAAAGUUAUACAAAGAUCAUGAAGGGAGGAAGGUUGACAGCACACUUUAUAAACAAAUUGUGGGCAGUUUGAUGUAUUUAACUGCAACAAGACCAAACAUAAUGUAUUAUGUGAGUUUAAUCAGUAGAUAUAUAGAGAAUCCUACACAAAUGCAUUUGUUAGCUGGCAAGAGAAUUCUUCAUUACUUGCAAGGAACUAGAGACUUUGGGCUAUUUUACAAGAAGGGUGAAAAGUCUGAUUUGUUGGGAUUUACUGAUAGUGACUAUGCAGGAAAUCAAGAUGAUAGGAGGAGCACUUCGAGUUAUGCUUUUAUGUUUGGAACAGGUGCUAUUUCGUGGCCAUCCAAGAAGCAACCAAUUGUCACAUUGUCAAGUAUAGAAGCCGAAUUUGUUGCUGCAACAGCUAGUGCUUGUCAAGCUAUUUGGCUAAGGAGAAUUCUUGAGGAGUUACAAUUCAAGCAACCGGGACCUACUAAAAAAUUUUGUGACAAUAACUCAGCAAUGAAACUCUCCAAGAAUUCGGUGUUACAUGGAAGAAGCAAGCACAUUGAUGUGAAGUUUUUUUUCUUGAGAGAUCUUAGUAAUGAUGGAACAAUUGAUCUAAUCUACUGCAGGAGUGAAUAUCAAGUUGCUAAUAUAUUCACCAAGGUCCUCAAGAUGGAGUCAUUUGUGAAGCUCAGAAAGUUACUAGGUGUUUGCAUGGUGAAAAAAGUCAAGGCUUUAAACUGAAUGUUAGCAAACAUCAAUUUAAGGGAGGGAUUGUUGAUAAAAUAGUUAUUUUCUUUUUCACAUGUUGCUGAUUUGGUUUUUAGUUAUUAGAGUUAGUGGAGUCAUGUGUGUUGGUUAUCCUAGUUUUUAGGUGUUAGUAGGGUAAGUGCUUUAUAGAGAACAUGGGUACUUAUGGUGUGUUUUACGUUAUGUAUUUUUUCUUUUGUAAAAGACUUGGUUGCUUUGUAUGUAAGAUGAAGUUUGAGCCUCAUCUCUCCUCCCUUUAGCAAUUUAACAUUGCCGACCCCCUGCACAGCGCUGCCGCGUCCCUUGUCGGUCACCCCCGCGCCGCCUGUAGCCCCUCGCCGCGCCAUCGCUCACCACCGCGACGCCGGCAGCCCAUUCGCCAUCGCUACUCCCGAUCUCGCUGUCACCACCUCCACUUUUCAUCAGCGCCCCUGCUCACCCAUGAAUACCACCGCCGCAGCAGCAACCCAAGCUAGUCGCCACACCCUUGCUACUCAUAGCCAUCUUGCCGAGUUUUCCUCCACCAGCUCCGGUGUCGACGCCGACCGUUGCCUAGACGCAGCAACGCUGCGGCUACCCGCCUCUGCAACAGAUCUCGGGUCUUCCUCAUCUCCGCUGCACCAAUCGUCGCUACCGCGACCUGCAGAAGUCUGCGAGUUUCCCCUAUUGUGCCUCCACCUUCCAAUCAAUCGCACCUCUGCUGUUUGACACCAUCGAAGUCCACAUCGUCGGUCUGCUGCUCCACCUUUCGUCAGAUCCAGACCCCUUGCUCUCGCCGUUGUUGAAGUCCGGAGCCGCUCACCACUGCUCCCGCUCCGAUUGACUUGCAGCCGCGCCUCUGUCCCUGACACCGACACUUUGCUCUGCUUCUGCUGUCAUCGAUCUGCUACUUUUGCCGACCCCGAGUCCUCUGCCCGAGUGCCCCUGCUCCACAAGUCCUUGCUGCCCAAGCGCCGCCACCUGUUGCCGCCGGAGUUUCUCCCCUGCCAGACCUCCGAUCUGCCGCCCCUCACCGGAGCCAGUGACCAGCUGCACGGACACGAAGCUUGAAAGGGAAAAAGAGAAAAAAACAAAAAAAGGAAAUCAAUUAGGUAGUUUUUCCUUUUUAUUUACCUUUUUUAUAUUAUUUUCAUUUAUUUAUUUACUUCGUUUUUUUUUUCAGAAUUAUUCAUAAAUGAGUGAUUGAGAUUCCAACAUGAAAUAGUUCCUCAAAUUAGAGAUUGACAGUCCGAAUUUUUGCGCUUGAAAUCCGACUCGCAAUCUCUUGCGAAAAUCGACAAUCCGAUCUCAUACCCGAGAUUCGAUUCGCAAUUUAAUUUUAAAAUUGGUCAACCCGAUCUCAUGUACGAGAUAUGGAUCGCCAAUUUUUGGAUAUCAAUCUUAUCUUGUUUGAUUUGCAGUCGUGGUGUUUGGAUCGAUUUUUUUUUUUUUUUUUGGUGAUGGUGUUUUGAUCAAUUUUUGUAAAGGGAAAAAAUCCAAAAAAAUUCGAAUUAUGAUUAAGUUUGUUUUAGAAUGUUUCUCGUCUUAGGAUUAUCUUGCAUAUUUAGAAUUGUAAUCCUAUUUCGAAUUUUUAAAUAAAAAAUCCAAAAAAAGGCGUUCAUUUAGGAUGUUAGUUUUUUUUUUAAAUUUGAAUUGCAUGUUUAAUUAUUCGGCAAUUUUAAUUUCGAAUUUUAUUAAAAAAACACAAGAAAAUCAUCAUGCAUAUGUCAUGUAAAAUUAGGGCAUUAUUUGUAUGUCAUGGUAUAUUAGGAUAAAAUUGCAUGUUUCAUUUUAAGUUUAGAUUAGUUUUCUAGAUAGAUUGCAUCUUAAGUUAGAGAUUGCUAUGUUAGAAUAAUAUCUUAGUUUAAAGUGAGAUUUAGUCUGACUUAAUCCUUAGUUUAAAUUGGAUAGAAUUUUAAUCUAGCUAGGUAAUUUUUGCAUCGUAAUUUCAAAUUUCAUGAAAAAUAAAAAUUGUCUUAGAGUAGAUUCAUUUCAUUCUCUAAAAUAGUUUGCAUUUUUAGGAAUUGAAAUAUCAAAUCCACGUCAUUUAGUUUUUUAGGCUCAUUUAAUUAGAAAUUGCCCGUCAAUAAAAUUAGGUCAUUUAGAUUGCAUUUAAUUAUUACAUUUCUUUAGGAUUUACUUUACCAAUGUCAUAUAGUUUAUGUCGUGUUGCCAUGUCGUAUAACUUAAGUCAUGUUGCCAUAUCCUAUUAGAUUAUUAUCAUUCAUCGCAUGAUUCUCAUUAAAUAAAGUGAAAACAAAAAAUUGAAAUUGCUUGUUAAUUAGAAAUCAUAUCUAUGAUUGUUGAUGUGAAUUCUGAGGCUUUAGUUUUGCAAUUUAUUAUUUGCUUUCUUGGAUGUUAAAUUGAUGGAUUGUGCACCCGCAUGAUUGCCACAUAUGUUAGGGAAUUAGAUUUAAAAUCAAUUUAAGCUGCCUGCAAAAGCAUUUUUGAAAAUAAAAGAAUGGUACUGAAAUGGCGUUAGAAAAAUCUAGCAUAACCAAGACCCCGAAUUCAUAAAUUUCUGGUUCGUAGAAGUAAAGUAAAUCUCCCGUUACUUUACUUGAGUUUCUAAUCGACCCACCAAAAAUAUAUUAGUGGCAACUCCUAAUUGAAAAUCAAUUGCAUGUUAAGAACUUAAAACUCAAGUCACGAAUUGGUAUGAGCUUGGGAGAGCCCUGGUAUGAGCUUGGGAGAGCCCGAGUUAAGUCAAGGCUUAACAAUCCAUUAGUCAAACCCUAGGUGGUUCACACCUAAAAAAUUAAUCGUGACACUCGGACAAUUUUAAGCUCAAUCCAACUUAAUAUGUGUCAAAUGCUUAUUCUGUAAAUAGGUCUUUUUGCACAUUGCUGGCUCUGUAAGACUGAUUUCUUGAAUGACACCUCCACUUCAAGUUAUUGAAUUCAUUAUUGAAGCUUAGCAAAGAGCAUUCACUUGCAGACGUGUUUUUAUGAGCAUUUAGUUAUCAGUUCGAGCUGUUUCUAGUAAUUAAGCUCUUCAUAAUUUUCAAGAAAAAUAAAUCAAAUCAAACUGCAGUUCCAUGGUGUAACUCAUUUUAGGAGAUUGCAGCAAUUAAUUGUCACUGGGAGUACAUGAUUUAAUCAGAACCUACAUCUGUAAAUCCUUAUUUAGGCUAAGAAAUUAAAUUGCAUGGUGCACUUAAUCCGUGAUGGUAGAAACUAAGGGUUGACAAAAUUGUAGGUAAGAAGGCCUUGUGGGAGCAUAAUGUCUAUGCAUUCACCCCUACAAUUGGCUCUGCAAACCAUCUUUUGGUAAUGAUGAAGUGUAUCCAUAUCAAGCAAUUCUUGUUUCCAUUUGUUUUAUUUACACAAUUCUUCUGCUAACUUGGGGUAUUGCAAUGCAGCAAUAUGCUAAAGAGCACAGAGAUGCUACCUUCAUGCAGGAAGUUAUGAAGCUUUCGAACAAGAAUAACUUGCUUUCGAAGAGUACAGAUAUUGUUUUCAGGUUCACUUCCAUGCUGUUUCUCCUGAGAUGGAUGUUAUUAUCAUGUAGUAAGCCAUUAUUGCACUUAAUUGUGUGUUAUGUACGGCAUAGUUAUCAAGCAAUUUAUCCAAUUUAUAAGUGUCAUUUAUAUAGGAUUUAAUCAACUUGUUGUUAUUUUAAAUCAUAUUGUCUGCACUGGUACUCUCGAUCUAAUAGUUUGCUCAUGUUAUUUGACAUCCUUUCUUUCAAUGGAAAAAUUUUGCAGCAUUUGUGAUGAUACAGACAAUUGGGGGCUGCUCACAAAGUAUUCAAAGAGAUUUGUCAAAAAUGGAGUGAAUUUGCAUAAAGCUGCAUUUGACAUCUGGAUGGAGUUUGCUGCAAAAUUUGGUGAGCAAUACUAGCUCUGUCUCCCUUCGCUGCUCUCAAGCCCUUGUCCCUCAACAAUCUUAUUUUCCAUUUCUUCCCACAAAUAGUUCUCUCAUCCAGGUCCCGCCACUUACUACAAAAGAUGGGAUGUGCUAGAAUAUUUUCUUAUGUACAAUGAUUUCUUUCUCUCCUUAAACAAAAGGGUAGAAAUAAGCAAUAAAAAGAAUUUUCGCUGCGCCAUGUCUUUCAAUGUCGUUGUUUCUUUAAUUGUUCUGAGAUUAUGCUUCUUUAUCCUAUUUAGUGGUUUGACGAAAGUUACCCUUUUCAGGAGACAUUGAAUCUCUAUGGAAAACUGAGUAGUUAAGACGUGAGUCCAUGAAGCAGCACACCGUGGGCUGUGGGUUCUCGUGUGCGAAGAUGGUUUACAAACGCAGACUGUUGAAAUCACAAAUAUUAGACCCUGAAAGCACUAGGUCUUCUUGCAUUAGAAAAUCUGAUAAUGGGAAAAUAUUAAUACUGUAAUACAGAUCAGUACAAAGUUCUUGGUAAACCAGGUGAGAGGUCUAUGGCCGAAAAAAGCGAGAGUUAAUGAUUGAAUAAACCAAAUUUUGGCUCACAUCCUAGGACAUGAAGCACCUAUGUGCAUGAGAAUGCUCAUUGUCAUCACACAAAGGAGAUAUAACUACUUUUUCGGUACUUGGAAGCAUUUAUUGUGGCUUUUAGCACUCUGGUUUAAGAUUAAAAUUUAACCGACUGUCAUUACUUGUUUAUUGGCAAACUAAAUGAUUUUAUAACCAAUUUUUUGUGCAGGGAUAUUUACUUGAAGGCAAACCUGAGGAGGCUGCUACAGUCAUUCACGUCUUGAAUCAGGUACUCCUCACUUCUCAGAGCAUCUAUGGCUAUUAUUAAUAUGCUCAUCAUCACCAUCUGGCAUGAUGGCAAUCCUAAAUUACCUCAGCCUCUGGACUAGUCCUUCAAUUUUCCAUAUACUGUCAAGGAAUAAAGCAAUUAGUGGAAAAUAUACGGAAUUGUCCCCCAAAAUCUGCUCAGAUAAAAUUAUCGUGACAUAUCCUCUCUCGGGGGGGACUGGGUGAUUUGGAUUUCAUAUUUGGUGCAUGCUGUACUAUUAAAAUAACAUGAGUUAGUUCCAUGGAUCCUAAUAGAGUUUGAAAGAUCAUCUCAGACUCCUCCUGCAUUGAAUAAAGUUGGAAAUACACCUAUGUAGGCUCUGUUUGUUCAGAUGUCGCCUCUUAGGUCUCACAAUGUGAAUGCCUUGGAUUGAUGCCAGAGUUUACCUGAUGCUAAGAGGUCCAGCAUCAGGGUUGAACUUCGAAAGCUUGUCAGUGAGUGGCUUUUUGAGGUUAUCAAACGGAAGAAAGAAGAUGACUGCAAGGUACUUCCUUUGACUAAAUAUCCAUCACUUUGGGUAGAAAUAGAAAUAUUGCUUGUUUGCAGUUAUAUAUUUCUCUGGUAAUGUUUUCUCAAUCAUUCCUGUUGCUGGAUGUAUAUAUGCUGCAUUGAACUAUCUCAAAAUUAUUAAAACCUCUCAUUCUUUUCACUCAUGUAGGCAUUGGCUGCUUCUCUCAAAUCCGAUAUCCUGGCCAUGGUUAGUUCCUUAUUAAACACGGGCUUGGAGGUGAAAGUGAAUAUGGAACAACUAACCACCGAAGGCACCCUUUGUUAAAGUAUGACAGAAUUGGAGAUUGAAUGCACUUGCUGCAGAUCUGUCUCCUAUGUGGACCGCUAAGGUUGCCAUGUUAGUUUAAACCGAUUCCGCUGAGAAGCAAGACAAGCGUGGUACUCACGUCUCGAGCAACAAGCAUCUGAAGUUCUCUUGUGAAGGUCUCCGAAGCUUGAAAAGAUCUGCUACUUCUUGAUUUGAAUGUUGUCACUUCUGUACUUUCGGAUAAUGAUUCUUUUCUUUCCCCAAAAAAUCUGAGUGUAUUGGAGACGAUGGGUGCAUCAUCAGCAAUUGAAUUCUGAGAACAACCUCGGAUGACUAGUUUUUGUAGAGAGGAUUCUUUUGGCUCACGCAUUUUAGAUUGGACCAAAUGGGCAGUUAAGAGAGACAAUUGAUAAGGUAGUCCUUUCAAUUUCAAUCUGAUUUGGCAGCCUAUUUUGUCAUAUUUCUGACAGAAUUUCGCUGUGCAAGAUUAAAGAGUGAAUUUAAUGCCGACUCAUUCGAUGUUGGCAUACAGCGACCGCCAUUGCUUCCUGAUUUAAUCGGAUUGAACUGUCCAAUCGUGGUGCCAGAGUGCAUAACAUAAAUCCCUUUUUACAUCGUGAAAGAUAACGAAAAACCUGAAUUAUCAGAAAUGGCUUUGGUACCCACAUGCGUAGGUGCGUGCGUGCAUGCAUGCAUUUUGUGCAUAUAAGGCGUAAAAGAGGCGACGAACGCAAUCCUCUAGAAUUAAAACAAGUGCACUAAUCAUGCGCAAGUUUUAGCAAUGGAUUGACAUAAUUGUAAUAGGUGUGAGACUUUUUUUGUAAUUUUUCCAUAUUUUCACUCAAAAAUUUAGGAUUACAGUCGGAAUGUAUAGGACUGAAUUUGAAGUUAUACAAUAAGCUUACAAUUGAAUUUGUGAUUCUCCCAACUCAAUACCUAGCUUAUAAUAAGUUUUUUUCUUCCUUUUAAUAAUUCUCCCCCUCUUCUGUCUCCUCUCCUCAUCUAUAUAAAAUGGGCAAUGAGGGGUGGCUUAGGUAGUGGAAGGGAAACCGUCCUCCCAAUGACCUUACCGGAGAAAGUUGACCCAAAUUCAAAUCGUAGGGGAAGAAAACUAACCUCUUCCCACUUUGAAUCACCAUGCUGAGUGUUGAUUUUAGCUCCUUAAAAUCCUCUGACACAUCCAACCCCUCACGAUCCUGGCAUCAAGAGACAAUCCUUUCGGAUUAUAAGAGUGAGAGUAGAAGUCAUAUCCUAUGAUUUCCAAUCUUUCACGAGACAUACAAAUGGAUUUGCGUACGGUUAAUAUAAGAAAAGAGCUAUCAUAUACACUCGCAUUUAGUUGAUAAAAAGGUUAUUUAUAGAUGAUAUGCAGCGACUUGAUUUCCGUUCACAUAUAAAUAACAUGCAGCCCAUCAUAGGUUGUGUCAAAGCCCCAAUACAUGUAUUAGAUACUAUGCCAUCUCAAUCUAGAAAAGCAGAAGGGGCAUAUUGAUGUUUUCGGUAGAAGUACAGCACAAGUGCCAUAACUUGGCACGGGGGACACUUAAGUGCCAUAACUUCAAAACGGUAUAUUUAAGUGCCACUUUUUUUUUCUAGUGGGACACUUAAGUGCCACCUCUGGCGAUCCUUGCCGGAAAUCCUACGUGGCAAUAUUUUAUUUUAUUUUUUUGCUUACGUGGCUCGCCGGAGAGCUGAGUCGGCUCUAACUCACCAGAAACGACGUCGUCUGCAUAAUAAAAGCCCCAAAUCUUCCAAAAACGACGUCGUCUCCCCAAAUGCCCCAAAUCUAAAACCCUAAAUCGGCCAAAAUCCCUAUUGAAGUGCUCGAAUUCAAGUCUCGAACCCUAAUUUUCAUUUGCCCAAAAUUCCUUCGUCGAAUCUUGGAAAUAGAGAGCAGGACUUGCAGCAGUGCCUCAAUUUCCUCUCAUCGAAGCGAAGGAAAAGGCCAGUGUUUCACCACCGCCCGCGGUGGCCGCGCGGUUAAGGCUUGGUACCCUCCACGCCAAGGGGAAGAGUUCGAGACUUCGUGGACGCAGUGCUUCAAUGCUCAACGCGCGACUUACCUGCGUACGGGGCCGGCGGUGGGGGCCCCCGAGCUCCAGGGUUUACUCUUCGCCACGAAGCGGCAGAGCGGAGGUUCCCUGGGUCACCAAAAAAAAAAAAAAAGGCCAGCGUUUCUGUUUUUGUGGGUUACUGAGUCCAAGAAGAACAUCGUGGACUCAAAUCAAUCCCGGGAGAAGAUUUUAUGAAUGCGCCCGAUAUAAAGAAUCGUCGAAGUGCAAAUACUUCAAAUGGAUCGAUGAGAAGUUCUCUGAUCGAGCCACAGAGGUGAUAUUGGAUCUACUUCAUAAAAGACAGCAAUCUCCAUCUGUGUUCGUGGACGACUUGGACGAUGUUGACUCAAUGCAAGCUCAAGUGUCUUCAGUUAAACUUUUCAAGAAUGAAGUCUCAAUGCACGCUCAAGCAUCUUCAACUAAACCUUUCAAGAAUGAAGUUUCAAUGAUGAAAAUUGAACGAAAGUGUUACCAAGCGUGUAUUAUGGUGUUGUUUUGUUGUCUAUUGUACUUUAUGAUGAAAUGUAAAGUACUUGAAAAUGAGAAAAAGUUUCUCUGACUGCAUAGUUAAAAAUGGUGUUAUUCUGGAUUAAACGUAGGGUUUUUUUCUUUUUGAAAGAUGCGAAGAAGUUUGUGUUGUUCCACAAUAUCAUUGUGGCUUUGUUGUUGUUUGUGCUGUCGUAUGGAGUUGCCAUAAGUUUACCAUCAUCUUCUCUGUUUUGAUGUAGAAUCAUCUUUCUAUGUUUUGAUGCAGACCAACAUAUACACAAGACAAACAUUAGUGAUUACCCAAGUGCCAUAAGUUGUAUUUAGUAAUCACGUAAGUGCUAGUCGCGAUGAAAAAAGGAUCACUUAAGUGUCAAGUUAUUGUUAAAGUGAUCGGUUAAGUGUCACUUGUAGUUAAAAGUAAACAGUUAAGUGCCAAGUUUUUUUAGAAUAGGAUCAGUUAAGUGCCAAUUUUUUUGUGGAUUUUCUCUAAAAAUUGCGCCAGCCACCAGCACCGGCUGUACCACCAACCAUCACCACUAGCCACACUACACACUAGGCACUCUAGCCACCACCAUGCUGGUGGUGUUGCUGCACAAGAUACUAGUGCAAGCUGAGCCUUGCACUAGUUUGCACCAGUACACAUGGUGUAAGAUGUGCAAACUGCACAUUUGUACUAGGUGUAGGUGCAGCUGCUUAAGCUUAUAACCCCCACCACAAACUCAUAAUCACCAGGCAUCACCACCAGCCACACCAGCACCCCAGCCACCACAUUAGCACCCUAACAACAAACUGACUACCACCAAACAUCACCAUCCACCAUCACCAGAUACACCAGCACUCCAGCUAUCACCACAGAACACCAACAACAGCAGCAACGAGUAAAAGCAGAAUCCAUGAUAAACAACAACAACAUAAAUUGACAAGUAGCGCAAGAUCAUUUCAUUGAUAUUUCAUUAAGUCUGAGUCUGACAACAUCAAUGAAUGACAAACUAAAGAAAAAAAAAAAAAGAUAACCAUCCAUAGAAAGUCUGACAACAUCAACGUUUACAUAACCGUUUUGACUCCUAAGCUCCACAAAUCCUAUCACAUCUCAUCCCAUCAAUCAAUAUGCACGACACCCCAUGUUCGUGCUCCUUUCGAUGGGCCUUUCACUUGAUUCAUAAUUCUGGCACUCUUUCUAACUGGACAUGCAACUUCUUCUUCAACAUUCUCAGUAUCCACUGACUCAGAUGGAGCUGCAAAUGUCCUAGGCCGAAUUGAAUCAAAAGGAGCUGGAGCUGGAGCUGGAGCUGGGUUCUUUCUCUUCUUUUUUGUUGGCACAGUUGAUGUUUUCUUUUUUGUUGGUGCAGCCGUCGAUUCUUGAGUUGGGCCUGAGAUAAGAACCUCUUAACUUCUCCCAGGCUACAAAAAAACAAUAAAUUGUUAGCAAAACUCUACAGCAUAAAUUAAAUUAAAUGCAGCCAAUAAAACUUACAUUGAGAAUAACUGUUCCAAUACGUUCAUCUGUAUAAAGGCCAUAGCCAUAUUGUCUUAACCUCUUCCCAAGUGCCCCUCUUGUUUGAAUAGGGGCGUCACUUUCAGGAACUUGUGAUUUAUUGCCCAUUUUUCUUGCUUUCUUGGGCCCUUUAACUACAGCCGGGGCUUAUUCAACCAAUUAUGCCGGGCGUCUUCUAGAUGGCCUUUGUGUACUUGCCCCUUCACCUGGCCUUGUUCUAGUUGUCCUUCUGUGUAGCCCUUCAACUUCAGUGACACCUCCUUCUGUUGGGCCUUCUGGUGGUACUGGUGGUGGUACUUGUGGUGCCCCUUGUAGUUAUUCUUCUGGUGGCCCCUGUGAUGAUCCUUGAGGUGGCUCCUGUGAUAGCCCUUCAAUUGGCAAUUGAGUUCCAACUUGCUUUCUUCGAACCUAAGAAAGAGGCCAAAAGAUACCAUAAAUAUAAUAUCGAGACAUAUAAUAAUAAAAACUGAAUACAAGUUGGUUGAAUUUACCACUGGGUAUUUCUUUCGCUGCCGAAGAACAAUCGAUUGCACUGGCCGUGAUACUGCUUGGGCUAAUCCUUCAGCUGGCCCUGAUGCUGCUUGGGUCAAUCCUUUAGCUGGCCGUGAUGUUGCUUGGGCCAAUCCUUCACCUGGUUGUCUUCUACCUUGCCUUCUUCGAACAAGCUGUUCAGUUUCAUGACUUACUUAGGUUCUUCUUGUGACCUAACAAACACAUUACAUACAAUGCCAAAUAGGAUAUUAUGUACAUUUUUAUGAUAAACAACAAGAAAGCAACAUAAACAUAAAAUAAAUUUCAUGACUUACCGGGGUUCUACUUGUUGACUGAAGACCAGUCAACUCACUUGGCCCUGCUGUGUGUAUUUCUCCAACUGUGUCUUCACUAGGCCCUUCACCUUGCUUCAACGGUUGUUGUUGCUUCCUCAAUUGACAACCUUUAAUAUUGUGGCCUGUUAGGCGACAAUAAGAGCACGUGAUCUUUGCACCAUGCCUGCUCAUUCUUUGCUGACCCGAGACCUCCCUCCGCCAUUCUUCGUCUUCGUUUUGUCCUUCCAAUUUUCUUCUUCAAUGGCAAAGGUUGAGGUGCUUCAUGAUCCGUGGGCUCCCAAAACUUGCUACUUCUAAUUGGCUGCAUCAUGAACUGAUAGGAAGCAAGAUAUUUUGAUUUAUGGUACCAAUCAUCGAUGUAAUCAUCUGUAUUGUCGCCCUUCAACUGGAUGGCACAUAUGGCAUGUGCAUAUGGAAUUCCACUUACUUGCCAUGCUCUACAUGAACACUUCCUACUUCCUAGAUUGACAAUAUACUUAUCUGCACCCUUCAUUAUCUCAUAUCCGUCAUCUCCAUUCUAAAUGGGAUGACAAUGUCUACUUGCAGCCAAGUUCUCAUCCAAUUUCUGGACAAUCCUAGGACCAUAUUGUCUUGUCCACUUUGCAGCCUCAUCUCUUUGUUUCUGCAACCGAGUCAUAACCACAACUCGUAUAUCUUUAAGCAUUGAGAUGACUGGUUUGCAUCUGGCAUCUAUUAUCUUCGAAUUAAAUACUUCACAAAUGUUGUUGUCGACAUUAUCACACUUGAACUCCUCACUGAAGAAUGCUCUGCAUCAAUGCUUCGAUUCUAGUUGAAAUAGGGUAGCACAACCUUCCUUUGUCAACUGAAGCAGUCAUUCUUUGGCUAUUCUAAAGUUAGUCAUGUUUGCACUCUUUGCUAAUUGCCAAAAUUGCAAUUGUAGCUUAUCCCCUUUAUAGUUCUUUGCCCAAUUUCCGUAUAUGUGCCGCGCACACAUUCGAUGUUCAGCAUGGGGCAACAACUCGGCUACUGCCGGAACCAAUCCCUGCAAUAAUUCAAAGUAAGAAAUACUAGAGCAAAUUACAUGUUCAUAUUACAAAGCAAACUAUUGACUAAAUUUUUCAAAAAGCAAGCAUUACCUUUUGUUGGUCGCUCAUGAAUGCCCACCCUUCCCCGUUUGUUAUCUCCAAGUCAGCCAUGAGAUUUUUCAAGAACCAGGACCAAUUGUACUUGUUCUCAAUCUUUACAAUAGCCCAAGCUAGUGAGAACAUUUGGUUAUUCACAUCUCUUCCAAUCGCUGCCAACAAUUCUCCUUUGCACAAGCCCUUCAAGAAACAGCUGUUCAAUCCUAUAAUCCGUCUACAACCAGCUAAAAAUCCUCGUCUGCAUGCAUCAAAGCACACAUAGAACUUAUCGAACUCGAUCCCAUGAUUAGGAAGCGGUCUCUCAAUCACCUCUACAUACACUCUACUUGUAGGGUUUUGCAACCUACACUCCCAAGCAUACUCCCACACCUGCCCAUAUUCCUUAGCAUACUGACCAAUAAGUAUCUUUAUCACCUUUUGCUUUGCUCUUUUGCACUGAUUCCUAGAUACAUUAAUGCCUACACGCUCCUUCACCAACAUCCUAAAGUUAGCAAUUUUCAUCUCGGGCAUCACCUUGAUCAGAUCGAAGAAGUGCUUGAACAACCAUGCACUUGUUACCCUUUUGUUUUGAAAAUUAAUGGAACAAAGUGUGUUCCUCUUGGUAGGCUCUAAUCUGAAAAGACCCACUCUUCUUAACAAACGCACCGUAAAUCUUCCAUGGACAGUUUUGUUGCGAACACCUAGCUCUUACAAAUUUCUUGGUAUUUCUAAUGAAAUCAAUAUUUCUUUGUGUAGCAAUGGUGUUAUUCAGUAUAGCUUCCCUAAAUUGUAUCGCAUCAUGGAAUUUCAUACCUACUGACAAAGUAGGAGAGGCAACAGAUGGAUCAUAGGAAGGAAACUUACUUUUUCUUCUACGCACAGCUAGUUGAUCUUCUUCAACUUCGUCCUAGGAAGUUGCGGUGUCAAUGCUUUCUUCAUAAUCUGUCUCCAGGACCUGGCCAGCAACACCAACAUCUGCAGGGCCUUCGUCUCUAUUUGGAUGUUCAUCAGCUACAUGCAAAGUUGCAAAUCUAUCUGACAAAAAGUCCCUUUGUUUUUUCCUUGACUGUGUAAGCUCCUCAUCGUCGGCGUCACUUAAGAUUAAUAAAUUUUCAGCUUCAGUAGCCAACCCUUCAUCAUCAUCAUCAUCAUCAUCACCGUCACUGGAUUCAGCUACUUCCCAAUCUAAUUCAGUGAUGGUGACAUCACCCAUGUCACAAUCUCUCUGGUGAACAACAUCUGCGCCCCUCUCCUCCCCAUCCUGUCCAUCAUGCCCUACUUCAUCUCUAACCUCAGUACUCGCUUGAAUACCAUCUCCUCCUCCUACUUGGGUGUUAUCUCUGUCAUCAUCUUCGUCCUCACUAUCACUAUUAUUUUCAACAAAUACUUUCGCCUCUUCGCCAUGGAGAUAAUGAUAUAAGACAUCCCUAAAACCAUUAUCAUCUUCCAAAACUCUCAAACCAUCUCUCAAGCCUUUCCCAAGAACACAGUACAGUAACUUUUGUACUCUACAAGGCAAAAAAAUCACUAUAUCCCUAACAAAUCAAAUAUAAUAUGAUUUCUUUAUAUCUACAAAAAUAGUACCCUCAUUCCCCCCCCCCUCAUACUCCCACUCAUCCUCCCUAAUCACAAAAUCUCCACCGUAGUAAACGAUGACGGCAACAUAGUCUUUAUGCGCCAUUUCUGCAACAAAAGAGGACAAAUAUACAAUUAACUUUUGGGACCACAUUCACAAAGAACAGACAAUUGCAAGUGGAGGUCCCUACACUCUUUAUUAAAGAAAAGAAAAGAAGAAAGAGAGAGAGAAGAUGCGGUCAGACGACAGCUGUAGCUUGAAAACAAGAGGCCUCAAGACAAUGACAAAUAAAAAUAAAGAUGGGACCUGACAACUGCUUUGAUUAUACCGUCACAUUCCUUUAAAAUAUGGAGAGAUUCCUCAGCAUGGGUCAUCAACAAUGCAAUUUAUUAAAAAAAUAUCUAGAAGUCCCCAUCCCCACAACCUUCAAUUCAAACAUGUCCAAAGUCCAAUACUCUGAACCCUAACAAUCACCAAUCACCAUCGCACAUUUCACAUCCGACCACUACAAAUUACUUUCGCACAUCACAAUUCAACACCCUGAAUAAAUCACACAUCACGGUGGAUGAGGCGACGUCGAGCCCUACACCGAGCCCUAAUUUUCCCCCCGCCGAGCCCUACACCGAGCCUAUAUUUCAAUGCCGCUCCUAUAUUGUCAAUUCGAACCCCCCAAUAGGAUUGUAGCACCACAUCUGAGCCAUAAAUCUCACAUCAAGCCUGAGCUUUCUCAGCCGACCCCCAAAUUUCAAGUCCGAGCCCUAAUAAACGAGUCGGAGCCCUAAUUUCACCACAGGGGAGAGGAAGAAGAGAAAAAACUUGAGCAAAUCGACAACGGCGAGCGACGAAGGCGAGCGAUGACGGCAAGCGAUGAAGGCGAGCGACAACGGCGAGCAAUCACCUGCGAACGGCGAGUUGUGAACGAUGAUGGAUGGAGAGAACGUCAGACCUAGUGUGAACUGACGAAAGGUUAAAAUCCAAAUAAACCAAACGACGUCAUUUAACACUAAGGAAAAACAACGUCGUUUAGUUUGGCCAAAUGCACAGUGGAUGAGGCGACGUCGUUUUCCUCCUCCACGUGUGCUUUUUUUUUAAAUAAAAAAAAAUUGCCACAUCAGUUAAGCAUAUCGCCGGAAAAUGCCACGUCUGCAUUUUGGCCGGUUUUUGGCCAAAUUGGCACUUAAGUGUUCCAUUUUACUCCAAUAAUGGCACUUAAAUGUACAAUUUUAAAGUUAUGGCACUUAAGUGUCCCUCCGUGCCAAGUUAUGGCACUCUAGGUGUCCCAACCUCGAUGUUUUCUGAUCAUCACACCCUAAGAAAAGACGACACAUUAUUUAGUCCAGCAGGUGAGACAUCCUUCCGACGGUAGUCUCAGAAGAUGAAUCUUGCUUCCGAUCUCCAUAAUCUGACAACAAUGAUGGUGAUUCCAUUGGACUGGUGAGGACUACUUUUAUCUUCCUCUCCUCCAUGUAUUUACCACUUCCUUUAUCAAACAAAAAAUCUAAAAGAAAUUUCUCGAGUUACUUAACCCGAAAGAUUAUGGAACAUAUAUUAGUAAAACCUGCCAUGUCGACAAUAAUGUCCUCUUCACCCGUAUCACGAACUUGUCUCUGCGCCGUAGGACGGGUGGAGCUACCUACUAUGCUUACAUGGUAACUGCAUCAAAUAGAAGAUAGGAUGAAAGGCUACUCCAAUUCUUUCGAAAUAUCAGGACAUAGCUUCUAAGGCCUAUCACGGUUUCCCUUUAUCUCAAGGUAUAUUAGGCUACUAUGGUGGGCAUUCAAAAUCUUAUUAAAAAAUUAUCCUUGCUGCAAUGCGAUUGACUCCACCUUAAGCAGUUCGUACCCCAGCAAUAAUAUAGUCCAGUUGACAUGUCAUGGCAAAGAAAUUGCAGAAGAAUCUUUCAGCUGAUUCAAGUACUGUGGGCAUCUCCCUCCUCACAAGUAUGUUAGGGGCUUUAAUAUUUAUGUGAACAUGAUAUUCCUUGGACUUGAGCUGCACGAUUUCGAAUCAGAUGCUCCAUUUGGCUUGAUGAUGCCUACAUUUGGCCACACAUAGUAUUUCUUCAGAGAUAUAGACUCAACCCAGGAUGCUUUGGAUCUCCAGUAUAGAGUUCAUAAUGUCUCUCCCCAAUAGAGAGCUUUAAAUGCACUGGUGUCCUACUCUUGAAAAUUAAAUUACAUCAAGAGAUAUAAGAUUGAAAGGAAAUUGUUCACACACCAAUACCUAAAAAAAGUAGAGCAUGAUCGUGGUGAAAGAAGAGGACCAAAAAAUCCUCCCCUUAAAAGCAACGUAUCGAUCAGUCUUUUUGCCUAAUGGAAUCGAGCAUGAGUUUUGUUUACCCAACUCAACUGCAUAGACACGGAGAAGAAGCUUCAAAUAUAAGAACUUAACAGGGUACAUCACAAGAGCCGAAUGUGAUGAAAUGUACCAUCGUACAUUUUCUUUGAAGAUAUAAUGCAGUAAUGCAAUCCCGAUGGAUAUUCCAAAGAACUUACAAGAAAAGACAACUCCUAGGGGGUGCAUGACAAUUGCCUAUUUCUGUUCCAGAAACAAUUUUUCUAUUCCAGACCUGUUUCUGAAAUAAAAAUCCGCUUGAUAAACUUAUUUCGUUUUUCUAAUUCUGGAAUAGAUUUUUAUUCCAGAAAUAUGUUUGGAAUAGAAAUCAGAAAUAGAAAUUUUCUACUUCUCUAUUUCUGGAACAAAAAUGAGAAAUAAAAAAAUUUCUUAUCAUUCGUCAACCGGUCCUUCAUCUGUUGCCGCCAACCACCGUUCGUCGGUUGCCGGCCCCCGUUGGUCGCCACCACCGCCGCCAUUGGCUGCCGGUCGCCGGCCCCAGCCGCCGCCGACCACCGGUCCACCGCCGUAUGUCACCACUAUCUGCCAAUCCGCCGCCGUCCAAAAGGAAUAAAUUUUGUGUCAUUAUCAAACGAAUUUCUAUUUUUAGAGUAGAAAUUUUGUGUCGUUAUCAAACGGUUAUUUUUGCUUAAAAACUCUUCUAGAAAUAGAAAUAAAAAAAUCUAUUUAAGUUCCAGAAAUAAUUUAUGGAACAGAAUGGUUGUCAUGCGCGCCCCUAGUGACUACAAGGUACAAUGGAAAUGAACAUUCAAAGCCCAAGAUUAAUUUUUUGAAAAAUUGAGAAGUGUGGAGCAACAAACUUUGAUUUACAUCACAUGAAGUAAGAAUGGCAUGAUAAGUGAAUUCAAGCAUCCCGUGGAAUUCUAUUAGCACUAGCAGCUUCUAUUGAUUCCAAUUCUGCCACAACUUUAGUCCUGGAAGGCCGCUCGUUAGGAGUCAUUUGGAGGCAUUGUAAAGCAAGCUGGGCCAUUUGGAAUGCAGAAUCUAUAUAUGUAAGGUGUAGGGAUGGUAUAAAUUUGGUUCCCAUUUCCUGCAGGAGGCAACAUCAUGAGCGACCAGUUUCUUCUAAAAUAUCCAGUGUUUCUUUUUUGGUAGUUGGAGCAUCUGCAGAAAAUGAAUAGUUAUGUAGGCAAUACAACUAUAGAUUCCAUGCCAAAGGAUUUAAGUAGCUAAAAGGAAACACACCUCGUAUUUCAUAUUGUAUUGUACUAAUGAAAUGGGAACCAAAUUUGUACCAGAUUCCUACACCUUAAAUAUAUAGAUUCUGCAUUCCAAAUGGCACAGCUUCUUCUAAAAUAACAGCGGCAGACUGUUUCUGAAUCUAGAACCAGUCCAGGACACAGCAUGUUCCGAUGUACUCCAGCUCUUCUUUGUAUUGUCAUUAUAUGUACUUAUAUACUCCAGCUCUUCUUUGUAUUGUCAUUAUAUGUACUUAUAUUGUAUAUUGUCUUGUUCAGUUAGAAUAUUUUUUAACAAGAUUCACCCUCGAAUAUUGAGUUGAAUAUAUUCAGCAAGCCUGCCACAUUGUUAAUAACAGAACGUCCGCCAUCAAAAUGGAACGUGACAAACUGUAUGUAGAAUGUGAUCCCGAGAAUACAAAACUAGUUAAUGAUGGGGCCAAUGAUGCUGCCAUAGUUCAUUGAUUCAUCAGAAUUCAAUACUAAGUAUUUAUGAGAGGGAGCGAGGGAGGGAGGCUAAGUAGUGUGACACUGAUAUGCGACACAGCACAAUACACUGAUACGUCGUUUUUCAAACAAUAGAGAAUUCUGGCAUGUUGGGACAUGUUGUAUAUUAGAUACAUAUUUUUAUAUAUACAUGAUAAAUUACCAUUUUUAUGAUUAUUUUAAUCAAAUUAAUUUAAUUCAAAUUCACAAAUAAAUAAAUAAUAAAAAGAAUAUAUAAUGGAUUUACACUAAAAAUAUUAAUCUACCAUUUGUUAACAUCAUUCAUUAUUUUAAUUUGAUAAAUUCAUUUUCAUUUCAAUAAUCCAUAAAACUUAGGGGAAAAAAAUAAUAAGUAAUCUAAAUCUAUACUCAUGUGUCAGUGCGUCGAAAGAGAAGAGGAAAAAAUAACCAAUCUUAAGGGUGAAUUGUAUGUUACAGGAAGCGAGAAUAGGAAGAGAAUAGAAUAUUAGAUUUUUUUUUCUUUCUCCAUUUACUAUUUCUUUUUUUAUUACAUAAUUACAUUUUAAUUCCUUAUUUAAUAAAACAUUUUAAAAUUGACCCCGCACGUGUUAGAAUUACUUGUCAAAAUUCUGAACUUGCAUGUUAGGAUUCUAGACUCGAGUGUUGAAGAGUGUCGAGGAAGUUGACCAACUGUUGGAUUUUCUGACAUGUGUAGUGUUGAUCAAAUGUCAAAGAGUGUCGGACAAAUGUUGGAGUAUCUGACACGACACAGAAAACUCUUAGAGAGUGUCAGUGCUUUAUGAGGAGAGAGAGAGAGAGCCAACGGGAGAGCCCAAAAUAAAUAGAGCAAUCGAGAUUUGCUGUCAUUAUUCAAUUAAAAUUGGGCACAAUGACUCUUGAAGUAAAAUGCAAGCACAUCGAAGACACGAUUUGGAAUUCCAAGAUCAACGGGCACAAAGAUAAUGCAGAAGUUCAGAAAUGUUGAGGAUAGCUUCAGAAACAGAAGGUUGCAAAGGAGUUGGGGCAUCGAUCCCAUUAUCUUCUCGGGGAACCCGUAAUCGACCCUGGUUUCGGCCAACGCUUCAAGGAAUUGCUAGUGCUUUGGAGCCGGCGUCUCUCUCCUCCUUCGCUAAGGUGUUUGUUUCUUUAUUGGUUGUUCAUGCCGUGCCUCUCUAGUUGUUUGUUUGCCUUAUUUUGGGUGCUGUCUUGUGUUUUACAUCAUGACAUACUUCCACUCAUUAUGUUUUUUUUUUUUUUUGGUAGAAGGCAAAAAUUCCACUCAUUAUUUUUGUUCAUCUUGAGUGUAAGUUUUUACUACCAUGAUCUUUUGUACUUUUGACCUUUCUUCUUUAUAUUUUUACCUUUUACCAAGAAAAAAAAAAAGGACAUCUUCCUCACCGUCUCUUCUGACAUUAAGCACCCUUCUUCUUAAGCAGCUCUUCGACCAGGUCCGCAGCAUCCUGGAUAGACGCGAUCCUUUGAGCACCGUCUUCCUCCACGGUAACAUCGAAGUUCUCCUCAAUUGCCAUCACAAUCUCCACCUAAAAUGAGGAAGAGCAGCGUUCUCAUCACAAUCCCAUUUUAUCCAACAAAGGAAAUAAGGCGGUAAGCGUCGGAACCAGAUUUUUUUUUUUAAAAAAGAAAAAAAAAAAGCAAAUCAAUUCCAAUAUUGUAGAAGUACCGUCCUGCACCACUUAAGAACGCAUGGAUCUAGCAAAAGCUCGUCAAAGUCUGCAGAAGAAGGAAAUAGACUUGUGGAUGAAGGGCUUACGGUGUCCAGAGAAUCGGCUCCCAGGUAAGCGAUUUUUGACUCUCCGUUUACAACAGCAUCUUCUGGCAAAGCUAGCUGCUUCCUCACUAUUUCGCACACUUUAUCUAGCGUCUCCUUUUUAGCCUGCUCAUAUAUCGAGUUGGUCAUUCACAAGUUUAAAACCUACGUAUGGGCUUCGCUCCGAGCAGCUACAAAAUUGGCAAGACCAAUUCAAGCAUUCCCCCAUGAGCAAGACAAUGAUAGGCUUGAACCUGGUAUGAACAAACUCCUGCUCAUCCCCUUUCCCCAGAAGCAGCAUCUUUCGAGCGACACAAUUAUAAUCACACAGCAAGAUCGUUUGAACCAGGACAAACAUAAUGACCCAGACUUCAGAAAUACGUAAGUUACUUGCAGUCACUUUGCUAUGGUUGUUGUUAUAGUUGACAUGACAUGGUGGACUACUUACCGCACAUGAAACCUGGAAACGGCGUGCUUUCAGAGAUGGGAAACUUCUGCCGCCGACAGGGAGGGAGACGGACCUGACAUUCGAUAUCUUGCAGACAGGUACCUGUUAAAAAUGUCAACAACUAGUUUUCAGAGAUGCGGUCUCAUUCAAAGUGCAGAACCUCAGCCGGGUCAGCCAAGCUCUCUGCCUAAAUUGCAGAGAGUAUUUGGUAAAAUUGCAUCUUGCACCCUAGUUUUCGGGAUAGCGGCAAAUUACCCCUGUCGUUUCGAUAUUUGCAAUUUGUUAACUGACUUUUUGAAUGGGAGGCCAUGUGCCCUCAAACGUUGACUUUGGCAAAAAAUUUCUCACAUAUCUGACAACGUGACUUGCUAUUGAAGGUAAGCUGGACAUUUAUCAUUUACGUGAAAAAAAAAAUAUAGAGACUACCCAAAAAUAUAUUUGAGAGCUAUAUAUUGAUGUACAUUUGGUAUUGAUUUUGGUCAAAAUAUUGCCGAAACUUUGGUCACAUGCUCUCACAUGUACUAUAUUUCUGAAUUUGAUAUUCUACUUUUCAUAUCCGUUUACUUAUAUGAUGAAUUUUCCCUUCGUGGUCAGUCAUGCACUGUCGCGUGGUCGGAGCUCCAAGAAAAAUUUGACCGGAGUCAACACGAGGGGACACAUUGAUACGGACUUCUAACCUUCAGGGGCUAGAUUGCAAAAAUUGGAACCCCCUUUGGCAAUUUGCAACAAACUCAGAAGUUAGAAAAUACGUAGUUUGCCCCCAGAAAAUUUACUGAGUUUCCGGACCACUAGAUCGGUAGCAGGAAGCCAAAACCGAGUAAUGCCGGCCUGAACUCAGUAUCAAUCUCACACAGUUCAUUGUAAGUAUCUGACAAGCUCAUUUGGCAGCGCUGUAUCUUUUCGAUGCAGUUUUAAAUGCACGAAAAACUCAGCAUUUACCACAACUCAAUGGACAUAAAAGCCUCCAGCACCAAAACAAAAGCAGAUUCAUCCUAGUCCGGGAAUACUUAAUGUCAAGCUGAUAACAUCCCUUGAAAAUCUAAAACUGGAGGAAGACAAAAAAGUGCCGCACCCGCAUUUAAUAUCGAUCAUAAAACUAUAUCCAGCGGCCACAGUGAUCGAGCAUCAAAACCCAUCACAAAGAAAACACAAGUCAAGCAAUCUCGAACCGACUGAUACCCAUUUUCAUACCUGCGCUGGCUUCAAAGUGAAUGAGGCGCGAGCAGGUGUUGCAGUGAAGGUGGCCAUUCUGAGCUCCGGUUCAACAGAAGGUGAAGGAAACUGUUAGAAUUUGAAUGUGCGCGGAAGCAUGGUUUUAGUUAUGGAUGAUAGUUUUUGAUUAGUGAGGUGUGCAAGUGUUGGUAUUGAUGAUAGUUUUUGGUUAGUGAGGUGUGCAAGUGUAUGGUAUAGUUUGUAGAGGAUGGACAAGGGACAAUAUAUGAUAAUUGAAGGAUAUAGAACAUGGGAAAAAUAGUUUCAUUAGUUGAACAAAAUAGUUUGAUGGAGGUACAAUAGAGAUCUUGACCUCUCAUGGUGGAGGGUUCACCUCACACACAAGGUGGAGGGUUUACCUCUCACUCUCUAAAAUGAAUGAACUACAAGCCUAUUUAUAGGCAUGAGUCACACCUUAGUAUAACAUUCUAGAUUUCUAUAGAAUGUUGUCCAUGUAGGCUUCAUCUAGGUAAUUCUAGAUUGUAGUUCUUCUAGAGACUUCUACAUUUUCUUAGACACAUAAGCUUGUAGACAAUUCUAGAAUUUUUCUUGAAUCUUCUAGCUCAAAACUAUCUUGAAGUUUCUAGAAUUGGAUCACAAACUCCAACACUCCCCCUUGAUCCAAUUUCGGGAUACUCCGGACUUGUAUCAUAAAUCCUCGAACGUACCUUGAAAUUCUCCUUGUAGUUUGUCCCAUGCCUUUUAUGUCGUCUUCAUUCCACGAUCCUUUGCAUUCUCUUGUCGAAUCACUUGCACCUACCUUGGAAUGUGCAUGUCUUUUUUCGGCGAUGUCCCAUAUGUCUCGGGCCAUCAAAAUUUUCUUAGUUGUAGUUGUUAGCUCGGGCUCUGGCUCUGGCUCUCGUAGGCUCUGGCUCUGGCUUCGGCUUUGGUUCUGGCUCUGGCUCCGGCUUUGGCUCUGUUGGCUCUCGCUCGGGCUCUGGCCUUUGAUUCUGGCUCUGGCUCCGGCUCUGGCUCUGUUGGCUCUCGCUCGGGCUCUGGCCUUUUUAGUUGAGGAUGGUGAGGACAAACGCCCAUAAUCAUCCGAUGUGCCUAUCUCUGGCUUCACGAUCCUUUACACCUGGCUCAGUUACGAACCUGGGUGCAACUGGCUCUGAUACCAUGUUAAAAUAUAUUUCGGAUGUGAGCGUUGCGUGGUUUUAGUUAUGGAUGAUAGUUUUUGAUUAGUGAGGUGUGCAAGUGUUGGUAUUGAUGAUAGUUUUUGGUUAGUGAGGUGUGCAAGUGUAUGGUAUAGUUUGUAGAGGAUGGACAAGGGACAAUAUAUGAUAAUUGAAGGAUAUAGAACAUGGGGAAAAUAGUUUCAUUAGUUGAACAAAAUAGUUUGAUGGAGGUACAAUAGAGAUCUUGACCUCUCAUGGUGGAGGGUUCACCUCACACACAAGGUGGAGGGUUUACCUCUCACUCUCUAAAAUGAAUGAACUACAAGCCUAUUUAUAGGCAUGAGUCACACCUUAGUACAACAUUCUAGAUUUCUAUAGAAUGUUGUCCAUGUAGGCUUCAUCUAGGUAAUUCUAGAUUGUAGUUCUUCUAGAGACUUCUACAUUUUCUUAGACACAUAAGCUUGUAGACAAUUCUAGAAUUUUUCUUGAAUCUUCUAGCUCAAAACUAUCUUGAAGUUUCUAGAAUUGGAUCACAAACUCCAACAGAAACGAAUGAGAGAGAGAGAGAGAUCACAGGGAGAACGCGAGAAGUUGUGAGAGGGAGGCGAUGUGUAUAUAGGGGAGAGGGAGGGAGCGGGAGCUUGUAGGACGGUGUUCGUUUCAAGUUAUCUGAAAAGCAAACAUUUUAAAUGAGCACUUUGCCAACGUUACAAAAAAGAAAUUCAAAGCGGAGCAAAAGAACAUUAGAGAAAUUGGCAAUUUGCCACUUUAGGGACGGUCAAGGAAUUUAGGUAAGUGCACUUUUAAUGGAAAGGCCUAGUUAACUUCUUCCUAAAAUUUCACCAUUUUAUCCUGCCUUUUUCUUUUGACAAUUUUACACUUUCGUCUCUCUUUAAAGAUAAAUUGUAUUACAGUAUUAACGUAACAUGGAGAUGAGUGCCAAAAUGAGAAAUUUAAAGAGCGAGAUAAAAUGGGGUUUUGGGUUUUAUGUAAAUGGAUAGAAAAGCCAGUUUCUUUUUCUUUUUUUUUCCUACGAUAAUCAAAACUAGAAGAAUAGUUUUAACAAAAAAAAAAACUAGAAGAAUAGUGUAUUUCAUACUGCCGUGGCUACACUGUGAUGUGUUGAAAUACAUGUGUACGUGUUUGGCAAUGCAUCUUUAAAAGUGGCCAUGCUAUAGACAGCUAUGAUGAUUAAUAUGUUUGAUCACUGUAGCUAUUAGAACGAAGAAAAGACCUUUUAAUAUGGUCGCAGAGUUUUUACAACAUUUAUAUUUGUGUUAUUAGAACUUUUGCAGGAUACCAUUUUCACCAUAUGAUGAUGAUGAUGAUGAUGAUGAUGAUGAUGAUGAUGAUGAUGAUGAUGAUGAUAGUUGAAUCUGGAAUAGACAUUUUGAGAGGGCUUCAUUUCCAACUGAAAUACCAAAGCAAUACAUGUUUAUACAUGAAAUUGCAGUAAGAAAAUGUACGGCAGUACAAUGCUGAACCCUAGAAAUGCACAAUCUACUACAGCCCAACGAUGCGGGCAACCAUGCGGAUCCAAUUGCAAAGGGCAACGAGAGCGACUGUACAAUCACACAGGAGAGGAAAUCCCACUUGUCUUCCUCAACAUCAUCUCCUGUUGAACACAGUAGCAUCUGUCCCUGUGAGCUUAACUAUUCAGAUGUUGAAAGGAUGUAUUAUGCACCAUGGCUUGGAGAUACAGCAAGAUUGGCAUGAUGCCAGGUGAGGGGUAAAGAUAAAAAAGUUCACAUUACUCGCCAUGCAAGUGAUGGGGGUAAAGAUAAGCGCAUCUCUGCUCUNNNNNNNNNNNNNNNNNNNNNNNNNNNNNNNNNNNNNNNNNNNNNNNNNNNNNNNNNNNNNNNNNNNNNNNNNNNNNNNNNNNNNNNNNNNNNNNNNNNNGGGGGGGGGGGGGGGCAGAGGUGGAAAGAAGAACAGCAUUGAAGAGAAACGGAAAAGCAGACUUGCAACAGAAGGCACGGAAAGCUGUUUGCUUUAAGAUACACGACAACCAUGCAGAUGGCCAAUGUUGUCUUCACCACUUAAAAAAUUCUUUCUCGUGGCCCGUAAUGGAAUUUUGUAUGAUUUGCAUUUAAAUAGGAGAAUAAUGUCGUACUUUAAGAUCAUCUACCGCCUGCAAAGUUGCUAUUAUUUUCGUUGAAAAUUCAAAAGAGGGGGGAGGUAUAGAAAGAGAAACAACGAAUGAAGAGAAAGGGAAAGCACAGGCUCUCAACAGAAGGCACAGGAAAGCAGUUUGCUUUAAGAUGCAUGAUAAACUACUAACGAACGAUUUGACGUGGUCUUUAAUAUAAUGUUAUAAGAUUCUACAUCAAUGAUAAUAGUACUUUGUGCUCCACUACUGCCUGCAAAGUUGCUAUUAUCUUUUUUGAAAACUCAAAAGAAGGGGCAACGUAGAAAGAAAAACCGCACCGAAGAGAAAUGAACGUCACCGACUGUCAACAGUGGGCACAACAAAGAUGCUUGCUUUAAGAUGCAUGAUAAUCAUUUCACGUGGUCUCUGAUGAUAUUUUAUAAGAUUUACAUCUGAGUACCAGAUCGAUAUCGUACUUUAUGCUCCACUACUGGCUGAAAAGUUGCUGUUAUCCUCUUUGAAAACUUCAAAGAAGGGGGGAGAGGCAGAAAGAAAAACAACAUUGAAGAGAAACGAGCAUCACCAACCCUCAACAGAAGGCACAAGAAAGCUGCCUGCUUUAAGAUGCAUGAUAAACUACUAAUAAACAAUCAUUUCACGUGGUCUCUGGUUAAAUUUUAUAAGAUUUACAUCCAAAUACAGAAUCAAUAUCGUACUUUAUGCUCUACUAUUCCCUUGAAAGUUGCUAUCAUCUUCUUUGAACGCUCAAAAGAAGGGGAGAGGCAGAAAGGGAAACAACAUUGAAGGGAAACGAACAUCGCAAACUCUCAACAGAAGGCACGAGAAAGCUGUUUGCUUUAAGAUGCGUGACAACCAUGCAUAUGGUCAUUGUUGAAUUCCUACUUAAAACCAAUUAUUUCUCUUAGCCUCUGAUGAGAAUUUACAACCAUUACAGCCAGAUGGAGAAUGAUAUUUUACUUUAUGCUUCAUUACUAUAAUAUAUGUACAUAUCUAUUCAACACAACCAAAAGAAUCAUGUUUCUCACACAUAAAUAGGACAAGUUUUUGGAGUGUCUGAAAUUUUUACAUUCAAAAUGUUAUUGUUUUGCAUCGAAAUAUUGUGACUUGACGCUGGAGAAUUGAAAUUCAAUUGUAAACCUAUCGUAUGAAUUCAAAUUCAAUCCCAAACAUUUUAAUUCAAACAAUGUUGUUUUAAACCUUAGAGUGAAAAUGUAAUCAACUCCUCCUAGUCAAGUCUCGCCUAAAUGGCAGUCCAAUCAUUUGUCAUUGUACGUGUCCCGACUAGUGAUUUGACAUGGACAAAUUUACUCGAAACGGUGCCAUUGUUGCUCAACUCCACAAGCUGUCAACCUUGCCUAGAACUGCCCUCUCUCAAGUUGAUUUCUAUCAACAGUCACAGCUCAGCUAGAGCUGGCACCUCCAAAUGUGGAGGCUCGGCAGUCGGUCACCAUGCCCAUCGGGCUCCUUGGCCCCUCCAUGGAAGAUGAUUGUACAAUCCUGAAAUUUUGAGCGAUGUUUGUUUUCCCUCCCUGACCCUUCCAUGCCAUGCAAGAUGAUUGUAUAACCCUUAAUUUUUUUUGUGACGUAGAAUUUUUUGUUUAAUUUUUAAAUAAUUCUUUUCUUUUCUUUUUUUCUUCCUUCUUCUUCCUCCUCUAGAUGGUCAUGGGACCUCGGUGACUAGCCAGAGACGAGUUGACAAGGCCAACCUUGCCCAACCAUCGCAAGGCUCCCUCGAGACUGGUGAGGCCACCCUUGUCGGCCCUCCUCUCUAGCCGGUCACCGGCUAUCAUCGAGGCUUGACGAGAAGAGGGAGAAUAAGAAAGGAAACAAAAAAAAAAAAUGACCUUCAUUAGAAACUGUUCCUGAGGGCAAAUAAGUAAAUUCCUUCUACUUUCUGUUUUCGUUCUAAAUCUAUUUUCUGACUAUUGAUCUAUUUCGGAAAAAAAAAUUAACUAACAUUAUCAAAUAAUUUUUUUUUUCUGUUUUGGAGAAAGAAAUAACAGAAAAAUAGAGAAAUAAAAUGAUCACCAAAUAGGACCUAACUUUAUAAGUGAAUUUGUAAUUCUUCCCACUCAACCUAUGCCUAUUAUAAGUUUUCUUUUCUUUUAAUAAUUCUUCCUCUCUUCUGUCUCCUCUCUUCAUCGGUAUAAAAUGGGUAAUCAGGGAUGGGUGGCUUGUGUAGUGGAAGAGAAACCUAUUCCCAAUGGUCGACACAGCGAAUUUGGAUCCAAAUUCAAAUACACCAGGGGAAGUCAACUGACCUCUUUCACCAUUACCUCACCACGUUGAGUGUUGAUUUUAACUCCGUAAAAUCCUCUUGUUGAUUUUAACUCCAUAAAAUCCUCUGACACGUCUGCCCCUCGGGACCUUCCAGAUUAUAAAAGCAAGAGCAAAAGUCAUGCUAUUAUUUCCAAUCUUUACCGACACAGAAACGGAUUCGUGCAUAGUUAAUAUGAAAAAACAGCUACCCUAUACAUUGGCAUUUAGUUGAUAAAAAAGGUUGAUCAAUUUAUGGAUGACAUGCAGCGACUUGAAUUCCAUCCACACAUAGAUAACGUGCAGCCAAGGCUAUGUCAAAGCCCCAAUACAUUUAUUAGAUACUAUGCCAUCUCAUUCCACCAAGAGAAGAGGUAUGCAUUUUCGACUCCAGCAGAUGAGAUAUCCUUUGGGAUGGUAGUCUCGGAAGAUGAAUCUUGCUUCUGGUCUCCAUAAUUUGGCAGCAAUGAUGGUGAUUCCACUGGACCGGUUAGGACUACUUUUAUCUUCCUCUCCUCUAUGUAUUUACCACUUUCUUUAUCAAAUUUAAAAUUUAAAAGAAAACUUCUCAGGUUACUUGACCCAAAAGAUUAUGGAACACAAAGCAGCAAAAUCUACCAUGUCAGCAGUAAUGUCCUCUUCAACUGUAUCAAAACCUUGUCUCGACGCUGCAAGACAGGUGGAGCUACCUGCUGUGCUUACAUGGUAACGGCAUCAAACAGAAGAUAGGAUGAAGGGCCUACCCUAAUUCUUUCGAAGUAUCAGGACAUAGCUUCUGAGGCCUAUUGUGGUUUUCCUCUGUCUCAAUGUAUAUUAGGCUACUAUGGUAGGCAUUCAAAAUCUUAUUCAAAGAUGAUCCUUACUGCAAUGCGACUGACAUUGCCUUAAGCAGUUCAUGUCCUAGUAAUAAUACAGUCUUACAGACAUGUCGUGGCAAAGAAAUUGCAAAAUAAUCGUUCAGCUGAUUCAAGUACUGUGGGCAUGUCCAUCCUCACAAGUAUGUCAGUGGCUUUUUAGUAAGUAUGUGAACAUGAUGUUUCACUGACUUGAGCAGAACAAUUUCGAAUCAGAUUAUCCAUUUGGUUGAUGAUGCCUACAUUUGGCCGCACACAGAAUUUCUUCUGAGACGUAGCCUUAGCCUGGAAUGUUUUGGAUAUCCAAUAUAGAUCUCAUAAUGUUUCUCCACAAUAGAGAGUUCUUAAUGCGCUGAUGUACUACUCUGAAAAUUAAAUUACAUCAAGAGAAUACAAGAUUGAAAGGAUAUUGUCCACCCGCCAUAGCCUAAAAAAUAAAACUUGAUCACGGUGAAAGAAAAGGUCCAAAGAAUAUUCACCUUGAAAGCAACAUACCGAUCAGUCUUAUUGCCUAGCGGAAUGAGCAUGAGCUUUGUUUGCUCAACUCAAUUGCAUAAACACGGAGAAGAGGCUUCAGAUGAAAGAAUUUAAAGAGAAAGGGGGCCUGACAUGAGGACAGGAUGUGAUGAAAUGGACCAUCUUACAUUUUCUUUGAUAUAAUGCAGUAAUGCAAUCUCGUCUUGUUCAUUCAUUUUCUCUACUAAUCAUUCUCUCGGUCAUUUGGUUACAACAACCAUUCACCUACUUAAUCUCCAGAAAGAAAUUUACCGCAGAAGUCAUUCUAAGAGUUUGUGGUGUGNNNNNNNNNNNNNNNNNNNNNNNNNNNNNNNNNNNNNNNNNNNNNNNNNNNNNNNNNNNNNNNNNNNNNNNNNNNNNNNNNNNNNNNNNNNNNNNNNNNNNNNNNNNNNNNNNNNNNNNNNNNNNNNNNNNNNNNNNNNNNNNNNNNNNNNNNNNNNNNNNNNNNNNNNNNNNNNNNNNNNNNNNNNNNNNNNNNNNNNNNNNNNNNNNNNNNNNNNNNNNNNNNNNNNNNNNNNNNNNNNNNNNNNNNNNNNNNNNNNNNNNNNNNNNNNNNNNNNNNNNNNNNNNNNNNNNNNNNNNNNNNNNNNNNNNNNNNNNNNNNNNNNNNNNNNNNNNNNNNNNNNNNNNNNNNNNNNNNNNNNNNNNNNNNNNNNNNNNNNNNNNNNNNNNNNNNNNNNNNNNNNNNNNNNNNNNNNNNNNNNNNNNNNNNNNNNNNNNNNNNNNNNNNNNNNNNNNNNNNNNNNNNNNNNNNNNNNNNNNNNNNNNNNNNNNNNNNNNNNNNNNNNNNNNNNNNNNNNNNNNNNNNNNNNNNNNNNNNNNNNNNNNNNNNNNNNNNNNNNNNNNNNNNNNNNNNNNNNNNNNNNNNNNNNNNNNNNNNNNNNNNNNNNNNNNNNNNNNNNNNNNNNNNNNNNNNNNNNNNNNNNNNNNNNNNNNNNNNNNNNNNNNNNNNNNNNNNNNNNNNNNNNNNNNNNNNNNNNNNNNNNNNNNNNNNNNNNNNNNNNNNNNNNNNNNNNNNNNNNNNNNNNNNNNNNNNNNNNNNNNNNNNNNNNNNNNNNNNNNNNNNNNNNNNNNNNNNNNNNNNNNNNNNNNNNNNNNNNNNNNNNNNNNNNNNNNNNNNNNNNNNNNNNNNNNNNNNNNNNNNNNNNNNNNNNNNNNNNNNNNNNNNNNNNNNNNNNNNNNNNNNNNNNNNNNNNNNNNNNNNNNNNNNNNNNNNNNNNNNNNNNNNNNNNNNNNNNNNNNNNNNNNNNNNNNNNNNNNNNNNNNNNNNNNNNNNNNNNNNNNNNNNNNNNNNNNNNNNNNNNNNNNNNNNNNNNNNNNNNNNNNNNNNNNNNNNNNNNNNNNNNNNNNNNNNNNNNNNNNNNNNNNNNNNNNNNNNNNNNNNNNNNNNNNNNNNNNNNNNNNNNNNNNNNNNNNNNNNNNNNNNNNNNNNNNNNNNNNNNNNNNNNNNNNNNNNNNNNNNNNNNNNNNNNNNNNNNNNNNNNNNNNNNNNNNNNNNNNNNNNNNNNNNNNNNNNNNNNNNNNNNNNNNNNNNNNNNNNNNNNNNNNNNNNNNNNNNNNNNNNNNNNNNNNNNNNNNNNNNNNNNNNNNNNNNNNNNNNNNNNNNNNNNNNNNNNNNNNNNNNNNNNNNNNNNNNNNNNNNNNNNNNNNNNNNNNNNNNNNNNNNNNNNNNNNNNNNNNNNNNNNNNNNNNNNNNNNNNNNNNNNNNNNNNNNNNNNNNNNNNNNNNNNNNNNNNNNNNNNNNNNNNNNNNNNNNNNNNNNNNNNNNNNNNNNNNNNNNNNNNNNNNNNNNNNNNNNNNNNNNNNNNNNNNNNNNNNNNNNNNNNNNNNNNNNNNNNNNNNNNNNNNNNNNNNNNNNNNNNNNNNNNNNNNNNNNNNNNNNNNNNNNNNNNNNNNNNNNNNNNNNNNNNNNNNNNNNNNNNNNNNNNNNNNNNNNNNNNNNNNNNNNNNNNNNNNNNNNNNNNNNNNNNNNNNNNNNNNNNNNNNNNNNNNNNNNNNNNNNNNNNNNNNNNNNNNNNNNNNNNNNNNNNNNNNNNNNNNNNNNNNNNNNNNNNNNNNNNNNNNNNNNNNNNNNNNNNNNNNNNNNNNNNNNNNNNNNNNNNNNNNNNNNNNNNNNNNNNNNNNNNNNNNNNNNNNNNNNNNNNNNNNNNNNNNNNNNNNNNNNNNNNNNNNNNNNNNNNNNNNNNNNNNNNNNNNNNNNNNNNNNNNNNNNNNNNNNNNNNNNNNNNNNNNNNNNNNNNNNNNNNNNNNNNNNNNNNNNNNNNNNNNNNNNNNNNNNNNNNNNNNNNNNNNNNNNNNNNNNNNNNNNNNNNNNNNNNNNNNNNNNNNNNNNNNNNNNNNNNNNNNNNNNNNNNNNNNNNNNNNNNNNNNNNNNNNNNNNNNNNNNNNNNNNNNNNNNNNNNNNNNNNNNNNNNNNNNNNNNNNNNNNNNNNNNNNNNNNNNNNNNNNNNNNNNNNNNNNNNNNNNNNNNNNNNNNNNNNNNNNNNNNNNNNNNNNNNNNNNNNNNNNNNNNNNNNNNNNNNNNNNNNNNNNNNNNNNNNNNNNNNNNNNNNNNNNNNNNNNNNNNNNNNNNNNNNNNNNNNNNNNNNNNNNNNNNNNNNNNNNNNNNNNNNNNNNNNNNNNNNNNNNNNNNNNNNNNNNNNNNNNNNNNNNNNNNNNNNNNNNNNNNNNNNNNNNNNNNNNNNNNNNNNNNNNNNNNNNNNNNNNNNNNNNNNNNNNNNNNNNNNNNNNNNNNNNNNNNNNNNNNNNNNNNNNNNNNNNNNNNNNNNNNNNNNNNNNNNNNNNNNNNNNNNNNNNNNNNNNNNNNNNNNNNNNNNNNNNNNNNNNNNNNNNNNNNNNNNNNNNNNNNNNNNNNNNNNNNNNNNNNNNNNNNNNNNNNNNNNNNNNNNNNNNNNNNNNNNNNNNNNNNNNNNNNNNNNNNNNNNNNNNNNNNNNNNNNNNNNNNNNNNNNNNNNNNNNNNNNNNNNNNNNNNNNNNNNNNNNNNNNNNNNNNNNNNNNNNNNNNNNNNNNNNNNNNNNNNNNNNNNNNNNNNNNNNNNNNNNNNNNNNNNNNNNNNNNNNNNNNNNNNNNNNNNNNNNNNNNNNNNNNNNNNNNNNNNNNNNNNNNNNNNNNNNNNNNNNNNNNNNNNNNNNNNNNNNNNNNNNNNNNNNNNNNNNNNNNNNNNNNNNNNNNNNNNNNNNNNNNNNNNNNNNNNNNNNNNNNNNNNNNNNNNNNNNNNNNNNNNNNNNNNNNNNNNNNNNNNNNNNNNNNNNNNNNNNNNNNNNNNNNNNNNNNNNNNNNNNNNNNNNNNNNNNNNNNNNNNNNNNNNNNNNNNNNNNNNNNNNNNNNNNNNNNNNNNNNNNNNNNNNNNNNNNNNNNNNNNNNNNNNNNNNNNNNNNNNNNNNNNNNNNNNNNNNNNNNNNNNNNNNNNNNNNNNNNNNNNNNNNNNNNNNNNNNNNNNNNNNNNNNNNNNNNNNNNNNNNNNNNNNNNNNNNNNNNNNNNNNNNNNNNNNNNNNNNNNNNAAAACCUCUGACACAUCCAGCCCUUCAGGAUGCUGGCAUCAAAAGACAAUCCUUCUGGAUUAUAAGAGUGAGAACAGAAGUCAUAUUCUAUCAUGAGUAAUAGAAAUGGAUACAUGUACAGUUAAUAUGAGAAAAAAGCUAUCCUAUACACUCGCAUUUAGUUGCUAAAGAGGUUGAUCAAUUAUAGAUGAUGUGUAGCAACUUGAUUUCCAUUUACAUAAAUAACAUGCGGCCCAGCCAAUGCUGUGGCAAAGCCCCGAUCCAUGUAUUAGAUACAAAGCCAUCUCAACCCAGAAAGACAAUAAAGUGACAUAUUGAUGUUUUCUGGCAGUCAUACCCUGAGAAAAGGUGAUGCAUUUUCGACUCCAGCAGGUGAGAUAUCCUUUGGGAUGGUAGUCUCGGAAGAUGAAUCUUGCUUCCGGUCUCUGUAAUCUGGCAGCCCUGAAGGUGAUUCCACUGGACUGGUUAGGACUGCUUUUAUCAUCCUCUCACUUAUGUAUUUACCGCUUUCUUUAUGCAAUUGAAAAUUCAAUAGAAAAUUUCUUGAGUCGCUUGACCUGAAAGAUUAUGAAACAUAUAGCAGAAAAACCUACCAUGUCAGCAAUAGUGUCCUCUUCACCUGUAUCAAAAACUUGUCUCUGCACAGCAGGACAGGUGGAGCUACCUGCCGUGCUUACAUGGUAACUGCAUCAAACAGAAGAUGGGAUGAAGGCCUACUCCAAUUCUUGUUGCCUAGCGGAAUCAGGCAUGAGCUUUGUUUACUUAACUCAACUGCAUAAACACAGAGAAGAGGCCUAAGAUAAAAGAACUUAAUGGGGCAUGACAUGAGAGCAGGAUGUGAUGAAAUGGACCAUCAUACAUUUUCUUUGAAGAUAUAAUGCAGCAAUGAAGUCUCAUUUUGUGCGUUAGUUUUCUCUACUGAACAUUCUCAGUCAUUUGGUUACAGCACUCACCUACUUUUAUCUCUAGAAAGAAAUUCACUCACAUGGCACUAUAAGAGUUUGUGGUGUGAAGAUAGAAACUAUGCAAAAAGAAAGAACCUGACCAAAUAUUCGAAAACAGCACAAGGAAAAGAACUUGAAAAACAGGGCGACCAAUGACCGAUUCAUACUCGCCAUUGAAGCUCAUGCUUUUAGAUAUUUUUUUUACCAUUAUUUAUGAUGUUGAACCACAAUUCUCAAGCAAAUUAUUGUAGAAUAGAGGANNNNNNNNNNNNNNNNNNNNNNNNNNNNNNNNNNNNNNNNNNNNNNNNNNNNNNNNNNNNNNNNNNNNNNNNNNNNNNNNNNNNNNNNNNNNNNNNNNNNNNNNNNNNNNNNNNNNNNNNNNNNNNNNNNNNNNNNNNNNNNNNNNNNNNNNNNNNNNNNNNNNNNNNNNNNNNNNNNNNNNNNNNNNNNNNNNNNNNNNNNNNNNNNNNNNNNNNNNNNNNNNNNNNNNNNNNNNNNNNNNNNNNNNNNNNNNNNNNNNNNNNNNNNNNNNNNNNNNNNNNNNNNNNNNNNNNNNNNNNNNNNNNNNNNNNNNNNNNNNNNNNNNNNNNNNNNNNNNNNNNNNNNNNNNNNNNNNNNNNNNNNNNNNNNNNNNNNNNNNNNNNNNNNNNNNNNNNNNNNNNNNNNNNNNNNNNNNNNNNNNNNNNNNNNNNNNNNNNNNNNNNNNNNNNNNNNNNNNNNNNNNNNNNNNNNNNNNNNNNNNNNNNNNNNNNNNNNNNNNNNNNNNNNNNNNNNNNNNNNNNNNNNNNNNNNNNNNNNNNNNNNNNNNNNNNNNNNNNNNNNNNNNNNNNNNNNNNNNNNNNNNNNNNNNNNNNNNNNNNNNNNNNNNNNNNNNNNNNNNNNCCAAUGGGCUAAGUUACUGAGAAUAUAAAAAUAAAAUUUAGUUGUUUCUGAUGUCAUAUGGAAAGUCUUAUCUAAAACUGGCAUAUGAUAAGAAAUAUGUCUCUUAUUCAGCUAAGACAAUUAGACAUAUCUUAGCUGCAACAUGACAGCACCAAGUCAUAUCUUGCUCUUUCUGAUAAGAAAUAUGUCUCUUAUUCAGCAAUAAGACAAUUAGACAUAUCUCAGCUGCAACAUGACAGCACCAAAAGUCAUAUCUUGCUCUUUUUGAAUGGACAAGUGAGCAACUCUUUGCCUUAAACGACUCCACCACAUGAACACAUUCGUGAUGGCAACCAAAAUGAGCUUUUGCUCAUGUUCAAAGCCUAAGCAUGCAAGAAAAUUAAAGAGCUCCGACUCUUGAAGAGCAAUGGACUUCUUCUGCAAACCUCAGAUUGCUGACAAAUCGAGGAUUAGCCUUAAAAAACUGUUCCUCUCAUAAACAUAAGUACAAUCACAACAUCUCAAUUCACAAGGCAGUGCAUGUAUUAAUAUACACAUCAUGGAUAUUCCAAAGAACUUACAAGAGAAGAUAACUCCUAGUAACUGCUGGGUACAAUGGAAAUGAACAUUCAAAGCCCAGGAUUAUUCCUGGGAAAAAUGGAAAAGUGGGGAACAACAGACUUUUACAUCACAUGAAGUAAGAACGACAUAAUGAGUGAAUUUAACCGUCCCAUAGAAUUCUAUUAGCAAUGGCAGUGUCCACUGAUUCCAGUUCUUCCACUACUUCAGUCCUGGAAGGCUGCUUGUUAGGAGUCAUUCGGAGGCAUUGUAAAGCAAGUUGUGCUAACUGGAAUCCAGAAUCCAUAUAUGUAGGGUAUAGGGACGGUAUAAAUUUGGUUCCCAAUUGCAGCAGGUUGCAAUAUCAUGAGCGACCAGUUUCCUCUAAAAUAACCAGUAUUUCUUUUUUGGUUUCUGAGGAAGGGGAACAUCUGCAGAAAAUGAAAAGUCAUGUAGGCAAUGCAACUGUGGAUUCCAUGCCAAAUGAUUUAAGUAGCUAAAAGGGAAACACACCUUGUGUUUCAUAGAGGGGAUUAUAGUGAACUCAUAUCCAGAAACUCAACCAAAGCUCUGCAUCAAUUGAAAGUAAGGUUAACAAAAGGAAAAACUUAAAAAGAAAAUGGAGUUUCAAAAGACCAGUUGCUCAUUGAACAAAAGCAAAAGUAGAUCAAUUGCAAAUGUUUACAUCUAGGUUCUAAAUCAAUCAAUAUAUUUAACCCUACCCAAGUAGCUGUUCCAAGCAAGCAAAAUAACAAAUAUUUAAUUUCAGAGACCAAAAACAAGCAAAGCAUCACAAAGGAGGGUCUAUGUGUAUAUGUAUGCAAGCAACGCUCUUUUUUCCAAGACAACCAAGGAGUAAAAUAUACCCAUUUGGAAUUUUAACAAACCAAACCCAAGAACUUCACAUUUAUCACAUUGCACCUACUGACGAUUUGAACCAACAAAACAACUAUGAAGAAGAAGACAAGCAAGCAAUACCCUCGACAGAGGGAACUUAUAAAUCCAAUUGCCAAACAAUAAUUAGGCUGCAAAUAUAAGUAUCAUCUAGGGGCUUUUUCCCUCCUUCAUGCUCUCCAACAACAACCAAAUAAGCAUUGAACAUCGGUGACUCACUGGAAUAGAUAAAUUCAUCAUUCUUCAAAAUCCUACAUUCCAACAGCUGCUCACUGCCAUCAUACGGCAUUACCUAACAUAUAUCCGACCAUCAAUCACGACAUGGACUAAUCUACUCAAAACAAGCUCAAUCACGCAGAGUAUUACAAUCAGAAGCACAGAACAGAACAAUCCGUGAUGAUGGAAAUAAUGAAAUCCCAAGCAGCAUUGAGCUGCUGUCAUUCAGUUCAAUUGAGCAAGCUAAACUUGGGAAAAAAAGGGUAAUAAAUCGAUAGCCACUGCAGUUUUCACAUAGAUUAGCUAGUCAAACCGAAUCACGUCCUACCCAAUCAAAGGCAACUAAAUUGCCGAUCGGGUUGAGCUGGACAUCAAUGGUAGAGAUUAGUAGUGAAAGCAAAGGUACCUUGCUGGUGGUGGCGCGGAGAGAGAGGAAGCUGUCGCAAUAGACCGUGCGCUUCAGCUUCUGCUUCAGGUGCUUCUUGAAGGUGACAUUCCAGCAAGCAUGGUCUCAAGCACAUAGUUCAUUUCAUCAAACACCAAAAUUGCACAUGAUCACCAAACACUAGACAGGCAAAACUUAGAUGGUUCACACUCACACAAAGCAUAAUUCAGCACACUAAUUACAAACACAAUCCAAGAGCAGUUCAGGAUUGAAAAAGAAAACCAGAGCACAUCUGUCCAUUCCUAGAACUUGCAUUACCAGCUCAAAAUGCAAGCAUUGAGUCCAUCACAAAGGAGUCAUACUGGAUUCCUGAAAGCUCUGACGUAUUCAUCUGUGGGAUUCUGCUGAGUCUGGAUGUUCUGUGGAAGGGCAACAAGGAUGUCGAUGCCAGAUUUCUGUCCCUCAAUAUUCUGUUUGAUGUGAAGUUCGUUUUCCUAAUCAAAACUCCAGAGUUAAAGCAUAAGCUGGUAGACUUGGGUGCAAUUUCUCCCUCUCUGCCCAGCCUUGAUUGAGGAUGAGGACCCCAAUACCAAUGUGUGUGCAGAAGCUCCUUCCGAUGCUCAUAGAGUUCAACUUGACUAAAAUUUCUGAGAUUCUACAACCAAAGACAGUCAGCCACUGCUUCAGAUUCUCACUUGGUGAUCUGUCCUGUGCAAAUGUGAAUGAUGGUGAGCUGCGCGUGGCUCUGGCAUCGGCUCUGGAAAUGGAUCCCAAGUUGCUUUCUCAGCUGAAAGUAGUAUGGCAUAUUGGAAACCUUUUGGAGUUUGUGCAUGAGAAAAAUAUGGAAGAUUUUCUCAAAUUGAUGCUUGGCUUGUGCAAAGCUCUUCUUUUUUGAUCACUAGGUUCUAUGAAAGGUUCCACAUACAUGGAAGAGCCAAUACUACUUGAUGAAAGUUCUUCUAAGGCAGUGAGUAACAUAUGAUACAUAACUGACUUUGGUGGCAGUGCCAGUGUUUUCCGGGAAUUUAGUGGUUCUCAUGACAGAAACAGUGCCAAUAUUGCUUCUAAAUGCACAGCUCUAUUACUGAAGGCAGCUCCAAGGGAAGGUGCUCUCUUUUUCUUACCAAUCUCCUGUAAGCCAGUGCGAUUCUCGAGUCUCAGCAAAAGGGUGCUCCUUCUCUACUGGUACCAACGAAUGCUGCAUUCUCUCAGUUACUCCUGUAGGCGAUGUUUACUGCACGGAAUGACUUUUGUCAGUGUGCCUGUCAAAGAUUGCUAUGAUUGAAGGCAUCAUUGCUGAGAUAAAAUAUUCUGGUGCUGCUGCUUUAGCCAGUGCUGCCACAUUGGUAAUCUCAGAAUUGCGGUGGCUACCUCAUUUAUGACUUCUCCAUAACAUCUGCAAGUCCCACUAAGAAGCACACCUUUCCCGAAAAAUAAACUGAACUUAAGCAUGGCAAUACAGAGUGUCUGUCUAAUUCAAAAUCGCAACAAUGAGUUGAUUGUGCUUUCAAGUCCCAGGAUGAGAACCAUAGUUGUAUGACCUUCCAACACACAUUCCAUCUAUUUGUUUACAGCAUAGCGAAUUUAUCUCCCAUGCAAAGUGAGGUUAUCAAUUUCAAAAUAUGUGUGAAGCAGCAAAUCAACAACGAUCUCUAAUAAUUUGUUACAUAUCAAGUAAAAAUGAUGCAAUUGACAUGCAUAUAUCUCUAGGAGAAACCAUCCUAAGAAAAUGUAGCUAAAAAAGCCAAACCAAACUAGGAAAAGAACACAAUACUUGUACAUAAUUAAGAGCCCUCUGGCUGUUCGAAGGCAUCAUAAUUUAAAUACCUUCAUCAGAUUUUCAGAAAAGAAUCCGCUAAAAGGUCAUUAAAAAGUGCAUGCAAAACUUCUCUGUUCAUAUCUGUGAAAGAAUUUGAUUGCCAAAAAAGGAAAACAUUGGUACUUACCUCAAUUUGUUUAAGGUUUGAACACAAGGGAACAAUUUGUGGUCGCGCAUCAAAAAGCUUCCAAGUGCAAUGUGCACUUAUUCAUCUUCUUCAUCGUCUUCUUCAUCAGAUUCGUCUUCUUCAUCGUCUUCUUCCACAGAUUCGUCUUCUUCAUCAGAUUCGUCUUCUUCAUCGUCUUCUUCCACAGAUUCGUCUUCUUCAUCGUCUUCUCCCACAAAUUUGAUUGACUGCUCCGAGCAAAGCUGAGAAAUUUCCUGCACUGCUAAUUUCCCACAACGUAAUAUUGUAACCUCUCGCACACUCUUCAAGCUUGAUAGAUCAGGCAACUUCUGUAAAGAUCCACAAUCUUUAAUCUUCAAUAUAUUCAAAGAUUGGGGUAGUUUGCCUUGAAUCUCAACCAGAUUAUGACAAUGUACUACUGAAAGAUAUGUUAUUCCGUCCAAAUUGCUAAGAUCAGGGAUCUGCAUCUGUUUAAAGCCAGAAAGCAGCAACCGAUGUCCACCACUAUAUUCAAACUCCUGAUUGCGAAAUUUUAUAAAAACAUUUGCCUUACCCACUAAGCUGAACAGAUCAGGGAACUCCAGAAACAAAUCUAAUUUAUCUAAUUUAUCGCAUCCUCUUAUUGUGAACCCCCCUUGCAGUCUCUUCAAGCUUGACAGCUCAGGCAACUUCUGUAAAGACUUACAGCAUUGAAUAUCCAAAUGUUCCAAAGAUUGGGGUAGUUCGCCUUGAAUCUCAACCAGAUUAUGACAAGAUUCUACUCUAAGAAGUGUUAUUCCAUCCAUCUUGCUUAGAUCAGGGAUCUGCAUCUGUUUAAUGCCAGAAAGCUGCAACCGAUUUCCACUUAAAUAUUCAAAAUCCUGAUUGCCAAUAUGCACAUACACAUAAACAUGUGUCUUACCCAUUAUGCUGAACGGAUCGGGGAACUCCUGUAACGAAUCGCAGGAACAAAUUUUAAGUUCAUCCAAAAACCGUGGUAGUUCGCCUUGAAUCUCAACCAGAUUACCACAAGUGAUUACUUCAAUAUGCCUCAGCUUGUUUAACUUGCUUAGAUCAGGUAGCAUCACCAGCUGUACGACGUCCCAAAGGCGGAAAUAUCGUAGGUUCUCCAAACAACCAAGGCCUUCAAUCUUUGCAACUGCAGAGCAGCAAAUGUCGAGAUCCGAUAGUUUCCUCAAAUUCGAUAGAUCCAUCGAGCCAAGUGAGUCGCAACCAGAGAGACGUAAGACGGAUAAACUUGAGGGAAGCCUCGGGGGGAGAGGCGGAUGAGGAGGGAGGCUGAGGUCUGUCGAUGAGGCGGUCCCCCCGAAAAAGCGCAAUAGCAGAGAUUCCAAUUUGCUUAAGUUCCCAAUCCACCGUGGUAUCCGUUUUUCCAGGAGCCCAUCAGAUUUCCCAUCACAGUUAGGUGGGCCAAAGCCUAGAUGCAAUACCUUUAAGUUAGCGAGAUUUGAGAGAUCCGGAAACGUGUCCACCCUCAACUCCUCCACUACUAAUUCGAUGAGACUUUCAGGAAACCUUGGUAGGGCGUGUACUCCCGGCCAUCCCAAUAUCUCCUCAAAUGGACCCCCGUAUAAGCAAUAGCCACUUAUUGCGUGGGCAUGUGUGACAUGAUUAUAACGGUCGGCGAUUUCCAUUCCCUUGACCUUCCCCAUCUUCUUCUUACAAGCAUCAUUGUUCGUUCUGUUUUCGAAACCAUUCUGCAUCUUCAUUACUUUCAAAUUCUUCAACAUUCCAAUGGAAUCGGGUACUUCUUCGAUGCUCGUGUGACUUAUGUCCAACUUAGUUAGCAAAUCCAAAUUUCCAACCGUCUCCGGAAGCCUCUGAAGAUUCCAACAAUUGCUUACAUCUAAGAAAAUUAAGCGUUUCAACUGACAAAUUGAUCCAUCAAUUUCGAUUAAUGAUUCACAGCCUGAUAGGAUCAAACGUUCUAAAUUUGAAUGAGCUGAGAAGUUGGGGAUUCUCUUCAAGUGUCGACAAUGGGCCAGAUUCAGAACUUUCAAAUUCUUCAACAUUCCAAUGGAAUUGGGUACUUCUUUGAUGCUCGUGUGACUUAUGUCCAACUCAGUUAGCAAAUCCCAAUUUCCAACCGUCUCCGGAAGCCUCUGAAGAUUCCAACAAUUGCUUACAUCUAAGAAAAUUAAGCGUUUCAACUGACAAAUUGAUCCAUCAAUUUCGAUUAAUGAUUCACAGCCUGAUAGGAUCAAACGUUCUAAAUUUGAAUGAACUGAGAAGUUGGGGGUUCUCUUCAAGCGUCGGCAAUGGGCCAGAUUCAGAACUUUCAAAUUCUUAAUCACCUGUGAAAGAAAAAUCAUGCAAAGUUUACUUUCGAAUUUAAUGAGAUGGAAGAAUAAGUGUUCUCUAGCAUAUAACAUACCUUCAUGUGGCUCCACCCCUUCCAAUCAUGUGUAAUUUCACUCUCAAAUAGAUCAAGGAUAGUCAAAUUCUCUACGGAGAAAUUUGCAAUCUCAAAUGUUGGGUGAAUAUUAUGCCAAGAAAGCCAGCGUAAUUCUGGAAGGAGAUUUGAAUCCAAAACAUCAGUUGGAAGAAGCAUCUUUUCUACACAAAAAGUUUGCUCCGAGUCAUCAACUUCAAGGAACCUUAGCCUUGAUAGGCUCUUAAAGUCCUUGUAGGUAAAACGGUUCUGAUGGUCCAAGCGGAGGCGAAGAGCUUCAACUUUUUUCUUCGUCUGCCCAAGGGAAAAUUUUUAAAAACAAGAAAGUUGAAGGGAAACACAUUUAGCCAAAUUCACUAUUUUAAAGGACUGAGUUGAGUACUACCGUUCCAUUAAUCUUAAAAAAGCAAAAAUGUCCAUAAGUAACUUGGAAAUUAAUGCACAGGGGAUUUUACCUUAGGGCUCUUCAGCAAAUCCAACGCUUUCUCACGAUCCCACACCCUACUUUGUUUAUUUAUAUUGGUUUCUUGACAAACUAUUUGUCUUCCAAGGUCUCUAAGUUGGUCGUGCAUCCACACUUUAUUAUCCUCUUUAAUCUUUACCAAAGACAUGUUCUCCAAAACAUCCAUGGCAUAUUCCGAAUGGAAUUCAGAUUCCCAAAAAUGAACUACAAUGUCUUUAUCAUAUCCAAUUAAGAGACAAGCUAUAUCAAGGAACUUUUGCUUUUCCUUUUCUUCUAAUUCAUCAUAACUUAUUUUCAAUCUACUCUGGACAUCCUUAUGAGGAUCACUUUCCCACUUACGUAAUUCGAAAUCCCACUUUUUCUUUUCAGUAGUGCAAGAUAAAAGUGAACCCAUGAGCUCAAGAGCUAGUGGAAGACCUCCAGCAAUUUUUAUCGCCCUCUCAGAUUGGUCGAUAUACUCGUCUAAAGGAUGAUCUCUUCUAAAGGCAUGUUUGCUAAAGAGUUGAAGAGAUUGAUCAUGAUCCAUGCCCGAAAGCUCAUAACAGCUGUCCACUUUAAGAACAUCAAGAACUUCUUUGUUUCUAGUAGUAAUAAUAAUUCUGCUCCCUUUACCAAACCAAUCACACUCACCAACAAGUGCAUCGCUAUGAUUCUUUUCAUGUACAUCAUCGAGAAGGAGGAGGACUCUUUUAUUAGACAACCAGGCUUUGAUGGUAUUAAUCCCAUCAUCAAUGUUUCUUAUAUAUGUGCAUUUGUCUUUGAGAAUGCUGGAGAUGAGCUGAUUCUGCAAGGAUUCAAUGCCCUCGCGUUCUGACAUUUCACGGAUGUUGGACAGAAAGCAACAAUCCUCAAAAUUUUCUAAAAGCUGAUUGUAGAUGAUUUUGGCAGUUGUCGUCUUCCCGAUGCCACCCAUCCCAUAGAUUCCUAUAAUCCGUGUUUCACUUGUGCGAGGACCUAUCAAUUCCGUGAUUGCAUCAACAUGGUUGUCGACAUUGACCAAGCAAUUUGAUACUACCAAAUAAGCCUUUUUCAACUCAUUGAAAACCUUCUGCAUGAUUGUUUUUGCAAACUGACCUUCUUGCCUAUUAUUCGUUGAAAGUCAAAAGGCAAUGAGUUAGAAAAUUGAGUUAAGCCAAACUAUGCUCUAACAAGACCAAAUUGAAAACUACAGACCUAUUCUAAAUGCGUUCCUCAACGAUUUAUACCAUUUUGAUAAACUAGCACUGGAACUUAGGGUAAAUGAAUGACCUGAACUAACGGAAAAAUGUUGCUUGCUGGGAAUGAAAUGGGACAAAAAUUGACAUGGUGAUAUUAUUUAGCCUGAUUUUGCUGCAUAAUUUCAAUUGCAUACAAUUCAAUUUCAACAAGACUAACACAAAUUUAGAAAAGAAACCAAUUUAAAUGCAUCGAGUUUAACGAUACAAGGCACAUGAGAUGGAAUGCUAAAAGUAGUCACCUGUUGGGCAUGCUUUGCAGGUCCCAUCCAUUUAUAUCCGCGACUGUAGUGAGAGCAUCCUUCCACUCCGCAAUAGUCUUUUCGUCAUAUCGCCUCUUUCUUUUGUGUGAAACAAAAGCUUUUUUAAAACUCCCGGUUUGGCGUCGAACAUCCGAAGGUGUCACAUCAUAAAAUAUGGGCAUGAUCUUUUGUCCUUCAUUUUUCUGGCACUUGACCAUUUGAACUAGCUCUCUGAGACACCAUACGCUAGAGGCAUAACCUUUUGAAAAGAUAGGUAUUAAGAUCUUCGACUGAUUGAUUGCUUCAGGAAGUUCUGGGGCAAACUCUUCCCCGACACGGAGCGCGUCAUCGUCCCUAAAUGUGCGGAUUCCUGCAUCUAUAAGAUAAUUGUAAAGGAAGUCGGUAAAACCUGAUCGUGUGUCAGGCCCUCUGAAACUCAAGAAUACUUCAUAGUCAUGUCCGGAAGAUGUUGCCGUUUCCUCAACUUGUGGUGUAGUGCAAGUAUGAGCAGCCCUCUCUACGGUACCAUUCUGUGGAGCUGAAUCAUUAUCUGCACUGCCCUCCACAGCGGUCUGACCUGCUCUUUUCUUCAGGAAUCCUUUGAACAGGAUGGCAGAGAGAGAUAUGGCAGCAACUGUCACCAUACAGGGCAACCGCAAGUGCUCAAGCAUUUUGUGAGUUAGCAAAGAGAAGGUUUUUAGUUAGAAAUACAGGGGAAUGGUGGAACAGCAGAGAUGAGAGGCGGCACUUAAAGAUCAGGAUGGAGUAACGAGGAACGGCUAGAAAUCGCCAGAGAAAGAGUAGAGACUGAGGCGAGGGCGGCCACUGAUGCUGCGACGGAACAUCGACGAGGCAGACGAGGAGAAGGAUCGAGAGAANNNNNNNNNNNNNNNNNNNNNNNNNNNNNNNNNNNNNNNNNNNNNNNNNNNNNNNNNNNNNNNNNNNNNNNNNNNNNNNNNNNNNNNNNNNNNNNNNNNNAUCACCCAUUCUGUAUGCGGUAAUUCCGCUCGGGGUAUAACAUUCAACUGCAAUUUCAUAAAAGGUUCUGAAGGAUUAUUCUCUACACAUCAGAAAAGGUCACCAUCUUUCAUCUGGCAUUUCCUAAACAUUGUUCACACUGCGCUAGCUUUGAGGAAGAAAAAAAAAAUAGUAGCAACAACGUUUCACGUGCUAUGAUGCAUAACAAGUUGGUCUCCAAGACCAACCCAUCACAUCCGCUUUGAUGUAAGUUGUCUCUUCUCAUAUCUUAGGAACGAAAAUUGUCCCUUUCUAAGGUUGAUUCUAGAGAUUUGGCCCUCCACUUUCCUUUUUGAGUUCAUAUUUGAUCACAUCCUUUUAUUUGAUGAGCAAAACUAAAAUACGAAUCCUACACUUCGGUGACCGUUUGAAUUCUUGCCCAAGGCUUUCAUAUUACAAAAAAAAAUAAAAAAUCAAUGUAUUUAAAAAAUACUUCAGCUGUGCUUGCAAACAAGUGUAAGCUGAAGUAUUAAAGUGGUGGAAUGUCAUUGGAAGGUUAAACCAACGAACAGACCAUGGCUAGCAGAGUAUCCUUCCAAAUGUCACUUCUAGAAAUAUAGACAUAGCACAAUGUAGAGUUUUCUUCUUAAAAAAAUUUGGCUCGAAUCUCAUGAACUUAAAUAAUUCCCAAAGGGUCUUACAUCUCAACAAACAACAUGAUUGCAUUUACAUUGGACACAGCACAGUGCAAAGUUUCCGGCCGGCCACCCCGGAGGAGUUGCCCUCCUCCGGGACCUUUCAUUGGAGGUUUACCAACCUAGUAUGCUAGGAGAAGGCAGUGACCUCCCUCCAGGCGGGAUCCCAGCACUAGAAGUGCUAUGGCCGGAGAGCCCAAUGGGGACUCUAUCCUGUUUUCCUCCCCUCACUUCCCUGUAAAUGGGUUGUGGGAGGAAGCACCCUAGGAUGUCCUAUUAAGGGUGGAGCACUUUAAGGACCUGCUUAGGUCCUCACUUCUAGAAAUAUAGACAUAGCACAAUGCAUAGUUUUCUUGUAAAAAAAAUUUGGCUCGAAUCUCACGAACUUAAAUAAUUCCCAAAGGGUCUUACAUCUCAACAAACAACAUGAUUGCAUUUACAUUGGACACUGCACAGUGCAAAGUUUUUUUUUUUUUUUUGGUUAGUGCAAAGUUUUUAUUCCCCUUAAAAUAAAAUUAAGAAAAAAGACAAAAAGACAAAAGUUCGAAUCUUUUUGAAUCUCUAUAAUAUAAAUAAUUUCUUCCUAAUGUCACUUCCAGAAAUAUGGACAUCUAGUCUCUCUAGAUUAGAUCAAAACAUUAUCCAACGCAAUUCAUUUGAUGAAUGGUUGUAGUUUGAAAUCUUACAAAGUUCUAAAAUUCCGCUGGCCAAAAAGGAGUUUUGAUAUAUGCGUUGUAAGUUUGAAUAAUCAAAUAAUAAAUUUCAAAUAUAGCUGGUAAGUGAAAAUUACAUAUGACUUUAUAUAUAUAUAUAUAAUAGACCAAGUAACGAUUGCAGCCAUAAGGACGUACUUAAGCUGAACUUGCACCGAGAGCAACCAUGUCUACUGAAGAGAAAAUAGCCGACCCUGAGGCGGCGAAGCCGGCUGAAGCGCUGCCGCUGAAAGAGGAGGCCCUGCCUCCACCCACGAGGCCUCCCGACGAGGCGAGCUUGCUCACAGCGGACGUGGCUCUUCAAGGGUUGCUGUUUGCUUCGAUGCUAAUCGCGCUCUUGAGGACCAUUCUAAGUUUGGUUCUGGAGAUUUGGUCCUCUACUAUCCUUUUUGAGUUCAUAUUUAUAUUAUUGAUGCACACCAAUACACACGCUUUUACUUGAUGGGCAAAAUUUAAAAAAUCGAGCAAGUUAAUUGAGUCGAGCCCCGAUACCGCGGCCACAUGCAACCACGGCCGUGCGAGGCCAGCAACCUCCGUCUGUCGCGACUUCUAUUGGACAUAGGUUGUGAGUUCCGUGCGGAGAAAAAAAGAGACCAUAGGAUAGCAAACAAGUCAAAUCGGUGAGGAGUUAAUGUCGCCGGUGGAUUCACACAUGAAGGUGAGGGCUUGUGAUGGCAAUGGGUGGGCGACACGUAAAAAUCCUAAACUAUAUUAACUAUGACACUAAUUAUUCCAAAUUUUUUUUUUCAUCAUAAAAAAUCGAAACUCGUAUCAGAAAUCCAAAAGUACUCUCCAUCCAAGUUGGUCAUUAAAAAUUUAAUGUGCCUGUUUGCGUGGACAACAAUAGACAAAUGAAGCAGACAUGACUCGGGAGAAUUCCACCAAAAAGCCUAAACCUUGCCUGGUGUGACAACGAAACCCAAUUUUUUUACCUGUUACUAAUACUAUAUAUAAACUUGUACCAGUGACUUGCAAAUAUUAUGCAUCACAGUUCCAUUCAAGACGGCCGUUAAAAAUCCAAUGUGACCGCUUGCUUGGACAUCGAUAAGCAAAUGGAGCCAAUGUCGAUAUGAUGUGAUUUUAGUAUGGUCUAAAGUGACUUUAGACCACUUGCCAAAGUUAUAAGUUUUUAAAAAAUUAAAUCUCCGUGGUAACAAGUUGUCUCUCACAAUUUUUAGGGUCCAGGAAGUGGUAUAAUUUGGAGAUGCAGUUUUUUUUAAGGGCUAAUACCCUAAAAAACCCCAAACUGGUACACUCGUGAUAAAUUUACCCUAAACUAUUUUUUUGACCACAAAAAAUCCCAAAUUGGUAUUACUUUUGACAAAUUUACCCCAAACUGGUAUAAUUGUGAUAAAUUUACCCUCUGUUAGUUUUCGUUAAAUUUUAUUGUCAAAUUAUUAAGUUAAAUGACACGUGACAAUUAAUUAAUAUAUCAAUUUGAGAUUUUAUGAUCCAUUUGUCAUAGUUUACAAUUUUUGUGAUUUUUUUGUAGUAUUAAUCCAAUUUAGCGAAUAGUAUAUUUGUCACAAUUUAUCAGUUUGGGGCUUUUUGUGGUUGAAUAAAUUAGUUUGGGGUAAAUUUGUCAUAAAUGUACCACUUUAUGGUUUUUAAUGGUCAGUCGGGGUAAAUUUGUCACAAGUGUACCAAUUUUGGGUUUUUUAUGGUAAAAAAAAUAGUUUUGGGUAAAUUUGUCCUAGAUGUACCAGUUUGAGGUUUUUCAGGGUAUUAACCCUUUUUUUUUAAUAAUAAUUGGGACGAAUUCCUCUCUAUUUAACUUAAAGCGCUCCGAGCUUAAUUUGAAACUAAUAUGCAAAAUAAACGAGCUUCAACUUAUUCUCCAUUUAUUUCGUAAAAAAUGAAUGAUUUGGAAAACAUUUUAUAUCGUUCAUAAAAAUGAAUAAAUUAAAUAUAUUUUCAUUAUCUAUGAAAAUAUUUAGAUAUAAAUUAUUAUCGAUAGUAAAAAAAUUUCAUUAAUUAAUUAUUUCAAGAAAUAUAAACGAUGAUUAUCAUUCAUUUUUCACGAAAUAAACGGAGUGCUAACUUUAACAAAAGUGUAAUGAAAUAUAUUCUUGCUUUGCCUUUCUUUUCCUUUUUCUCUAUGCACUUGAGACCUUACAUUCGUCCACCUUCUUUUUAGCAUUUCACUUAUGUUCUUCUCCUUUUCGGGACAAGAAAGAAUAUGAAGGGAUAUGAUUGUUCACUUUGGAUCUCUUUAUUGGCAUCAAUUAUAUGGUCUAUCGUCAUACCAAUCUGAUAUCUAUCAACGUCUUUUUUUUGGAUAUGGAUUCAUCAACAAUGUUAGCGUGCAAACACUCAGUACAAUUUUGUGCCGAAGGGUAAUACUUUUCCCCAAAAAAAAAAAAAAAACUGGAAUCCCUCACGAUCUUCCUUCUUUGUUCGAUGAAAAAUCAUUUCUGGAAAAUUUCUUUCCUUACUUUCCAGUUUUUGAAUCACGUAAAGCUACUCGAUCCAUAAAAACGUUUACCAUGGGCUAAAAGUAAUAAAUAAGCUUAGAGAAAAAUGACUUGGCAAGAAGAAUUGUUUUCCCUGAUUUUUUUCCUAAUUUCUUUGUAAAUCGUUGUUAUUUUCAUGGAUUAUAGAAUAAACGGUGAUGAUAGUCAUCACAUGUUACUUUUAACUAUAUAAGCCACCCUUAAUGAAUUCACUUAUUACCAAUUAUGAUAAAAUCAAUUUCUUCAACUUGUUUUCAGCACGAUCAAAAUUUUGUGUUUACUUUUUCUGAGAUUGAAUUUCCUAAAACAUUUUCCCUCAAAAAAAAAAAUUCUUAGUGAGAUAAACACAACCUAAGAGUUUGUUUUCACAUGAUGUUAUUCGAUUGAAAGAAAUAGUAAGAUGGAAUUAUCAAUGGAUAUGAGAAUUGGACAUUGAUUUGUUGUCAUAUGAUUAUUGGGGGUUGAAUAAGAGAAUAAUGAAUCGGUGUAGCAUUUUAUAGAAUGAUCUUAGUGAAAUAAUUUUACGAUAAAAUCUCUACGUUUAUGGAAGUCUGAUUGGGAGGCACAGAGUGCCAAAUCAAUGGAUCAUUGAUGUGAUUCCUUCCUGAGCAAGCUGGUUCAUCAUGGACUCUUGGUAGUCAAAGUCUUCGUUGAUUUUGACUUUGCCAUUCUAAUCCUGUGACGUUUCCUUCUCGUUGCACCACUCCAUACGCUGUUCUAUCUUCUUUUUUUUCUCUCUUUCUGAGAGUGGUAGCUAAUGCGAUUUUAAAUCUAAUGAUAGUAUUUUGACGCAAGGCAAAAUUAUAUGUAUACUACAUUUUUAUUCUUUCCAUUCAAUUAAAUUAGAUUUUAUCAACUUUUCUAUUGAUUGAUGACACGAUUGGCUAGAUUAUUUAAAGAUAAAAUAUCUUCUGAACAUAUGGUAUUUGUUUUGCAAGUAUUUUUCAAAUUUCUAAAUCAAUUCCAUGGCUACUAAACAUUUUGUAUUUCACGAGAGAAAGUAGCCACUUCGCAACUAAAGUUUCAUGAUAUCGACUCGAUAGAAACCAAAAUAGCCAAAGUCAACUUCUUUCAACCAUUCUUUAGCCAACCAAAGUCACUCGUAAAGAGUUGGCCUUUAUAAUAUCAUAAGCUUUUCAAGAUCGGGAUAACGAUCAAUUCCAUGAUGAAUAAACAAAGCAUUACCUCCUCUUCAUUGAUCUCUCUUGAUCUUCUCUCCGAGAAAAAAAAGUCGAACUGUAUAACAGCAAAAUCAAUGCAGCACAUUGCGAAAUCUAAAUCACUUUUAGAAGCCAAAAUUACAAAUGGAGAUCUCCAUGGGUCAAUAAAAGUAGAACACAGGAUAUGUUGACUAAGCUAAGAGCCGGGGGCAGUUCGUAUUCUAAUGAUAUGUCUUUGUAGAGUUUGCUUUCACCCUGAAACAGAACCGCACGGUGUCCAAUGCGUCUUCCUUCUUCCAUUGAAUCAUAUCAUCCGAGAGCACCGUGUCGCCAUAAAUGCCCCCGCCCUUGCCCACAAAUUAACAAGAAUGACGGGGGCACGGGGACCCACUCGUGGCUUUGCUUGAACAUAAUUGUAGUGUCGCCUUCAGGACAGGGGUGUGUCCCAUUCGGGGAAAAAGUAUCAUGUCUAUUUUGAAGAAAACGCCCCGUCUGUUUUUCGUGCUCUCCAAACCUCAAAAAUACAAAGGAAGUUUGGGAAAAUAUGGCAAUUUCAAUGGGGACGCAUGGGCUAAAAAUCCAUGAUUUCGGGGUUGCCCUGCCAAAUGCGGCGUAUGGACUAGAUUACACCUCUCUUCACUUCCUCCCUAUUCUUCGAGCAGGUCUUGCCCGCUCGAGCCGCAGGGCAUGUGAACCUGACUCGUGCACAACUGGAUUAUGUGAAUUCUCUAUACGUUCCAUCUCAUCCAUUGGUACGCAUGACCCUAGAUUGAUUUAGCAUCUUCUUCCUAUUAAGUGGCUCCCGCUUCACCGCACCCGAUAUCAUCAAUCUCCUCAUGUGAGUCAUGUGACCACCGACAGUUGACAAGUUUAUGUUCCAUCCGCCAUGUGAGUUAUGUGAUCACCAACAGUUUAUAGGUCUAUGUUCCAUCCGCCAUAAUCAUGGCCCCUUGUCCUUUUCCCUCUGCUCCUCUCCUUUCUUCCCUAUCAAUUGUGUUUUGUCUUUUUUAUGCUGCCAAAAUACCCAAUGCCCUCUUGGCGAGGAAUUUAUUUAUCCUUUUCUUUAUGGUAUUGAUUUUAAUGAUAAACUGGGAUGAUGGCCUUUCUCUGUUCCUAAAAAAAUCUCUAGAUAUAAAUUUGGGAGUUUAAUAAAUAUACUUUAGGGGAUUCAAUGCUCUCAUGCUUUAUUCAUGUAUAGAUUCUCUGCCCCAGUCUUAAUGAUGAUCUUAGGAGUUUUAGCAUCUCGUUGAAUUACAAAGAUUUAUUCCUCCACACAUUAGAUCUGUGUUUAUCUAACAUAUUAUGGUUGUUUUCAUACAAUGAUGGUAUAGAGGAAGCUGAAUCUAGGCAUGCACCAUCAACUAACAACAUCAUAAUUAUUGAAGAAUGAAUUUUUUGGCGUGUACUCAUCACUGACAUAGACUCGAGAUAUGGUGAUUGGUUGCCACUUUUGUUUGACAUAUCUGUUCAUGUGGAACGAGUUUGUGUUUAACUUUGCAAUUGCUCCAUCAAUCCUCCUUAUGUUCUGGAUUUGGCUUUGUUUUUUAGUAUUCAUGCUCUGUUUUGAUUUGCUUUGUCAUGAAAAUUAUGUACUUCUGCAUCCUUUUGAGUAAUGAAUACAAUUUUCUUUCGAUCGAAAAAAAAAAAAAAACUAAGUCAAGCCCCGACACCACAGCCAUUCAACCAUAGAUUUGUGGCUCUGGCGACCUCUGCCAAUCGCGAGUUCCAUGUACAUAGGUUUAUGAGCUUUGUGCAAAAAGAAAAAUCCCAACGCUGAGUGCGCAAUUCCAUAAAAAACCUAACCUUUAUAUUUACCGUAAUACCAAUUAUCCAAGCUGUAUUUUUAUCAUCAAAAUCCCAAACUUAUAAGGUAACCAAAAAAUACGUUCCAUCAAAGUUUGGUCCAAGAUAAAUGUUGAAAAUCUAAUGUGGCGUCUUGGAUGGCGAUGAACUUAAAAAUCUGAAUAAAGCUUUUGAAAGAAAACUGGACUUAGCAACUUUUAGGGUCCAAGAAGGAAGAUAAUCCACUUGGCGGUCCUUUUUGUAAAAGAAAUGAGCUACAAUUUUAACUUCAAAGGAAAAGUGUGAUGGAAUACAAAUUCUUGCUUUGCUUUUACCCUUUUCCGCUAUGCGCUUGAGACUCACAUUCGUCCACCUUGAUUUUAGCAUUUCACUUUUGGUCUUACUCCUUCUCGGGAGAAGAAAGCAUAUGAUGGAUCUCUCUUUAUUUGGAUUUUUUUUUUACGACUCUCUUUAUUUGGAUGAAGAGACCAAAAUAUUCAACAUGCCCCGGUUUAGAAUUUUUUUAUCUUUCCUUUUAUUUAGUUUCUUUUCUAGGUGAACUUCGUUUAAACUCCACGACAACUCCUUCCACAUCAUUCCUUGACCUUUUCGCACGUUUCUUCCUUUGCUUCAAAUCCUUAAUCUUCCCCUCGUUGGCACUGCUCUCUGCUCACACGCCUCCAAAACCCUAACCCCAUGCCCAUGGCCAUGGUCAUUUCCGGUGAUUGACGAACUGACCUCCUCAAAGUUGCCGGGGAGUGCAUGAUCGAUGUGAACGCUCCAACACCAGCAAGACCUUCAGACUUCGAUGGGUACAGAUGUGGACUAAAUGAACCUAUUGGUAUUUGACAAGGAUGACAUGGAGGAAACACGAUGAGGCAGCCAAGGAGGAAAAAUAAAAUCCCGCAAGAUCCAAAGGUGUGAAACUGUUUGGUUCUAGAAUUCAUGGGCUCUUAAGAGUGCGUUUGGUAACGUUUCUGUUUAAAAAUUGUUUAUGGGAACAGAAAUUAAAAAAAAAAAGUGUUUAUGUUCCAGGGAACAAUUUUUGAACAAAAAAACGCGUUUGGUAAAUCUGUUCCAGAAAUACAAAAAUAAUAGAAACACGUUUGGUAAGUUUGUAUAAUUUUUUUAUUUCUUUUAAUUUUUUAAUAUUUUUAUUUUUAUUUUCUAUUUUCUUUCUUAUUUUUCUUAUUUAUUUUUCCUUUUUUCUUUUUUCUUUUUCCUUUUUCCUUUUUUCUUCUUUUGGCCGGCGGCCUCGCCUAGCCACAGCGAGGCUCGCUGGCCCCUGGCAAGGGGCGGCGUCGUUGGCCGCUGUGUGAGCUCGGCCUCGCCGGGUUUGGGCGAGAUCGAGCUCGCCCAGCCAAGCGUGAGGUCGGCCUCGCCGCGCCGGGCCGACGGUGACCCAGAGCCACACCGUCGUCUCCCUCCACCGCAUCGGCAACCGCGCUCGACGCCUCCUCACCGCCACCGCAUCGGCGACCACCCCUCCGCCUCACGCUCGAUCGACGCAUCUGCAGGUCUCGAGCCUCCGUUCGCCACCGCCGCAUUAGAUCUCACCGCGCCAUGACCCACGACUUUGAGAUCCGCUCGAUCGUCGACCCCGCGCCGGCCCACGACUCGACCGGCCGUCCUCGCCGCUCCGCUCCUAGACGUCCGCCGCUUGAGACCCCACAGCCGAGCCCCGCACCGCAGCCGCCGCCGCCGCCGCCUAGCGACCCGCGACCCAGCUCCGUCACCCGCUCGCAGGUGGAGACGCUUGCAGCGGCUGUCGGUGCCAGAGAGGACGACGGUGGAGAAGCCAGAUGGUCUCGAGACAGAGGCGGCUAUCGGCGCUGGAGAAGACGACGGUGGAGACGCUUGCAGGAGGAGAGGCUCGCAGGAGAACAUGAUUUUGUUUCUUUUUUGUUCUUCAAAUAUGUUUCAGAAAUAAGAAACAAGAAUUUCUCAUUUCUUAUUUCUGUUCCCUUUUUGUUUCUGGGAACAAAAAAACAAAAAAGGAACAGAAACGCACCAAAACGCGUUUCUGUUCCUUUUUUGUUUCCAGGAACAAAAAAACCAGAAAUUUUUGUUUCUGGGAACAGAAACACGGUGCAAACAAACGUGCCCUAAGUCUUUUCAUACGUACAUCCGAAUUUGACAAAAGCAAAAUUUAAAAUUGAAGCAAUUAAUCACGAUUGACUUGAUGAGUCAAAAAAGACUCUUGGGAAGUAUAAAAUUCAUCGAUUCGAGACCAACGGAAGAUCAAAUUUGUUUUCCGAUAGCUUUAGCUUUGAUUAAACUCCACUAAACUUUUGUUUUAGUAAAACAAAACUCCAAAGGUCUCAUUGCAAUUUUUUUUUUCAAAAUCGGACUCCUUCCAUUUAAAUUGAAAUUGAGUGUCCUCCAUUAUAGCUCAGAAGCUCCAGGAAGAAGAGAAAAUAGGUGGGAUCCCAUUGCCUUAACUCAUCUCUUUAUAAUAAAAAAAAGAGAGAGACUUUUCGUAUUAGAUGCAGGCCUUAACUAUCAAAGACCACUCCUUCACCAUAGAAAUAUCAAGGAAAUAAAAAGGAAAGAUCUUUUUCAAUGACUUUUGGGUAGGUCAUUGAACUUAGAAGCCAUAGGAUUGGCUGAACAUGCAGAGAGAGCCAGUUUGCUGCAAAAUUUGGUCAAUAACGAUGAUUCCUUGAAGCAUCGGUCAAGCUUGCCAAAGUUGACAAUUAUUUAUGUUUCUUAACACAAAAAAAAUCACUAGACCAUGUGAUGCAAAAAUUUUGGGAUUAGAAUCGACUUUUGCGCCCCCCCCCCCCCCCCCCCAAAUAAAUGGCAUAUUCAUUCAAAGUCAAGUCAACAAAAGCAUACACCAAAUUUUGGUAAUUGACGAGUGUAUUAAUUUGGAGUUUUAUCAUUUAUUUGUCACAUAUGAUUGGUUUGUGCUUUUUCCUAGUAUUAAUCCUAUUUAACGGAAACUAAUGGAGGGUAAAUUUGUUACAAUGUGCCGAUUUGAAGUUUUUGGUUAUCAAAAAAUUAAUUUGGGAUAAAUUUAUCACGGGUAUAUAAGUUUGGGAUUUUUCGUGGUAUUAACUCUAAAAACAAUAAGAUUUAGAGAAAAACAACUUGGCAAGAAGAAAUCAUUACCCUUAUUUUCUUGCUACGCUUUAAAGUGAGAAGAAUAUACUUUAUCAAUGCUCAAUUUUUCUACAUUCCCAAGCACGAUUAAUCUAAUAUUUUACAAAUAUGAUUUCAUAAUUUCUAUCUUGAUUUCUUUGUAAUCGUUUUAUUUCAAUGGAUUAUAGAAUUAAUGAAGAAGAUAUCAAUUCUAGUUUAUUAGUCAUUCCAUGUUACUUUUAACGAUACAAGCCACAUCUAGUGGAUUCACUUAUUACUAAUUACAAUAAAAUCAGUUUUUUUCAACUUGUUUUCACCAUAAUCAAAUUUUUCCGAUUCCCUUUCUCUGAAAUUGAAUUUCCUAAAAGCAUUUUCCCGCAGCAAAAAUUAGCGAGAUAAAGAAAUCUUCAGGGUUUUUAUUUUUAUUUUUAUUUGAUUUUCUAAUUUCAUAUGACAUUAUAUGAUGGGAGGGAAUUGUAUGAUGAAAUUAUCAACGAAUAUGAGAAUUGGAGAGCAAUUUGUUGCCAUGUAAAUUUUGUGGUUGAAUGGGAGAAAGAUCAGUAAGUGUUGGAUUUUACAGAGUGAUAUGGUGACCUUUUUUUUCUCUUCUUUUUGAUAAAAUCACUACAUUUAUGGAUGUCUGUCUGCAAGGGACAAAGUACCAAAUGAAUGAACCAUUGGUGUGAUUCCUUCUUGAGCAAAAGCUGGUUUAUCAUGGACUGUUGGUAGUCCAAGUCUUUGUGGACUUUGACUUUGCCCUUACUGGUAGACUAUUCUUUUAUUUAUCUAUUUUCUUUGGAGAGUGGUAGGUAAUGCAAUCUUUAAUUUAAUGAUUUUAUUUUGAUGCAAGAUAAAAUUGUAUAUAUACUGCACUUCACAUGAUAACUAAAAAUUCUAUGUUUCACGAUGGAAAAAUAGCCACUUCACAAUUGAAGUUUCACAAUGCUAACUCAACAAUAGCCAAGGUAAGUUGCAUAUACCAAAAUCAGCUUUUGUCGACCAUUUUUUAGUCAAUAAAAGUCACCCGUAAAGCGUUGAUAUGUACGAUAUCAUAAGCUUUUCACGGUCCAAAUUAUGAUCAAUCCAAUGAUGAAUAAACCAAGCAUUGCCUCAUUUCCGUUGAUCUCAUUUGAUGUUUUCUUUGAGAAAAGAUUCAGACAUGGAAAAAAGUUCAGGAGCCCUACUUAUCAAGUGCUGCUAGGCCGGAAAAAAUAAAAAUCCUUGAUCAAAUGGUGGCCGCCAAUCAAUCAACUAUCAAAGUAAUUAACUCAUUGGGGACCUCAACCAUCAUUCAUGGCGAAACUGGCCCGUGAGGAUCCAUGAAAAUCUUGUCAAAAAAGCAAAGUGAUAGUGAAAAGAAAUAAAGCAAUACGGAAAAGAAAAAAAAAUAUGGAUUCUAGUGUGGAAAAGAAGACCCGCCUUUGCUUUAGCAUGUGCAUUUGGUAGUCCAAGUCUUCGUAUGCUUGGGUCAAUCAUUGGUUUGAUUCCUUCUUGGAGUAAAGCUGGUUCAUCAUGGACUGUUGUUAGUCCAAGUCUUCGUAGACUGACUUUGCCCUUCUAAUGCUGUGAUGUUUCAAUCCAAUGAUGAAUAAACCAAGCAUUGCCUCCUCUCUGUUGAUCUCAUUUGAUCUUUCCUUCGAGAAAAGAUUCAGACAUGGAAAAAAGUUCAGGAGCUCUACUUAUCAAGUGCUGCUAGGCCCAAAAAAAUAAAAAUCCUUGAUCAAAUGGUGGCUGCCAAUCAAUCAACUAUCAAAGUAAUUAACUCAUUGGGGACCUCAACCGUCGUUCACGGCGAAACUGGCCCGUGAGGAUCCAUGAAAAUCUUGUCAAAAAAGCAAAGUGAUAGUGAAAAGAUAUAAAGCAAUACGGCAAAGAAAAAGAAUAUGGAUUCUAGUGUGGAAAAGAAGACCCACCAUUGCUUUAGCAUGUGCAUUUGGUAGUACAAGUCUUUGUAUGCUUGGGUCAAUCAUUGGUUUGAUUCCUUCUUGGAGCAAAGCUGGUUCAUCAUGGACUGUUGUUAGUCCAAGUCUUCGUAGAUUGACUUUGCCCUUCUAAUGCCGUGAUGUUUCAGUUCUCUCGCACCUCCCCUAUGCUGUUCCGCCUUAUUUUUUCUCUGUUUUAGAGUGGUAACUAAUGUUAAUGCCAUGGUAAAAUGAGGCACAGGGAGCUUAGAUUUUAGAUUGUUGGCAUCUAUAUCAAUAUCACAUCAAACAAUCUCAUGCAAUUCAUAAUCUAAUGAUUGUAUUUCAGUGCAACGCAAAAACCAAAUAUAUGCAGCACUUUCGUACUUUCCAUUAAGUUAAAUUAGAUGGUAUCAACUUUUUUUUAUCGAUUGAUGACAUAAUUGGCAAGACUAUUUAAAAAUCAAAGUAUUUCUAAAUAGAUAGUGUUUGUUUGCAAGUUUAUUUUAUUUUAUUUUAUUUUAUUUUUCUAAAUCAAUUUUGUGGUAAUUAACAUUCCAUGUUUCACAAUAGAAAACAAAAUCUCGCUAGAUCAGAGGUAUAAAGAUGUUCCAUUCUGAAAUUCAUAAGUUCUUAAAUCUUUUCAGGCAUAAAUCCAAGUGUGAAAAAAACCAACAUUUAAGAUUGAAGUUAUUAAUCGCGAUGACUUGAUGAGUCAAAAAACACUUUUGGAAAGUAUCGAAUUCCCAUUUGAGUAGCAUCUAUUUUCACAAAUCUAUUUAUUCACUUGCUAAAUAUUAAAUCAUGAUUUGAUCAUAUCACUUAAUGAAUCAAUUUUAGUAUACUUAUUUAAAUUACUUGUAAAUAACCUAGAUUUAUUUGUUAAACUUCAAAUGAUGAAGAGCUCAUGCUUAUUGAGCUUCCUCCUUUAGCUCAAAAGCUCAGGGAGAAGAGAAAAUAUGUGGGAUUCCAUUGCCUAAUUCUUACUCUUUUUAAAGGAAGAGAAAGACUUCUCAUACAAAUGUGGGCCAUAAUUAUUGAGACAUUUUUUCCUUUACCCUAGAAUACGUAGGGAGUCAUGGGCCAGUUUUGCUGCAAAAUUGGUUGGCAAGCAUGCUUCCUUGCAGCAUCAUUGCGGCCUGUCAACCGUGACAAAUAUUACGUUUCUGAACACGGAAAAUCACUCGACUAUGUGGUGCAGAAAUUUUGGGAUGAAAAUCUACUUUUGCCCCCAAAUAAUUCAUUCAAAGUCAAGUAAACAAAAGCAGACACGGAACUUCCAAAACAAGUUCGUUUCCCCCAUUCUAAUUAAGGUGAACUCCAGUCGGUCCAGUUUAAUGGGCUGAUCAGGCCCAGGCCCGGAAUAACUCUGAAGCAUAAAGCCUAGUGGAAUUAUCACGCUUGAUCUUCAUCAAAGCACUCCCUAGUGGUCAAUUGAAUUAAGAAAAUAUUACAUUUUAUUUCGGAGGUGAACCAUCCUUUGCAUUUAACCUGUCGUUAGUGUCAAAAAUUGCUUAUCACAAAACGUUUUAGUUGGACAUUAAAUCCAUGCAUUGUGCUGAUUAUUAUAUAAAACAUUACUAAAAUAGAGUACACAAAACCAAUGUGUAAGCACAGUCUUGUGGCGUAUUAAAACUUUGAGCCACCAACAAGCGUGGUAAAUAAGCUCAUGAACAUGAUGUGACCUAUUAGAUCUCAUUUGGAAUUUAACUCAAUUAGCAUUUCCACAUUCACAAUUGAACUCGAAAGCCUCUAUGAUGAUUGGGAAAAGUUUAGUGAAGCCUUUCUAAUGACUAUAAUGAUUAUAAAAAAAAAAAUAUUGACUCCCCCUGAAUUCAAGUAUGAAAGUUUUCUAUUUCAAAUAAUGUUUCGGAGGUGUGGCUCUUUGAUCUCUCAGUUAAUGCUUGUGGAUUAUCUAUUACAAAGGGGGAAAAAAGAGGCAAAAAUAAAAGAACUUAUGGACAACACGAGACUAUUCCAUGUUAAAAUUUGAGAAUUGGAAAAAAUUUGCCACGCUUCUAUUAAUUUGAAAUUAAAUGAUUUGGGUUGCUAUUUCAGAUUUACCUUGACAUUAGAUGAUGUCAAACCAAGUCCAUUUGCAGCUAGAAACAUUUUUUUAGUAUAAUUAAGAAUUGAAAUGGCUCCUCUUCAACUUCUGUGAAUCCAACUUAAGAGCCAUGCUUUACUGGAAAAACAAAUUGGACAUGCAUUUACCGAUGUAGAGUAUUAAUUUUCUUCACGCCACAAUUUUGUGUUGGUUAUUGUCAUAGAGGUGAUGCCAUAAGUGCUAAGAUACUUUCACACACAUUGUAACAGCUACUUUGAUGUAUAUAGUAUUAUGAAGUUAUCGUUCUCUUGCGUGAAGAAAGGAAAAAUGAUGCUUAGCUCUUUGUUGGUUGAUCUCCAACUUGAAAAGUUUGCUUUUUACAUGGAAAUGAACAAAUAUUGGACAGGGAAGAAAAAAGGGGAAAAACUCAAGUCUAAGUGCAUAUGGCACCAAAAGGAAAUCUGAUUUUGAUAAGACUAGAUAUGAAUCGUAGUUCAGAUUCAAGUUGAUUCAGUGAGGGCGACUGCAAAAGUCACCGAAUGGAUCAGUCUUUUCCUUUAGUUUUUGUCCUAUUUAAUAAAAUAAAAAAGUGUGGGAGGAUGUUGCAGAUGUCCAUGAUGGACACGACUUCUUGUAACACUAGAAAACCACUAGAAGACACUCAGGACCAAAGCAUGUUGUGAAAGAAGCACAUUGGGGCAUUGACCAAUUUCAAAUAUAGUAAGACAAAGCAAUAAAUUAUAAGAUAUCUAAAAAUCACCACAUAAUAUAUUGACAAAAUAAGGCACUUGGAAUUUAUAUAAUUUGACCCAACCUCACUAGGUAAGUUAAUUAGCAAAUCAAGCCAUUGAAACAUAUAAACCAAACCAAACCAAAACAAAGAAGAUCUGAACAAGGUUAUUUGCAGAAAUAUAUCACUAGUCAACAUGCAAAGUGCACAAAAAAGGAAGAUUUACAUAAACCUCUUUGUAAGUCAUAUGUUUAACAGGAUAAGAAGCACUUCUUAUCAGACAAAAAAAGUACUCAACAGGGCAGAUGUCCAUUUUUUUUUUCUUCCGCAGAAAUUUGCCAAGUUUGAUCAAGCAACUCCUUAAUGUGCUGAGUUUCCAAAUCUCCCGUGGUGAAGAAUGCCUAUUUGUUUCAAUUUCCUCCACAUUGAUACAUCAGAAACAUCAGGAUAGAGUUGCCAGAGAAGAUACGCAAAUUGUCUAGUGAUUCUGGUCAACCAGAUUACCACAAUGAUCUAAAUGAAAAUCCAUUAGUUUCUUCAAGCCACUCAGUCGGCCAAUCUGUCCAGUCGGUUGAGUUCGUUCAGCUCCAAAUUCCAGAUUUAGUCUGGUGGCAUCUUUAUCCACUUGUAGUUUCUCAAAGACUAGCGUUCAAGGCUUAUGAUGGUAACCAAUCGAGUGAGGAAGCUCCAAGAUCCCAGUUCCUUACAGAGAAAGCCUCAACAGGGAAGUCGGGUAACUGAUUGAAGGUUUUGUAGUCAGUGAGGAACGAUGGCAAGCACAGAGAAUUUCUAGACUCUUCAAUCCUUGACAUUCAAGCAUAUGAUUCAUUGAUGUCCCAUCAAUCAAGGGUUCUCUCAAACAUUCCAUUUUACUAGGCUCCUAGGGAGAUGGUGGAGAUCAAUCUUUCUAAAUUCACAUGUAUCUGAAAUCUAGCAUCUAACAUAACCAUUUUGACAUCGAAAGGUCCACCUGAUCUGACUGAAUUGAGGUCAUAUAGCAAUCUCUUCCAAGGCAGUAAGCCCAUGUCAGACUUUCCCCUUCCAUCUUGGUAGUUUGUAGAUGUACGUUCCCGAUAAGUUAGAGACUGUUGAUGUCUGUCCAUCUUGGUAGUUCUUACAAUAUUUUCUGUUCGUGUGAAGUCCUCCGAGAUGCACUAACCGAGACAUACUCCUUUGAUCAUUUUAUUCAAAUCAAUUCACUGUUCCCGCUGCUCCAUGGUUUAUAGCAGCAUCGUCAUAUGGACCACCCAUCUCCAGUGAUCUUACUUGUGCUUAGACUCCUCUGGAAGAAAUAUUUGAACAGAACAGCAGAAGCAACGAUGGUAGCAACUGUCACCACACACAGGACAACCUCAAGUGCAUCAAUCGUUUCACGCCAGCACAAGUGGUCCACCUUGGCAGAAACAACAAUUGUUGAGCUGCUGCCCCACGUGUCGGAUUCUGAAUGGUCUUUACCCUAAGCCUACGUGGAGGGUAAGACUCACCCAAUAUUUCCUCUGGAUCGGAAUCCGAAGUGACGAUCUGGAAUUAAAAUGGGAGGAGGAGAGUCGGAGAGGGAUGGUGGGAUAUUCGAAGUCGUAUCGGAGUCAGUGUCGGAAACUGGAGGAAGCAGAGGAGGGUUCUUUACGUCUUUUCGUAUUUUUGUUUUAAUUUCUUUUCACGCUUUUUCCUUUUUAUCUUUCGGAAUUUGGUUUUUUCCUUUCGGUUGCUCUUUUCCUUUUUCGCUACAUGCGAGUGGCCCGAACAUUUUCCGCCAGUAAGAGGGGAAAGGGGGAGGGGUCAAAAUUGUAUUUUCGUUUCCCCUGCUGCAGAGUUGAAGGCAACAGCGUCAGUUCCCGCGCGAGAUGGGACUUGCGGCUCGAGGAUUAGAGGCGGUCCGACCUGCCCUUGCUGCCUGACGCAACCAAUUCUUAACGUUGCAGUCUCAUGUACACUGUGGAAGAUUAAGUUCGAACCAAAACUAAGUUUACGUACGUAUACAGGCCUAUUAUUGCUGUCUUGCCAGCGUGCUAGAAGCCAGGAAAUAUCUCCAUAUGAGGUAGCGAUAUAUACAACCUCGGCCAGGAUUCGCUCACAAUGUGAUUCAAAUUAUUCAAUUCAUGGAAAAUAGUGUGACCUACCUAAUGUUAACGGUGCCAUGACAACAUUUAUGUUUCUUUAUUUCUUUUUUUUUGUUCCCCGGAACAUGUUUAGAACAGAAAUCUAUUUGGUAACGCAAUUUCAUUUUUCUAUUUCUAGAAUAUAUUUAUAUUUCAGAAAUAAAUUUGGAGCGGAAAUCAGAAGUUAAAAUUUUUAGCUUUUCUAUUUCUGAAACAUAAAUGAGAAAUCAAAAUUUUUCGGGAGAAUUACCAAAAAAGUCCUAAACCUAUUGCAAUUGUGUCAAUUCAGUCCUAAACCUUUUACUUUUGUUCCAGUUCAGUCCUUCCGGCCAAAAUUAGCCGGCCGGCGCUGACGUGGCAGCCGGCCGGUGCCGGCGAGCUUUUUUUAAUAAUUUUUUAUUUUGCAAAAACAAUAUUAAUUUUUUUCUUUUUUUCCCUUUUUUUUCCUCCUCCCGCCGGAUCGCCUCAGUCCGGCGACCGGCCAGGCUGGCCGGUCGUCGGAGCCCAAGGAAGGAGGAGGGAGGAGGAAAAAAAAAGGAAAAAAAGAAAAAAAUUAAUAAAAAAUUUUAAAAAAUCAAAUAUUAUUAAAAAAAACUCGCCGGCACCGGCCGGCUGCCACGUCAGCGCCGGCCAACUAAUUUUGGCCGGAAUGACUGAACUGGAACAAAAGUAAAAAGUUUAGAACUGAAUUGGCCAAAAAAAAAAGUUUAGGACUGAAUUGGCACAAUUGCAAUAGGUUUAGGACUUUUUUGGUAAUUCUCCCAAAUUUUUCUCAUCAUUCACUCUCAUCACCACCUGUCGCCCACUUGCCGCUCGUGGGAUGCUAGACGCCCACCGCCGGUUGCCGACCGCCCGCCAUCAGCCCUGACCACUAGCCACCGACCGCCAGCCACCAAACUCUAGCCACCUGUCGCCAACUGCCGGUCGCUGGAUGCCGAACGUCCACCGGUUGUUGGCUGCUCAUUGCCAAUCAUUGGAUGUUGGAGGCUCACCACCAACCACCGGAUGUCCGCUACCAACUGUCUGCCGCUCGACACCGGCCGUUGAAUGUUGGCCGCUUGCCACCCAUCGCCGACCUCUUGUCGUCGGACUCCGGACAUCGGACAUUGGAUGUCGAACUUUGGACGUUGGACGCUAGUUGCUGGUCGUCGGACUCUAGACUUCAGCCACUCGCCACCGAUCGUCGAACUCUAGCGCUGGACGCCGGACUCCAGACUCCGACUACCCACCGUCAGUCACCGGACGCCAAAUGCCGAUCGUUGGACGUCAGACUCCGACCACUGGAUGCCGAUCGUUAUUGCUUUGAGAAAUAAAAAUUUUAUUCUAUUAUCAAACGAAUUUUUAUUUCAGAAAUAGAAAUUUUAAAUUGUUAUCAGACGCGUUUUUUUGCUCAAAAACCCGUCCAUAGAAUAAAAAUUGAGAAAUCAAUUUAUGGCCAUAAAUUGAUUUCUAUUCCAGAAAUUUUGUUAUACGCACCCUAAGUCACCGCAUUUGGGGGUGGGCUACAAUUUUUUCACUUUCAUUGUUCUUUCUUUUUCAAAUUGUUUCACGUGAAUGAGUCGUGUAUGAAUUUGAUAAAAGCGCGAGAGGUGUAUAAAUUUAUUUCGUGCUUAUUAACACCUAAGUUUGACGAGUGACCGAUCUAUCAACACUGGCCAUAAAUGAAGAGAUUAGGGGAUUGUUCUCUGCAAAAAGUUAUUGUCACACCCUUCACGCUCUUGAAUCGCACCUUGUUCUUCACUUCCGUUGUUGUUUUGUGUACUAACUUCUCUGUAUUUUGGAAUAAGACGAAUUUUUAGAUUAAGCUUGAAUCUGAAAAUAUUUGACUAGAGAAGUUUGCCAUCAUAAUGAAGUAUUUGCAAUUUCAUAUACCUCCACUAAUAUAAAUAGACAAAUGAAUUAUAUCAAUUUUAAUUUGAGCGUAUAGUAACCAACUAAUUGAACUGUAGAGCACCCAUUUGCCCAACAGAAUGUCUCCUUCUCUUUGGCUAAAAUACAACAUAAGGCAUCCCCACGCAAUCUUUCUAAAUGUUCCGAUUUUAGCAAAACUUACUUCAGUGCUCUGAUGCACACGACGUAAAUCACCAAAUGUGACAUUGAAAAAGCCUGCCAACAAAAUAAGAUCUGAAGGGCAAAUCAGGAAAGAUCGUAAAGAAUCUAGAAUGGAACAUAUCGCAUUUGAGGGUGAUGGUUGUUCUGACAUGCUUGAUUGCUGUUUUGACAUGCUUCAUUGCUGCAAAGUGAGGCGAUACUCAAGCUUUUCAAGUUCAAGAGAUUGGAAAUGCUAUCAUCAGCUCGUCGCUCGGUAUGAAUAUGUAGACAGAGAAGAAUUUCUAGGAGUCUCGGCACUUGGUGUAUCUCAACACAUGUCGGUUUCAAAAUCUUCCAAGAUGAACAUCUCCAGAUAUCAUAGGAAUUUCUGAUUAGAAAAUUUUCACUAAGCUCUGCAUCUAUUCUUCUAGCUAUUCCUGCUUCCAUACUGCACUAGUUAUUGUUCUCAUGAUAGAGAACCUCAUCUUCAAUACUUUCAAAUACUUCAUGUUCCCGACCAACCAGGCAGCUUCUCUAUGUCCAUGUUCAAUUUAUCGAACUUAGCAAGUGAUUCCAAAUUCCAGAUUGAGUCUAGUAGUGUCUUUAUUGACUUGCAAUUCCUGGAAGACUAGUGUUCAAGGCUUACAAGGGAUCCACUUGAGUUGGGAAGCUCCACGAUCCCAGCUCCUCACAGAGAAAGCCUCGAUAGGGAAGUUAGGUGACAGAUUGAAAGUUUUAUAGUCAAUGAGGAACAAUGGGAAGCACAGAGGACCUGCAAGCUCUUCAAUUCUUGACAUUCAGGCAUAUGCUUUAUUGAUGUUAUACAGCAAUCCCUUUUUAAGGGAGUUAAUUCCAUGUCAGACUUUCCCCUUCCAUCUUGGUAAUUCGUAGAUGUAUAUUCCCUUUUAAGAUAGAGAUUAUCGAUGUUUGUCCAUUAAAACCAACAUGUGAAAUUGCGAAUCGAACAAAGUCAACGUCUAGCAAGCUAGUCGCAUAUCUUUCUCCCAAAUAUCAUGUACUUUUAUUCAUGUGAAGUCCACCAUCAGGUACUAACUGAGUUAUCCAAAGUUAGAUUCAUCUACUAGUAAGAAUACUUUGAGGGACCUUGUUUAGCUUUAUUAUACUUGUUUCAUCGUUUGAUUCCGUCAUUUCUCGGUUCACGCUGUUCCAUGGUUUAUAGCAGCAUCGUUAUUUGGUUUGCCCUCUCUAGUGAUCUUGCUGCUCUUAAUCUUCCCUGCUCCAUGGUCUAUAGUAGCAACUGUCGCCACACACAAUGCAACCACAAGUGGUGAAUCGUUUUGCACCAGUACAAGCGGUCCACCUCAGCAGAAACAACAAUUGUUGAGCUGCACGAGGAUUGGGGGUCGUCUGACUUGGCCUCCCCGCCCGAGUCGCAAUGGGUCAGGAUUUUUUCUUUUUUUUCCUUUGAUAAAUUAUAAAGUGUGGGAAGAGAGGACCAAUACAGUUAUCCAUUCUUGUUGUUACAUAAAGCGUUAUGUACAUUACAAAAUAUCUCCAUUAAGCCAUAACCACUCGAUUCAUCGACAAGUGUGCGAAUCUAUCACCAUAACUAAUAUGCCAAAAGCCUAAAAAUCUUUCUACAUAAUGUUGUGAAUAUCUAAAAUAUUGAGUGGUGAAAAGUCCACUCAUAACAUGAUUCGAACUCAUGAAUUAAUAGAAGAUGGCGUGAUCCCUUCAUCAUUGGGCUACUUUUUUUUUUUUCACUUUCAAAGUGAGCCUGAUCCAAAAAUGAGUGAUCUAUAAAUCUAUUUUGUGCUUAUAAAAUUUGAUUUAAGUCGAAUGAGGUGUUGAUGUGUUAAGGUUACCAAUAAAAGAAGAGGUUUGAUGACUGGUUUCUAUAAAAUUGAUUGAUUUAAUCUUCAUAGUUUUAUUGAGUUUCACUUAUUAUUUAGGGUUAAUACCUUGAAAAACCCCAAACUGGUACACUUGUGACAAAUUUAUCCCAAACUAUUUUUUUGACCGCAAAAAACUUCAAACUGGUAUAUCUUUGACAAAUUUACCCAAACUGGUACACUUGUGACAAAUUUACUCUCUGUUAGUUUUUGUUAAAUUUUAUUUUCAAAUUAUUAAGUUAAAUGAUACGUGACAAUUGACCGGUAUACUAAUUUAGGAUUUUACGCUCCGUUUGUUACCGUUUACAAUUUCUGUGAUUUUUUUUGUAGUAUUUAUCCAAUUUAGCAUAGGGUAUAUUUGUCACAAAUUUACCAUUUUGGGGGUUUUUUGCAGUCGAAUAAAUUAGUUUUGGGUAAAUUUAUCAUAAAUGUACCAGUUUAGGGUUUUUUAUAGUCAGUCGGGGUAAAUUUGUCACAAGUAUACUAGUUUGGGGUUUUUCAUGGUCAAAAAAAUAGUUUUGGGUAAAUUUGUUACAAGUGUAUCAGUUUGGGGUUUUUUAGGGUAUUAACCUUAUUAUUUAACUUCCAUCAUUUUGUUUUGUGCACUAACUUUUCUGUGCUUUUUAUAAACAUUUGACUGUGAAUAUAAAUCCGUGAGAGCCACCAAACAUCACGCAUGCCAUGCAUCAGGGUUCUUAUAUUAUUUUGUUUGCGUGAGCUAAUUGCGAUUUAAGGGGAAAAAAAAAUGUUCCACGCUCUUUGAUAAUUUGAAAAUGACAUUUUGUGACUUUUGUUGUAUAAGGUUAUAGACUAUUUUUACUUCGAACACAGGUGAUGAAAAAGUCCAAUGACUUUUGUUCUCAAAGAUUAUGGACCUUUUUACUUGUUUAAAUCUUUUACAUGUAAAGUAUCAACUCAUACAUCCAAUAAGCAAUUAUGAAAUGACGAUGGCAUCAUUCUAUAAGAUAGUGAUCAGUCUGAUCAUAUUCACACUAAAUAUUUUGUAAAUUCUAAAUAAAACAUAUACGUUCAUCUACAAAUAAAAACUAUCAAAUCCACUUCCAUAUAAAUUUUAAAGAAUAGAAUCGAUCUGUCAUGAUAAGUCACGUUCUGGAAUUCUCUCUCAACCCGAGAAAUAUGGGCUCCACAAAUAAGCAUAAUUCACUUGUCUCGCAUGUUGAAUAAUAUUCUUUUCAAGUUUGAAUAUUAUUGGCAAAGAAAAAGUUUGAAUAAUUCGAGUUAUUGGAUUGAUUCGAGCUUGGAAUCGGAAAAAUUUUACUCAAGCAGCUUGUGAUCAAAGGAAGCGCCAAAAGAGGAAGAGACAGAGAACGGAAAUUUGUCCAGGAGCACGCCUUAUUUUAGCCAAACUUCCUUCAUUGCCCUCACGGAAACGACGAAAUCACCGGACGUGACACCGAAAAUGCCCACCGACAGAGCAAGAGCCCGAGGUCGAAUCAGGAAAAUUCGCAAAUCCGUCGUCCUCUCCUUCCUUUCCCCCCCACCCAAAAACAAAAGCUCGCCGUAGCUUUCGAUCGCCAUCCGCCGCGAACAUCGGUACGGAGUCCACGAACGCUGCGACGACCAGGAUUCGAGGUUUGAAUUCGAGCAAUGCGCACGAAGAACGCAAUCGAUCUCUCCACCUCGCCGGGCGAUCGCGCCAUUUUGAUUGCCUGAGAUUGGAAUGAUGUUGUUGCGCGGAAGAAUGUGGAGUUGAGGGUGAUGGUUGUUCUGAAGUGCUUCAUUGCCGCGAGUGAAGGCGAGAGGUAAUUGCAAUUCGUGUUCAUGUAAUCAGUUACGGCUCUGAUCCUCCCACUUGAUUGGGAUUGGGAGUCUAGUAUCGAGCAUGUCGGUUUUGAGGUUGGACAGUGAGGUUUGUAGUGUGAAUUUGGCGGAUUAGGCACUUCAGGGUUGGGGGGGAUCGUCGACCGUGUUGUGGAGCUGUAGUGCCUGAUUUAAUGGGGCAUACUAUUACUGAAUUAUUUGGUUGGAUUAGCUAAGCUCUUGGAUUGCCGAGUUUGGAUCAAUACUACAACUGGAAUAUGGUCUGAUUGAAUUUCCAUAUAUUUGUUCGAUUCAAAUAUUUCAUCCCGCUGUUUCUACUUUGGGGAUAAAAUUUGUUGAGUGUCUCACAGUAGUGAUUGACUAUGGCUAUUCGGCCUUUCUCCAGUCGAGUAAUGGACUGUAGCUUGUAGGUUUUAGCAACUAGCUUUAUGGGAAAGAGGAGCCUUAUGCUUUUCACUUAUUCGCCUUUCGUUGCAUUUGAACAUAUAGUUCUUUAAGUUCACGAACAAGGAUGGCAGAAAUAUACUGAAAUAUUAUUUUGAGUUGAUGUUUCCUUGUGAAGUGUUCCUCUUACUUGAUUGUCGAAAUAGCUUGCUAGAGACAUAAGAAACUUGCUCCUUUGCUUGUCAUUAAAUGAGUUUUUGACCACAUUUUCAAUGUGAAAUUUUCUCAACUGGUAAAUGCAGAACUCAGAGUGAGGUCCAAGGCUUGUAAAGCUGUUUACAAUCGCACUCUUGCCAUGAUAUCGGCGGAGUAUGCAUCUGCUGUAAGUGUUCUUUAUAAGGAUUUUUACAUUUACCUAGAGCUUGUUGUUGUUAUUACUCUUCAGGUUUCACCAUUUAAAUACAAUAAUAUUGUAACUAGAUGCACAGCUUUUUAUUUUGCAUGUUUAAUGUCAGAUUUGACAGAACUUAGUAGUCGGACUUGUCCUAGAUGUGAUGGAAAGACCAAGGUAAUUUAAGAUGGUUUAAUAUGACAUUGUUGCUAAGAUUGCCUGAACAAUGGAUCCUCAGUACAGUAUUAAAUAGUCAAUUUUGUGGGCAUAUGCCGCCUCCUCUUAUUAGCUUCUAAACUGGUAGUUAAUGCCUUUUGAUAUGAAAGCUGGGGUUCAAAUUCAUUGGAUAUGAUAGUGGGCAUUCAGCACUGCUUACACGCAAAUCAUUUGGUUGCAGUGGCUUAAAAAUCUGCAAUGCUUGCGAUGCCUAUAUGUUUAAAUUGCAUCUAAUUGUUUAUAUCUAUUUCUAAACAUACAUAUAUGUUACCUGUAGGCAUACGUUGGGGUGGCCAAGGAUCUUAAUGCUGUGAUUAUAGCUUUUAGAGGUGCACAAGAACAUAGGUAUGCAUGUUAACUUUAGCAACUCUUCCCCUUACAAAUGACUUGCAAAGGUUUUGAUGAAAAUUUAGGCUAAGAAGAGCAGCCUCCUGUGAGUGCGUACACAAGACCCAUGGGUCGACUGUCCAUAAGAAGGGAAAAGGGUGAAUCAUUUCCACCAAGAUGCAAAAGUUACCUUCUUGUAAUUUUAGAUUGGUUCAUGAGAAGAUCACAUACUUCACUAAUUUUGUUCUGUGAAAAAUUCUAUCACCUUUCUUUGUCAUUUGAGCUUUUCAGGUAGUGAUUACUUCUAUUUAUGUCUACAGCAUACAGAAUUGGGUUGAAGAUCUCUACUGGAUAGUGGAAACAGCUUGACGUACUACCCUGGCAUGCAUGGUGCCCUGGAUAGCUCUAAAGAUGAUUAUGCCUCUUGCAAGCUGUGGAUUCUUCUCAUUUGGAUUGAGUUACAGUCUUACUCUAUUGAUUUCUGCUUGGGUUAAUCAUGGAUUUUACUAUUCUUAUCUUGAUAUGACAAUUCAACCUGGUAUUUUGGAUGCUGUUAUAAGAACCAAGGAUUUAUAAGAGGACAUCAAUGUCACGGUGACAGAGCAUUUUAUGGGAGGGGCUAUGGCAUCUUUUUGCGGAAUUGAUCUUGUGGUAAGAUAGUUAAAAACUGCUAUGGUCUGGAAUUGUGAAUUUUAUCGUUUUUUUCCUAUUGCGUUCUUCCAAUAUUCAGAUGAUAAUCUGUUAAGAGUCAUCUAGAAUUCUCUGUCAAAUCUGUGUUGAAGAGUCUAGACUCUUUAUGUGGAUCUUGAACUUUCUAUUGCUCUCAUAUUUAUAUUCACAAUUCAUCAUAGACAGCAUCUUGUUUUCUUUCAGUUUUGGUAAGUCAAACCAUAGACAAAACACAAGCAGAAUGGGGUGCAAAUAGCCAUUUACGCUAACCACCAAUUGUUUAAGUAUCUAGCAAUGUAAAUUAAGUCUUACCCAUAAAGCUAUGGAGCUUCAAGUUGGUUGAAUACCUAAAUAUAGUGGAUAAGGUUACUUCCAACUAAUCAUUACAAGGUUUACUUGCUGGAAAAUUUAUGGAGUUGUCGAUAUGUUUAUGGUCUGGACAUAUAACUUUUUAAAGCACUUGAAGCUCAAGUUUUAUGUCAUGUAAUCUUGAAGUGCUAAUGCAUUUUAAGAUAGAUUAUAUAUCAAUCCUAAAUGUGUGUUUGGUGUACUGUUUCUAUCUAAGUCUCUCUCUAAUCAAAAGAAGCAGCUCCUCUUUAGUAGGACUACAAGGCCAGAUAUGUUGUAGGCUGGAGCCAAUGUUAAGAUGUCUAAAUUAUGCCUUUUCCCUCAGCUUUAUUGGACGGAGUGUUCCAGGGUACAUUUGGAGGCACCUGUUGCUCAACUGGUACCAGAAAUGGUGCCCAAUCCAAAAUCAUGUCCCAUUGAUUCUCUUCUCCAUGACAAGUGGUGAUUUUUUAGAGUUAAACUUUAUCUUGAAGUCUGAUUACACUCAUGUUCACUUGGCCUAUGAUAGGAUCAUAGGUUGCAUGGACUUUAGACUAUACCCUUUCUCAAAAUAUUAGUAGCAAGUAUAACAUCUUGUCCUAAAACUUUUAAAUGAUUUAAAAUUUUAUUUUUGUUUACUGGUUUCUUGCUGAAAAUUUUGUCGAGCCAAUUGUGACGUCCUGCCCAUUCGUUGCGAUCCUUUUUAAGAUUGAGUUUCUCCUUCGCUACUUGUGACAGUAAGUUUUGUAGUUCAAGAGGCAUUUUCACCAUGAACCAGGAAUUUUUUGUUUAUGUUAUUAGCAGGAUGUGACUCACCCCACCAACAUUCAAGUGCUUCUUGUGGAAGCAAUUAAAUGCGCUUCUGUUGUAAAUUCAUGUCCAAUCCCACUAUUCCAUAUUAUUAAACACCUUUUUGUGGUGCUGAGGGUGGGUUUGGUUUUGUUGUGUGUGGGGUUUGGUGUUGGGAAACUUAUGGAUGGGAUCUUGAUGGAGUUAACACUAGACCUUCGACCCUUAUGGAGACAAAGGGCUGUCUAUUGUUCACCUUUGUAUAUGAAAUGCAAUUUAUGGUUAUUGAUGCAUAGUGCUUUUUUCCCAUCUUGGAAGGGCUAUUGAUGUAUUGACAUUCAAGUUAUUUGGCUGUCUAAUUAUGUGUGCUGAAACUGUCUUUUCCAGAUCAGCAUUCGCCUGAUUUACUUUACCGAAACACUUUAUUUCCUGGUUAAUCAUGAAGCACAGGAUAUUCAGGUUUUAACAUUUGGACAACUCUGUAUUGCCAAUGCAGUGUUUGCAUCUUACUACAGUGACUGCAUACCAAAAACAUUACGUACUCCUCCUGGACAAGAUUUUUUGUCUUAUUUGCCUCCGUACUAUUUUUGGUUCCCACAGAAGACGUACCAUCAAUUCCCUAGAGAGGUAUGGUGUUGAUCUUGACAGAAUAUCAAAUAAAUUAUGGGAAAUUGUUAGGCUGCGCAUGAUAAAAUUUUUGUUUCUUAAUUUCUCUAUUUCUCUGUUCCCGAAACAGGUUUAGAACAGAAAUCUGUUUGGUAACGCAAUUUGAUUUCUUUAUUUCUUAAACAGAUUUUUAUUCCAGAAAUAGAUUUGAAGAAGAAAUCAGAAACUAAAAUUUUAGCUUCUCAGUUUCUGAAAUAGAAAUUGAUAAAUUAGGGUGCGUUUGUUUGCGUUUCUGUUUAAAAAUUGUUCCAGGGAACAGAAAUAGAAAAAAAGUGUUUCUGUUCCGGGGAACAAUUUUUGAACAAAAAAACGCGUUUGGUAAAUUUGUUCCGGGAAUUAAAAAAUAAACAGAAACACGUUUGGUAAAUUUGUAUUAUUUGUAUUAUUUCUUUUAUUUUUUUAAUAUUUUUAAUAUUUUUAUUCUUUUUUUUUUCUUUUUUUCUUUUUUCUUCUUUUGGCCGGUCGCUGACCUCGGCCAUGGCCGGCGACUGGCCGACAAGGGCCGGCGGCCUCGCCGGAUCUGGGCGAGAUCGAGCUCGCCCAGCUCAGCGCGAGGUCGGCCUCGCCUUGGCUAGGCGAGCUCGAGCUCGCCCAGAUUCAGCGAGGUCGCCUGGCGGUGGCCCGGCGAGGCCGAGCCUCACCGGCCGCUGGGCGAGGUCGGCGCGAGGUCGGCCUCGCAGGGGGCCGGCGAGCCUCGACGUGGCUGGGCGAGGCCGACCCUCGCCAGGGGCCGGCGAGCCUCGCCGUGGCUGGGCGAGGCCGCCGUGCCCUCGUUGGCCGGUCGCCGGCCAUGGCCGAGGCCGGCGACCGGCGAAAGAAAAAAGAAAGAAAAUAAGAAGAAAAAGAAGAAGAAAUACAAAAGUGUUUCUAAGAUUUGUUUCAGAAAUAAGAAAUACAAAAUUUGUGUUUCUUAUUUAUGUUUCUUUUUUGUUCCUAGGAACAAAAGAACAAAAAAACAGAAAAAGUGUUUAAAAACAAAAAAAAGAAACAUAAACAAACAGACCUUAAUUUCUGGCCAGAAAUCAAUUUCUAUUUCAGAAAUUUUGUCAUGCGCACCCUUAAUGACUGAAUUUGAGGUUUGCUUCGCAUUUCUUUCAACUUGUCUAACAAGUGAAGUAUCAUAUAUUCCGGCAUUGUAUGUACUCUCUUUUUUCAGCUUAUAAAUUAUGACUGUCUUGUUUGUUUUUCUUCUUAACAAAGCAGGGUAGUUUGUAGGACUCAUUACGUUAUAAAUUUUUUUUUAGUAACUCUCGUUCUUGCAAAAGCCAUCAUGAGUUUUUCAUUUCGAUUCCAAAGUUUAAGACACAUAAUAAUGUUUAUUAUACUCUCUCUCUCUCUCUCUCUCUCUCUCUCUUACACACACACACACACACUAUGUAUGUCUACUAAUGCGUAUAAUUAUUAGUGACUAGCUCAAAGACAGCCACGGUUGAACAUAUUAAUGUGACAUGAAAAUGAUUUGAUUCCACCUGCUUCUCUAAUAACGAAUCAUACUCGUAACAGUUUUCAUGUAAUCGGAAUCUUCCCUUUAUUGUAGGUAUGGCUAUAUAACAUAGGAUUCGGUAGUUAUCAGGUUGAGAAAGUUUGUGAUACCUCAGGAGAAGAUGCAUCAUGCAGCAAGUGAUGAGCUAGUUUCAGUCGAAGCUACUUGUUCAAACAAUUAUUUUGUGGAUUUAUCAUGCAAGAUGCAAUAAGUCGUGAUGGACCAGCUUGUUCUAGAGAAUGUCUGUUCUUUGUUACUAGGAAUAUUUGUGGACAACUGAUCAGGGUAUUUUCCUGCAGAUUGGUAACCGGUAACAGCAUUGUGGACCAUUUAGUCUUUCUAUAGUGUGCAAUUAGUGGCUAAGACAUGAGAAUCGUGCAAAAUCGUCAUGGACACUAUUGACGGAAUGUGGAAGCGAAGAUGUCAAAGGUAGAUGUGUGAAUGUUGCAACUCUGACACUUGCAUGGUUAGGCAAUUAACCGGUUUUUAUAAGGUGAAACAAAGACUACGUUCACAGACCACUUCUCAAUCUAUGACACGUUACCUUCUCCUACAGGCACAUUGGCACAUAAGAUUUCUUGGCAGAACUAAGUACUUCAACUAUUUCCUCGUAGGGAAUUGUGCAGAUGAACUGUUAAAUCAAACCAUCUCGGAGACAGAUGAUGACUUUUGUCUUACAUCAUUUCCACUGGCAACCUUCGCAAAAUUUUUACUUUUAGGAGGUAAACAAUUUAUAUCAUCUUGGCUUUGAUAUGUAACAAUGAUCAUAUCAGCAUUUGGAACAAGAAUUGUAAGCUUUUACCUUCUUUUUCUAAUAUGCAGGAAUUAACAUUAGUGGAAACCUGAAAAGUAAAAAACUUGGGGGGAAACUUCUGCCACUGAUAAGAAGGGAAACAGAACUUUUGUCUUGCUGACAGGUACCUGUUCAAAACGUCAAAAGUGAGCAUUACCAAAGUGCUAAGUAAGCUCAUGGUGCUACACAAGUCAGGUCUAAAGUACAAUGCCAAAUGUUUACUAAUGUUUCAAAGAUCCAAUCUAGUUCAAAAGCAGAUACUCAACCAGGUCAGCCAAGCAACAUCUUCUUCAACAUGUACAAGCAAUUGUUCAAACUUUUCUUCACUAGAGUGCUUGAAGUUUUGCCCAUAAUACUGCGACAUCCUUCUCCUCAGUAACCUCUAUUAAGACCUCAUCCGUCAAAUUUAAUUCAUUUAAUAGAAUUAUGCUAUUUGCUUUUUUCAUUAGCUCUACCCUUUCAAAGGCUUUCAUGAUAAUAGGCAACUCAUCUUCGCCUUCCAGUACCUUGGCCAAAUCUUAUGUUAUCAAUAAAGCUCGCAUCUUGAUGCUUCAUAACACAAAAUUGUUACUCCCAUUAAAUUUCUCAAUUUCAGUUUUCUUCUCAUGAUUGCAAUAACAGAAUUUUCAGAUAAUAAUCAGACAAACAAAAUCUCCAAAUUAUAAUCAAGAAAUUCAACCCCAAGCUCUGAUACCAAUUGUUGGGAUAUAAUACGUGAAAACGACGGGAUCUUGCAAUUUAAGUCAAUGCGAAAUCGCCAGAGAAGUAAACAAGAAAUAAUAAGGAUACCAGAAAAUUUACGUGGUUCGAUUCAAGUAACGGUACCUACGUCCACGGGGAGAACUAGUAACAAAUAAUCCACUAUAAUCGGAGUAUCAGAGUUUACAAUCACUCAAUGAUUCAAGUGUUUUCCACAUUUAGAUUUAACCCCAAGUUCAAAGUGUUUAUAAAUAAAUAACUCACUUGGACAUAAACUCAUGGCAUAAAAUUACCACGUAACAAAACGCAGCUCUAUGUACGGCUUCGCGAGGCUGCAAAGACUUUGGCUUCAGAUAAACUCGCAGAUCGCGGCUUUCUUCUAAGCUUCGGAAGACGUACGUUCAGCGGCUCCUUCUUCUCGACUUGUACAUGCAGCAGCCAAGGAAAGAAAACCUCAUGUGAUGUCCGUUUAAAAUAUAUAUAUACGUGUGUGCCCAAGGUCAAAAGUUUGACCUUGGGCCCCACCACUUUAACUCCUUCACGUGCGGGGCUUCUUCCUUCGGCGGCAUCUUCCUUCUCUACGUGGGGGUGCAGCAGCUUACGAAAAAACGAAAGAAGACCCAAUUCUUUCUGCUUUUAUAUAUUUAUAUAUUUCCUCUUUUGUAGAUUUUGAAGAGUCCAGCGAAUUUCUUCUACUUGAAAAAUCUUUAUCAAUAAAAUUUGAUAUAAUAAAUCGUCAUCCGAAUUCAUACUCAAGACAUUGAUUUAACAGUAUCCGUGGUUGACAAAAGGAAGAUGUCUUUUUUUGCUGUGGGUUGAGGGUGGAGAGGAGACAGUUGCAGCUUAAGUUAAAAAGGGGAGUUUCUCCCUCGAAUCUAGAAAACGACAAUUCGUUUCUUAUUAUAGGUGGGGUUUUCCUUUCAUUUUUUCCAACCCAACCUUAGUUCAAUGAAAAAACAUACUUUAGAAUUAACAUAUGCAUACGUCCAAGCAAAAUUCAAUAUUGAAAAGACUGAAUUAUUCCUACUCAAAAACUUUAUUUAAGUCUCUCACUUCAUGUUUGAAUAAUAUAAUUUUCAGUUAGUUUUGAGUACUUUUGAUGGUGAGACUUUAGGAAUUGUGGAUGGACUUUUUUUUUUAGAGAAAAUGACAAUUCUUUUAUACAAAGGAACACAAGGUUAAUCGACCUCAUAAAUCAAGAUUCAUUUGGUCGUGAAACAUGAGAUUGUUUGUACUAAUCCGAUUGAAAAUUAAACUUACCUAAUUUUCCAAAUUCACAUAUAAAUCCUUUCAUGAACCAUUAAAUCAAAAUUAACCAAGAGUAGGUAUGUCAAAAAGCGAAAUAUCACCAAAAGAUGAAUUAUAAUAAUAUUAGCAAACAAAUAAUCAAAAUAUUACCAAAUAAUCCCACAAAUGCUUUACUUCCCAAAUGGAAUUUAAAAUUCUCUCAACUUGCCAUAAUUUUCUUUUCUUAGGCUAAAUAAUAAGCAUCUCCAAACAUAUAUCCUCUCCAUGGCUAAAUAAUAAGGAUCUCCGAACAUAUAUCCUCUCUAUAUAUAUUACCCUAUCUUUCUUUCAUCUCGAGAGUGUCGUUUGCAAAAGUUUUUAUGAUUGUUCCGCACCGUAAGUGAUGAUGGACGCCGCCACAGGGGAACAUGACCGUAUUCCCUUCUUCCUCCUCGUCGGAGCCCUGCACGCUGCCGCCGCUGCCGCGAGAGCUCGCAGGCUCCGCCGCAUUCCCAAGCCUCUGGUUCAUGUCAGCUCGGUUGGAUUCGUCCCUCUGAAUGACCACCGAGUCGCUGAAUGCGCUUGGAUUCGUGCGCAAGCAUGUCGAGAUCGCAGCUCCUCCUCCUCUUUUGCUGCUCAGUCCCUCGGUUUUCGCAGGUAGCGUGCUUGUUGUCGUCCGUUAGGCUUUUCUUUUUUCGGUGCUGAGGAAUCUCGGCGUGGAUUGUAUAUGCCAGACUGAUCGGUUCUUGGUCAGUAGGGGGCCUUCUUUAGGUUGAGUUUGAUGUCUAAAUAUGGGGCGGCAGGUGGAGAAUUUGAUGAUUGACGAGGAAGUCUGGAUAACUAAUUCGAGUGAUGUGUACCUGGUGGAGCAGUCGAGUUGAAGCAGAGGGAUGAUUAUGCUGUCAGGAUUGUGCUUGUUGAUUGAGACACCGUAUUUUUUUAAUCAUGUUCGUCGUGUUUGCUUUGUAUAUUUGAUAUUGGAGAUGAUUAUGUAAUAGAAUGAAUUGCGUCGUUGUUUCUUCUAGUCUAGCACUUCAUGUUCUUCAAUGUCGGUUCUGGGUUGAAUUAGUUUGUUGAUACAAAACGGAGCUGCAUUUCUCUUGGCGGUAUAAGGUUUUGAGGGAUAAGUACACUAAUAGUGUCAUAAGUUGUGUACGAUACUCACUUUGGUGCCAAAAGUUUCCGUCGGAUCACUUAAAUGCCAAAUUGAAGAAAAAACAAUCACUUUGGUGCCACCGGCGAGAAAUUCCGGCCAAAAUGAUUACGUGGCUUUUAUAUUUAAAAAAAAAAUCAACAUGGCUUAAGAUUGUCCACGAUGGAUAGCAUAAAACGACACCAUUUUCCUUUUUUCAUAAGAAACGACGUCGUUUCUUGUCAUCCACUGUGGAUUCACAUAAGAAACGACACCGCGUUGCUCCAUAACAAAAAACGAUGUUGCUGAAGAGGAAGUAAAAUAGGGUUCGUAUACAAUUCUCCUCGACGCCGGCCGUAGCUCGCUCACCCACCGUCGUUCACCCACCGUCGUUUGCUCGCCUGCCAUCGCUCGCUCGCCGUCGCUCAGCCACCGCUAUAGUUGCGCCGUUGUUCACGAUCAUUCAGGUUUGUCAUGUUCUCUACGUGGAUCAAUUUUGCGAAAAAUUUAAGGUUCCGAUGGGCAAGUUAGGGCACGGUAGGCAAACUGAGGGCUCGGCUUAGGAGGAAAGUAGUGGGGAAAGUGGUGGGGAUGUCACUUUUAUGGGGACGGAAUAGAAAAAUUAAUUCUUCCAUCGUUCGUUCGCUUUCUGUUGUGGGGACCGAAUAGAAAAAUAAGGUGCAGAGAAGCUUAACUCGGAGGAAAACAGUGGUGGGACCGAAUUUGUUUGUUUAAUUAAUUGGACUGCUUUUGUGGGGGACCGAAUGUGAAUGUGAUUGAAUUGAAAAAUGGGUGGUGGGGACCUCACUUUGUUUAUUUAAUUCAAUUUCUUUUGUUUCUAUAAAUGCACCGAAUUGGGAAGAUUUUAGUCGCAUUGUUCCUUGACAACAAAACGACAAGGACCUACAUGUGAAGUUAUCGAUUCUGUCAUGUGGUUCCAACAAAACGAUAAUGAUUAUUUUUUUUCAUUGGGUGUAGCAUUGACAUGGACGUGAAUCAGAUAGGCGUCAUUGUUUGCUAUGGUGGAGAGUUUGUUAUUGGCACUGAAGAUUGGGAAUAUAGUGGUAGAAAUGAUGGUACUAUUUAUGUCAAUGUUUAGAAGCCAUCAUAUAUUGAUUUUCUGAGGGAUUUUGUGUAUUUUUUACGAUGUAAAGUGCAAAAAUUACAUUACUGUGUUCCUAGAAAGGAAUUGAAGGAUGGGUAUUAAGGAUAUCAUUUACCAUUAUCUUCACAGUGAAGAAGUUAAGGUAUUUGUUGAGUAUUAUAGUGAGGAUGAGGAUAAGGAUGGGGAUGGGGAUGAGCAGACCACCACUGAAGGAGGAGAAGUGAGGGAUCAUGUUCAAGCGAGUAAUUAGGUCGGGGAUGAGUUUAGGUUAGAUGAAGCACAAAAUGAGAGGGAGAUAAGUCAUAUUGAUAGAGAUGAACAAAGAGGGAGAUGUCCUGAAAUCUUGGGUGAAGAUUUGAGUGAAGAUGUGGGCGAUGAAGACUUCAUUGGAUUAGAAUGAGAAAUUGUUUUAUCUAGUGAAUCGGAAGAUGAAUGUUUGGCUUUAGUAAAUUUCCCAAGUGACGAAGAUGAUGAUGAACUCCAUAGUCAAGACAAAAACAAAAGGAAUUUCUGAGAAAAAAACUUACAGCUUCAGCAAAAAGGCCCGAGCUAGUAAAUAGGGAUGGAGAUCCAGUUGAGGGUAAUAGAAGUGAAGAUGAAGAAAGCUGUGUCGAUGAAGUUGUUGGUUCGAAAAAUGAGCUUGACAAUAAUGAUGAAGAAUCUGCUCCUCGAAAAAAAAGUAAGUACCAUUGCUAUGAUCCGACUGCUAAUAAAUCUGUUUUGUUGGUGGGCAUGAGAUUUGACGAUGCCAAACAAUUCAAGGAAGCUAUUGUGAAGAACACAAUUGGUGAACAGAGGAGCGUUAAAUUUAUUAGAAACACGAAGGAAUUUGUGAGAGCUAAGUGCUCACAACCUAAUUGUUCGUGGAAGCUCUAUGCCGCACUUAGUAAGAAUAGGUCAUUCCAGAUUAGGUCCUUUUAGGAGGAGCAUACUUGUCCAAUUAUCUUUAACAAUAAAAGGGUAACAAGUGUGUGGUUAUCAAAGCAUUUUUUCAAUACUAUCAAAGCAAUGCCCGAGAUCAAGAGUCUUUAAUUUCAACAGUUAGUUAAGGAGCAAGUAGGGGUUAAUGUAUCGAGGAAUCAAUGUAAGAGAGCUAAGAUGAGAGUGAUGAAGAUAUUGAUGUGUGGGUAUAAGGAAGAAUAUGCGCAUGUAUGGGAUUAUGCUAGUGAAUGCAUAUUUCAAAACCCAUCUAGUAGAGUAUAUGUAGAGGUUGUGGAGAGGCCACUCCCUGAUCUUGGGCCUAGAUUUGAUAGAUUUUAUAUCUGUUUUGAUGCAUGCAAACGGAGCUUCUUGACUGGUUGUAGAAGAGAUAUAGGAUUGGAUGGAUACUUUCUAAAGGGUUUAUGCAAUGUAGAGUUAUUGGUUGCUGUGGGGAGAGAUGCCAAUAAUCAAAUGUUCCCGAUAGCUUGGGCGGUGGUAAAGAUAGAGAACAAGGAUAUUUGGUCCUAGUUCCCAAAAAAUUUAAUGGCUGACCUUGAGAUAACCGAUGGGGAAUGAUGGAUAUUCAUGAGUGACCAAUAGAAGGUAAUUUCAUUAUCAAUUAAUUCACUCCAUUUUAAUAUUAAUCACUUACAUAUUUUUCUUAACUUAUAUUUAUUGGUUUGAAUUUUUGUAGGGACUUAUUCCUGCAUUGGCUGAAUUGAUGCCAUAUGUUGAGCAUAGAAUGUGCGCGAUGCACAUAUAUGCAAACUGGUCAAUGAACUUCAAAAGAGAUAGGAUGCAGAAGCAGUUUUGACAGAUAGCAAAGAGUACGAAUAUGGCUGAUUUCAUAUUAGUCAAACAAGGAUUGUUGCAGCUGACAAAGAAAGGUUUUGAUGCACUCUUCCAAACAGAAGCUAAGCACUGGUGUCGAGCCUUCUUUAGCGAAGAGUUCAAAUGCGAUAUCAUUGAUAACAAGCUUUCAAUGGUAGAAUUUUAGAGGCCAAGUGCAAAUAAAUCAUCAGCAUGCUUGAUGAUAUUCGAGUUAUGAUUAUGACUAGAUAGCAUAAGUAACAAGAUGAGGCUACAAAAUGGAGUAGAGACUGUACCCCUAGGAUUGUGAAGAGAUUUGAUGCAAAUAUUGCUGCUAGUAGGUUCUACCAUUUAGUUUGGAAUGGAGAUAAUGGAUAUGAGAUUAUUCAAAAUCAGGAUAAGUAUGUUGUCAACCUAGAUAGAAGAAAGUGUUCAUGCCGAGCCUGGCAACUAAAUGGAAUUCCCUGUGCCCAUGCCAUUUGUGCUAUUCAGAUGAAGCAAAAAAAACCCAGAUGAUUACCUACAUGAUUGGUACAAAAAAAGUUCAUACCUUGCUUCAUACCAAUUCAUGAUGCAGCCUAUCAGAAGCAGCAAAUUUUGUGAGUCAACAAAUCAUGAAAGCCCUCUACCUUUAUCGCUAAAGAAGCAAAUAGGAAGACAAAAAAAGAGACGAAGAAUGCAGCAAGAAGAGACAUAAAGUCAAAGGAUGAGUAGGACUGGAUCAAAGAUGAAAUGCUCCUAUUGCCGCAAGGAAUGGCACAAUAAGAAAGGUUGUGAGCUGAAAAAGCAGCAUCAACAGCAAGAUGUAAUAGCUGAUUCAGUGCCAGGGACAGGACCUACUAAGAGUUUCUUGUUAGGCAUAUUGAAGGGAGGACAGAAGGCCCUGCUGUAAUGCCUACUGAAGGGAAAACAGAAAGCCAUGCUGUAAGGUAAGUAUCAUCUUUGUCUUAGUAACUUUACAGUUCUUAUUCGAUAGAGUUUGAUGAUUGACCAUGUGUACUGGCUUCUCUUGUGCUUUUCCUCUAUCAUGCACUUGUAAUUUGAGAAGUUUUCUCCAUUUGUUUCCACCGUGAAAAUGAGUAAAUGUCUAAUUAUUCGUUGUAGUUGGUCAUAAUCUUAAUACAGUACAUUGUUGUAAGGCCUACUAAAGGGCCAGAAAAAGGCCCUGUUGUAGGCUCAAGUGUAGGGACAAGGACUGGAAUAGGCAGGACAGCAACAACAACAACUGAGUCCACUGUUGAGCAAACAAGAAAAAAAUAUCUUGUAAGUUUUACAUCGUUGUGUUUGGUCUUUUAUGAGCUAAAAUUUACAUUUGUUAUGUGUUUCUCAGGUGAGAAGACGAGCAACUGCACAAGUUACAAAGAUUGCUACAAGGAUUGUUGUUGUUGAAAAUGAUGCACCACAGCGAACAAGAGGGGCUCUUGGAAAAAGAUUAAAGCAAUAUGGUUAUGGGAUUUACACAAAUGAACGUACUAGAAUGACUAUUUUGAAUGUAAGAUUUAUAAGUUUUAUGCAUUUAAUUUGUUGUACUUCAAUUCAUUUGGUUGACAAUAACAAUAUCACUAUGUUCUUAUAGCCUGGGAGAACUUCGGAGGUACUUCUCUCUCAAAGUGGGCCAACUCAAGAAUUAAGGGCGCAGCCAAAGAAGAGUGCUCCAAAGAAGAAGAUGACAGCGGAUAUAGCUGCGAAAUAGCCAUCCAAAAAGAACCCAACACCAGUUCCAUCUCAACCAACAAUUGGGAGCGGUAGUAAUGAUAUGGACCAACACAUGACACGUGCUAGAACAAAAAUAGCCGCCAUAAAAAACAAGGAAAAAGAAAAUGAGGUGACAGAAAGCCCAGUUAAAGAACCUGCACAUCCAGUUCGAAAGAGUGCUCGGAUUAUGAAUCAAUUCAAAGCUCCAAGAGGAAAAAGAGAUCAUGGUGUUGUCAAUAUUUACUAAUGGGAGGGUGCUGGACAUGGUCUCUUUUUAUGUGAUGCUGGACAUGGUAUCUUUUCAUGUUUUCUUUUUUUAGGAGUGUGCUGGAUAUUAUAUCAUUGAUGGUAGUUGCUGCAUGCAUAUUGCUAUUGUUUUUUUUUUUUUUUAAGAGAGUGCUGAACUUUCGAUGAUUGUGGAGUGAAGUUAGACAUGCUUUUCUUUUCUUUUGUAAACAAUAAAUUACUGUUAAUGGCAACUACAGGAAUGAUUAUUCAUUUUCUCUUGUGUUGGUUUCGGUUAGAAUGCUAGCAAGUCAGUUAUGCUGUAUAUUUUAUUUUUGAUGUUACUGUAAUGUUGUUGUUGCUGCAAUGUUACUGUUGUUGAUUGAAAUUGUGGAUUAUAAUGAAUUUGUGGGGUUCUGAGUAUAUGUGUUGCUACAAGAAUACUUUGGGUGCUGGUACAUCUUGUUACAUCAACACCUAUAUGGGCUGGUGCAAGAAGACCAAUAACUCAACUAGUGCAAGAACAAGGUGCAUUUGGAAUGUGACGUUUGGCACUAACAUGGUCUUUUUUAAAAAACUUGUACAACAUAAGUAAUCACUUUGUAAUCGUGAUUGGCACUUAAAUGAUCACUUUUAUAAAACUUGGCACUCAAGCGAUCACUAUUUACAACUUAUGGCACUGAAAUGGUCAAUCGUGAAUUUGCCACCAUCUUUUAAUUUCGGCUAGUUUGCAAUUGCAACAAACCAGCAAACUAGAAAACUAGCAAACCAGCAAACCAUUACCAAAUAAAAAAUGUAGCAAACCAUUACCAAAUAAAAAAUGCAGCAAAUCAUUACAAAAUAAAAAAUGGUUAAUAUCCUAAAAAACCCAAAACCAGUACACUUGUGAUAAAUUUACCCCAAACUAUUUUUUAAGUUAAAUUAAAUGUGACAGUUGACUAAUAUAUCGAUUUAGGAUUUUAGGCAUUGUUUGUCACAGUUUACAAUUUUUGUGAUUUUUUUAUAGUAUUAAUCUAAUUUAACGGAAUGUAUAUUUGUCACAAAUUUAUCAGUUUGAGGUUUUUUGUAGUCGAAUAAAUUAGUUUAGGAUAAAAUUAUCGUAAAUGUACCAGUUUAUGGUUUUUUAUAGUCAGUUAGGGUAAAUUUGUCACAAGUGUACCAGUUUUAGGGUUUUUUAUGGUAAAAAAAAUAGUUUUUGAUAAAUUUGUCAUAGGUAUACCAGUUUUGGGUUUUUUUUUAGGGUAUUAACCCAAUAAAUAAAUGCAGUAACCAUUACUAAAAGCUUUCAAUGCAGCAAACCAUUACCAAAUAAAAAAUGCAGCAAACCAUUACCAAAUAAAAAAAAUGCAGCAAACCAUUAUCAAAAUUUUUCAAUGCAGCAAACUAUAACCAAAUAAAAAAUGUAGCAAAUCAUUAUAUUUGAAGCAAAAAUUAAUCAAAACAAAUAUUGACAAUACACAACUAAACAAAAAAACUUUUAAGUGCUCACAACUAAUACAUUUCAAGUCCAAUCUUGCAUUUCUACCGAUAUAUUACAGCAACAAAAUAUUUUGCUCCAUACAAAAAUUGCAGCAAACCAAAAAACACAUUUUAUUUAUAAAUAAUUCAAUACAAGUGCAUAUUCCAUGUCUUCGACUAUGGUAGACAUACAAACUUCUUCUCAUUACUCACUUUACCUUUGAAUAAACUACCCAAGAGAAAAAGAACACAAUCAACGCUUGAUAAAAGUUUCUUCCAAUUUUUAGCCUUGAAAUCCCCCUCUUCAAAUGGUCCACCAAAUAUGUUAAACCCUUCAUUUGAGCUUGCAUUGAGUCGACAUCCUCCAACUCAUCCAUUAACAUAGGUGGAAGUUGAUUUUGGCUUUCAAGUAACUCCAAUAUCAUGUAUGUCGCUCGAUCAAAGAAUUUCCUAUCAACUCAUUUGAAGUAUUGGCACUUCGAGCCUUUUCUAUAUCUGCCGCACCCAUGGAAUCUUCUCCUGGGAUUCAAUCGAGUCCAAGAUGUUCUUCUCGAACUUGGUAACCCACAAUAACAGUAACACUCACCAUCUAAUUCGCCUUUUUUUAUAGGAAUGUGAGCCGCUGUUAAAGCUUUUGUCAUCCAUUUGCAAGAGCGAGUUGAUAACUUCAGGAGAAAAUUGAAGUAUGCACUCAAAAUGGUCAAAUUGGGGAUUUAGAGUUUUCAACUUCCGAUUCUAGUAGAAAUUGGGGAUUUAGGGUUUCUUAUGUGGGGGAAAAUGAUAAAAAGCAUCGUUUUGUUCUUUGUAUGCUGAUUGUAUUCUCUAGCGAUCCACGUCGGCAUCAAAAAUUAAUAAAAAACUGCCAUGUCAGAUUUCCGGUCAACCAAAUCGGCGAUGGCACCAAAGUGAUCGUUUUUCAAAAUUUUUGGCACUUAAGUGAUCCGACGGAAACUUUUGGCACCAAAGUAAGCGCCGUACACAACUUAUGGCACAAUUAGUGUACUUCUCCCAAGGUUUUGAUGUGAUUGUCGUUGGAAUUUACAGGGCCGUCUCGUGGCAAUAGAUUGCCUGCUUCCCCUUGUUUGAUAAUUUCUAGUUUACCGUAUUCUUCUGAAGCAAGUGCUGAAAUGGAGGAACCCAUAGGAUUUUUUGCUUUUUUCCAUCUAAUGUGUCUUGACACAUCGUGGAGUUCUUUUUCUGAUAUUUGGUUCUUGUAAUAUUAUGCAGAGACCGUGAAGGAGAUGUAUGAUAAAAUUCUUGAGUCCGCUAAUAUGAAAAGAACAAUGGCUCCAAACGCAUGGACGUGGUCGAUGAUUGAAAAUUGCAAGAACAGAGAGGAUAUCAGAGCUUCUCUUUGAUGUCUUGCAGAACCUACGUAGAUUUGUCUGUUGACUUCUUGCUCCAUUUGAGAAUUAAAGUUUUAGUUUGUGAGCAGUUGACAAACCAACUUGUUUUUUUCUUUCAUUGGGCAGAUUGUCAAAUCUUCAAAUUCAUGAGAAUUUUAACUGCAACCUUUGUCGGAUAGUCACAAAAGCAUGAGUGCAUGCAAGGGCUCUUGAUUUUGGGGAGCUUUAUCUACACAAGUUGUGUGCCAAGUUCAAAAAUUUUAUAUCUUGCUAAUAUAUUCACCCGAUUCUUCUUCUUCAUUCGAUUGUUGCUAUGUACCCUAUCAUUAGCACAAUCAUUUUGUUGUUAUGUUGUUUGCUCUCACAUGAUCUUUUUACCUAAAGUCUGUCAUGCUCGGAGAACAUAUUCAGUUGCUUAUGAAAACUUUUGACUAUCGCGCUGGUACCGGUAGCUAGUUAUGCUUUUUUGUUUUUUUUCCUUGAUGCAUCAAUUAUGUAAACCGGAAUUUUGUCCUACACGGUUGCUACACGUCUAUUAAGUGUGGGUAUUGAAAUAACAUGACACAUUCUUGCUAAUAGUUUUUCACGUUUGAAUGUGUAAAAGCACAUUCAAUUUAAAGUACAUAGGACAUUGUUAAAAAUGUAUUAACUUGUCUUGUGUGAGUAACAUGUUAACUUGCUCGACAUGCUUCAAUGUGUUUAAGUGGUAAAAAGGUCAAUUUAUUUUACAUGUACAAACUUGUUAACUCAUUGAUGACUCAGACAAUUUUAAGCUCAAUCCAACUUAGUAUGUGUCAAACACUUAUUCUGUAAACAGGUCUUUUCGCACAUUGCUGGCUCUGUAGGACUCUGAUUUAUUGAAUGACACCUCCACUUCAAGUUAUUGAAUUCAUUGUUGAAGCUUGGCAAAGAGCAUUCACUUUUUGCGGACUUGUUUUUAUGAACAUCAAGCUUCAGUAGUUGUCAGUUCAACCUGUUUCUAGUAAUUAAGCUCUUCAUAAUUUUCAAGCAAAAUAAAUCAAAUCAAUCUGCAGUUCCAAAGUGUAGUUCAUGUUAGGAGAUUGCAGCAAUUAAUUGUCACUGGGAGUACAUGAUUUAAUCAGAACCUAUAUCUGUAAAUCCUUAUUUAGGCUAAGAAAUUAAUUCGCAUGGUGCACUUAGUACUUGAUGAUAGAAACUAAGGGUUGACAAAAUUGUAGGUAAGAAGGCCUCGUGGGAGCAUAAUGUCUAUGGAUUGACCCCUACGAUUGGCUAUGCAAACCAUCUUUUGGUAAUGAUGAAGUGUAUCUAAAUCAAAAAAAUUCUUUUUUCCAUUUGUUUUAUUUACACAAUUCUUCCGCUAAGUUGGGGUAUUGCAAUGCAGCAAUAUGCUAAAGAGCACAAAGAUGCCACUCUCAGAAGAAGAAUAACUUGCCAUUGCAACCCAGCACAGCUGAUAGUGUUUUCAGGUUCACUUCCGUGCUGUUUUCCUGAGAAUGAUGUCAUUAUCAUGUAGGAAGCCAUUAUUGCACUUAAUUGUGUGAAAUGUACUACAUAGUUAUCAAGCAAUUUAUCCAAUUUAUAAGUGUCUUUUAUAUAUGAUUUAAUCAACUUGUUUUUAUUUUGAAUCAUUUUGUCUGCACUGCUACUCUCGAUCUAAUAGUUUGCUCAUGUUACUUGACAUCCUUUAUUUCCAUGGAAAAAUUUUGCAGCAUUUGUGAUGAUACAGACAAUUGGGGGUUGCUCACAAAGUAUUCAAAGAGAUUUGUCAAAAAGGGAGUGAAUCUGCAUAAAGCUGCAUUUGACAUCUGGAUGGAGUUUGCUGCAAAAGUAGGUGAGAAACACUCGCUCUGUCUCCCUUCACUGCUCUCAAGCCCUUGCCCCUCAACAAUCUUAUUUUCCAUUUCUCCCCACAAAUAGUUCUCUCAUCUAGGUCCCGCCACUUACUACAAAAGAUGGGAUGUGCUAGAAUAUUUUCUUACUGUACAAUGAUUUCUUUCUCUCCUUAAGCAAAAGGGUAGAAAUAAGAAUUGAAAAGAAUUUUCACUGCGCCAUGUCUUUCAAUGUCUUUGUUUCUUUAAUUGUUCUGAGAUUAUGCUUCUUUAUCCUAUUUAGUGGUUUGACGAAAAUUACCCUUUUCAGGAGACAUUGAAUCUCUAUGGAAAACUGAGAAGUUAAGAUGUGAGUCCAUGAAGCAGCAUACCAUGGGCAGUGGGUUCUCAUGUGCGAAGGUAGUUUACAAACACAAACUGUUGAAAUCACAAAUAUCAGACCCCGAAAGCACUAGGUCUUCUUGCAUUAGAAAAUCUGAUAAUGGGAAAAUAUUACUAUUGCGAUACAGAUCAGUACAAAGUUCUUGGUAAACCAGGUGAGAGGUCUAUGGCCAAAAAAAGCGGGAGUUAAUGCUUGAAUAAACCAAAUUUUGGCUCACAUCCUAGGACAUGAAGCACCUAUGGGCAUGAGAAUGCUCAUUGUCAUCACACGAAGGAGAUAUAACUACUUUUUUCGGUAUUUGGAAGCAUUUAUUGUGGCUUUUAGCACUCUGGUUUAAGAUUAAAAUUUAACCGACUGUCAUUUACUUGUUUUGUGGCAAACUAAAUGGUUUUAUAUUCAAUUUUUUGUGCAGGGAUAUUUACUUGAAGGCAAACCUGAGGAGGCUGCUACAGUCAUUCGCGUCUUGAAUCAGGUGCUCCUCACUUCUCAGAGCAUCUAUAGCUAUUAUUAAUAUGCUCAUCAUCACCAUCUGGCAUGAUUGCAAUCCUAAAUUACCUCAGCCUCUGAACUAGUCAUUCAAUUUUCCAUAUACUGUCAAGGAAUGAAGCAAUUAGUGGAAGAUAUACGGAAUUGUCCCCCGAAAUGUGCUCAGAAAAAUUACCAUGACAUAUCCUCUCUCGAGGGGGACUGGGUGAUUUGGGUUUCGUAUUUGGUGCCUACUAUACUAUUGAAAUAACACGAGUUAGUUCCAUGGAUCCUAAUAGAGUUUGAAAGAUCAUCUCAGACUCCUCCUGAAUUGAAUAAAGUUGGAAAGACACCAAUGUAGGCUCUGUUUGUUCAGAUGUCGCUUCUUAGGUGUCGCAAUGUGAAUGCCUUGGAUUGAUGCCAGAGUAAACCUGAUGCUAAGAGGUCCAGCAUCAUGGUUGAACUUCAAAAGCUUGUCAGUGAGUGGCUUUUCGAGGUCAUCAAAAGGAAGAAAGAAGAUGACCGCAAGGUACUUCCUUUGACUAAAUAUCCAUCACUUUGGGUAGAAGUAGAAAUAUUGCCUGUUUGGAGUUAUAUAUUGCUCUGGUAAUGUUUGAAGAUGACCCGUUGCUGGAUGUAUAUAUGCUGCUUUGAACUAUCUCAAAAUUUUUAAAACCUCUCAUUCUUUUCGCUCAUGUAGGCAUUGGCUGCUUCUCUCAAAUCCGAUAUCCCAGCCAUGGUUAGUUCCUUAUUAAACACGGGCUUGCAGGUGAAAGCGAAUAACCACCGAAGGCACCCUUUGUUAAAGUAUGACAGAAUUGGAGAUUGAAUGCACUAGCUGCAGAUCUGUCUCCUAUGUGGACCGCUAAGGUUGCCAUGUAAGUUUAAACCGAUUCCGCUGAGAAGCAAGACAAGCGCGGUACUCACGUCUCGAGCAACAAGCAUCUGAAGUUCUCUUGUAAAGGUCCCUGAACCAUGAAAAGAUCUGCUCCUUCUUGAUUUGAAUGCUGUCACUUCUGUACUUUCGGAUAAUGAUUUUUUUCUUUCCCAAAAAUAUCUGAAUGUAUUAGAGACGAUAGGUGCAUCAUCAGCAAUUGAAUUCUGAGAACAACCUCGGAUGACUAGUUUUUGCUGAGAGGACUCUUCUGGCUCACAAAUUUUAGAUUGGACCAAAUGGGCAGUUAAGAGAGACAAUUGAUAAGGUGGUCCUUUCAAUUUCAAUCUGAUUUGGCAGCGUUUUGUUAUAUUUCUGACAGAAUUUCGCUGUCCAAAAUUAAGAGAGUGAAUUUUAUGCCGACUCAUUCGAUCUUGGCAUACAGCGACCACCAUUGUUUCCUGAUUUAAUCGGAUUGAACUGUCCAAUCGUGGUGCCAGAGUGCAUAACAUAAAUUACAUGCCUUUUUACAUCAUGAAAGAUAACGAAGAACCUGAAUUACCAGAUUUGGCUUUGGUACCCACAUGCGUAGGUGCGUGCGUGCGUGCGUGCAUUUUGUGCAUAUAAGGUGUAAAAGAGGUGACAAACGCAAUCCUCUAGAAUUAAAACAUGUGCAUUAAUCGUGCGCAAGUUUUAGCAAUGAAUUGACAUAAUUGUAAUAGGUGUGACUUUUUUGAUAAUUUUUCCGUAUUCACACUAAAAAAUUUAGGAUUAUAAUCAGAUUGUAUAGGAUUGAAUUUGAAUUUAUACAAUAAGCUUAUGACUGAAUUUACGAUUCUCCCAACUCAAAUAAUUCUCCCCCUCUUCUAUCUCCUCUCCUCAUUUGUAUAAAAUGGGCAAUGAGGGUUGGCUUAGGUAGUGGAAGGGAAACCAUCCUCCCAAUGACCAUCCUGGAGAAAGUCCACCCAAAUUCAAAUCGCAGGGGAAGAAAACAAACCUCUUCUCACUUUGAAUCACCACACUGAGUGUUGAUUUUAGCUCCUUAAAAUCUUCCUACACAUCCAACCCCUCGGGAUCCUAGCAUCAAGAGACAAUCCUUCCGGAUUAUAAGAGUGAGAGUAGAAGUCACAUCCUAUGAUUUCCAAUCUUUCGCAAGACAUGCAAAUAGAUUUGCGUAUGGUUAAUAUGAGAAAAGAGCUAUCCUAUACACUCGCAUUUAGUUGAUAAAAAGGUUGAUCAAUUUGUAGAUGACAUGCAGCGACUUAAUUUCCAUUCACAUAUAAAUAACAUGUAGCCCAUCCUAGGUUGUGUCAAAGCCCCAAUACAUGUAUUAGAUACUAUGCCAUCUCAAUCCGAAAAAGCAAAAGGGACAUAUUGAUGUUUUCCAAUCAUCACACCUUGAGAAAAGACGACACAUUUUUUACUCUAGCAGGUGAGACAUCCUUCCGACGGUAGUCUCGGAAGAUGAAUCUUGCUUCCGAUCUCCAUAAUCUAGCAACAAUGAUGGUGAUUCCACUGGACUAGUGAGGACUACUUUUAUCUUCCUCUCCUUUAUGUACUUAUCACUUCCUUUAUCAAACAAAAAAUCUAAAAGAAAUUUCUCGAGUUACUUAACCCGAAACAUUAUGGAACAUAUAUUAGUAAAACUUGUCAUGUCAACAGUGAUGUCCUCUUCAUCUGUAUCAGGAACUUGUCUCUGCACCGCAGGACAGGUGGAGCUACUUGUGGUGCUUAACAUGGUAACUGCAUCAAAUAGAAGAUAGGAUGAAAAGCUACUCCAAUUUUUUUGAAAUAUCAGGACAUAGCUUCUGAGGCCUAUCACAGUUUCCCUUUAUCUAAGGUAUAUUAGACUACUAUGGCGGGCAUUCAGAAUCUUAUUCAAAGAUGAUCCUUGCUGUAAUGCGACUGACUCCACCUUAAGCAGUUCGUACCCCAGCAACAAUAUAGUCCAAUUGACAUGUCAUGGCAAAGAAAUUGCAGAAGAAUCUUUUAGCCGAUUCAAGUACCGUGGGCAUGUCCCUCCUCACAAGUAUGUUAGGGGCUCUAAUAAGUAUGUGACAUGAUAUUCCAUGGACUUGAGCUACACGAUUUCGAAUCAGAUGCUCCAUUGGGCUUGAUGAUGCCUACAUUCGGCCACACACAGUAUUUCUUCAAAGACGUAGACUUAACCCAGAAUGCUUUGGAUCUCUAGUAUAGAGUUCAUAUUGUCUCUCCCCAAUAGAGAGCUUUAAAUGCACUGGUGUCCUACUCUGAAAAUUAAAUUACAUCCACAAAUACAAGAUUGAAAGGAAAUUGUUCACCCGCCAUAACCUGAAAAGAGUAAAGCAUGAUCAUGGUGAAAGAAAAGGUCCAAAAAAUCUUCCCCUUGAAAGCAACAUAUCGAUCAGUCUUGUUGCCUAACAGAAUCGAGCAUGAGCUUUGUUUACCCAACUCAACUACAUAGACACGAAGAAGAGGCUUCAGAUAUAAGAACUUAACAGGGUACGUCACGAUAGCAGGAUGUGAUGAAAUGUAACAUUGUACAUUUUCUUUGAAGAUAUAAUGUAGUAAUGCAAUCUCGAUGGAUAUUCCAAAGAACUUACAAGAGAAGACAACUCCUAGUAACUACGGGGUACAAUGGAAAUGAACAUUCAAAGCCUGAGAUUAAUCCUGGGAAAAAUGGAAAAGUAUGGAACAACAAACUUUGAUUUACAUCACAUGAAGCAAGGACAACGUGAUAAGUGAAUUCAAGCAUCCCAUGGAAUUCUAUUGGCACCGGCAGCUUCUACUGAUUCCAGUUCUGCCACAACUAUAGUCCUGGAAGGCCACUCGUUAGGAGUCAUUUGGAGGCAUUGUAAAGCAAGCUGUGCUAUUUGGAAUGCAGAAUCUAUAUAUGUAAGGUAUAGGGAUGGUAUAAAUUUGGUUCCCAUUUCCUGCAGGCUGCAAACAUCGUGAGCCACCGGCUUCUUCCAAGAUAUCCAGUGUUUCUUUUUUGGGUAAUUGGAGCAUCUGCAGAAAUGAAAAGUUAUGUAGGCAAUACAACUGUAGAUUCCAUGCCAAAGGAUUUAAGUAGCUAAAAGGAAAACACACCUCGUAUUUCAUAGAGGGGAUUAUAGUGAACCUCACACCAGAAACUCAACCAAAACUCUGCAUCAAUUGAAAGUAAGGUUAACAAAAGGAAAAACUCAAAAAAUAUGGAGUUUCAAAAGACCAGUUGCACAUUGAACAAAAGCAACAGUAGAUCAAUUGCAAAUGUUUACACCUAGGUUUAAAAUCAAUCAAAUAUAUAUUGAGCUGUACCCAAGCAGCUGUCCUAAGCAAGCAAAAGAACAGAUAUUUAAUUUCCCAGAUGAACAACAAGCAAAGCAUCACAAAGGAGGGUCUAUGCGUAUAUGUAUGCAAGAAACACUCUUUUUUCCAAGACAAAUGAGAAGUAAAAUAUCAACUUCACAUUCAUCACAUUGCACUGACUGAUCAUUUGACCCAACAAAACAACUAUGAAGAAGACUAGCAAGCAAUACCCAAGACAGAGGGAACUUAUAAAUCCGAUGGCCCAACAAUAAUCAAGCUAUCAGUAUCAAGAGGUUUUAGACCUCCUUCAGGCUCUCCAACAUCAACCAAAUAAGCAUUGAACAUCAAUGACUCACCGGAACAAUUAACUUCAUCAUUCUUCAAAAUUAUGCAUUUUGACAGCUGCUCGCUGCCAUCAUAGGGCAUUACCUAUCAUAUAUCCGACCAUCAAUCACAGCAUGGACUAAUCUACUCCAAACAAGCUCAAUCACGGAGAGUAUUACAACCAAAAGCACAGAACAUAACAAUCCAUGAUGAUAGAAAAAAUGAAACCCUAGGCAGCAUCGAGCUGCUGCCAUUAAGUUUGAUCAAGCAAGCCAAAUAUGGGGGAAAACGGUAAUAAAUCAAUAGCCACUGCAAUUUUGACACAGAUUAGCCAAUCAAACCAAAUCAUGUCCAAGCCCAAUCAAAGGCAACUAAAUUGCCCACCAGGUUGAGCUGGACAUCACUAGAAGAGAUUAGUAGUGAAAGCAAAGGUACCUUGCUGGUGGAGGUGCAGAGUGAGAGGAAGCCGUCGCAAUAGACCUUGCGCUUCAGCUUCUGCUUCAGGUGCUUCUUGAAGGUGACAUUCCAGCACACACAGACUCAAGCACAUAACUCAUUUCAUCAAACACCAAAAUUGCACAUGAUCACCAAACACUGGACAGGCAAAACUUAGAUGGUUCACACUUACACGAAGCAUAAUUCGCACACUAAUUACAAACACAAUCCAAAAGCAGUUCAGGAUUGAAAAAGAAAACAAGAGCACAACACCGAUCCGCUCCUAGAACCUGUAUUGCCGGCUCAAAAUGCAGGCGUUGAGUCCAUCACAGAGCUGAAAGCUCUGAUGUAUUCAUCCGUGGGAUUCUGCUGAGUCCGGAUGUUCUGUAUAAGGGCAACAAGGAUGGUGAUGCCAGAUUUCUGUCCCUCAAGAUUCCGUUUGAUGCGAUGUUCAUUUUCCUAAUCAAAACUCCAGAGUUAGAGCUUAAGCUGGCAGACUUGAAAUCCAUAUCCUAGGUGCAAUUUCUCCCUCUUAACCCAACCUUGAUUGAGGAUGAGGACCACAAUACCAAUGUGUGCGCAGAAGCUCUCCCUGAUGCUCAUAGAGUUCAACUUGACUAAAAUUUCUGAGAUUCUACACCCAAAGACAGUCAGCCAUUGCUUCAGAUUUUCACUUGGUGAUCUGUCCUGUGCAAAUGUGAAUGAUGUUGAGCUACGGGUGGCUCUGGCAUCGACUCCAGAUAUGGAUCCCAAGUUGCUUUCUCAGCUGAAAGUAGCACAGCGGAUUGGAAAUCUUUUGGAGUUUGUACAUGGGAAGAAUUUGGAAGAUUUUCUCAAAUUGAUGCUUGGCUUGUGCAAAGCUCUUCUUUUAUGAUCACCAGGUUCCACGAAAGUUUUCACGUACAUGGAAGAGCCAACACUACCUGAUGAAAGUUCUUCUGAGGCAGCAAGUAGCAUAUGACACAUAGCUGACUCUGGUGGCAGUGCCAGUGUUUUCCUGGAAUUGAGUGGGUCUCAUGACAGAAACAAUGCUGAUAAUGCUUAUGAAUGCACAGUUCUAGUACUGAAGGCGGCCCCAAGGGAAGGUGCUCUCUUUUCCUUACCAAUCUUUUGUAAGUGAGUGCAAUUCUCAAGUCUCGGCAAGACAGCCUCCUUCUCUACUGGUACAGCAAAUGCUGCAUUCUAUCAGUUACAACUGUAGGCGAUGUUUGCUGCAUAGAAUGAUCUUUGUCAGUGUGCCCGUCAAAGAUUGCUAUGAUUGAAGGCAUCAUUGCUGAGAUAAAAUAUUCUGGUGCUGCUGUUCAGCCAGUGCUGCCACACUGGUAAUCUCCGAAUUCCAGUGGCUCCCUCAUUUAUGACUUCUCCAUAACAUUUGCAAAUCCCACUAAGAAGCACACCUUUCCUGAAAAAUAAACUGAACUUAAGCAUGGCAAUACAGAGUGUCUAUCUACUUCAAAGUCACAACAAUGAGUUGAUUGUGCUGUAAAGUCCUAGAAUGAGAACCAUAGUUGUAUGACCUUCCAACACACAUUCCAUCUAUUUGUUUACAGCAUAGCAAAUUUAUCUCCCAUGCAAAGUGAGGUUAUCAAUUUCAAAAUAUGUGUGAAGCAGCAAAUCAACGACGAUCUCUAAUAAGUUGUUACAUAUCAAAUAAAAAUGAUGCAAUCGACAUGCAUAUGUCACGGACCGAGAGAAGGCCGAUCCGUGAGGUUCCCCGAGGACGACCCCGACUCGUCCAUGGAAGACCUCCUACUCCAACUCGGGUUCCCAUCAAAGCUUCUCCCUGAAGCUUCCAAGGGAGGACGACACCGUCAUUUUGCCUGACUCUAGAAGCUUCCGUUAUUUAUGUCGGUAGACGGUAGUUAAAUAUUUAUGUCAGUAGUUGAGGCGGUGCGAUCUCGCCCGUCAGAUAAAAAGUAGAUCAACGGAUGUAAACCGAGGCCCUCAACUAUAAAAAGGGGUGCCCUCCUUCAUUUGUAAUCACCCAACAUUUCAGCAAUACAAAGUUCAUUUCCUUCCAGAGCUCCUCUCUCUUACUUUCUCUCUCAACGAUUCGGGUAAGCGAGCGGGUUAGCGUUCGAUCGAGCAACGCUUGGCCCGGGUAGUCCAAAAUCGCCCGAGUCGCCGCGCGGUCAUGAUCCCAAUUGAUCGGCCCGUGACAAGUGGUAUCAGAGAAAAAUAGAGAUUCGUUUGAGAGACCAAGGAGCGCCAACUGUUCGAAGGAAUGUCGAGCCAAGAAGCUGUCAUGGUUGGAGAGACCGUGCAAGUCCAAGAGGACCGCGGUCGUGGAAAGAAAAGAGACGCCUCGAGGGACGUCAUAGCUGUGUUCGAUGAGAAGAUCGCGAAUGUCCGGAGCGCUGUGCACGAACUCAUGGAAGGUCUUGACGACGUGCGAGACCGGAUCAUGGAGGUUGACAGUUCACUCUGUGAAGACUUCACUUCAUGCAUCAAUGAAGCUACCGCGCCAUUACACGACAAGGACGAAACCCUUGAAGCAUCGAUCGAUGUGUUGAAGGAGCGUGUCCAAGUGGUCGAGGAAGAAGCUCCGCGUAGGGACGAGGUCGAAGCCAUGAAGGCCGAGAUCCAAGAGCUCAAGACCGAGCUUGCCCUGUGCAAACUAAGCAUCACCAAUGGUGCUGUGCCGAACCAAGCGGUGCCCAAAAUUGAGGCGCCAAAGCCGAAAGAAUUCAAAGGCGAACGAUCCGCCAAGGAGGUGGACAACUUUGUUUGGAGCAUGGAACAAUACUUCGGUGCCGUCAACAUGAACGACGAGAUGACCAAGGUACGAACCGCGUCAAUGUUCCUGUCUGAUACGGCAAUGCUUUGGUGGCGCAAUAGGUGUGACGAGGUUAGACGAGGCGCUGAUCCCGUGUGCACAUGGGACGACUUCGUACGAGAGUUCCGGGACUACUUUUUCCCCCAGUUCGCUCAACAAGAGGCCCGUAGCAAGCUCCAUCCCUCGAGCAAAGAGGCACGAUCCGAGAGUACGUGAAGGAGUUCACCAAGCUCAAACUCUAGAUUCGCAACCUGAGCGAAGAGGAGGCUCUCGGAGCGUUCAUGGAUGGAUUAAAGCCAUGGACACUUCUCGAGCUCAAGAGACGGGACGUGAGUAGCCUGGCGCGUGCGCUGAGCGUGGCCGAGUCGCUCGUCGACCUCACCAAGACCGAACCAAGGAGUCGACAAAGAGAUUGGAGGACUGAUCGACCUUGCGAGGAUGAAGCUGGAAGAAACACUCCCCGGGCUGCGCAUGAUCAAGGCGGUCGAGCCAAAGCAUGGGGAGAAGGGUCUUCAAAGCCAGCCUUCCAAAAGGGUAGACCACCGACAGACUACGCGAGCAGGUUUGAUCAACCCCCGCCUUCUCCUUGUUUCAUUUGCCAAGGUCCGCACUGGACCCAAAAGUGCCCAAAGAAGGGUCGAAUCAACGCCCUCCUUGCCAUCGAGGAAGAAAAGGAGGAGUCCAAAGAAGACCGACGACAAAUCCGACUUGGAGCCGUGAAGAUGAUCAACUCCGUCCAAGCUCGGUCCCCAACCAAAGGAAAAGAAGCUGCGUCGGACAUAGAAAUGUUCUUCGUGCAAGUCAACGUGUGCGGCCGAACGCUACACGCCUUGGUCGACACGGGUGCGUCGAACAUGUUCAUGUCAAAGGAAGUGGCAAAGGCCUUGAACCUUCGCGUGGAGCCGACCGAGAACACCUUCAAGCCAAUCAAUUCGGAAGGCGUCCAUGGCGUAGGAUCGACUUCGAAUGUGGACGUCAAAAUUGGCGAUUGGAGGGGCAAAAUGGAUUUCGAGGUAAUCCCGCUUGACGAUUACGAUCUCAUUCUUGGUAUGCAAUUUUUCAAUAGUGUGAGAUCCAUGAUCGACAUGAGGACCAAAUGCCUCGUGAUUCUCGAUCCGGAUUACCCGACGACGGUCCCAAUGAUCAAAGGGAUGGUCGACACCAAGACCAUCGCGUCGAUCCAACACCUCAACAAGAGCUUGAAGGCCGUCAUGCGCAUCAACAAGUUUCCAAGGUGAAGCCGAAGGUCAAGUUGGAUCCUACUCCAACAAAUGCCAUGCCAAUCCAAGCGCUCUUCCCCGAGGUUGAGUACGCACCGCAUGCUCCGUCCAAGCCAAAGGCCGAGUCACGUGCCAAAUCCGACUUCAUCAAUGAAGGUUGCGGUCCGUCAUAUGAGAGCGUCCGCACCAAAUGAAACAAGAACAAGAGAGCCCGUGCCAAAGCCCGUGCUCGUGCCAAGAAGGCCAACCUCCGAGCUGUGAGCGACGAGGGCGUCGCUCGAAUGAGUGGGGGAGAAUGUCACGGACCGAGAGAAGGCCGAUCCGUGAGGUUCCCCGAGGACGACCCCGACUCGUCCAUGGAAGACCUCCUACUCCAACUCGGGUUCCCAUCAAAGCUUCUCCCUGAAGUUUCCAAGGGAGGACGACAUCGUCAUUUUGCCUGACUCUAGAAGUUUCUGUUAUUUAUGUCGGUAGACGGUAGUUAAAUAUUUAUGUUGGUAGUUGAGGUGGUGCGAUCUCGCCCCUCAGAUAAAAAGUAGAUCAACGGAUGUAAACCGAGGCCCUCAACUAUAAAAAGGGGUGCCCUCCUUCAUUUGUAAUCACCCAACAUUUCAGCAAUACAAAGUUCAUUUCCUUACAGAGCUCCUCUCUCUUACUUUCUCUCUCAACGAUCCGGGUAAGCGAGCGGGUUAGCGUUCGAUCGAGCAAGGCUUGGCCCGGGUAGUCCAAAAUCGCCCGAGUCGCCGCGCGGUCACGAUCACAAUCCCAAUCGAUCGGCCCGUGACACAUACCUCUAGGAGAAACCAUCCUAAGAAAAUGUAGCAAAAAAAGGCAAACGAAACUUGGAAAAGAACACAAAUACUUGUACAUAAUUAAGAGCCCUCUGGCUGUUCGGAGGCAUCAUAAUUUAAAUACCUUCAUUAGAUUUUCAGGCAAGAAUCCGCUAAAAGGUCAUUAAAAAGUGCAUGCAAAACUUCUCUGUUCAUAUCUAUGAAAGAAUUUGAUUGCCAAAAAAGGAAAACAUUGGUACUUACCUCAAUUUGUUUAAGGUUUGAACACAAGGGAACAAUUUGUGGUCGUGCAUCAAAAAGCUUCCAAGUGCAACGUGCACUUAUUCAUCUUCUUGCCCAUUAUCCUCUUACAUAUCUUAGUAUUCUUGUUACAUAUCUCAGUAUUCUUGCCCAUCGUCCUCUUACAUAUCUUUGUAUUCUUGCCCAAACCAGUAAUUUGUCUUCUUCAUCAUCUUAUCCCACAAAUUUGAUUGACUUCUCCGAGCAAAGCCGAGAAAUUUCCUCCGCUGCUAAUUUCCCACAACGUCUUAUUGUAACCUCUUGCAGUCCCUUCAAGCUUGAUAGAUCAGACAACUUCUGUAAAGAUCCACACCAUUGAAUCCACAAUGUUUUCAAAGAUUGAGGUAGUUCGCCUUGAAUCUCAACCAGAUUACCGCAGGAUUCAAUGUUCAAGUAUUCCAAAGAUUGGGGUAGUUCAAUCUCAACCAGAUUACGACAAUAUUCUACUGAAAGAUAUCUUAUUCCAUCCAUAUUGCUUAGAUCAGGGAUCUGUAUAUUCAAACCUUUGAUUGUGACCCAUCGCAGUCUCUUCAAGCUUGACAGCUCAGGCAACUUCUGUAAAGAUCCACACCAUUUAAUCCGCAAUGUUUCCAAAGAUUGGGGUAGUUCGUUUUGAAUCUCAACCAAAGAUCCACAGCUGUCAAUAUCCAAUGUUUCCAAAGAUUGGGGUAGUUCGCCUUGAAUCUCAACUAGAUUACCGCAUGAUUCAAUAUACAAUGUUUUCAAAGAUUGGGGUAGUUUGCCUUGAAUCUCAACCAGAUUAUGACAAGAUUCUACUCUAAGAAGUGUUAUUCCAUCCAUAUUGCUUAGAUUAGGGAUCUGCAUCUGUUUAAUGCCAGAAAGCUGCAACCGAUUUCCACUUAAAUAUUCAAAAACCUGAUUGCCACUAUGCACAUACACAUAAACAUGUGUCUUACCCAUUAUGCUGAACGGAUCGGGGAACUUUUGUAACGAAUCACGGGAACCAAUUUUAAGUUCAUCCAAAAAUCGUGGUAGUUCGCCUUGAAUCUCAACCAGAUUACAACACCCCGAUACUGUAAUACGCCUUAGCUUGUUUAACUUGCUUAGAUCAGGUAGCAUCGCCAGCUGUACGACGUCCCGAAGGCGGAAAUCUCGUAGGUUCUCCAAACAACCAAGGCCUUCAAUCUUUGCAACUGCAGAGCAGCAAAUGUCGAGAUCCGAUAGUUUCCUCAAAUUCGAUAGAUCCAUCGAGCCAAGUGAGUCGCAACCAGAGAGACGUAAGACGGAUAAACUUGAGGGAAGCCUCAGGAGGAGAGGCGGAUGAGGAGGGAGGCUGAGGUCUAUCGAUGAGGCGGUCCCCCCGAAAAAGCACAGUAGCAGAGAUUCCAAUUUGCUUAAGUUCCCAAUCCACCAUGGUAUCCGUUUUUCCAGGAGCCCAUAAGAUUUCCCAUCACAGUUAGGUGGGCCAAAGCCCAGAUGCAAUACCUUUAAGUUAGCGAGAUUUGAGAGAUCUGGAAACGUGUCCACCCUCAACUCCUCCACUACUAAUUCGAUGAGACUUUCAGGAAACCUUGGUAGGGCGUGUACUCCCGGCCAUCCCAAUAUCUUUUCCCAUGAACGCCCGUAUAAGCAAUAGCCACUUAUUGCGUGGGCAUGCGUGACAUGAUUAUAACGGUCGGCGAUUUCCAUUCCCUUGACCUUCCCCAUCUUCUUACAAGCAUCAUUGUUCGUUCUGUUUUCGAAACCAUUCUGCAUCUUCAUUACUUUCAAAUUCUUCGACAUUCCAAUGGAAUCGGGUACUUCUUCGAUGCUCGUAUGACUUAUGUCCAAAGUUAGCAAAUCCAAAUUUCUAACCAUCUUUGGAAGCCUCUGAAGAUUCCAACAAUUGCUUACAUCUAAGAAAAUUAAGCGUUUCAACUGACAAAUUGAUUCAUCAAUUUCGAUUAAUGAUUCACAGCCUGAUAAGAUCAAAUGUUCUAAAUUUAAAUGAGCAAAGAAGUUGGGGGUUCUCUCCAAGCAUUGGCAAUGGGCCAGAUUCAGAACUUUCAAAUUCUUAAUCCCCUGUGAAAGAAAAAUCAUGCACAGAUUACUUUCAAAUUUAAUGAGAUAGAAGAACAAGUAUCGUCUAGCAUAUGACAUACCUUCAUGUGGCUCCACCCUUUCCAAUCAUGAGUAAUUUCACUCCGAGAUAGAUCAAGGAUAGUCAAAUUCUCUACGGAGAAAUUUGCAAUCUCAAAUGUUGGGUGAAUAUUAUGCCAAGAAAGCCAGCGUACUUCUGGAAGGAGAUUUGAAUCCAAAACAUCAGUUGGAAGAACACUUGAUGGCCCUUUGUGCUGAAGAAGCAUCUUUUCUACACAAAAAGUUUGCUCCGAGUCAUCAACUUCAAGGAACCUUAGCCUUGAUAGGCUCUUAAAGUCAUUGUAGGUAAAACCAUGCUGAUGGUCCAAGCGGAGGCGAAGAGCUUCAACUUUUUUCUUCGUCUGCCCAAAGGAAAUUUUUUAAAAACAAGAGAGUUGAAGGGAAACACAUUUAGCCAAAUUCACUAUUUUAAGGGACUGAGUUGAGUACUACCGUUCCAUUAAUCUUAAAAAAGCAAAAAUGUCCAUAAGUAACUUGGAAAUUAAUGCACAGGGGAUUUUACCUUAGGGCUCUUCAACAAAUCCAACGCUUUCUCACGAUCCCACACCCUACUUUGUUUAUUUAUAUUGGUUUCUUGACAAACUAUUUGUCUUCCAAGGUCUCUAAGUUGGUCGUGCAUCCACACCUUAUUAUCCUCUUUAAUCUUUACCAAAGACAUGUUCUCCAAAACAUCCAUGGCAUAUUCCGGAUGGAAUUCAAAUUCCCAAAAAUGAACUACAAUGUCUUUAUCAUAUCCAAUUAAAAGACAAGCUAUAUCAAGGAACUUUUGCUUUUCCUUUUCUUCUAAUUCAUCAUAACUUAUUUUCAAUCUACUCUGGACAUCCUUAUGAGGAUCACUUUCCCACUUACGUAAUUCGAAAUCCCACUUUUUCUUUUCAGUAGUGCAAGAUAAAAGUGAACCCAUGAGCUCAAGAGCUAGUGGAAGACCUCCAGCAAUUUUUAUCGCCCUCUCGGAUUGGUCGAUAUACUCGUCCAAAGGAUGAUCUCUUCUAAAGGCAUGUUUGCUAAAGAGUUGAAGAGAUUGAUCGUGAUCCAUGCCCGAAAGCUCAUAACAACUGUCCACUUUAAGAACAUCAAGAACUUCUUUGUUUCUAGUAGUAAUAAUAAUUAUGCUCCCUUUACCAAACCAAUCACGCUCACCAACAAGUGCAUCGCUAUGAUUCUUUUCAUGUACAUCAUCGAGAAGGAGGAGGACUCUUUUGUUAGACAACCUGGCUUUGAUGGUAUUAAUCCCAUCAUCAAUGUUUCUUAUAUCGGUGCAUUUGUCUUUGAGGAUGUCGGAGAUGAGCUGAUUCUGCAAAGAUUCAAUGCCCUUGCGUUCUGACAUUUCACGAAUGCUGGACAGAAAGCAACAACCCUCAAAUUUUUCUAAAAGCUGAUUGUAGAUGAUUUUGGCAAUUGUCGUCUUUCCGAUGCCACCCAUCCCAUGAAUUCCUAUAAUCCGUGUUUCACUUGUCUGAGCACCUAUUUGUUCCAUGAUUUUACCCACAUGGUCGUCCAUAUUGACCAAGUUGUUUGAUACCACCAAAUAAGCCUUUUUCAACUCAUUGAAAACCUUCUGCGUGAUUGUUUUUGCAAGUUGACCUUCUUGCCUAUUGUUUGUUGAAAGUCAAAAGGCAAUGAGUUAGAAAAUUGAGUUAAGCCAAACUAUGCUCUGACAAGACCAAAUUCAAAACUACAGACCUAUUCUAAAUGCGUUCCUCAACGAUUUAUACCGUUUUGAUAAACUAGCACUAGAACUUAGGGUAAAUGAAUGACCUGAACUAACGAAAAAUGUUUCUUGUUGGGAAUGAAAUGGGACAAAAAUUGGCAUUGUGAUAUUAUUUAGCGUGAUUUUGCUGCAUAAUUUCAAUUGCAUACAAUUCAAUUUCAACAAGACUAACACAAAUCUAGAAAAGAAACCAAUUAAAAUGCAUCGAGUUUAAAGAUAUAAGGCACAUGAGAUGGAAUCCUAAAAGCAGUCACCUGUUGGGCAUGCUUUGCAGGUCCCAUCCAUUUACAUCCGCGACUGUAGUGAGAGCAUUCUUCCACUCUGCUAUAGUCUUUUCAUCAUAUCGCCCCUUUGUUUUGUGUGAAACAAGAGCUUUUUUAAAACUCCCGAUUUGGUGUCGAACCUCCGAAGGUGUCACAUCAUAAAAAAUGGGCAUGAUCUUUUGUCCUUCAUUUGUCUGGUGCUUGACCAUCUGAACUAGCUCCUUGAGACACCAUAUGCUAGAGGCAUAAUCUUUUGAAAAAAUAGGUAUUGAGAUCCUUGAGUGAUUGAUUGCUUCAAGAAGUUCUGGGGCAAACUCUUCUCCAAUGUGGAGGUCUUUGUCGUCCUUAAAUGUGCGGAUUCCCACAUUUGUAAGGCUAGUGUAGAGGUAGUCGGUAAAACCUGAUCGUGUAUCUAGCCCUCUGAAACUCAAGAAUACCUCAUAGUCAUGUCCGGAUGAUGUUGCAGUUUCCUCAACUUGUGGUGUAGUGCAAGUACGAGCAGCCCUCUCUACGAUACCAUUCUCUGUAGCUGAAUCAUUAUCUGUACUGCCCUCCACAGCGGUCUAACCUGCUCUUUUCUUCAGGAAUCCUUUGAACAGGAUGGCAGAGAGAGAUAUGGCAGCAAUUGUCACCAUACAGGGCAACCGCAAGUGCUCAAGCAUUUUGUGAGUUAGCAAAGAGAAUGUUUUUAGUUAGAAAUACAGGGGAUGGUGGAACAACAGAGAUGAGAGGCAGCACUUAAAGGUCAGGAUGGAGUAACGAGCAACGGCGAGCCCGCGAUGGCGAGAGACCGCCAGAGAAAGAGUAGAGAGUGAGGCGAGGGCGGCCACUGAUGCUGCGACGGAUCGGCAACGAGGCUGCAACUGCAAGUGAGGAAGGGCCGAAGGCGAGGCGGAGGAGGAGGAGAAGGAUCGAGAGGAAGAGGAGAGGAAGGGGGUCGUGUGGCGAGGAGGAGGAGAAGUAUCGAGAGGAAAAGGAGAGGAAGGGGGUUGUGCGGGUGCGGCGAGCGGCGAGAGGAGGAGGAGAAGGGGGCGCUAGCUAGGGUUUUGGAAACUCAAAAAGAAUAAAAUAAAGAGGCUGAUGGGGGUGAAGUGACAGCCUGUCACGUGGGUGGGGGAGGGGAAAGGCAAGCUGGUUCAUGAUGGACCAUUGGUAGUCCAAGUCUUCGUAGACUUUGACUUGGGUCAAUCAUUUGUUUCAGUCUUCUUGCACCACCCACAAGCUGUUUUGUCUGAUUUUUUUUCUCUUUCUAAGAGUGGUAGCUCAUGCUAAUACCACGUUAAGACGAGGCACAUGGAGCUUAGGUUUUGGAUUGUUGGCGUCCUUAUCAAAAUCACAUCAACCCAUCUCACGCAAUUCUUAAUCUAGUGAAUGUAUUUUGAUGCAAAAUUAUAUGUAUGCAACACAUUCCAUUUCUAUUUAGUUAAAUUAGAUGAUUCCAACUUUUUCAUUGAUUGAUGACAUGAUUGACUAAAUUUUUAAGAAAAAAGUUUUUUUUGGACAUAUAGUGUUUCAUUGCAAGUAUUUUUCUAUUUUUUGAAUUGAUUUUGUGAUAACUAAACAUUCCAUGUUUCAUAAUAGAAAACAAAAUCUCUCUAGAACUGGAGGUGUAAAAUUGUUCCAUUUUGUAAUUCAAUGUUCAUAAGUCUUUUCAAGCAUAAAUCCGAGUUAAAUCCGAGUGUGACAAAAAAAAAUUAAGAUUGAAGUUAUUAAAUCACAUGACUCAAUGAGUUAAAAGGAAGAAUCUUGGGAAGAAUCAAAUUUCUUGAAUUGAGAUUGAUGGAAGAUCGAAUAUGUUCUCUGAUAGCUUUAGCUUUCAUUAUCACUCCACUGAAAUUUUGUUUUAGUAAAACCAAAAUCUCGUCCCAAUUUUUUUUUUUUUUUUGAAAUUAGACACCAUCCAUUUGAAUCAAAAUUGAGCUUCCUCCAUUAGCUCAAAAGCUCGGGAAGAAGAGAAAAUAUGUGGGAUCCCAUUGCCUAAUUCUUAGUCUUUUUGAAGGAAAAAAAAGACUUCUCAUACAAAUGUGGGCCUUAAUUAUUGAGACAUUUUUUCCUUUACCCUAGAAUAUGCAGAGAGUCAUGGGCCAGUUUUGCUGCAGAAUUGAUCGACAAGGAUGCUUCCUUGCAGCAUCAUUGUGGCCUGUCAACCGUGACAAAUAUUACGUUUCUUAACGCGGAAAAUCACUAAACUAUGUGGUGCAGAAAUUUUGGGAUGAGAAUCUACUUUUACCCCAAAAUAAUUCAUUUGAAGUCAAGUCAACAAAAGCAGACACGGAACUUCCAAAACAAGUUCGUUUCCCCCAUCCUAAAUAAGGUGAACUCCGAUCGGUCUAGUUUAAUGGGUUGAUUAGGCCCAGGCCCGGAAUAGCUUUGAAGCAUAAAGCCUAGUGGAAUUAUUGGGCUUGAUCUUCGUCAAAGCACUCCCUAGUGAUCAAUUGAAUUAAGAAAAGAUCACAUUUUAUUUCGGAGGUGAACCAUCCUUCGCAUUUAACCUGUCGUUAGUGUCAAAAAUUGCUUGUCACAAAACGUUGUAGUUGGACAUUAAAUCCAUGCAUUGUGCUGAUUAUUAUACAAAACAUUACUAAAAUAGAGUACACAAAACCAAUGUGUAAGCACAGUCUUGUGUCGUAUUAAAACUUUGAGCCACCAACAAGUGUGAUAAAUAAGCUCACGAACAUGAUGUGACCUAUUAGCUCUCAUUUGGAAUUUAACUCAUUUAGCAUUUCCACAUUCACGAUUGAACUUGAAAGCCUCUAUGAGGAUUGGGAAAAGUUUAGUGAAGCCUCUUGACUAUAAUGAUUAAAAAAAAAAUAUUGACUCCCCCUGAAUUCAAGUAUGAAAAUUUUCUAUUUUAGAUAAUGUUUUCGGAGGUAUGACUCUUCGCUCUCUCAGUUAAUGCAUGUGGAUUAUCUAGCGGAAAAAAGAGGCAAAAAUGAAAGAACUUAUGGACAACGUGAGACUAUUCCAUGUUAAAAUUUGAAAAUCAGAAAAAAAAAAUAGCCACACUUCUAUUAAUUUGAAAUUAAAUGAUUUGGGUUGCUAUUUCAGAUUUACCUCGACAUUAGAUGAUGUCAAACCAAGUCCAUUUGCAGCUAGAAACAUUUUUUUAGUAUAAUUAAGAAUCGGAAUGCCUCCUCUUCAACUUCUAUGAAUCCAACUUAAGAGCCAUGCUUUACUUGAAAAACAAAUUGGAGAUGCGUUUACGUUGUAGAGUAUUCAUUUUCUUCACGUCGCAAUUUUGUGUUGGUUAUUGUCAUAAAGGUGAUGCUAUAAGUGCUAAUAUACUUUCACACACAUUGUAAUAGCUACUUUGACGUAUACGGUAUGAUGAAAUUAUCGUUCUCUUGCAUGAAUAAAGCAAAAAUGAUGCUUAGCUCUUCGUUGGUUGAUCUCCAACUUGAAGAGUUUGCUUUUACAUGGAAAUGAACAAAUAUUGGACAGGGAAGAAAAAAGGGGAAAAACUCAGGUCUAAGCGCAUAUGGCACCAAAAGGAAAUCCGAUUUCGAUAAGACUGGAUAUGAAUUGUAGUUCAGAUUCAAGUUGAUUCAGGGAGGGCGACCGCAAAAGUCACCGAAUGGGUCAAUCUUUUCCUUCAGUUUGUCCUAUUUAAUAAAAUAAAAAAGCGUGGGAAGAUGUUGCAGAUGUCUAGGACGGACACGACUUCUUGUAACACUAGAAAACCACUAGAAGAUACCCGGGACCAAAGCAUGUCGUGAAAGAAGCACAUUGGGGCAUUGACCAAUUUCAUAUAGUAAGACAAAGCAACAAAUUAUAAGGUAUCUAAAAAUCACCACAUAAUAUAUCGACAAAAUAUGGCAUUUGGAAUUUAUAUAAUUUGACCCGACCUCACUAGGUAAGUUAAUUAGCAAAUCAAGCCAUUGAAACAUAUAAACCAAACCAAAACAAAGAAGAUCUGAACAAGGUUAUUUGCAGAAAUAUAUCACUAGUCAACAUGCAAAAGUGCACAAAAAAAGAAGAUUUACAUAAACCUCUUUGUAAGUCAUAUGUUUAACAGGAUAGGAAGCACUUCUUAUCAGAUAAAAAAAGUACUCAACAGGGCAGCUGUCCAUUUUUUUUUUCUUUCGCAGAAAUUUGCCAAGUUUGAUCAAGCAACUCCAUAAUGUGCUGAGUUUCCAAAUCUCCCGUGGUGAAGAAUGCCUAUUUGUUUCAAUUUCCUCCACAUUGAUACAUCAGAAACAUCAGGAUAGAGUUGCCAGAGAAGAUACGCAAAUUGUCCAGUGAUUCUGGUCAACCAGAUUACCACAAUGAUCUAAAUGAAAAUCCAUUAGUUUCUUCAAGCCACUCAGUCGGCCAAUUUGUCCAGUCGGUUGAGUUUGUUCAGCUCCAAAUUCCAGAUUUAGUCAGGUGGCAUCUUUAUCCACUUGCAGUUUCUCAAAGACUAGCGUUCAAGGCUUAUGAUGGUAACCAAUCGACUCGGGAAGCUCCAAGAUCCCAGCUCCUUACAGAGAAAGCCUCAACAGGGAAGUCGGGUAACUGAUCGAAGGUUUUGUAGUCGGUGAGGAACGAUGGCAAGCACAGAGAAUUUCUAGACUCUUCAAUCCUUGACAUUCAAGCAUAUGUUUCAUUGAUGUCCCAUCAAUCAAGGGUUCUCUCAAACAUUCCAUUUUACUAGGCUCCUAGGGAGAUGGUGGAGAUCAAUCUUUCCAAAUUCACAUGUACCUGAGGUCUAGCAUCUAACAGAACCAUUUUGACAUCGAAAGGUCCACCUGAUCUGACUGAAUUGAGGUCAUAAAGCAAUCCCUUUUAAGGCAAGUCCAUGUCAGACUUUCCCCUUCCAUCUUGGUAGUUUGUAGAUGUACAUUUCCGAUAAGUUAGGGACUUGUUUGUCCAUCUUGGUAGUUCUUACAAUACUCUGUUCGUGUGAAGUCCUCUGAGAUGCACUAAUCGAGAUAUACUCCUUUCAUCAUUUUAUUCAAAUCAUUUCACUGUUCCCGCUGCUCCAUGGUUUAUAGCAGCAUCGUCAUAUGGACUACCCAUCUCCACUGAUCUUACUUGUGCUUAGACUCCUCUGGAAGAAAUAUUUGAACAGAACAGCAGAAACAACGAUGGUAGCAACUGUCACCACACACAGGACAACCUCAAGUGCGUCAAUCGUUUUGCGCCAGCACAAGUGGUCCACCUUGGCAGAAACAACAAUUGUUGUGCUGCUGCUAUUGCUCCUCCUCCUCGGAGGCAUGGGACGACGCCUGCUGGUUCCAGCUUGGUCGUCACUGCUCGUUCGAAAGAGAGGCCGAAUCGGAAUCCGAAGUGACGAUCCGAAAUAAAAAUGGGAGGAGGAGAGAGUUGGAGGGGGAUGGUGGGAUAUUCGACCUGGCCUUGCUGCCUGACGCAACCAAUUCUUAACGUUGCAGUCUCACGUACACUGGAAGAUUAAGUUUGAACCAAAACUACUCAGUUCACGUACGUAUACAGGCCUGUCAUUGCUGUCUUACCAGCGUGCUAGAAGCCUGGAAAUACCUUCAUAUGAGGUAGCAAUAUAUGCAGGAUACAACCUCGCCAAGGAUUCGCUCACAAUGUGAUUCAAAUUAUUCAAUUCAUGGAAAAUAGUGUGACCCACCUAUUGUUAAGUCACCGCAUUUGGGGGUGGCCUACAAUUUUUUCACGUUCAUUGUUCUUUCUUUUUCAAAUUGUUUCACAUGAAUGAGUCGUGUAUGAAUUUGAUAAAAGCACGAGACGUGUAUAAAUCUAUUUUGUGCUUAUUAGCACCUAAGUUUGACGAGUGACUGAUUUAUUAACACUGGCCAUAAAUGAAGAGAUUUAGGGAUUUUUCUUUGCAAAAAAGUUAUUGUUACACCAUUUACGCUCUUGAAUCACACCUUGUUCUUCACUUUCUGUUGUUGUUUUGUGUUCUAACUUCUCUGUAUUUUGGAAUAACAUGAAUUUUCAGAUUAAGCUUGAAUCUGAAAAUAUUUGACUGGAGAAGUUUGCCAUCAUAAUGAAGUAAUUGCAAUUUCAUAUACCUCCACUAAUAUAAAUAAACAUUAUACCAACUAAUUGAACUGUAGAGCACCCAUUUGUCCAACAAAAUGUCUCAUUCUCUUUGGCUAAAAUACAACAGAAGGCAUCCCCACGAAAUCUUUCUAAAUGUUCCGAUUAUAGCAAAACUUACUUCAAUGCUCUAAUGCACACAACGUAAAUCACCGAAUGUGACAUUGAAAAUGCCCAUUGACAAAAUAAGAUCCCAAGGGCAAAUCGGAAAGAUCGUAAAGAAUCUGGAAUGGAACAGAUCGCGUUUGAGGGUGAUGGUUGUUCUGACAUGCUUGAUUGCUGCAAAGUGAGGCGAUACUCAAGCUUUUCAAGUUCAAGAGAUUGGAAAUGCUAUCAUCAGCUCGUCGCUCGGUAUGAAUAUGUAGACAGAGAAGAAUUUCUAGGAGUCUUGGCACUUGGGGGUAUCUCAACACAUGUCGGUUUCAAAAUCUUCCAAGAUGAACAUCUCCAGAUAUCAUAGGAAUUUUUUAUUAGCAAAUUUUCACUAAGCUUUGCAUCUAUUUUUCUCGCCUUUUAUGCUUCCAUUUUGCACUAGUUAUCAUUCUGAUGACAGAGAACCUCAUCUUCAAUACUUUCAAAUACUUCAUGUUCUCGAUUUCAAAAAAAAAAAAAAAAAAUACUUCAUGUUCUCGACCAAACCAGGCAGCUUCUCUAUGUCCAUGUUCAAUUUAUCGAACUCAACAAAUGAUUCCAAAUUCCAGAUUGAGUCCAGUAGUGUCUUUAUUGACUUGCAGUUCUUGAAAGACUAGUGUUCGAGGCUUACGAUGGAUCCACUUGAGUUGGGAAGCUCCACGAUCCCAGCUCCUCACAGAGAAAGCCUCGAUAGGGAAGUUAGGUGACAGAUUGAAGGUUUUAUAGUCAAUGAGGAACGAUGGGAAGCACAGAGGACCUGCAAGCUCUUCAAUUCUUGACAUUCAGGCAUAUGCUUUAUUGAAGUUAUACAACAAUCCCUUUUUAAGGCAGUUAAGUCCAUGUCAAACUUUACCCUUCCAUCUUGGUAAUUCGUAGAUGUAUAUUCCCUUUUAAGAUAGAGAUUAUCGAUGUUUGUCCAUAAAAACCAGCAUGCAAAAUUGCAAAUCGAUCAAAGUCAACGUGGCUAGCAAGCUAGUCACCAUAUCUUUCUCCCAAAAAUCAUGUACUUUUAUUCGUGUGAAGUCCUCCAUCAGGUACUAACCGAGUUAUCCAGAGUUAGAUUCAUCUACUAGUAAGAAUACUUUGAGGGACCUUGUUUAGAUUUCUUAUACUUGUUUCAUUGUUUGAUUCCAUCAUUUCUCCGUUCACGCUGCUCCAUGUUUUAUAGCAGCAUUGUUAUUUGGUUUGCCCUCUCCAGUGAUCUUACUUGUUGCUCUCAGUCUUCUCUGCUCCAUGGUCUAUAUUAGCAACUGUCGCCACACACAGUGCAACCUCAAGUGGUGAAUCAUUUCGCACCAGUACAAGUGGUCCACCUCAGUAGAAACAACUGUUGAGGUGCACGAGGAUUGGGGGUGGUCUGACUUGGCCUCCCCGCCCGAGUUGCAAUGGGUUAGGAUUUUUAUUUUAUUUUAAUAAAUUAAAAAGUGUGGGAAGAGAUGACCUACGGUUUUCCAUUCUUGUUGUUACAUAAAGUGUUAUGUACGUUACAAAAUAUCUCCAUUGAGCCAUAACCACUCGAUCUAUCGACAAGUGUGCGAGACUAUCACCAUAACUAAUAUGCCAAAAGCCUGAAAAUCAUUCCACGUAACGUGGUGAAUACCUAAAAUAUUGACAAGUGAAAAGUUUACUCAUGACAUGAUUCGAACUCAUGAAUUAAUAAAAGAUGGCAUGAUCCCUUCAUCAUUGGGUUAUCGUGCUUGGGGUUGGAUUGCGAUUGCGACUUUUUCAUGUUCAAAUAUAUAUAUUUUUUGUGCUUAUAAAAUUUGACUUAAGUCAAAUGAGGAGUUAAUGUGUUUAUGUUACCAAUAAAAGAAGAGGUUUGAUGACUGGUUUCUAUAAAAUUGAUUAAUUUACUCUUCAUAAUUUUCUCUUGAGGUUCACUUAUUAUUUAACUUCGACCUUUUUGUUCUGUGUACUAACUUUUAUGUGCUUUUAUAAACAUUUGACUGUGAAUAUAAAUAUGUGAGAGCCACCAAACAUCGAGCAUGCCACGCAUCGGGGUUCGUAUAUUAUUUUGUUUGUGUGAGUUAAUUGCGAUUUAAGGAAAACAAAUCUUCCACAUUAUUUGAUAAUUUGAAAAUGACAUUUUGUGACUUUUGUUGCGUGAGGUUACAAACUCUUUUUACUUUGAACACAGCCGAUGAAAAAGUCUAAUGACUUUUGUUCUCAAAGAUUAUGGACCUUUUUACUUGUUUAAAUCUUUUACAUGUAAAGUAUUCAAUCCCAAUGAUUGUAUAACUCAUAUAUUAAAUAAGCAAUUAUGAGAUGACGAUGGCAUCAUUUUAUAAGAUAGUGAUUGGUAUGAUCGUAUUCGCACUAAAUAUUUUGUAAAUUCUAAAUAAAACAACCCAGCUCAAACUAUUGCAUAUACGUUCAUCUAAAAAUAAAAUUAAAAACUAUCGAAUCCACUUCCAUAUAAAUUUUAAAGAAAAGAAUUCAUCCGUCCUAAUAAGUCACAUACUCAAACUCUUUUUCAACUUGAGAGAAGUGGGCUCCACAAUCCACAAUUAAGCUCAACUCACUUGUCUUGGAUGUUGAAUAAUAUUCUUUUCAAGUUCGAAUAUUAUUGGCAAAGAAAAAGUUUGAAUAAUUCGAGUUAUUGGAUUGAUUCGAGCGGAAAAAUUUUACUCAAGAAGCUUGUGAUCAGAGGAAGCGCCAAAAGAGGAAGAGACAGGGAGAACGGAAAUUUGUCCAGGAGGACGCCUCAUUUUAGCCAAAAUUCCUUUAUUGCCCUCACGGAAACGACGAAAUCACCGGACGUGACACCGAAUUUGCCCGUCGACAGAGCGAGAGCCCGAGGUCAAAUCAGGAAAAUUCGCAAAUCCGUCGUCCUCUCCUUCUCUUCCCCCCACCCAAAAAUAAAAGCUCGCCGUAGCUUUCGAUCGCCAUCCGCCGCGAAAAUCGCUACGGAGUCCACGAACGCUGCGAAGACCACGAUUCGAAGGUUGAAUUCGAGCAAUGCGGACGAAGACCGCAAUCGAUCUCUCCACCUCGCCGGGCGAUCGCGCCAUUUUGAUUGCGUGAGAUUGGAAUGAUGUUGUUGCUCGGCAGAAUGUGGAGUUGAGGGUGAUGGUUGUUCUGAAGUGCUUCAUUGCCGCGGGUGGAGGCCAGAGGUAAUUGCAAUUCAUGUUCAUGUAAUCAGUUACUGCUCUGAUCCUCCCACUUGAUUGGGAUUGAGAGUCUAGUAUCGACCAUGUCGGUUUUGAGGUUGGACAGUGAGGUUUGUAGCGUGAAUUUGGCGGAUUAGGCAUUUCAGGGUUGGGGGGAAUCGCUGACCGUGUUGUGGAGCUGUAGUGCCUGAUUUAAUGGGGCAUACUAUGGCUGAAUUAUUUGGUUGGAUUAGCUAAGCUCUUGGAUUACUGAGUUUGGAUCAAUACUACAACUGGAAUAUGGUCAUAUUGAUACAAAUAUUUCAUCCUGCUGUUUCUAUUUUGGGGGUAAAAAUUUGUUGAGUGUCUCACAGUGAUUGACUAUCGGCUAUUUGGCUUUUCUCCAGUCAAGUAAUGGACUGUAGCUUGUAGGUUUCAGCGGACAAGCUUUAUGGGAAAGAGGAGCCUUAUGUUGUUUACUCAUUCGCCUUUUGUUGCAUUUGAACAUAUAGUUCUUUAAGUUCACGAACAUGGAUGGCAAAAAUAUACUGAAAUAUUAUUUUGAGUUGAUGUUUCCUUGAAGUGUUCCUCUUACUUGAUUGUCGAAAUAGCUUGCUAGAGACAUAAGAAACUUGCUCUAUUGCUUGUCAUUAAAUGAGUUUUUGACCACAUUUUCAAUGUGAAAUUUUCUCAACUGGUAAAUGCAGAACUCAGAGUGAGGUCCAAGGCUUGUAAAGCUGUUUACAAUCACAUUCUUGCCAUGACAUCGGCGGAGUAUGCAUCUGCUGUAAGUGUUCUUUAUAAGGAUUUUCAUAUUUACCUAGAGCUUGUUGUUGUUAUUACUCUUCAGGUUUCACCAUUUAAAUACAAUAACAUUGUAACUAGAUGCGCAGCUUUUUAUUUUGCAGGUUUAAUGUCAUAUUUGACAGAGCUUGGUAGUUGGACUUGUCCUAGAUGUGAUGGAAAGACCAAGGUAAUUUAAUAUGGUUUGAUAUGACAUUGUUGCUAAGGUUGCCUGAAGAAUGGAUCCUCAGUACAGUAUUAAAUGCCAAUUCUUCUGAUGAGAUUUUGUGGGCAUAUGCUGCCUCCUCUUAUUAGAUUCUGAACUGGUAAUUAAUGCCUUUUGAUAUGAAAGCAGGGGUUUGAAUUCAUUGAAUUGAUAGUGGGCAUUCACCACUGCUUACACGCAGAUUAUUUGGUUGCAGUGGCUUACCAAUCUGCAAUGCUUGCGAUGCCUAUAUGUUUAAAUUGCAUCUAAUAGUUUAUAUCUAUUUCUAAACGUACAUAUAUGUUUCCUGUAGGCAUACGUUGGGGUGGCCAAGGAUCUUAAUGCCGUGAUUAUAGCUUUUAGAGGUGCACAAGAACAUAGGUAUGCAUCUUAACUUUAGCAACUCUUCUCCUUACAAAUGACUUGCAAAGGUUUUGAUGAAAAUUUAAGCUAAGAAGAGCAGCCUCCUGUGAGUGUGUACACGAGACCCAUGGGUCGACUGUCCAUAAGAAGGGAAAAGGGUGAAUCAUUUCCACCAAGAUGCGAAAGUUACCUUUUUGUAAUUUGAGAUUGGUUCAUGAGAAGAUCACAUACUUCACUAAUUUUGUUCUGUGAAAAAUUCUAUCACCUCUCUGUGUCAUUUGAGCUUUUCAGUUAGUGAUUACUUCUUUUUAUGUCUACAGCAUACAGAAUUGGGUUGAAGAUCUCUAUUGGAUAGUGGAAACAGCUUGAUGUACUACCCUGGCAUGCAUGGUGCCCUGGAUAGCUCUAAAGAUGAUUAUGCCUCUUGCAAGCUGUGGAUUUUUCUCGUUUGGAUUGAGUUACAGUCUUACUCUAUUGAUUUCUGCUUGGGUUAAUCAUGGAUUUUACUAUUCUUAUCUUGAUAUGACAAUUCAACCUGGUUUUUUGGAUGCUGUUAUAAGAACCAAGGAUUUAUAAGGGGACAUCAAUUUCAUGGUGACAGAGCAUUCUAUGGGAGGGGCUAUGGCAUCCUUUUGCGGAAUUGAUCUUGUGGUAAGAUAGUUAAAAACUGCUAUGGUCUGGAAUUGUGAAUUUUAUCGUUUUUUUUUCCUAUUGUGUUCUUCCAAUAUUCAGAUGAUAAUCUGUUAAGAGUCAUCUAGAAUUCUCUGCCAAAUCUUUGUUGAAGAGUCUAGGCUCUUUAUGUCGAUCUUGAACUUUCUAUUGCUCUCAUAUUUAUAUUCACAAUUCAUCAUAGACAGCAUCUUGUUUUCUUUCAGUUUUGGUAAGUCAAACCAUAGACAAAACACAAGCAGAAUGGGGUGCAAAUAGCCAUUUAUGCUAACCACCAAUUGUUUAAGUAUCUAGCAAUGUAAAUUGAGUCUUACCCAUAAAGCUAUGGAGCUUCAAGUUGGUCAAAUACCUAAAUAUAGUGGAUAAGGUCACUUCCAACUAAUCAUUACAAGGUUUACUUACUUGCUGGAAAAUUUAUGGAAUUGUCGAUAUGUUUAUGGUCUGGACAUAUAACUUUUUAAAGGACUUGAAGCUCAAGUUAUAUGUCAUGUAAUCUUGAAGUGCUAAUGCAUUUUAAGAUAGAUUAUAUAUCAAUCCUAAAUUUGUGUUUGGUGUACUGUUUCUAUCUAAGUCUCUCUCUAAUCAAAAGAAGCAGCUCCUCUUCAGUAGGACUACAAGGCCAGAUAUGUUGUAGGCUGGAGCCAAUGCUAAGAUGUCUAAAAUAUGCCUUUUUUCUCAGCUUUAUUGGACAGAGUGUUCCAGGGUACAUUUGGAGGCACCUGUUGCUCAACUGGUACCAGAAAUGGUGCCCAAUCCAAAAUCAUGUCCCAUUGAUUCUCUUCUCCAUGAAAAGUGGUGAUUUUUUAGAGUUAAACUUUAUCUUGAAGUCUGAUUACACUCAUGUUCAUGUGGCCUAUGAUAGGAUCAUAGGUUGCAUGGACUUUAGACUAUACCCUUUCUCAAAAUAUUAGUAGCAAGUAUAACAUCUUGUCAUAAAACUUUUAAACGAUUUAAAAUUUUAUUUUUGUUUACUGGUUUCUUGCUGAAAAUUUUGUCGAGCCAAUUGUGACGUCAUGCCCAUUCAUUGCGAUCCUUUUUAAGAUUGACUUUGUCCUUCGCUACUUUUGACAGUAAGUUUUGUAGUUCAAGGGGCAUUUUCACCAUGAACCAAGAAUUUUUUGUUUAUGUUAUUAGCAGGAUGUGACUCACCCCACCAACAUUCAAGUGCUUCUUGUGGAAGCAAUUAAAUGCGCUUCUGUUGUAAAUUCAUGUCCAAUCCCACUAUUCCAUAUUAUUAACACCUUUUUGUGGUGCUGAGGGUGGGUUUGGUUUUGUUGUGUGUGGGGUUUGGUGUUGGGAAACUUAUGGAUGGGAUCUUGACGGAGUUAACGCUAGACCUUCAAUUCUUAUGGAGACAAAGGGCUGUUCUAUUGUUCACCUUUGUAUAUGAAAUGCAAUAUAUGGUUAUUGAUGCAUAGUGUUUUUUUCCCAUCUUGGAAGGGCUAUUGAUGUAUUGACAUUCAAGUUAUUUGGCUGUCUAAUUAUGUGUGCUGAAACUGUCUUUUCCAGACCAGCAUUCGCCUGAUUUACUUAACCGAAACACUUUAUUUCCUGGUUAAUCAUGAAGCACAGAAUAUUCAGGUUUAAACAUUUGGACAACUCUGUAUUGGCAAUGCAGUGUUUGCAUCUUACUACAGUGACUGCAUACCAAAAACAUUACGUAUUCCUCCUGGACAAGAUUUUUUGUCUUAUUUGCCUCCGUACUAUUUUUGGUUCCCACAGAAGACAUACCAUCAAUUCCCUAGAGAGUUUUGGUGUUGAUCUUGACAGAAUAUCAAAUAAAUUAUGGGGAAUUGUUGAUGACUGAAUUUGAGGUUUGCUUUGCAUUUCUUUCAACCUGUCUAACAAGUGAAGUAUCAUAUAUUCCGGCAUUGUAUGUGUCACAAAACUGAUUAGAGAACCCGCAGCAAGUAGAAAGAGAGAAAGAAGGAAGAGAGAAGGAGGAGAAAGAGAACGUAAAAGAAAGAAAGAGAGGGCUGUAGUUUUUCUGUAAUCAGAAACCCUACACCCAUUGUAUUUAUAUUGAAUAUAAAUUGUAUAUAACAAUAAUAUCCUUAUGUAAGUAAAAAAGGAAAUAAAACUCUGAUAAUAAAGGAAACUCAAUUAAAGUAACUUAACACUCCCCCUCAAGCUAGAGCAUAUAGGUCACCCAUGCCUAGCUUGGAACAACCAACAACAAAAGCAGGAUGAAAUAAUGCUUUGGUAAACAUAUCAACAAAUUGAUCUCUAGAGGCAACGUAAGGAGUAGCAACCAUAUUCUGCUUCACAGCAUCACGAACAAAGUGACAGUCAACUUCUAUAUGUUUAGUUCGCUCUUGAAAAACAGGAUUCCCAACAAUAUAAAUGGCUGCUUGAUUAUCACACAUCAUGUCAAUAGGUUGAUUAAUAGAAAAUCCAAGCUGCUGGAGAAGAGAUUUUAACCACAACAAUUCAGCCACAGUAUGUGCCAUAGCACGAUAUUCAACCUCUGCACUAGACUUGGCAAUGGUAGUUUGUUUCUUACUUCUCCAAGUAACCAAAUUACCACCAAUAAAAGUGCAAUACCCAGUUGUAGACCGUCGAUCAUAUGUUGACCCAGCCCAAUCAGCAUCAGAAUAGCCAACCAAAGUGGAAGAACCAUUAGAUUUAUAAAUGAGUCCCUUACCAGGAGAGCUUUUAAGAUAUCGAAGAAUGCGACAUACAACAUCCCAAUGAGCUUUCUUAGGUGACUCCAUAAACCGACUCACCACGCCAACAGCAAAAGAAAUAUCGAGACGUGUAACAGUAAGAUAAAUUAGUUUCCCAACUAGACGCCGAUAUUGAUGCUUGUCUUCAAUUUCUUUUCCAUCAUCAACUCCAAACUUUUGAUUUUGAUCCAUAGGAGUAUCAACUGGCUUGGAAGCUAGUGUACCUGUCUCAGACAAAAGAUCAAGAACAUACUUUCGCUGAGACAAAUUAAUACCUUUUUUACUUCGUAAAACUUCAAUUCCCAGAAAAUAUCUAAGAGUUCCCAAGUCCUUAAUCUGAAAUUGCUGCUGAAGAAAUGAGUUAAUCUCAAAAAUGCCAGUCACAUCACUACCAGAGACAAUUAUAUCAUCCACAUAUAUCACAAGAAUGACUACCCCCGAUUCCUUCUUGCGAACAAAAAUAGAAUGAUCAGAAUAAGAUUGGUGGAAUCCACAUCUGGAAAUCACCGAACUGAAUUUUUCAAACCAUGCUCUUGGAGACUGUUUCAACCCAUAAAUUGCCUUAUGUAGCCGACAUACUUUACUACGAUUCUCCCCCUGAGCAACAUACCCAGGAGGUUGCUCCAUAUAUACUUCUUCAGACAAAUCACCAUAAAGAAAAGCAUUUUUGAUAUCUAAUUGAUAUAAUGGCCAAUCGAAAUUCACAGCAAGAGAAAUAACAACACGAACAGAGUUGAGACGUGCCACAGGGGAAAAAGUCUCAAAAUAAUCCACUCCAUAAGUUUGAGUAAAACCUUUAGCAACGAGUCGAGCUUUAAGACGCUCGAUUGAGCCAUCCGGAUUGUACUUGAUAGUGUACACCCAACGACACUUCACCACAUCUUUCCCAAGGGGAAGAUCAACUAAUGACCACGUUUGGCGAGAGACUAGAGCUUCCAUUUCCACAUCCAUAGCUUUCUUCCAUUCAAGGCGAGACAAAGCCUCAGUGGUAGAAGUAGGGAUUGUGUGAGUUUGUAAUGAUAGAGCAAAGUCAUGUAAUGGAGAAGGAAUAUGUGAGAGAGACACAUAACGCUCAAUAGGGUAAGCCAAAGAGGAUUUUUGUGUGCAAGACCGAGUACCUUUGUGAAGGGCAAUAGGAAGAUCGUCUGGACUAGGAGACAAGGAGGAAGAUUGAUUGGAGGGCAUUGAAGAGCUUGAGACUAGUGGUGCCGUAGACUGCUUUCGCUGCUGAUACACCUACAAUGGAGGAAAUACUAGAGACGGACUAACAGAAUCUAAGGAGAUUUGUUGUGGGAUAGGAGGAUCAGCUACAAUGUCAGUUGAAAACUCUUUACCCUCAGUAGAAUAGUAUGGUGUGCCCUCGAAAAAAGUAACAUCAGCACUAACAUAUUGAGUAUAAGUUGUAGGAUCAUAACACCGAUAUCCCUUCUGUGUAUGUGAAUACCCGAGAAAAAUACAUUUAGUAGCACGAGGAGAUAGUUUAUCAAAACCGGAACGUAGGUUAUGAACAAAACAGACACACCCAAAGACACGCGGGGUAAGAGAGAAUAACGGCUUGUCAGGAAAUGCAACACUGAUUGGUGACUGAUGAUUGAGGACAAUGGAAGGCAUACGAUUUAUGAGGUAACAUGCGGUAAGGACAGCAUCACUCCAAAAUGAUUUUGGCACAUUCAUAUGAAAUAAGAGUGAACGAGCAACUUCUAGAAGGUGACGGUAUUUUCUCUCGGCCACACCAUUCUGCUGAGGGGUAUAAGUACAACUUAUUUGAUGUAUAAUGCCAAGAUUAGAACAAAACAAAGAAAUUGAUUUCUGUGUAUAUUCUAGAGCAUUAUCUGUUCGCAAAAUUUUCAGGGAUGUAUUAAACUGAUUAGUAACCUCACGAUGAAAUAAUUGAAAAACAUGUAAAAAUUCAGAGUGGUCAUGAAGCAUAUAGAGCCAUGUUAAACGAGAAUAAUCAUCCACAAAAAUAACAAAGUACUUAAAACCAUUUCUACUAGCAAUACGGGAAGGUCCCCAGAUGUCCGAAUGAACAAGUUCAAGUAAAGUAGAUGCACGAGAAUCACUACGACUAGGAAAUGAACUACGAUGAUGUUUCCCAAGUUCACAAGCCUCACACUCAAGAGUAGAAAUUGAUUUACACUCGGGAAUUAUUUGUUGUAACUUAAAUAAAGAUAAAUGCCCUAAACGAGAAUGCCAUAAUAGGGGGGUAAUAGAACUAGCAGCUAGACCAUUGGCGUCAGCAGUGGAGAGACCAUUGAGAUAGUAGAGUCCAUCACAUUCAUGUCCUCCACCAAUCAUCUUCUUUGUCUGAAGGUCCUGAAAAAUGCAAUGAGAUGGAUAAAAUGUAACUGAACAACUAAAAGCUUUAGUUAACUGACUAACAGAUAACAAAUUUAAAGGAAGUUGGGGGACAUGUAAAACAGAGGACAAAGAUAAGGAAGAUGUAAGUGAAACAGUCCCUGAUCCAACCACUUGAGUCGAUGAACCAUUAGCUAAAAUAACUUCGGAUGAAGGACUAGAAUUAGUGUGGGAAGAAAAUAGUUCUUGCUUACCCGUCAUAUGACUAGAAGCCCCCGAGUCAAUGACCCAAGAGGCGUUAGGAGACAAAGUAGAGAAAGAGGCCAUGUUACCUGUACGUGCAAGAGUAGCAGUGGAUGAGAAAUUGGAAGCCUCUAGUUGUUUGACACGUUUGAUGAGUUGUGCAACCAUAUCAUCUCGAGUCGUAGACUCAGAAGAACUACCCCCAAGUGGAAGAGAUGGGUUCAUGUCGUUGUAAGACACAUUUCGAGCACUCUCUUCAGACAUAGCAGCAUUUGCAAUAACCUUGGCCCAACAAGUGUCAACAAUAUGACCGAAUUUGCCACAGUGUAUACACUGACGGCUAUCUCGAUCAGAACUUUGUCCACUACGUCCACCACCGCGACUACGAUUUCCCCCGAAACCACGACCUCUAUUGGAAAAUCCACCACGACCACGACCACCACUACUAGCCACAAAUGCUGAAUUGUCUUUAGAUGAAGUAGAAGACGGAGGGAUAAUGCGCUGAAUUCGACAAAAUGCUUCAUUCAUAGAAGGAACUCUCUCUCCAGCAAGAAGCUGACUCUUCACAGGCUGUAAGUCAACAUUCAAGCCAGAUAGAAAUUUGGCCACUUGAAAUUCAGCUCGUUGUGUCUUUAGUCUCUCAAGAUUAGUAGUGAUGGGCUGAUAAAGAUUGAGUUCUUCCCACAUACCUUUCAAAGCACUAUAAUAUUCUCCAAGAGAUUUGUUUCCCUGUUUAAAAUUAAAAAUCUUCUCAUAUAGUUCAUAAACUCUAGACAUAUUUUUGUCUUGUGAGUAACUCUCCAUAAGAUCAUCCCACACUCCUUUAGCAGUUGUGUGGAACAUGACAUUAGCAGCGAUGGAUGGUUCCAUGCUAUUCCAUAACCACACCAGAAGUGUAUCAUUCUCUCUCAUCCAACCAUUAUAGUCUCUAGAAUUUUCAUCAGGAGGGUCUCUGGUAAGAUAAUGAAGUUUCCCUUUGGCAUUAAUAUAGACCUUCACAGCUUGGGCCCAUAACAAGUAAUUGGAGGAUCCAUUUAAUUUAAUAGUGGUAAUUUGAACGUUGACACUAUUUGUAGAAGCCUUAGUAUCACUCAUGAUGAUAAUCUCAAUAUAAGUAUAUCUACCACUAAUCAAGGAGGCUGAAACUUUAGUGCAAGUAACAAAGCAGCAACGCUAAUGUAUAAUCAGAUGUAAUUGGCUUCAUCAAUUAACCAAAGGGAUGCUGAAAACUCAUAAAUAGAGACUGCUGUAUAGAAGAAAAUAUCUGACUAGAAAUCUCGAUUCAAAUAAUUAUAUGUUUGACGGAAAACCAGCAAGACUAGUCAACCAUAAUCAAUAGAAUAUUCUGAUUCUUGAAUCCGCUGAUCAGCAAGUGUUGUAAUCCAUGUUCAUAAACCGAACCUGAUGAAUCCGAUAUCUUCUGAUCUCAUAUGUAUCGAGACUUGAAGAGAAAACAGAUAAAAAUUGCAGCUUUAGGUGGCUACGCACCAGAGAAGAAGUAGAGUUACUAGGGGACUCUCAAACCAGCAAUAUGAUUAAGUAAUCAGAUAGUUAGACCUACUCUGAUACCAUGUCACAAAACUGAUUAGAGAACCCGCAGCAAGUAGAAAGAGAGAAAGAAGGAAGAGAGAAGGAGGAGAAAGAGAACGUAAAAGAAAGAAAGAGAGGGCUGUAGUUUUUCUGUAAUCAGAAACCCUACACCCAUUGUAUUUAUAUUGAAUAUAAAUUGUAUAUAACAAUAAUAUCCUUAUGUAAGUAAAAAAGGAAAUAAAACUCUGAUAAUAAAGGAAACUCAAUUAAAGUAACUUAACAGUAUGUACUCUCUUUUUUCAGCUUAUAAAUUAUGACUGUCUUGUUUGUUUUUCUUCUUAACAAAGCAGGGUAGUAUGUAGGACUCAUCACGUUAUAAUUUACUUCAUGAUGAGUUUUUCAUAUCAAUUCCAAAGUUUAAGGCACAUAAUGAUGUUUAUUAUACUCUCUCUCUCUCUCUCUCUCUCUCUCUCUCACACACACACACACACACACACACACACACACACACACACACACACACACACACACACACACACUAUGUAUGUCUACUAAUGCGUAUAAUUAUUAGUGACUAGCUCAAGGACAGCCACGGUUGAACAUAUUAAUGUGAGAUGAAAAUGAUUUGAUUCCACCUGCUUCUCUAAUGACUAAUCAUACUAUGUAUGUCUACUAAUGCGUAUAAUUAUUAGUGACUAGCUCAAGGACAGCCACGGUUGAACAUAUUAAUGUGAGAUGAAAAUGAUUUGAUUCCACCUGCUUCUCUAAUGACUAAUCAUACUCGUAACAGUUUUCAUGUAAUCGGAAUCUUCCCUUUAUUGUAGGUAUGGCUAUAUAACAUAGGCUUUGGUAGUUAUCAGGUUGAGAAAGUUUGUGAUACCUCAGGAGAAGAUGCAUCAUGCAGCAAGUGAUGAGCUAGUUUCAGUCGAAGCUACUUGUUCAAACAAUUAUUUUGUGGAUUUAUCAUGCAAAAUGCAAUAAGCCGUGAUGGACCAGCUUGUCCUAGAGAAUGUCCUUUGUUACUAGGAAUAUUUGUGGACAACUGAUCAGGGUAUUUUCCUGCAGAUUGGUAACCGGUAACAGCAUUGUGGACCAUUUAGUCUCUCUAUAGUGUGCAAUUAAUGGCUAAAACAUGAGAAUCAUGCAAAAUCGUCACGGACACUAUUGACGAAAUGUGGAGGCGAAGAUGUCAAAGGAAAUCUUAUGCUUUCCAGGAAUCCUUUUGUUUCUGCAUUGAGGCCGCAUUCAGACUCUGAUGCCAAGAGGAAAUUCAGUUGAAAUGCUCCUGGGUCAGUACCUGGAUUCUCAAAGAUCAUCAGGGACCUUUGUGAUGAAGUUUGGUCACAAAAUGCAUUCCAUCGAUCUGUUGUCCAUAUCCAUCACAAGAUACAGAGGAGCUCUACUCUAAUUUACUCUGAAUGUAAAUAGCACAAAGUUGAAGGUAUCAUCCUUGUAAAUACAACUCCAUGGUUUCAAUUGAAUAAAUAUGUUCGCAAGUUUGCCUGUCAAUCUGUUAUUGGGCUUGGGGCUUUGUUACCUGACUUGAUGUGUGGAUGCUGAGCUGAGCUACAUUCAUAGUUGAAUGACGCAGCUAUUUUCCCUUGGUUUAAUGUGUUGAAGAAAUCCUUGAAACUGUAAACAGAAAAGACAAUCGCCAGAGAUGACCAAAAGCUAGUUUGCUAGACAUGGUUAUACUGUUUCGAUAGGAUAUUGCAGCGUAAUUUCACUGUGACAAAGUCAACGAUGCCUGGUGUACACCGUCCAUUCGUUUCCAAUGUACAGCCAAACAGCAGUGUGGUUUUGUGCUCUUCAGUAUCUAAUGCAUAAUGUAAGGUUCAUCAGUGAUUUCGUGGAUGAUUCCGACAAUUUGUUUUCAAUAAUCUAACCGCAGCGAUUGAGAGUCCACUGGGGAAGAAUGGACACAAAACAUCAGAUCCCUAUCCGAAAUUAGGACGGGCACAUGCCCACAUUGUCAGGCAUAUCGGAGAUAAAGAUGUCCACUGUUAAUGAUUGUUCAAAUAAGUUUUAGCACUAGGCUCCAAACUCAUCAUAGAGUACAAUUUAGGAAAAAAAAAGAAUGGCUCCUCAUAUCUAAGCACGAAAAUUGGUUCUUUAUGUGCUGCGACGCUCUCAAAAUUUUCUCUGUCAAGGACUUGCGGACAUCGUGAGACCAUUAGUCUAUAGGAAUUUCAAGCUCAGAAUAAAAUACUGAUACACUGCUAUACAUUUGAUAUGUCAAAACAAAAAAUAAAGCGCCAAUAUUGUGGUCAUUAUUUCAAGUUUAGCUCAACCGCAUUUGAACAAGUAUAUUUGUUCUAAGUCCUUUAAAAUCUAACUCUGCGACUCUAUCAUUAUGAUUUGACAUGUGAUUCAAGGUCCUCUUGUUUUCAACUUCUACUUCUGAUGAGUGUAAAACCACAAGGCGAUAGCAACAAGGGGAGUGAUAUGUAGGAACAACGAUCAUCUCUCCAACCCCAAUGCGCACAUAAAAAAUCCCAUAAAUCACAUCCAGUAGCUCCAACCCUUGAGUCUGUUCUCUGUUUGACAAUUUUUGGUGUCAAGAACCGAACUACAUCACUGUAAUUUUACGUAACUAAGGUAUAAAAGCUGCUUAAGAUUAGUUAUGGGAUUCUCGCGAUGCUGCUUCUUCGAUUCAGUUGCUCUUUGCUACUUCUCCGGUUGCUAAAUGAGCCACAAUUUCCUGCAAAGAAACAUAGUUCCAUUAACUUUGUUAAGAGUUAACCAUCUCAAUCAGAAAACCAGCUCAAAAAGUCCGUCUGAGAUGUUUGUACCUCUUGGUCUCAACGUCAAUGUUUAAUGCGUAGUAAAUGUAUCAAAAUCAAUGGAAAAGAAUGGGUUGUGUAGAUUAGCGUGAAUAUAAUCCACGUCAAGACAUAUGUCUGCGAACCUGUACAUGUGAUCUUAUGAUCCCGAAUACAUGUAUCUAUUAUUCUAACUCAGCAGUUAAAUUCUCGGAAGAGUCAUUCAAGUACAUCAUCAGGAGCAGAGUCAUUUUCCUUCUUCCCCAAUUCCUCUUCCUUUUCCAGUCCAGUUGGAUUCUUCUCUUCCACCACCACUUUAUCUUACUCGCCCUCCUUCACACGUUCAUGCCGAGGCAAGUUGUACUCGGAGGAGAGGCCCUCAGACACGAUCCCUUCCGGCACUUCCUCGUCUCUUCUGGGAGAGAAGUAAUGAUCCGGCGAGUCGUGGGAUGUGAACCUCCCUGGCUCUGCCUCUUCCUCUUCUACUAGCGGUUCUGUCUCCGGCUCUAGCUCCUGCUCCAGCUCAAUCUCCUUUUCUUCCUCUACACGCUUCUCUUCCUCUCUGUCUUCAUCCUCGGCCUUUGUUUCUUCUUCUUCUUCGUUCUCUUCUUCUUGUUCAGACUCGGGAUGUUCAGUUAUGUCCUUAACAUCAGCCGCAUUUUCUGUAUCCUGGCUCACCGCAUUAUUGAUUUCUUGUUGCACGAGUAAUGCCGCACCUCUCCCAAUUGCUUCCAUCUAAAUAACGUUCUGUUCCACUUGUUUGUUCUUCUCGGGAUUGGCGCUCGAAACUCCUACUUUUGACUCCCCGCAACCCAUUGUCAUAAAAAGGAACGUCAAUCGAGAGGAAUUUGAUUGGGGUAUUGAUUCUCUCUGCCUUUGUGCAUCAGAUUGAAAUGAAGUUUCGGCUUUUGUCUUCUUUGCCCGUUGCAGUUUUGAUUUGCUGAAGCGGGUUGUAUCCGUGGUUGACAAAACGACAGAUCGUUUCUUGUUAUCGGUGGGGUUUUCCUUUCUUUGUCUUUUUUUUUUUUUUCAACCCAACCUUAGUUCAAUGAAAAACAUACUUUACAAUUAACAUAUGAUGCAUCCAAGCAAAAUUCAAUAUUGAAAAGACCGAAUUAUUCCCACUCAAAAACUUGUUUAAAUCUCUUGCUCCAUGUUUGAGUGAUUUAAUUUUCAGUUGGUUUUAAGUGCUUUUGAUAGGUAAGAAUUUAGGAUUUGUGAAUUGACAUUUUUCGAGAGAUAAUGACAUUCUUUUAUAAAAAGAAACACAAGGCUAAUAGAUGUAAAAAUGUAGAAAAUGAUAUAUAUAUAUAUAUUUAUAUUUUUUAACAUCAAUCGGCCUCAUGAACCAAAAUUCAUAUGGUCGUCAAACAUGGAAUUGCUUACACUUAAUCACGUUGAAAAUUGAACUUAGCCAAUUUUUCAAAUUCACAUAUAAAUUAUUUUCUGAACCACUAAAUCAAAAUAGACAAAGAGUAAAUAUGUUAGAAAGUGAAAUAUCAUAAAAAGAUGAAUUAUAAUAAUGUUAACAAAUUAACAAUCCAAAUAUUACUAAUUAAUCCCACAAAUGGUUUACUUCACCAAAUGGAAUUUAAAUUUCUCUCGAGUUGCCAUAAUUUAUUUUUUCCUUAGGCUAAAUAAUAAGCAUCUCCAAACAUAUAUCCUCUCUACAUAUAUUACGCCAUCUUCUUCCAUCUUGAGAGUGUCGUUUGCAAAAGUUCUUUUAAUUGUUCCACACCGUAAGUGGCCAUGGACGCCGCCACAGGAGAACAUCAAACUUCAGUAGUUAUCAGUUCGAGCUGUUUCUAGUAAUUACGCUCUUCAUAAUUUUCAAGAAAAAUAAAUCUAAUCAAACUGCAGUUCCAUGGUGUAACUCAUUUUAGGAGAUUGCAGCAAUUAAUUGUCACUGGGAGUACAUGAUUUAAUCAGAACCUAUGUCUGUAAAUCCUUACUUAGGCUAAGAAAUUGAAUUGCAUGGUUCACUUAAUCCGUGAUGAUAGAGACUAAGGGUUGACAAAAUUGUAGGUAAGAAGGCCUUGUGGGAGCAUAAUGUCUAUUGAUUGACCCCUACAAUUGGCUCUGCAAACCAUCUUUUGGUAAUGAUGAAGUGUAUCUAUAUCAGGCAAUUCUUUUUUCCAUUUGUUUUAUUUACACUAUUCUUCUGCUAACUUGGGGUAUUGCAAUGCAGCAAUAUGCUAAAGAGCACAAAGAUGCUAACCUCAUGCAGGAAGUUAUGAAGCUUUUGAAGAAGAAUAACUUGCCAUUGCAACCCACCACGGCCGAUAUUGUUUUCAGGUUCACUUCGGUGCUGUUUCUCCUGAGAAGGAUGUUAUUAUCAUGUAGUAAGCCAUUAUUGCACUUAAUUGUGUGUUAUGUACUGCAUAGUUAUCAAGCAAUUUAUCCAAUUUAUAAGUGUCAUUUAUAUACGAUUUAAUCAACUUGUUUUUAUUUUGAAUUAUUUUGUCUGCACUGCUACUCUCGAUCUAAUAGUUUGCUCAUGUUAUUUGACAUCCUUUCUUUCCAUGGAAAAAUUUUGCAGCAUUUGUGAUGAUACAGACAAUUGGGUGUUGCUCACAAAGUAUUCAAAGAGAUUUGUCAAAAUUGGAGUGAAUUUGCAUAAAGCUGCAUUUGACAUCUGGAUGGAGUUUGCUGCAAAAGUAGGUGAGAAACACUAGCUCUGUCUCCCUUCGCUGCUCUCAAGCCCUUGUCCCUCAACAAUCUUAUUUUCCAUUUCUUCCCACAAAUAGUUUUCUCAUCCACGUCCCGCCACUUACUACAAAAGAUGGGAUGUGCUAGAAUAUUUUCUUCUGUACGGUGAUUUCUUUCUCUCCUUAAACAAAAGGGUAGAAAUAAGAAAUAAAAAGAAUUUUCGCUGCGCCAUGUCUUUCAAUGUCUUUGUUUCUUUAAUUGUUCUGAGAUUAUGCUUCUUUAUCCUAUUUAGUGGUUUGACGAAAAUUACCCUUUUCAGGAGAUUUGAAUCUCUAUGGAAAACUGAGAAGUUAAGAUGUGAGUCCAUGAAGCAGCACACCCUGGGCAGUGGAUUCUCAUGUGCGAAGGUAGUUUACAAAGGCAGACUGUUGAAAUCACAAAUAUCAGACCCUGAAAGCACUAAGUCUUCUUGCAUUAGAAAAUCUGAUAAUGGGAAAAUAUUAAUAUUGCAAUACAGAUCAGUACAAAGUUCUUGGUAAACCAGGUGAGAGGUCUAUGGCCGAAAAAAGCGAGAGUUAAUGAUUGAAUAAACCAAAUUUUGGCUCACAUCCUAGGACAUGAAACACCUAUGGGCAUGAGAAUGCUUAUUGUCACAACACAAAGGAGAUAAUAACUACUUUUUCGGUAUUUGGAAGCAUUUAUUGUGGCUUUUAGCACUCUGGUUUAAUAUUAAAAUUUAACCGACUGUCAUUUGCUUGUUUUGUGGCAAGCUAAAUGGUUUUAUAACCAAUUUUUUGUGCAGGGAUCUUUACUUGAAGGCAAACCUGAGGAGGCUGCGACAGUCAUUCAUGUCUUGAAUCAGGUCCUCCUUGCUUCUCCGAGCAUCUAUAGCUAUUAUUAAUAUGCUCAUCAUCACCAUCUGGCAUGAUUGCAAUCCUAAAUUACCUCAGCCUCUGAAUUAGUCUUCAAUUUUCCAUAUACUGUCAAGGAAUAAAGCAAUUAGUGGAAAAUAUACAGAAUUGUCCCCCAAAAUGUGCUCAGAUAAAAUUACCAUGACAUAUCCUCUCUCGAGGGGGACUGAGUGAUUUGGGUUUCAUAUUUGGUGCAUGCUAUACUAUUAAAAUAACACGGCUUAGUUCCAUGGAUCCUAAUAGAGUUCGAAAGAUCAUCUCAGACUCCUCCUGAAUUGAAUAAAGUUGGAAAUUCACCUAUGUAGGCUCUGUUUGUUCAGAUGUUGCUUCUUAGGUCUCACAAUGUGAAUGCCUUGGAUUGAUGCGAGAGUUUACCUGAUGCUAAGAGGUCCAGCAUUGUGGUUGAACUUCAAAAGCUUGUCAGUGAGUGGGUUUUCGAGGUCAUCAAAUGGAAGAAAGAAGAUGACCGCAAGGUACUUCCUUUGACUAAAUAUCCAUCACUUUGGGUAGAAGUAGAAACGUUGCUUGUUUGCAGUUAUAUAUUGCUCUGGUAAUGUUUUCUCAAUCGUUCCCUUUGCUGGAUGUAUAUAUGCUGCAUUGAACUAUCUCAAAAUUUUUAAAACCUCUCAUUCUUUUCGCUCAUGUAGGCAUUGGCUGCUUCUUUCAAAUCCAAUAUCCCGGCCAUGGUUAGUUUCCCUAUCAAACACGGGCUUGGAGGUGAAAGUGAAUAUGGAACAACUAACCACCAAAGGCGCCCUUUGUUAAAGUAUGACAGAAUUGGAGAUUAAAUGCACUAGCUGCAGAUCUGUCUCCUAUGUGGACCGCUAAGGUUGCCAUUUUAAUUUAAACCGAUUCCGCUGAGAAGCAAGACAAGCGUGGUACUCACGUCUCGAGCAACAAGCAUCUGAAGUUCUCUUGUGAAGGUCCCUGAACCAUGAAAAGAUCUGCUCCUUCUUGAUUUGAAUGUUGUCACUUCUGUACUCUGGAAUAAUGAUUCUUUUCUUUCCCCAAAAAAUCUGAGUGUAUUAGAUACGAUAGGUGCAUCGUCAGCAAUUGAAUUCUGAGAACAACCUCGGAUGACUAGUUUUUGCAGAGAGGAUUCUUUUGGCUCACGCAUUUUAGAUUGGACCAAAUGGGCAGUUAAGAGAGACAAUUGAUAAGGUGGUCCUUUCAAUUUCAAUCUGAUUUGGCAGCCUAUUUUGUUAUAUUUCUGACACAAUUUCGCUGUCCAAAAUUAAGAGUGAAUUUAAUGCCGACUCAUUUGAUGUUGGCAUACAGCGACCGCCAUGGCUUCCUGAUUUAAUCGGAUCGAACCGUCCAAUCGUGGUGCCAAAGUGCAUAACAUAAAUUACAUCCCCUUUUACGUCAUGAAAGAAAACGAAAACCUGAAUUACCAGAAAUGGCUUCGGUACCCACAUGCGUGGGUGGGUGGGUGGGUGGGUGCGUGCAUUUUGUGCAUUUUGUGCAUUUAAGGCGUAAAAGAGGCGACAAAUGCAAUCCUCUAGAAUGAAAACAUGCGCAAAUUUUAACAAUGAAUUGACAUAAUUGUAAUAGAUAUGAGACUUUUUUGGUAAUAUAGGACCAAAUUUGAAUUCAUACAAUAAGCUUACGACUGAAUUUGCGAUUCUCCUAGCUCAACACCUUAAGCAGUAAUUAAGCUCUUCAUAUGUUCACCUGCCAUAACCUAAAAAAAGUCAAGCAUGAUCAUGGUGAAAGAAAAGGUCCAAAGAAUCCUUCCCUUGGAAGCAAACAAUCGAAUCAUUCUUGUUGCCUAAAAGAAUCGAGCAUGAGCUUUGUUUACCCAACUCAACUGCAUAGACACGGAGAAGAGGCUUCAGAUAUAAGAACUUAACAGGGUACAUCACAAGAGCAGGAUCUGAUGAAAUGUAACAUCGUACAUUUUCUUUGAAGAUAUGGAAAUGAAUAUUCAAAGCCCAAGAUUAAUCCUGGGAAAAAUGGAAAAGUAUGGAACAACAAACUUUGAUUUGCAUCACAUGAAGCAAAGAACCACGUGAUAAGUGAAUUCAAGCAUCCUGUGGAAUUCUAUUGACACUGGCAGCUUCUACUGAUUCCUGUUCUGCCACAACUAUAGUCCUGGAAGGCCGCUUGUUAGGAGUCAUUUGGAGGCAUUGUAAAGCAAGCUGUGCUAUUUGGAAUGCAGAAUCUGUAUAUGUAAGGUAUAGGGAUGGUAUAAAUUUGGUUCCCAUUUCCUGCAGGUCGCAACAUUGUGAGCGACCAGCUUCUUCUAAAAUAUCCAGUGUUUCUUUUUCAGUAAUUGGAGCAUCUGCAGAAAAUGAAAAGUUAUGUGGGCAAUACAACUGUACAUUUUAUGCCAAAGGAUUCAAGUAGCUAAAAGGAAAACACACCUUGUAUUUCAUAGAGGGGAUUAUAGUGAACCUCACACCAGAAACACAACCAAAACUCUGCAUCAAUUGAAAGUAAGGUUAACAAAAGGAAAAACUCAAAAAACAUGGAGUUUCAAAAGACCAGUUGCACAUUGAACAAAAGCAACAGUAGAUCAAUUGCAAAUGUUUACACCUAGGUUUAAAAUCAAUCAAAUAUAUAUUGAGCCAUACCCAAGCAGCUGUUCUAAGCAAGCGAAAGAACAAAUAUUUAAGUUCCCCAGAUGAACAACAAGCAAAGCAUCACAAAGGAGGAUCUAUGCGUAUAUGUAUGUGAGCAACACUCUUUUUUCCAAGACAAACGAGAAGUAAAAUAUCAACUUCACAUUCAUCACAUUGCACGGACUGAUCAUUUGACCCAACAAAACAACUAUGAAGAAGACUAGCAAGCAAUACCCUAGGCAGAGGGAACUUAUAAAUCCAAUGGCCCAACAAUAAUCAAGCUAUCAAUAUAAGUAUCAUCAAGAGGUUAUAGACCUCCUUCAGGCUCUCCAACAUCAACCAAAUAAGCAUUGAACAUCAAUGACUCACCGGAACAAAUAACUUCAUCAUUCUUCAAAAUUCUGCAUUCUGACAGCUGCUUGCUGCCAUCAUAGGGCAUUACCUAUCAUAUAUCCGACCAUCAAUCACAGCAUGGACUAAUCUACUCCAAACAAGCUCAAUCACGGAGAGCAUUACAACCAAAAGCACAGAACAGAACAAUAUGUGAUAUAGAAAAAAUGAAACCCUAGGCAGCAUCGAGCUGCUGCCAUUAAGUUCAAUGCUGCUGCCAUUAAGUUCGAUCGAGCAAGCUAAAUGAGGGAAAACUGAUGCAGCCCGCAUUGAAGAACAACUCUCUCGACCAAGAAGAUCGGCCCGCAUUCAAGCUCGACGAAACCGAGAAGCCGUAACAAUAUCUUGAGUCCAUUUUGGAAGCUUGAAAUACACCUUGGGAGCUCGCGUGACGUGCAGAGUGAGAGGCAGCUGUCACAAUAGACCAUGCGUUUCAGCUUUCCAUGCUCUUUACUAUUUCGUGACAUUCCAGCACACGCAGACUCAAGCACGUAACUCAUUUCAUCAAACACCAAAAGUGCACACUGGACAGCCAAACACUGGACAGGCAAAUCUAGAUGGUUCACACUCACACGAAGCAUAAUUCAGCACACUAAUUACAAACACGAUCCAAAAGCAGUUCAGGAUUGAAAAAGAAAACAAGAGCACAACACCGAUCCGCUCCUAGAACUUACAUUGCCGGCUCAAAAUGCAGGCGUUGAGUCUAUCACAGAGCUGAAAGCUCUAACGUAUUCAUCCGUGGGAUUUUGUUGAGUCUGGAUAUUCUGUAUAAGGGCAACAAGGAUGGUGAUGCCAGACUUCUGUCCCUCAAGAUUCCGUUUGAUGCGAUGUUCAUUUUCCUUAAUCAAAACUCCAGAGUUAGAGCUUAAGCUGGCAGACUUGAAAUCCAUAUCCUUGGUGCAAUUUCUCCCUCUUUACCCAACCUUGAUUGAGGAUGAGGACCACAAUACCAAUGUGUGCGCAGAAGCUCUCCCUGAUGCUCAUAGAGUUCAACUUGACUAAAAUUUCUGAGAUUCUACACCCAAAGACAGUCAGCCACUGCUUCAGAUUUUCACUUGGUGAUUUGUCCUGUGCAAAGGUGAAUGAUGUUGAGCUGCGCAUGGCUCUGGCAUCAGCUCCGAAUAUGGAUCCCAAGUUGCUUUCUCAGCUGAAAGUAGCAUGGCGGAUUGGAAAUCUUUUGGAGAUUGUACAUGGGAAGAAUUUGGAAGAUUUUCUCAAAUUGAUGCUUGGCUUGUGCAAAGCUCUUCUUUUAUGAUCACCAGGUUCUACGAAAUUUUUCACGUACAUGGAAGAGCCAACACUACCUGAUGAAAGUUCUUCUGAGGUGGCAAGUAGCAUAUGACAUAUAAUGGACUUUGGUGGCAGUGCCAGUGUUUUCCUGGAAUUGAGUGGGUCUAAUGACAGAAACAAUGCCGAUAUUGCUUCUGAAUGAACAGUUCUAUUUCUGAAGGCGGCCUCCAGGGAAGGUGCUCUCUUUUUCUCAGCGAUCUUUUGUAAGUGAGUGCAAUUCUCGAGUCUCAGCGAGACACCCUCCUUCUCUACUGGUACCAACGAAUGCUGCAUUCUCUCAGUUACAACUGUAGGAGAUGUUUGCUGCACAGAAUGAAAUUAUGAUUGAAGGCAUCGUGGCUGAGAUAAGAUAUUCUGGUGCUGCUGCUUUAGCCAGUGCUGCCACACUGGUAAUCUCGGAAUUGCGGUGGGUCCCUCAUUUAUGACUUCUCCAUAACAUUUACAAUUCCCACUAAGAAGCACACCUUUCCUGAAAUGAAAAAUAAACUUAACUUAAGCAUAGCAAUAGAGUGCCUGUCUACUUCAAAGUCGCAAUAAUGAGUUGAUUGUGCUGUAAAGUCCCAGGAUGAGAACAAUAGUCAUAUGACCUUCCAGCAAACAUUCCAUCUAUUUGUUUACAUCAUAACAAAGUUAUCUCCAAUGCAAAACGAGGUUAUCAAUUUCGAAAUAUAUGAAGAAGGAAAUCGACAAGGAUCUCUAAUAACUUGGUACAUAUCAAAUAAAAACGAUGCAAUCGACAUGCAUAUCUCUAGGAGAAAUCAUCCUAAGAAAAUGUAGCUAAAAAAGUCAAAUCAAACUAGGAAAAGAACACAAAUACUCGUACAUAAUUAAGAGCCCUCUGGCUGUUUAGAGGUAUCAUAAUUUCAAUGCUUCAUUAGAUUUUCAGACAAGAAUCCGCUAAAAGGUCAUUAAAAAGUGCAUGCGAAACUUCUCUGUUUAUAUUUGCGAAAGAAUUUGAUUGCGAAAAAAAGGAAAACGUUGGUACUUACCUCAAUUUGUUUAAAGUUUGAUCACAAGGUUAGAAUUUGUCUUCUUCCACAAAUUCGUUUCUUCAUCGUCUUCUCCCACAAAUUUGAUUGACUUCUCCAAGCAAAGCCGAGAAAUUUCCUCCACCGCUAAUUUCCCACAAAGUCUUAUUGUAACCUCUCGCAGUCCCUUCAAACUUGAUAGAUCAGGCAACUUCUGUAAAGAUUCACAGGAUUCAAUAUCCAAGUAUUCCAAAGAUUGAGGUAGUUCGCCUUGAAUCUCAAUCAGAUUAUGACAAGAUUCUAUUGUAAGAAGUGUUAGUUUGUUCCAAUUGCUUAGAUCAGGGAUUUGCAUCAGUUUAAAGCCACGAAGCAGCAACUCAUGUCCACCUGUACAUUUAAACAUCUGAUUGCGAAUAUGCACAUAAACAUAUGUCUUACCCAUUAAGCUGAACAGAUUGGGGAACUCCCGUAACGAAUUGCAGGAAUCAAUUGUAAGAUAAUCCAAAAACCGCGGUAGUUCGCCUUGAAUCUCAACCAAAUUACCACAACAGGAUACUCGAAUAUACCUUAGCUUGUUUAACUUGCUUAGAUCAGGUAGCAUUGCCAGCCGUCUGACUUUGUCAAUGUGCAAAUGUCGUAAGUUCUCCAAACAACCAAGGCCUUGAAUCUCUGCAACUGCAGAGCACAAAAUCGAGAGAGACGAUAGUUUCCUCAAAUUCGAUAGAUCCAUCGAGCAAAGUGAGUCGCAACCAAAGAGACUUAAGGAGGAUAAAUUUGAGGGAAGCCUCGGGAGGCGACGCGGAUGAGGAGGGAGGCUCAGGUCUGUCGAAGAGUCAAAUGAGUCAAAUGAGUCAAAUGAGUAGAAUGAAUCGAAUGAGUCGAAUAAGCCGUAUAAGUCGGUCUCCCCUAAAAAGAGUAGUUCCAUGGAUUCCAAUUUGCUUAAAUUCCCAAUCCACAGCGGUAUCGGUUCUUCCAGAAGCCUAUAAGAUUUCCCAGCACAAUUAGGUGAGCAAAAGAACAGAUACAAUACCUUUAAGUUAGCGAGAUUUGAGAGAUCCAGAAACGUGUCCACCCUCAACUGCCCCAGUUCUAAUUCGAUGAGACUUUCAGGAAGCCUUGGUAGGGCGUGUAUUCUCACCCCUCUCAAUCUCAAGAUCCUCAAGGAUUUAUUCUCGUAGAUGCAAUCACCAAUUUUCAAGUGUAAACACUUGUUAUGAUAAUCCUUGCAGACGACUUCUAUUUUUUCAAGCUUCUCCAUCAUCCAAAAGGCAUCGUGUAUUUUGCUUAUGACACUUAUCUUCAUCUUCACUACUUUCAAAUUCUUCAACUUUUUGAUGGAAUCGGGUAGUUCUUUGAUGUUCGUGUAACUUAUGUUCAACUCAAUCAGCGAUUCCAAAUUCCCGAUUGUCUCCGGAAGCCUCUUCAAACUCCGGCAUCUUUCUAGAGAUAGGUAUUUGAGGCUUGCAAGAUCUCUACACAGCUCAUCCGGCAGCCUCUGAAGUCUGCUACAAUUGCUUACAUCUAAGAAAACCAAGCGUUUCAACUGACAAAUUAAUCUAUCAAUUUCAAUUAACGAUUUAGAACCCGAUAGGAUCAAACAUUCUAAUUUUGAAUGAGCAGAUAAGUCGGGGGUUAUCUCCAAGAGUAGGCAAUGGGCUAGAUCUAGAACUUUCAAAUUCUUAAUCACCUGUAAAAGAAAAAUCAUGCAAAGCUUAUUUUUGAAUCUAAUAAGGCAAAAGGAUAAGUAUUGUCUAGCAUAUAACAAACCUUCAUGUGACUCCACCCUUUCCAAUCAUGCGUAAUUUUACUCCAAGAUAGAUCAAGAAUAAUCACAUUCUCCAUGGAGAAAUUUGUAAUCGCAAAUGUUGGCUGAAUAUUAUGCCAAGAAAACCAUUGUAAUCGUGGAAGGAGAUUUGAAUUCUUCUGGAAUACAUUAGUUGAAAGAAUAUCUAACGGCCUUGUGUGCCAAAAAUGCUCAACUUCAAGGAACGUUAGAUUGGGUAGGUUCUUGAAGUCCUCAUAGGUAAAAUGAUGCUGAUCGUCAAACUUGAGAUGAAGAGCUUCAACUUUUUUCUUCAUCUGUCAAAGAGAAAAAUUUGAAAAACAAAAGAGUUGAAGAGAAACACAUUUAUCCAAGUUCACUGUUUUAAGGGGUUGAGUUGAGUACUUAUAUUCCUUUAAUCUUAAAAGAGCAAAAAUAUUGGUUGAGUAGGUUGUGACGGUGCUAGAGAACACAAAAAUAAUUCCCUCCUUUUGAAAAGAAAAUGUCCAUAAGUAACUUGGAGAUUUAUUUUUAUAGGGAAAUUUACCUCAUGGCUCUUCAGCAGAUCCAAUCCUUCCUUGGGAUUCCACACACAACGUUGCUUCUCAAUUUUCAUCUUACUUUCUUGACGAACUAUUUCUCUUCCGAGGUCUCUAAGUUGAUCAUGCAUCCACAAUUUAUUCUGUUCAUCAAUUUUUAUCAAAGACAUGUUCUGCAAAACUUCCAAGGUUGCUUCUGGAAAAAGUUUAGAUGCAUCCCAAAAAAUAACUACAAUGUCUUUGCGAUAUCCAAUGAAAUGACAAGCUAUAUCAAGGAAUAUAUGCUUUUGUCGAGAAUCUAAUGCAUCAUAACUUAUUUUCAGCUUAUUUUGAACUUUAUCAUGAGGAACACUUUCUAACAAGUUCAAUGUGGCAUCCCACAUUUCCUUAACUUUGCUGGAUAAAAGUGAACCUAUGACUUCAAGGGCUAAUGGAAGACCUCCAGCAAUGUAUAUCGCUCUGUUGGUAUGGUUGAUGUACUCGUCUAAAGGAGAAUCUCUUCUAAAGGCAUGUUUGCUAAAAAGUUGAAGAGAUUGAUGGGCAUCCAUGCUCGUAAGCUCAUACAUCCAGUCCACUUCCGGAACAUGGAGAACAUCUUUCCUUCUCGUAGUAAUAAUAAGUUUGCUUCCUUCACCAAACCAAUCAUGCUUGCCUACAAGUGCAUCCAUAUGAUCCUUUUCUUCCACAUCAUCAAGAAGAAUGAGGGCUUUGUGAGUAGGGAACCUAUCUUUAAUGGUCUUAAUCCCUGCAUCAAUGUUUCUUAUAUCCACCCAUUUCAUCUUGAGGAUGUCGCAGAUGAGCUGCUGCUGCAAGUACUCAAUGCCCUUGAGCUUUGACGUUUCACGGAUGUUGGAAAGGAAGCAACAAUUGUUGUACUUGUUGGAAAGCUUAUUGAAGAUGAUUUUGGCAAUUGUUGUCUUUCCAAUGCCACCCAUCCCAUGAAUUCCUACAAUCCGCGUUUCACUUAUGUGAGCACCUAUCUCUUCCAUGAUUUUACCCACAUGGUGGUCCAUAUUGAUCAAGUUGUUUGAUACCACCAAAUAAGCCUUUUUCAACUCAUUGAAAACCUCCUGGGUAACUGUUUUCGCGAUCUCACCUUCUUCCCUAAUGUUUGUUGGAGGUCAAAUGGCAAUGAGUAAGAAAAUUGUCUUGAAUCAAACUAUGUUUCAACAAGAACAAAGUGAAAACUGAAGACCUAAGUGAAAUGUAUUAUAUAAGGAUUUACUCCAGUGUAGAUGAAUUAGCAUCGAUACACAUGAUUAUUGAAUGACCUAAACUAGGAAAGAAAAAAAAAAAGGUUGUUUGGUUAUGUGAUUUUUAUAGUAUAAUUUCAAUAGCAUAAAAUUCAAUUUCAACAAAACUAACACGAAUCUAGAAAAUAAACCAAUUGAACCACAUCAAGUUUCAAUGAUACAAGGCACAUCAAAGGAAUGAUAGAGGCAAUCACCUGUUGGGGAUGCUUUGCAAGUCCCAUCCAUCUAGUUCCCCAACUGCAUUGAGAGCAGCCUUCCACUCAUGUAUAGUCGCUUCAUCAUAUCGCUUCUUGUUUUCAUGUGAAAGAAAGGCCUCUUCAUAACACUUAGUUUGGUGUCGAACCUCUGAAGGUUCCACAUCAUAAAAAAUUGGCAUAAUCUUUUGUCCCCUAAUUUUUUGGCACUUGACCAUUUGGACUAGCUCCUUGAGACACCAUGCACUAGAGGCAUAACCCUUUGAAAAUAUAGGUAUUGAGAUCUUUGAUUCACUAAUUACUCGGAGAAGUUCUGGGCCAAAAUUUUCCCCCUUGCGAAGCUCUUUGUCAUCCUUAUAGACGCGUAUUCCUGCAUCUAUCAUACUAGUGUAAAGGAAGCUAGUAAAACCUCUUCGAGUAUCUUUUCCUCUGAAACUCAAGAAUACUUCAUAUUCAUAUCCUGAUGAAUUAACCAUUCCCUGACCUUCUGUCGUAGUGUGAGUAAAAGAAGCGCUCACUGCUAUUCCAUCAUUUUUACAGGUACGUUGUUUUUUUGCACUCCUCUCCAUUGAUUUCACUCGAUCUGAUCUUCAAGAAAUACCAAACAGUAUAUCAGCAAAAGCAGUGGCAGCUAGAGAUGGAAAAUGUUUAGAAGCCUAACUCGUAAAUAUUGAAGAUCUCUGUAGGUCAUUAAACUUAGUAGCCGGGAUAAGCUAAAUAUGCAGAGUGUCAUGGGCUAGUUUGCUACAAUUGUUUAAUAAGAAUAAUUCAUUGUAGCAUCACUCUCACUUGUCAAAGUUGACAAUGCAUGUGAACAUAGGAGUAUUAAAUCUCAAGGGGCGUUUUAACACCUUAAGGAGUUUUAAAUCUCCUGGGGAGAACGUUGACAUAGCACAAUACAAAGUUUUCAUUUUAAAUAAAAUGGCUCGCUCUUCUCAAAUCUUGAGAACAUAAAUUAUUCCCUAGGAGUUCUAAAUCCUAAGGGGAGAACAUGAACAUGCUCUCAUUUGACAUAACACAAUGCAAGGCAUUCUUUUUAAAAAGAAAAUUUCCACACUUCUCGAAUUUCUACAACAUGAAUUGUUUCUUCUUAAUGUCACUUUUGCAAAUAUGACCACCACUCUCUCUAGAAUAAAUCAAAAUAUUAACCAGAGUUAUUCAUGUGGUGGGAUAGUUGUAGUUUGAAAUCUUACACGUUUCCAAAAUUCCAUUAACCAAAAAUGGAGUUUCAUUUCAUGCAUGCUAGAGUUAAAGAACCAAUUAUAAACUUAAAGUAUAACUGGUAAGUACAAAUUGACCAAUAACUUGUGAGUCUGGGCAAUUGUUAGAAAGUCACUAAAAAAAAUAGUUUUUUUCACCCUCAAACCAAAUAGUGGAUUACCAUUUUUUUCUUUUAGAUUUUACAAAUGGGUUAGUAUUUUUUCUUGUAGAAUAUGAAUGCUUACAUAGUUUAUUAAUAGUCUUGAUUGAUGUUCCAACUUACAAACAAACUAACUAUUUUUACCCCUCUAAUAUCCAAGUAUGGUGUUAACAUUGUUUCGAAUUUAUGAGUAGCAAUGUUCAUUUGUAUAUACCAUGUGAACAAAAUAACAGAUUUACCAUGUGGAAAAUACUCUUGUAACUUAUGAGCAAUUGUGUGCCUUUAUAAGUAGGCAAGUAUUUUUGGUAGUAAAUUACGAGUUGAUUGCAUGCUUUGUUAGUAGUUUCGGUUAACAGCCGUAACUUACAAACAAAUAAGUAUUCUACAAGUAUAAAUCCUUACUAUAUUAUUAACCUUGUUUCGAUAUUAUGAGUUGCAAUUUUAUUGUUAGUAACAUGUUGACAAAACAAUUGAUUUACCUACUUGAAAUAUUCUUGCAGGUUACGAAUAGUCGUUUGCUUUUACAAGUGGCUGUGUUCUUCCUCUAGUAGAUUACAAGUUCCUUACAUAUUUUUUCCUAGCGACACCAGUUUAUAUUUGUAACUUCAUAAUAAAAAAACCUAAAUUUUUAGUAGAUUAUUAACAUUGUUUCGACGUGUAUUUCUCAGUAACAUACAAACAUAUUUUAUGCAAUUGUAUGAAUGCCGGAUGAUUGUGUGUAUUUGUUUACUAGUGAUAUUGAUGAUUAUUUGUAUUGAUGAAGCGUUCUACCUGUUUACAUGGUCAACUAUAAGACAUUGAUUAGAAGCUCCGAGAUGACUAAAUAUGCCACACGAGACGACAUGUUGGUACUGUUUUGAAAUGAUGUUGCAACGUGAUUGGAUAUUGACAAAGUUAACGAUAUAUAAUGUUUGGAACUUAUAUAAUAUACAACCAAAUAAUAGUAUGGUUCUGUGUUAUUCAGCAUCUAAUGCAUAAUACAAGGUUCAAUAGCAACUUCGUAGAUGCUUCCGAUAUAAUUAGUUUGUUUGAUAAUCUAAUCGUGGUGGUCAAGAGUUUGCUCUAUCUAGGGAAGAGUGGACAUAGAGUAUUAGCUUCCUUUAUAAUUACUCUAUAAAAUUAGGAGAGGCGCAUGCCAUCAUUGUUAGGCAUCUCAAAAUUAAAGAUGUCCACACUGAAUGAUUCUGGUAUUGGCACUAGGCUCCAACUUAAUAGACUACAAUUAUGAAAAGAAGAAGAAGAAGAUUCUUCUCAUAUCUAAGCUCGAAAAAUUGUUCUGUUUGAUAUUGGUCCUAGAGAUGUGCCCCUCCACUUUCCAAUAUACUAACAGUGUCGAAAUUUUUUCUGCCAUGGACUUGCAGACAUUGUGAGACCGUUAGUCUAUAGGAAUUCCAAGUUGAAAAUAAAAUACCGAUAUACUACUAUUCAUUUGAUGUGUUAAAAUAAAAACUAAAUGCCAAUAUUGCAGCCAUUACUUCAAGUAUAGCUCAACGUUCAAAUUGGAUUGGAACAAGGGUAUGAGUCUAAGUACUUUAAAUCUAGUCUCCAUGGCUCUGCGCCUCUGCCUCUAUGAUUUGAUCAGCUUAUGUGAUUCAAGGGUCCUGUUGCUCUCAACUUCAUCUUAAGAUAAAGUGUAAAACCAAUUGAUGAUAAGAGUUGGCAAUUUACUGACCACAUGGAUAAAAUUUCAAAAGAGUUGGUUAACUACUUCAUUAAUAUAUUGAUAUAUUUUUUAAUAGUGCUGGUAAGUUAAUAUCAAAGGAGUUAGUAAUAUAUUAAUUCAUUAAAAUGUUGUUAAAUUCUCGUAUGUGCCGGCAAUUCAUCUAUGAUUUUGGUAAUAAGAGUUGGUAAUUAACCACUUGACUCGUAUGUCAGUAAAUUCUUGAUAAUGCUGGUAAUUUAUUUAACACGUUUUGAGAGUGGGUAAUUUAAUACUUCCAUGUAGUGUUUGUAAAUUCUUGACUGUGUCGGUAAUCUACUUACCACACUCAUAAAAUUUUGUAGGAGUCGGUAAUUUACUACUUUGUUGGUAUGUUGUUAAAUUUCUAAUGUUGCUGGGACUUUACUUACUAGCACAGACCAAAAUUUUCAAGUGAGUUAAUUUACUAAUGUCGUUAAAAUUUUGAUAAUCUUGUAAUUUACUAAAUUUCUUAAGAAAUGGUAAUUUACGAAUAUUUUGUUAGUCAGCAACCAUAAGGUUUGAAGCUUGAAGUACACUGGCGAAUGGUGGAAUAGCGGAGAUGAGAGCUAGAGCUCAAGAUCAGGAUGGAGUAAUUACAAAAGGCCAAGGUAGUCUCCAAUCAGACUAUUGCUGCAGUACUGUGGAAUAUUUGGAAGUCAGGAAACCAGGCCAUCUUUAGGAAUAAAAAACCAGAACCAAGCAACCUUGUGGAGCCUGCUUUAGCUGGGUUGAAGAGUUUCAACAGAUGGAACCCAAAAUCGAGCGAAUCUAGUAAGACCAGCAAAGGGUCGUCAAGAUUUUGGAACCCACCGCAGGCUGGAACACUAAAGAUAAACAUACACGGUGGCUACGAACCUGAAGCUACUAGAGGCUCGAUCGCUUGCGUCUGUCGUGAUUUCGUGGGGAGGUUGGUGGACGGAGUGGUGCGAGCAGUAGCGGCGCCUUCUGCGUUCGGGGUUGAGGCUCUUGCCCUCUUAUAGAAGCCUCCACUCUCUCUGUAUACUCUAAGAAAAGAAGCCCUUGUUCUUGAGUCUCGCAGCUUAGACUUGGUCAAGGCUGUGGAAAGUUCAGACAGGCUCACGUGCGAAGCUCGUGCUAUUAUUCCGUUGUGCAAAGAUUUAUUAUUAUCCUUUUCAAGUAUCCAGAUCAUGUUCAAAAAAAAAAAAGAAAAGUAUCCAGAUCAGCCAUUGGCUUAGAGAGGCUAACUCAGUUGUGGACUGAGUUGCUAAAACCCACGAGAGAAAGCCCAUUUAUCGAACCUUUCAAUCUUUUUCUGCUUAAUGAAACAAAAAAAAAUAAAAAUAAAAAUUCAGUCUCCAAUCUCAAGGAGCGAACGUGCAAGUGUUCGGUCACGCUUCACAGCGCACGAUGGCCCCCCCGGCGGUAGAAUACCUUUAUUUGAUGGUGAUAACAUUCAACUGCAACUUUAUAAAAGCGUCGGAAAGAAUACUCUCUCGAAAUCGGAAAAGGCCACCGUCCUUCAUCUGACAAUUCCUAAACAAUGUUCACGCUCCACUAGCUUUGAGGAAUGAAAAAGAAAAAAGUAGAAUUAGCAACAUUUCACGUGCUAUGAUGGUCCCCAUGACUAGCCAAGCUCAUACGCUUCGAUAAAAGGUUGUCUCUUCUCACAUCUCGGGAACAAAAAUUGCCCCUCUCUAAGUUUGGCUCUGAAGAUUUGGCCCUCAGCUCCCCUUUUUGAGUUUAUAAUUAAAUUGCCGAUGCACACCUCUACACACUAUUUUAUUUAAUAGUCAAAACAAUGUACAUGUUAUCUAGCACAACAAUUUGAUGGUGAAAUAUAAUAGAAAUUAAUGAGAGAUAAAUUUAUUAUAAGUGUACCAGUUUAAAAUUUUUAAUAAUUAAAAAAAUAAUUAAAAAUAAAUUUAUCGUAAAUAUAUCAAUUUGAGUUUUUCACGAUAACAAUCAUUUUCUAAUUAAUUGGCUUCUGCUUUUCUUUUCUUUUUUGAACAACUAAUUGGCUUCUGCUUCACCAGGCACGAUAUCAUCACUCCCCCAUGCGAACACCAACGGCUGACAGCUUGCUCUUUGUAAUAUUAUGCAAUAAUGUAAUAUUAUGUUAGUGGGCCCCAAAAGAAGAAACUGAAAAAGAAACUGAAAAGUCAGUAAAACAAAAAGGAGAGGGGAGAGGGCUCGGCUAAAUAGAAGCUGAGAGUUCCCUCACCAAAAAAGAAAAGAAAGAAAAGACGAAGAAGAGGAAGGAGAAGAGAAAAAGGGAAAAAAGGAAAGGAAUUUUGGCAUGUGCACGUCUCGGAUGCCUCGCCAAGCUGACUCGACUCCAUAACACAGCACCCGGUAAGAGAUCAAGCCCCUUGUUUGUCCGAUUGAAGUAAUUUUUGGAUUUAGGACUUAAAUUCGAAAAUUUUGGAAAACUGAGCGGCGAAGUCUAAUUUUGGAGUCGUUGAGCCGCGUAUUUUUGCAAGAAUGGUAAUUUAGGGUGUUGUGGAGCCGUGGGAUUUUACGGAUCGUGAUUUGAACUUAUGGUUUGUCCAAAACAGAAUUUCAAAGUUUCCCACGCGCAGUGAACAGUACGCGUCCAGCAGCUUUGGGCCCGUAUUUUGUCAUUUUUCGGCUUGAUUUUGGGAUGGCCAAGUCGGAAUUCUUGUGAUAUGUUUCAAGGGCUCUCUAUUGAAUAUAAGUACGUUCGGAUCGGAGUUCAGAAGAGAAAGUUAAGGCGCAAUCAAGUUUUGCACUUAAAUUUCGUGUUGCGAAUGGCUUGAACAAUCGCUUUGGUUAUGCGAUUUGUUAGCGCGUAGAAGUCCUUUUGUUAGAGUUAAGGCGUAAUUUAGUUGUUUCGAAGUAGAGACAGUGUUUUAUUAGAUUUUAACAUUUUUCUCGGUUAUUUGAUAGGACCUUGAAUUCGACGAUACGAGUAUCGUUCGUCGUUUGGUCAUCGACGACGAGGUGAGUGGUACUAUAUCUUCUUUGGUUUUAUAAAAUCAUGUCUUGAAGUAUAUAUAUGUAUAUAUAUGUAUAAUAUUGAAUUGAGAAGGGCAUUUUUAUUGCAUAAAAGCUAGAUCGAGCAAUUGCUACUCUUUGGUUGAUUGUGAAUCUUUGAAAAGCACAUUAUACAAGGUUUGUGGAGAAACAUAUAUGAAAUUGCUUUGCGACUGAUUUAUAAAAAGGUUUAUGAUGAUUUGAGAAACGGAUAUGAAAUGGAUGAUGGGCUAUGUUGCAAAAUGUUAUUUGUUUGGUUUGAGAUAUUGAUUUUUGGAUUGGAUUUCUGGUAUUGGAGAAUGGUUAUUUAUGCUCAAUAUGACUGUGAAUCCAGUGAUGGGUUUUUGGGGUAUGCAUACCAAGUUUAGGAUAUCCUUCUGGGCCUAGCCACCGGCUUUGUAGGUGGAGACCUUGCCAAGGGGGGAAUCUUGGUCGCCUUGUCACAAGGCGUUGUGUUGUGACCAUGGUUAGUUAUUGAGCAAAAGAUUGAUCAAUGGAUAGACCAUUGAUAUGUGUUUUUGAUGGAGAUUAUUCGAUGGAUUCGACCAUUGAUACUUGACUUUUGAUGGCAAUUCAAAUGAGUUUUUCGUAUUAGUAUAAAUUUUUGAUGAUAAGAAAUAACUUUUAUAUGAUUCGAUAUGUAUUUUAUAUAUUGAAUUGGUGUUAUGAAAUUUGGUAUUGUUUUGUAUACAUGCAUAGUGGUUGUUCGAUCUGCUUAGAAGAUAUGUACUACUCACUGAGCUGUGGUUGCUCAUCCCAUUCCUCCUUUAAUCUUUUCAGGUUCCUCAGCUAGCGGCGAAUAGAGCGAGUGCGUAGUCGGUGGGAACUUUUGGGGAGUUCUAUUUUGUUUUUGGUAUGGUUAAAGGAAGUGGUGCAAAUAAUACUUACUAGUAGUUGGAUCGUUUAAGUUUUAAACGUAUAUCUUAUUCUCUUUUGGUGGAUUAUAGAAACUCUGAUGUUGCAACCAAUUUGUUGGUUCAUCUAAUAUAUAUAUAUAUGGUUUGAGAUAUAUAUAAGUUAAUAUCAGUUUGUUGGUUGUAUUUGAGGCUGCGUCCUGUGAAAAGAAGGACGGCCGUGUCAUUCCCAUUCUUUGUGGUUUUGGGGUGUGACACUCUUCAUCCGAAUUGCGACCCCUGUCCUUGUCCUCUGCUCCUCCAUCCCUCCCCUUUCAUUCUCUGGAAUCUGUAGAUCAUCAAUUACAUGUGUCUUACGCUUUUGCCAAAAUGCCCAAAUGCUCUCAUGGCGAGGAAUUCUUUUGCCUUUUAUGGAUUGAUUUUAAUGAUAAAUAGGGUUGAGGGCCUUUCUCCUGCUAAAAAAAUCGAGCGAGUUAACUAAGUCGAGCCCCUAUGCCGCGGCCAUAUGCAACCAUGGCCGUGCGAGGCCAGCAACCCCUGUCUAUCGCGACUUCCACUGGACAUAGGUUGUGAGCUCCAUGCGGAGAAAAAAAGAGACCAAGGGAUAGCAAACAGGUCAAACUGGUGUGGAGUUAAUGUUGUCGGUGGAUUCACGCGCGAAGGUGAGGGCUUGUGAUGGCAAUGGGUGGGCGACAGUGAGCGGCGAUUCUGUAAAAAUCCUAAGCUAUAUUAAUUACUAAUUAUUCCAAUUUUUUUUUUCAUCAUAAAAAAUCGAAACUUGUCUCAGAAAUCCAAAAGUACUUUCCAUUGGAUGUUUACUUACGCACCGCUUUUCAUUAUUUUGAGUGUAAAUUUCUCUUCUAAAUUAUGUUAGGAUUAGUCUAGACAUUAAAAAAAAAACUACAAAAACAUUUGCAUGGACACUUAGUGGUUUCAUAAAGAUUAUAAUUGGUAAUCAAGAUUGUAUGGCCAUUUAGAUAAACAGCCUUCCAAGUUAGUGGUACCGCAAGGGCGCUAAUAGAAACAUUGGCGUAAACAAGUCCCCGUUCCUAGAAAUCUCUGGUUGCGUAUGAAUCGAGACAACACUCCCGUGUCUUGAUUGGUUUCCAGCCGACCUCAAUAGGCUAGUGGCGACUCCUAGAAUUACAUAAGUUGUUAAUAACUAAAAAACGAAUCCAACAUCGCGCGGGGUAUGGGCUUGGGAGAGCCCGCGCCUAAUCUAGGGCCAUUGGUCCACCUCUUUACGCAAAUACCCCUAAACCUUCUUCUUUUUCCCCGGACGGAAAAUUUGGAGGUCAUGACAGCUUGGCGACUCCACUGGGGACUUGGUUGCAAACCUUAGAAGACUUAGGCCGUAAUAACUUGGUUGGUUGUUCACUAACAUGGUCUUCAUUUGAUAGCGCGUGUCAAAGUCGCGUGGAAAACAAGGUUAGCCCGCUAACAAUGUGUUAAAUGUUUUUGUAGGUUUGGAGUAAUAAGGGGUGGAGUGUUUGUUAACCCAUCUCUUUUGUAGGGAGGCGUAGGAAUGUAUGCCGAUAUGGAUGAAAUUGAAGUGUUGUUUGGAUAUCAAUUGAUGUGCGUGCCUUUAUACUUAUCUUAGUACUACACAUUUACACACACAGCUUGCGAUCUAAAACCCCGAUCGCACUAGGAAGCCCAUAUGAGGUGCCAAAAGAUGGAACCCGUGCGGGGAAUGACCCAUGGUUAUCCACUUUUGGUCCCGCUCAUUUUGAUUAAUGAUAAAGAGAACUGUCCGACGUAAGCGCGGAGUGGGGAAAACUCUUUUGAUCUAAUCAAAAUGGGGACCUUAAGCCUUUAGAACUCCACCUUUAUGUGUCAAACCUCACAAGUUUGCAUCCGCAUGUCUAUGUGACUUAGAAAAAAAAAGGGUCUCUUCACCCACUGUAAGUAUGAUUUCUCCAUCUACUUGCUCACUUCGGAUUGAAAUUUUUAUUUAUUGGAGAUUCGCGGAAAUCAAUGGAAUGCCCUUGAAAAUAUAGGCUUGGCACUCACUUUUGAUAAAUAAGCAUUUCAAAUACCUAUGAUCUACUAAACAUAUGUUUUUGUUAAAUUUUCAAUUAUGAACUUAAAGUCACAUUUUGUAUAGAAAUUCUUCCAAAUCAAGAUUACAUUUUGGGGCAUAGAAUUAAAAUCAAAUUUUCAAUAAAACUCUUUGUUGGUCACAUUUCAAAAUUAAAAUUCAAAUCCCAUGUUGUAUAUUGAUUUUUCAAAAUAAAAAUCACCUCACCUUUGCAUGAGUGAAACCACAAAUUAAUUUUUUAAAAUCAAUGCCCCAUUUGUGUAUGAAACUUUUGGAACAAAGUGGGCAUUCAAUUGAUAGUCACGGAUCUAUCUUUUAAUGAAAUCUCCUCUUACUAAUAAAAUCUUGACGAAAUACCAAACUCUCGUAAGUGGAUACUACGGAGAAGGUAUCGUCGCCUUGAUUUCAUUGUAAGAGGCGGCUUUAUUGAAAGAUCAAUUUUUCAUUCAUAUAUUGACAUUAUCUUCCUUUCGCAGGUCAUGCGUGACAACCAUUCCUUAAAGCUAGGACGAGAAUUGUGCUUAUUAUGCUCCUCUAUGAAAGAGCUUCUUGUACUUUAUCCUUGUCAUUAUUCCUAUUAGGAAACGUGUUUUGCGUUUUGGGUUUUGAUUGUGGACCUAAUCAAAUGCCUCUGUAAAUCAUACAACUCACAUUUUCUAAUAAUGAAAUUAGAGUUCAUAAAAGUUAUACCCUUUAAAACACUUGAAGUGUUUCAAACGAACCCUCUGGGCUGAGUUUUAUGCCUUAGCUUCAAAAUGUGUGAAAAUAAGUUUCAAGAACUUGCGUAAUACUUUAUCUCUUCACUUAAUCGCUUUUGCAGGUUGAUCCGUAGAACGAUGCUUUGAGGGGGUAAGGUUGUAAUCGUUCCAAUAGGGAUUUCUUGCGCAACAACUAACUCAGUCAUCCAUUUUUGUGAAGCAGGCAAGAUGACGGUUUUGUUCAAGAUUGACAAAAGUGCGGGCCUUUCCCUAAUAGAGCGAGUCAUGAGAUGCACCAAUUCAUGCUCAUUUAUGGGCAUAGUUGGUUGAGCCAUGAACUACUUGAAUAUUUUCGCAACAUAUGAAUUCAAACAUUGUAAUUAAGUGUGAAAAGAAUCAUCAAGGCCUCGAAGAUCACAAAUCUACUGGUCUAAUGAAGUUCCACAUGCUGGACGACCUCAUAUUAAUUUGACAUUCUUCGUGGAAGAAGAAAUUUGUAGACAUUCUUUGGCAACAAACUACUUCGUUGGUUGCGAACAAGAAGCAUUUGCAAUCCCUACACUUCCAACGGUUUCUUGGCAUCCAAUCCUGUAUGGAGAUGAUUAUUGGUGGUAUGCAAGACAACACUUCGAGAUGUAGAUGUACACAAGCAAGAAUCGGUCAUCAAAUGUUGCAUUCAAAUAAAAGGUGGUAAUCGUUUCAAGUUAAAUUCGAUUUAUUUUAUGAAUGACUUGUCCUUCAACUUGGCGCAGAUUUUAGUGAGGCAAAUUACUGGCAAGCAACAAGAUUACAUGGGGAGGACAACCUGGUCCAGAAUCACACGAUCUCUAAAAGAAAAGGGUGUGUUCGUUCCAAAAGUCAGAACAACUCAUUCAUAAACUAACAUAGCCACCCAUGCUUACAGAUUGUGAAAUGGGAAAUGCAUUGAUGCAGCAAAAAUGGCGAAAAAUCACCUAGCCUAAAAGGGGUACGCGGGAAACCAAGUAAAGCAUGAAGGAUUCAAAUGAAAUGAAGAUUCAUCAAUCCAACAUAAUGAAGCUGAAAUUUUAAUUGGGGCAGAUGGCCAUAAAAUGGAUCGGGGGCAUGCAAUGCCUGAGUCACCCGACUUCUAAAAGGGGAAAAUUUCAAAUGGAAUAGACAUUUGCCAAGUGAAUCACUGUCAAUCAUGAAAGCAAAUCCCUCUUCAUAGCCAAGGAAACGAGAUGGAACGCAGUCAUCAUAUAUGCCGUAAAAGGGAGUAUACCGUUCCUAAAAUGAAUCAUGUCGAGUAUGAAAAUAACAUAUUCGUCUCUUUUUCCUUGCAGUUGAUGAAUGGGGCAAAUCACUUACAGCAGAGCAAUUUUGACCCAUGAGCAAGAUGAAACAUAGUCAAUUGAUUCAGCACGAAAAGGGAGUAUCGUUUCUAAAUUAGUCCAAUUCAAUUUUGGAAUAUAAGUACCAUGCCCUAUCUCUUGUAGGAAAAGGUGCACAUUGACCGUUGGAGCAACACCUUAUACCAAGAAGGCAUGUUAAGGCCUAACCAUCCAUUUUGAUGGAAUAAAUGGAGUAAAAUAUCCACGGAGCAAUGCCCUCACAUGUCGAAACAAUGAGUACCCCUCUCCUUUCAUCUUUGACGCCCACUUAGAAUGAGUGAAUUCGAUAACAUCUUUGAAAGGAAGACCUUCAAGGAAAUGUUAACACCUGAGGAGCAAAAGCACAUGAAGAGGAAACACAAGAUAUUUAAAGUCAGCUGCAGGAGAAGGGUAAUUCGGUAUUGUUUCCAAAAUGCCCCUCUCUAACUUCAUUAUUUGACGUAGUUCCCUUGUUUGACAGGAAUCGUCGGUAUUCGGGGAACAAGCUCGAGAAAUUGAUUUAAGCAUAAUUCAUAUCAACCAAGCAAGCAUGUGGAGCCAACACAUGACAAAGUCACCUAAGUUGGCUUAAAAUAUGUGUCGUUCUAGAGCCGGUUCAAUUAAAUAAAAAAAGAAGCGCCUUAUGGACACUACCAGCGCUUUGGCCUGGUGGUAUGGGGAAUGAAGUGGGUCUGAGAGGUACGGGGUUCGAUCCCUGGAAACAGCAACAAGGUUGCCAUGUAAAUAAUAAUAAUAAAUAAAUAAAUAAAAACUUUUGCAUCUCUUAUUUUUGCAAAAAGAGGAAAAUGCUUGAACUAAUGAGACCAAAGAUCUGAGAUUCUCUUCAAGCCUUAAAAUAGUACAUUCAUUCCGUUGUUUGCCGCCAAAUGGUGAAACUAACCAAGGGUAAUGUUGUAUCGUUUCCAAUUUUACGAUCCCUGAGGAUUCAUGUACUAACACAUUCCCUUUUGUUCUUCGUAGGGUCGCUUGACUACUAAGGCACAGGUAAGUACCCUUCUUCUCAAAAUCAAAUGGAAAAUAAAUGGGGAAUUUCCAUCACAAAAAAAGAACAUCUACUGUUUUUCUAGAAGCAAGCACAAAAAAAAAAAUGGAAAUUGAAGAAAAAAAAUUUCCACAAAGUUUGCAAAAAUCUUCUUUAUCAUUAAAUUGUUCAUCCACUUGAUGGAUCACUCAUUUCGAAUCAAAAUUCCCUAGGGAGAUUAAUCCAUCCAAAUGUUCUCAACAAAAAUGAAAGGGAUGUUACUCAUGCCAAGCAAGAAACAUUUAGAAUGAGGAAAGACAACCCAUUUCCAAACAUGUCCUUUAAACACUCUGGGAUUCGAGCGAAAAAGAAAACCUGUGUCAUUCAAGGUCAUCGAAUUCAUUCGCAAGCGGUACAUAGACCAAUAUGAUAAGAGGCAUUUCUUUCCUCUAUCAUACACACUACAGGUGACAAUAGUUAGCCCAUUUGAGCCUUUUAAUGUGAAGAAUUUUCUACAAAAUACCCCUGUCAAGAACCACCCCACGAUGGGGCAAUUAUGGAGAUUUGGGUUGACAUUAUUUGGAGAGAAAAGAUGAGAAAGGUUUCUUUACUCUCACUUGCAUAAAUCUUUUCUAUGGUAACUUCAGGUGAAUUCUUAUGGAAGCUUGAAGCAUCCCAAGGUAAAGAAGAGCAUUCUUUUCUCUACCCAAACACCGAUACCCUUUGCUUAAACCAUAUUGAGCCUAACUAUUCAUUUCUAAAACCCGAGUGGUGAUUAUCUCCCCACAUUGGGGCAGGGCACAUGAUUUACCAAUGCAAUUGGUGUUUAUAUGAGAAUAUGAAAAGCAUCUUGAAAGUCCCAAGAGCUCAAAAAGUUUGAAAGAACAAAAGUCAAGUGAAAAUUAAGGGGCAUGAAAAAGCAGUGUGCCUGGUAAAAGCAAGGCCAAUGCCCACAAAAAAGGGAGAGAGAGUGGAAGAAAAACAAUUGCAUCAAGAGGAAUAUCUCUGUGAAAGCAAAAAUGGCAAAAAAAAAUGCAUGCAUUGAAAAGAAAAUCAUUGCAAAUGCAAAAGCCAUUAUGUUAAGAUGAUUAGUCAAAGGACUUUCAAGACAAUUUGAAUUCUAAACAUUGAGUGCUUUAAAAAAUGGAUGAUAUGGUAAUGAUGCCAUGAUAAUCACCAACUCCCAAAUCCCCCUUUGACAAAAAAGUUCUAAGCCUUUUGAGCUAAGCCUUUUGAACCUUUCCCCGAAACAACAUUACAACCCAUUUCCAAAGUCUCUUCAGAUUGGGAUGAUUUGAAGUGGAAAUAAGGACUUCCUAAAGAAGAUGCCGCUCGAAGAAGUGAGAGUAAGGUUGUCUUAUCUCAUCUUAAGGUUUCUUGACUUGUAAACCUGGCGGAGAUGUCGAUCAGUGAUUAAUUCAUUUCAUAGCCAAUGAUGCUUAUCCAUUGCUAAAACCAUGACCAAACCUGCACUACGGUCCUUCUAAAAGACCUCUUUGAUUGGUCAAUGUGUACUUAUUGCGAAUGAUUCAAAGCCUUGCGCACUGGAAGAGUGAGGUUGAGUGAUCAGUUUAUUUCCCACAUGAACAGAUUGGGAUCAAAUAACCAUUUUCUUGAGGAUAUGCGAGAAGCCCUUUCUGACUAGGGAUCCUUGCUUGGCAUACUUAACAAACCUUUCUCAUAAGUCGGGGUCAUUUCGACAAGGACUUUUCUCCCAAGAGAAUUUGACGAUUAAUGGUAUCAUCCGAGCGUGAUGACAGUUUUGCGAGUUUGUCAAGUUGUCGGAAUUAGUUUGAUUUGUUUAUGCAAUCAUUGUCUUCUCAUUACCGAUACACUUUUGAUAUUGUUUCUAAUGACAUAUGUUGAAAUUGACCUCAUCUAGUAUGCUUUCGCUACUAGAACACUUGUUAUAAUGAAUACUAUUUGAUGUGCACCAUUUCAGAAUAUUCUCGAAUGACAGGUUCCUCCAGUGAAACCACACAAUUUCAAAGGGUUCAUGGGUUAGCCUUAAACCAUGCACUUUCAAGAGUUCUUGGUUACCUUUAAACCUUGCAAUUCUAAAGAGUUCAUGGGUUAGCUUUAAACCAUGCAUUUUCAAAGGGUUCUUGGUUAUCCUUAAACCAUGCAAUUUUCAAGGGUUCUUGGAUGAGCCUUAAACCAUGCAUUUUCAAAAGGUUCUUGGUUAUCCUUAAACCUGGCAAUUUCAAAGGGUUUAUGAGUUAUCCUUAAACCAUGCAUUUUCAAAGGGUUCUUGGUUAUCCUUAAACCAUGCAAUUUUCAAGGGUUCUUGGAUUAGCCUUAAACCAUGCAUUUUCAAAAGGUUCUUGGUUAUCCUUAAACCUGGCAAUUUCAAAGGGUUUAUGAGUUAUCCUUAAACCAUGCAUUUUCAAGAGGUUCUUGGUUAUCCUUAAACCAUGCAAUUUUCAAGGGUUCAUGGGUUAGCCUUAAACCAUGCACUUUCAAAAGUUCUUGGUUACCUUUAAACCUUGCAAUUCUAAAGAGUUCAUGGGUUAGCUUUAAACCAUGCAUUUUCAAGAGGUUCUUGGUUAUCCUUAAACCAAGCAAUUCUAAAGGGUUCUUGGAUUAGCCUUAAACCAUGCAUUUUCAAAAGGUUCUUGGUUAUCCUUAAACCUGGCAAUUUCAAAGGGUUUAUGAGUUAUCCUUAAACCAUGCUUUUUCAAGAGGUUCUUGGUUAUCCUUAAACCAUGCAAUUCUAAAGGGUUCUUGGAUUAGCCUUAAACCAUGCAUUUUCAAAAGGUUCUUGGUUAUCCUUAAACCUGGCAAUUUCAAAGGGUUCAUGGGUUAGCCUUAAACCAUGUAUUUUCAAGAGGUUCUUGGUUAUCCUUAAACCAUGCAAUUCUAAAGGGUUCUUGGAUUAGCCUUAAACCAUACAUUUUCAAGAGGUUCUUGGUCAUCCUAAAACCAUAUAACUUACGUGGUUAGUGGGACUGCCUUAAACCACACGGUUAGUGGGACUACCUUAAACCACACGGUUAGUGGGACUACCUUAAACCACACGGUUAGUGGAACUACCUUAAACCACACGGUUAGUGGGUUUACCUUAAACCACACGGUUAGUGGAACUGCCUUAAACCACAAGGUUAGUGGGUUUACCUUAAACCACACGGUUGGUGGGACUACCUUAAACCACACGGUUAGUGGACUGCCUUAAACCACAAGGUUAGUGGGACUGCCUUAAACCACACGGUUCGUGGGAAUGCCUUAAACCACAAGGUUAGUGGGACUGCCUUAAACCACAAGGUUAGUGGAAUUGCCUUAAACCACACGGUUUGUGGGAAUGCCUUAAACCACAAGGUUAGUGGGACUGCCUUAAACCACAAGGUUAGUGGGACUGCCUUAAACCACAUGGUUUGUGGGACUGCAUUAAACCACAAGGUUAGUGGGUUUGCCUUAAACCACACGGUUAGUGGGACUGCCUUAAACCACAAGGUUCGUGGGACUGCCUUAAACCACACGGUUAGUGGAACUGCCUUAAACCACAAGGUUCGUGGGUAUAUCCUUAAACCACACCUUUCAAAUUGUUCACAAGUACAUCCCUAGAUCACACUCUUUACAUUAAGCUUACUUGCAUUUUCAUUUUACUAUUGUAAAAAAAACAAAAAAACUAAAAAAAAAAACUAAAAAAUUAGGUGUCACAUUGUCUUUGAAAGAAAUCUCUUUGAGAUUUCUUCUAAAGAGGGGCAGCUGUUGACACCUAAAUUUUUGCCAAAAAAUAUUUCAUGUUAAAUUCUUGCAUAUAGAUUAUUUAGGCAUUUUAAUAUAGUGUUUUAAAUGGAAUAUGUUUUUACUUUAAAAGAAAAUUGAAAAAAAAAGAUUAAAAAAAAGAAAAGAAAAAAAAGUUGGGGCCAAUGAUCUAAAUGUGACUAGCCAAGCCAAGGAGGUUAGAUUGGAAUUCAAAUGGUAAGUUUGGGCCAAAAUGCAAUUUCCAAAAGUUGAGGGACCAAUUUGCAAAUUUUGCAAAAUUUGCGCCCAAGCCCGUAAAUCAUAAUCUUGGUCACCAAUUAAGUUGAAAUUGAAUUUGGGCCAACUCGAAUCAAUCAAAUUGAGCGAAAAGGACCAAAUUUGCCUUGAGUUGGGUAUUUUCGGAUAAGAAAAUGGCUAAGUUUGAGGGACUUUCUUGCAAAAUUGGGUGAGCUGGGUCAGUGGACAGGCUUGGUAGGUGGACAAAAGGCCGACCAAAAAUUCUCUAAUUGGGGGGGAUAACAUUACGGAAGGGAGGUCUUUCGAGGGAGUGGAGAGAGGAGACGAGAGGGAGAGGAGAGAGCUUGGAAUCGUCCCCCAAAGAGGCCCUCAGAAGCAACUCUAGAAAAGCAAAACCCAGAAAUUCCAGACCGACCUGAAGAGAGAAAAGUGAGAUUUUCACACACCUGUGGCCAAAAUUAGCCAAACCCUUCAACUAGAGAGUGAAAAUUCAUUCAAAGAUCUUUCCAACCAUAGGUCGCAAGUCCCAAAUGGAGAUCGGGAAGGCCUCCUAAAGCCCCCCGAAAACAGUGCCCUCCUGGCAGGCCAAGAAAGUCCGAAAUUUUUCUAAGUGUUGAGCCUGAUUGUUCAUGAGUGAGGAAAAACGAGUGCUUUUGAGAAACUUGAGAGACAAUUGAGGAAAGCCAUGACUUACAAGCCAAACGAUAAUAUAUAUAGUUUUGGUUGAUUUGAACUUCGUCAACAAGGAAGGUUUGGAAAUCUAAUUUUGGAAGUUAACGAAAACCUUCGUUGUCACCUUUUCUUCUGCAGAUCUCACUUUCAGCUCGAAGGAACCAGUUUCCACGUGCUUCCAGAGGACAAUUUCGUGGUUUCCUUGGCCAACAGUCACUUGAAAAAGGAACUAGGAAGCAAGAUUUGCAAAACGGCUCCAACCCGCAUAUUGAAGGCCGUUUUCAGUUUGAUUCUUGCGUGUUCUAGGCUGUAAUUUCUAGUCAAAUACGUUCUUUGCAUGUAGUAGUAUAUCCUUGAUACUUUACAUUCACAUGAGAUUGCUUAUGGGUUGAGAUUGAAGGCCACGAACAUGACCCGAAUAAGCCGUUUUGGAGUGAUUUGAUGCAAGCCAAGUGUUCGACAAAAUGCUCAAACUAAGCUUCGAUCUUGAAACGGUCGAUUUGAGCUUGAUUAUUGUGAUAUUCAUGUGCUGUGUUACUCCAUGUUAGCAUAGAUCGGUUUAAGGAAUUAUUUUUUUUUUUAAAAUAAUUAAAAAAAGAGAAAAAUAUGAAAAUUUCAAAAAUAUCAAAAAAUGUUAGAUAGCAUCAAAUUAGGAUAUAAAUGACAUAUAUGAAAUUUUCCUAAUUUUAAAAUGUCAUUUUCCUAAUUUAAUGCUAUUUUGGUAUUUUAUAACCAUUUUUGUAAAUAAUCCAUUUUGUGUAGAUUAAAACUAUUUAAAGUAAUUUCAUGCAUAUAGAGUAAUUUCAUGCAUAUUUGAACUCUCAUUUUGCUCAUGGGGGUCCUGUCCCGGGGUGUGAUAACAAGGCCAUGUAAUAUUAUUUGCCCGACUUGUAUCGGGUUUACCUUUUCCGCGUUUAUUUUCAAGUCAUUUCAAUUUCUUGGAUGUUUACUUACGCGCCGCUUUUCAUUAUUUUGAGUGUAAAUUUCUCUUCUAAAUUAUGUUAGGAUUAGUCUAGACAUUAAAAAAAAAAACUAAAAAAACAUUUGCAUGGACACUUAGUGGUUUCAUAAAGAUUAUAAUUGGUAAUCAAGAUUGUAUGGCCAUUUAGAUAAACAGCCUUCCAAGUUAGUGGUACCGUAAGGGCGCUAAUAGAAACAUUGGCGUAAACAAGUCCCCGUUCCUAGAAAUCUCUGGUUGCGUAUGAAUCGAGACAACACUCCCGUGUCUUGAUUGAUUUCUAGCCGACCUCAAUAGGCUAGUGGCGACUCCUAGAAUUACAUAAGUUGUUAAUAACUAAAAAACGAAUCCAACGUCGAGUGGGGUAUGGGCUUGGGAGAGCCCGCGCCUAAUCUAGGGCCAUUGGUCCACCUCUUUACGCAAAUACCCCUAAACCUUCUUCUUUUUCCCCGGACGGAAAAUUUGGAGGUCGUGACAUCUUGUUACUAAUACUAUAAGUAAACUUGAAUCAGUGACUCGCAAAUAUUAUGCGUCAUAGUUCCAUCCAAGACGGCCGUUAAAAAUCCAACAUGACCACUUGCUUGGACAUCAAUAGGCAAAUGGAGCCAAUGUAAAUUUGACGUGAUUUUAGUAUGGUCUAAAAUGACUUUAGAGAAACAAAUUGGACAUGCUUUUACCAAUGUGGAGUAUACAUCUUCUUAAUGUCACAAUUUUACGAUGGUUACUGUCAUAGAGGUGAUGCCAUAAGUGCUGAGAUACUUUCAUGCAGAUUGUAACAACUACUUUUUCGUAUACGAAAUAAUGAAGUUAACGUUCUCCUAGGUGAAGAGUGGGCAUCAACCAAUUUCAAACACAGUAAAGACAAAACAGCAAUUUAUAAGGUAUCUCAGAUAAUUCACCACAUAAUAAAUUGACAAAAUAAUGCACUUGGAAUUUAUAUAAUUUGACCUGACCUCACUAGGAAAGUUAAUUAGCAAUUCAAAGCCACUGAAACAUUUAAACCAAACCAAAACAAAACAAAGAAGAUCUGAACAAGGGUACUCGCAGAACUAUAUCACUAGUCAACAUGCAAAGUGCACGUGAGAAGAAGAUUUACAUAAACCUCUUUGUAAUUGAUAUGUAUAACAGAAUAGGAAGUACUUCUUAUCAGAAAAAAAGUACUCAAGAGAGAAGGUGUCCAUUCUUUUUUCUUGUGCAGAAAUUUAUCGAGUUUGAUCUAACAACUCCAUGAUGUGCUGAAUUUCCAAAUCUCCCGUGGUGAAUGCCUACCCGAUCAGACUGAAUUGAGGUCAUACAGCAACCCCUUUUUAAGGCAGGAAGUCCAUAUCAGACUUUCCCUUCCAUCUUGGUAGUUUGUAGAUGUAUUAUCUCUGUAAGAUGGAGAUUCUUGGUGUUUGUCCGUUAAGACUAGCAUGCGAAUCGAACAAAGUCAACCCCAAAAUCAUGCACCGCUUACCAAUUAGUCGGGGGUUCACACCAAUAGCUCUCACAAUACUAACCGAGAUACACUUCUUUCAUCACUUGAUUCGAAUCAUUUCACUGUUCCCGCCGCUCCAUGGCUUAUUGCAGCAUCAUUAUCUGGACUGCCCUUUCCAGUGAUCUAUCUUGUGCUUGUUAGACUCCUCUGGAAGAAAUCUUUGAACGGAACAGCAAAAAUAACGAUGGUAGCAACUGUGACCACACGUAGGGCAACCUCAAGUGCGUCAAUCGUUUUGCGCUUAGCACAAGUGGUCCACCUCGGCAGAAACAACAAUCACUGAGCUGCUACUGCUCCCCCUCCUCCUCGGAAGCUUCGGACGACGCUGCUGGUUCGAGGGCUUGGCCAUGGCAGUGCUAAGAACCUAUUUCGGCGGAGAUCGACCGAUCGAGGUCGUCGCUGCUCGUUCUAGAGAGAGAGAAAGAGAGAGGGGCUGAAUCAGAAUCCGAAGUGACGAUCUGAAAUAAAAAUGGGGGGAGGAGAGAGUCGGAGGGUGAUGGUGGGAUAGUCGGAGGAGAGAGUCGGUGUUGGAAACUGGUGGAAGCAGAGGAGGAUUCUUUGCGUCUUUUCGGAUUUUUGUUUUAAUUAGUUUCUCGCUUUUCCUUUUUAUCUUUUGGGGUUUGGUUUUUUCCUUUCGGUUUUUCUUUUCAUUUGUCGCAACACGCGAGUGGCGCAAAGAUUUGCCGCCAGCAAGAGAGGGAGGCAAAAUUGUAUUUUCGUUUCCCCUGCCGCAGAAUUGAGGACAGCAGCGUCAGCUCCCGCGCGAGAUGAGACUUGCGGCUCUAGGAUUAGAGGUGGUCUGACCUGCCCUUGCUGCCUGACGCAACCGACUCUCGAUGGUCUGCGAUUUUUUCCUCCGUAUAUUAAGAGAGUAGAGAGGGAAAAUUAAACGUAAUUUCCCUCCCUGAAGUUUUCGCUGUUGAAGAUUAAGUUUGAACCAAAACUACUCAAUUUACACGUACGUAUACAGGCCGGUCAUUGCUGUCUUACCGCGUGCUAUAAGCCAGGAAAUAUCUCCGUAUGAGGUAGCAAUAUAUGCAAGAUACAAGCUCGCCAAGGAUUCACUCAUCAUGUGGUUCGAAUUUGUCAACUCGGGAAAAAUAGUAUGACCAGCCUAUUGUUAAGUCAUCGCAUUUGAGGGUGGACUACAAUUUUUUCAUGUUCAUUCUUCUUUCUUUUUCAACUCAUUUCAAGUAAAUGAGUCGUGUAUGAAUUUGAUAAAAGCAUGAGAGGUGUAUAAAUCUGUUUCGUGCUUAUUAGCACGUAUGUUUGAUGAGUGACUGAUUUAUCAACACUAGCUAUAAAUGAAGGGAUUUGGGGAUUGUUCUCUACAAGAAGUUAUUGUUACACCCUUCACGCUCUUGAAUCACUCCUUGUUCUUCACUUCCGCUUGUUGUUUUGUGUACUAAUUGCUUUGUACUUUUUGAAUAACACGAUUUUUUAGAUUAAGCUUGAAUCUGAAAAUAUUUGACUCGAGAAGCUUGCCAUCGUAAUGGAGUACUCAAUUGCAAUUUCAAAUGCCUCCACUAAUAUAAAUAAACAAAUGAAUUAUAUCAAUUUUAAUUUUAGUGCAUAGUAACUAAGUAAUUGAAACGUAGAACACCCAUUUGUCCAAAAGAACAUCUCAUUCUCUUGGGCUAAAAUACAAUUGAAGGCAUCCCUAUGCGGUCUUUUUGAAUGUUUCGAUUUUAGCAAAACUUACUUCAAUGCCCUCACGCACACGACGUAAAUCACUGAAUGUGACAUUAAAAAUGCCCGCCAACAAAAUAAGAUCCCAGGGGCAAAUCAAGAAAGAUCGUGAAGAAUAUGGAGUGGAACAAAUUGCAUUUGAGGGUGAUGGUUGUUCUAACAUGCUUGUGUCACGGGCUUAUCGAUUAGGAUCGUGACCGCGUGGCGACUCGAGCACUUUAGGAUCGGAUGGAUCACCGAAGCACCUAAGCCAAGCCUUGCUCGGUCGAACGCUCACUCGCUCGCCUUACCCGGAUCGUAGAGAGAGAAAGAAUCUAGAUAGAAAAGCUCUAGAAAGAAGCUUUGCUUUAUAUUGCGGAAGUAAUGGAUGCCUACAAAUGAAAGAGGACACCCCUUUUAUAGUUGAGGGCCUCGGAUUACAUCCAUUGAUCUAGAAUUCUAUCAGCGGACGAGAUCGCACCGCCUCAACUACCGACAUAAGUGCCAAUUACCGUCUACCGACAUAAAUAACAGAACAGACUUCUGUAAUAGGACUCAAUGACGGUUUCGCCCGCCCUUGGAGACUUUGGGUAGAAGGUUCGGUGGGAAUCCGAGUGAGAGCAGGAGGUCCACGGGCGAGUUGGGGUCGACUCUGGGGAACCUCUCAGAUCGACUCUCUUUAGGCCCGUGAUAUUCUCCCCCACUCAAUCGAGCGACGUCCUUGUCGCUCUCAGCUUGAUGGGCAGCUUUGCGGGCUUUGACACGAGCUUUGUUGUUCUUGUUUCGCUUCGCUCGGACACUCAUGAACGAAGGGUCACAACCUUCGAUGAUGAAUUUGGAUUUGUCAUGCGGCUCGGUCUUCGAUUUGGACGGAGCAAGUGGCGCGCACUCGACCUCGGGGAAGAGCGCUUGGAUUGGCAUGGCGUGGGUUGGAGUAGGAUCCAACUCGACCUUUGGCUUCACCUCGGACAGCUUGUUGAUGCGCAUCACAGCCUUUAAGCUCUUGUUGAGGCGUCGGAUUGACGCGAUGGUCUUGGUGUUGACCACCCCUUUGAUCAUGGGGAUCAUCGACGGGCACUUUUGGUCGAGGAUCAUCAUGCACUUUGUCCUCAUGUCGAUCAUGGCUCCCACACUUUCGAAGAAUUGCAUGCCAAGAAUGAGAUCAUAAUCGUCAAGAGGGAUUACCUCGAACGUCAUUCUGCCCUUCCACCCGCCAAUUUUGACAUCCACGUCGGGUGUUGCUCCUACGCCAUGGAAGUCGCCCGAAUUGAUGGGCUUGUACGACUUCCCGGAUGGUUCCACGUGAAGUCCCAAGGCUUUUGCAACCUCAGUCAACAUGAACAUGUUGGAUGCGCCGGUGUCGACCAAAGCGUAAAGUGUUCGGCCGCCCACUUCGACCUCCACGAAGAACAUGUCUGUGUUUGGAGUGAUUCCUUUUCCUUUGGUUAGCGAUCGGGCUUGGAUCGAGUUUACCAUCUUCACAGCUCCAAUCCGGAUUUGUCUCCUAUCUUCUUUGGGCACCUCCUUUUCUUCCUCGAUGGCAAGGAGGGUGUUGAUGCGACCCCUCUUCGGGCACUUUUGGGUCCAAUGCAGACCUUUGCAAAUAAAGCAAGGAGAGGGUGGAGGUUGAUCGAACUUACUCGCGUAGUCCGUUUGCGGUCGACCUCUUUGGAAGUACGGCUUGGAAGACCCUUCUCCCCACAUCUUGGCUCGAUCGCCUUGAUCGGGCGCGCCUUGAGGAGUGUUUGUUCCUUCGUAGUCCGGUCGAUCCGACCUCUAAUCUCUUGCUCGGUUGUUUCUCGGCUCAACCUUGGUGAGAUCGACGAGAGACUCGGCCAUGCUAAGCGCUCGUGCAAGACUACUCACGUCCCGCCGUUUCAGCUCAAGUUGUGCCCAAGGCUUUAGUCCAUCCAUAAACGCUCCGAAAGCCUCCUCUUCGCUUAGGUUGCGAAUUUGGGGUUUGAGUUCCGUGAACUCCUUCACGUACUCUCGGAUCGCGCCUCUUUGCUCGAGGCGAUGGAGCAUGCUUCGGGCUUCUUGUUGAGCGAACUCGGGGAAGAAAUAGUCCCGGAACUCCCUCACGAAGUCGUGCCACAUGUUCAUGAGAUUGGCGCCACGUCGAAUCUCAUCGCACCUAUUGCGCCACCACAGCAUUGUCGUAUUAGACAGGAACAUGGAAGCGGUUCGUACCUUGGUUAACUCGUCUCGGAUGUUGACGGCGCCGAAGUAUUGCUCCAUGCUCCACACGAAGUUGUCUACUUCUUGGGCGGAUCGGUUGCCUUUAAACUCCUUUGGCUUCGGCACCUCAAUUUAGGGCACCGCUUGAGUAGGCACUGCACCGUUCGUGAUGCUGAGUUUGCAUAGGGCGAGCUCGGUUUUGAGCUCUUGGAUCUCCGCCUUCAUGGCUUCGACCUCAUCCCUACACGUGCUUACCUCUUCGAUUAUUUAGACGCGAUCGUUCAAACCAUCAAUCGAUGCUUCGAGAACUUCGUCCUUGUCGAACAAUGGAGCCGUGGCUUGGUUGAUGCCAGUCGUGAAGUCUUCGCGGAGCGAGCCCUCAACCUCCAUGAUCCAGUCUCGCACAUCAUCAAGACCUUCCAAGAGCUCGAGCAUAGCACUCCGGACCUUCCCGAUCUUCUCAUCGAACGUGACCGCAACAUCCACCGAGGCAUCUCUCUUCUUUGCUUUGCUGCGCGUGUCCUUGACUGGCACAGCUUCUCCAACUAUAGCCGCUUCUUGGCUUGACAUUCUCUCGAACAGUUGGUGCUCUUCAAUCUCUUGGAAACUGAUCUCUCUUUAGCUCUGAUACCACUUGUCACGGGCCCAUCGAUUAGGAUCGUGACCGCGCGGCGACUCGGGCACUUUAGUAUCGGAUGGAUCGCCGAAGCACCUAAGCCAAGCCUUACUCGGUCGAACGCUCACUCGCUCGCCUUACCCGGAUCGUAAAGAGAGAAAGAAUCUAGAGAGAAGAGCUCUGGAAAGAAGCUUUGCUUUAUAUUGCGAAAGUAGUGGAUGCCUACAAAUGAAAGAGGACACCCUUUUUAUAGUUGAUGGCCUUGGAUUACAUCCAUUGAUUUAGAAUUCUAUCGGCGGACAAGAUCGCACCGCCUCAACUACCGGCAUAAGUGCCAAUUACCGUCUACUGACAUAAAUAACAUAACAGACUUCUGUAAUAGGACUCAAUGACGGUUUCGCCCGCCCUUGGAGACUUCGGGUAGAAGGUUCGGUGGGAAUCCGAGUGAGAGCAAGAGGUCCACGGGAACCUCUCAGAUCGACUCUGGGGAACCUCUCAAAUCGACUCUCUUUAGGCCCAUGACACUUGAUUGCCACAAAUUGAGGCAAUACUCAAUUAUGAGUUUUGAUAGUUUCAAGUUUGAUAGAUCAAUCAAUGUAUGGAAGUCUUAAGACUAAAGCAUAGUUCAUCAAUAUAUUUAGAAACUUUGAUAGGAAUUUUAAAAUUACUUGCCUCAAAUUCACUGUCUGAGUCUGAUUCAGAGUCUGAGUCUGAUUGUGCCAUUAGACAUAGAUUGGCAUAUUCAUUAUCACUUUCUUCACACUCUGUGUCACUCCGGGUUUCGGCUUUGAGAGCUUUUCGAAAUUUUUCAGCUUUUCCUUUCUUCUUCUUCAGAAAAGGACAGUUGGGUCUGAUGUGUCCCUUUUUCUUACAUUCAAAGCAGACUAUGUCUUUGUUUGGUUCCUCAUCAUCAACAGACUUAGUCUGUUGUCUUUGAAAGCUUUGUUUCUUUGAGUUGAACCUUCUUCAUUUUCUAUUCAGUUUUCUGAAUCUUCUUAUCAUGAGAGCAAGCUCCUCAUCGUCCAUAUCUUCUUCAGAAUCUGUAUCAUCAGAAUCAUCAUUUGAUUUUAAUGCAAUGGAUUUCUUACCUUUUGGAUCUUCAUCUUCAUUGAUUCGUUCCAAUUCAUAAGAUUGAAGAGUUCCAAUUAGCUCGUCGACAGAUAGUGGCAUAAUUCUCUGCGUCUCUCUUAUCGAAGUCUUUAUGUGAUUCCAAUCCCUGGAGAGUCCACGCAGUAGCUUGUUUACCUUCAUGGGAUCAAAAGUUGGUUGACCUUGAUUUUCAAGACCAUUCACAAUAUCUGUAAAACGACUAAACAUGUCAGAUAUUGAUUCUCAUGGUUUCAUUCUGAAGGCUUCGUAUUGACCGAGAAGAAUGUUGAUUCUUGUUUCCUUCACUCGAUCUGUUCCUUCAUAAGUGAUAUGCAAUCUGUCCCAAACUUCUUUUGCUGUACCACAAGAAGAUAUUCUAUUAUAUUCAGUUGGUGAUAAAACACAAUAUAAUGAGUAAAUUGCUUUUGCAUCGAGUGUUUGUCUCUUGAUUAUUUCUUCCUGAAACAUUCCGCUGGUUUCUUCAGUUUCUUUUCCUCUUUCAGAGACUGAUGCAGUGGUAGGAGUAAUUCCUUUUUCUACAACGUCCCAUUCUAGAUGAUCCUUUGAUCGUAGGAAAGCUUUCAUCUUGUUCUUCCAGAUGUUGUAAUCCUUUCCAUCAAAGUAGGGUGGUCUGGUAUUGCUUUGCCCUUCCAUCAGCCCUGGUGCUAGCAUACUAGCCAUGGAUCUUUUACUAUGAAGUAAAACACUUCAAAUAAAGUAAGUACAUAGGCUCUGAUACCAAUUGAUAUUGCUAGUAUGAGUACCUAGAGGGGGGUGAAUAGGUGCAUAAACAAUUUAUAGAAAUACAGAAGCGAUUCUUAGCAUAUGAUAGAAAGUAAAUUCUCUCUUAAUUAACAAAAUGAUAUAUGAUCGAGGUAGAGAGAAUGAGGAAGAGAAAAUUGAACACAGGAUUUAUAGUGGUUCGGCUUAUUCCAAGCCUACGUCCACUCUUUCGCACUGACAGCCCACCGGCUGGAUUUCACUAUGAUCAAAAGAGAAGUUACAGCACAGCUUUGCCUUGAUUCCACAGUGUAGAUGUUCUACCACACCUCCUCAAGGUCUCUCACAAAUAUAGACUCUCUUUUGUAUACAAGUAUUCGCUCAAAUGAUUUAUCUAAACAAAUAGGAGCUUCAGACUUUGGAAUUCUUCUAUCGCGCACACCUUGAACAACUAAGACAGUCUUCCUUAUAUACUCCUUUAUGCCAUCAUACCCGUUGGCACUUACCAAAGGAAUUCCUCCAAUCUAUCCAUUGGACGAAAUCAAUUAGGAAGAUUGUUCAAGCUAUUAAAGGAACGUGUUGAUAGCCCAUCAAUCAUGUUCGCCCAUACAAUCAGGAUCUCGGUUUCCAUAAGCAGAACCUUCCAAUAAUACUUAGGCAAUCACCGGAUCUUCAAUUAUCGAGUCAAUCUUAGAUCAAUCAAAGGACUCCGUUAUGUCUUUUCCAGCCACGAGAUCUUCUCCAGUUGAUAAGGUCAAAUCCUUAACGAAAUAUACAGUUCUGGAUAACCUUUCUUCAACGGAUUAGAGACUGUCAAUGAGGAUAGACUUUGAGUCUUGAGUCUGGCUGUCCGGAGGUCUUCAGACUUUAAAUAGCAGAGUCUGCAAACCUUCAGACUAGACUGAUAGAAACGUUUUGUCAACUUCAAAAUACUUUAAGAAGAUUUCUCCAACAGCUACACUGUGAUGUAUUGAAAUACAUGCGUACGUGUCUAGCAAUGCAUCUUUGAAAGUUGUUGUGCUAUAGACAGCUACGAUGACUAAUAUGUUUGAUCGCUGUAGUUAUUAGAAUGAAGAAAAGACCUUUUAAUAUUGUCGCAAAGCUUUUACCAACGUUUAUAUCUGUGUUAUUGGAACUUUUGCUGGAUACCAUUUUCACCAUAUGAUGAUGAUGAUGAUGAUGAUAGUCGAAUCCGGAAUAGACAUUUUGAGAGGACUUCAUUUCCAACUUAAAUACCAAAGCAAUCCAUGUUUAUACAUGAAAUUGCAGAAGAAAAUAUAGGCAGUACGAUGCCGAACCCUUGAAAUGCACAAUCUACUGCAGCCCAAUGAGGCGGCAGCCAUAUGCAUCCAAUUGCAAAGGGCCACAAGAGCGACCGUACAAUCAUACGGGAAAGGAAAUCCCACUUGGAAUUGCUCUCUCCACCUGUCUUCCUCAACUUCAUAUCCUGUUGAACACAGUAGCAAUCUGUCCCCGUGAGCUUAACUGUUCAGAUGUUGAAAGGAUGUAUUCUGCACCAUGCCUUGGAGAUACAGCAAGACUGGCAUGAUGCCAGGUGAUAAGGGUAAAGAUAAAAAGUUCAUACUACUCGCCAUGCAGGUGAUGGGGGUAAAGAUAAGCGCAUCUCUCUCUCUCUCUCUCUCUCUCUCUCUCUCUCUCUCUCUCUCUCUCAAUUGUGCAAGCUUCUCUCCUCUGUUAAUUUACUACUGAUGCUGAGUUCUGCCUGCAAAGUUCUGGCAAGUUUUUUGCCAUUAUCUUCUUUGAAAUAUCAAAAAGAAAAGUGGGGUUCAGAGGUGGAAAGAAGAACAGCUUGAAGAGAAACGGAAAAGCGCAGACUUGCAACAGAAGGCAAGGAAAGCUGUUUGCUUUAAGAUGCAUGACAACCGUGCAGAUGGCCAGUGUGGUCUUCUCCACCCAAAAAACAAUUGCUUCUCGUGGCCUGAAACGGAAUUUUAUAUGAUUUGCAUCCAAAUAGAAGAAUAAUAUCGUAAUCUAAUAUCAUCUACCGCCUGCAAAGUUGCUAUUAUCUUCGUUGAAAAUUCAAAAGAAGGGGAGAGGCAGAAAGAAAAACAACAUAUGAAGAGAAACGGAAAGUGCAAACUCUCCAUAGAAGGCACAGGAAAGCAGUUCGCUUUAAGAUGCUUGAUAAACUACUAAGAAACGAUUUCAUGUGGUCUCUAAUGAAAUGUUAUAAGAUUCUACAUCAAUGAUAAUCGUACUUUGCGCUCCACUACUGCCUGCAAAGUUGCUAUUUUCUUCUUUGAAAACUCAAAAGAAGGGGCAACGUAGAAAGAAAAACCACAUCGAAGAGAAACGAACAUCAUUAACUCUCAACAGAGAGCACGACAAAGCUGCUUGCUUUAAGAUGCAUGAUGAACUACUAAUGAACAAUCAUUUCACGUGGUCUCUGAUGAUAUUUUAUAAGAUUUACAUUCGAAAUACCGGAUUGAUAUCGUACUUUAUGCUCCACUACUGCCUGAAAAGUUGCUGUUAUCCUCUUUGAAAACUUCAAAGAAGGGGGGAGAGUCAGAAAGAAAAACAACAUUGAAGAGAAACGAACAUCACCAACCCUCAACAGAAGGCACAAGAAAGCUGCCUGCUUUAAGAUGCAUGAUAAACUACUAAUAAACAAUCAUUUCACGUGGUCUCUGGUUAAAUUUAUAAGAUUUACAUCCAAAUACAGCAUCAAUAUCGUACUUUAUGCUCCACUAUUCCCUUGAAAGUUGCUAUCAUCUUCUUUGAACGCUCAAAAGAAGGGGAGAGGCAGAAAGGGAAACAACAUUGAAGGGAAACGAACAUCGCAAACUCUCAACAGAAGGCACGAGAAAGCUGUUUGCUUUAAGAUGCGUGACAACCAUGCAUAUGGUCAUUGUUGAAUUCCUACUUAAAACCAAUUAUUUCUCUUAGCCUCUGAUGAGAAUUUACAACCAUUACAGCCAAAUGGAGAAUGAUAUUUUACUUUAUGCUUCAUUACUAUAAUAUAUGUACAUAUCUAUUCAACGCAACCAAAAGAAUCAUGUUUCUCACACAUAAAUAGGACAAGUUUUUGGAGUGUCUGAAAUUUUUACAUUCAAAAUGUUAUUGUUUUGCAUCGAAAUAUUGUGACUCGACGCUGGAGAAUUGAAAUUCAAUUGUAAACCUAUCGUAUGAAUUCAAAUUCAAUCCUGAACAUUUUAAUUCAAACAAUGUUGUUUUAAACCUUUGAGUGAAAAUGUAAUCAAGUCCUCCUAGUCAAGUCUCGCCUAAAUGGCAGUCCAAUCAUUUGUCAUUGUACGUGUCCCGACUAGUGAUUUGACAUGGACAAAUUUACUCGAAACGGUGCCAUUGUUGCUCAACUCCACAAGCCGUCAACCUUGCCUAGAACCGCCCUCUCUCAAGUUGAUUUCUAUCAAUAGUCACAGCUCAGCUAGAGCUGGCACCUCCAAAUGUGGAGGCUCAGCAGUCGGUCACCAUGCCCAUCGGGCUCCUUGGCCCCUCCAUGGAAGAUGAUUGUACAAUCCUGAAAUUUUUAGCGAUGUUUGUUUUCCCUCCCUGACCCUUCCAUGCCAUGCAAGAUGAUUGUAUAACCCUUAAUUUUUUUUUUUUUGUGACGUAGAAUUUUUUGUUUAAUUUUUAAAUAAUUUUUUUCCCUUUUUUUCUUCCUUCUUCCUCCUCUAGAUGGUCAUGGGACCUCGGUGACUAGCCAGAGACGAGUUGACAAGGCCAACCUUGCCCAACCAUCGCAAGGCUCCAUCGAGAUUGGUGAGGCCACCCUUGUCGGCCCUCCUCUCUAGCCGGUCACCAGCUAUCAUCGAGGCUUGACGAGAAGAGGGAGAAUAAGAAAGGAAACGAAAAAAAAAAAAAAUGACCUUCAUUAGAAACUGUUCCUGAGGGCAAAUAAGUAAAUUCUUUCUACUUUCUGUUUUUGUUCUAAAUCUAUUUUCUGACUAUUGAUCUAUUUCGGAAAAGAAAAUUAACUAACAUUAUCAAAUAAUUUUUUUUUUCUGUUUUGGAGAAAGAAAUAACAGAAAAAUAGAGAAAUAAAAUGAUCACCAAAUAGGACCUAACUUUAUAAGUGAAUUUGUAAUUCUUCCCACUCAACCUAUGCCUAUUAUAAGUUUUCUUUUCUUUUAAUAAUUCUUCCUCUCUUCUGUCUCCUCUCUUCAUCGGUAUAAAAUGGGUAAUCAGGGAUGGGUGGCUUGUGUAGUGGAAGAGAAACCUAUUCCCAAUGGUCGACACAGCGAACUUGGGUCCAAAUUCAAAUACACCAGGGGAAGUAAACUGACCUCUUUCACCAUUAAAUCACCACGUUGAGUGUUGAUUUUAACUCCGUAAAAUCCUCUUGUUGAUUUUAACUCCAUAAAAUCCUCUAACACGUCUGCCCCUCGGGACCUUCCAGAUUAUAAAAGCAAGAGCAAAAGUCAUAUCCUAUUAUUUCCAAUCUUUAUCAACACAGAGAAACGGAUUCGUGCAUAGUUAAUAUGAAAAAACAGCUAUCCUAUACAUUGGCAUUUGAUAAAAAAGGUUGAUCAAUUUAUGGAUGACAUGCAGCGACUUGAAUUCCAUCCACACAUAGAUAACAUGCAGCCAAGGCUAUGUCAAAGCCCCAAUACAUGUAUUAGAUACUAUGCCAUCUCAAUCCACCAAGAGAAAAGGUAUGCAUUUUCGACUCCAGCAGAUGAGAUAUCCUUUGGGAUGGUAGUCUCGGAAGAUGAAUCUUGCUUCUGGUCUCCAUAAUUUGGCAGCAAUGAUGGUGAUUCCACUGGACUGGUUAGGACUACUUUUAUCUUCCUCUCCUCUAUGUAUUUACCACUUUCUUUAUCAAAUUUAAAAUUUAAAAGAAAACUUCUCAGGUUACUUGACCCAAAAGAUUAUGGAACACAAAGCAGCAAAAUCUACCAUGUAAGCAGUAAUGUCCUCUUCACCUGUAUCAAAACCUUGUCUCGACGCUGCAAGACAGGUGGAGCUACCUGCUGUGCUUACAUGGUAACGGCAUCAAACAGAAGAUAGGAUGAAGGGCCUACCCUAAUUCUUUCGAAGUAUCAGGACAUAGCUUCUGAGGCCUAUUGUGGUUUUCCUUUGUCUCAAUGUAUAUUAGGCUACUAUGGUAGGCAUUCAAAAUCUUAUUCAAAGAUGAUCCUUACUGCAAUGCGACUGACAUUGCCUUAAGCAGUUCAUGUCCUAGUAAUAAUACAGUCUUACAGACAUGUCGUGGCAAAGAAAUUGCAAAAUAAUCGUUCAGCUGAUUCAAGUACUGUGGGCAUGUCCAUCCUCACAAGUAUGUCAGUGGCUUUUUAGUAAGUAUGUGAACAUGAUGUUUCACUGACUUGAGCAGAACAAUUUCGAAUCAGAUUAUCCAUUUGGUUGAUGAUGCCUACAUUUGACCGCACACAGAAUUUCUUCUGAGACGUAGCCUUAGCCUGGAAUGUUUUGGAUAUCCAAUAUAGAUCUCAUAAUGUUUCUCCACAAUAGAGAGUUCUUAAUGCGCUGAUGUACUACUCUGAAAAUUAAAUUACAUCAAGAGAAUACAAGAUUGAAAGGAUAUUGUCCACCCGCCAUAGCCUAAAAAAUAAAACUUGAUCACGGUGAAAGCAAAGGUCCAAAGAAUAUUCACCUUGAAAGCAACAUACCGAUCAGUCUUAUUGCCUAGCGGAAUGAGCAUGAGCUUUGUUUGCUCAACUCAAUUGCAUAAACACGGAGAAGAGGCUUCAGAUGAAAGAAUUUAAAGAGAAAGGGGGCCCGACAUGAGGACAGGAUGUGAUGAAAUGGACCAUCUUACAUUUUCUUUGAUAUAAUGCAGUAAUGCAAUCUCGUCUUGUUCAUUCAUUUUCUCUACUAAUCAUUCUCUCAGUCAUUUGGUUACAACAACCAUUCACCUACUUAAUCUCCAGAAAGAAAUUUACCGCAGAAGUCAUUCUAAGAGUUUGUGGUGUGAGGGACUACGCAAAAAUGAACAAACCUGACCAAAUAUUUGAAAACGACACAAGGAAAAGAAUUUGAAAACGGGGCGACCAGUGACUGAUUCAUACAUGCCAUUGAAGCUUAUGCCUUAAGAUAUUUCCUUUACCAUUUUAUAUGAUGUUGAACCGCAAAUUCUCAAGCAAAUUAUUGUAGCACAGAGAACUAUCAUCCCCUUCACUUAUUGCCUAAUAAAACAGGUGGCAAGCAAUGCAAAUUUAACGUGGCGCCAAAAAUGAAAAUGAACCAAAUGUGCAGCACUAUAGAUACUCACAAAUUAAACUCAAGUUCAUGAGGCCGGAUCUCCAACAGCUCUUCAGCCAUGAUGACAACUAUAAAACCGAUCCACAUAAAACAACAGGUCACGUGGCAGGGUAACAACAAUCAAGCAAAAAGCUCUGCAUGAAGCUCAAUUUCAAGGUAUAAAUCUGAUCACGCGCUGUCUCUAGCAGAUUCCUCAUUUCAAACACCAAAAUUGCACAUGAUCAACAAACACUAGACAGUCAAAAAUGGCUCAGCACCCAAAUUACGAACACCAUCCAAGAGCAGUUCAGGAUUUACCAAAAAUCAGAGCACUACAUUUGGCAAUGAAAGCUUAACCAUCGGGGGAGUAUCUUACAGGUCAGAAACUUCCUUUGGCAGUGAAAUCUUAAUCUUCAAGGGAGUAUCUUACAGGUCAGAAUCUUCCUUUUGAUGGAUCCCAAUAAUGAGAAAAUCAAACUCCAGUGCAAGUUCACAACAAAGGACAUGACAAUAAUAUCAGCUAAGGGAUAUGCCAUGACUUGCACAACCCGAGAGAAAUCGCAGGAAAGACCCCAAGUCAGCAGGCCUAAAUUAUCUCUAACCACCUCUCCAAGACACAACACUAACAUAGCAUCAGCAGCAGCAGCAGCAGCAGCAGCACCAAACUCUAGUAGUCCCUGAUGACAGUUGGGUUGACUCUGACUUGGCAAUAACAACUUCGUGCCAUUUUACUCAGCAAAUGAACACAUAAUCUUCAAUACAUGUGGCACUACAAAUUCAUAAGAACCAAUGUAGCGGGAGUAGCAUUGAACCAAGAAUCCGAGAGAGCAAACAUGUUUUCCAUUAUUUGAUUUUUCAUACAAUAAAUUUAUGACUGAAUUUGCGAUUCUCUCAACUCACCUACGCUUAUUAUGAGUUUUUUCCCUCCUUCCUUUAAAAUAUAUCUUCCCCUCUUCUGUCUCCUCUCCUCAUCUGUAUAAAAUGGGCAAUCAAGGGUUGCUUGUGUAGUGGAAGGGAAACGGUCCUCCCAAUGAUCUUACUGGUGAAAGUAGACCCAAAUACAAAUCAACCAGGGGAAGAAAACUAACCUCUUUCAACUUUGUAUCACCUCACUGAGUGUUGAUUUUAACUCCUUAAAACCUCUGACACAUACAACCCUUUAGGAUGCUGGCAUCCAAAGACAAUCCUUCUGGAUUAUAAGAGUGAGAACAAAAGUCAUAUUCUAUCCUGAGUCAUAGAAGUGGAUACACGUACAGUUAAUAUGAGAAAAAAGCUAUCCUAUACACUCGCAUUUAGUUGCUAAAGGGGUUGAUCAAAUUAUGGAUGAUGCGUAGCAACUUGAUUUCCAUUUACAUAAAUAACAUGCAGCCCAGCCAAUGCUGUGGCAAAGCCCCAAUCCAUGUAUCAGAUACAAAGCCAUCUCAACCCAGAAAGACAAUAAAGUGACACAUUGAUGUUUUCUGGCAGUCAUACCCUGAGAAAAGGUGAUGCAUUUUCGACUCCAGCAGGUGAGAUAUCCUUUGGGAUGGUAGUCUCGGAAGAGGAAUCUUGCUUCCGGUCUCCAUAAUCUGGCAGCCCUGAAGGUGAUUCCACUGGACUGGUUAGGACUGCUUUUAUCUUCCUCUCAUCUAUGUAUUUACUGCUUUCUUUAUGAAAUUGAAAAUUCAAGAGAAAAUUUCUUGAGUCACUUGACCUGAAAGAUUAUGGAACAUAUAGCAGCAAAACCUACCAUGUCAGCAAUAGUGUCCUCUUCACCUGUAUCAAAAACUUGUCUCUGCACAGCAGGACAGGUGAGCUACCUGCCGUGCUUACAUGGUAACCACAUCAAACAGAAGAUGGGAUGAAAGGCCUACUCUAAUUCUUGUUGCCUAGCGGAAUCAGGCAUGAGCUUUGUUUACUUAACUCAACUGCAUAAACACAGAGAAGAGGCCUCAGAUAAAAGAACUUAACGGGGCACGACAUGAGAGCAGGAUGUGAUGAAAUGGACCAUCAUACAUUUUCUUUGAAGAUAUAAUGCAGCAACAAAAUCUCAUUUUGUGCGUUGGUUUUCUCUACUGAACAUUCUCAGUCAUUUGGUUACAGCACUCACCUACUUUAUCUCUAGAAAGAAAUUCACUCACAUGGCACUAUAAGAGUUUGUGGUGCGAAGAUAGAAACUAUGCAAAAAGAAAGAACCUGACCAAAUAUUCGAAAACAACACAAGGAAAAGAACUUGAAAAACAGGGCGACCAAUGACUGAUUCAUACUCGCCAUUGAAGCUCAUUCUUUAAGAUAUUUCUUUUACUAUUAUUUAUGAUGUUGAACCACAAAUUCUCAAGCAAAUUAUUGUAGAACAGAGGAAUAUCAUCCGCUUCACUUAUUGCCUGUAAAACAGGAGGUAAGCGAUUUGAAUGUAGCUCCAAAAUAAAAAUGAACCAAACGCACAGACUCAGAUAAACUUGCCUUCAUGAGGCUGGAUCUCCAAGAGUACUUCAGCCAUGAUGAUGACCAUAUUGCUGAUCUACAUGAAAUGGUGGAUCAUAUAGCAGGGCAACAACAAUCAAGCAAAAAGGUCUACAUAAAGCUCAAUUUCGAGUACCCAUUCAUAUAGGGUGCGUUUGGUUUGGCUUUUGGAGAAAGCCUUUGGAUAAUGCAAAGGCUCUUAGCCUAAAAACUGUUUGGUAAUUUGCAAUUUUAAAGUGACUUGGUAAGUAACAUUGGGAAAAUACUAUUUGAUAACAUAUAUUUAAAAAGUCAUUUGAUGUAAUCAAUUUUUUUAAAAUUUAUUUAAAAUUUUAAAAAAAAAAACACAACGAUGGAAACUUUUAUAUUUUCACAUUAAGAGUGAUGUAAAAGAGACAUAUUAACAAGUUCAAAAAUAAAAAAUAAAAAAAUUACAUGAGAAGUGUGAAAAAUAAUAGGGCCCUCAGAUAUACAAACAGUAAAGAAAGUAUAAUGACCAAUGGGCUAAGUUACUGAGAAUAUAAAAAUAAAAUUUAGUUGUUUCUGAUGUCAUAUGGAAAGUCUUAUCUAAAACUGGCAUAUGAUAAGAAAUGUCUCUUAUUCAGCAAUAAGACAAUUAGACAUAUCUCAGCUGCAACAUGACAGCACCAAAAGUCAUACCUUGCUCUUUUUGAAUGGACAAGUGAGCAACUCUUUGCCUUAAACGACUCCACCACAUGAACACAUUCGUGAUGGCAACCAAAAUGAGCUUUUGCUCAUGUUCAAAGCCUAAGCAUGCAAGAAAAUUAAAGAGCUCCGACUCUUGAAGAGCAAUGGACUUCUUCUGCAAACCUCAGAUUGCUGACAAAUCGAGGAUUAGCCUUAAAAAACUGUUCCUCUCAUAAACAUAAGUACAAUCACAACAUCUCAAUUCACAAGGCAGUGCAUGUAUUAAUAUACACAUCAUGGAUAUUCCAAAGAACUUACAAGAGAAGAUAACUCCUAGUAACUGCUGGGUACAAUGGAAAUGAACAUUCAAAGCCCAGGAUUAUUCCUGGGAAAAAUGGAAAAGUGGGGAACAACAGACUUUGACAUACAUCACAUGAAGUAAGAAUGAAAUAAUGAGUGAAUUUAACUGUCCCAUAGUAUUCUAUUAGCUAUGGCAGUGUCCACUGAUUCCAGUUCUUCCACGACUUUAGUCCUGGAAGGCUGCUUGUUAGGAGUCAUUCGGAGGCAUUGUAAAGCAAGUUGUGCUAACUGGAAUCCAGAAUCCAUAUAUGUAGGGUAUAGGGACAGUAUAAAUUUGGUUCCCAAUUGUGGCAGGUUGCAAUAUCAUGAGCGACCAGUUUCCUCUAAAAUAACCAGUAUUUCUUUUUUGGUUUCUGAGGAAGGGGAACAUCUGCAGAAAAUGAAAAGUUAUGUAGGCAAUGCAACUGUGGAUUCCAUGCCAAAUGAUUUAAGUAGCUAAAAGGGAAACACACCUUGUGUUUCAUAGAGGGGAUUAUAGUGAACCUCAUAUCCAGAAACUCAACCAAAGCUCUGCAUCAAUUGAAAGUAAGGUUAACAAAAGGAAAAACUUAGAAAGAAAAUGGAGUUUCAAAAGACCAGUUGCUCAUUGAACAAAAGCAAAAGUAGAUCAAUUGCAAAUGUUUACAUCUAGGUUCUAAAUCAAUCAAUAUAUUUAACCCUACCCAAGUAGCUGUUCUAAGCAAGCAAAAGAACAAAUAUUUAAUUUCAGAGACGAAAAACAAGCAAAGCAUCACAAAGGAGGGUCUAUGUGUAUAUGUAUGCAAGCAACGCUCUUUUUUCCAAGACAACCAAGGAGUAAAAUAUACCCAUUUGGAAUUUUAACAAACCAAACCCAAGAACUUCACAUUUAUCACAUUGCACCCACUGACGAUUUGAACCAACAAAACAACUAUGAAGAAGAAGACAAGCAAGCAAUACCCUCGGCAGAGGGAACUUAUAAAUCCAAUUGCCAAACAAUAAUUAGGCUGCGAAUAUAAGUAUCAUCUAGGGGCUUUUGCCCUCCUUCAUGCUCUCCAACAACGACCAAAUAAGCAUUGAACAUCGGUGACUCACUGGAAUAGAUAAAUUCAUCAUUCUUCAAAAUCCUGCAUUCCAACAGCUGCUCACUGCCAUCAUACGGCAUUACCUAUCAUAUAUCCGACCAUUAAUCACGACAUGGACUAAUCUACUCAAAACAGGCUCAAUCACGCAAAGUAUUACAAUCAGAAGCACAGAACAGAACAAUCCGUGAUGAUGGAAAUAAUGAAAUCCCAAGCAGCAUUGAGCUGCUAUCGUUCAGUUCAAUUGAGCAAGCUAAACUUGGGAAAAAAGGGUAAUAAAUCGAUAGCCACUGCAGUUUUGACAUAGAUUAGCUAGUCAAACCGAAUCACGUCCUACCCAAUCAAAGGCAACUAAAUUGCGGAUCGGGUUGAGCUGGACAUCAAUGGUAGAGAUUAGUAGUGAAAGCAAAGGUACCUUGCUGGUGGUGGUGCGGAGAGAGAGGAAGCUGUCGCAAUAGACCGUGCGCUUCAGCUUCUGCUUCAGGUGCUUCUUGAAGGUGACAUUCCAGCAAGCAUGGUCUCAAGCACAUAGCUCAUUUCAUCAAACACCAAAAUUGCACAUGAUCACCAAACACUAGGCAGGCAAAACUUAGAUGGUUCACACUCACACAAAGCAUAAUUCAGCACACUAAUUACAAACACAAUCCGAGAGCAGUUCAGGAUUGAAAAAGAAAACCAGAGCACAACAUCUGUCCAUUCCUAGAACUUGCAUUGCCAGCUCAAAAUGCAAGCAUUGAGUCCAUCACAGAGGAGUCAUACUGGAUUCCUGAAAGCUCUGACGUAUUCAUCUGUGGGAUUCUGCUGAGUCUGGAUGUUCUGUGGAAGGACAACAAGGAUGUCGAUGCCAGAUUUCUGUCUCUCAAUAUUCUGUUUGAUGUGAAGUUCGUUUUCCUAAUCAAAACUCCAGAGUUAAAGCAUAAGCUGGUAGACUUGGGUGCAAUUUCUCCCUCUCUGCCCAGCCUUGAUUGAGGAUGAGGACCCCAAUACCAAUGUGUGUGCAGAAGCUCCUUCGAUGCUCAUAGAGUUCAACUUGACUAAAAUUUCUGAGAUUCUACAACCAAAGACAGUCAGCCACUGCUUCAGAUUCUCACUUGGUGAUCUGUCCUGUGCAAAUGUGAAUGAUGGUGAGCUGCGCGUGGCUCUGGCAUCGGCUCUGGAAAUGGAUCCCAAGUUGCUUUCUCAGCUGAAAGUAGUAUGGCAUAUUGGAAACCUUUUGGAGUUUGUGCAUGAGAAAAAUAUGGAAGAUUUUCUCAAAUUUAUGCUUGGCUUGUGCAAAGCUCUUCUUUUUUUAUCACUAGGUUCUAUGAAAGGUUCCACAGACAUGGAAGAGCCAACACUACUUGAUGAAAGUUCUUCUGAGGCAGUGAGUAACAUAUGAUACAUAACUGACUUUGGUGGCAGUGCCAGUGUUUUCCGAGAAUUGAGUGGUUCUCAUGACAGAAACAGUGCCAAUAUUGCUUCUAAAUGCACAGCUCUAUUACUGAAGGCAGCCCCAAGGGAAGGUGCUCUCUUUUUCUUACCAAUCUCCUGUAAGCCAGUGCGAUUCUCGAGUCUCAGCAAAAGGGAGCUCCUUCUCUACUGGUACCAACGAAUGCUGCAUUCUCUCAGUUACUCCUGUAGGCGAUGUUUACUGCACGGAAUGACUUUUGUCAGUGUGCCUGUCAAAGAUUGCUAUGAUUGAAGGCAUCAUUGCUGAGAUAAAAUAUUCUGGUGCUGCUGCUUUAGCCAGUGCUGCCACAUUGGUAAUCUCAGAAUUGCAGUGGCUCCCUCAUUUAUGACUUCUCCAUAACAUCUGCAAAUCCCACUAAGAAGCACACCUUUCCUGAAAAAUAAACUGAACUUAAGCAUGGCAGUACAGAGUGUCUGUCUACUUCAAAGUCGCAACAAUGAGUUGAUUGUGCUUUCAAGUCCCAGGAUGAGAACCAUAGUUGUAUGACCUUCCAUCACACAUUCCAUCUAUUUGUUUACAGCAUAGCGAAUUUAUCUCCCAUGCAAAGUGAGGUUAUCAAUUUCAAAAUAUGUGUGAAGCAGCAAAUCAACAAUGAUCUCUAAUAAUUUGUUACAUAUCAAAUAAAAAUGAUGCAAUUGACAUGCAUAUAUCUCUAGGAGAAACCAUCCUAAGAAAAUGUAGCUAAAAAAGCGAAACCAAACUAGGAAAAGAACACAAUACUUGUACAUAAUUAAGAGCCCUCUGGCUGUUCGAAGGCAUCACAAUUUAAAUACCUUCAUCAGAUUUUCAGAAAAGAAUCCGCUAAAAGGUCAUUAAAAAGUGCAUGCAAAACUUCUCUGUUCAUAUCUGUGAAAGAAUUUGAUUGCCAAAAAAGGAAAACAUUGGUACUUACCUCAAUUUGUUUAAGGUUUGAACACAAGGGAACAAUUUGUGGUCGCGCAUCAAAAAGCUUCCAAGUGCAAUGUGCACUUAUUCAUCUUCUUCAUCGUCUUCUUCAUCAGAUUCGUCUUCUUCAUUGUCUUCUUCCACAGAUUUGUCUUCUUCAUCAGAUUCGUCUUCUUCAUCGUCUUCUUCCACAGAUUCGUCUUCUUCAUCGUCUUCUCCCACAAAUUUGAUUGACUCCUCCGAGCAAAGCCGAGAAAUUUCCUCCACUGCUAAUUUCCCACAACGUAAUAUUGUAACCUCUCGCACACUCUUCAAGCUUGAUAGAUCAGGCAACUUCUGUAAAGAUCCACAAUCUUUAAUCUUCAAUAUAUUCAAAGAUUGGGGUAGUUUGCCUUGAAUCUCAACCAGAUUAUGACAAUGUACUACUGAAAGAUAUGUUAUUCCGUCCAAAUUGCUAAGAUCAGGGAUCUGCAUCUGUUUAAAGCCAGAAAGCAGCAACCGAUGUCCACCACUAUAUUCAAACUCCCGAUUGCGAAAUUUUAUAAAAACAUUUUCCUUACCCACUAAGCUGAACAGAUCAGGGAACUCCAGAAACGAAUCUAAUUUAUCUAAUUUAUCGCAUCCUCUUAUUGUGAACCCCCCUUGCAGUCUCUUCAAGCUUGACAGCUCAGGCAACUUCUGUAAAGAUCCACAGUCUUCAAUGUCCAAGUGUUCCAAGGAUUGGGGUAGUUCGCCUUGAAUCUCAACCAGAUUAUGACAAGAUUCUACUCUAAGAAGUGUUAUUCCAUCCAUAUUGCUUAGAUCAGGGAUCUGCAUCUGUUUAAUGCCAGAAAGCUGCAACCGAUUUCCACUUAAAUAUUCAAACUCCUGAUUGCCAAUAUGCACAUACACAUAAACAUGUGUCUUACCCAUUAUGCUGAAUGGAUCGGGGAACUCCUGUAACGAAUCACGGGAACCAAUUGUAAGUUCAUCCAAAAACCGUGGUAGUUCGCCUUGAAUCUCAACCAGAUUACAGCACCCUGAUACUCUAAUACGCCUUAGCUUGUUUAACUUGCUUAGAUCAGGUAGCAUCGCCAGCUGUACGACGCCCCGAAGGUUCAAAUAUCGUAGGUUCUCCAAACAACCAAGGCCUUCAAUCUUUGCAACUGCAGAGCAGCAAAUGUCGAGAGACGAUAGUUUCCUCAAAUUCAAUAGAUCCAUCGAGCAAAGUGAGUCGCAACCAGAGAGAAUUAAGGAGGAUAAAUUAGAGGGAAGCCUCGGGAGGAGAGGCGGAUGAGGAGGGAGGCUGAGGUCUGUCGAUGAGGCGGUCCCCCCGAAAAAGCGCAGUUCCAGAGAUUCCAAUUUGCUUAAGUUCCCAAUCCACCGUGGUAUCCGUUUUUCCAGGAGCCCAUAAGAUUUCCCAUCACAGUUAGGUGGGCCAAAGCCCAGACGCAAUACCUUUAAGUUAGCGAGAUUUGAGAGAUUCGGAAACGUGUCCACCCUCAACUCCUCCACUACUAAUUCAAUGAGACUUUCAGGAAACCUUGGUAGGGCGUGUACUCCCGGCCAUCCCAAUAUCUCCUCAAAUGGACCCCCGUGUAAGCAAUAACCACUUAUUGCGUGGGCAUGCCUGACAUGAUUAUAACGGUCGGCGAUUUCCAUUCCCUUGACCUUCCCCAUCUUCUUCUUACAAGCAUCAUUGUUCGUUCUUUUUUCGAAACCAUUCUGCAUCUUCAUUACUUUCAAAUUCUUCAACAUUCCAAUGGAAUCGGGUACUUCUUCAAUGCUCGUGUGACUUAUGUCCAACUUAGUUAGCGAAUCCAAAUUUCCAACCGUCUCCGGAAGCCUAUGAAGAUUCCAACAAUUGCUUACAUCUAAGAAAAUUAAGCGUUUCAACUGACAAAUUGAUCCAUCAAUUUCGAUUAAUGAUUCACAGCCUGAUAGGAUCAAAUGUUCUAAAUUUGAAUGAGCUGAGAAGUUGGGGAUUCUCUUCAAGUGUCGGCAAUGGGCCAGAUUCAGAACUUUCAAAUUCUUCAACUUUCCAAUGGAAUUGGGUACUUCUUUGAUGCUCGUGUGACUUAUGUCCAACUCAGUUAGCAAAUCCCAAUUUCCAACCGUCUCCGGAAGCCUUUGAAGAUUCCAACAAUUGCUUACAUCUAAGAAAAUUAAGCGUUUCAACUGACAAAUUGAUCCAUCAAUUUCGAUUAAUGAUUCACAGCCUGAUAGGAUCAAACGUUCUAAAUUUGAAUGAACUGAGAAGUUGGGGGUUCUGUUCAAGCGUCGGCAAUGGGCUAGAUUCAGAACUUUCAAAUUCUUAAUCACCUGUGAAAGAAAAAUCAUGCAAAGUUUACUUUCGAAUUUAAUGAGAUGGAAGAAUAAGUGUUCUCUAGCAUAUAACAUACCUUCAUGUGGCUCCACCCCUUCCAAUCAUGUGUAAUUUCACUCUCAAAUAGAUCAAGGAUAGUCAAAUUCUCUACGGAGAAAUUUGCAAUCUCAAAUGUUGGGUGAAUAUUAUGCCAAGAAAGCCAGUGUAAUUCUGGAAGGAGAUUUGAAUCCAAAACAUCAGUUGGAAGAACACUUGAUGGCCCUUUGUGCUGAAGAAGCAUCUUUUCUACACAAAAAGUUUGCUCCGAGUCAUCAACUUCAAGGAACCUUAGCCUUGAUAGGCUCUUAAAGUCCUUGUAGGUAAAACGGUGCUGAUGGUCCAAGCGGAGGCGAAGAGCUUCAAUUUUUUUCUUCGUCUGCCCAAAGGAAAAUUUUUAAAAACAAGAGAGUUGAAGGGAAACACAUUUAGCCAAAUUCACUAUUUUAAAGGACUGAGUUGAGUACUACCAUUCCAUUAAUCUUAAAAAAGCAAAAAUGUCCAUAAGUAACUUGGAAAUUAAUGCGCAGGGGAUUUUACCUUAGGGCUCUUCAGCAAAUCCAACGCUUUCUCACGAUCCCACACCCUACUUUGUUUAUUUAUAUUGGUUUCUUGACAAACUAUUUGUCUUCCAAGGUCUCUAAGUUGGUCGUGCAUCCACACUUUAUUAUCCUAUUUAAUCUUUACCAAAGACAUGUUCUCCAAAACAUCCAUGGCAUAUUCCGAAUGGAAUUCAGAUUCCCAAAAAUGAACUACAAUGUCUUUAUCAUAUCCAAUUAAGAGACAAGCUAUAUCAAGGAACUUUUGCUUUUCCUUUUCUUUGUAUUCAUCAUAACUUAUUUUCAAUCUACUAUGGACAUCCUUAUGAGGAUCACUUUCCCACUUACGUAAUUCGAAAUCCCACUUUUUCUUUUCAGUAGUGCAAGAUAAAAGUGAACCCAUGAGCUCAAGAGCUAGUGGAAGACCUCCAGCAAUUUUUAUCGCCCUCUCGGAUUGGUCGAUAUACUCGUCUAAAGGAUGAUCUCUUCUAAAGGCAUGUUUGCUAAAGAGUUGAAGAGAUUGAUCGUGAUCCAUGCCCGAAAGCUCAUAACAGCUGUCCACUUUAAGAACAUCAAGAACUUCUUUGUUUCUAGUAGUAAUAAUAAUUCUGCUCCCUUUACCAAACCAAUCACACUCACCAACAAGUGCAUCGCUAUGAUUCUUUUCAUGUACAUCAUCGAGAAGGAGGGGGGCUCUUUUAUUAGACAACCAGGCUUUGAUGGUAUUAAUCCCAUCAUCAAUGUUUCUUAUAUAUGUGCAUUUGUCUUUGAGAAUGCUGGAGAUGAGCUGAUUCUGCAAGGAUUCAAUGCCCUCGCGUUCUGACAUUUCACGGAUGUUGGACAGAAAGCAACAAUCCUCAAAAUUUUCUAAAAGCUGAUUGUAGAUGAUUUUGGCAGUUGUCGUCUUCCCGAUGCCACCCAUCCCAUAGAUUCCUAUAAUCCGUGUUUCACUUGUGCGAGGACCUAUCAAUUCCAUGAUUGCAUCAACAUGGUUGUCGACAUUGACCAAGCAAUUUGAUACUACCAAAUAAGCCUUUUUCAACUCAUUGAAAACCUUCUGCAUGAUUGUUUUUGCAAACUGACCUUCUUGCCUAUUAUUCGUUGAAAGUCAAAAGGCAAUGAGUUAGAAAAUUGAGUUAAGCCAAACUAUGCUCUAACAAGACCAAAUUGAAAACUACAGACCUAUUCUAAAUGCGUUCCUCAACGAUUUAUACCAUUUUGAUAAACUAGCACUGGAACUUAGGGUAAAUGAAUGACCUGAACUAACGAAAAAUGUUGCUUGUUGGGAAUGAAAUGGGACAAAAAUUGACAUGGUGAUAUUAUUUAGCCUGAUUUUGCUGCAUAAUUUCAAUUGCAUACAAUUUCAACAAGACUAACACAAAUUUAGAAAAGAAACAAAUUUAAAUGCAUCGAGUUUAACGAUACAAGGCACAUGAGAUGGAAUGCUAAAAGUAGUCACCUGUUGGGCAUGCUUUGCAGGUCCCAUCCAUUUAUAUCCACGACUGUAGUGAGAGCAUUCUUCCACUCUGCUAUAGUCUUUUCAUCAUAUCGCUUCUUUCUUUUGUGUGAAACAAAAGCAUUUUUAAAACUCCCGGUUUGGUGUCGAACCUCCGAAGGUGUCACAUCAUAAAAAAUGGGCAUGAUCUUUUGUCCUUCAUUUUUCUGGCACUUGACCAUUUGAACUAGCUCUCUGAGACACCAUACGCUAGAGGCAUAACCUUUUGAAAAGAUAGGUAUUAAGAUCUUCGACUGAUUGAUUGCUUCAGGAAGUUCUGGGGCAAACUCUUCCCCAACACGGAGCGCGUCAUCGUCCCUAAAUGUGCGGAUUCCUGCAUUUAUAAGAUAAUUGUAAAGGAAGUCGGUAAAACCUGAUCGUGUGUCAGGCCCUCUGAAACUCAAGAAUACUUCAUAGUCAUGUCCGGAAGAUGUUGCCGUUUCCUCAACUUGUGGUGUAGUGCAAGUAUGAGUAGCCCUCUCUACGGUACCAUUCUGUGGAGCUGAAUCAUUAUCUGCACUGCCCUCCACAGCGGUCUGACCUGCUCUUUUCUUCAAGAAUCCUUUGAACAGGAUGGCAGAGAGAGCUAUGGUAGCAACCGUCACAAUACAGGGCAACAGCAAGUGCUCAAGCAUUUUGUGAGUUAGCAAAGAGAAGGUUUUUAGUUAGAAAUACAGGGGAAUGGUGGAAUAGCAGAGAUGAGAGGCGGCACUUAAAGAUCAGGAUGGAGUAACGAGGAACGGCGAGCCCGCGACGGCGAGAAAUCGCCAGAGAAAGAGUAGAGACUGAGGCGAGGGCGGCCACUGAUGCUGCGACGGAUCAGCGACGAGGCAGAGGAGGAGAAGGAUCGAGAGGAAGAGGAGAGGAAGGGGGUCGUGCGGCGAGGAGGCGGAGAAGUAUCGAGAGGAGAAGGAGAGGAAGGGGGUCGUGCAGGUGCGGCAAGCGGCGAGCGGCGAGCGGCGAGAGGAGGAGGAGAAGGGCGCGCUAGCUUUUGGGUUUUGGAAACUCAAAAAGAAUAUAAAAAGGAGGCUGAUGAGGGUGAAGUGACAGCCUGUCACGUGGGUGGGGGAGGGGAAAAAGAGUUAAAUAAAUUUGGGUUGGGGGGAAAUGGCCUGACGUGAGGAGAGGAGGGAAAAAAAAUUGAAAUAAAUUUGGGGGGGGAAUAGUCUGACGUGGGGAAGGGAGAGAAAAAAAUUGAAAUAAAUUUGGAGGCGGGGGAAAAUAUAAGAGGGAAAGAAGGGAGUGGGGGUUGGCGGUGGACCCCUCGAUUAGAUUUUUUUUUAAUCGAAAAAAUAAAUAAAUGAAAUAAAAAAAUAAUUUUGAAAAGUAAAAAUACUGAAUUUUAAAUGAUAAUAAAUUUUGAUCAUUAUAAAAGAUUAUGGAUUUAUUUAAAUAAGUUGAUUCUAAUUUCUUGUUAAUAAUCAAUUUUAUCAAUAACUUUUGUUAAAAAUAAAAACAUAUUUCUAAACAUGAAUAUGUAUUAAUUAUGAAUAUAUCUUUCAAAAUUCUAAUGAAUUGAUUUAUUAAUAUUAUUAGUGUAAAUUUAUUAUAGGCUUUUUAAUUAUUUAUUUAUUUAUGAAUUUGAAUUAAAUUAAUUAAAAAUAAAAAUAACCGUUUAAUAUACAACGUGCCUUAUCGUAUUGAAAUUCUCAAUUUUUGAGAAAUGACAUAUCGACAUGUCAUGUCGCGUGUCGAUACUAAUUAGGGAGUAAGCGCAAGAAGCCAAGGCACUUUAAAUCUCAAGGAGCAAAUGGGCAAGUGUUGGGAUUCACACUCUACAUUGUACGGUGCACACUAUUUUUCCCCCUUAUGAAUGCCUUUUGAGGAGAUAACAUUCAACUGCAAUUUCAUAAAAGGUUCUGAAGGAUUAUUCUCUACACAUCAGAAAAGGCCACCAUCUUUCAUCUGGCAUUUCCUAAACAUUGUUCACACUGCGCUAGCUUUGAGGAAGAAAAAAAAAAUAGUAGCAACAACGUUUCACGUGCUAUGAUGCAUAACAAGUUGGUCUCCAAGACCAACCAAGCACAUCCGCUUUGAUGUAAGUUGUCUCUUCUCAUAUCUUAGGAACGAAAAUUGUCCCUUUCUAAGGUUGAUUCUAGAGAUUUGGCCCUCCACUUUCCUUUUUGAGUUCAUAUUUGAUCACAUCCUUUUAUUUGAUGAGCAAAACUAAAAUACGAAUCCUACACUUCGGUGACUGUUUGAAUUCUUGCCCAAGGCUUUCAUAUUACAAAAAAAAAAAAAAUCAAUGUAUUUAAAAAAUACUUCAGCUGUGCUUGCAAACAAGUGUAAGCUGAAGUAUUAAAGUGGUGGAAUGUCAUUGGAAGGUUAAACCAACGAACAGACCAUGGCUAGCAAAGUAUCCUUCCAAAUGUCACUUCUAGAAAUAUAGACAUAGCACAAUGUAGAGUUUUCUUGUUAAAAAAAUUUGGCUCGAAUCUCAUGAACUUAAAUAAUUCCCAAAGGGUCUUACAUCUCAACAAACAACAUGAUUGCAUUUACAUUGGACACAGCACAGUGCAAAGUUUCCGGCCGGCCACCCCGGAGGAGUUGCCCUCCUCCGGGACCUUUCAUUGGAGGUUUACUAGCCUAGUAUGCUAGGAGAAGGCAGUGACCUCCCUCCAGGCAGGAUCCCAGCACUAGAAGUGCUAUGGCCGGAGAGCCCAAUGGGGACUCUAUCCUGUUUUCCUCCCCUCACUUCCCUGUAAAUGGGUUGUGGGAGGAAGCACCCUAGGAUGUCCUAUUCAGGGUGGAGCACUUUAAGGACCUGCUUAGGUCCUCACUUCUAGAAAUAUAGACAUAGCACAAUGCAGAGUUUUCUUGUUAAAAAAAUUUGGCUCGAAUCUCACGAACUUAAAUAAUUCCCAAAGGGUCUUACAUCUCAACAAACAACAUGAUUGCAUUUACAUUGGACACUGCACAGCGCAAAGUUUUUUUUUUUUUUUUUGGUUAGUGCAAAGUUUUUAUUCCCCUUAAAAUAAAAUUAAGAAAAAAGACAAAAAGACAAAAGUUUGAAUCUUUUUGAAUCUCUAUAAUAUAAAUAAUUUCUUCCCAAUGUCACUUCCAGAAAUAUGGACAUCUAGUCUCUCUAGAUUAGAUCAAAACAUUAUCCAACGCAAUUCAUUUGAUGAAUGGUUGUAGUUUGAAAUCUUACAAAGUUCUAAAAUUCCGCUGGCCAAAAAGGAGUUUUGAUAUAUGCGUUGUAAGUUUGAAUAAUCAAAUAAUAAAUUUCAAAUAUAGCUGGUAAGUGAAAAUUACAUAUGACUUUAUAUAUAUAAUAGACCAAGUGACGAUUGCAGCCAUAAGGACGUACUUAAGCUGAACUUGCACCGAGAGCAACCAUGUCUACUGAAGAGAAAAUAGCCGACCCUGAGGCGGCGAAGACGGCUGAAGUGCUGCCGCUGAAAGAGGAGGCCCUGCCUCCACCCACGAGCCCUCCCGACGAGGCAAGCUUGCUCACAGCGGACGUGGCUCUUCAAGGGUUGCUGUUUGCUUCGAUGCUAAUCGCGCUCUUGAGGACCGUUCUAAGUUUGGUUCUGGAGAUUUGGUCCUCUACUAUCCUUUUUGAGUUCAUAUUUAAAUUUUGAUGCACACCAAUACACACGCUUUUACUUGAUGGGCAAAAUUUUAAUAAUUGAGUCGAGCCCCGAUACCGCGGCCACAUCCAACCACGGCCGUGCGAGGCCAGCAACCUCCGUCUGUCGCGACUUCUAUUGGACAUAGGUUGUGAGUUCCGUGCGGAGAAAAAAAGAGACCAAAGGAUAGCAAACAAGUCAAAUCGGUGAGGAGUUAAUGUCGCCGGUGGAUUCACACAUGAAGGUGAGGGCUUGUGAUGGCAAUAUGGGUGGGUGACACGUAAAAUUCCUAAACUAUAUUAACUAUGACACUAAUUAUUCCAACUUUUUUUUUUCAUCAUAAAAAAUCGAAACUUGUAUCAGAAAUCCAAAAAGUACUCUCCAUCCAAGAUGGUCAUUAAAAAUUUAAUGUGCCUGUUUGCGUGGACAACAGUAGACAAAUGAAGCAGACAUGACUCGGGAGAAUUCCACCAAAAAGCCUAAACCUUGCCUGGUGCGACAAUGGAACCCAAUUUUUUUUUACCUGUUACUAAUACUAUAUAUAAACGUGUAUCAGUGACUCGCAAAUAUUAUGCAUCACAGUUCCAUCCAAGACGGCCGUUAAAAAUCCAAUGUGACCACUUGCUUGGACAUCGAUAGGCAAAUGGAGCCAAUGUGGAUUUGAUGUGAUUUUAGUAUGGUCUAAAGUGACUUUAGACCACUUGUCAAAGUUAUAAGUUUUUAAAAAUUAAACCUCCAUUAUAACAAGUUAUCUCUCACAAUUUUUAGGGUCCAGGAAAUGGUAUAAUUUGGAGAUGCAGUUUUUUUGAAUAAUAAAUGGGACGAAUUCAUCUCUAUUUUAACUAAAAGAGCUCCGAGCUUAAUUUGAAACUAAUAUACAAAAUAAACGAGCUUCAACUUAUUCUCCAUUUAUUUCUUAAAAAAUGAAUGAUUUGGAAAACACUUUAUAUUGUUCAUAAAAAUGAAUAAAUUAAAGAUAUUUUCAUAAUCUAUCAAAAUAUUUAGACAUAAAUUAUUAUUGAUAGUUAAAAAAUUCAUUAAUUAAUUGUUUCAAGAAAUAUAAAUGAUGAUUAUUAUUUAUUUUUCGCGAAAUAAACGGAAUGCCAACUUUAACAAAAGUGUAAUGGAAAAUAUUCUUGCUUUGCCUUUUCCUUUUUCUCUAUGUGCUCGAGACCUUACAUUCGUCCACCCUCUUUUUAGCAUUUCACUUAUGUCCUUCUUCUUUUUGGGACUAGAAAGAAUAUGAAGGGAUAUGAUUGUUCACUUUGGAUCUCUUUAUUGGCAUCAAAUAUAUGGUCUAUCGUCAUACCAAUCUGACAUCUAUCAACGACUUUUUUUGGGGUAUGGAUUCAUCAACAACGUUAGCGUGCAAACACUGGUACAAUUUUGUGCCGAAGGGUUAUACUUUUCCUAAAAGAGAAAAAGAAAAAAGAAAAAAACUGGAAUUGCCCCUCACGAUCUUCCUUCUUUGUUUGGUGAAAAAUCAUUUUUGGAAAAUGUCUUUCCUUACUUUCCAGUGUUUGAAUAACGUAAAGCUACUCGAUCCAUAAAAACCUUUACCAUGGGCUAAAAGUAAUAAAUAAGCUUAGAGAAAAAUGACUUGGCAAGAAGAAUUGUUUUCCUUGAUUUUUGUCCUAAUUUAUUUUGUUGUUAUUUUCAUGGAUUAUAGAAUAAACGGUGAUGAUAUUAUAUCCAGUUUGUUAGUCAUCACAUGUUACUUUUAACUGUACAAGCCACCCUUAAUGAAUUCACUUAUACCAAUUAUGAUCAAAUCAAUUUCUUCAACUUGUUUUCAGCACAAUCAAAAUUUUGUGUUUACUUUUUCUGAGAUUGAAUUUCCUAAAACAUUUUCCCGCAACAAAAAAAAUUCUCAGUGAGAUAAACACAACCUAAGAAUUUGUUUUCACAUGAUGUUAUUCGAUUGAAAGAAAUGGUAAGAUGGAAUUAUCAAUGAUAUGAGAAUUGGACAUCGAUUUGUUGUCAUAUGAUUAUUUGGGGUUGAAUGAGAGAAUAAUGAAUCGGUGUAGGAUUUUACAGAAUGAUCUUAGUGAAAUAUUUUUACAAUAAAAUCUCUACGUUUAUGGAAGUUUGAUUGGGAGGCACAGAGUGCCAAAUAAAUGGGUCAUUGGUGUGAUUCCUUCUUGAGCAAGCUGGUUCAUCGUGGACUCUUGCUAGUCCAAGUCUUUGUUGACUUUGACUUUGCCCUUCUAAUCCCAUGACGUUUCUGUCUUGCUUGCACCACUCCUUACGCUGUUCUAUCUUUUUUUUUUUUUUUUUUGCUCUCUUUUUUAGAGUGGUAGCUAAUGCGAUUUUAAAUCUAAUGAUAGUAUUUUGAUGCAAGGCAAAAUUAUAUGUAUACGGCACUUUUGUCAUUCAAUUAAAUUAGAUGUUAUCAACUUUUCUAUUGAUUAAUGAUAGGAUUGGCUAGAUUAUUUAAAGAUAAAAGUUCUUUGAAUAGAUGGUAUUUGUUUUGCAGGUAUUUUUCAAGUUUCUAAAUCAAUUCCGUGGCUACUAAACAUUUUGUGUUUCACAAGAGAAAGUAGCCACUUCGCAACUAAAGUUUCACGAUAUUGACUCGAUAGAAACCAAAAUAGCCAAAGUCAACUUUUUUCAACCAUUCUUUAGCCAACCAAAGUCACUUGUAAAGAGUUGGCCCUUACAAUAUCAUAAGCUUUUCACGAUCUAGAUAAUGAUCAAUUCCAUGAUGAAUAAACAAAGCAUUGCCUCCUCUUCAUUGAUCUCUUUUGAUCUUCUCUCCGAGAAAAAAGGUCAAAUUGUAUAACAGCAAAAUCAGUGCAGCACAUUGUGAAAUCUAAAUCACUUUUAGAAGCCAAAAUUACAAAUGGAGAUAUCCAUGGGUCAUUAAAAGUAGAACACAGGAUUUGUUGACUAUGCUGAGAGCUGGGGGCAGUUCGUAUUCUAAUGAUAUUGUCUUUGUAGAGUUUGCUUUCACCCUGAAACAAAACCGCACGGUGGCCAAUGCGUCUUCCUUUCUUCCAUUGAAUCAUCCGAGAGCACUGUGUCGCCAUAGAUGCCCCCGCCCUUGCCCACAAAUUAACAAGAAUGAUAGGGCACGGGGACCCACUCGUGGCUUUGCUUGAACAUAAUUGUAGUGUCGCUUUCAGGACAGGGGCGUGUCCCAAUCGGGGAAAAAGGAUCAGGUCUAUUUUGAAGAAAACGCCCUGUCUGUUUUUCUUUUUUUUUUUUGGUAAGAGGUAAGAAUAUUAUAGCUAAAGAAACAAGGAGUUACAAGGAGGCAAGACAGACAGGCGACUCCAAUCAUGCACUCAAAAUGACACAGGCGUCAUACUGAGUGGAUGGGAGGCGGGGUGGAUUCCCCAGCACAUUUGGAGUCUUCGGUUACGCGGGUUAUCCGGAACUCUUGAGAAUGUGGAGGCUCUAUCUUUGACAACUUUCCGAAGACGAUCUUUGAGAGCGGGCAGGAAUAGGCUUUGAUUCCGAAAGAUGAUGUUAUUUCGCUCCUUCCAUAUAAGGUAGCACAGGGCAGCAAAUGCAAAGCGAGCAAUGGAAUGGUGGAAGCAUGAGUCCGAGAGAUGGAUGACCAUCCACUGUAGAUUCUCUUUCCAAGGACCAUUUCGCCAACUCAAAUUACAUUUAGAAGCCCAGAAAGAGGCCAAUCUACCCGUAACUGAGCAACCAAAGUAUAAGUGGUCGAUUGAAUCUAGCCUACUUGAGCAGAACGCACAGGAACCAUCCGGGAUCCUCCCAUACGACAGAAGCAAGACCUAGGUUGGCAAUCUAUUCCGAGUGAUCAGCCAUAGAUGGGUCUGAUAACGCGGGGGAAGAGUGGAGCUCCAGACAAAUCGAGACCAGUUAACCAAAGAGCCUCUAGCUCGAAGCAUAGUCCAUGCAGAAGCAGUAGAGAACUGACCUGAAGAGUGGCCAAGCCACACCAGACGGUCAUCCUGAUUGUUGAGGCUGGGGAGAGGAUCAACCCAAGUCUGGAUAGCAACAGCUACAUUAGACGGGAUAGACAGGGCAGCAAUACCUAUAACAACAGAAGCAUUCCGAGGGAUACGAGAGCAAUAUAUGUCACGAUCCGAGAAUAACUUGUUGAAUGGGCCACGAGGGUGCCAGGUAUCAAACCAAAAAGAAGUCGAUAACCCAUUACCAAUGUUCCAGGCAAAAUACCUCUGAAUCAAUUCACGCAGGCCAAAGAGUUUCUUCCAAGACCAAGAACAAACGGUCGGUCUAGGCGCAAUCCAGAAAUUCUUGUGUUUUAAGAAGACUGAAUGUAUCCAUUUGGUCCAGAGUGAUUCCUUAUCAGAGAAAAGCAGCCAUAUAUGCUUAGUCAUGGCAGCAAUGUUACUAACUCGAAGUGAGCGAAUACCUAGUCCUCCUUCCGCUUUAGGAAGGCAGACUUCUUCCCAACAAACUCUAGCACCACCAGAACCAAGGUUCAGGCCACGCCAAAGAAAUUGGCGGAAGAUCUGCUCAAUUCGAUUAAUAACUGAGGAGGGGAGGAUAAAAACCGAAGACCAGUACACCUGAAUGGAAUGGAGAACAGAUCUAAUAAGUUGGAGUCUACCAGCAGUUGAAAGGAAACGGUUAGUCCAUGACUGAACUCUCUUCAUUAUAGCAUCCACCAGAGAUACACACUCUUCCUUGCCUAAUCUUGAGGAAAUUACGGGGAUGCCAAGGUAUCGAAAGGGCAAUGAUCCAAGGUUGAACCCCGAUGCAUUAACCAUUGUGUUGGAGAAAUCUUUCCAGAAGAUUUUGAAGCUGACAAAACAUUUCUAUCAGUCUAGUCUUGAUAUCAUUGGUUUAAAGUCUCAAGACUUUGUAAUCUCAAGACUCAAGACUCAAGACUCAAGACUCAAGAUUAUUCUCACUGACAGUCUUUCUAAUCCAGCUGCGAAGGAUAUCCAAAGCCGAAGUAUAUGGUUGGGGAUUUGAUCCAAUCCUCUGGAAUAGAUCCCUUGGUUGGAUAAUCAUUUCGGAUUCUUUUGAUUCUUAUCUAAGAUCAAUUGAAGAUCUGAUGGUCGACGAAACAUUCUUGGAAUGUUCUAUUCUUGGAAACCAAAAUCCUGAUUGUAUGGGCAAACAGGAUUGAUGGGCUAUCAUCAGAUUCCUUAAAUAGCUCGGAUGAUCUUCUUAAUUGAUUCCGUCCAACGGGUAGAUUGGAGGAAUUCCUUUGGUAAGUGCCAACGGCUAUGAUGGCAUAAAGGAGUAUAAAAGGAAGACGUUCUAGUUGUUUUAAGUGUGUGAUCGAUAGAUAAAUUCCAGAGUCUGAAGAACCUUGAUUGUUAGUCGAGACUGUUCAAGCGAAAUUGUAUACACAGAGAGUAGUUGUACUUGGUGAUACCUUGAGCGAGUGUAGUAGAUCAUCUACAUCGAGAGAUCAAGGAAGAUCAACACUGUAACAUCUCUUUGUUCAUAGUGGAAUCCAGCCAAUCGGCUGUCAGUGCAGAAGAGUGGACGUAGGCUUGAAUCAAGCUGAACCACUAUAAACCUCGUGUUUAAUUCUCUCUUUCUUUUACUCAGUCUUACGAUUGUUUUUUAAUCCUUCAUCUGUUUAAGUAUUGCGCAAACUGCAAGAAAAUUUUCAUAAACCUAUUCACCCCCCUCUAGGUAUUCGUACUAGCAUUAUCAAUUGGUAUCAGAGCUUGUGUUCUUACUUUAUUUGAAGUGUUUUACUUCAGAGUAUUGGGGAUGAGACCAAACCAGGCAGCAAAAGUGUUUACUCCAUCCAUUAGAAGGCUUAGAGACGGCAUGGUUGCUUCCGAGAAGAGCAACACAUCGUCAGCGAAGAAUAGAUGGGAUAACUUGGAGGGUUUACAACGCCAAAAGAACCGAAAUCCGGGUUUGCAGGUGCGGGCAUUAAUACUGCCAGUAAAAACUUCCAUUACAAGAGUAAAGAUAUAUGGGGACAGAGGGUCCCCCUGUCGGAUACCUCUCCCACUAGGGAAAAAACCAUGCAACUCACCGUUUAAAGCUAUAGAGAACUUGGGGGUUCUGAUGCAUGUCAUAAUUCGAUCAAUAAAUGUGGGUGGGAAGCCAAAUGCUUGGAGCGUCGACUCAAUAAAGUUCCAGUCAACUGAGUCAUAAGCUUUGGAGAAAUCAACCUUAAUAAUGUUCUUUGGAAAGUAAGGCUCAUGGUGGAAGUGAGCAAAUAAUUCUUGAGCAAGCAUGAUAUUAUCACUUAUCCUCCUCCCUUUAACAAAAGCGUUCUGGGGGGGACUAAUUAUAGAUGGGAGCAUAUAAGCUAAUUUGUUGGCUAACAGUUUCGUGAUACACUUGUAUAUAGUGUUGCAACAAGCAAUAGGACGGAAGUCAUUUACCGUGGAAGCAUUGGGGGACUUCGGGACCAAGGUUAGAAUAGUGGUGUUGAUCUCACGAAGCAGCUGGCCUGUAGAUAAGAAGUCCCGAAUUGCUAAUAGAACGGAAGGGCCUACAAUAUCCCACGAUUGCUUAAAGAAAUCAACAUUAAAUCCAUCCGAGCCAGGGGCUUUUCCAAUGGCCAAUGAAAACAAAGUAGUUUGGAUUUCUUCUUCAGUGAAUGGCUGAGAGAUGGCUUGGAUCUGAUUAUCAUCGAGCGUAGAAGCCAGAUUCGCACGAAUCUCUUCAACAGACGGAACGGCGGAGGGGGUAGCGUCUGACAGCAGAUUUUGAAAGUGAUCAACAAAGAGUUGCUGCACUUCAACUUCAUCAGUAAUUACAUUACUACCAUCAAAAAUCGAGAGAAUUCUAUUCCGGAGAUGGCCUCGCUUCACCGAAUGGUGGAAGAAACUGGUGUUUAAGUCACCUUCUUUAAGCCAUAUGACCCUUGAUUUUUGUCUGUAGAAAGAUUCUUCCUUGAGGUGAAGGUCAGAAAAGACACGGAGGUGGUCCUUUUCCGCAUCAGCUAGAGCUUGAUUAUGAGGGUCAAACUGAAUAGCGUUUUGAGCUUGCACGAGAAGACGUCUGGCGUCAGAAGUUCUAGCCAAAAUAUCAGAGUAAGCCUCCCUGUUUAAUAAUUUGAGUCUGCAUUUCAGGGACCUAAGCUUACUACAAAGGACAAACAUAGGCGUACCAGAGAUACGCAGCUCCCAGAUUUGCCGAACCAACUCAAAGAAGUUGGGGUGUGACAUCCAGAAAUUGAAGAACUUGAAGGGUUUACGCGAGCUAGGAACAGGGAGAAUCCUGACCACCAUAGGAGAGUGAUCAGACACUCCAGGGGCAAGAAAGUUGGCUUCCGAAUAGGAGAAGGCCGAGAUCCAAGCUGCAUUAGUAAGAACUCUGUCUAUCUUUCUUUGCCUUUGAUUAGGACCAGACGAAGUAGACCAAGUAAACCUGUUACCCACAAAGCGGAGAUCAUCUAGACCAAAUUGGAUGAGGCAAUCUCCAAAGUCUUCAAAGGCUGGGAUCCAGUAAUUGGAUCUAUCUGCUCUAUCAGAAGCAUACCGAAUGACAUUGAAGUCACCAGCAACAAUCCAGGGGAUGUCCAGACAAAUGGAACUAGUGGAGAUCAGAUCAUUCCAAAGCGGUCUUCUCAGGACAAAAGAAUGCUCCGCAUAGACUACCGAAAGAUUAAAAGCAACACCAGAAAUAAAACACUUCAACCGGCCAUGAAUGGCCUGAGCAGAACAAGCUGAGAUGCAAAAAGAAGCGGCCAAGGGGUUCCAACCCACCCAAAUACGACCCCUGAUGGAAUAAGAGUAAUUUGUAGACCAAGACCACCCAGGAAGAAGGGAUGCCGAAACAUGGGAAUGGGCAGCAGGGGAUAUUUUAGUCUCCAAAAUACCAAUACAACAGAGGCAGUUAGUCCUCACAAAAUUCCUAAUCUCAGCUUGUUUGAGGGCUUGUCCAAGACCCCUAAUAUUCCAAACACCAAAAAACAUAGGAAUGAGAUAAUAGGAUUACCUUCUCUUGCCACCUCGUUUCCUUGCCGAGUGUGGCAUAAGCUUCGGGCCAGCAGGAAUACUUGCCUCAGCAGAUUCAGAGCGGAGGAUUCCUUUUUGACGAACAGGGGCCUCCUGAUUAACCUUCGGAGGGGGAAAUUUAUCGCGUUCCUCCGGUAUGGACGAGGGCACCUUACAAGGUGAUACAGAUUCACCAUCAUCGGAACUGAUAUCUUCAUGAUUUUCAUCUGAAGGUGCAGACUUAUUCAAGCCAGGGGAAACCUGUCUUUGCAUCACAGUAGCGGAAUCUGGGUCAAUAGAGGUGGCAGGGAGUAGAUCAAAGGAAGGAUGAUGAUCCUCCUGCCUGGUUAACUCUGGUUGCCUAUGAAGGGCCAUUGAAAUCUGAGGCAUCGGAUCUCCAAUCUGGUUUCCUUCAGAACGGGGGGACUUGGGACGAUUCGGGACCGGAUCAUACAUCAGGCCAUCAUUUGCAGGCGUCGGGGCGUGCUUAUUGCGUUUACCACGCACUUCACGCCAUUCGUUUGGACGAGGGACAGGUGCCUUCGGGACUGAGGGACCAGGUUUAGAAGGACCUGAGGAAUUGGGGGCAGGACAUCUAUGGCCAAAUGAAGAGCAGGUUGGACAAAGUGUCGGGAUCCACUCAUAUUGGACUGUCACUGAUCUAAGCUCACCCUUCAUCAUAAACUCUAUAACUUCAGGGAAAGAGUUAGACGUAUCAACUUCUAUACAAACUCAAGCAAAAGCUACCAUUGCCAUCUGUUCUGUUCGAUUAUCAACAAAUAAGGGCUUACCAAUACCACUUGCCAGAAAACUAAUGCCAGCAGCAGACCAUAGAGCCACAGGGACGUUCCUGAGUCGAAUCCAGAUGGGGACAGUAUUAUGAGUUGAUUUCUUGAGCUCCAACAUAGGGUGCCAUUGUUGCAGGAUCAAGGGGAUUUUGGCUACUGUAAUCGGGCCUCCAUCCAAGACUUUCAUCCUGAAUUCACUAUCCGGAAUGUGAAAGAAGUAAAAACCAAGGUCAGCAGCAAUAACUUCGACCAAGUGAUGGCCCCAGGCAUUCUUGAGGGCGUCCUCUGUGAGGUGGAAGGGUAGGCGCUUCCCAAUGUAGUAACCAACCAGACAUUCCUCCCAUUUCGGGUGAGUAGAUUCGAGAAUCUCCUCCGGCAUCUGCAGAAUCUUAGAGUUCUCAAUUGUGGCCGGAGGAACAAAGGAUAAACCAUAGCCUUUGGUUGCCGAACGGGUCAGCAGCCCAGGAGCGAGCAGGAGGGGGAGUUUCCUUCACAGGGGGAAUAUGUACAUUCAGAAAUGGCUCCUCCGGCGCCUUAUUCGGGGCAUUCGGACGCCCUUUGGCCUCACGACCGUGGAGAACAGGGAUAGAUGCAGUGUCACGGCUGAAGGAGAUCUUCCUAUCCUUUCGAUUUAGACCAGCAGAGGCAUUAUCACACCCAACAGCAUUUAGCCGAGCAGGAAUACCCAGCAGAGGACGAGCCCUACGAGCCCUGCUUCGUCCCCUGCUUCGCGAACGCCCAGAGUGGGCGCGAGGUCCUCUCAGAGCCGAGGAGUAUCGCAUAACAGGGUUGCGAGUGGGUGUGGGGGAGUGAGGGUGCUCAACCGGAGCAACAACAUGGGCUUUACCCCGGUUAUCUUCCACCACCUCAGAGGAGGACACCAUUCGGAGACGGCGAACUCGGAAUUUCAAGCCCUAAAAACUCAGAUCCGAGAUUCCAGCUGAGGAAGACAUACCAGGGAAAUUCGCUCGGUAGAAGACAAGAUCAGAUGUAGAGGAAUGUUGUCUCCAAGCGUGGGCGCAAUCGGCCGGCCAGAACGGCCGGAAAUGGGAGACGCGCAGGCGAUGAACAGUGCUCGCGCAAACCCAGUCGAGAGCUUCAGCUUGAACAGUAACUUCUCCUCGUUUAAUGUUUAACUCACGCCCCAUCUGUUUUUCGUGCUCUCCAAACCUCAAAAAUACAAAGGAAGUUUGGGAAAAUAUGGCAAUUUCAAUGGGGGACGCGUGGGCUAAAAAUCCAUGAUUUCGGGGUUGCGCUGCCAACUGCGGCAUAUGGACUGGAUUACACCUCUCUUCACUUCCUAUUCUUCGAGCAGGUCUUGCCCGCUCGAGCACCGGGGCAUGUGAACCUGACUCAUGCACAUAUGGAUCAUGUGAAUUCUCCAUACGUUCCAUCUCACCCAUUGGUAUGCAUGACCCCAGAUUGAUUUAGCAUAUUCUUCCUAUUAAUUGGCUCCCGCUUCACUGCACCCGAUAUUAUCAGUCCCCUCAUGUGCAUGUGACCAUUGACAUUUGACAGGUCUACGUUCCAUCUACCAUGUGAGUCAUGUGACCACCGACAGUUGACAGGUCUACGUUCCAUCCACCAUGUGAGUCAUGUGACCAUCAAUAGUUGAUAGGUCCAUGUUCCAUCCGCCAUAAUCAUGGCCCCUUGUCCUUUUCCCUUUGCUCCUCUCCUUUCUCCCCUAUCAAUUGCAUUUUGUCUUUUUGAUGCUGCCAAAAUACCCAAAUGCUCUCUUGGCGAGGAAUUUAUUUAUCCUUUUCUUUAUGGUAUUGAUUUUAAUGAUAAAUUGGGAUGAGGGCCUUUCUCUAUUCCUCAAAAAAUCUCUCGAUAUAGAUUUGAGAGUUUAAUAAAUAUACUUUUGGGGAUUCAAUGCUCUCAUGCUUUAUUCAUGUAUAGAUUCUCUGCCCCAGUCUCAAUGAUGAUCGUAGGAGUUUUAGCAUUUCGUUGAAUUACGGAGAUUUGUUCCUCCACACAUUAUAAUUGUGUUUAUCUAACAUAGUAUGGUUGUUUUUGUACGAUGAUGGUAUAGAGGAAGCUGAAUCAAGGCACGCACCAUCAACUAACAACAUCAUAAUUAUUGAAGAAGGAAUUUUUGGCGUGUACUCAUCACUGACACAGACUCGAGAUCUGGUGAUUGGUUACCAAUUUUGUUUGACAUAUAUGUUCAUGUGGAGUGAGUUUGUGCUUAACUUUGCAAUUGCUCCAUCAAUCCUCCUUUUGUUCUGGAUUUGGCUUUGUUUUUCAGUAUUCAUGCUCUAUUUUGAUUUGCUUUGUCAUGAAAAUUAUUUACUUAUGCAUCAUUUUGAGUAAUGAAUACAAUUUUCCUUCGAUCGAGGGAAAAAAAAACUAAGUCAAGCCCCGACACCACAACAUUCAACCAUAGAUUUGUGGCUCUAGCGACCUUUGCCAGUCGCGAGUUCCAUGGACAUAGGUUUAUGAGCUUUGUGCAGAAAGAAAAAGAGAUGAAGGCAUAGAAGACAGACUUGAGCAGGUGAGGCGUUAACUCGCCGAUGGAUUGAUGCAUGAAGUUGAGGGCUAGUAAUGCAAUGGGUGGGCAGCAAAUUCGGCAACGCUGAGUGUGCAAUUUCAUAAAAAAAUCCUAACCUUUAUAUUUACCGUAAUACUAAUUAUCCAAGCUUUAUUUUUAUCAUCAAAAUCCCAAACUUAUAUGGUAACCAAAAAAUAUGUUCCAUCAAAGUUUGGUCCAAGAUAAAUGUCAAAAAUCUAACGUGGUGUCUUGGACGACGAUGAACUUAAAAAUCUGAAUAAAGCUUUUGAAAGAAAACUCGACUUAGCAACUUUUAGGGUCCAAGAAGGGAGAUAAUCCACUUGGCGGUCCUUUUUGUAAAACAAACGAGCUACAAUUUUUACUUCGAAGAAAAAGUGGGAUGGAAUACAAAUUCUAGCUUUGCUUUUUAUCCUUUUCCGCUUUGCGCUUGAGACUCACAUUCGUCCACCUUGAUUUUAGCAUUUCACUUUUGGUCUUACUCCUUAUCGGGAGAAGAAAGCAUAUGAUGGAUCUCUCUUUAUUUGGAUGAAGAGACCAAAAUAUUCAACAUGCCCAGGUUUAGAAUUUUUUUUAUCUUUCCUUUUAUUUAGUUUCUUUUCUAGGUGAACUUCGUCUAAACUCCACGACAACUCCUUCCACAUCGUUCCUUGACCUUUUCGCACGUUUCUUCCUUUGCUUCAAAUCCUUGAUCUUCCCCUCGUUGGCACUGCUCUCUGCUCACACGCCUCCAAAACCCUAACCCGAUGCCCAUGGCCAUGGUCAUUUCCGGUGAUUGACGAACUGACCUCCUCAAAGUUGCCGGGGAGUGCAUGAUCGAUGUGAACGCUCCAACACCAGCAAGACCUUCAGACUUCGAUGGGUACAGAUGUGGACUAAAUGAACCUAUUGGUAUUUGAUAAGGACGACAUGGAGGAAACACGGUGAGGCAGCCAAGGAGGAAAAAUAAAAUCCCGCAAGAUACAAAGGUGUAAAAUUGUUUGGUUCCAGAAUUCAUGGGCUCUUAAGUCUUUUCAUACAUACAUCCGAAUUUGACAAAAGCAAAAUUUAAAAUUGAAGCAAUUAAUCACGAUUGACUCUAUGAGUCAAAAAAGACUCUUGGGAAGUAUAAAAUUCAUCGAUUCGAGACCAAUGGAAGAUCAAAUUGUUUUCUGAUAGCUUUAGCUUUGAUUAAACUCCACUAAACUUUUGUUUUAGUAAAACAAACUCCAAAGGUCUCAUUGCAAUUUUUUUUUUUAAUCGGACUCCUUCCAUUUAAAUUGAAAUUGAGUGUCCUCCAUUAUAGCUCAGAAGCUCCAAGAAGAAGAGAAAAUAGGUGGGUUCCCAUUGCCUUAACUCAUCUCUUUAUAAAGGAAAAUAUAGACUUCGUAUUAGAUGUGGGCCUUAACUAUCAAAGACCUUUACUCCUUCACGAUAGAAAUAUCAAGGAAAUAAAAAGGAAAGAUCUUUUUCAAUGACUUUUGGGUAGAUCAUUGAACUUAGAAGCCAUAGGAUUGGCUGAACAUGCAGAGAGAGUUGUGGGCCAGUUUGCUACAAAAUUUGGUCAAUAAGGAUGAUUCCUUGAAGCAUCAUCCAGCUUGCCAAAGUUGACAAUUAUUUACAUUUCUUAACACAAAAAAAUCACUAGACCAUGUGAUGCAAAAAUUUUAGGAUUAGAAUCAACUUUUGCCCCCCAAAUAAAUGGCAGAUUCAUUCAAAGUCAAGUCAACAAAAGCAGACAUCAAAUUUUGACAAUUGACAAGUGUAUCAAAUUGGGGUUUUAUCCUUUGUUUGUCACAUAUGUAUUGGUUUGUGCUUUUUCCUAGUAUUAAUCAUAUUUAACGGAAACUAAUGGAGGGUAAAUUUGUCACAAUGUGCUAGUUUGGAGUUUUUGGUGAUCAAAAAAUUAAUUUGAGAUUCACGGGUAUAUAAGUUUGAGAUUUUUCGUGGUAUUAACUCUAAAAACAAUAAGAUUUAGAGAAACACAACUUGGCAAGAAGGAAUCAUUACCCUUAUUUUCUUGCUACGCUUUAAAGUGAGAAGAAUAUACUUUAUCAAUGCUCAAUUUUUCUACAUUCCCAAAGCACGAUUAAUCUAAUAUUUCACAAAUAUGAUUUCAUAAUUUCUAUCUUGAUUUCUUUGUAAUCGUUUUUAUUUCAAUGGAUUAUAGAAUUAAUGAAGAAGAUAUCAAUUCUAGUUUAUUAGUCAUUCCAUGUUACUUUUAACGAUACAAGCCGCAUCUAGUGGAUUCACUUAUUACUAAUUACGAUAAAAUCAGUUUUUUCAACUUGUUUUCACCAUAAUCAAUUUUUUCUGAUUCCCUUUCUCUGAAAUUGAAUUUCCUAAAAGCAUUUUCCCGCAGCAAAAAUCAGCGAGAUAAAGACAUCCUCAGAGUUUUUUUUAUUUAUUUGAUUUUCUAAUUUCAUAUGACAUAAUAUGAUGGGAGGAAAUUGUACGAUGAAAUUAUCAACGGAUAUGAGAAUUGGAGGGAAAUUUGUUGCCAUGUAAAUUUUGCAGGUGAUGGGAGAACGAUCAAUCAGUGUUGGAUUUUACAGAGUGAUAUGGUGACCUUUUUUUCUCUUCUUUUUGAUAAAAUCACUACAUUUAUGGAUGUCUGUCCGCAAGGGACAAAGUACCAAAUGAAUGAACCAUUGGUGUGAUUCCUUCUUGAGCAAAGCUGGUUCAUCAUGGACUGUUGGUAGCCUAAGUCUUUGUGGACUUUGACUUUGCCCUUACUGGUAGACUGUUCUUUUAUUUAUCUAUUUUCUUUGGAGAGUGGUAGGUAAUGCAAUCUUUAAUCUAACGAUUUUAUUUCGAUGCAAGACAAAAUUGUAUAUAUACUGCACUUCACAUGAUAACUAAAAAUUCUAUGUUUCACGAUGGAAAAAUAGCCACUUCACAAUUGAAGUUUCACAAUGCUAACUCAACAACAGCCAAGGUAAGUUGCAUAUACCAAAAUCAGCUUAUGUCUGUUGGAGAAAUCCUCAUGAAGAGUUUUGAAGUUGACAAGAUGUUUCUGUCAGUCUAGUCUGAAGGUCUGCAGACUCUGUUAGUUAAAGUCUGAAGACUUCCGGACAGCCAGACUCAAGACUCAAAGUCUAUCCUCAUUAACAGUCUCUGAUCCGUUGAAGAAAGGUUAUCCCGAACUGGAUGUUUUGUUUAGGAUUUAACCUUAUCAUCUGGAGAAGAUCUUGUGGCUGGAGAAGACGUAUCAGAAUCCUUUGAUUGAUCAAGAUUGAUUCAAUGAUUGAAGAUUCGAUGAUUAUCUAAAUAUUAUUGGAAGGUUUUGCUUAUGGAAACCGAGAUCCUGAUUGUAUGGGCGAACGGGAUUGAUGGGCUAUCAACACGUUCCUUUAAUAGCUCGAACGAUCUUCCUAAUUGAUUCCGUCCAACGGGUAGAUUGGAGGAAUUCCUUUGGAAAGUGCCAACGGGUAUGAUGGCAUAAAGGAGUAUAUAAGGAAGACGUUCUUAGUUGUUUAAGAGAGAGUGCGCGAUAGAAAAAUUCCAAAGUCUGAAGCUCCUAUUUGUUUAGAUAAAUCUCUUGAGCGAAUACUUGUAUACAAAAGAGAGUCUAUAUUUGUGAGAGACCUUGAGGAGGUGUGAUAGAAUAUCUACACUGUGGAAUCAAGGCAAAUCUGUGCUGUAACUUCUCUUUUGAUCAUAGUGAAAUCCAGCCGGUGGGCUGUCAGUGCGGAAGAGUGGACGUAGGCUUGGAAUAAGCCGAACCACUAUAAAUCUUGUGUUUGAUUUUCUCUUCCUUACUCUUUCUACCUCGAUCGUAUUUCAAUCUGUUAAGAAUUGCUUCCGUAUUUGAGAAAAAUUGUGUGUGCGCCUAUUCACCCCCCCUCUAGGUGUUUAUACUAGCAAUAUCAAUUGGUAUCAGAGCCUGUGUACUUACUUUAUUUGAAGUGUUUUACUUCAUAGUAAAAGAUCCAUGGCUAGUAUGAUAGCACUAGGGCUGAUGGAAGGGCAAAGCAAUACCAGACCACCUUACUUUGAUGGAAAGGAUUACAACAUCUGGAAGAACAAGAUGAAAGCUUUCCUACGAUCAAAGGAUCCUCUGGAAUGGGACGUUGUAGAAAAAGGAAUUACUCCUACCACUGCAUCAGUCUCUGAAAGAGGAAAAGAAACUGAAGAAUCCAGAGGAAUGUCUCAGGAAGAAAUAACCAAGAGACAGACACUCGAUGCAAAAGCAAUUUAUUCCUUAUAUUGUGCUUUAUCACCAACUGAAGAUAAUAGAAUAUCUUCUUGUGGUACAGCAAAAGAAGUUCGGGACAAAUUGCAUAUCACCUAUGAAGGAACAGAUCGAGUGAAGGAAACAAGAAUCAACAUUCUUCUCGGUCAAUACGAAGCUUUUAGAAUGAAACCAGGAGAAUCAAUAUCUGACAUGUUUAGUCGUUUUACAGAUAUUGUAAAUGGUCUUGAAAAUCAAGGUCAACCAACUUCUGAUCUCAUGAAGGUAAACAAGCUACUGCGUGGACUCUCCAAGGAUUGGAAUCACAUAAAGACUUCGAUAAGAGAGACAUAGAGAAUAAUGCCACUAUCUGUUGAUGAGCUGAUUGGAACUCUUCAGUCCUAUGAAGUGGAAAGGAUCAAUGAAGAUGAAGAUCCAAGAGGUAAGAAAUCCAUUGCAUUAAAAUCAAAUGAUGAUUCUGAUGUUACAGAUUCUGAAGAAGAUAUGGACGAUGAGGAGCUUGCUCUCAUGAUAAGAAGAUUCAGAAAACUAAACAGAAAAGGAAGAAGGUUCAACUCAAAGAAACAAGGCUUUCAAAGACAGCAGAUCAAGUCUGUUGAUGAUGAGGAACCAAACAAAGAUGUAGUCUGCUUUGAAUGCAAGAAAAAGGGACACAUCAGACCCAACUGUCCUCUUUUGAAGAAGAAGAAAGGAAAAGCUGAAAAAUUUCGAAAAGCUCUCAAAGCUGAAACCUGGAGUGAUACUGAGUGUGAAGAAAGUGAUAAUGAAUAUGCCAAUAUAUGUCUGAUGGCACAAUCAGACUCAGACUCUGGAUCAGACUCAGGAUCAGACUCAGACAGUGAAUUUGAGGCAAGUAAUUUUAAAAUUCCUGUCAAAUUUUCUAAAUAUAUUGAGGAACUAUGUUUUAGUCUUAAGACUUCUCUCAAAAGUAUUUCCAAACUAAAAAAGGAAAACUCAGCUCUAAAACAAAAGGAAAAUGUUUUAGCAGAAAGAGUUAAAAGUCUAGACUUGUCUGUUUCCAAUCUUAAAGAAAAUAAAGAAAAUCUUUUAAAAGAAAAUGCUUUUUUAAAAACAGACUUAUCUAAUAUAUCAAAGAAAUUUUCUAUGGGUUCUGAAAAACUUGAGAAAAUUCUUUCAGCACAAAGACCUUACUUCAAUAAGUCUGGUCUAGGUAUGACAGAAGAAACAAUUCCCUUGAUUGAUUUUCCUAAAGUAAAAGAAAGAAUUAAGAAAAGGCUUUCGAGUGAGGUUUACAAAAAUCACUUCAAGAAAGUCUUUGUAAAACCUGUAAGUAGAAAUGCUCUCAGAUGUUCUAAGUGCAACAGUCCGGAUCACUUUGAAAAAGAGUGUCCUAUGGUAUGGAAACCUAUUAAGAAAGUAUGGGCUAAUACUGUUUAUCUUACUAACACCAAAGGACCCAAGAAAAUUUGGGUACCAAAGAAAGCUUGAGACUCUUUGUUAAAUGCAGGUCUCCAUCAAGAAACAGGUAAAGUGGUAUCUUGACAGCGGAUGCUCAAGACACAUGACAGGAGACUCAAAUUGCUUUAUAAAGCUUGCUCAAGUAAAUGGUGGAAAAGUUUCAUUUGGAGGAAACAGCAAAGGAAGUAUUGUGGGAUUUGGAACCGUGAAAAUUGGAACUCUCACAAUAAGUAAUGUUUCCUUAGUUGAAGGACUCAAUUACAAUCUUCUCAGCAUUAGUCAAUUGUGUGAUACUGGUUUCAAGAUCUCCUUUCAAGAAGGAACAUGUUCCGGAAUCAGUAAAGACUCUACUCAAUCUUUUCUGGGUCGAAGACAUGGGAACAUCUAUCUUCUGGAUGUGAAAUCAAAUGAAUCACAAUGUCUGAUCUCAAUUCAAGACGAAGCAAGCUUAUGGCACAAAAAGCUUGGACAUGUCAAUAUGAAGCAAUUAGCCAAAAUCUCAUCAAAGCAGCUUGUUCGAGGUCUACCAAAAUUGCCAUACCAAAAGACUAAUUCAUGCACUCCAUGUAUUCUGGGAAAGCAGGUAAAAAAUUCUUUUAAGCCAAUAAAUCAUGUCUCUACUAAUCAUGUUCUACAGUUGCUGCAUAUGGAUCUCUUCGGACCAACCAGAACUCUAAGUAUUGGGGGUAAGAAGUAUUGCCUAGUAAUUGUUGAUGAUUACUCCCGUUUUACUUGGGUAUAUUUCCUUUUAAGUAAGUCCGAAACCUUUUCGUAUUUUGAAAAUUUUGCUAAAAAGGUUCAAAAUGAAAAAGGUUGUGUUAUCUCUAGUAUAAGAACAGAUCAUGGAGGUGAAUUUGAAAAUCAAGAUUUUACAAAGUUCUGUGAUGAAUCUGGCUGUAAGCAUAUGUUUUCCUCUCCGUAUACUCCUCAACAAAAUGGAGUUGUGGAAAGAAAGAACAGAUCUCUUCAAGAAAUGGCUAAAACUCUUUUAAUUGAAAGUAGAAUUUCUUCUCGAUUUUGGGCAGAAGCUGUUUCAACAGCUUGCUAUAUCAUCAAUAGAGUUUUCUUAAGAUCUAUUCUUCAGAAAACCCCUUAUGAGUUAUUCAAAGAAAAGAAGCCUAUUGUUUCAUACUUUCAUGUAUUUGGUUGCAAAUGUUUUAUAUUGAAAAAUGCAAAAGAUCGAGUUAGUAAGUUUGAAGAAAGAUCAGAUGAAGGUAUCUUCCUUGGAUAUUCUAUAUCAAGCAAAGCUUACAGAGUCUAUAACAAGAAAAGCCAGUCUGUAGAGGAGUCAAUGAAUGUCAAAUUUCAAGACUCAAUGCAAGAUGAAUCAAGUUAGACUCAUCAAGAAGAAUCUGAACCUACUUCAGACCCUCCAAAGUCUACAACUCAAGAAGCAUCUCAGACUCUUGAAAACCAGCAUCAGGUUGUUAAUGAAGAUCCAAAUAAAGAAAGAGAUCAUCAACCAGACAAAUCAACAAGUAACUGGAAGCAUAAGUCCAGUCAUCCCAAAGAUCUUAUAAUCGGCGAAAUAAAUGAAGGAAUUCGCACAAGAUCCAAAAGGCGAGAAGAGUCUAGUGCUGUGGCACUCGUUUCUGAAAUUGAACCAAAGGGCAUAGAAGAAGCUUUAUCUGAUGAAAGCUGGAUUGAAGCUAUGCAAGAAGAACUCAGACAGUUCAGCAUAAAUGAUGUUUGGGAAUUGACAUCCAAACCAAAAGGAAAAACUGUUAUUGGAGCCAAAUGGGUGUUCAGAAACAAAAUGAACGAGAAAGGAAAAGUCGUACGAAAUAAAGCAAGACUUGUGGCCAAAGGAUAUACGCAAGAAGAGGGAAUAGACUAUGAUGAGACUUACGCUCCAGUGGCAAGGUUAGAAGCUAUUCGACUAUUACUUGCGUUUGCUUGUUAUAAGAAUUUCAGGUUAUUCCAAAUGGACGUCAAAAGCGCCUUCCUAAAUGGAUUUAUCCAUGAGGAAGUUUAUGUGGAACAACCGCCAGGGUUUGAAGACCCAAAGAAGCCAGACUCAGUCUUCAGACUGAAAAAGGCUUUGUAUGGUUUAAAGCAAGCACCUCGGGCUUGGUACGACAGGUUAAGUAAUUUCUUAUUACAAAAUAGUUUUGUCAAAGGUAAAAUAGAUACGACUUUAUUUAUCAAGAAGGAAAAUAAAAGUUUCUUACUUGUUCAAAUAUAUGUGGAUGAUAUUAUUUUUGGAUCCUCCAAUGAAAGUCUGUGGUAGAAAUUUUCAAAGUCUAUGCAGGAUGAGUUUGAAAUGAGUAUGAUGGGAGAAUUAACAUUCUUUCUUGGUCUUCAAAUAAAACAAUUGAAGGAAGGAACUUUCAUUUUUCAAGAAAAAUAUGUUAAUGAUCUUGUCAAAAGGUUUGGACUGGAGAAUUGCAAAAAGACCGACAUACCAAUGUCAAGUUCUUUAAAGAUAGACAAAGAUGAAGAAGGGAAGAAAGUUGAUCAAAAGCUGUACAGGAGUAUUAUUGGAUCACUUCUUUAUCUUACUGCCUCUAGACCUGAUAUUUUGUUGAGUGUUUGCAUCUGUGCUAGGUUUCAAUCAGAUCCUAGAGAAUCCCAUCUCAGUGCUGCCAAACGCAUCAUAAAAUACGUUGCUUCAUCAUCAAGCAUCGGUCUUUGGUAUCCUAAGAAGGGAGACUUUAAACUUCUGGGAUAUUCAGACGCAGAUCUAACCGGUUGCAGAGUUGAUAGAAAGAGCACUUCAGGAACUUGCUAGUUGCUUGGAAGCAGAACAGUGUCUUGGUUUUCAAGGAAACAAAGUAUUGUGUCUCUUUCAACAACAGAAGCAGAGUAUGUAGCUCUUGGAAGCUGCUGUUCACAAAUUCUAUGGAUAAAACAACAGCUAAGAGAUUUUGAAAUCGAAGACUCAUGCACAGAGAUUAAUUGCGACAACACCAGCGCUAUCAACCUCACCAAAAAUCCAAUUCUCCACUCAAGAGCGAAGCAUAUAGAAAUUCGACAUCAUUUUAUUAGAGAUCAUGUUCAAAAUGGAGAUGUUUCAAUUCAAUUUGUUGACUCAAAGAAUCAGCUGGCUGAUAUUCUCACGAAGCCUUUGGAGAAAAAUCAAUUUGAGUCUAUACGGACCAGACUCAAUAUUUUGAGGUAUGAGGAUAUCAAAGUCUAAAGACUUUCAAACUCAGGCUUACAAGACUUUAUCAACAGUCUUGUCUCGACCUUCAGACUGUAAGUCUUUCUCUAUCCAAUCUUAUCUUGAAAAGGUACGAUCAUCAGACUGUGUUUAAAUUGUUGCCGUAAAUAUUACAUCGAUUCAUUUUCAAAAGGGAAGUUAUUUUUGAAAUAGCUAUUUUUACGGAUAAAAUCAGUUAUUUUGAAAAGGCAUAUUUUUAUUUCCUUUGUGACGAUUCGUUUUCUCUUCUUUUUAACCGAACGAGCACUAUCGAUUACUCUCUCUCAAAAACCCUAGAAAGCAUCGAUCUUCCAUUCCCGUUUGUCUACUUCUCUAAAUCUUCAAAAAGUUAUCAUCUUUUCUGGGAAAGUCAAGCUAGGAAACUUCCAAACACUGUUAAAGAUGUCUUCUUCACGAAAGUCGUCAAGAAUCGCAAGCAGUGGACCAUAGAGAAUGAGUAAGGGGCCUACGCACUUCGAUCUUACUGAAGAUGAAGUUUCUCCAGAUCAGCAACCGAGCCCACAACAUUCUCAGCAGCGUCAUUCUACAUCAUCUAGUCAUCAAGGCAUUGUUCAUCAGGAAGAAAUCAUCGAGGAAGCAGACCUCGUAAGAGUUCAAAAGCCUGCUUUUAUCUACAAGCUAUAUCGUGCUUUAAAAGGAAUUCGUACUCCCUUAAACUAUGUUGAUAGUUUUGUUAAAGAAAAAGGAUAUAGGAACGAAUAUAUCUUUCUGAAAAGAAUGGAAAGUUUGGGAAUCGCUCGUAAAGGGGUGGCUGAGGAAACCCUUGCGAAUAUCCCAAGUGAUCCUUGUGACUGGGGGCCAAAUCCUGUAGAUGGGAAUGAUGAUGACAAUCUGUUCAGUCUAUUUCAACCGAAAAUGGGUAUUGCGGCUGAAAUUCAAGGAAAAAGGGGAGAUUUGUUCAGAUCAAAGGAACAAAAGGAUCUGUACUCGAAAUUGCUGAAGCGUGGGGUAAUAAACCCUAGGAGUGUGGACUUUGAUUUUAUGGAUGCUGUGAAAGUGAACUUGAGGGAAAAGUUCAGUUAUCUUCAACUUGAAAAGUUUUGUUCUGACUCAACUGAGGCUUAUGCUAAAUUGACUGCUUACUUCUAUUCAAAUCUUAGCUUUUAGAUGCGAAUAGAUUUUCCUUCAGUGUCAAAGAACAAGACUAUGUUGUGGAUAUGGAUAUGCUGGCAGAUGUGUUAGAAGUUGAGAGAGGCAGAUAUCAACCGAUUAAAGUUUCCAUUGCUCGGGCCACACUUGAAUUGGUGAAGGACAGGAGAAUAGAAGAGAAUCACCUACUCAAGGAUGAAUGCAUUCAACAUCUUGCUUCACAAGACUGUGAUUAAUUGCCUUCGGCCGAAAUCAACUUCCAAAACUGAUGUUUCAAGCUCUAAGGCAAAAUUGAUGUAUGCCAUCCUCUGUGGAAAGAAGUUUUCUCUUCCUCAUACUGUCAUGUUUCACAUGUAUAGAGCAGUGAUGAAGGACAGAGGUCAACUCCCUUACCCAAGCCUUGUUACGAAGUUAUUCAGACAUCUGAAUAUUCAGCCUCCGCAAAUCUUUUGUGUUCGAUCAUGCGAUCAUAUGGUGGUAGGACUGAAAAUGGUGACCAAAAUGCGUCUGAAGGAACUGAGCAAGGAAUUGGAGAAAUUCAAGGAGAAGACUCCUGCCAAGUCUCAUCAACUCUCUUCUGCUACUAAGAGAAAAGGGAAGGAGCCCAUGGCUGCUCCCUCAAAGAAAAGAAGAGCUCUCCUCGUUGAGGAUGAAGAUGAUGACGAUGACAUCACCAUCUCUGCAAUGGCUUUGAAGAACUUAAGUCGUUCUGUUCCACAGAAAGAAUCGGAACAAAAGACGAAAGAAGCAGAGGAGAAGGAAGAAGAAGAGAGAGAAGCAAAGGAGAAGGAAGACGAAGAAAGAGAAACAGAGCAAGAAGCAGAGGAAAAAAAGACCCGAAGAAGAAAGAAGAGAAUGAGAACCUGAGGAAAUCUCUUCUCCACCUGUAGGCAUGAAAACAGGGGGAGUUCAGGAGAAAGGAGUGACAUCUUCAUUUCCAGAUGAAAGUGAAGGAGUCAGUCGUUCGCCUGCAGACCCAGAAGAUGUUUAUGCAUCUCAAUUUCCAGAGGAAGGUCAUGAAGCUUCAUCACCCAACCUGCGAGAUUAUGCUGAUCCACCAUCGUCUGCUUUUACUCCAUCAGAACGAGCAGAAGCAAGUACUCAGACUGAUAAUGGAGCAGAUUUUCGCAUAAUCAUGGAUAUUCUCUUGGAGAUGAAAGGUCAGAUUUAUGCAUUGGGAUGCGAAGUUCAAAGCUUGAAGAAUGAAGGUUAAGCUUCUUCCUGUUCAUUAAAUGAAAAGAUGCAAGCCCUCUCUAUUCAAAAUCAGGCAAAUGCCAAGAGUGAGGAGGUUGUACAGCUAAAGGAAGACUUUAAGAGGCUGGAAGGCAUUGUUCAGUCUAUGGAAGAUUUCCAGCUUGUCCGCGUUCCCAAGCAAUCUUGAUUUCAUCUCAUCCUUUUUAAAUGAUGACAAAAAGGGGGAGAGAUGCAUGAUUUGAAAACUUUCAAUCUUUUUAACUGUUUGUUGGAUUGUGUUUAACUGUCUGUUUGUUUUUGACAGACUUUGACUUUGUUUUGUGUCUGGAUAAGAACUGCCUAGACUUAGAUUUGACUGCUUCUAUUUAUCAAUAUUGAUAUCUUAUGAAUGGCUUAAUCAUAUAUUGGACUAACCUAUUUUCUGUGGUUGCAGAUUCUAGUGUUAUUCUAUUAGCCAUUUAUUUCUAUAAGAUAUGCAUAUGUGGUUGAGGAAUGUUUUGCAGGUCAAAGUUAUCCAAAUCUGCAGGAAGGUUUUGUCACCAUCAAAAAGGGGGAGAUUGUUGGAGAAAUCCUCAUGAAGAGUUUUGAAGUUGACAAAAUGUUUCCGUCAGUCUAGUCUGAAGGUCUGCAGACUCUGUUAGUUAAAGUCUGAAGACUUCCGGACAGCCAGACUCAAGACUCAAAGUCUAUCCUCAUUGACAGUCUCUGAUCCGUUGAAGAAAGGUUAUCCCGAACUGGAUGUUUUGUUCAGGAUUUAACCUUAUCAUCUGGAGAAGAUCUCGUGGCUGGAGAAGACGUAUCAGAAUCCUUUGAUUGAUCAAGAUUGAUUCAAUGAUUGAAGAUUCGAUGAUUAUCUAAAUAUUAUUGGAAGGUUUUGCUUAUGGAAACCGAGAUCCUGAUUGUAUGGGCGAACAUGAUUGAUGGGUUAUCAACACGUUCCUUUAAUAGCUCGAACGAUCUUCCUAAUUGAUUCUGUCCAACGGGUAGAUUGGAGGAAUUCCUUUGGAAAGUGCCAACGGGUAUGAUGGCAUAAAGGAGUAUAUAAGGAAGACGUUCUUAGUUGUUUAAGAGAGAGUGCGCGAUAGAAAAAUUCCAAAGUCUGAAGCUCCUAUUUGUUUAGAUAAAUCUCUUGAGCGAAUACUUGUAUACAAAAUAGAGUCUAUAUUUGUGAGAGACCUUGAGGAGGUGUCAAAGCUGGUUCAUCAUGGACUGUUGUCAGUCCAAGUCUUCGUAGACUAACUUUGCCCUUCUAAUGCCAUGAUAUUUCAGUUCUCUCGCAACCCCUCAUAUGCUGUUCUGUCUUAUUUUUUUUUUCUCUCUUUUUGAGAGUGGUAGCCAAUGUUAAUGGCACGGUAAAACGAGGCACAGGGAGCUUAGGUUUUAGAUUGUUGGCAUUCAUAUCAAUAUCACAUCAAACAAUCUCAUACAAUUCAUAAUCUAAUGAUUGUAUUUCAGUGCAACGGUUUUUGCAUGUAUGCAGCACUUUCGUACUUUCCAUUUAGUUAAAUUAGAUGGUAUCAACGUUUUUAUUGAUUGAUGAUAUAAUUAGCUAGACUAUUUAAAAAUCAAAGUAUUUCUAAAUAGAUAGUGUUUGUUUGCAAGUAUUUUUUUCUUUUUAUUUUCUAAAUCAAUUUUGUGGUAAUUAAACAUUCCACAUUUCACAAUAGAAAACAAAAUCUCGCUAGAUCAGAGGUAUAAAGAUGUUCCAUUAUGAAAUUCAUAAGUUCUUAAAUCUUUUCAGGCAUAAAUCCAAGUGUGAAAAAAACCAACAUUUAAGAUUGAAGUUAUUAAUCGCAAUGACUUGAUGAGUCAAAAAACACUUUUGGGAAGUAUCGAAUUCCCAUUUGAGUAGCAUCUAUUUUCACAAAUCUAUUUAUUCACUUGCUAAAUAUUAAAUCAUGAUUUGAUCAUAUCACUCAAUGUAUCGAUUUUAGUAUGCUUAUUUAAAUUUCUUGUAAAUAACUUAGAUUUAUUGGUUAAACUUCAAAUGAUGAAGAGCUCAUGCUUAUUGAGUAGAAGCACACAUAUUUUUAACAACAUUAAAAGAAAAAAAAAUCCACAUCUUGCUAGCAGUUAAAAUUAAAAUGCUAUCUGUUAUGUGAAAUGUUGAAUGCAUGUUAUUUUACAAAAUUCUUAUAGUAAUUAACCCACCGAGGACCUCAAUAGUCAUUCAAGGCAAAACUCCCUUGAAGAAUCCGACGAAAAUUCUUGUUAAAAAGCAAAGUGAAUGAUGAAAAUAAAUAAAGCAAUACAGCAAAGAAAAAGAAGGGGUCAUCCUAAUGUGGAAAAGAAGUCCCGCCAAUGCUUUAGCGUGUGCCUUUGGUAGUCCAAGUCUUCGUAGACUUGGGUCAACAUUGGUGUGAUUCCUUCUUGAGCAAGCUGGUUCAUCAUGGACUGUUGGUAGUCCAAGUCUUCGUAGACUUUGACUUGGGUCAAUCAUUGGUUUCAAUCUUCUUGCACCACCCACACGCUGUUUUGUCUGAUUUUUUUCUCUUUCUGAGAGUGGUAGCUCAUGCUAAUAGCACGUUAAGACGAGGCACAUGGAGCUUAGGUUUUGGAUUGUUGGCGUCCUUAUCAAAAUCACAUCAACCCAUCUCACGCAAUUCUUAAUCUAGUGAAUGUAUUUUGAUGCAACACAUUAUAUGUAUGUGACACAUUCCAUUUCCAUUUAGUUAAAUUAAAUGGUUCCAACUUUUUUAUUGAUUGAUGACAUGAUUGACUAAAUUUUCAAGAGAGAAGUUUUUUUGGACAUAUAGUGUUUCUUUGCAAGUAUUUUUCUAUUUUUUGAAUCGAUUUUGUGAUAACUAAACAUUCCAUAUUUUACGAUAGAAAACAAAAUCUCUCUAGAUCUGGAGGUGUAAAAUUGUUCCAUUUCAUAAUUCAAUGUUCUUAAGUCUUUCUAGGUAUAAAUCCAAGUGUGACCAAAAAAAAAAUUUAAGAUUGAAGUUAUUAAAUCACGAUGACUCAAUGAGUUAAAAAGAAGAAUCUUGGGAAGAAUCAAAUUUCUUGAAUUGAGAGUGAUGGAAAAUUGAAUUUGUUCUCUGAUAGCUUUAGCUUUCAUUGUCACUCCACUAAAAUUUUGUUUUAGUAAAAUGAAAAUCUCGUCCCAUUUUUUUUUUUUGAAAUCAGACACCAUCCAUUUGAAUCAAAAUUGAGUUUCCUCCUUUAGCUCAAAAGCUUGGGAAGAAGAGAAAAUAUGUGGGAUCCUGUUGCCUAAUUCUUACUCAUUUUAAAGGAAAAGAAAGACUUCUCAUACAAAUGUGGACCUUAAUUAUCGAUACAUUUUUUCCUUUACCCUAGAAUAUGCAUAGAAUCAUGGGCCAGUUUUGCUGCAAAAUUGGUCAGUAAGGAUGCUUCCUUGCAGCAUCAUUGCGGCUUGUCAACUGUGAAAAAAUAUUACGUUUCUUAAUGUGGAAAAUCACUAGACUAUGUGGUGCAGAAAUUUUGGGAUGAGAAUCUACUUUUGCCCCAAAAUAAUUCAUUCAAAGUCAAGUCAACAAAAGCAGACACCGAACUUCCAAAACAAGUUCGUUUCCCCCAUCCUAAUUAAGGUGAACUCCGGUCGGUCCAAUUUAAUGGGCUGAUCAGGCCCAGGCCCGGAAUAACUCUGAAGCAUAAAGCCUAGUGGAAUUAUUGGGCUUGAUCUUGUCAAAGCACUCCCCAAUGAUCAAUUGAAUUAAGAAAAGAUUACAUUUUAUUUCGGAGGUGACCCAUCCUUCGCAUUUAACCUGUUGUUAGUGUCAAAAAUUGCUUGUCACAAAACGUUGUAGUUGAACAUUAAAUCCAUGCAUUGUGCUGAUUAUUAUACAAAACAUUACUAAAAUAGAGUCCACAAAACCAAUGUGUAAGCACAGUCUUGUGUCGUAUUAAAACUUUGAGCCACCAACAAGUGUGGUAAAUAAGCUCACGAACAUGAUGUGACCUAUUAGAUCUCAUUUGGAAUUUAACUCAAUUAGCAUUUCCACAUUCACAAUUGAACUUGAAAGCCUCUAUGAUGACUGGGAAAAGUUUAGCGAAGCCUCUCUAAUGACUAUAAUGACUAAAAAAAAAUAUUGACUCCCCCUGAAUUCAAGUAUGAAAGUUUUCUAUUUCAGAUAAUGUUUUUGGAGGUGUGGCUCUUUGCUCUCUCAGUUAAUGCUUGUGGAUUAUCUAUUACAAAAGGGGGAAAAAGAGGCAAAAAUAAAAGAACUUAUGGACAACGCGAGAUUAUUCCAUGUUAAAAUUUGAGAAUUGGAAAAAAAAAAAUUCGCCACACUUCUAUUAAUUUGAAAUUAAACGAUUUGGGUUGCUAUUUCAGAUUUACCUCGACAUUAGAUGAUGAUGUCAAACCAAGUCCAUUUGCAGCUAGAAACAUUUUUUAGUAUAAUUAAGCUUGAAUCUGAAAAUAUUUGACUGGAGAAGUUUGCCAUCAUAAUGAAGUAAUUGCAAUUUCAUAUACCUCCACUAAUAUAAAUAAACAAAUGAAUUAUAUCAAUUUUAAUUUGAGUGUAUAGUAACCAACUAAUUGAACGGUAGAGCACCCAUUUGUCCAACAGAAUGUCUCAUUCUCUUUGGCUAAAAUACAACAGAAGGCGUCCCCACGCAAUCUUUCUAAAUGUUCCGAUUUUAGCAAAACUUACUUCACGACGUAAAUCACCGAAUGUGACAUUGAAAAUGCCCACCGACAAAAUAAGAUCCCAAGGGCAAAUUAGGAAAGAUCAUAAAGAAUCUGGAACGAAAUAGAUCGCGUUUGAGGCUGAUGGUUGUUCUGACAUGCUUGAUUGCUGCAAAGUGAGGCGAUACUCAAGCUUUUCAAGUUCAAGAGAUUGGAAAUGCUAUCAUCAGCUCGUCGCUCGGUAUGAAUAUGUAGACAAAGAAGAAUUUCUAGGAGUCUUGGCACUUGGGGUAUCUCAACACAUGUCGGUUUCAAAAUCUUCCAAGGUGAACAUCUCCAGAUAUCAUAGGAAUUUCUGAUUAGCAAAUUUUCACUAAGCUCUGCAUCUAUUCUUCUAGCUAUUCCUGAUUCCAUACUGCACUAGUUAUUGUUCUCAUGAUAGAGAACCUCAUCUUCAAUACUUUCAAAUACUUCAUGUUCCCGACCAACCAGGCAGCUUCUCUAUGUCCAUGUUCAAUUUAUCGAACUUAGCAAAUGAUUCCAAAUUCCAGAUUGAGUCUAGUAGUGUCUUUAUUGACUUGCAGUUCCUAGAAGACUAGUGUUCGAGGCUUACAAGGGAUCCACUUGAGUUGGGAAGCUCCACGAUCCUAGCUCCUCACAGAGAAAGCCUCGAUAGGGAAGUUAGGUGACAGAUUGAAAGUUUUAUAGUCAAUGAGGAACAAUGGGAAGCACAGAGGACCUGCAAGCUCUUCAAUUCUUGACAGUCAGGCAUAUGCUUUAUUGAUGUUAUACAGCAAUCCCUUUUUAAGGCAGUUAAGUCCAUGUCAGACUUUCCCCUUCCGUCUUGGUAAUUCCUAGAUGUAUAUUCCCUUUUAAGAUAGAGAUUAUCGAUGUUUGUCCGUUAAAACCAGCAUGCGAAAUUGCGAAUUGAACAAAGUCAACAUCUAGCAAGCUAGUCGCAUAUCUUUCUCCCAAAUAUCAUGUACUUUUAUUCGUGUGAAGUCCACCAUCAGGUUAGUACCGAGUUAUCCAGAGUUAGAUUCAUCUACUAGUAAGAAUACUUUGAGAGACCUUGUUUAGCUUUCUUAUACUUGUUUCAUCGUUUGAUUCCAUCAUUUCUCGGUUCACGCUGCUCCAUGGUUUAUAGCAGCAUCAUUAUUUGGUUUGCCCUCUCCAGUAAUCUUACUUGCUGCUCUUAAUCUUCUCUGCUCCAAUGGUCUAUAGUCGCAACUGUCGCCACACACAAUGCAACCUCAAGUGGUGAAACAACAAUUGUUGAGCUGCACAGAAAUUGGGGGUGGUCUGACUUGGCCUCGCCUCCCGAGUCGCAAUGGGUCCGAAUUUUAUUUUAUUUUGAUAAAUUAAAAAGUGUGGGAAGAGAUGACCAAUACGGUUAUCCAUUCUUGUUGUUACAUAAAGUGUUGUGCAUGUUACAAAAUAUCUCCAUUGAGCCAUAACCACUCGAUCCACCGACAAGUGUGCUAGUCUAUCACCAUAACUAAUAUGCCAAAAGCUUGACAAUAUAUCCACAUAACGUUGUAAAUACCUAAAAUACUAACCGGUGAAAAGUUCACUCAUGACAUGAUUCGAACUCAUGAAUUAAUAGAAGAUGGCAUGAUCCCUUCAUCAUUGGGUUAUCAUGCUUGGGGUUGGAUUGUGAUUCCGACUUUAUAUAUAUAUAUAUAUAUUCACUUUCAAGGUGAAUGAGUGGCGCAUGAGCCUAAUCCAAAAAGGAAUGAUCUAUAAAUCUGUUCUGUGCUUAAAAAAUUUGACUUAAGUCAAAUGAGGUGUUUAUGUGUUUAUGUUACCAAUAAAAGAAGAGGUUUGGUGACUGGUUUCUAUAAAAUUGAUUAAUUUACUCUUCAUAAUUUUCUAUAAAAUUGAUUAAUUUACUCUUCAUAAUUUUCUCUUGGAAAUUUUGUCCAGGAGCACGCCUCAUUUUAGCAAAACUUCCUUCAUCGCCCUCACGGAAACGACGAAAUCACCGGACGUGACACCGAAUAUGCCCGCCGACCGAGCAAGAGCCCGAGGUCGAAUCAGGAAAAUUCGCAAAUCCGUCGUCCUCUCCUUCCCUUCCCCCCCACCCAAAAACAAAAGCUCGCUGUAGCUUUCGAUCGCCAUCCGCCGCGAAAAUCGCUACGGAGUCCACGAACGCUGCGAAGACCAGGAUUCGAGGGUUGAAUUCGAGCAAUACGGAUGAAGACCGCAAUCGAUCUCUCCACCUCGCCGGGCGAUCGCGCCAUUUUGAUUGCGUGAGAUUGGAAUGAUGUCGUCGCUCGGCAGAAUGGGGAGUUGAGGGUGAUGGUUGUUCUGAAGUGCUUCAUUGCCGCGGGUGGGGGGCGAGAGGUAAUUGCAAUUUGUGUUCAUGUCAUCAAUUACUGCUCUGAUCCUCCCACUUGAUUGAGAUUGGGAGUCUAGUAUCGAGCAUGUCGGUUUUGAGGUUGGACAGUGAGGUUUGUAGUGUGAAUUUGGCGGAUUAUACUAUUGCAGAAAUUAUUUGGUUGGAUUAGCUAAGCUCUUGGAUUACCGAAUUUGGAUCAAUGCUACAACUGGAAUAUGGUCAGAUUGAUCGAAUUUCCUUAUAUUUGUUGGAUACAAAUAUUUCUUCCCGCUGUUUCUACUUUGGGGGUAAAAUUUGUUGAGUGUCUCACAGUGAUUGACUAUCGGCUAUUUGGCCUUUCUCCAGUCGAGUAAUGGACUGUAGCUUGUAGGUUUCAGUGGACUAGCUUUAUGGGAAAGAGGAGCCUUAUGCUUUUCACUUAUUCGCCUUUCGUUGCAUUUGAACAUAUAGUUCUUUAAGUUCACGAACGAGGAUGGCAGAAAUAUACUGAAAUAUUAUUUUGAGUUGACGUUUCCUUGAAGUGUUCCUCUUACUUGAUUGUUGAUAUACCUUGCUAGAGACAUAAGAAACUUGCUCCAUUGCUUGUAAUUAAAUGAGCUUUUGACCACAUUUUCAAAGUGAAAUUUUCUCAACUGGUAAAUGCAGAACUCAGACUAAGGUCCAAGGCUUGUAAAGCUGCUUACAAUCGCACUCUUGCCAUGACAUUUAUGGAGUAUUCAUCUGCUGUGAGUGUUCUUUAUAAAGAUUUUCACAUUUACCUAGAGCUUGUUGUUGUUAUUACUCUUCAGGUUUCACCAUUUAAAUACAAUAACUUUUGCAGGUUUGAUGCCAGAUUUGACAAAACUUAGUAGUUGGACUUGUCCUAGAUGUGAUGGAAAGACCCAGGUAAUUUAAUAUGGUUUAAUAUGACAUUGUUGCUGAGGUUGCCUGAAGAAUGGAUCCUCAGUACAGUAUUAAAUGGCCAAUUCUUCUAAUGAGAUUUUGUGGGCAUAUGCUGCCUCCUCUUAUUAGAUUCUGAACUGGUAGUUAAUGCCUUUUGAUAUGAAAGCAGGGGUUUGAAUUCAUUGAAUUGAUAGUGGGCAUUCAACACUGCUUACGCGCAGAUUAUUUGGUUGCAGUGGCUUACCAAUCUGCAAUGCUUGCGAUGCCUAUAUGUUUAAAUUGCAUCUAAUUGUUUAUAUCUAUUUCUAAACGUACAUAUAUGUUACCUGUAGGCAUACGUUGGGGUGGCCAAGGAUCUUAAUGCUGUGAUUAUAGCUUUUAGAGGUGCACAAGAACAUAGGUAUGCAUGUUAACUUUAGCAACUCUUCUCCUUACAAAUGACUUGCAAAAGGUUUUGAUGAAAAUUUAAGCUAAGAAGAGCAGCCUCCUGUGAGUGCAUACGCAAGACCCAUGGGUCGACUGUCCGUAAGAAGGGAAAAGGGUGAAUCAUUUCCACCAAGAUGCGAAAGUUACCUUCUUGUAAUUUUAGAUUGGUUCAUGAGAAGAUCACAUACUUCACUAAUUUUGUUCUGUGAAAAAUUCUAUCACCUCUCUUUGUCAUUUGAGCUUUUCAGUUAGUGAUUACUUCUUUUUAUGUCUAUAGCAUACAUAAUUGGGUUGAAGAUCUCUAGUGGAUAGUGGAAACAGCUUGACGUACUACCUUGGCAUGCAUGGUGCCCUGGAUAGCUCUAAAGAUGAUUAUGCCUCUUGCAAGCUGUGGAUUCUUCUUGUUUGGAUUGAGUUACAGUCUUACUCUAUUUGUGACAUCCCGAUUUUUCCAAAUCCUAUUUUCAAUAAAUUGAGACGGGCAUUUCGUUGGCACGCAUAUAGUUCUUUUCCUUGAGUCGGCCACUCAUGUGAAAACUAGUCUAUCGGGUGAAACUGUUAAGAAUUUCUAAUGCAUCAGACUCGAGAAUUUGACCAGGAAGCAACCUUUCGACCGAGCUAGUCUGCAAGGGUCAUUACGGCACAAUUAAAAUCGAUUAAAGAUCGGAGAUAGGUCGACUCGACAGAGGCAUGUGAUCAGGUGUGGGUGAUUCUACUAGAUCGCACAAUUCAUGUCGAUCGGCACUGGACCGACUUUUCUAUCGAUUGGGUACCCUGUGUUCGUAUUUGAAACCUUGAGAUUACCCCGACAAUCGAAAGUCGCAAAUGUUUCAAAGAUGUACAUUGUGGCUUGAGAUGAUCAACCACAGGUCAAAUGCAUGAAAGUUUCUAAAGGCUACCCGGUAGGUUGGGCCGCGCUAGUAUCGUGCCAAAGUGAAAUUAACCGUGCAAUUGAGAUCGAAUUCAGAAAUUGGAAGUCUGGGUGUGUCACAAAUCAUUUCAAGAUCAUUGAAUCAUCUUUGGAAGAUUUUUCAUGUAAGCCGAGUUUUUCAGCAAUUAAAUCAGAAAAUGGUUAAUUUGACCCGAGAAAUCAAUAGGCCCGCAUUUGGUAUUGCUAUUAGGACUUAAGUUGGUUCUAUGGACAAGUGAAGAUGUAAAUUGAAGUGUGGUGACAUUGGAUUAAUUUUAUGAACUUCAAUUGGAAGAGAAUUGAAUGGAAUUGGAGAAAUUAGUGUACAAGAAUUGGACCCCGGCGGAAAAUGAAAUUUGCAACCAUUGGAAAAGGUUGUGGGGGAUUGGGUGAGUGGAGUGUGAUGUCACCCAUGAGGUCAUGUGGUGGGCCAAUUUGUUGGAUUAAAGAAAAGGGAAAAAGGAAAAGAAAUUGGCCUCCCUUCUUCUCUCUCCUCCCUCUCCUUGCCGUGGGAGCGUUUCCUCCUCUCUCCAUCUUCAUCUUCUUCUUCGAAAACCCAACAGACCAGCGAACCAGAGCAGCUCCGCCCGUCGCCGUUCGUCCUAGCCGGAGGCCGUUGCUCGUCCAGCCGCACGCAGCUCCGCCUCUCUCUCCCCCUUCUGCUGGUGUCGGCUUCUUCUCCUUCUUCCUUGUGUUUUUCGAAACCCAGCAUAUCUGGGAAGACAACAGAGCAGCCAUCUAGCUACUGGAUCGUCGUUUCGCGCCUCCGCCCUCCGCCGUUCGCCGCCGGAUCAGCUGAUUCGCCCGUCGUGCUCAGUGGCCAGCCCCGCGAGCUUCCUGCUCGUCUCGCGCCCGUCUUGAGUUCAGCAACGUCUCGAGCUUCCCUGGCCGCUGUUCCUAGUCGUCCUCCAGUCGUGAGCUGUCGUCUCGCCGCCGUGCAGCAGCCGGAACCAUCGCCUGGACCGCCGAAGCCCGCUUUGCCCGUUUCCAGCAAGCGGAGUCGCUGGUUCUUCUUCUCUGUUCCAGCGGCCAUUUCAGAUCUGGUGGAGCUCCGCCGGAGCCGUCCAGCCCACCUCCGGCCACCGUGAAGCCCCGCCUAGGUCCGAUUUGGUCUCCUCUGUCCAUCUUGGCCCUUGUGCGCCUCAAUCGGUGUCGGAUCCGCCCUCAACCAGCAACGAGCAGAAGGUUGCAGAAAUGGGUGUGGCAGCCCAUGUUUGGCCCGUUUUGGCCGCCUUCCCAAGCCCGGAUGCUCGGCCCGCUUUGAGGAAAGUCGAUCCUCGCGUCGUCCCUGUUGUUUUGGUUCGCUCGGCUCACUAAUCCGGUGAGUUUAGCUCACUAAACCUCGCUUAGAGGGUUAAUUAUGCUUUAGGUGUGCUUAGCGUAAGUUGAUUAAGCUUAGGUGGUUAAUUUAGUUGAUUUAAUUAUGAUUUAGAUUAAGAUGUUUGUUUAAUCUAAAGUAUGUUUAAUUAAAUGCUAAGAGAGUUUAUUUAAAGUUAAGUGGGUGUUUAUAUCAAUAUAAACAUUGAUGUGACAUAAAGGAAUUUACCUUUGAUUUAUUUAAAUAUCUCGAAAUUAUUUAAUAAUUUAAUAAUAUAUUAUUAUUCGAAAUUAUUAAAAUAUUAUUAUUUAAUUAUUUUCGGAAUAAAUUUAAUUAUUUAUUAAAUUCCGAAAAUUUUCAUUGGGACCUUAUUUGCUCAGAAUUUCGUGCCGAUCAUUGCUGUGCUAGUAGAAUUUGAAAUUGAUGAUUGGUUGUGAUGAAUUGAGUGUGAUUGUGAUUUAUAGGGAUUCUUUAUGAAAUCCCAAGUGUAGAAAUUGAUGGGAGAUUGGCUGUGAAAUACCACCUAUUAGAGGUCGUGCCCAGUGAGGCCGUGAAAUACCACCUUGGAAAGGUCGUGCCCAAUGAGGCCGUGAAAAACCACCUACAAGAGGUCAUGCCGAUGAGGCCGUGAAAUACCACCUAUUAGAGGUCGUGCCCAGAGAGGCCGUGAUAAACCACCUAUGAAAGGUCGUGCCCAGAGAGGCCGUGAUAAACCACCUAUGAAAGGUCGUGCCCAGAGAGGCCGUGAUAAACCACCUCUGAGAGGUCGUGCCCAGAGAGGCCGUGAUAAACCACCUAUGAAAGGUCGUGCCUAGAGAGGCCGUGAUGAACCACCUUGGAAAGGUCGUGCCCGAUGAGGCCGUGAAAAACCACCUACAAGAGGUCGUGCCCAGUGGGGCCGUGAAUUGCCACCUGUUAAAGGUCGCGCCGAGUGGGGCCGUGAUGCCACUGAUUUAAAUUUGCCGAGUAGGGCCGUAGUUGAGAGCAAUGAUUGAUUUGCUAGAAUGACAUGAAAUCGGCCGAGUCGAUUGAUCGCUGAGACGAUCCAAGUGGUUGAAUGGUUUGAUGAUGUGAUUGUGACAUGGUUGUUUGGUUAUCAUAAUUGUACGUGGUUGGAUUAUAUAAAUUGUGCUAACCUGUAGAUGAAGGCUGAGGCGAGGUAAGUCCUCUGUGUGAUGUGGCUAGGCCACCCGGGGCGUAUUUUCUUUCUAAUAGGGAUUUAGGGGGUUGAACUUGCUGAGACAUCGUCUCAUCCCGGUUGUGGGAUUAAAAUUUCAGGUCCCUGGUGGACGGAGCGGCCAGAUCGCUUUGGUUGGCCUUGAGAAGUUGCAGAGGUGAAGUCAUAAGGGUUGGAGAGCGUGUCCUGCUAGUUGGUUGUAGGAUAGUCCCCCUUUUGUCGAGCUGGUCUAUUUUGUAGAAAGUCCAGUGUUGUAUUUAAACCCCCCUUUGUGUUUGUAAAUGAGUGUUUGGUAUUGUGAUUGAUUGCCUGCUUUUCUAUCCCAAGUUAAAUGUUGUCAGGGGAUUUGUUUCGCUUCCGCAUGCGUAAAGAAAUGAAUGGGUCGGCGACAUAUCCUGGGAUGUCACAUUUUUUAUCGACCGCAGUGGGAUGUGCGCGCGCUCGGGGUUCGGGGCGUGACACUAUUGAUUUCUGCUUGGGUUAAUCAUGGAUUUUACUAUUCUUAUUGAUAUGACAAUUCAACCUGGUAUUUUGGAUCUUGUUAUAAGAACCAAGGAUUUAUAAGGGGACAUCAAUGUCAUGGUGACAGAGCAUUCUAUGGGAGGGGCUAUGGCAUCCUUUUGCGGAAUUGAUCUUGUGGUAAGAUAGUUAAAAACUGCUAUGGUCUGGAAUUGUGAAUUUUAUUGUUUUUUUUUUCCUAUUGCGUUCUUCCAAUAUUCAUAUGGUAAUAUGUUAAGAGUCAACUGGAAUUCUCUGCCAAAUCUGUGCUGAAGAGUCUAGGCUAUUUAUACGGAUCUUGAACUUUCUAUUGCUCUCAUAUUUAUAUUCACAAUUCGUCACAGACAGCAUCUUGUUUUCUUUCGGUUUUGGUAAGUCAAACCAUAGACAAAACACAAGCAGAAUGGGGUGCAAAUAGCCAUUUAUGCUAACCACCGAUUGUUUAAGUAUCUGGCAAUGUAAAUUGAGUCUUACCCAUAAAGCUAUGGAGCUUCAAGUUGGUCGAAUACCUAAAUAUAGUGGAUAAGGUCACUUCCAACUAAUCAUUACAAGGUUUACUUACUUGCUGGAAAAUUUAUGGAAUUGUCGAUAUGUUUAUGGUAUGGACAUAUAACUUUUUAAAGCACUUGAAGCUCAAGUUUUAUGUCAUGUAAUCUUGAAGUGCUAAUGCAUUUUAAGAUAGAUUAUAUAUCAAUCCUAAAUUUGUGUUUGGUGUACUGUUUCUAUCUAAGCCUCUCUCUAAUCAAAAGAAGCAGCUCCUCUUCAGUAGGACUACAAGGCCAGAUAUGUUGUAGGCUGGAGCCAAUGCUAAGAUGUCUAAAUUAUGCCUUUUCUCUCAGCUUUAUUGGACAGAGUGUUCCAGGGUACAUUUGGAGGCACCUGUUGCUCAACUGCUACCAGAAAUGGUGCCCAAUCCAAAAUCAUGUCCCAUUGAUUCUCUUCUCCAUGGCAAGUGGUGAUUUUUUAGAGUUAAACUUUAUCUUGAAGUCUGAUUACACUCAUGUUCAUGUGGCCUAUGAUAGGAUCAUAGGUUGCAUGGACUUUAGACUAUACCCUUUCUCAAAAUAUUAGUAGCAAGUAUAACACUUGUCCUAAAACUUUUAAAUGAUUUAAAGUUUUAUUUUUGUUUACUGGUUUCUUGCUGAAAAUUUUGUCGAGCCAAUUGUGACGUCAUGCCCAUUCGUUGCAAUCCUUUUUAAGAUUGAGUUUCUCCUUCGCUACUUGUGUCAGUAAAUUUUGUAGUUCAAGGGGCCUUUUCAUCAGGAACCGGGAAUUUUUUGUUUAUGUCAUUAGCAGGAUGUGACUAACCCCACCAACAUCCAAGUGCUUCUUGUGGAAGCAAUUAAAUGCGCUUCAGUUGUAAGUUUGCGCCCAAUCCCACUAUUCCAUAUCAUUAACACCUUUUUGUGGUGCUGACUGCUGAGGGUGGGUUUGGUUUUGUUGUGUGUGGGGUUUGGUGUUGGGAAACUUAUGGAUGGGAUCUUGACAGAGUUAACGCUAGACCUUCAACCCUUAUGGAGACAAAGGGCUGUUCUAUUGUUCACCUUUGUAUAUGAAAUGCAAUAUAUGGUUAUUGAUGCAUAGUGUUUUUUUUCCCAUCUUGGAAGGGCUAUUGAUGUAUUGACAUUAAAUUUAUUUGGCUGUCUAAUUAUGUGUGCUGAAACUGUCUUUUCCAGACCAGCAUUUGCCUUAUUUACUAAACAGAAGCACUUUAUUUCCUGGUUAAUCAUGAAGUACAGAAUAUUCAGGUUUAAACAUUUGGACAACUCUGUAUUGGCAAUGCAGUGUUUGCAUCUUACUACAGUGACUGCAUACCAAAAACAUUACGUAUUCCUCCUGGACAAGAUUUUGUCUUAUUUGCCUCCGUACUAUUUUUGGUUCCCACAGAAGACGUACCAUCAAUUCCCUAGAGAGGUAUGAUGUUGAUCAUGACAGAAUAUCAAAUAAAUUAUGGGGAAUUGUUGAUGACUGAAUUUGAGGUUUGCUUUGCAUCUCAUUUGACCUGUCUAACAAGUGAAGUAUCAUAUAUUCCGGCAUUGUAUGUACUCUCUUUUUUCAGCUUAUAAAUUAUGACUGUCUUGUUUGUUUUUCUUCUUAACAAAGCAGGGUAGUUUGUAGGACUCAUUACGUUUUAAACUUUUUUUGAGUAACUCUCAUUCUUGCAAAAGCCAUCAUGAGUUUUUCAUAUCGAUUCCAAAGUUUAGGACACAUAAUAAUGUUUAUUAUACUCUCUCUCUCUCUCUCUCUCUCUCUCUCUCUCUCUCUCUCUCUCUCUCUCUCACUCACACACAAACGCACGCGCGCGCGUGCACGCACACACGCACUAUGUCUACUAAUGCGUAUAAUUAUUAGCGACUAGCUCAAAGACAGCCACGGUUGAACAUUUUAAUGUGAGAUGAAAAUGAUUUGAUUCCACCUGCUUCUCUAAUACCUAAUCAUACUCAUAACAGUUUUCAUGUAAUCGGAAUCUUCCCUUUAUUGUAGGUAUGGCUAUAUAACAUAUGAUUUGGUAGUUAUCAGGUUGAGAAAGUUUGUGAUACCUCAGGAGAAGAUGCAUUAUGCAGCAAGUGAUGAGCUAGUUUCAGUCGAAGCUACUUGUUCAAACAAUUAUUUUGUGGAUUUAUCAUGCAAGAUGCAAUAAGUUGUGAUGGACCAGCUUGUUCUAGAGAAUCUCUGUCCUUUGUUACUAGGAAUAUUUGUGGACAACCGAUCAGGGUAUUUUCCUGCAGAUUGGUACCGGGUAACAGCAUUGUGGACCAUUUAGUCUUUCUAUAGUGUGCAAUUAAUGGCUAAGACAUGAGAAUCGUGCAAAAUCGUCACGGACAUUAUUGACGGAAUGUGGAGGCGAAGAUGUCAAAGGAAAUCUUAUGCUUUCCAGGAAUCCUUUUGUUUCUGCAUCGAGGCCGCAUUCAGACUCUGAUGCCAAGAGGAAAUUCAGUUGAAAUGCUCCUUGGUCAGUACCUGGAUUCUCAAAGAUCAUCAGGGACCUUUGUGAUGAAGUUUGGUCACAAAAUGCAUUCCAUCGAUCUGUUGUCCAUAUCCAUCACAAGAUACAGAGGAGCUCUACUCUAAUUUACUCUGAAUGUAAAUAGCACAAAGUUGAAGGUAUCAUCCUUGUAAAUACAACUCCGUGGUUUCAAUUGAAUGAAUAUGUUCGCAAGUUUGCCUGUCAAUCUAUUAUUGGGCUUGGGUCUUUGUUACCUGACUUGAUGCGUGGAGGCUGAGCUGAGCUAUAUUCAUAGUUGAAUGACGCAGCUAUUCCCUUUUUAUAAGGUGAAACAAAGACUACGUUCACAGACCACUUCUCAAUCUAUGACACCUUACCUUCUCCUACAGGCACAUUGGCACAUAAGAUUUCUUGGCAGAACUAAGUACUUCAACUAUUUCCUCGUAGGGAAUUGUGCAGAUGAACUGUUAAAUCAAACCAUCUCGGAGACAGAUGAUGACUUUGUCUUACAUCAUUUCCAGUGGCAACCUUUGCAAAUUUUUUACUUUAGGAGGUAAACAAUUUAUAUCAUCUUGCCUUUGAUAUGUAACAAUGAUCAUAUGAGCAUUUGGAACAAGGGUUGUAAGCUUUUACCUUCUUUUUUUAAUAUGUGGGAAUUAACAUUAGUGGAAACCUGAAGAACUAAAAUGCCUUCGUCAUUUCAAAGCAUAUAUUGCCAAUUAUGACCAUUUGAAGCAGAUAUAAGUCCUUGACACUGUAUGAUAAGCUAGAGUUUGUACAUUACAGUAAAAGCUAGAGUACAACACCAAAACAUUGGGAAAGGUAUAUUGUUCUGUCGUCUUAACCCUCGCCAUUGUGAUUUAGGCACUUCUGCAAUCGCAAAUUGCCAGCUCCAGAGGCGGACAUGGCAAUCUGCUCUUGCUAAAAACUGAGAGGGCCCAAAGUAGAUAGAGCAAUUGGGAGUUUCUAUCAUUAAGAAGAUAGAGCAAUUGGGAGUUUCUGUCAUUAUUCUAAUAAAAUAGGGCACGAUAACUCUUGAAACAAGAUGCGACUAGUACAUCAGAAACUAAAUUCGGAGUUCCACGACCAAUGGGCAGCGAGAUAUGCAUAAAUUAAGACGAGCUCACGAGGAACUACAUCUUCCUCACUUCUUCUCAAUUAGCUUUUCGAUCAUGUCCGCAGCUUCCUGGACAUUUGUGAUACUUUGAGCACUUUCUUCCUCCACACCAAUCCCGAAUUCCUCCUCAAGUCCCAUCACAAUCUCCACCUAAAUUGCAAAAGAGCAAUGGUCUCAUCACAAUCCCAAUUUAUUGAAUGGAGUAAGCUGGUAAGCGUCGGAAUCAGAUAAGCAGAAAAAACAAUUCCAACAUCGCAGAAGUACCGUCCUGCACCGCUUCAUAAUGAAUGGAUCAAGUGAAAGCUCAUUAAAGUCUGCAGAAAAGGAAAGAAACAUGUGGAUGAACGGCUUAGGGCCCGUUUGGUUCGGCUUUUGGGGGAUGCAUUUGCCAAAAUGCAAAUACCUUUGGGUGAAUGGGGUUUUCCGAAAUGCAAAUAUCGUUUGGUAAAAUUUGCAUUGAGAUGCAACUUUGGCCAAAAUGCCGUUUGGUAAAAUUUACAUUUGCAAAGGACUUUUAUUAAAUUAAAAAAACAAAAAAACAUUUUUCUUUUAUUUUUUUGAAAUCCGGCCACCGGACCGCCGGAUCCGGCGGCCGGACAGCCGGAUCCGGCGGCCGGACAGCCGGAUCCGACGGCCAGACAGCCGGAUCCGGCGCCGGAUGGCCGGAUCUGGCCGCCUGGGUCGCGCGACCUCAGGCGUCGCCUGAGGUCCGGCGACGGUCGCUGGGGUCGGGGGACCCUUGGCCGGCGGUCGCCGGCGCAUUGCCGGCGCGCGCGACCCCUUGGCCGGCGGUCGUCGUCCUCCGAUUGGCUUCUCUCCGGUGAAGAUGAACAGUAGAAGUUGCAUUCCGAAAGCAACUUCCCAAUGGACCUCUCCUCCUCCAUUCCUCUAAAGUCCCUUCAAGCCCUUUGAAGAUGCAAUUGCAUCUCCCCAAAGUCCCCAAAAUAUUGAACCAAACACCACUCACUUUUGCCCAAACCCCUUUAGAGGCCGAAAGCCCCUUCUAAAUGCCGAACCAAACGGGGCCUUACAAUGUACAGAGAAUCGGCUUCCAUGUUAGCAAAUUUUGACUCUCCAGUCACCGUAGCAUCAUCUGGUAAAGCCAGCUGCUUCCUUACUAUUUGGCACACUUUAUCCACUGUCUCCUUUUUAGCCUGCUCACAUCUCAAGUGGAUUAUUUACAAGUUCUAAAACCUACUUAUGGAUGGUCUUCACACUGAGUGGUUAGAAGAUUGGCAAGACCAAUCCAAGCAUUCCUCCAGAGCAAGCAAAAUUAUAUGUUGGAACACGGUAUGAAAAAUAUUCUGGGCAUCCACUUUCCCAGAAGAAGCAUGUUUCAAAUGACAUGAUUAUAAUCACACAGCAAGAUCGUUCAACAUGAGACGAAAAUAAUGGCCCAGACUUCAGAUACAUAAGAACUUGUAGUCACUUUGCUUUGCUUUAGUUUUGCUGUUAUAGUUGGCUUGACAUAGUAAUACAGACCGCACCCGAAACCUGGAAGCGGCGUGCCUUGAGAGAAGGGAAACUUCUGCCACUGAUAGGAAGGGAAACAGAAAAGAAAUUAGAUGUCUUGCUGACAGGUACCUUUUAAAAACGUCAAAAGUGAGCAUUACCAAGGUGCUAAGUAAGCUCAUGGUGCUACACAAGUCAGGUCUAAAGUACGAUGCCAAAUGUUUACUAAUGUUUCAAAGAUCCAAUCUAGUUCAAAGGCAAAACCUCAACCAGGUCAGCCAAGCCACAUCCCAAAUUGCACAGAAAAUUCGGGCGAAUUACACUUUGCCGCCAAGUUUUUGGCAUAAUGGCAAGCUACCCAUGAUGUUUCAAGUUUUGCAUCCUAGACUCUUUGAAAUUGGACACCACUUGCAGCAAAAUGUUCUCGUAAAUCUGACCACGUGACCGCACGUGAUUAGUUAUGACAGGAAAAUUGGACAUAUAUCAUAUUUAUAUGUGGAAAAAAAAAACGGGGACUACCCAAAAACAUAUUUUAAAACUAUCUAUUGAUAUACAUUUGGCAUUGAUCCAGUCAAAUCCUCGUCGGAAUUGUAGUCUCAUGCUCUCAAGUGCAAUAUAUUUUUUUAUAAUUAUUCUUCUACUUACUAUAUGUAUGUGCUAAUAUGACAAAUUUCCUCCGUACUCAGUCACGUUGCUGGAGCUCCAAGUGGAAAUCGAUCGAAGUCAAUCCAGGGAACGCAUUGCAAUCUAUUUCUAAAAUUCAUGGGCAAAUUGCAAAAAUUGAAACAUCACUGGCCAAUAGACGACAACUGUGAAAGCUUGGGGGGCAAUAUGUAAUUUGCCCCAGAAAAUUUACAUAGUUUUCAGACCAGUAGAUUACUAGCAAUUAUUAGACCAACAUCAAACCUCAAGAGCCUUCGGAAGCUAAUGGAGAUGCUACUAUCAGCAUCACCAAUAACCACAAAAAUGAGACAGAAAAAACAAACUGAAAUAAGUUGGAAAAAAAAAAUCGCAUAAACAUGCAAAAGCUGCUAACUGAGAGCAACUCAACAACACAUCGAAAAAAAGCGAACUCGAUUAGGCAUCCAUCUAAUUAAUUCCGGAAUACAAAAGCGGUAGGAAACCAAAAUCAAGUAUAGCUGGCCUGAACUCAUUAUUAACCCCAGACAGCUCAUCUAGUCAAGCUAGACAUUUGAAAUCCUUAUUCGGCGGUGCUGUAGCUUUCCAAUGUGCUCACAAAUGCAUGCUUUAGCGAUGCUUACGCAGUUCGUCCAUUCCUAUAUCUACCCAGACUAAUGCCGCAAACGUGACCGUUUUUUAACUUUAAAACCGCUAGAACAUGUACUCAUCUCUCAAUCAAAUCCUUAACAUAGCCAAUAAUUCGCUCUGUUCGAUCAAUCAUCACACAUAUUUUCCAACACAAACAUUCCGAACCAGCAUCUCCGGUCCCAUCCGGCAGAAUUCAUAAAUCCAGGCACUAAACAAAUUGAAAGUAGACCAAUUUCUUCCCUUUUUUUUUCCCUAUCAAGAAGAAUGGAAAUCCACUCCUCGAUCAAUCCACGGAAAAAAGCUGAACAUUUACCACAACCCAAUGGACAGAAAAACACCUCCAGCACCAAAAACAUGAACACGUUCAUCCCAGUCUGGUAAAAAGCUAACGUCCAAGCUGACAAUACGCUUCGAAAAUACCGCCAGCGAUCAAGCGCCAAUCAAACAAAACUAAAUAACGCAGAAUCGACACUCCCCAUCGUUAAAAAACGCAUCAAAGCCUCGUUAGUGGCUUAAAGAACAGUAAUAUAUCUUCCUUUGAUUUGUGAGUGGGGCAAUGGGGUGCAUAUCCUGAAAAAAUGCAGCUCAACCAAAUGAGUGAUGCCGCUUAGCAUAUGAAAGCCUUUUAUUGAUCAAGAUCCCACGAGAAAUUUUACCAGCCCAAGUUCUACUUCCAAGAACAACUUCAAUUCGGCAUUCGGAACCUUAUUUGACACUUCUCUCAACUAUCCUACCUACGGUUCAUCAAAAAGAAAAACAAAUAUGGUGGGAAAGAAAGUAGAGACCCAAUCAAAAGGCAUUGGAACAGUGGAUAAGCACGACGAAAUGAACAUAAGCAGUACGGAAAAGUUAAAAAGACAAACGAAAGAACAAAAGGGAAAAAUCGAAAAGAGGAAGCAUCUCUGCCAAUAAAAUGCAUAAUCAAAAGAUAUCCUCCCCAUGCAAGUAAGAGAAUAUUAGACCUAUCACUCUGAAGAACAAUUAACUCCUACAAGAAUAAGCUGAACAAGCUUCUUCCCCAUUAUUUUCCACUCGUACACAAAAAUAAUCAACUAAGUGAUAAGAAAAACUCAAGUACCAGAUAAUAGAAGGCAGGUAGUGCAGCACAUUAACACAACAUUACGUAGACUUAAAAGGCUAAAUGAUUACCCAGCUGAAGCUAAACAGAAACUAAACCAAAAAUAAAAAAAUGCGCAUGAAAAACAGUUCUGAGAAAUGUGCACCGGAACGCCGAAUUCUUUAGCAACCUCCUCCUGAAAAAAUACAGCAGUUUUUGUAUUCACUUGGUUUAAUAUGUGUUGAAGAAAUCCUUGAAACUGUAAACAGAAAAGACAAUCGCCAGAGAUGACCAAAAGCUAGUUUGCUAGACAUGGUUAUACUGUUUCGAUAGGAUAUUGCAGCGUAAUUUCACUGUGACAAAGUCAACGAUGCCUGGUGUACACCGUCCAUUCGUUUCCAAUGUACAGCCAAACAGCAGUGUGGUUUUGUGCUCUUCAGUAUCUAAUGCAUAAUGUAAGGUUCAUCAGCGAUUUCGUGGAUGAUUCCGACAAUUUGUUUUCAAUAAUCUAACCGCAACGAUUGAGAGUCCACUGGGGAAGAAUGGACACAAAACAUCAGAUCCCUAUCCUAUAUUAGGACGGGCACAUGCCCACAUUGUCAGGCAUAUCAGAGAUGAAGAUGUCCACUGUUAAUGAUUGUUCAAUAAGUUUUAUCACUAGGCUCCAAGCUCAUCAUAGACCGCAAUUUAGGAAAAAAAGAAAAGAAAAAAGAAUGGCUCCUCUCAUAUCUAAGCACGAAAAUUGGUUCUUGAUGUGCUGCAACAGUCUCAAAAUUCUCUCUGUCAAGGACUUGCGGACAUCGUGAGACCAUUAGUCUAUAGGAAUUUCAAGUUCAGAAUAAAAUACUGAUACACUGCCAUUCAUUUGAUAUGUCAAAACAAAAAAUAAAGCGCCAGUAUUCUGGUCAUUAUUUCAAGUUUAGCUCAACUGCACUUGAACAAGUAUAUUUGUUAUAAGUCCUUUAAAAUCUAACUCCGCGACUCUAUCAUUAUGAUUUGACAUGUGAUUCAAGGUCCUCUUGUUUUCAACUUCGUCUUCUGAUGAGUGUAAAACCACAAGGCGAUAGCAAUAGGGGGAGUGAUAUGUAGGAACAACGAUCAUCUCUCCAACCCCAAUGCGCACAUAGAAAUCCCAUAAAUCACAUCCAGUUGCUCCAACCCUUGAGUCUGUUCUCUGUUUGACAAUUUUUGGUGUCGAGAACCGAACCACAUCACUGUAAUUUUACGUAACUAAGGUAUAAAAGCUGCUUAAGAUUAGUUAUGGAUUCUCGCGAUGCUGCUUAUUCGAUUCAGUUGCUCUUUGCUACUUCUCCAGUUGCUAAAUGAGCCACAACUUCCUGCAAAGAAACAUAGUACCAUUAACUUUGUUAAGAGUUAACCAUCUAAAUCAGAAAACCAACUCAAACAGUCCGUCUGAGAUGUUUGUACCUCUUGGUCUUCACGUCAAUGUUUAAUGCGCAGUAAAUGUAUCAAAAUCAAUGGAAAAGCAUGGGAUGCGUAGAUUAGCGUGAACAUAAUCUGCGUCAAGACAUAUGUCUGCGAACCUGUACGUGUGAUCUUAUGACCCCGAACACGUCUCUAUUAUUCAAACUCAGCAGUUAAAUUCUCGGAAGAUUCAUUCAGGUACAUCAUCAGGAGCAGGGUCAUUUUCCUUCUUCCCCAAUUCCUCUUCCUUUUCCAGUCCAGUUGGAUUCUUCUCUUCCACCACCACUUUAUCAUACUCGCCCUCCUUCACCUGUUCAUGCCGAGGCAAGUUGUACUCGGAGGAGAGACCCUCAGACACAAUCCCUUCUGGCACUUCCUCGUCUCUUCUGGGAGAGAAGUAAUGAUCUGGCGAGUCGUGGGAUGUGAACCUCCCUGGCUCUGCCUCUUCCUCUUCUACUAGCGGUUCUGUCUCCGGCUCUAGCUCCUGCCUCCAGCUCAAUCUCCUUUUUCUUCCUCUACACGCUUCUCUUCCUCUCUGUCUUCAUCCACGGCCUUUGUUUCUUCUACUUCUUUGUUCUCUUCUUCUUGUUCAGGCUCGGGAUGUUCAGUUAUGUCCUUAACAUCAGCCGCAGUUCCUGUACCCUGGCUCACCGCAUUAUUGAUUUCUUGUUGCACGAGUAAUGCCGCGCCAUUCCCAAUUGCUUCCAUCUGAGGAAACGUUCUGUUCCACUUGUUUGUUCUUCUCGGGAUUGGUGCUCGAAACUCCUGCUUUCAGUAAUGGUGUUUCCGGUGGCACCAGCAUGCUUCGACUCCGCGCAACGCAUUUUCGUAAAAGGAAACGUCAAUCGAAAGGAAUUAGAUUUGGGUAUUGAUUCUCUCUCCCUUUGUGCGUCAGAUUGAAAUGAAGUUUCGGCUUUCGUUUUCUUUGGCUGUUGCAGUUUUGAUUUGCUGAGGCGGGUUGUAUCCGUGGUUGACAAAAGGAAGGAGUUUUUUCUGUUGUGGAUUGAGGGUGGAGAGGAGACAGUUGCAGCUUAAGUUAAAAAGGGGAGUUUCUCCCUCCAAUCUAGAAAACGACAAUUCGUUUCUUAUUAUCGGUGGGGUUUUCCUUUCAUUUUUUCCAACCCAACCUUAGUUCAAUGAAAAAACAUACUUUAGAAUUAACAAAAUUCAAUAUUUAAAAGACCGAAUUAGUCCUACUCAAAAACUUAUUUAAGUUUCUCGCCCCAUGUUUGAGCAAUUUAAUUUUCAGUUGAUUUUGAGUACUUUUGAUGGUAAGACUUUAGGACUUGUGGAUGGACUUUUUUGAGAGAAAAUGACAAUUCUUUUAUGCAAAGAAACACAAGGUUAAUCGACAUAGAAAUACGAAAAGUGAGGUAUGUUUUUGAUAUUUUAUAAUGUCAAUCGACCUCAUAAAUCAAAAUUCAUAUGGUCGUGAAACAUGAGAUUGUUUGCACUUAAUCUGAUCGAAAAUUGAACUUACCUAAUUUUCCAAAUUCACAAAUAAAUCCUUUCAUGAACCAUUAAAAUAAAAUUGAUCAAGAGUAGGUAUGUAAAAAGUGAAAUAUCACAUAAAGAAAAAUUAUAAUAAUGUUAGCAAACGAAUAAUCAAAAUAUUACCAAAAGAUGAAUUAUGAUUGUUCCGCACCGUAAGUGGCGAUGGACGCCGCCACAGGGGAACAUUACCGUAUUCCCUUCUUCCUCCUCGUCGGAGCCGUGCACGCCGCCGCCACCGCCGCCGCGAGAGCUCGCAGGGUCCGCCGCAUUCUCAAGCCUCCGGUUCAUGUCGGCUCGGCUGGAUUCGUCCCUCCGGAUGACCACCGAGUCGCUGAAUGCGCUCGGAUUCGUGCGCAAGCAAGUCGAGAUCACAGCUCCUCCUCCUCCGCUGCUCAGUCCCUCGGUUUUCGCAGGUAGCGUGCUUGUUGUCGUCUGUUAGGCUUUUCUUUUUUCGCUGCUGAGGAAUCUCGACGUGGAUUGUAGAUGCCAGACUGAUGGGUUCUUGGUCAGUAGGGGGCCUUCUUUAGGUUGAGUUUGAUGUCUAGAUAUGGGGCGGCGGUUGGAGAAUUUUAUGAUUGAUGAGGAAGUCUGAAUAACUUAUUCAAGGGAUGUGUACCCGGUGGAGCGGUCGAGUUGAAGUGGAGGGAUGAUUAUGCUGUCGGGAUCGUGCUUGUUGAUCGAGACGCCGUAUUUUUUUAUUGUGUUCAUCGUGUUUGCUUCGUAUAUUUGAUAUUGGAGACAUGAUUCUGUAAUAGAAUGAAUCGCAUCGAAUUGUUUCUUCUAGUCUAGCGCUUCAUGUUCUUCAAUGUCGGUUCUGGGUUGAAUUAGUUUGUUGAUACAAAACGGAGCUGCGUUUCUCUUGGCAGUAUAUAUAAGGUUUUGAUGUGAUUGUCAUUGGAAUUCACAGGGCCGGCUCGUGGAAAUAGAUUGCCUGCUUCCCCUUGGUCGAUAAUUUCUAGUUUACCAUAUUCUUCUGAAGCAAGUGCUGAAAUGGAGGAACCCACAAGAUUUUUUGCUUUUUUCUAUCUAAUGUGUGUCUUUACACAUUGUGGAGUUCUUUUUCCGAUAUUUGGUUCUUGUAAUAUUAUGCAGAGACCGUGAAGGAGAUGUAUCAUAAAAUUCUUGAAUCUGCUAAUAUGAAAAGAACAAUGGCUCCAAACGCAUGGACGUGGUCGAUGAUUGAAAAUUGCAAGAACAGAGAGGAUAUCAGAGCUUCUCUUUGAUGUCUUGCAGAACCUACGCAGAUUUGUCAGUUGACUUCUUGCUCCAUUUGAGAAAUAAAGUUUUGAUUUGUGACUAGUUGAUAAAUCAAUUUGUUUUUUUCUUUCGUCGCAGAGAUUGUCAAAUCUUCGAAUUCAUGACUGCAACCUUUGUCAGGAAGUCACAAAAGCAUCUGUGCAUGCAAGGGCUCUUCAUUUUGGUGAGCUCUAUCUACACAAGUUGUGUGCCAAGUUCAAAAAUUUUGUAUCUUGCUAAUAUAUUUACCUGAUACUUCUUCUGCAUUCGAUUGUUGCUACUUACCCUAUCAUUAGCACAAUCAUUUUGUUGUGUGUUGUUGAUCUUUUUACCUCAAGCCUGUCAUGCUUGGAGAACAUAUUCAGUUGCUUAAGAAAACUUUUGACCACCUCGCUGGUACUGGUAGCUAGUUAUGCUUUUGUGUUUCUUUUUCCCCCCUUGAUGCGUCCAUUAUGUAAACCAGAAUUUUGUCCUACACAGAUGCUACAUGUCUAUUAAGCAUGGGUAUGGAAAUAACAUGACACAUAUAACAUAUUCAAGAAAUAGUUUUUCAUGUUUGAAUGUGUAAAGGCACAUUCAAUUUAAAGCACUUAGGACAUUGUUAAAUGUGUAUUAACUUGUCUUUUGUGAGUAACAUGUUAACCUGCUCGACACGCUGCAAUGUGUUUAAGUAGUUAAAGGGGUCAAUUUAUUUUACAUGUACAAACUUGUUAACUCGUUGAUGACUCAGACAAUUUUAAGCUCAAUCCAACUUAAUAUGUGUCAAAUGCUUAUUCUGUAAAUAGGUCUUUUUGCACAUUGCUGGCUCUGUAAGACUGAUUUCUUGAAUGACACCUCCACUUCAAGUUAUUGAGUUCAUUAUCCAAGCUUAGCAAAGAGCAUUCACUUUUUGCAGACGUGUUUUUAUGAACAUUAAGCUUCAGUAGUUAUCAGUUCGAGCUGUUUCUAGUAAUUAAGCUCUUCAUAAUUUUCAAGAAAAAUAAAUCAAAUCAAACUGCAGUUCCAUGGUGUAACUCAUUUUAGGAGAUUGCAGCAAUUAAUUGUCACUGGGCGUACAUGAUUUAAUCAGAACCUACAUCUGUAAAUCCUUAUUUAGGCUAAGAAAUUAAAUUGCAUGGUGCACUUAAUCCGUGAUGAUAGAAACUAAGGGUUGACAAAAUUGUAGGUAAGAAGGCCUUGUGGGAGCAUAAUGUCUAUGGAUUCACCCCUACAAUUGGCUCGGCAAACCAUCUUUUGGUAAUGAUGAAGUGUAUCUAUAUCAAGCAAUUCUUUUUUCCAUUUGUUUUAUUUACACAAUUCUUCUGCUAACUUGGGGUAUUGCAAUGCAGCAAUAUGCUAAAGAGCACAAAGACGCUACCCUCAUGCAGGAAGUUAUGAAGCUUUUGAAGAAGAAUAACUCACCAUUGCAACCCACCACGGCCGAUAUUGUUUUCAGGUUCACUUCCGUGCUGUUUCUCCUGAGAAGGAUGUUAUUAUCGUGUAGUAAGCCAUUAUUGCACUUAAUUGUGUGUUAUGUACUGCAUAGUUAUCAAGCAAUUUAUCCAAUUUAUAAGUGUCAUUUAUAUGCGAUUUAAUCAACUUGUUUUUAUUUUGAAUCAUUUUGUCUGCACUACUACUCUCGAUCUAAUAGUUUGCUCAUGUUAUUUGACAUCCUUUCUUUCAUGGAAAAAUUUUGCAGCAUUUGUGAUGAUACAGACAAUUGGGGGUUGCUCACAAAGUAUUCAAAGAGAUUUGUCAGAAAUGGAGUGAAUUUGCAUAAAGCUGCAUUUGACAUCUGGAUGGAGUUUGCUGCAAAAGUAGGUGAGAAACACUUGCUCUGUCUUCCUUCGCUGCUCUCAAGCCCUUGUCCCUCAACAAUCUAAUUUUCCAUUUCUUCCCACAAAUAGUUCUCUCAUCCAGGUCCUACCUCUUACUACAAAAGAUGGGAUGUGCUAGAAUAUUUUCUUCUGUACAAUGAUUUCUUUCUCUCCUUAAACAAAAGGGUAGAAAUAAGAAAUGAAAAGAAUUUUCGCUGCGCCGUGUCUUUCAAUGUCUUUGUUUCUUUAAUUGUUCUGAGAUUAUGCUUCUUUAUCUUAUUUAGUGGUUUGACGAAAAUUACCCUUUUCAGGAGACAUUGAAUCUCUAUGGAAAAUUGAGAAGUCAAGAUGUGAGUCCAUGAAGCAGAACACUGUGGGCAGUGGGUUCUCGUGUGUGAAGGUAAUUUACAAACACAAACUGUUGAAAUCACAAAUAUCAGACCCUGAAAGCACUAGGUCUUCUUGCAUUAGAAAAUCUGAUAAUGGGAACACAUUAAUAUUGCAAUACAGAUCAGUACAAAGUUCUUGGUAAACCAGGUGAGAGGUCUAUGGCCCUGUUUGGUUGGACUUUCCCAAGGGGCUUUCGGGCCCGAAAGCCCCUUGGGGAAAAAAAUUUGUGUUUGGCAAUCAUUUUCAAAUGCUACUUGGCCAAAUACCAGCAUCCCAAAUGCUGAAAGCCCAAUGCUGGGUAGGACCAGCUUUGGGCAUUUCAGAAAUGCCGGUUCACUGUUCAUAAUCCACUGUUCAUCUUCUUCCCCCUUUCUUCUUCGUUCGUCUUCGUCUUCCUCGCCGGCUGAGAGUGCGGCUUCUCCGGCAGCCACCACCGCCGCGUGGGGGUCCCGCGUCCCCGGUGACCACCGCCCGGGGUGGCGAGACCCGCGGGGUGGCCUGAGGUCGCGCGGACCUCGGCCGGCGUCGCCUGGUCUCGCGCGAGCCAGGCGACCAGGCGAGGCCAGAUCUGGCUGUUCGGCGGCCAGAUCUGGCGGUCUGGCCGUUCGGCGGCCAGAUCUGGCGGUCUGGCAACCAGGCGACGCCGCCUGAGGUCGCGCGGACCUUAGCCGGCGUCGCCUGGUCUCGCGCGACCAGGCGACGCCGGCUGAGGACGCCGGACGGCCAGACGGGGCGGCGGGGAUCUCGAGAGGCCAGAUCUGGGGCGCGGGCGACGCGCGANNNNNNNNNNNNNNNNNNNNNNNNNNNNNNNNNNNNNNNNNNNNNNNNNNNNNNNNNNNNNNNNNNNNNNNNNNNNNNNNNNNNNNNNNNNNNNNNNNNNCGGAUGACAUGGUCUCAUGCACCAGAGAUCUGCUGCUGAGGUUACGUCGACGUUAGCAGCCCUGCCCAGGUAUCGCGCGACCAGGUGACGCCGCUUGAGGUCGCCCGACCUCGGCCGGCGUCUCCUGGUCUCGCGCGAGCCAGGCGACCAGGCGAGGCCAGAUCUGGACGCCGGACGGCCAGAUCUGGCCUCCGCGACCUCCGGCGGCCAGAUCUGGUGGUCCGGCGACGGCCAGAUCUGGCCGUCCGGCGGUGGCCGGCGGUUGGCCGGCCACCGGAAUUUGAUUUCAAAAUUUAAAGAAAAUAAAAAAUACCAAAAGCUAAUUACAAAUGCAAAGUUUACCAAACGGUAUUUAUGCUAAGUUGCAUUUCAAUUCUAAAAUUUACCAAACGGUCUAACAUUUUCGAAAGUUCAUUUCUCUAUAUUUGCAUUCUCCAAAUGGCAUUUUUUAAAAGCCGAACCAAACGGGCCCUAUGGCCAGAAAAGGCGAGAGUUAAUGCUUGAAUAAACCAAAUUUUGGCUUACCCCCUAGGACAUGAAACAGCUAUGGGCAUGAGAAUGCUCUGUCAUCACAUGAAGGAGAUAUAACUACUUUUUCCAUAUUUGGAAGCAUUUAUUGUGGCUUUUAGCACUCCAGUUUAGGAUUAAAAUUUAACUGUCAUUUACUUGUUUUGUGGUGAACUAAAUGGUUUUAAAACCUAUUUUUUGUGCAGGGAUAUUUACUUGAAGGCAAACCUGAGGAGGCUGCUACAGUCACGUCUUGAAUCAGGCGCUCCUCACUUCUCAGAGCAUCUGUAGCUAUUAUUAAUAUGCUCAUCAUCACCGUCUGGCAUGAUUGCAAUCCUGAAUUACCUCAGCCUCUGAACUAGUCCUUCAAUUUUCCAUAUACUGUCAAGGAAUAAAGCAAUUAGUGGAAGAUGUACAGAAUUGUCCCCCAAAAUGUGCUCAGAUAAAAUUACCGUGACAUAUCCUCUCUCGAGGGGGAUUGGGUGAUUUGGGUUUCGUAUUUGGUGCAUGCUAUACUAUUAAAAUAACAUGAGUUAGUUCCAUGGAUCCUAAUAGAGUUCGAAAGUUCAUCUCAGACUCCUCCUGAAUGGAAUAAAGUUGGAAAUACACCUAUGUAGGCUCUGUUUGUUCAGAUGUCGCUUCUUAGGUCCCACAAUGUGAAUGCCUUGGAUUGAUGCCAGAGUUUACCUGAUGCUAAGAGGUCCAGCAUCAUGGUUGAACUUCAAAAGCUUGUCAGUGAGUGGCUUUUCAAGGUUAUCAAACGGAAGAAAGAAGAUGACCGCAUGGUACUUCCUUUGACUAAAUAUCCAUCACUUUGGGUAGAAGUAGAAAUAUUGCUUGUUUGCAGUUAUAUAUUGCUCUGGUAAUGUUUUCUCAAUCGUUCCUGUUGCUGGAUGUAUAUAUGCUGCAUUGAACUAUCUCAAAAUAUUUAAAACCUCUCAUUCUUUUCACUCAUGUAGGCAUUGGCUGCUUCUCUCAAAUCCGAUAUCCCGGCCAUGGUUAGUUCCUUAUUAAACAUGGGCUUGGAGGUGAAUAUGGAACAACUAACCACCGAAGGCACCCUUUGUUAAAGUAUGACGGAAUUGGAGAUUGAAUGCACUAGCUGCAGAUCUGUCUCCUAUGUGGACCGCUAAGGUUGCCAUGUUAGUUUCAACCGAUUCCUCUGAGAAGCAAGACAAGCGUGGUACUCAUGUCUCGAGCAACAAGCAUCUGAAGUUCUCUUGUGAAGGUCCCUGAACCAUGAAAAGAUAUGCUCCUUCUUGAUUUGAAAGUUGUCACUUCUGUACUUUCGGAGAAUGAUUCUUUUCUUUCCCCAAAAAAUCUGAGUGCGUUGGAGACGAUAGAUGCAUCAUCAGCAAUUGAAUUCUGAGAACAACCUCGGAUGACUAGUUUUUGCAGAGAGGAUUCUUUUGGCUCACGCACUUUAGAUUGGACCAAAUGGGCAGGUAAGAGAGACAAUUGAUAAAGUGGUCCUUUCAAUUUCAAUCUCGUUUGGCAGCCUAUUUUGUUAAAUUUCUGACAGAAUUUCGCUGUCCAAAAUUAAGUGAGUGCAUUUAAUGCCGACUCAUUCGAUGUUGGCAUACAGUGACCGCCAUCGCUUCCUGAUAUAAUCGGAUUGAACUGUCAAAUUGUGGUGCCAAAGUGCAUAACAUACAUUACAUCCCUUUUUACAUCAUCAAAGUUAAUGAAAAACCUGAAUUACCAGAAAUGGCUUUGGUACCCACAUGCGUGGGUGGGUGCAUGCGUGCUUGCAUGCAUUUUGUACAUAUAAGGCAUACAAGAGGUAACAAACGCAAUCCUCUAGAAUUAAAAUAAUGUGCAUUAAUUAUAUGCAAGUUUUAGUAGGGAAUUGACAUAAUUGUAAUAAGUGUGGGACUUUUUUAGUAAUUUUCCCGUAUUUUCACUCAAAAGUUUAGGAUUACUAUAGGACUAAAUUUGAAUUAAUACAAUAAGCUUACAACCGAAUUUGCAAUUCUCCCAACUCAACACCUAUGCUUUAAGUUUUUUUCUUCUUUUAAUAAUUCUCCCCCUCUUCUAUCUCCUCUCCUCAUAUGUAUAAAAUGGGCAAUGAGGGGUGGCUUGGGUAGUGGAAGGGAAACCGUCCCCAAUGAUCUUAUUGGUGAAAGUUGACACAACUUCAAAUUAAAGGGCAAGAAAACUAACCUCUACUCACUUUAAAUCACCACGCUGAGUGUUGAUUUUAACUCCUUAAAAUCCUUAACACAUCCAACCCCUCAAGAUCCUGGCAUCAAAAGACAAUCCUUAUGGAUAAUAAGAGCGAGAGUAGAAGUCAUAUCCUAUGAUUUCCAAUCUUUCAUGAGACAUACCAAUGGAUUUGCAUAUGGUUAAUAUGAGAAAAGAGCUAUCCUAUACACUUGCAUUUAGUUGAUAAAAAGGUUGAUCAAUUUAUAGAUGACAUGAGUGACUUGAUUUCCAUUCACAUAUAAAUAACAUGCAGCCCAUCCUAGGUUGUGUCAAAGCCCCAAUACAUGCAUUAGACACCAUGCCAUCUCAAUCCCAAAAAGCAGAAGGGAAAUAUUGAUGUUUUCCGGUCAUCACACCCUGAGAAAAGACUAGGCAUUUUUUAUUCCAGCAAGAGAGACAUCCCUCCGACGGAAAUCUCGAAAGAUGAAUCUUGCUUAUGGUCUCCAUAAUCUAGCAAGAACGAUGGUGAUUCCAUUGGACUGGUAAGAACUACUUUUAUCUUCCUCUCCUCUAUGUAUUUACCACUUCCUUUAUCAAACUAGAAAUCUAAAAGAAAUUUCGCAAGUUACUUUACCAAAAGAUUAUGGAACAUAUAUUAGUAAAACUUGCCAUGCCAGCAAUAAUGUCCUCUUCACCUAUAUCGCGAACUUGUCUCUGCACCACAGGUGGAGCUACCUGUUGUGCUUACAUAGUAACUGCAUCAAAUAGAAGAUAGGAUGAAAGGCUACUCCAAUUCUUUCAAAAUAUCAAGACAGCUUCUGAGGCCUAUCAUGGUUUCCCUUUAUCUCAAGGUAUAUUAGGCUACUAUGGCCAGCAUUCAAAAUCUUAUUCAAAGAUGAUCUUGCUACAAUGCGAAUGACUCCACCUUUAGCUAUUCGUACCCUAUCAAUAAUAUAGUCCAGUUGACAUGUCACGGCAAAGAAAUUGCAUAAGAAUCUUUCAGCUGAUUCAAGUACUGUGGGCAUCUCUCCUCACAAGUAUGAUAGGGGCUUUAAUAUGUAUAUGAACAUGAUACUCCUUGGACUUGAGCUGCACGAUUUUGAAUCAGAUGCUCCAUUUGGCUUGAUAAUACCUGCAUUUGGCCACACAGUAUUUCUUCAGAGAUGUAGACUUAACCUAGAAUGCUCUGGAUCUCCAAUAUAGAGUUCAUAAUGUCUCCCCAAUACAGAGCUUUAAAUGCACUAGUGUCCUCUGAAAAUUAAAUUACAUCAAGAGAUACAAGAUCGAAGGAAAUUAUUCACCCACCAUAACCUAAAAAAAGUAAAGCAUGAUCAUGGUGAAAGAAAAGGUCCAAAAAAUCCUCCCCUUGAAAGCAACAUAUCGAUCAGUCUUGUCGCCUAACGGAAUCGAGCAUGAGCUUUGUUUACCCAACUCAACUGCAUAGACACGGAGAAGAGGCUUUAGAUAUAAGAACUUAACAGGGUACAUCACGAGAGCAGGAUGUGAUGAAAUGUACCAUCGUACAUUUUCUUUGAAGAUAUAAUGCAGUAAUGCAAUCUCGAUGGAUAUUCCAAAGAACUUACAAUAAAAACUCCUAGUAACUACGGGGUACAAUGGAAAUGAACAUUCAAAGCCCAAGAUUAAUUCUGGGAAAAAUGGAAAAGUGUGGAACAACAAACUUUGAUUUACAUCACAUGAAGUAAGAACGACGUGAUAAGUGAAUUCAAGCAUCCCAUGGAAUUCUAUUAGCACUGGCAGCUUCUACUGAUUCCAGUUCUGCCACAACUUUAGUCCUGGAAGGCUGCUCGUUAGGAGUCAUUUGGAGGCAUUGUAAAGCAAGCUGUGCCAUUUGGAAUGCAGAAUCUACAUAUGUAAGGUAUAGGGAUGGUAUAAAUUUGGUUCCCAUUUCCUGCAGGUCGCAACAUCGUGAGCGACCAGCUUCUUCUAAAAUAUCCAGUGUUUCUUUUUUGGUAAUUGGAGCAUCUGCAGAAAAUGAAAAGUUAUGUAGGCAGUACAACUGUAGAUUCCAUGCCAAAGGAUUUAAGUAGCUAAAAGCAAAACACACCUGGUAUUUCAUAGAGAGGAUUAUAGUGAACCUCACACCAGAAACUCAACCAAAACUCUGCAUCAAUUGAAAGUAAGGUUAACAAAAGGAAAAACUCAAAAUAAAGAGUUUCAAAAGACCAGUUGCACAUUGAACAAAAGCAACAGUAGAUCAAUUGCAAAUGUUUACACCUAAAUUUAAAAUCAAUCAAAUAUAUAUUGAGCUGUACCCAAGCAGCUGUUCUAAGCAAGCAAAAGAACAAAUAUUUAAUUUCCCAGAUGAACAACAAGCAAAGCAUCACAAAGGAGGGUCUAUGCGUAUAUGUAUGCGAGCAACGCUCUUUUUUCCAAGACAAACGAGAAGUAAAAUAUCAACUUCACAUUCAUCACAUUGCACCGACUGAUCAUUUGACCCAACAAAACAACUAUGAAGAAGACUAGCAAGCAAUACCCUAGGCAGAGGGAACUUAUAAAUCCAAUGGCCCAACAAUAAUCAAGCUAUCAAUAUAAGUAUCAUCAAGAGGUUUUAGCCCUCCUUCAGGCUCUCCAACAUCUACCAAAUAAGCAUUGAACAUCAAUGACUCACCGGAACAAAUAACUUCAUUCUUCAAAAUUCUGCAUCUCGACAGCUGCUCGCUGCCAUCAUGGCAUUACCUAUCAUAUAUCCAACCAUCAAUCACAGCAUGGACUAAUCUACUCCAAACAAGCUCAAUCACGGAGAGUAUUACAACCAAAAGCACAAAACAGAGCAAUCCAUGAUGAUAGAAAGAAUGAAACCCUAAGCAGCAUCGAGCUGCUGCCAUUAAGUUCGAUCAAGCAAGCUAAAUUUGGGGGAAAACGGUGAUAAAUCGAUAGCCACUGCAGUUUUGACACAGAUUAGCCAAUCAAACCAAAUUAUGUCCAAGCCCAAUCAAAGGCAACUAAAUUGCUGACCGGGUUGAGCUGGACAUCACUGGCAGAGAUUAGUAGUGAAAGCAAAGGUACCUUGCCGGUGGACGUGCAAAGUGAGAGGAAGCCGUCACAAUAGACCUUGCGCUUCAACUUCUGCUUCAGGUGCUUCUUGAAGGUGACAUUCCAGCAUACACAAACUCAAGCACAUAACUCAUUUCAUCAAACACCAAAAUUGCACAUGAUCACCAAACACUGGACAGGCAAAUCUAGAUGGUUCACACUCACACAAAGCAUAAUUUAGCACACUAAUUACAAACACGAUCCAAGAGCAGUUUAGGAUUGAAGAAGAAAACCAGAGCACAACACCAAUCUGCUCCUAGAACCUGCAUUGCCGGCUCAAAAUGCAGGCGUUGAGUCCAUCACAGAGCUGAAAGCUCUGAGGUAUUCAUCCGUGGGAUUCUGCUGAGUCUGGAUGUUCUGUAUAAGGUCAACAAGGAUGGUGAUGCCAGGUUUUUGUCCCUCAAGAUUCCAUUUGAUGCGAUGUUCAUUUUCCUAAUCAAAACUCCAGAGUUAGAGCUUAAGCUGGCAGACUUGAAAUCCAUAUCCUAGGUGCAAUUUCUCCCUCUUUACCCAACCUAGAUUGAGGAUGAGGACCAUGAUACCAAUGUGUGCGCAGAAGCUCUCCCUGAUGCUCAUAGAGUUCAACUUGACUAAAAUUUCUGAGAUUCUACACCCAAAGACAGUCAGCCACUGCUUCAGAUUUUCACUUGGCGAUCUGUCCUGUGCAAAUGUGAAUGAUGUUGAGCUGCGCAUGGCUCUGGCAUCGGCUCCAGAUAUGGAUCCUGAGUUGCUUUCUCAGCUAUAAGUAGCACGGCGGAUUGGAAAUCUUUUGGAGUUUGUACAUGGGAAGAAUUUGGAAGAUUUUUUCAAAUUGAUGCUUGGCUUGUGCAAAUCUCUUCUUUUAUGAUCACCAGGUUCUACGAAAGUUUUCACGUACAUGGAAGAGCCAACACUACCUGAUGAAAGUUCUUCUGAGGUGGCAAGUAGCAUAUGACACAUAACUGACUUUGGUGGUAGUGCCAGUGUUUUCCUAGAAUUGAGUGGGUCUCAUGACAGAAAAUGGCAAUACUGCUUCUGAAUGCACAGUUCUAUUACUGAAGGCAGCCUCGAGGGAAGGUGCUCUCUUUUUCUUAACAAUCCUUUGUAAGUGAGUGCAAUUCUCGAGUCUUGGCAAGACGGCCUCCUUCUCUACUGGUACAACAAAUGCUGCAUUCUCUCAGUUACAACUGCAGGUGAUGUUUGCUGCACAGAAUGAUUUUUGUCGGUGUGCCCCUCAAAGAUUGCUAUGAUUGAAGGCAUCCUUGCUGAGGUAAGAUAUUCUGGUGCUGCUGCUUUAGCCAGUGCUGCCACACUGGUAAUCUCAGAAUUUCGGUGGCUCCCUCAUUUAUGACUUCUCCAUAACAUUUGCAAAUCCCACAAAGAAGCACACCUUUCCUGAAAAAUAAACUGAACUUAAGCAUAGCAAUAGAGUGUCUGCCUACUUCAAAGUCGCAAUAAUGAGUUGAUUGUGCUGUAAAAUCCCAGGAUGAGAACCAUAGUCAUAUGACCUUCCAGCACACAUUCCAUCUAUUUGUUUACAGCAUAGCAAAGUUAUCUCCAAUGCGAAGCGAGGUUAUCAAUUUCAAAAUAUAUGAAGCAGCAAAUCGACAAGGAUCUCUAAUAAUUUGGUACAUAUCAAAUAAAAAUGAUGCAAUUGACAUGCAUAUCUCUAGGAGAAAUCAUCCUAAGAAAAUGUAGAUAAAAAAGUCCAGCCAAACUAGGAAAAUAACACAAAUACUUGUACAUAAUUAAGAGCCCUCUGGCCGUUCAGAGGUAUCAUAAUUUCAAUGCUUCAUCAGAUUUUCAGACAAGAAUCCGCUAAAAGGUCAUUAAAAAGUGCAUGCGAAACUACUCUGUUCAUAUUUGCGAAAGAAUUUGACUGCAAAAAAAAGGAAAACAUUGGUACUUACCUCAAUUUGUUUAAGGUUUGAAUACAAGGGAACAAUUUGUGGUUGUGCAUCAAGAAGCUUACACGUACAACAAGAAAUCACCAUGGUCUUCUUCAUCGUCUUAUUCCACAAAUUUGAUCGACUUCUCCAAGCAAAGCCGAGAAAUUUCCUCCACAUCUAAUUUCUCGCAACAUUUUAUUACAACCAUUCGCAGUCCCUUCAAGCUUGACAGAUCAGGCAACUUCUGUAAAGAUCCACAGUAUUCAAUGUUUAAUUUGUCCAAAGAUUGGGAUAGUUCACCUUGAAUCUCAACCAGAUUACCGCACCCCUUUACUAGAAUACUCCUUAGCUUGUUUAACUUGCUUAGAUCAUGUAGCACCGCCAUCUGUCCGACGCACGUAAGGUCCAAAUCUCGUAGGUUCUCCAAACAACCAAGGCCUUCAAUCUCUGCAACUGCAGAGUACAAAAUCGAGAGAGACGAUAGUUUCCUCAAAUUCGAUAGAUCCAUCGAGCAAAGUGAGUGGAAACCUUCCACAUAUAAGGAGGAUAAAUUUGAGGGAAGCCUCGGGAGGCGACGCGGAUGAGGAGGGAGGCUAAGGUCUGUUGAUGAGGCGCUCCCCCCAGAAUAGCAGAGUUCCAGAGACUCCAUUUUGCUUAAGUUCCCAAUCCACCAUGGUAUCGGUUCUUCCAGAAGCCCAUAAGAUUUCCCAUCGAAAUUAGGUGGGCCAAAGCCCAAACACAAUACCCUUAAAUUAGUGAGAUUUGAGAGAUCCGGAAACGUGUCCACCCUCAACUGCUCCAGUUCUAAUUUGGUGAGACUUUCAGGAAGCCUUGGUAGGGCAUGUAUUCUCGCCCCUCCCAAUCUCAAGAUCCUCAAGGAUUUAUUCUCAUAGAUGCAAUCACUAAUUUCCUCGUUAUGAUAAACCUUGCAGUUGAUUUUUAUUUUUUCAAGCUUCUCCAUCGUCCAAAAAGCAUCGUGUAUUUUGCUUAUGUCACUAUACUGCAUCUUCACUACUUUCAAAUUCUUCAACUUUUCGAUGGAAUCAGGUAGUUCUUUGAUGUUUGUGUAACUUAUGUUCAACUCAAUCAGCGAUUCCAAAUUCCCGAUUGUCUUCGGAAGCCUCUUCAAACUCUGGCAGUUUCUUAGAGAUAGGUAUUCGAGGCUUGCAAGAUCUCUACCCAACUCAUCUGGCAGCCUCUGAAGAUUCAAACAAUCGCUUAUAUCUAAGAAAACUAAGCAUUUCAACUGAUAAAUUGAUUUAUCAAUUUCAAUUAAUGAUUCACAGCCUAAUAAGAUCAAACGUUGUAAAUUUGAAUGAGUAGAGAAGUUGGGGGUUCUCUUCAAGCAUUGGCAAUUGGCUAGAUCUAAAACUUUCAAAUUCUUCAUUGCCUGUAAAAGAAAAAUCUUGCAAAGUUUACUUUUGAAUCUAAUAAAACAGAAGAAUAUGCGUUGUCUAGCAUAUAACAUACCUUCAUGUGGUUCCACCCCUUCCAAUCAUGUGUAAUUUCACUCCUAGAGAGAUCAAGGAUAAUCAAAUUCUCCAUGGAGAAAUUUGCAAUCUUAAAUGUUGGGCAAAUAUUAUGCCAAGAAAGCCAUCGUAGUUGUGGAACAAGAUCAGAAUUCUUCUGGAAAACGUUAGUUGGAAUAACAUUUGAUGGCCAUUUGUGCCGAGAAGCAUCUUUUUUGCAUGAAAAUUUUCCAAGUCAUCGACUUCAAGGAAUUUUAGAUUUGGCAGGCUCUUAAAGUCCUUAUAGGUAAAAUGGUGCUGAUCGUCAAACUUGAGAUGAAGAGCUUCAACUUCUUUUUUUUCCUACCCAAAGGAAAAUUUUUAAACAAAAAAGUUGAAAGGAAACACAUUUACUCAAGUUCACUAUUUUAAGGGGUUGAGUUGAGUACUAUCAUUCCUUUCAAUUUAAAAGAGCAAAAAUAUUAGUUGAGUAGGUCGUGAUGGUGCUAGAGAACGGGAAAAGUAACUGCCCUUUUUUUUAAAAGAAAAUGUCCAUAAGUAAGUUGUGUUGCACGAGGCAUUUUACCUCAUGUCUCCUCAGCAAAUCCAAUCCUUCCUUGGGAUUCCACACCCAACGUUGCUUCUCUAUUUUCAUCUCACUUUCUUGACGAAUUAUUUCUCUUCCCAGGUCUCUAAGUUGAUCAUGCAUCCACAAUAUUAAAUGUUUUCCAAUCUUUAUCAAAGACAUGUUUUGCAAAACUUCCAAGGCUACUUCCGAAAAAAGUUCGGAUGCAUCCCAAAAAUUAACUACAAUGUCUUUGUGAUAUCCAAUGAAUUGACAAGCUAUAUCAAGGAAUAUAUGCUGCUGCCGAUUAUCUAAUGCAUCAUAACUUAUUUUCAGCUUACUCUGAACUUUAUCAUGAGGAACACUUUCUAGCUUCUUCAAUGUGGCAUCCCACAUUUUCUUAUUUUUGCCGGAUAAAAGUGAACCUAUGACCUCAAGGGCUAAUGGAAGACCUCCGGCAAUGUGUACCGCCCUCUUGGAUUGGUCGAUAUACUCGUCUAUAGGAGAAUCUCUUCUGAAGGCAUGUUUGCUAAAAAGUUGAAGAGAUAGAUCCGGAUCCAAGCUCGUAAGCUCAUACCUCCAAUCCACUUCCGGGACAUGGAUAAUAUCUUUCCUUCUCGUAGUAAUAAUAAGUUUGCUCCCUUUACCAAACCAAUCACGCUUACCUACAAGUGCAUCCAUAUGAUCCUUUUCUUCCACAUCAUCAAGAAGAAGCAGGACUUUUUUAUCAGACAAUCUUUUUUUAAUGAUCUCAAUCCCUUCAUCAAUGUUUUUUAUAUCUGUCCAUUUCAUCUUAAGGAUGUCAGAGAUGAGCUGUUGCUGCAAGUAAUAAAUGCCCUUGAGCUUUGACAUUUCACAAAUGUUGGAAAGGAAGCAACAAUUGUUGUACUUGUUGGAAAGCUCAUUGUAGAUUAAUUUUGCAAUCGUUGUCUUUCCAACGCCACCCAUCCCAUGAAUGCCCACAAUCCGCGUUUCACUUGUGUGAGCACCUAUCUUUUCCAUGAUUUUAUCCACAUGGUGGUCCACACUAACCAAAUUUUUCGAUACCACCAAAUAAGCCUUCUUCAACUCAUUGAAAAUCUUAUGGGUAACUGUUUUUGCAAUCUCACCUUCUUCCCUAGUGUUUGUUGGAGGUCAAAUGGCAAGGAGUUAGAAAAUUGUAUUAAACUAAAUUAUGUUCUCACAAGACCAAAGUGAAAACUAAAGACCUAUUUGAAAUGCUUUCUACAAGGAUUUACUCCAUUGUAAAUGAGUUAGUGUUGGCACAUAUGGUUGAAUAACCUUAACUGAAAAAAAAAAAAAGUUAUUUGGAAUGAUAAAGGACAAAAUUGGGAUUGUACCACUAUUUCGUGUGAUUUCUGCAGUAUAAUUUCAAUAGCAUAAAAUUCAAUUUCAACAAGGCUAACACAAAUCUAGAAAAGAAACCAAUUGAACCACAUUAAAAGUUUUAAUGGUACAAGGUACAUCAAAUGGAAUGAUAGAGGUAGUCACCUGUUGGUCAUGUCGUGCAGAUCCCACCCGUUUACUGCCCCAACUGCACUUAGAGCAGCCUUCCAUUGACGCAUAGUCUCUUCGUCAUAUCGAUUCUUCUUUUCAUGUGAAAGAAAGGCCUCUCCAUAACCCCUAGUUUGGUGUCGAACCUCUGAAGGUGCCACAUCAUAAAAAAUGGGCAUGAUCUUUUGUCCCCUAGUAUUGUGGCACUUAACCAUCUGGACUAGCUCAUUGAGACACCAUACGCUAGAGGCAUAACCUUUCGAAAAUAUAGGUAUUGAGAUCUCCGAUUGAUUAAUUGCUUGGAGAAGUUCCGGGCCAAAUUCUUCCCCCUCGUAGAGCUCUUUGUCAUCCUUAUAAACGCGGAUUCCCGCAUCUAUCAUACUAGUGUAAAGGAAGCUGGUAAAACCUUUUCGAGUAUCCUCUCCUCUAAAGCUCAAGAAUACUUCAUAUGCAUAUCCUGAUGAAUUAACCAUUCCCUGACCUUCUGUCACAGUGUGAGUAAAAGAAGCGCUCCCUGCUAUUCCAUCAUUUUUAUAGGUAUGUCGUGUUUCUACGGUCCCCUCCAUUGAUUUACUCGAUCAGAUUUUCAAGAAAUACCGAACAUAUCAGCAAAAGUAAAUGUGUAGAAGCCUAAUUGACAAAUAAUGGAGAUCUCUGUAGGUCAUUAAACGUAGUAUUCGGGAUUAGCUAAAUAUGCAGAGAGUCAUGGGCCAGUGUGCUAUAAUUGUUCAAUAAGAAUGAUUCAUUGCAGCAUCACUCUAGCCUAUUAAAGUUGACAAUGCACGUGAAUAUAUGAGUAUUAAAUCUUGAGGGGCGUUUUAACACCUUAAGGAGAUUAAAUCUCCUAGGGAGAACGUUAACAUAGCACAGAGCAAAGUUUUCAUUUAAAAAAAAAAAAAACAGCUCUCUUCCCAAAUCUUGAGAACAUAAAUUAAUUCCUAGGAGUUUUAAAUCUCAAAGGGAAAGCAUGAACAUGUUCUCAUUUGACAUAACACGAUGCAAAGCAUCCUUUUUAAAAAAGAAAAGUUCCACACUUCUUGAAUUUCUACAACAUAAAUUGUUUUUCUUUAAUGUCAUUUCCACAAAAAUGACCACCACUCUCUCUAGAAUGGAUCAAAAAAUCAACCAAAGCUAUUCAUGUGAUGGGAUAGUUGUAGUUUGUAAUCUUACACAUUUCUAAAAUUCCGUAAACCAAAAAUGGAGUUUUGUUUCAUGCGUGAUAGUUUAAAGAACCAAAUAUAAACUUGAAGAAUCACUGGUAAGUAAAAAUUAAUCGAUAAUUUGUGAAUCUGGGCAAUUGUUAGAAAGCUAUCAAAAAAAUAGUUUUUUCAUCCUCAAACCAAAUAAUGGAUUACCAUUUUUUUCUUUUAGAUUUUACAAAUGGGUUUGUAUUUUCGCUUAUAGAAUAUGAAUGCUUACAUACUUUAUUAAUAGUCUCGAUUGAUGUUCCAACUUACAAACAAGAUACCUAUUUUACCCCCUCUAAAUUCAAAUAUGGCAUUAACAAUGUUUCGAAUUUAUGAGUAGCAAUGUUCAUUUGUAAUUACCACGUGAACAAAAUAAUCGAUUUACCAUAUGGAAAAUACUCUUGUAACUUACAAGCAAUUGUUUGCUUUUAUAAGAGGGCAAGUAUUUUUGGUAGUAAACUACAAGUUGUUUGCAUGCUUUGUUACUAGUCUUGGUUAAGGGUAGUAACUUACAAAUAAAUGAGUAUUUUACAAGUAUAAAUCUCUACUAUAUUAUUAACCUUGCUUUGAUAUUAUGAGUUGCAAUUUAAUUGUUAGCAUGCUAACGAAACAACUGAUUUACCUGCUUCAAAUAUUCUUGCAGAUCACAAAUAGUCGUUUGCUUUUACAAGUGGGUGUGUUUUUCCUCUAGUAGAUUACGAGUUCCCUAAAUAUUUUUUACUAGCAAGUCAUAAAAAAAAUAACCAUUUCAUUACCCUAAAUUUUUAGUAGAUUGUUAACACUGUUUCGAAAUCUAUUUGUCAGUAACAUUACUAACAUUUUUUAUGCAACUGUAUGUACUCCGGACAAUUGUGUGUACUUCUUUACUAGUGAUAUUGAUGAUUAUUUGUAUUUAUGAAGCAUUCUACUUGUUUAUAUAGUCAAUUGUAAGACACCAAUUAAAAGCUAUGAGAUGACUAAAUAUGCCACAACGAGAUGACACGGUGGUAUUUUUUCAAAAUGAAGUUGCAACGUGAUCGGACAUUGACAAAGUUAACGAUAUAUAAGGUUUGGAACUUAUAUAAUUUACAACCAAAUAAUAGCGUGGUUCUAUGUUAUUCAACAUCUAAUGCCCAAUACAAGAUUCAAUAGCAAUUUCGUGGAUGCUUCCAAUGUAAUUUGUUUGUUUGAUAAUCUAAUCUUGGUGGUUGAGAGUUUGCUCUAUCUAGGGAAGAAUGGACAUAAGAGUAUUAGCUUCCUCUAUAAUUACUCUAUAGAAUUAGGAGAGGCACAUGCCAUCAUUGUCAGGCAUCUCAAAAUUAAAGAUGUCCACACUGAAUGAUUAUUGUAUUAGCACUGCCUCCAACUUCAUAGAUUACUAUUAUGAAAAAGAAGAAGAAGAAGAUCCCUCUCAUAUCUAAGCUCGAAAAAUUGGUUCUGUUUUAUAUUUGUCCAAGAGACGUGCCCCUCCACUUUCCAAUAUACUAAUAGUGUCAAAAAAAUUUCUGCCAAGGACUUGCAGACAUGGUGAGACCGUUAGUCUAUAGGAAUUCCAAGUUGAAGAUAAAAUACCGAUACACUGCUAUUCAUUUGAUGUGUUAAAAUAAAAAUUAAGUGCCAAUAUUGUAGCCAUUACUUCAAGUAUAGCUCAACAUUCAAAUUGGAUUUGAACUAGGGUAUGAGUUUAAGUAGUUUAAAUCUAGCCUCCAUGACUCUGCCUUUAUGAUUUGAUCACCUUAUGUGAUUCAAGGAUCCUGUCACUUUCAACUUCAUCUUAAGAUAAAGUGUAAAACCAAUUGAUGAUAAGAGUUGGCAAUCUACUGACCACGUGGAUAAAAUUUCAUAGGAGUUGGUUAACUCCUUCAUUAAUAUAUUGGUGUAUAUAUAUAUUUUUAUAGUGCUAAUAAGUAAAUUUCAGAGGAGCUGGUAAUAUAUUAAUUCAUUAAAAUGUUGUUAAAUUCGUGUAUGUGCCAGUAAUUUAUUUAUGAUUCUGGUAAUAAGAGUUGGUAAUUAACCACUUAACUCGUAUGUCAAUGAAUUCUUGAUAUUGCUGAUAAUUGAUUUAACACGUGGGUAAUUUAAUACUUUGAUGUAAUGUUUGUAAAUUACUGUGUCGGUGAUAUACUUACCACACUCGAAAAUUUUUGUAGGAGUCAGUAAUUUACUACUUUAUCGGCAUGUUGGUAAAUUUCUAAAGAUGUCGGUAUUUUACUUACAGCAAUGAUGAAAACUUUCAAGUGAGUUAAUUUACUACUUCAUUGGAAUGUGGUAAAAUUUAGAUAGUCUUGGUAAUUUACUAAUCACACUGAUAAAAUUUCAUAAGAAAUGGUAAUUUACGAAUAUUUUGUCAGUCAACAACCAGAAGGUUUCAAGCUUGAAAUACACUGAUGAAUGGAAGAAUAGCAGAGAUGAGAGCUAGAGAGCCCAAGAUCAGGAUGCAAGAAGCCAAGUCUCCAAUCAGACGAUUACUACAGUACUGUGAAAUAUUUGGAAGUCAAGAAACCAGGCCAUCUUCAAGAAUAGAAAACCAGAACCAAGCAACCUGUGUAGUCUGCUUUAGCGGGGUUAAAGAGUUUCAACAGAUGGAACCCAAAAUCGAGCGAAUCUAGUAAGACCAGGGACGGAUCGUCACGAUUUUGGAACCCACCGCAGGCUGGAACACUAAAGACAAACAUAGACGGUGGCUACGAACCUGGAGCUACUGGAGGCUCGAUCGCUUGCGUCUGUCGUGAUUCCGCCGGGAGGUUGGUGGACGGAGUGGUACGAGCAGUAGCGAAGCCUUCCGCGUUCGGGGUUGAGGCUCUUGCCCUCUUUUUGAAGUCUCACAGCUUAGAGUUGGUCAAAGCAGUGGAAAGUUCAGACAGGUUCACGUGGGAAGCUCAUACUAUUAGUAUUAUCCCGAAGUGCGAAGAUUUAUUAGUCUUUUUCAAAUAGUCAGGUCAGCCAUGGGGUUAGAGAGGCCAAGUCGCGGACUGGGUAAAGCCCAUGAGAGAAAGCCCAUUUAUCAGACCUUUCGAUCUUUUCUGCUUAGAGAAGUACUUCACUUUAUGACAAAAAAAGAGGAGGUAGUCUCCAAUCUCAAGGAGCGAACGUGCGAGUGUUCGGGGUUGACACUUCAUAAUGCACGAUGCACACUUUGUUUUUUCCCCAGAAUGCCUGUAUUUGAUAGUGAUAACAUUCAAUUGCAACCUUAUAAAAGCGUCUAAAAGAAUACUCUCCAAGAUUUCACUUUUAUUUGUUUUUUCUUUGAAGAGUGGUAGCUAAUUCAACUUUUUGUCUAAUGAUUGUAUUUCAAUGCAACCAAAAACCACAUGUAUGCGACACUUUUGUACUUUCCAUUUAAUUCAAUUGGACGGCAUCAACUUUUCUAUUGAUUGAUGACACGAUUGGCUAGACUAUUUAAAGAUCAAAGUAUUUAUGAACAAAUGAUGUUUGUUUGCAAGUAAUUUUUUUUAAUAUUCUAAAUCAAUUUUGUGGUAAUUAAACAUUUCAUGUUUCACGAUAGAAAACAAAUCUUGCUAGAUCCAGAGGUGUGAAAAUGUUCCAUUCCAAAAUUCGUACGUCCUUAAGUCUUCUUAGGCAUAAAUCCAAUUGUGACCUAAAAAUAAAUUGAAGAUUGAAGUUAUAACUCAUGUUGACUCGAUGAGGCAAAAAAAAAAAAAAAAACUCUUGGGAAUUAUGAAUGGAAGAUCAAAUUUGUUCUUUAGUAGCUUUAGCUUUGAUUAUACUCCACUAAACUUUUGUUUCAGUAAUCAAAAGUCCAAAAGUCCCGUCGCAAUUUUCCAAAUUACACUCCUUCCAUUCAAACCGAAAUUGAGCUUUCUCUAUUAGCUUAAAAGCUUGGGGAAGAAGAGAAUAUAGGUAGGAUCCCACUGCUUGACUCCUGCUCUUUUGAAUGGAACUCUUUUGAAUGGAAAAAAGAAAAAAAAAAGACUUUUUAUAUAGAUGUAGUAGGCCUUAACUAUCUGGAGCUUUGCUCCUUCCUGCAGAAAAAUUAAGGAACUAAAAAGGAAGGUCAUUGAACUUAGAAGCCAGGAGGGAUUGGAUGAAUAUGCAGAGAAAGUUGUGGGCCAAUUUGCUACAAAAUUUGGUCAAUAAGGAUGGUUCCUCAUAGCAUCACUCUGGCUAUCAAAUUAUUGUAUUCCUUAUGCGGAAAAUCAACGGGAUAUAUGGUGUAGAAAUUUUAGGAUUACAAUCAACUUUUGCCCCCAAAUCAGUGGGCGGAUUCAUUCAAAGUCAAGUCAACAAAAGCACACAUCAAACUUCCAAAAAAGUUUGUUUCCCUCCAUCCUGGUGAACUCUGAACGGUCCAAUUUAAUGGGCUGAUCGGGCCAGGCCUGAAUUAACUCCGAAGCAUAAAGCCUGGUGGAAUUAUCGAGCUUGAUCUUCGUCAAAGCACUCCCCUAGCGAUCAAUCGAAUUGAGAAAAGAAUGCACUUUAUUUCGAGGGUGAACCAUCCUUCUUUAACCUGUUGUUAGUGUCAAUAAAUUGCUUGUCACAAAGCAUUGUAGUUGGACAUUAAAUCCAUGCAUUGUGCUGAUAAUUAUACAAAACACUACUAAAAUAGAGUACAUGAAACCAAUGUGUAGGAAGAGUCUUGUGUUGUAUUAAAACUUUGAGCCACUAACAAGUGCAGUAAAUAAGCUCACGAACAUGAUGUGACCUAUCAGAUCCCAUUUGAAUUUAACUCAUUUAGCAUUUUCAAAUUCCCAAUCGAAUUUGGAAGCCUCUCCAAAGACUAGUAAAAGUUCAGUGAAGCCUCUCCAAUGACUAUAAUGAUUACUAAUUAGAAAAAUAUAUAUUGACUCCCCCCAAUCUCAAGUAUGAAAGUUCUCUAUUCAGAUAAUGAUUUUUAGAAGUGUGGCUCUUCAUUCUCUCGGUUAAUGCUUGUGGAUUAUCUAUUAUGAAAGAAAAGAAAGAGGUGAAAAUAUAAGAACUUGUGGACAACAUGAGAUUCUUCCAUGUUAAAUUUUGAGAAUUGACCAAAAAAAAUAAAAAUUGCCACACCUCUAUUCAUUUGAAAUUAAACGAUUUGGGUCAUUAUUUUAGAUUUACCUCAACAUUGGAUAAUGUCAAACCAAGUCCAUUUGCAAUUGGAAACAUUUUUAAAUAUAAUUAAAAAUCAUUACACCUCCUCUUCAACUUCUGUGAAUCCAACUUAAGAGUCAUGCUUUACUCGGAAAACAAAUUGGACAUGCGUUUACCGAUGUGGAGUAUACAUCUUCAUGUCACAAUUUUACGUUGGUUACUGUUGUAGAGGUGAUGCCAUAAGUGCUGAGAUACUUUCAUGCACAUUGUAACAGCUACUUUGAUGUAUACGAUAUAAUGAGGUUAACGUUCUCCUAUGUGAAGAGUGGGCAUCAACCAAUUUCAAACAUAGUAAGACAAAACAGCAAUUUAUAAGGUAUCUCAAUUCACCUGACAAAAUAAUGCACUUGGAAUUUAUAUAAUUUGACUUGACCUCACUCGGUAAGUUAAUUAGCAAUUCAAAGCCAUUGAAACGUCUAAACCAAACCAAAACAAAACAAAGAAGAUCUGGACAAGGGUACUUGCAGAACUAUAUCACUAGUCAACAUACAAAGUGCACAUGAGAAGAAGAUUUACCUAAACCUCUUUGUAAUUGAUAUGUAUAACAGAAUGGGAAGCACUUCUUAUCAGAAAAAAAGUACUCGAGAGAGUAGGUGUCCAUUCUUUUUUCUCGUGCAGAAAUUUGCCAAGUUUGAUCAAACAACUCCAUGACGUGCUGAGUUUCCAAAUCUCCCGUGGUGAAUGCCUACCCGAUCAGACUGAAUUGAGGUCAUACAGCAAUCCCUUUUUAAGGCAGGAAGUCCAUGUCAGACUUUCCCUUCCAUCUUGGUAGUUUGUAGAUGUAUUAUCUCUGUAAGAUGGAGAUUCUUGGUGUUUGUCCGUUAAGACUAGCAUGCGAAUCGAACAAAGUCAACCCCAAAAUCAUGCGCCGCUUACCAAUUAGUUGGGGGUUCACACCAAUAGCUCUUACAAUACUUUCUCUUCAUGUGAAGUCCUCGGAGAUGUACUGACCGAGAUAUACUCCUGUCAUCACUUUAUUCAAAUCAUUUCACUGUUCCCGCUACUCCAUGGUUUAUUGCGGCGUCAUUAUUUGGACUGCCCUUUCCAGUGAUCCAUCUUGUGCUUGUUAGACUCCUCUGGAAGAAAUCUUUGAACGGAACAGCAGAAACAACGAUGGUAGCAACUGUGACCACACGUAGGGCAACCUCAAGUGUGUCAGUCGUUUUGUGCUAAGCACAAGUGGUCCACCUCGGCAGAAACAACAGUCAUUGAGCCGCUGCUGCUCCCCCUCCUCCUCGGACGCAUCGGACGAUGCCUACUGGUUCGAGGGCUUGGCCAUGGCAGUGCUAAGAACCUAUUUCGGCAGAGAUCGACCGAUCGAGUUCGUCGCUGCUUGUUCUAGAGAGAGAGAAAGAGAGGGGCUGAAUCAGAAUCCGAAGUGACGAUCUGAAAUAAAAAUGGGAGGAGGAGAGAGUCGGAGGGGGAUGGUGGGAUAUUCGAAGUCGUAUCAGAGUCGGUGUUGGAAACUGGUGGAAGCAGAGGAGGGUUCUUUGCGUCUCUUCGUAUUUUUGUUUUAAUUAGUUUCUCGCUUUUCCUUUUUAUCUUUCGGGGUUUGGGUUUUUCCUUUCGGUUGUUCUUUUCUUUUUUCGCAACACGCGAGUAGCGCGAAGAUUUCCCGCCAGCAAGAGACGGGGGCAAAAUUGUAUUUUCGUUUCCCCUGCCGCAGAAUUGAGGGCAGCAGCGUCCGCUCCCGCGCGAGAUGAGACUUGCGGCUCGAGAAAUAGAGGUGGUCCGACCGACCUGCCCUUGCUGCCUGACGCAACUGAGUCUUGAUGGUCUGGGAUUUUUUCCUCCGUAUAUUAAGAGGGUAGAGAGGGAAAAUAAAACGUAAUUUCCCCCUCUGACGUUUUCGCUGUGGAAGAUUAAGUUUAAACCAAAACUACUCAAUUUACACGUACGUAUACAGGCCUUGUAGAAAAUUAUUCAUAUGAAUAAUUAAUCAAUCGUGAAACAAAUGGAUCCAUACAUGAUUGUAAAACACCGAGAUCAAUAAAUACAGCGGAAUUAAAGCGUACAUGUUUGAGCCAUUGCUUUACUUAAAGAAAACUAGAUCACUCUGAUAAUCAGGGAUCUCCAACCAGAUCUUCCUCUCUAUGACCUAUUUCGAUAUAGCAGCUUUCAAUGGGAUUAAAGCAACUGAUAGGACCUACCCUUUUAUAGGUUAGAGAGGGGACCUAGCAAAUCCUAAUCAACAGCGUGUCAACUGGACCCUUCCCAUUACGGGCUUCAGUCAAACACAAUUGCCUACACUUUGCUGCUCAACUAGGCCCGUUAUCAAUAGAUGCCAAUACCCAAUUCAAUCAGAUCACUUUAGGGUUCAACAAAUAUUGGAAUAUCCAUUAACCCGAUUAUUUAAAAUAGAAAAUCAAUUAAUUAAUGUAAGCCCAUAUUAUAGGAAUUUCCAACAUUCUCCCACUUGGGCUACAUUAAUUAACUUAUUUUAUUUCAAAAAAGAUUUUAUAUUUGAAAACGACACUAUCGGGUUAAUAACUGAAAAUUUUGUUUUAUGUGACCACAACUUUUUAAAAGUAAUAUUCCAAUAAUGGCAUCUCAAUACCAAUCCAAUCCUAUAUAACCUCAGUAUAGGACUAUGGAGAUCAAUGUGUUAAGAAAAUACCACAACACAUCACCUUCCAUAAUCACAUAUAAUAAGUAUUAUAUUUUCAUGGAUCAUGGACCUAAUAGUGUAGUAAGAAAUAGUGCCAACAUGUGAUCAAAAUUUACAUUAUUUCUUAUCGGUCCUCAAUGCAAUUUCUCAACAACAUGAAAUUGCCUCAGUGCAAUUUCUAAACAACAUGAAAUUGCACAAUUAUGUCACAAUCCAACAUGAGAUCUCAUAAUUAGUGACAUCUAGUCAUCUUUAAACUAAAAAUUUGUUUAAAGAUAUUGUUUUAUACUUCCAUUUCUCAGUCAACAGGAGAAAUGAUAACAAUAGAAUCAAUAACAACAAUCAUUGAAAAUAAAUGCUUUAAUAAACAUUAUAAAAGCAUUAUCAAUCUGCAUAUAACUAUAAUAUCUAGAAAUACAAAUUAUAUAACUCCCACUAACAAAAGAAAUCAAAAGAAUCUAAGACACCCAUAUUCUUUACAUGUUCUUUAAAUAAAAUGGGUCAUAAACCUUUUGUUAGAGGAUCAGCCAAUAUGGACUCAGUUCUAAUAUUCUCAAUCACAAUGUCUCCCCCCUUUUUUUUUUUAUCAAGUCCUUAACAGUAUAAUAUUUGAUCCAAUUAACAUUUCAAUCAUGGCUUUGUUGUUUAUAGAGAUAAAUGUUUGUCACACAUAAUGCAAUUAGAUCAAUUAUGGGCAAUAAGUAAUUCAACAAAAAUAAUUAGUACAUUAUAAACUCCCCUUCAGGCAAAGUGUAUAAUGCACAAUUAUUUUUCAUAGCAUGAAGUUUAUAAAGCAACAACAAGGAGAAUUACAUAUAAUUGUCAAUGAUCCAUCCCCUUUGGGCAGACAAAUCAUUUAAAUUAUACAUCUCUAUGAUAUCAAUAUAUAGAGACAACAAAUGAGAAUUACAUAUAAUCUUCAAAGAUCAAUCCCCUUUGGGCAGAUAAAUCCUUUAAAUUAUACAUCUCCAUUAUCUCAACAUAGAGGGGAAUUACUCAUAACUCUAAAAAAAUUAUCCCAUUUGGGCAGAUAAACCUUUUUGAGUCACACAUCCCCAUCAUUCAUCUCUAAUAUAUCAAUAUAGAGGGAAAUUACAUAUAACUUUAAAAAAUUUAUCCCCUUUGGGCAGAUAAAUCUUUUUGAGUCAUACAUCCCCAUCUUUUAAUUUUGGAAUUUAUCUUCAUGCAAUUUUCAAAUUAAUAUACACAAUAACCCCCUUUGGGCAGGUAAUUGUAUAUACUAAUUUUUAUCAAUAGGAAACUCCAAAAAAUAUAUGCCCAAAAUUCAUCUAACAAUAUGAAGCACUUUACGACAUGUACUUCCCAAGAUCAUAUUGCAUUUAUCAAGUAACAAUUUUUGCCACAAUUUUUUUAAUUAUUAUUUUAAUAUUUCGAACUCAUGGCAAAACAUGAAUGAAUACGAAUGGUUACUAGAAUUAAAGGGAGCCAAAAAUUUCGUAGCUAUUAGUAACCAUUACAUCAAAAAGUCAUGAGGACAAUCUUUAUCUCACACUUCCUCACCGUCAACCCUUGGUUGGCAUGUUUAAAUUUGGCAUCUCUUAAAUUUGGGAAAUUACGUAGUCAUGCAAUAACUCAAUCUCCACCUAUUUGACACAAUCAUAUCAUCUGAAUUUAAAAGUAUCCUUCAUGCAUGUUAGCAUGAAACCCACAAGAGAUCAAGCAAAAUCUCUAUAAAAAGAACUUCUAAACCUCAAUCAUGUUAAGCCAGUCCACUCUGAUGACUCGUGGUAAAACCACACAAGAAGACAUGAAGGGUCCGUUUGGUUUGCCAGAAUUUUCAGUAAUAUUGAUUAAUUCGUAUUUUGACGCUAUAGUCUUCCGUUAGUCACCAGUCCAAAUCUGAAAAAAGACUGUAACCUCGAACAAAGCCAACAUUCAAAUUUUCUAUGGUCCUUUUGCUCUUCUACUUAAUAAAAAUUCUCUAAAAGUGUUACGAGAUUCACCAACCCUAUUAAUCAAACCGCAUCUCCUUUUUUUUUCUUUAGUGUAAAUCACUUCUCUGCUUAAUUGUACCCAUCAAGUUAAAAGGAAGACAAAACUUCGAAAUUCCUGAAAUUAUUAUUAAAAGGAUAGCAUCUAUUUGAAAACCCAAAAAUUUCAUAGCCUCCAACUGACAAUUCACAACUUGUCCUGUGGGAUUAUGGGCUAGCGGACAAGCAGAAAAAGAGGUAUAACCAGUAUGUCGCAAAUCCAGCGACAUGACAAAAAACAAGCUCAUCUCUCAAAGAUGCUAAAGAGUUUCCAAAGAUCAAACCGUUUCAAUACCAUGUUAUCAAUUUCCAAAGCACUCCACAUUCAAAAAUCCCGAAAAUCAAAUCUUUUAGGAAGGAAAUUCUCAAAAAACCGAAGCGCACAUACAAUCAGCAACAUCAAGAUCACAAGGUCAUGACAUGACAAGGAUCAAGCAUUUUGAAUUUAAGUUUAAAUUACUCGUGCACCAAAUACCAAACAAAGACAUCCAGGUAGGAACUACAAUCUUUACAAGAAAAAGAAUGGCACCCAAGCUGCAUACUCGACCUCAACUAAAAUAAAAUGAAGAACACUCUAAGCAAGCACUGUAACCAAUUACAUCAUACAGGGAAAACAACCCACCAUUUUGUCACCUUUAGUCAAUAGGUUCUCAUGUUUAAAUCAAUAAAUAAAAGUCCCACUAGCAAUCUUAAACUUACUUUCCCUUUUCUUCUACACAAUGGUCGUUCACAUAAAACACUAUCACAGACCAUUGCUUAUAGAGACAUAAUUGAAUGAGAAGUUCAUCAUCCAUCAAAGAAAACCAAGUUCAUCAAUCCAUAAGCAGUACCCACGAUUACCAUCAAUGGAAUUCAUAUAAAUUUCAUUAAAAAAAAUGAUCUUGAAUCCACCACAAACAAGGAUAUGAAAACACACAUCAAUCAGUACAUUAGCCACCAGAUUCCAACAUAUGUGAAUCAUUAAACGCGAACCUACACGAGAAACCGAAGACGUUCAAGCCACUCAGCCCUCGAACCCGAAUUGUUCAUGCACCCUCCAGUCAAAGCAAAAGAUACUGCACAAUAAGGCUCAAUCCCAUGAAUCUAGCCCAAAUCACACCAACACCAUUUAUGUUUCGCAGAUCUAGUCCAGCAGAAGCAAAACAGAGAGCCACGAUUUGCCAACGGAAACCCAUGACGGGUCCCACAUCAAGCACUCUUUUUUCCGUCAGAUCCAAAUGUAAACUUUCCAAAAAUAUUUAAGGUCCAGAUGAUUGUUUCCUCAAGCUGGACCACUUUUGCUAGGUUAAUAGCACCAACCCAUGAUGGGAGAGAACUUCUCCCACAAGCUAAAACAUAAGCACUUAACUGAGUACCUCCACAUGUUAAUUGGAACGGCAGCACUCUUUGUUUUAUUGUAUCUCAUCAAUUAGUCCUCCACCAGUCAGUGUAGUCCAUUAACCCUUUCUCGAAUUUGUGUAGGAAAGAUGAAGCAUCCAUGUACGCAAAAACAUUAUCUGUCCCAGCAAACAAACUUGGCUACUUUAACUAGGAGUAGACGUCCUAGACUAGCCAUGGUGGAGCACUCAUGUCUGCUAGGACAUUUGCAUGCUCGAGUUCACAAUUUUCCAUGCUAAUUAGUGGAAUAACAAACCUUUCAUGUACGAGGAUUCCUAGAAAAUAAUGGGAACUCUCUUCCUUGCACUUGCUUUUCUAAUUACAAAAGCUAUCAACACUCUAUCUUUACCAAUUAGUUUACAAUUACUUACCACACUUUGGAGCCGAACAUAACCGACGAAUCAUCUGUCUCUUGCUUGUGAGAACUAACAACAAUUUUAUACUAUUAAUUAAUCACAACUUUCUCAAGCAAGCAUGUUGCAAGACCCCAAUCAUUAUUCCAAUUAAAACACUCAAAGCUUGAUCAGCUAGAUAACUAUACAUAAAGAUCAGCAUCAACCUGUAACAUUGAAUGUGAGCCCCACACGUUCAACGUGGAAUAAAAUCGUGAAAUCCUAUGAUUGCACCAUAUAACGCAAUCUACCAAAAUUUAUUGUAAAAAAAAAAAAAAACAGCAUCAAGCAAGCACGUUCACACUCCUUGUCAUGAAAAAUUAGCUAAAAAGAGGGCAAGCCUCGAGUCCAAUCCAAAGAAAUUUUCGGUGGUUGCACGUGACAAUCAGGAUGAAGCUAUAACCCAUUAAAGUAUGAGGGCGACUAGAAGAAAAUAAAGACUAAUAGUAUGAUAAUCGAAAGAAACACACUCUUCCAGCAUUAACAGAAUAAUCUAAAAGCACCAAACAAAAUAGAUGUGGACACCUGACAAUAAGAUAAAAGCGCAGAUGCCAUGGAAUAUUAGGAUUCAAAACUAAGUCUCCUUCAAAGAGCAUUGGCCAAAGAGAGUGUACACGUAAAAGACUUUCGCACAUCAACUGCGAUUUCUAGCGACUGCCACCGCACACAUGUCGCAUUAUGCAUUGGCACCCUAAAAAUCUUACAUGCAUAGUUGGUAGAAUACUGUCCCUUGAUCCUAUUUGAUAUGCAGGUAUCUACCCUUAGCCUUCACCAAUAUAUAUUUAAAAUUGGCCACUUUUCUAAAUAUUUUCUUACGAAAAAACUAUUAGCCAUCAUCUAACAUAGGCCCACACAAAUGGAUCCUUCGCCGACCCAUCACCGCAACACGAUCGUGGUGAACGAAUUUCAUAGUCGCCUACCACCAUAAAAAUACAAAUCUUCACAAACCCUCCAUCCUCCUCGUCGCAAACAAAUUCGGCAUUGACUAGCGACUGUGGGCGAACUCGCCACGGCAACCGAACAAAACCGCCGAGAGGAGCAAGUCGAUUCCGAAAUCAAAGAACGUCAAGUAAAAGAGCGCGCGUUGACCAACAGUUCAUAAUUCAAACGACAUGGCACAACGCAAAGAAAAGCAUCGAGUGGAGAAGAAAAACGAAGGUAACACUAGAAUGUAACUUAAAAUUCUAGAACUUUUUCAUGUAUAAACCCUAGAAUUUAAAAUUUAAAAUUCUCUCUUAAUUCUCAACGAAAUUAUGCAAAUUAUAUAUGGUUGGAAAGAUCUCAACAUGUAGAACGAAAGCCCUAUGGUUUCAGGAUCAUUCGAGCAAAAAAAAAAAAAUCCAUAUGAAAGAAUAAUGCCCAUAUUCGGCUCAAAGAGGAAACUUUCGAAUUUGUCCAUAAAAAGAUAAAAUUUGGGUUCUACAAUCAUAUAUGACUAGAUCUGAUACCACAUGUAGAAAAUUAUUCACAUGAAUAAUUAAUCAAUUAUGAAACAAACGGAUCCAUACAUGAUUGUAAAACACCGAGAUCAAUAAAUACAACAGAAUUAAAGCGUACAUGUUUGAGCCAUUGCUUUACUUAAAAAAAACUAGAUCACUCUGAUAAUCAGGGAUCUAUUGGAAUACUAGAUCUUCCUCUCUAUGACCUAUUUCGAUAUAUCAGCUUUCAAUGGGAUUAAAGCAACUGAUAGGUAUAACCUACCCUUUUAUAGGUUAGAGAGGGGACUUAGCAAACCCUAAUCAACAGCGUGUCAACUGGGCCAUUCCCAUUACGGGCUUCAGUCAAACACAAUUGCCUACACUUUGCUGCUCAACUAGGCCCGUUAUCAAUAGAUGCCAAUACCCAAUUCAAUCAGAUCACUUUAGGGUUCAACAAAUAUUGGAAUAUCCAUUAACCCGAUUAUUUAAAAUAGAAAAUCAAUUAAUUAAUGUAAGCCCAUAUUAUAGGAAAUUUCCAACAGGCCUGUCAUUGCUGCCUUACCGCGUGCUAAAAGCCAGGAAAUAUCUCCGUAUGAGGUAGCAAUAUAUGCAAGAUACAAGCUCGCCAAGGAUUCACUCACAAUGUGGCUCGAAUUUGUCAACUCAGAAAAAAUAGUAUGACCAGCCUAUCGUUAAGUCAUCGCGUUUUAGGGUGGGCUACAAUUUUUUCACGUUCAUUAUUCUUUCUUUUUCAACUCGUUUCAAGUGAAUGAGUCAUGUAUGAAUUUGAUAAAAGCAUGAGAGGUGUAUAAAUAUGUUUGGUAAUUAAUAGCACCUAAGUUUGAUGAGUGAUUGAUUUAUCAAUGCUAGCUAUAAAUGAAGAGAUUUGGGGAUUGUUCUCUACAAAAAGUUAUUGUUACACCGUUCACGCUCUUGAAUCACACCUUGUUCUUCACUUCCGCUUGUUGUUUUGUGUACUAAUUUCUUUGUACUUUUUCAAUAACACGAAUUUUUAGAUUAAGCUUGAAUCUGAAAAUAUUUGACUUGAGAAGCUUGCCAUUGUAAUGGAGUAAUUGCAAUUUCAUAUACCUCCACUAAUAUAAAAAAAAUGAAUGAAUUAUAUCAAAUUUAAUUUUAGUGUAUAGUAACUAACUAAUUGAACUGUAGAACACCCAUUUGUCCAAAAGAACAUCUCAUUCUCUCGGGCUAAAAUAUAAUGGAAGGCAUCCCCACGCGGUCUUUUUAAAUGUUUCGAUUUUAGCAAAACUUACUUCAGUGCUCUCAUGCACACAACGUAAAUCACCAAAUGUAACAUUAAAAAUGCCUGCCAACAAAAUAAGAUCCCAAGGGCAAAUCAAGAAUGAUCUGAAGAAUAUGGAGUGGAACAAAUUGCAUUUGAGGGUGAUGGUUGUUCUGACAUGCUUGAUUGCCGCAAAGUGAGGCAAUACUCAAUUAUGAGUUCUAAUAGUUUCAAGUGAGGGAAGCGUUGGGAGGCACCGCAAACAUCUAUUAGAGAGUUCAAGUCUUUUGAGAUGAGAAAGUUGUGCAGUAUAUGGUGAUGUGGUGGUCGUUGUCGAAGAGGACAACUAUAAAGACUCCAGUUUGUUUAACCUAUUGAUCCACCGGGGGAUAGCAUCUUCUGCAAGCUUAGACGGGUCAACAGGGCGAGGAGACUUUUGGCAUCCCAAAGACAAAUCUCUUAGGCUUUUCAAGUUCGAAAGAUUGGAAAUGCCAUCAUCAGCCCAAUACGAAUAUGUAGAUACAGAAGAAUUUUUAGGAGCCUCAAUGCUUGGGGUAUUUCAGCACAUGUCAAUUUUUAAAAUGUUCCGAGAUGAAUAUCUCCAAAUAUCAUUGGAAUUUUUUAUUAGCAAAAUUUCACUAAGCUUUGCAUCUAUUUUUCUAGCUUUUCCUGCUUCCAUAAUACACUAGUUAUUCUUCUUAUGACAGAGAACCUCAUUUUCAAUACUUUCAAAUACUUCAUGUUCCCGACCAACCAGGCAGCUUCUCUAUGUCCAUGUUCAAUUUAUCGAACUCAGCAAGUGAUUCCAAAUUCCAGAUUGAGUCCAGUAGUGUCUUUAUUGACUUGCAGUUCCUAGAAGACUAGUGUUCGAGGCUUACGAGGGAUCCACUUGAGUUGGGAAGCUCCACGAUCCCAGCUCCUCACAGAGAAAGCCUCGAUAGGGAAGUUAGGUGAUAGAUUGAAGGUUUUAUAGUCAAUGAGGAACGAUGGGAAGCACAAAGGACCUGCAAGCUCUUCAAUUCUUGACAUUCAGGCAUAUGCUUUAUUGAGGUUAUACAGCAAUCCCUUUUUAAGGCAGUUAAGUCCAUGUCAAACUUUCCCCUUCCAUCUCGGUAAUUCGUAGAUGUAUAUUCCCUUUUAAGAUAGAGAUUACCGAUGUUUGUCCAUUAAAACCAACAUGCGAAAUUGCGAAUCAAACAAAGUCAACGUCUAGCAAGCUAGUCGCAUAUCUUUCUCCCAAAUAUCAUGUACUUUUAUUAGUGUGAAGUCCACCAUUAGGUACUAACCGAGUUAUCCAGAGUUAGAUUCAUCUACUAGUAAGAAUACUUUGAGGGACCUUGUUUAGCUUUAUUAUACUUGUUUCAUCGUUUGAUUCCAUCAUUUCUUGGUUCACACUGUUCCAUGGUUUAUAGCAGCAUCGUUAUUUGGUUUGUCCUCUCUAGUGAUCUUGCUGCUCUUAAUCUUCCCUGCUCCAUGGUCUAUAGGAGCAACUGUCGCCACACACAAUGAAACCUCAAGUGGUGAAUCGUUUUGCACCAGUACAAGCGGUCCACCUCAGCAGAAACAACAAUUGUUGAGCUGCACGAGGAUUGGGGGUCGUCUGACUUGGCCUCCCCGCCCGAGUCGCAAUGGGUUAGGAUUUUUUUUUUUUUCCUUUGAUAAAUUAUAAAGUGUGGGAAGAGAUGACCAAUACAGUUAUCCAUUCUUGUUGUUACAUAAAGCGUUAUGUACGUUACAAAAUAUCUCCAUUAAGCCAUAACCACUCGAUUCAUCGACAAGUGUGCGAAUCUAUCACCAUAACUAAUAUGCCAAAAGCCUAAAAAUCUUUCUACAUAAUGUUGUGAAUAUCUAAAAUACUGAGUGGUGAAAAGUCCACUCAUAACAUGAUUCGAACUCAUGAAUUAAUAGAAGAUGGCGUGAUCCCUUCAUCAUUGGGCUACUUUUUUUUUUUUUUUCACUUUCAAAGUGAACUUGAUCCAAAAAUGAGUGAUCUAUAAGGUUGCGGAUGACAAAAUUUCUGAAACAGAAAUCAAUUUCUCAAUUUCUAUUCCCCGGACAAAUUUCUAAGCAAAGAAACCCGUUUGAUAACAACUCAAAAUUUCUAUUUCUGAAACAGAAAUCCAUUUGAUGACAGAAUAAAAUUUUUAUUUCUAGGAAUAAAAAUUGAUUAGAUAACAACAUAAGAAAUCCUCAAAUACAAAAUUAUAGUCGAAAUAAUACUAAAACAAUAUAGAAAAUCCUCAAAUACAAAAUUAUAGUCGAAAUAAUACUAAUACAUUAUAAAAGUUGAAAAUACAAUUUCAUGGAAUUUUUGGCAUAUUAUUAUCCAUUGUCAUUUUAUUGGCAAUGGUUUUCCUAAGCGUAUUUAUUCGGUUUCCCUUCUCGGUCAAUGUAUCGUUUGCAAGCUCAUCCUGCGUAGAUUCAGACAAGUAUUGCAGAAGCAUGAAUAUGGGUACCAUCAAUGGCGCCUAUACAGCCCUAUUAUUUUAUCAAAGACUAGUAUUAUAUAAGAUUAUCAACAAAAUAAAAUUGAUGGUGUAAAGGAAUAUAUGAGAAUUUUACCUUGAAGUAACGUUUAUGGUUAGGAACUAAUCGGGGGAAGGUCGGUUUAUUUUGAUUCUCGAAUUGAAUCAAUCCAGUUGCUCAUCUCUAAUUUCUUUAUUGUUGUUCAAUGAACCUUUAAUGGCUCUUGCAUAGCAAAGAGAGAGAUUCUAUUGAAUCUCUUGCCUUCGAAUUAAAAUUCAAGAUUGUGUAACAAUCUAAUUAUUUUGAUUUUACAAGAAUUUUGAAUCCGUAAAGAAACAAGGUUAAAUUUCUAGGCAUUUUUUUAAUCAUCUAUUACGUAAGAACUUUUUCUUCAACUAACCAUGCACGUGUCCUUUCUAGGAGGAAAGAGCCCAUUGUUUUUAAGUAAGCAUUUAAGAACUUUGAUCGUUUUUUAAAAUUGGGGACCCAUUCGUUUGCCUUUCAUCCUAAAGAGGAAGUUAUCAAAAAAAAAUUGAAAAAAAAACACGAGAAAAAUAAGAAAAAGAAAAUUAGCAAUAAUUUGUGAAGUUGUGGUUAUGAGUGAAUUAAGUUAGCAAGAAAGCGCACGGUUAUUUUAUAUUGUUUGAUUUCAGCUUCUGAUUUCUAUUUCAAAAAUGGAGAAGUUAAAAAUUUCAGCUUCUGAUUUCUUCAAUUUCUCUAUUUCUGGAAUAUAAAUCUGUUUCAGAAAUAGAGAAAUCAAAUUGUGUUACCAAAUGGAUUUCUAUUCCAAACCUGUUCCGGGGAACAGAGAAACAGAGAAAUCGAGAAAUAGAAAUUUUGUCAUGCGUGCCCUAAAUCUAUUUUGUACUUAUAAAAUUUGAUUUAAGUCGAAUGAGGUGUUGAUGUGUUAAGGUUACCAAUAAAAGAAGAGGUUUGAUGACUGGUUUCUAUAAAAUUGAUUGAUUUACUCUUCAUAGUUUUCUCGAGUUUCACUUAUUAUUUAACUUCCAUCUUUUUGUUUUGUGUACUAACUUUUCUGUGCUUUUUAUAAACAUUUGACUGUGAAUAUAAAUCCAUGAGAGCCACCAAACAUCACGCAUGCCAUGCAGCAGGGUUCUUAUAUUAUUUUGUUUGCGUGAGCUAAUUGCGAUUUAAGGGAAAAAAAAUCUUCCACGUUCUUUGAUAAUUUGAAAAUGACAUUUUGUGACUUUUGUUGUAUAAGGUUACAGACUAUUUUUACUUCGAACACAAGCGAUGAAAAAGUCCAAUGACUUUUGUUCUCAAAGAUUAUGGACCUUUUUACUUGUUUAAAGCUUUUACAUGUAAAGUAUCAACUCAUGCAUCCAAUAAGCAAUUAUGAAAUGACGAUGGCAUCCUUCUAUAAGAUAGUGAUCAGUCCGAUCAUAUUCGCACUAAAUAUUUUGUAAAUUCUAAAUAAAACAUAUACAUUCAUCUACAAAUAAAAACUAUCGAAUCCACUUCCAUAUAAAUUUUAAAGAAUAGAAUCGAUUUGUCAUGGUAAGUCAUGUUUUCGAAUUCUCUCUCAACCCGAGAAAUAUGGGCUCCACAAAUAAGCUUAAUUCACUUGUCUCACAUGUCGAAUGAUAUUCUUUUCAAGUUUGAAUAUUAUUGGCAAAGAAAAAGUUUGAAUAAUUCGAGUUAUUGGAUUGAUUCGAGCUUGGAAUCGGAAAAAUUCUACUCAAGAAGCUUGUGAUCAAAGGAAGCGCCAAAAGAGGAAGAGACAGAGAGAAUGGAAAUUUGUCCAGGAGCACGCCUCAUUUGAGCCAAACUUCCUUCAUUGCCCUCACGGAAACGACGAAAUCACCGGACGUGACACCAAAUAUGCCCGCCGACAGAGCAAGAGCCCGAGGUCGAAUCGGGAAAAUUCGCAAAUCCGUCGUCCUCUCCUUCCCUUCCCCCCCCCCCCCCCCCCUCACCCAAAAACAAAAGCUCGCCGUAGCUUUCGAUCGCCAUCCGCCGCGAAAACCGCUACGGAGUCCACGAACGCUGCGAAGACCAGGAUUCGAGGGUUGAAUUCGAGCAAUGCGGACGAAGACCGCAAUCGAUCUCUCCACCUCGCCGGGCGAUCGCGCCAUUUUGAUUGCGUGAGAUUGGAAUGAUGUUGUUGCUCGGCAGAAUGUGGAGUUGAGGGUGAUGGUUGUUCUGAAGUGCUUCAUUGCCACGGGUGGGGCCCAGAGGUAAUUGCAAUUCGUGUUCAUGUGAUCAGUUACUGCUCUGAUCCUCCCACUUGAUUGGGAUUGGGAGUCUAGCAUCGAGCAUGUCGGUUUUGAGGUUGGACAGUGAGGUUUGUAGUGUGAAUUUGGCAAAUUAGGCACUUCAGGGAUGGGGUGGAUCGUCGACCGUGUUGUGGAGCUGUAGUGCCUGAUUUAAUGGGGCAUACUAUUGCUGAAUUAUUUGGUUGGAUUAGCUAAGCUCUUGGAUUACCGAGUUUGGAUCAAUACUACAACUGGAAUAUGGUCAGAUUGAUCGAAUUUCCAUAUGUUUGUUCGAUACAAAUAUUUCAUCCCGCUGUUUCUACUUUGGGGGUAAAAUUUGUUGAGUGUCUCACAGUGAUUGACUAUUGGCUAUUUGGCCUUUCUCCAGUCGAGUAAUGGACUGUAGCUUGUAGGUUUCAGCAGACUAGCUUGAUGGGAAAGAGGAGCCUUAUGUUGUUCACUUGUUCGCCUUUCAUUGCAUUUGAACAUAUAGUUCUUUAAGUUCACGAGCAAGGAUGGCAGAAAUAUACUUAAAUAUUAUUUUGAGUUGAUGUUUCCUUGUGAAGUGUUCCAAGGCUUGUAAAGCUGUUUACAAUCACAUUCUUGCCAUGACAUCAGCGGAGUAUGCAUCUGCUGUAAGUGCUCUUUAUAAAGAUUUUCACAUUUACCUAGAGCUUGUUGUUGUUAUUACUCUUCAGGUUUCACCAUUUAAAUACAAUAACAUUGUAACUAGUUGCACAGCUUUUUAUUUUGCAUGUUUAAUGUCAGAUUUGACAAAACAUAGUAGUUGGACUUGUCCUAGAUGUGAUGGAAAGACCAAGGUAAUUUAAUAUGGUUUAAUACGACAUUGUUGCUAAGGUUGCCUGAAGAAUGGAUCCUCAGUACAGUAUUAAAUGGCCAAUUCUUCUGAUGAGAUUUUGUGGGCAUAUGCUGCCUCCUCUUAUUAGAUUCUAAACUGGUAAUUAAUUUUUUUUACAUGAAAGCAGGGGUUUGAAUUCAUUGAAUUGAUAGUGGGCAUUCAACACUGCUUACGCGCAGAUUAUUUCGUUGCAGUGGCUUACCAAUCUGCAAUGCUUACGAUGCCUAUACGUUUAAAUUGCAUCUAAUUGUUUAUAUCUAUUUCUAAACGUACAUAUAUGUUACCUGUAGGCAUACAUUGGGGUGGCCAAGGAUCUUAAUGCUGUGAUUAUAGCUUUUAGAGGUGCACAAGAACAUAAGUAUGCAUGUUAACUUUAGCAACUCUUCCUCUUACAUAUGACUUGCAAAGGAUUUGAUGAAAAUUUAUGCUAAGAAGAGUUGCCUCCCGUGAGUGCAUAAACAAGACCCAUGGGUCAGCUGUCCAUAAGAAUGGAAAAGGGUGAAUCAUUUCCACCAAGAUGCGAAAGUUACCUUCUUGUAAUUUUAGAUUGUUUCAUGAGAAGAUCACAUACUUAACUAAUUUUGAUCUGUGAAAAAUUCUGUCACCUCUCUGUCAUUUGAGCUUUUCAGUUAGUGAUUACUUAUAUUUAUGUCUACAGCAUACAGAAUUGGGUUGAAGAUCUCUACUGGAUAGUGGAAACAGCUUGAUGUACUACCCCGGUAUGCAUGGUGCCCUGGAUAGUUCUAGAGAUGAUAUGCCUCUUGCAAGCUGUGGAUUCUUCUCAUUUGGAUUGAGUUACAGUCUUACUCUAUUGAUUGUUGCUUGGGUUCAUCAUGGAUUUUACUAUACUUAUCACAAUAUUACAAUUCAACCUAGAAUUUUGGAUGCUGUUAUAAGAACCAAGGAUUUAUAAGGUGACAUCAAUGUCACGGUGACAGAGCAUUCUAUGGGAGGAGCUAUGGCAUCCUUUUGCGGACUUGGUCUUGUGGUAAGAUAGUUAGAAACUGUUCUGGAUAGUUAAAAACUAUUAUGGUCUGGACUUGUGAAUUUUAUUGCUUUUUUUUUUUUUUCCUUCUUCUAUCGCAUUCUUCCAAUAUUCAUAUGGUAAUCUAUUAAGAGGUAAUCUGUUAAGAGUCAACUGGAAUUCUCUGCCAAAUCUGUGCUGAAGAGUCUAGGCUAUUUAUACGGAUCUAGAACUUUCUAUUGCUCUCAUGUUUAUAUUCACAAUUCGUCAUAGACAGCAUCUUGUUUUCUUUCAGUUUUGGUAAGUCAAAUCCUAGACAAAACACAAGCAGAAUGGGGUGCAAACAGCCAUUUAUGCUAACCACCAAUUGUUUAAGUGUAUGGCAGUGUGAAUUGAGUCCUACCCAUUAAGCUACGGAGCUUCAAGUUGGUUGAAUAUUUAAUUAUAGUGGACAAGGUCACUUCAGACUAAUCAUUACAAAGUUUACUUGCUUAUGGAAUUGGAAUUGUUGAUAUGUUUAUGGUCUGGACAUAUAACUUUUUCAAAGCACUUGAAGCUCAAGUUUUAUGUCAUGUAAUCUUGAGGUGCUAAUGCAUUUUAAGAUAGAUUACAUAUCGAUCCUAAAUUUGUGUUUUGUGUACUGUUUCUGUCUAAGUCUCUCUCUAAUCAAAAGAAGCAGCUCCUUUUCAGUAGGACUACAAGGCCAGAUAUGUUGUUGGUUGAAGCCAAUGCUAAGAUGUCUAAAUUAUGCCUUUUCUCUCAGUUUUAUUGGACAGAGUGUUCUAGGGUACUUUUGUAGGCACCUGUUGCACAACUAGUACCGGAAAUGGUGCCCGAUCCAAAUUCAUGUUCCAUUGAUUCUCUUCUCAUUGACAAGAGGUGAUUUUUUAGAGUUAAAUUUUAUCUUGAAGUCUGAUUACACUAAUGUUCAUGUGGUCUAUGAUAGGAUCAUAGGUUGCAUGGACUUUAGACUAUGCCCUUUCUCAAAGUAUUAGUAGCAAUUAUAACAUCUUGUCCUAAAACAUUUAAAUGAUUUAAAAUUUUAUUUUUGUUUUCUGGUUUCUUGCCGAAAAAAUUUUCAAGCCAAUUGUGACGUCAUGCCCAUCCGUUGCAGCCCUUUUUAAGAUUGAGUUUCUCCUUUGUCCACGGUAACAUCAAAGUUCUCCUCAAUUGCCAUCACAAUCUCCACCUAAAAUGAGGAAGAACAGCGUUCUCAUCACAAUCCCAUUUUAUCCAACAAAGGAAAUAAGGUGGUAAACGUCGGAACCAGAUUUAAAAAAAGAAAAAAAAAAAGAAGCAAAUCAAUUCCCCUAUUGCAGAAGUACCGUCCUGCACCACUUAAGAACACAUGUGUUGACACCUAAAUUUUUGCCUAAUCAUUUAGUAAUUAGUUACAUGAAAAAAAAAUAAAAAAUAAAUAAAAAAUAGUAAAAUUGCAUUUCAUGUAGUCGCAUUUGCAUCAGUACUAAAAGGGCAACAAGACGCAUCGGCUCGUGGUUGAUAAUAUUCACAAAAAGAUGGUCUCUCUCUCCACUGAUCUGAACGCGCAUUAGAGAAAGCAAAAGGAUGGUCUCUCUCUCCACUGAUCUGAACGCGCAUUAGAGAAAGCAAAGAAAAAAUUCUCCACUGCACACGCGAGAAUUCCGGAGAAAGUUUGCAAGAAGAUGGGAUCACAAUUUUAUAAAAUUUUAUAGUGAGUUGUUGCAAGGAAUUCUCUCCUUCCUGGAGAGCAAAUCGGCUAGAGAAGAAAGAAGUUCCUACACGUCCAUUGUCUCUCUCUCAUUAUAAUGCAUGCAUUAAUUCCGCGGACGUGGUAGGGCCCUCGAUCAAUAAGGGUGCGAAUGGUAACGUUUCUGUUCUUUUUUUGUUCUAGGGAACAGAAACAAAAAAAAGUGUUUCUGUUCCGGGGAACAAUUUUUGAACAAAAGAACGCGUUUGGUAACGUUUGGUCCGGGAAUAAAAAAUGAACAGAAACACGUUUGGUAAAUUUUAUUCUUUUUUUGUUUCUUUUAAUUUUUUAAACAUUUUUAUUUUAUUUUUUAUUUUUUCCUUUCUUUUUAUUUUUUCUUUUUUAUCGGUCGGUCACCGGCCUCCGACGACCGGCCGACGUGGCCGGCAGCCUCGCCCAGCCACAGCAAGGCUUGGCGUCGCCGGAUCUGGGUGAGGCCGAGCCGGCGACGCCGAGCCUCACCGGGGGCCGGCGACGCUCGGCCUCGUCGGAUCUGGGCAAGGCCGAGCCUCGACGGCCAUGGCCGAGGCCGAGCCUCGACGGCCAUGGCCGAGGCCGAGCCUCGACGGCCAUGGCCGAGGCCGAGCCUCGACGGCCAUGGCCGAGGCCGGCGACCGGCGAAAGAAAAAAGAAGAAAAAAAAGAAGAAAAGAAGAAGAGAAGAAGAAGAGAAGAAGAGAAGAAAUGUUUCUUCAAGAAAUGUUCCUGAGCAAGAAACAACAAAUUGUUGUUUCUUUUUUUUGUUCUUAUUUCAUUCCAGAAACAAAAAAACAAAAAAAGAAUAGAAACGCAACCAAACGCGUUUCUGUUCCUUUUUUGUUCCCGGGAACACUUUCCGUAAAGAAGUGUUCCGGAAACGUUUCUAAGAAACGUUUCCAUGCACGCCCUAAGAUGCGCGAAAGGUGGUCUCUCUCUUGCUGGUAUGAAAACACACAAUAAAAGUCAAAAAAAUAGAAGAAAUAAGAGUGCUUCACGUCCAUUGUCUCUCCCUCAUUAAUGCCUGCACAUGCACGCAUUAAAUGGGGGACGUGAAAAUUCUACAGACGCCUGCAAGAAGAUGGACUAAUAUUUUUUAAUAUUAUCCUUGCUGAAGAGCAGAUGGGUAGCCACCAUAUUUGACAAAAAGAACCGAACGUGAGCACCAAGGAAAAGUUACGGCUGCCUCCUGUUCACCUGUGCACGCUAAAGUCGAUUGUUGCCUAUAAAUAAGCAAGGAUCCUCGGCUUAAAAAGGGGGGCAGAGGGAAAAAGCAAUGAAACAUACGAGACAUUCACUGGAGAGGUUUGUGAGAGAAAAAACUAUUAAAAAGAGCCCUUAGAGAGAUAGACGAGUGGAGAGAUUAAGGGCGUGCAUGGAAACGCUCCAAAGAAGGGUUUCCGGAACACUUCUGUACGGAUUUUGUUCUCGGGAACAAAAAAAGAACUUCUUUUUUUGUUUUUUUGUUUCUGGAACGAAAUAAGAACAAAAAAAAGAAACAACAAUUUGUUGUUUCUUGCUCCAUAAACAAAAACGAAGGAAACGUCUCUCUUCUUCUUCUUUUCUUCUUUUCUUCUUCUUUUUUUUCUUCUUUUUUCCUUCGCCGGUCGCCGGCCUCGGCCAUGGCCGGCGACCAGCCGUCGAGGCUCGGCCUCGCCUUGGUUGGGCGAGCUCGGGCUCGCCCAGAUCCGGCGAGGCUCGGCGUCCCCGGGGGGCCGGCGACGCUCGGCCUCGCCGGAUCUGGGCGAGGCCGAGCCUCGCCGAGGGCCGACGAGCCUCGCCGAGGGCCGACGAGCCUCGCCAUGGCUGGGCGAGGCUGCUGGCCGAAAAAAUAAAAAAUAAAGGAAAAAAUGAAAAAUAAAAUAAAAAUGUUUAAAAAAUUAAAAGAAACCAAAAAAGAAUAAAAUUUACCAAACGUGUUUCUGUUCAUUUUUUAUUCCCGGACCGAACGUUACCAAACGCGUUCUUUUGUUCAAAAAUUGAUCCCGGAACAAAAACACAUUUUUUUGUUUCUGUUCCCUGGAACAAAAAAAGAACAGAAACGUUACCAUUCGCACUGUCCACCUGCAUCUCGUCCUCUGCCCGCUGGACACCGCCGACUCCAUCCUUCCGACGAUUUGAGGACGUAGAUGUUGCAGCAACCCUCUGCUGCCUUCCUGCUCCCGGCGAGUUCCGAACGCCGCUGGCCGCUGUAGUCCCGUUCCUCCGCUCCCGCCUCUUGCUCCUCUUCCCGCCCGUUGACGCCAGCAACCUGACGCCACGAGCACCCGCCUCUACGCCUGCAGCUUGCGCCUUCGUUGCCGCGCCACCGUCCCUGCCGUCGCCGCUCAUCCCUUUGCUCGCCCGUCGCCGCGCCCUGCCCAUCGCCGCGCCCAUCGCUGCACCUCUACCCGGCGUCAGCAUCUCCUUCCAGCGAGAUCCGAGCGCGCCACCGUCUUCGCCCGAACACCAGCAGCAUCGUCCCGGACACCUGCACUCGCAACUGCGCCUCUGCACGCUCGCGACUCGGUCACGACGCCGCUCCUGCUGUCCCUCAUCCCGUCCGUCCGUGAAGCCGCCGCUGCCCGACGCCAUUGCUCUCCACCGCCACUCAGUCCCUUGCCACACCGGCGCCUGCACCACCUGGUAGCCGUCUAAAGCUCCGCUGCCGUGACCGUCCCCCGCGUCCAUCAUCGUCGCUGCACCACCGGAGUUGCCCCUCGCCGCGGCACAACUACUGCUCGCUGCUGCUGACCUGCGACGACUUGCUCGACUCCAGACGCUGCUGACAUCUUCCCCCUGCUCGCCUGAGUCGGUCUUGCACCAGCAAACCACACGCGACUCCUACUGUGGUCUUGCCGGAGCUCCUCACCGGCGUCUUCCCCCUGUCGGAGCUCUGACCGGUGUUGCCUCUCUCAUUGAUUGAGCUGCCAAGCCGUGCGUGGGAGGAAAACAAAAAGGCAAAAAAGGAAAAGCAAAUUAGGUAGUUUUGUUUAUCUACUUUAUUUUUUUUAAUUAUUAUUUUAUGUUACUUUACUUUUUAGUAGAAUUAUUCCUUAAUAUAAGAUUGAGAAUGUUCGACAUUAAAUAGCCUGUGAAAUUUGUGAUUGACAGUCCGAUUUUCGCGCCCAAAAUCCGACUUGCAAUUGCUUGAAAAAUCGCCAAUUCGAUCUCACGCUCGAGAUUCGAUUUGCAAUUUAUUUAAAAUUGGCCAAUCCGAUCUCAUGCGCGAGAUAUGGUUCGUCAAUUUGGAUGUCAAUCUUGCUCUGAUUUGCUGUCGUGCCGUUUAAGUUAAUUUCGCUUUCAUAAAAUAAAAUAAAAAAUCCAAAAAAUGUAGGCUAGAAUUAGGUUUAUUUCCUGUUUUAGGGAUUGCAUAUUUAGAAUGGGAAUUUUAUUUCGAAUUAAAAAAAAAAUCAAAUCAAUCAAUUUAGGUUGCUAGUUUUUUUUAACUUAGGUUUCAUGUUUAAUUACUUGACAAUUUUUAAUUUCGAAAUUAAUACAAAAACAUUAAAAAAAAAUAGAAUUAGGGCAUUCCUUGCAUGUCAUUGCAUUUUAGGGUAAAAUUUCAUAUAAUUUAAUUAUAGAUAAUAGUUUUUAUUAUUUAUUAUAAGUUUAGAUAAUUUUUUUUAGAUAGAUUGCAUUUUGGUUAGGGAUUUCUAAGUUAGGAUAACAUUCUAGUUUAAAUUAGGAUUUGGCUUAACCCAUUCCUAAUACAAAUUAGAUGAUAUUUUAAUUUAGAUAGAUAAUGUUCUUUUUUUUUUAUUUCGAAUUUCAUGAAAAAUACAAAAAAAAUGUCUUAGAAUAAAUUAGUUUUAUUUUCUAGGAUAAAUUGCAUUUUUUAAGAAAAAAAGAAAAAAUGUCAUGUGCAUGUCAUAUAUAAUUAGAUUCAUGAAAAGCAUGUCAUUUAGUGAUUGUUAUUAGGUUCAUUUAAUUAGAAAUUGCUCGUCAUUAGAAUUAAGUCAUUAGGUUAAUUUAGGUUGCACAUUUAAUUAUUACAUUUCUAAAAAAAAUUAUUAUUUUGCUCAUGUCAUAUAGUUUAGGAUAUACUACCAUGACAUAUCAUGUUAAAUUAAUAGCACGCAUUGCAUAAAGCAUGAUUCUCAUUAAAUAAGUGAAAACCAAAAAAAGGAAAUUGCGUGUUAAUUAGAAAUCAUAUUUAGGUCUGUUGAUGUGAAUUCCGAUCUAAUAAUGUAGAUGCUUUCGUAGCUAUGAGGUAAGUCCUGCAAUUUAUUCAUCGCUUUCUUGGGUGUUAAAUUGGUGGUUUGCAUACCCACAUAAUCACCUCACAUGUUAGGAAGAUAAAUUAAAAUCAAUUCAAGUUACUUGCAAAAACAUUUUUGAAAAUAAAAGGAUGGUACCGAAAGGGUAUUAGAGAAAUUUAGUGUAACCAAGUCCCCGAACUCACUAUCUCUGGUUCGUAAGAGUGAAGUAAUUCUCCAAUUGCUUUACUUGGUUUCUAAUCGACCCACCAAAAAUAGAUUAGUGACGACUCCAUGAUAAACAUCAUUUGCAUAUUAAGAACUUAAAUCAUAAGUUGCGAAUUGGUAUGAGCUUGGGAGAGCUCUAUCUAAGUCUAGGCUUAGCAAUUCAUUAGCCGAACCCUUACGUGAUCUAGGGGUGUCAACAGUUCGGUUCAGUUCGGUUUUUCGGUUUUUCGGUUUUUAGCUUUUGGUUUUCGGUUUUUUUUUUUUUUUUUUUUUUUGGGUGGGGACGGCUUACCUUCUGUAUAUGCUCCUUAAAAAAUUAUUAGAUUAAACAAGCAUCUCCUGGCAAAGCUAGCUGCUUCCUUAUUAUUUCACACACUUUAUCCUCCGUCUCCUUUUUAGCCUGUUCAUAUGUCAUUCAAAAGUUUAAAACCUACCUAUGGGCUUCGCUCUGAGUUGCAACAAAAUUGGCAAGACCAUUGGCAAGACCAAUUCAAGCAUGCCCCCAUGAACAGGACAAUGAUAGGCUUGAACCUGGUAUAAGCAAACUCCUGCUCAUCCCCUUUCCCCAGAAGCGGCAUGUUUCGAGCAACACAAUUAUAAUCACACAGCAAGAUCGUUUGACACAGGACAAACAUAAUGACCCAGACUUCAGAUAUAUGUAAGUUACUUGCAGUCACUUUGCUACGCUUGUUGUUAUAGUUGACAUGACAUGGUGGACUACUUACCGCACAUGAAACCUGGAAACGGCAUGCUUUCAGAGAUGGGAAACUUCUGCCGCCGACAGGGAGGGAGACGGACCUGACAUUCGAUAUCUUGCGGACAGGUACCUUUUAAAAAUUGUCAGGAACUAGUUUUCAGAGAUGCGGUCUCAUUCAAAGUGCAGAACCUCAACCGGGUCAGCCAAGCUCUCUGCCUAAAUUGCACAGAAUAUUUGGUAAAUUUACAUUUUGCACCCAAGUUUUCCGGAUAGUGGCAAAUUAUCCCCGUCGUUUCGAUAUUUGCAACUUGUUAACUGACUUUUCGAAAUUUGGAGGCCAUGUGCCCUCAAGCGUUGACUUGGGCAAAAAUUUUCUCACAUAUCUGACAACGUGACUUGCUAUUAAAGAUAAAUUGGACAUUUAUCAUUUAUGUAUAUGAAAAAUAAAUUAUAAAGACUACCCAAAGAUAUAUUUGAGAACUAUAUACUGAUAUGCAUUUGGUGUUGAUUCCAGUCAAAUUAUUGCCGGAGCUUUGGUUACAUGCUGUCGCGUGUAAUGUGUUUUUGAAUUUAAUAUUCUACUUUUUCAUAUCUGUUUACUCGUAUGAUAAAUUUUCCUUUUGUAAUUAGUCACGUGCUAUCGCGUGGUCGGAGCUCCAAGCAAAAUUUCACUAGAGUCAACACAAGGGGACACAUUGAUACGUACUUCUACCUUUCGGGGGGCGAGAUUGCAAAAAUUGAAAUGCCAUUUGGCAAUAUGCAACAAACUCAAGAGUUAGAAAAUACGUAGUUUGCCCCCAGAGAAUUUACUGAGUUUUCGGACCACUAGAUCAGUAGCAUGAAGCCAAAACCGAGUAUUGCCGGCCUGAACUCAUUAUUAAUCUCACGCAGUUCGUUCUAAGCAUCUGAAAAGCUCAUUUGGCAGUUUCGAAUGCAUGAAUAACUCAGCAUUUACCACAACUCAAUGGACAUAAAGGCCUCCAGCACCAAAGCAAAAGCAGAUUCAUCCUAGUCCGGGAAUAGUUAAUGUCAAGCUGAUAAUGUGCCUUGAAAAUCUAAAACUGGAGGAAAACAAAGAGUAUGGCACUCGCAUCCAAUAUCGAUCAUAAAACUAUGUCCAGCGGCCACAGCGAUCGAGCAUCAAAACCCGUCGUAAAGAAAACACAAGUCGGGCAAUCUUGAACCGACUGAUGCCCAUUUUCGUACCUGUGCUGGCUUCAAAGCGAACGAGGCGCGAGCCGGUGUUGCAGUGAAGGUGGCCAUUCCGAGCUCCGAUUCAACAGAUGGUGAAGGAAAUGAAUGAGAGAGAGAGAGAGAGAGAGAGAGAGAUUACAGAAGGAGAACGCGAGAAGUUUGUGAAAGAGGGGCGAUGUAUAUAUAGGGGAGAGGGAGGGAGCGGAAGGUUGUAGGACGGUGCUCGUUUCAAGUUAUCUGAAAAGCAGACAUCUUAAAUGAGCACUUUGCCAACUUUACAAAAAAGAAAUUCAAAUUGGAGCAAAAGAACAUGAGAGAAAUUGGCAAUUUGCCACUUUAAGGACGGUUAAGGAAUUUAGGUAAGUGCACUUUUAAUGGAAAGGCCUAGUCAACUUCUUCCUCAAAUUUCACCAUUUUAUCCUGGUUUUUUCUUUUGCCAAUUUUAUAUUUUUCUCUCUCUUUAAAGCUAAAUGGUAUUACAGUAUUAACAUAACAUGUAGAUGAGCGCCAAAUGAGAAAUUUAAAAAGCGAGAUAAAAUGGUGUUUUGGCUUUUACAUAUAUAGAUAAAAAAAAGCCGGUUUCUUCCUUCUUCUUUUUUCCUUUUUUUUAAUGAUAUAUAAUAAUCAAAACUAGAAGAAAAGUUUAUUUCAUACUGACGUGGCUACACUGCGAUGUAUUGAAAUACAUGUGUACAUGUUUGGCUAUGCAUCUUUGAAAGUUGCUGUGCUACAGAUAGCUACGAUGACUAAUAUGUUUGAUUGCUGUAGUUAUUAGAAUGAAGAAAAGACCUUUUAAUAUUGUCGCAGAGCUUUUACCAAUGUUUAUAUCUGUGUUAUUGGAACUUUUGCAGGAAACCAUUUUCACCAUUUGAUGAUGAUGAUGAUGAUGAUGAUAGUCGAAUCCGGAAUUGACAUUUUGAGAGGACUUCAUUUCCAACUGAAAUACCAAAGUAAUCCAUGUUUAUACAUGAAAUUGCAGAAGAAAAUAUGAGGCAGUACAACGCUGAACCCUUGAAAUGCACAAUCUACUACAGCCCAAUGAGGCGGCAACCAUAUGUAUCCAAUUGCAAAGGGCCACAAGACCGACCGUACAAUCGCACAGGAAAGGAAAUCCCACUUGGAAUUGCUCUCCCCACCUGUCUUCCUCAACAUCAUAUCCUGUUGAACACAGUAGCAAUCUGUCCCUGUGAGCUUAACUAUUCAGAUUUUGAAAGGAUGUGUUCUGCACCAUGUCUUGGAGAUACAGCAAGAUUGGCAUGCCAGGUGAUGAGGGUAAAGAUAAAAGUUCAUACUACUCGCCAUGCAGGUGAUGGGGGUAAAGAUAAGCGCAUCUCUCUCUCUCUCUCUCUCAAUUGUGCAAACUUCUCUCCUCUGUUAAUUUACUACUGAUGCUAAGUUCUGCCUGCAAAGUUCUGGCAAGUUUUUUGCCAUUAUCUUCUUUGAAAAAUCAAAAAGAAAAGUGGGGUUCAGAGGUGGAAAGAAGAACAGCUUGAAGAGAAACGGAAAAGCGCAGACUUGCAACAGAAGGCACGGAAAGCUGUUUGCUUUAAGAUGCAUGACAACCGUGCAGAUGGCCAAUGUGGUCUUCUCCACCCAAAAAACAAUUGUUUCUCGUGGCCCGAAAUGGAAUUUUAUAUGAUUUGCAUCCGAAUAGAAGAAUAAUAUCGUAAUCUAAUAUCAUCUACCGCCUGCAAAGUUGCUAUUAUCUUCGUUGAAAAUUCAAAAGAAGGGGAGAGGCAGAAAGAAAAACAACAUAUGAAGAGAAACAGAGAGUGCAAACUCUCCAUAGAAGGCACAGGAAAGCAGUUCGCUCUAAGAUGCUCGAUAAACUACUAAGAAACGAUUUCAUGUGGUAUCUAAUGAAAUGUUAUAAGAUCCUACAUCAAUGAUAAUCGUACUUUGCGCUCCAAUACUGCCUGCAAAGUUGGUAUUAUUUUCUUUGAAAACUCAAAAGAAGGGGCAAUGUAGAAAGAAAAACCGCAUUGAAGAGAAACGAACAUCACCAACUCUCAACAGAGGGCACAACAAAGCUGCUUGCUUUAAGAUGCAUGAUGAACUACUAAUGAACAAUCAUUUCACGUGGUCUCUGAUGAUAUUUUAUAAGAUUUACAUCCGAAUACCAGAUCGAUAUCGUACUUUAUGCUCCACUACUGCCUGAAAAGUUGCUGUCAUCCUCUUUGAAAACUUCAAAGAAGGGGGGAGAGGCAGAAAGGAAAACAACAUUGAAGAGAAACGAACAUCACCAACCCUCAACAGAAGGCACAAGAAAGCUGCUCGCUUUGAGAUGCAUGAUAAACUACUAAUAAACAAUCAAUUCACGUGGUCUCUGGUGAAAUUUUAUAAGAUUUACAUCCAAAUACAGCAUCAAUAUCGUACUCUAUGCUCCACUAUUCCCUUGAAAGUUGCUAUCAUCUUCUUUGAACGCUCAAAAGAAGGGGAGAGGCAGAAAGGAAAACAACAUUGAAGGGAAACGAACAUCGCAAACUCUCAACAGAAGGCACGAGAAAGCUGUUUGCUUUAAGAUGCGUGACUACCAUGCAUAUGGUCAUUGUUGAAUUCCUACUUAAAACCAAUUAUUUUUCUUGGCCUCUGAUGAGAAUUUAUAACCAUUUACAGCCAAAUGGAGGAAUAAUAUUUUACUUUAUGCUUCAUUACUAUAAUAUAUGUACAUAUCUAUUCAACGCAACCAAAAGAAUCAUGUUUCUCACACAUAAAUAGGACAAGUUUUUUGAGUGUCUGAAAUUUUCACGUUCAAAAUGUUAUUGUUUUGCAUGGAAACAUUGUGACUCAACGCUGGAGAAUUGAAAUUCAAUUGUAAACUUAUUGUAUGAAUUCAAAUUCAAUCCCAAACAUUUUAAUUCAAACAAUUUUAUUUUAAACCUUUGAGUGAAAAUGUAAUCAAAUCCUCCAGGUCAAGUCUCGCCUAAUUGGCAGUCCAAUUGUUUGUCGUUGUACGUGUCCCGAGUAGUGAUUUGACGUGGACAAAUUUACUCGAAACGAUGCCAUUGUUGCUCAACUCCACAAGCCGUCAACCUUGCCUAGAACCGCCCUCUCUCAAGUUGAUUUCUAUCAACAGUCACAGCUCAGCUAGAGCUGGCACCUCCAAACGUGGAAGCUCGGCAGUCGGUCACCAUGCCCAUCGGGCUCCUUAGCACCUCAUGGAAGAUGAUUGUACAACCCUCAAAUUUUUAGUGAUGUUUGUUUUUCCUCCUUGACCCUUCCAUGCCAUGCAAGAUGAUUGUAUAACACUUAAUUUUUUUAUUUUUUUGACGUAGAAUUUUUUAUUUUAAUUUUUAAAUAACUUUUUUCUUUUCUUUUUUCCUUCCUUCUUCUUCCUCCUCCUCUAGCUGGUCACGGGACCUCGGUGACUAGCUAGAGACGAGUUGACAAGGCCAACCUCGCCCAACCAUCGCAAGGCUCCCUCAAGACUGGCGAGGCCACCCUCGUCAGCCCUCCUCUCUAGCCGAUCACCGGCUAUCAUCAAGGCUUGACGAGAAGAGGGACAAUAAGAAAGGAAAUGAAAAAAGAAAAUAAAGAAAAAAGAAAAUGACCUUCAUUAGAAACUGUUCCUGAGGACAAAUAAGUAAAUUCGUUCUACUUCCUCUUUUCGUUUUAAAUCCAUUUUCUGUCUACUGAUCUAUUUUGAAAAAAAAAAAUUAACUAACGUUAUCAAAUAAAUUUUUACUUUUUUUUUUCUAUUUCGGAGAAUGAAAUAACAGAAAAAUAGAGAUAAAAUUAUCACCAAAUAGGACCUAACUUUAUAACUGAAUUUGCAAUUCUUCCAACUCAACCUAUGCCUAUUAUAAGUUUUCUUUUCUUUUAAUAAUUCUUCCUCUAUUCUGUCUCCUCUCUUCAUCGGUAUAAAAUGGGUAAUCAGGGAUGGGUGGCUUGUGUAGUGGAAGAGAAACCGUAUUCCCAAUGGUCGACACAGCGAAUUUGGGUCCAAAUUCAAAUCCACCAGGGGAAGUAAACUGACCUCUUUCACCACUAAAUCAUCACGCUGAGUGUUGAUUUUAACUCCAUAAAAUCCUCUGACACGUCUGCCCCUCAAGACCUUCCGGAUUAUAAAAGCGAGAGCAAAAGUCAUAUCCUUUUAUUUCCAAUCUUUACCGACACAGAAAAACGGAUUUGCGCAUAGUUAAUAUGAGAAAACAGCUAUCCUAUACAUUGGCAUUUAGUUGAUAAAAAAGGUUGAUCAAUUUAUGGAUGACAUGCAGAGACUUGAAUUCCAUCCACACAUAGAUAACGUGCAGCCAAGGCUACGUCAAAGCCCCAAUUCAUGUAUUAGAUACUAUGCCAUCUAAAUCCACCAAGAGAAAAGGUACGCAUUUUCGACUCCAGCAGAUGAGAUAUCCUUUGUGAUGGUAGUCUCGGAAGAAGAAUCUUGCUUUUGGUCUCCAUAAUUUGGCAGCAAUGAUGGUGAUUCCACUGGACUGGUUAGGACUACUUUUAUCUUCCUCUCCUCUAUGUAUUUACCACUUUCUUUAUCAAAUUUAAAAUUUAAAAGAAAACUUCUCAGGUUACUUGACCCAAAAGAUUAUGGAACACAAAGCAGCAAAAUCUACCAUGUCAGCAGUAAUUUCCUCUUCACCUGCAUACAAAACUUGUCUCGACACUGCAGGACAGGUGGAGCUACCUGCUAUGCUUACAUGGUAACGGCAUCAAACAGAAGAUAGGAUGAAGGGCCUACUCUAAUUCUUUCGAAGUAUCAGGACAUAGCUUCUGAGGCCUAUCAUGGUUUUCCUUUGUCUCAAUGUAUAUUAGGCUACUAUGGUAGGCAUUCAAAAUCUUAUUCAAAGAUGAUCCUUACUGCAAUGCGACUGACAUUACCUUAAGCAGUUCAUGUCCUAGUAAUAAUACAGUCUUACAGACAUGUCGUGGCAAAGAAAUUGCAAAAUAAUCGUUCAGCUGAUUCAAGUACUGUGGGCAUGUCCAUCCUCACAAGUAUGUCAGUGGCUUUUUAGUAAGUAUGUGAACAUGAUGUUUCACUGACUUGAGCAGAACAAUUUCGAAUCAGAUUAUCCAUUUGGUUGAUGAUGCCUACAUUUGGCCGCACACAGAAUUUCUUCUGAGACGUAGCCUUAGCCUGGAAUGUUUUGGAUAUCCAGUAUAGAGCUCAUAAUGUUUCUCCACAUGUCCUAAUCUGAAAAUUAAAUUACAUCAAGAGAAUACAAGAUUGAAAGGAAAUUGUUCACCCGUCAUAACCUAAAAAAAGAAAAGAUUGAUCAUGGUGAAAGAAAAGGUCCAAAGAAUACUCACCUUGAAAGCAACAUACCGAUCAGUCUUAUUGCCUAGCGGAACCGAGCAUGAGCUUUGUUUACUCAACUCAAUUGCAUAAACACAGAGAAGAGGCUUCAGAUAAAAGAACUUAAGAGAAAGGGGCCCCGACAUGAGGACAGGAUGUGAUGAAAUGGACCAUUGCACACUUUCUUUGAUAUAAUGCAGUAAUGCCAUCUCGUCUUGUUCGUUUGUUUUCUCUACUAAUCAUUCUCAUAGUCAUUUGGUUAAAACGACCAUUCACCCGCUUAAUCUCCAGAAAGGAAUUCACCUCACAAGUCAUUCUAAGAGUUUGUGGUGUGAGGAUAGAAACUAUGCAAAAAAGAAAAAAACCUGACCAAAUAUUUGAAAACAGCACAAGGAAAAGAAUUUGAAAACAGGGCGACCAAUGACUAAUUCAUACAUGCCAUUGAAGCUUAUGCGUUAAGUUAUUUCCCUUACCAUUUUAUAUGAUGUUGAACCGCAAAUUCUCAAGCAAAUUAUUGUAGAACAGAGAAAUAUGAUCCCCUUCACCUAUUGCCUAAUAAAACAGGAGGCAAGCAAUGCAAAUUUAACGUGGCUCCAAAAAUUAAAAUAAACCAAAUGCGCAGCACUAUAUAUAUACUCACAAAUUAAACUCAAGUUCAUGAGGCCAGAUCUCCAACAGCUCUUCAGCCAUGAUGACAACUAUACCACUGAUCCACAUGAAACGACAGGGCACAUAGCAGGGUAACAACAAUCAAGCAAAAAGCUCUGCAUAAAGCUCAAUUUCAUGUACCCAUUUCAUAUAAAUCCGAUCACGUGCAGUCUCAAGCACAUUCCUCAUUUCAAACACCAAAAUUGCACAUGAUCACCAAACACUAGACAGUCAAAACUUAGAUGGUUCACACUCACAUGAAGCAUGAUUCAACACCCAAAUUACGAACACAAUCCAAGAGCAGUUCAGGAUUUACCAAAAACCAGAGCGCUACAUUUGGCAAUGAAAGCCUAACCUUCGGGGGAGUAUCUUACAGGUCAGAAACUUCCUUUGGCAGUGAAAUCUUAAUCUUCGAGGGAGUAUCUUACAGGUCAGAAUCUUCAUUUUGACGGAUCCCAAGAAUGAGAAAAUCAAACUCCAGUGCAAGUUCACAAUGAAGAACACGGCAAUAAUAUCAGCUAAGGGAUAUGCCAUGACUCGCAUAACCCGAGAGAAAUCGCAGGAAAGACCCCAAGUCAGCAGGCCUAAAUUAUCGCUAACCACCUCUCCAAGACACAACAUAGCAGCGGCAGCAGUACCAAACUCGAGUAGUCCCUGAUGAUAGUUGGGUUGACUCUGACUUGGCAAUAACAACUUCGUGCCAUUUUACUCGGUAAACAAAAACAUAAUCUUCAAUAUAUGCAGCACUAAAAAUUCGUAAGAACCAAUGUGUCAGGAGUAGCAUUGAACCGAGAAUCCAAGAGAGCAAACAUGUUUUCCAUUAUUUGAUUAUUCAUACAAUAAAUUUAUGACUGAAUUUGCAAUUCUCCCGACUCAAUAUCUAUGCUUAUCAUAACUCCCCCCCCCCCCCCCCCCCCCCCCCCCCCUCUUUCUCUCUUUCCUUUUAAUAAUCUUCCCCUCUUCUGUACUCCUCUCCUCAUCUGUAUAAAACGGGCAAUUAAGGGCGGCUUGUGUAGUAGAAGGGAAACUGUCCUCCAAUGAUCUACUGGUGAAAGUAGACCCGAAUUCUAAACAACCAGGGGAAGAAAACUAACCUCUUUCAACUUUGUAUCACCUUGCUGAGUGUUGAUUUUAACUCCUUAAAACCUCUGACGCAUCCAACCCUUUCGGGAUGCUGGCAUCAAACGACAAUCCUUCUGGAUUAUAGGAGUGAAAACAGAAGUCAUAUUCUAUCCUGAGACAUAGAAAUGGAUUCACGUACAAUUAAUAAGAGAAAAAAGCUAUCCUAUACAGUCGCACUUAGUUGCUAAAAAGGCUGAUCAAAUUUUAGAUGACAUGUAGCAACUUGAUUUCCAUUCACAAAUAAAUAACAUGCAGCCCAGCCAAGGCUGUGGCAAAGCCCCGAUACAUGUAUUAGAUACAAAGCCAUCUCAACCCAGAAAGACAACAAAGUGACAUAUUGAUGUUUUCUGGCAGUCAUACCCUGAGAAAAGGUGAUGCCUUUUCGACUCCAGCAGGUGAGAUAUCAUUUGGGAUGGUAGUCUCGGAAGAUGAAUCUUGCUUCCGGUCUCCAUAAUCUGGCAGCCCUGAUGGUGAUUCCACUGGACUGGUUAGGACUGCUUUUAUCUUCCUCUCACCUAUGUAUUUACCGCUUUCUUUAUGAAACUGAAAAUUUAAAAGAAAAUUUCUUGAGUUACUUGACCUGAAAGAUUAUGGAACAUAUAGCAGCAAAACCUACCAUGUCAGCAGUAAUGUCCUCUUCACUUGUAUCAAAAACUUGUCUCUGCACAGCAGGACAGGUGGAGCUACCUGCCGUGCUUAUAUAGUAACUGCAUCAAACAGAAGAUAGGAUGAAAGGCCUACUCCAAUUCUUGUUGCCUAGCGGAAUCAAGCAUGAGUUUUGUUUACUCAACUCAACUGCAUAAACAUGGAGAAGAGGCCUCAGAUAAAAGAACUUAACAGGGCACAGCAUGAGAGCAAGAUUUGAUGAAAUGGACCAUCUUACAUUUUCUUUGACGAUAUAAUGCAGCAACGAAAUCUCAUUUUGUGCAUUGGUUUUCUCUACUGAACAUUCUCAGUCGUUUCAUUACAACACUCACCUAAUUUAUAUGAAGACAGAAAUUCACUCACAUGGCAUUCUAACAGUUUGUGGUGCGAGAAUAGAAACUAUUUAAAAAGAAAGAACCUGACCAAAUAUUCGGAAACAACACGAGGAAAAGAACUUGAAAACAGGGCAACCAAUGACCGAUCCAUACUCGCCAUUGAAGCUCAUGCUAUAAGAUAUUUCUUUUACCAUUAUUUACGAUGUUUUUUUUUUUUUUGGUGACCCAUUAUUUACGAUGUUGAACCACAAAUUCUCAAACAAAUUAUUGUAGGACAGGAAUAUCAUCCCCUUCACUUAUUGCAGAGUAAAACAGGAGGCAAGCAACGCAAAUUGAAUGUAGCUCCAAAAUUAAAAUGAACCAAAUGCACAGCACUAUAUACACUCACAGAUAAACUUGACUUCAUGAGGCCGGAGAGUGAUUCAGCCAUGAUGAUGACUAUAUUGCUGAUUUACACAAAACAGCGGGUCACAUAGCAGGGCAACAACAAUCAAGCAAAAAGGUCUACAUAAAGCUCAAUUUCAAGUACCCAUUCCUAUAGGGUGCGUUUGGUUUGGCUUUUGGAGAAACCCUUUAGGUAAUGCAAAGGCUCUUAGCCUAAAUGAGUUUUGUGAAAUGCAAAGACUGUUUGGUAAUUUGCAAUUUUAAAGUGACUUGGGAAGUAACAUUGGGAAAAUACUAUUUGAUAGACAUAUAUUUGAAAAGUCCUUUGAUGUAAUCAAUUUUUUUAAUUUUUUUUAAAUUUAAAAAACACACAAUGGCAGCAACUUUUAUAUUUCCGCAUUAAGAGUGAUGUAAAAGAGACAUAUUAACAAAUCCAAAAAAAAAAAAAAAUUACAUGAUAAGUGUCGAAAAUAAUAGGGCCCUCAGAUUUACAAACAGUAAAAAAAGUUUAAUGACCAAUGGGCUAAGUUGCUGAGAAUAUAAAAUAAAAUUUAGUUGUUUAUGAUGUCAUAUGAAAAGUCUCAUCUAAAACUGGCAUGUGAUAAGAAAUAUAUCUCUUAUUCAGCAAUAGAACAAUUAGACACGUCUCAGCUGCAAUAUGACAGCACCAAAAGUCAUAUCUUGCACUUUCUGAAUGGACAACUGAGCACCUCUUUGCCUUAAAUGACUAUCAAUUUCCCCAACCGUGUCUUAGAGGUCAAAAAUAUUAUGAGAAUGGACUGAACCGCCUAACACUUCCUGGAGAUUGAUUGCAGAGUGAGCACCACAUGAACACAUUCGUGGUGGCAACCAAAAUGAGGCUUUGCUCAUGUUCAAAGCCUAAGCAUGCAAGAAAAAUUUAGAGCUCCGACUCUUGAAGAGCAGCGGACUUCUUCUGCGAACCUCAGAUUGCUGACAAAUCGAGCAUUAGCCUUAAAAAACUGUUCCUCUCAUAAACAUAAGUACAAUCAUAACAUCUCAAUUCACAAGGCAGUGCAUGUAUUAAUAUACACAUCAUGGAUAUUCCAAAGAACUUACAAGAGAAGACAACUCCUAGUAACUGCUGAGUACAAUGGAAAUGAACAUUCAAAGCCCAGGAUUAUUCCUGGGAAAAAUGGAAAAGUGGGGAACAGACUUUGACUUACAUCACAUGAAGUAAGAACAACAUAAUAAGUGAAUUUAACCAUCCCAUGGUAUUCUAUUAGCAAUGGCAACGUCUACUGAUUCCAGUUCUUCCACGACUUUAGUCCUGGAAGGCCACUUGUUAGGAGUCAUUUGGAGGCAUUGUAAAGCAAGUUGGGCUAUUUGGAAUGCAGAAUCCAUAUAUGUAGGGUAUAGGGACAAUAUAAAUUUGGUUCCCAUUUCCGGCAGGUUGCAACAUCAUGAGCGACCAGUUUCCUCUAAAAUAACCAGUAUUUCUUUUCGGUUUCUGAAGAAGAGGAACAUCUGCAGAAAUUGAAAAGUUAUGUAGGCAAUGCAACUGUGGAUUCCAUGCCAAAGGAUUUAAGUAGCCAAAAGGAAACACACCUUGCAUUUCAUAAGAGGGGAUUAUAGUGAACCUCAUAUCCAGAAACUCAACCAAAGCUCUGCAUCAAUUGAAAGUAAGGUUAACAAAAGGAAAAACUUAAAAAGAAAAUCGAGUUUCAAAAGACCAGUUGCUCAUUGAACAAAAGCAAAAGUAGAUCAAUUGCAAAUGUUUACAUCUAGGUUCUAAAUCAAUCAAUAUAUUUAACCCUACCCAAGUAGCUGUUCUAAGCAAGCAAAAGAACAAAUAUUUAAUUUCCGAGACGAAAAACAAGCAAGGCAUCACAAAGGAGGGUCUAUGUGUAUAUGUAUGCAAGCAACGCUCUUUUUUCCAAGACAACCAAGGAGUAAAAUAUACCCAUUUGAAAUUUUAACGAACCAAACCCAAGAACUUCACAUUUAUCACAUUGCACCUACUGACGAUUUGAACCAACAAAACAACUAUGAAGAAGAAGACAAGCAAGCAAUACCCUCGGCAGAGGGAACUUAUAAAUCCAAUUGCCAAACAAUAAUUAGGCUGCGAAUAUAAGUAUCAUCUAGGGGGCUUUUGCCCUCCUUCAUGCUCUCCAACAACGACCAAAUAAGCAUUGAACAUCAGUGACUCACCGGAAUAGAUAACUUCAUCAUUCUUCAAAAUCCUGCAUUCCAACAGCUGCUCGCUGCCAUCAUACGGCAUUACCUAUCAUAUAUCCGACCAUCAAUCACAGCAUGGACUAAUCUACUCAAAACAGGCUCAAUCACGUAGAGUAUUACAAUCAGAAGCACAUAACAGAACAAUCCGUGAUGAUAGAAAAAAUGAAAUCCCAAGCAGCACUGAGCUGCUGCCGUUCAGUUUGAUUGAGCAAGCUAAACUUGGGAAAAAAAGGGUAAUAAAUCGAUAGCCACUGCAGUUUUGACAUAGAUUAGCCAGUCAAACCGAAUCACGUCCUACCCAAUCAAAGGCAACUAAAUUGCCAAUCAGGUUGAGCUGGACAUCAAUGGUAGAGAUUAGUAGUGAAAGCAAAGGUACCUUGCCAGUGGUGGCACAGAGAGAGAGGAAGCCGUCGCAAUAGACCUUGCGCUUCAGCUUCAGCUUCAGGUGCUUCUUGAAGGUGACAUUCCAGCAAGCACGGUCUAAAGCACAUAGCUCAUUUCAUCAAACACCAAAAUUGCACAUGAUCACCAAACACUAGACAGGAAAAACUUAGAUGGUUCACACUCACACACACUAAUUACAAACAUAAUCCAAGAGCAGUUCGGGAUUGAAAAAGAAAACCAGAGCACAACAUCUAUCCAUUCCUAGAACUUGCAUUGCCAGCUCAAAAUGCAAGCAUUGAGUCCAUCAUAGAGGAGUCAUACUGGAUUCCUGAAAGCUCUGACGUAUUCAUCUGUGGGAUUCUGCUGAGUCUGGAUGUUCUGUGUAAGGGCAACAAGGAUGUUGAUGCCAGAUUUCUGUCCCUCAAUAUUCUGUUUGAUGCGAUGUUCGUUUUCCUAAUCAAAACUCCAGAGUUAAAGCAUAAGCUGGCCGACUUGGGUGCAAUUUCUCCCUCUCUGCCCAGCCUUGAUUGAGGGUGAGGACCCCUAUACCAAUGUGUGUGCAGAAGCUCCUUCCGCUGCUCAUAGAGUUCAACUUGACUAAAAUUUCUGAGAUUCUACAACCAAAGACAGUCAGCCACUGCUUCAGAUUUUCACUUGGUGAUCUGUCCUGUGCAAAUGUGAAUGAUGUGGAGCUGCGCGUGGCUCUGGCAUUGGCUCUGGAAAUGGAUCCCAAGUUGCUUUCUCAGCUGAAAGUAGUACAGCUUAUUGGAAACCUUUUGGAGUUUGUGCAUGAGAAAAAUAUGGAAGAUUUUCUCAAAAUGAUGUUUGGCUUGUGCAAAGCUCUUCUUUUAUGAUCACUAGGUUCUACGAAAGGUUCCACAUACAUGGAAGAGCCAACACUACUUGAUGAAAGUUCUUCUGAGGCAGUGAGUAGCAUAUGACACAUAACUGACUUUGGUGGCAGUGCCUGUGUUUUCCGGGAAUUGAGUGGUUCUCAUGACAGAAACAGUGCCGAUAUUGCUUCUAAAUUAACAGCUCUAUUACUGAAGGCAGCCCCAAGGGAAGGUGCUCUCUUUUUCUUACCAAUCUUAUGUAAGUGAGUGCAAUUCUCAAGUCUCAGCAAAAGGGCGCUCCUUCUCUACUGGUACAGCGAAUGCUGCGUUCUCUCAGUUACUCCUAUAGGCGAUGUUUGCUGCACAGAAUGAUUUUUGUCAGUGUGCCCGUCAAAGAUUGCUAUGAUUGAAGGCAUCAUUGCUGAGAUAAAAUAUUCUGGUGCUGUUGCUUUAGCCAGUGCUGCCACACUGGUAAUCUCAGAAUUGUGGUGGCUCCCUCAUUUAUGACUUCUCCAUAACAUUUGCAAAUCGCACUAAGAAGCACACCUUUCCUGAAAAAUAAACUGAACUUAAGCAUGGCAAUACAGAGUGUCUGUCUACUUCAAAGUCACAACAAUGAGUUGAUUGUGCUGUAAAGUCCCAGGAUGAAAGCCAUAGUUGUAUGACCUUCCAACACACAUUCCAUCUAUUUGUUUACAGCAUAGCGAAUUUAUCCCCAAUGCGAAGUGAGGUUAUCGAUUUCAAAAUAUCUGUGAAGCAGCAAAUCAACAACGAUCUCUAAUAAUUUGUUACAUAUCAAAUAAAAAUGAUGCAAUCGACAUGCAUACCUCUAGGAGAAACCAUCCUAAGAAAAUGUAGCUAAAAAAGCCAAACCAAACUAGGAAAAUAACAAAUACUUGAAAAUAAUUAAGAGCCCUCUGGCUGUUCAGAGGCAUCAUAAUUUAAAUACCUUCAUCAGAUUUUCAGACAAGAAUCCGCUAAAAGGUCAUUAAAAAGUGCAUGCCAAACUUCUCUGUUCAUAUCUGUGAAAGAAUUUGAUUGCCAAAAAAGGAAAACAUUGGUACUUACCUCAAUUCGUUUAAGUUUGAACACAAGGGAACAAUUUGUGGUCGUGCAUCAAAAAGCUUCCAAGUGCAAUGUGCACUUAUUCAUCGUCUUCUUCCACAAAUUCGUCUUCUUCAUCGUCUUCGUCCACAAAUUCGUCUUCUUCAUCGUCUUCUCCCACAAAUUUGAUGGACUUCUCCGAGCAAAGCCGAGAAAUUUCCUCCACCGCUAAUUUCCCACAACGUCUUAUUGUAACCUGUCGCAGUCCCUUCAAGCUUGAUAGAUCAGGCAACUUCUGUAAAGAUCCACUGUCUUCAAUCUUCAAUGUUUCCAAAGAUUGGGGUAGUUCGCCUUGAAUCUCAACCAGAUUAUGACAAGAUUCUACUGUAAGAAUUGUUAGUCUGUUCCAAUUGCUUAGAUCAGGGAUCUGCAUCUGUUUAAAGCCACGAAGCAGCAACUUAUGUUCACUUGUAUAUUCAAACUUCUGAUUGCAAAUAUUCACACAAACAUAUGUCGUACCCAUUAAGCUGAACAGAUCGGGGAACUCCUGUAACGAAUUACAGAAAUUAAUUGUAAGAUUAGCCAAAAACCGCGGUAGUUCGCCUUGAAUCUCAACCAGAUUACCACAAUCGGUUACUUGAACACUCCAUAGCUUGUUUAACUUGCUUAGAUCAGGUAGCAUCGCCAGCUGUCCGACGCUCUCAAGGCCCAGCACUCGUAGGUUCUUCAAACAAUCAAGGCCUUCAAUCUCUGCAACUGCAGAGUAAAAAAUCUCGAGAGACGAUAGUUUCCUCAAAUUCGAUAGAUCCAUCGAGCAAAGUGAGUCGCGACCACGGAGAUGUAAGGAGGAUAAACUUGAGGGAAGCCUCGGGAGGCGACGCGGAUGAGGAGGGAGGCUCAGGUCUGUCCAUGAGGCGGUCCUCUCAAAACGGCGCAGUCCCCUAAAAAAGCGCAGGUGCAGAGAUUCCAAUUUGCUUAAGUUCCCAAUCCACUGUGGUAUCGAUUCUUCCAGAAGCCCAUCAGAUUUCCCAUCACAAUUAGGUGGGCCAAAGCCUAGAUGCAAUUCCUUUAAGUUAGCGAGAUUUGAGAGAUCUGGAAACGUGUCCACCCUCAACUCCUCCAGUUCUAAUUCCAUGAGACUUUCAGGAAGCCUUGGUAGGGCGUCUAUUCUCACCCCUGACAAUCUCAAGAUCCUCCAGGAUUUAUUCUCACAGAUGCAAUCACCAAAUUCCACAUGCCCGUAAUAAUAGUUGCGGAUCAAGGAUGCCACGUGCCCAUAAAUCUGCCUGCGGAUGAGUUUUAGUAUUUCAAGCUUCUCCAUCGUCCAAAAGGCAUUGUGUAUUUUGCUUAUGCCACUAUUAUGCAUAUUCGCUAUUUUCAAAUUCUUCAACUUUUCGAUGGAAUCAGGUAGUUCUUUGAUUCUCGUGUAACUUAUGUCCAACUCAAUCAGCGAUUCCAAAUUCCCAAUCGUCUCCGGCAGCAUCUGAAGACUCCUACAACCGCUUACAUCUAAUAAAACCAAGCGUUUCAACUGAUAAAUUGAUCCAUCAAUUUUGAUUAAUGAGUUACAGCUUGAUAAAAUCAAAUGUUCUAAAUUUGAAUGAGUUGAGAACUUGGGGGUUCUCUCUAAGUGUUGGCAAUGGGCCAGAUUCAGAACUUUCAAAUUCUUAAUCACCUGUGAAAGAAAAAUCAUGCAAAGCUUACUUUUGAAUCUAAUAAGGUGAAAGAAUAAGUAUUGUCUAACAUAUAACGUACCUUCAUGUGAUUCCACCCCUUCCAAUAAUGCGUAAUUUCACUCUCAGAUAGAUCAAGAAUAAUCACAUUCUCCAUGGAGAAAUUUGUAAUCUCAAAUGUUGGCUGAAUUUUAUGCCAAGAAAGCCAUCGUAAUCGUGGAAGGAGAUUUGAAUUCUUUUGGAAUAUAUUAGUUGAAAGAAUAUCUAAUGGACUUAUGUGCCAAAAAUUCUCAACUUCAAGGAACGUUAGAUUGGGUAGGUUCUUGAAGUCCUUAUAAGUAAAAUGAUGCUGAUCGUCAAACUUGAGAUGAAGAGCUUCAACUUUUUUCUUCAUCUGUCAAAGAGAAAAAAUUUAAAAACAAAAGAGUUGAAGGGAAACACAUUUAUCCAAGUUCACUAUUUUAAGGGGUUGAGUUGAGUACUUUUAUAUUCCUUUAAUCUUAAAAGAGCAAAAAUAUUGGUUUGAGUAGGUCACAAUGGUGCUAGAGAACACAAAAAUAAUUGCCUCCUUUUGAAAAGAAAAUGUCCAUAAGUAACUUGGAGAUUUAUUUUUACAGGGAAUUUACCUCAUCGCUCUUCAGCAAAUCCAAUCCUUCCUUGGGAUUCCACACACAACGUUGCUUCUCAAUUUUCAUCUUGCUUUCUUCACGAACUAUUUCUCUUCCAAGGUCUCUAAGUUGAUCAUGCAUCCACAAUUUAUUAUGUUCUUCAAUUUUUAUCAAAGACAUGUUCUGCAAAACUUCCAAGGUUGCUUCCGGAAAAAGUUUAGAUGCAUCCCAGAAAAUAACCACAAUGUCUUUGCGAUAUCCAAUGAAAUUACAAGCUAUAUCAAGGAAUACAUGCUUCUGCCGAUAAUCUAAUGCAUCAUAACUUAUUUUCAGCUUAUUCUGAACUUCAACAUGAGGAACACUUUCUAACAAGUUCAAUGUGGCAUCCCACAUUUCCUUAUUUUUUCGGGAUAAAAGUGAACCUAUGACUUCAAGGGCUAUUGGAAGACCUCCAGCAAUGUGUAUCGCCCUUUUGGUAUGGUGGAUGUACUCGUCUAAAGGAGAAUCUCUUCUGAAGGCAUGUUUGCUAAAAAGUUGAAGAGAUUGAUGGUGAUCCAUGCCCGUAAGCUCAUACCUCCAAUCCACUUUAUGGAGAACAUCUUUUCUUCUUGUAGUGAUAAUAAGUUUACUCCCUUUACUAAACCAAUCACGCUUACCUACAAGGGCAUCCAUAUGAUCAUUUUCUUCCACAUCAUCAAGAAGAAUGAGGACUUUUUUAUUACGCAACCUCUCUUUAAUGAUCCUAAUCCCUUCAUCAAUGUUUCUUAUAUCUAUCCAUUUCACCUUGAGGAUGUCACAGAUGAGCUGCUGUUGCAAAUACUCAAUGCCCUUGAGCUUUGACGUUUCAUGGAUGUUGGAAAGGAAGCAACAAUUGUCGUACUUGUUAGAAAGCUCAUUGAAGAUGAUUUUGGCAAUUGUCGUCUUUCCAACGCCACCCAUCCCAUGAAUUCCUACAAUCCGCGUUUCACUUGUAUGAGCACCAAUCUCUUCCAUGAUUUUAUCCACAUGGUCAUCCACAUUGACCAAGUAGUUUGAUACCACCAAAUAAGCCUUUUUCAACUCAUUGAAAACCUCCUGGGUAAUUGUUUUUGCGAUCUCACCUUCUUCCCUAAUGUUUGUUGGAGGUCAAAUGGCAAUGAGUUAGAAAAUUGUCUUGAAUCAAACUAUGUUUCGAUAAGAACAAAGUGAAAACUGAAGACCUAAGUGAAAUGCGUUAUGUAAGGAUUUACUCCAAUGUAGAUGAAUUAGCAUUGGUACACAUGAUUAAUGAAUGACCUAAAUUGGAAAAAAAAAAAAGUUGUUUGGUUGUGAUUUUUACAGUAUAAUUUCAAUAGCAUAAAAUUCAAUUUCAGCAAGGCUAACACAAAUCUAGAAAAGAAAGCAAUUGAACCACAUCAAGUUUUAAUGGUACAAGGCACAUCAAAGGAAUGAUAGAGGCAAUCACCUGUUGGGGAUGCUUUGCAAGUCCCAUCCAUCUAGUUCCCCAACUGCCUUGAGAGCAGCCUUCCACUCACAUAUAGUCGCUUCAUCAUAUCGCUUAUUGUUUUCAUGUGAAAGAAAGGCCUUUUCAUAACCCUUAGUUUGGUGUCGAACCUCUGAAGGUCCCACGUCAUAAAAAAUUGGCAUAAUCUUUUGUCCCCUAAUUUUUUGGCACUUGACCAUUUGGACUAGCUCCUUGAGACACCAUGUGCUAGAGGCAUAACCCAUUGAAAAUAUAGGUAUUGAGAUCUUUGAUUCACUAAUUGCUCGGAGAAGUUCCGGGCCAAAAUUUUCCCCCUUGCCGAGCUCUUUGUCAUCCUUAUAGACGCGGAUUCCCGCAUCUAUCAUACUAGUGUAAAGGAAGCUGGUAAAACCUUUUCGAGUAUCUUUUCCGCUGAAACUCAAGAAUACUUCAUAUUCAUAUCUUGAUGAAUUAACCAUUCCCUGACCUUCUGUCAUAGUGUGAGUAAAAGAAGCGUUCACUGCUAUUCCAUCAUUUUUACAGGUACAUUGUUUUUUUUGCACUCCUCUCCAUUGAUUUCACUCGAUCUAGUCUUCAAGAAAUACCAAACAGUAUUAUAUCAACAAAAGUAGUGGCAGCUAGAGAUGGAAAAUGUUUAGAAGCCUAACUCGCAAAUAAUGAAGAUCUUUGUAGGUCAUUAAACUUAGUAGCCUGGAUAAGCUAUGCAAAGAGUUAUGAGCUAGUUUGCUACAAUUGUUUAAUAAGAAUAAUUCAUUGUAGCAUCACUCCAGCCUGUCAAAGUUGACAAUGCUUGUGAACGUAGGAGUAUUAAAUCUCGAGGGGCAUUAACACCUUAAGGAGUUUUAAAUCUCCUGGGAGAACGUUGACAUAGCACAGUGCAAAGUUUUCAUUUUAAAUAAAAUGGCUCGCUCUUCUCAAAUCUUGAGAACAUAAAUUAUUCCCUAGGAGUUCUAAAUCCUAAGGGGAGAAGAUGAACAUGCUCUCAUUUGAUAUAACACAAUGCAAGGCAUUCUUUUUAAAAAAGAGAAGUUUCACACUUCUCAAAUUUCUACAACAUAAAUUGUUUCUUCUUAAUGUCACUUUUGCAAAUAUGACCACCACUCUCCCUAGAAUGGAUCAAAAUAUUAACCAGAGUUAUUCAUGUGGUGGGAUAGUUGUAGUUUGAAAUCUUACACGUUUCCAAAAUUCCAUUAACCAAAAAUGGAGUUUUAUUUUGUGCAUGCUAGAUUUAAAGAACCAAUUAUAAACUUAAAGUAUAACUGGUAAGUAAAAAUUAACCAAUAACUUGUGAGUUUGGGCAAUUGUUAGAAAGUUAUAAAAAAAAAAUAGUUUUUUCAUCCUCAGACCAAAUAGUGGAUUACCAUUUUUUCCUUUAGAUUUUUACAAAUGGGUUAGUAUUUUUGCUUGUAGAAUAUGAAUGCUUACAUAGUUUAUUAAUAGUCUCAAUUGAUGUUCCAACUUACAAACAAAAUAACUAUUUUUACCCCUCUAAAUCCAAGUAUGGUGUUAACAUUGUUUCAAAUUUAUGAGUAGCAAUGUUCAUCUGUAAAUACCAUGUGAGCAAAAUAAUCAAUUUACCAUGUGGAAAAUACUCUUGUAACUUACGAGCAAUCGUGUGCCUUUAUAAGUAGGCAAGUAUUUUUGGUAGUAAAUUACGAGUUGAUUGCAUGUUUUGUUAGUAGUUUCGGAUAACAGCCGUAACUUACAAACAAAUAACUAUUCUACAGGUAUAAAUCCUUACUAUAUUAUUAACCUUGUUUCGAUAUUCUGAGUUGCAAUUUUAUUGUUAGUAACAUGUUGACAAAACAAUUGAUUUACCUGCUUAAAAUAUUCUUGCAGGUUACGGAUAGUCGUUUUCUUUUACAAGUGGCUGUGUUCUUCCUCUAGUAGAUUACGAGUUCCUUACAUAUUUUUUCCUAGCGACAUCAGUUUAUAUUUGUAACUUCAUAAUAAAAAAACCUAAAUUUUUUGUAGAUUAUUAACAUUGUUUCGACGUGUAUUUCUAGUAACAUACAAACAUAUUUUAUGCAAUUGUAUGAAUGCCAGAUGAUUGUGUGUAUUUGUUUACUAGUGAUAUUGAUGAUUAAUUGUACUGAUGAAGCGUUCUACUUGUUUAUAUGGUCAACUAUAAGACACUGAUUAGAAGCUCCGAGAUGACUAAAUAUGCCACACGAGACGACAUGGUGGUACUGUUUUGAAUUGAUGUUGCAACAUGAUUGGACAUUGACAAAGUUAACGAUAUAUAGUGUUUGGAACUUAUAUAAUAUACAACCAAAUAAUAGUAUGGUUGUGUUAUUCAGCAUCUAAUGCAUAAUACAAGGUUCAAUAGCAACUUCGUAGAUGCUUCCAACAUAAUUUGUUUGUUUGAUAAUCUAAUCAUGGUGGUUAAGAGUUUGCUCUAUCUAGGGAAGAGUGGACAUAGAGUAUUAGCUUCCUCUAUAAUUACUCUAUAAAAUUAGGAGAGGCGCAUGCCAUCAUUGUCAAGCAUCUCAAAAUUAAAGAUGUCCACACUGAAUGAUUUUGGUAUUGGCACUGGGCUCCAACUUAAUAGACUAAAAUUAUGAAAAGAAGAAGAAGAAGAUUCUUCUCAUAUCUAAGCUCGAAAAUUUGUUCUGUUUAAUAUUGGUCCUAGCGAUGCGCUCCUCCACUUUCCAAUAUACUAACAGUGUCGAAAUUUUUUCUGCCAAGGACUUGCAGACAUUGUGAGACCGUUAGUCUAUAUGAAUUCCGAGUUGAAAAUAAAAUACUGAUACACUGCUAUUCAUUUGAUGUGUUAAAAUAAAAACUAAGUGCCAAUAUUGUAGCCAUUACUUCAAGUAUAGCUCGACGUUCAAAUUGGAUUGGAACAAGGGUAUGAGUCUAAGUAGUUUAAAUCUAGCCUCCAUGGCUCUACCUCUAUGAUUUGAUCACCUUAUGUGAUUCAAGGAUCCUAUUGCUUUCAACUUCACCUUAAGAUAAAGUGUAAAACCAAUUGAUGAUAAGAGUUGGCAAUUUAUUGACCACAUGGAUAAAAUUUCAUAAGAGUUGGUUAAUUACUUCAUUGAUAUAUUGGUAUAUUUUUUAAUAGUGCUGGUAAGUAAAUUUCAAAGGAGUUGGUAAUAUAUUAAUUCAUUAAAAUGUUGUUAAAUUCUUGUCUGUGCCAGUAAUUCAUUUAUGAUCCUGGUAAUAAGAGUUGGUAAUUAACCACUUGACUCGUAUGUCAGCAAAUUCUUGAUAAUGCUGGUAAUUUAUUUAACACAUUGGUAAAAUUUGAGAGUGGGUAAUUUAAUACUUCCAUGUAGUGUUUGUAAAUUCUUGACUGUGUCGGUAAUCUACUUACCACACUCAUAAAAUUUUGUAGGAGUCAGUAAUUUACUACUUUGUUGGUAUGUUGUUAAAUUUCUAAUGUUGCUGGUACUUUACUUAACAGCACAGACCAAAUAUUUCAAGUGAGUUAAUUUACUAAUGUCGGUAAAAUUUUGAUAAUCUUGUAAUUUACUAAAUUUCUUAAGAAAUGGUAAUUUACGAAUAUUUUGUUAGUCAGCAACCAUAAGGUUUCAAGCUUGAAGUACACUGGUGAAUGGUGGAAUAGCAGAGAUGAGAGCUAGAGCUCAAGAUCAGGAUGGAGUAAUUACAAAAAGCCAAGGUAGUCUCCAAUUAGACUAUUGCUGCGGUACUGUGGAAUAUUUGGAAGUCAGGAAACCAGGCCAUCUUCAGGAAUAAAAAACCAGAACCAAGCAACCUUGUGGAGUCUGCUUUAGCUGGGUUGAGGAGUUUCAACAGAUGGAACCAAAAUCGAGCGAAUCUACUAAGACCAGCAACGGGUCGUCACGAUUUUGGAACCCACCGCAGGCUGGAACACUAAAGACAAACAUAGACGGUGCCUACGAACCUGGAGCUACUGGAGGCUCGAUCGCUUGCGUCUGUCGUGAUUCCGCCGGGAGGUUGGUGGACGGAGUGGUGCGAGCAGUAGCGGCGCCUUCUGCGUUCGGGGUUGAGGCUCUUGCCCUCUUUUAGAAGCCCUAACUCUGUCUGUAUCCUCAAAGAAAAGAAGCCCAUGUACGUGAGUCUCACAGCUUAGAGUUGGCCGAAAAGCUGUGGAAAGUUCAGACAGGUUCACGUGGGAAGCUCAGACGAUUAUCCCGAAGUGCAAAGAUUUAUUAAUCUUUUUAAAUUAUUUUGGUCGGCCAUUUCGUUAGAGAGGCCAAGUCGCGGACUGGGUAAAGCCCAUGAGAGAAAGCCCAUUUAUCAGACCUUCCGAUCUUUUCUGCUUAGUGAAUUACUUUUCACUUUAUGACAAAAAGAAGAAGAAGGUAGUCUCCAAUCCCAAGGAGCGAACGUGCGAGUGUUCGGGGUUGACACUUCAUAAUGCCCGAUGCACACUUUGUUUUUUCCCCCAGAAUGCCUUUAUUUGAUAGUGAUAACAUUCAAUUGCAACCUUAUAAAAGCUUCUAAAAGAAUGCUCUCCAAGAUUUCACUUUUAUUUGUUUUUUCUUUGAAGAGUGGUAGCUAAUUCAACUUUUUGUCAUAUGACUGUAUUUCAAUGCAACCCAAAACCACAUGUAUACGGCAGUUUCGUACUUUCCAUUUAGUUCAAUUGGACGACAUCCACUUUUCUAUUGAUUGAUGAUAUGAUUGGCUAGACUAUUUACAUAUCGAAGUAUUUCUGAACAUAUGGUGUUUGUUUGCAAGUAUCUUUUAAUUUUCUAAAUCAAUUUUAUGGUAAUUAAACAUUCCAUGUUUUACGAUAGAACACAACCUCACUUGAUCCAGAGGUGUAAAAAUGUUCCAUUUUGAAAUUCAUAAAUUCUUAAGUCUUUUCAAGCAUAAAUCCAAGUGCGACAAAAAAAUGAAGUUAUUACUUACGUUGACUCGAUGAGUAAAAAAAAAAAAAUCUUGGGAAGUACAAAUGGAAGAUCAAAUUUGUUCUCUAAUUAUAUUCCACUAAACUUUUGUUUUAGUAAUCAAAAGUCCAGAAGUCUUGUCACAAAUUUUCAAAUCAAACUCCUUCCAUUCAAAUCGAAAUUGAGCUUCCUCCAUUAGCUCAAAAGCUCAGUGAAAAGGAGAAUAUAGGUAGGAUCCCACUGCCUAACUCCUACUCUUUUGAAUAGAAAAGAAAGACUUUUCAUAUAGAUGCAGGCCUUAACUAUCUAGACCUUUGUUCCUUCCCACAUAAAAAUUAAGGAACUAAAAAGGAAGGUCAUUGAACUUAGAGGCCAAGGGGGAUUGGAUGAAUAUGUAGAGAGAGAUGUGGGCCAAUUUGCUACAAAAUUUGGUCAACAAGGAUGGUUCCUUGAAGCAUCACUCCGCCAUAUCAAAGUUGACAAAUUAUUACAUUUCUUAACUCCACCAUAUCAAAGUUGAUAAAUUAUUACAUUUCUUAACGCAAAAAAUCAAGGGAAUGUGGUGCCGAAAUUUUGGGAUUAGAAUCAACUUUUGUCUCCAAAUCAGUGGGCAGAUUCAUCCAAAGUCAAGUCAACAAAAGCAAACAAACUUCCAAACAAGUUCAUUUCCCUUCAUCCUAAUUUAGGUGAACUCCAAACGGUCUAAUUUACUGGGCCGAUCGGGCCCAGGCCCAAAUUAACUCCGAAGCAUAAAGCCUAGUGGAAUUAUGGAACUUGAUCUUUGUCAAAGGACUCCCCUAGCGAUCAAUUGAAUCAAGAAAAUAUUACAUUUUAUUUCAAGGGUGAACCAUUCUUCAGAUUUAACCUAUUGUUAGUGUCAAUAAAUUGCUCGUCACAAAGCAUUGUAGUUGGACAUUAAAUCCAUGCAUUGUGCUGAUUAGUAUACAAAACACUACUAAAAUAGAGUAUACGAAAUCAAUGUGUAAGAAUAGUCUUGUGUCAUAUUAAAACUUUUAGCCACUAACAAGUGUGUUAAAUAAGCUCACAAACAUGAUGUGGCCUAUUAGAUCCCAUUUGGAUUUUAACUCAAUUAGCAUUUUCAAAUUCCCAAUCGAACUUGGAAGCCUCUCCAAAAACUGGCAAAAUUUCAAUGAAACCUUUCCAAUGACUAUAAUGAAUAGAAAAAUGUAUAUUGACUCCCCCAAUCUCAAGUAUGAAAUUUUCCUAUUUCAUGUAAUGUUUUUCGGAGGUGUGGCUCUUCAUUUUCUCAAUUAAUACUUGUGGAUUAUCUAAUACAAAAGAAAAAGAAAGAGAUGAAAAUAUAAGAACUUGCAAAUGACGUGAAAUUAUUCCAUUUUGAAUUUUGAGAAUUGGAAAAAAAAAAUUGCCAUGCUUCUAUUUAUUUGAAAUUAAACGAUUUGGAUCGUUGUUUCAAAUUUAUCUCAACGUUGGAUAAUGUCAAACAAAGUCCAUUUGCAAUUGGAAACAUUUUUUAAUAUAAUUAAGAAUAGUUAUGCCUCCUUUUCAACAUUUGUGAAUCCAACUUAAGAGCCAUGCUUUACCCCAAAAACAAAUUGAACAUGCGUUUAUCGAUGUAGAGUAUCCAUCUUCUUCAUGUUGCAAUUUUGUGUUGGUUAUUGUCGUAGAGGUGAUGGCAUAAGUGCUGAGAUACCUUCAUACACAUUGUAAUAGCUACUUUGACGUGUACGGUAUGAUGAAGUUAACGUUCUCUAUGUGAAGGAUGGCAUCGACUAAUUUCAAAUACUGUAAGACAAAGCAGCAAUUUAUAAGGUAUCUCAGAUAAUUCACCACAUAAUAAAUUGACAAAAUAAUGCUCUUGGAAUUUAUAUGAAUUGACUUGACCUCACUAGGUAAGUUAAUUAGGGGCUGCAUGGAAACACUUCUGUUCUUUUUUUGUUCCAGGGAACAGAAAUAAAAAAAAAAAUGUUUCUGUUCCGAGGAACAAUUUUUGACCAAAAAAAUGCGUUUGGUAAAUUUGUUCCAGGAAUAAAAAAUGAAUAAAAACAUGUUUGGUAAAUUUUAUUCUUUUUUUUAUUUCUUUUAAUUUUUAAAUAUUUUUAUUUUAUUUUUCAUUUUUUCCUUUCUUUUUUAUUUUUUCUUCUUUCGGCCGGUCACCGGAGGUCGGUGACUGGCCGACGGGGCCGACAGCCUCGCCGGCCCCCGGCGAGGCCGAGCCUCGCCGUGGUUGGGCAAGGCUCGGCCUCACCUUGGCUGGGCGAGCUCGGCCUCACCUUGGCUGGGCGAGCUCAGCCUCGCCCAGAUCCGGCAAGGCUCGGCCUUGCCAGGGGCCGGCGACGCUCCGGCGAGGUCGCCGACCCUCAACGGCGUCGCCAGCCCUCGACGGCCGGUCGCCGGCCAUGGCCGAGGCCGGCGACCGACCAAAGAAAAAAGAAGAAAAAAAGAAGAAGAAAAGAAGAAGAAAAGAGAAGAGAGAGAAGAAGAAGCGUUUCUUCAAAAUUGUUUCUGGAACAAAAAAUAAUUUUUUUUUGUUUCUCAUUUCUAUUCUUUUUGUGUUCCAAGAACAAAAAAACAAAAAAAGAACAGAAACGCAACCAAACGUGUUUCUGUUCUUUUUUUGUUCCCGGGAACGAAAAAACAAAAAAAGUGUUCAGAAACAAAAAUGAGGAACAAAAACAUGCAGGCCCUUAGCAAUUCAAAGCCGCUGAAGCGUCUAAACCAAACAAAACAAAACAAAGAAGAUCUGAACAAGGGUACUCGCAGAACUAUAUCACUAGUCAACAUGCAAAGUUCACAUGAGAAAAAGAUUUAUAUAAACCUCUUUGUAAUUGAUAUGUAUAACAGAGUAGGAAGCACUUCUUAUCAGGAAAAAAAAACACUCAAGAGAGUAGGUGUCCAUUCUUUUUUCUCGUGCAGAAAUUUGCCAAGUUUGAUAAAACACCUCCAUGACGUGCUGAGUUUCCAAAUCUCCCGUGGUGAAUGCCUACCCGAUCUGACCGAAUUGAGGUCAUACAACAAUCCUUUUUCAAGGCAGGAAGUCCAUGUGAGACUUUCCCUUCCAUCUUGGUAGUUUGUAGACGUAUUCUCCUUUAAGACGGAGAUUCUUGAUAUUUGUCCGUUAAGACCAGCAUGCGAAUCGAACAAAAGUCAACCCUAAAAUCAUGCACCGCUUACUAUCUAGUCAGGGGUUCACACCAAUAGCUCUUACAAUACUUUCUCUUCAUGUGAAGUACUCGAAGAUGUAGGCUGCGCAUGACAAUGCUUCUGUUCCCAGGAAGAGUUUUUUUUUCAGAAAUGGUUUUUUUCUAUUUCUGCUCCGAGGAACAAUUUUUGAGUAAAAGAACCCGUUUGAUAACGAUACAAAAUUUCUACUCUUGGAAUAGAAAAUGAAUAGAAAUGCGUUUGGUAACGCAACAAUUUCUUUUAUGUAUUUAUUCAUUUUUUAUUCUUGUCGACGGAUUGCCGUCAGUUGUCGCGGCCGGCCCGCCAGCCGCCGCCGCCGCAUGACUGCCGGCCGCCGACCGUCACCACUGGGCGCCGCCAGAAGCCCAUCAGCUGCCCCCUAGGUGGCCGAGCGAUCGGUGGCGGGCGGCGGCGGCGACUGGCGGGCGGCGACGGCGGUCGGAGAUGGCGGUGGGCGGCGACGGCAACGGAGGGCGAACGGCGGCGGCGGCGGCGACCGACAACGGCGGCGGGAGACCGGCGGUGGCGGCGGGCGGCGGCGGCGACGAUGGGUAGUGGCUUCGGGUGGUUGACGGUGGUUGCGGCAAGAAAAGGAAAUAAAAGAAAAUUAAAAAAGAAAAUCAACUUAUUUCUAAAAACUGUUCCCGGGAACAGGAAGCAACUUUUUUUUGCUUCUUGUUUCUGUUCCUAAACCAUUCUCGGGCUAAGUUUUUAUUCCCGGGAACAAAAAAAUAAUGUGGUGUUACCAAAUAGUUUUCUGUUCUUUUUUUGUUCCGGGAAACAAAAGAACAGAAACCAUGAGAAACAGAAGCGUUCUCAUGCGCUACCAUACUGACCGAGAUAUACUCCUGUCAUCGCUUUAUUCAAAUCAUUUCACUGUUCCCGCUACUCCAUGGUUUAUUGCAGCGUCAUUAUUUGGACUGCCCUUUCCAGUGAUCCAUCUUGUGCUUGUUAGACUCCUCUGGAAGAAAUCUUUGAACGAAACAGCAGAAACAAUGAUGGUAGCAACUGUGACCACACGUAGGGCAACCUCAAGUGUGUCAAUCGUUUUGUGCUAAGCACAAGUGGUCCACCUCGGCAGAAACAACAGUCAUUGAGCCGCUGCUGCUCCCCCUCCUCGUCGGAGGCAUCGGACGACGCCUGCUGGUUCGAGGGCUUGGCCAUGGCAGUGCUAAGAACCUGUGACAUCCCGAUUUUCCAAUUCUAGUUUCAAUAAAUUGAGACGGGCAUUUCGUUGGCACGCAUAUAGUUCUUUUCCUUGAGUCAGCCACUCAUAUGAAAACUAGUCUAUCGGGUGAAGCUGUUAAGAGUUUUUAAUGCAUCAGACUCGAGAAUUUGACCAGGAAGCGACCUUUCGACCGAGCUAGUCUGUAAGGGUCAUUACGGCACAAUUAAAAUCGAUAAGAGAUCGGAGAUAGGUCGACUCGACAGAGGCAGGUGAUCAGGUGUGGGUGAUUCCACCAGAUCGCACAAUUCGUGUCGAUCGGCACUAGACCGAUUUUUCUAUCGAUUGGGUACCCUGUAUUCGUAUUUGAAACCUCGAGAUUACCUCGACAACCGAAAGUCGCCAAUGUUUCAAAGAUGUACAUUGUGGCUUGAGAUGAUCAACCACAGGUCAAAUGCAUGAAAAUUUCUAAAUGCUACCCGGUAGGUUGGGCCGCGCUAGUAUCGUGCCAAAGUGAAAUUAACCGUGGAAUUGAGAUCGAAUUCAGAAAUUGGAAGUCUGGGUGUGUCACAAAUUAUUUCAAGAUCAUUGAAUCAUCUUUGAAAGAUUUUUCAUGCAAGCCGAGCCUUUUAGCAAAAUAAUCAAGAAAUGGCUAAUUUGGCUCGAGAAAUUAGUAUGCCGUUUUUGGUCGCGCUUUUGGGAUCUAAGUUGAUUAUAUAGACAAGUGAAGAUGUGAAUUAAAGUGUGGCGAUAUUGGAUUAAUUUUAUGGACUUCAAUUGGACUCAAUUGGAAGAGAAUUGAUGAGAAUUGAAGAAAUUGGAUGUACAAGAAUUGGACCCCGGCGGAAAAUGAAAUUGCAACCAUUGGAAAAUGUUGUGGGAGGUUUUGAGAUAGUGGAAUAUGACAUCACUUGGUGAUGUCAUGGUGUGGGGCAAGAAUGGCUAGGAUGUUGACAAGUGUAAGGUGGAGAUUUGAUUUCAAAAAGGGCACCUAUCACCAUCAUCUUCUUCCUUAAAUCAAGGGAGCUUGUUGGAUUUCGAAAAAGAGGAGAGAGAGAGGGGUGAACGAAAACCAGCAGCUCGCCUAGCCCGCACGCAUGCCCCCUCCGCUUGCUCGCACGCCGUCGUCGCCGGAGCCAUCGCCGUUGCCGCCCGUUCGCACGCGAAGCCUCGCGUGUGCGUUCGCCGUUCCACCGUCGUGCCAUCUCCCCUUCGUCCGCGCAUCCCAGCCAUCAUCCUUCGUCGUUCCGAGCUGUCCGCCAUCACCAAGACCGCCGGAAAGCCGCCGGAGCCACCGCUAGCAACCAUUCGAGCAUCCGCCGUCCUCCUUCACCGAUUUCGCGCCCGAACCGCCGUCGGACGGCCCUCAUUUGAGCUUGGACAUUAGCUGGUUUUAGUGGGUAUGGCAGCCAAUGUUUGGCCCGUUUUGGCCGCCUUCCCGAGCCCGGAUGCUCGGCCCGCUUCGAGGAAAGUUGUUCUCCUCGGCGUCCCCGUCAUUUUGGUCUGCUCGGCUCGCUAAUCCGGUGAGUUUAACUCACUAAACCUCGCUUAGAGGGUUAAUUAUGCUUUAGGUGUGCUUAGUUUAUGCUAAUUGUGAUUAGGUGGUUAGUUUAAUUUAUUUAAGUGUGGAUUAUAUCAAUGUGUUUAAUUAGCUUAAAGUAAGUUUAAUUUAAGGCUAAAUGAAGGUUUAUAUUAAUAUAAGCCUUGAUGUGACAUAAAGGAAUUUACUUUUGAUUUAUUUAAAUAUUUCGAAAUUAUUUAAUAAUUUAAUAAUAUAUCAUUAUUCGAAAUUAUUAAAAUAUUAUUAUUUAAUUAUUUUCGGAAUAAAUUUAAUUAUUUAUUAAAUUCCGAAAAUUUUGUCGAGACCCUAAAUUCUCAGAAUUUCGUGCCAGUCGCUGCUGUGUGUUCGGAUUUUGAAAUUGACGAUUGGAUAUUUUAAAUUGAGCGUGGAUCGUGAAAAAUAUGGAUAUUAUUAUUAUAUUAAUUUUCGGAAUAAAUUUAGUUAUUUAAUAAAUUCUGAAAAUUAUUUUGGAACCUUAUUUUCUUAGAAUUUCAUGCUGAUCGCUGUUGUGCAUUUAGAAUUUGAAUUUGGUGAAUGGAUGCAGCAAAUUGAGUGUUGAUUGUGAUAAAUAGGGAUUUUAUUCAUAAAAACUCAAGUGUCGGGUUUUGAUGCAAAAAUUGGAUUUUAAUGAUUAUAUUAAAUAGUGGGGUUUGAAAAAGUGAGAUAUUGGCUUUUUGAUUCGAAAUUAGCGUGUCCCCACACAUAUGAGUAAUUUAUGGAAUAUUUUUAAUAUGAAGAAAAAUGGCCGGGAUCACUAUUUUAAGUGGAAACGUUGAGUUAAAUGCAAAGUGUCCCGGGGCCGAGUAUGAUUUGGCUGUGUGAUAAUUAAGAGGAAUUGUCCUGGGCUGUUGAGCCGGACUUGCCCCUAUAUGGGAUGCCCACGUGGUGGUUGCAGGUCGCAGUAGAUUCUGGGCCCAUGCUCCUUCGGGAAUGCCGUCGACGUACUGACGAAGCCGCGCUCCAUGGGGGGAGGCGAUGCCUAGCAUUAGUGUCAGUAGAUAGCCGAACUGCGAGUAGGCUAUGCCCUUGUGUGGUAGUGAAUAACAAUUGGAAUGCAUGUUGAGUGUUGUUGAUGUGUCGGAUUAUGGGACGGAAUUGUGUGGCAUGGAAUGGGACGUGUCAUAACGAUUUAGUCUUAUAAUCAGGACCCCCGCGGUUGUUGGAUAUAUGAAAGUGAAUACGUUCCGAUUGUUUAAGUUCCUAUUACUAUCUGUGAUUGAGUGAUUUGAAUUGCGCUAACCUGCAGGAAGGAACUGAGGCGAGGUAAGUCUUCUGUGUGAUGUGGCUAGGCCACACUUGGGCGUAUUUUCUUUCUAAUAGGGGUUUAGGGGGUUGAACUUGCUGAGGCGUUGUCUCAGUGGUUAUUGAAUAACCAUUUCAGGUCCCUGGUGGACGGAGCGGCCAGAUAGCUUUGGUUGGCCUUGAGGAGUUGGAGAGGUGAAGUCAUAAGGAUUGGAGAUCGUGUACGACUUGUAGGUCGUAGGAUAACCUCUUUUUAAGAGCCAGUCUUUUGUAGACUGUUGGCCAUAAACCCCUGUUUGUAAUUCUGUUGAAUUAUGUUUAAGUGUUAUGUUGUGAUUUUGCUUUCUGCUUUUCUAUCCCGUAUUUUAUUGUCAGGGGUUUUAUAGUAUGUUCCGCUUGCGCAAUAAUGAAUCAAUGGGGUUGGUGACACUACAUGGGAAUGUCGCAUUUGAUCGACCGUAGUGGGAUGUGCGCGCGCUCGAGGUUCGGGGUGCGACCGGUGACGGCGAGUGGCUGACGGGCGGUGAACGGCGACGGCGAGCAGCCGAUGGGCGGCGACAGCAGGCGGCGGGGGCCGGCGGCCGGCGGCGGUGGCGGGGGCCGGCGGCCGGCGGCCGAUGGCGGGUGGCAACCGGCGGAGGAGGAGGAGGAGGCAAGAUGUCGUAAAGGAGAUGAGAGUUACCGAAAUUAGGGUUUGUGGGAGAAAUUAUUUCUAAUUUCUGUUUCAGAAAUUGAGAAGUAGAUUUUUUUCUAUUUUUGAUUUCUCAUCCAAAUCUAUUCCAGAAAUAGAAAAACGGAAUAGGUUUAUCAAACGGAUUUCUCUUCCAGAAAUAGGUCUGGAACAGAAAAACUAUUUCUAGAAUAGAAAUUUUGGUUAUCAUGCGCCCCUAAAUCUUCCAAGAUGAAUAUCUCUAGAUAUCAUUGGAAUUUUUUAUCAGCAAAUUUUCACUAAGCUCUGCAUCUAUUUUUCUAGCUUUUCCUGCUUCCAUUUUGCACUAGUUAUCGUGGUUAUGACAGAGAAUCUCAUCUUCAAUACUUUCAAAUACUUCUUUUUAGCCUGCUCAUAUCUCGAGUUGGUCAUUCACAAGUUUAAAACCUAUGUAUGGGCUUCGCUCCAAGUAGCUACAAAAUUGGCAAGACCAAUUCAAGCAUUCCCCCAUGAAAAAAAACAAUGAUAGGCUUGAACCUGGUAUGAGCAAACUCCUGCUCAUCCCGUUUCCCCAGAAGCAGCAUGUUUCGAGUGACACAAUUAUAAUCACACAGCAAGAUCGUUCGACCCAGGACAAACAUAAUGACCCAGACUUCAGAUAUAUGUAAGUUACUUGCAGUCACUUUGCUAUGCUUGCUUGCUGUUAUAGUUGACAUGACAUGGUGGACUACUUACCACAUGAAACCUGGAAGCGGUGUGCUUUGAGAGAUGGGAAACUUCUGCCGCCGACAGGGAGGGAGACGGACCUGACAUUCGAUAUCUUGCAGACAGGUACCCGUUAAAAAUGUCAAGAACUAGUUUUCAGAGAUGCGGUCUCAUUCAAAGUGCAGAACCUCAACCGGGUUAGCCAAGCUCUCUGCCUAAAUUGCACAGAACAUUUGGUAAAAUUACAUUUUGCACCCAAGUUUUCGGGAUAGUGGCAAAUUAUCCCUGUCGUUUCGAUAUUUGCAAUUUGUUAACUGACUUUUCGGAAUUUGGAGGCCAUGUGCCCUCAAACGUUGACUUGGGCAAUUUUUUUUUUUUUCACAUAUCUGUCAACGUGACUUGCUAUGGAAGAUUAAUUGGACAUUUAUCAUUUAUGUAUGUGAAAAAAAUAAAUUAUAGGGACUACCCAAAGAUAUAUUUGAGAACUAUAUACCAAUAUGCAUUUGGUGUUGAUUCCGGUCAAAUUAUUGCCGGAGCUUUGGUCACAUGCUCUCACAUGUAAUAUGUUUUUGAAUUUGAUAUUCUAUAUUUUCAUAUCUGUUUACUUAUAUGAUGAAUUUUCCUUUCGUAAUCAGUCCCGUGCUAUCGCGUGCUCACAGCUCCAAGCAAAAUUUCACUAGAGUCAACACAAGGGGACACAUUGAUACGGACUUCUACCUUUCGGGGGCUAGAUUGCAAAAAUUGAAACGCCAUUUGGCAAUAUGCAACAAACUCAAAAGUUAGAAAAUACGUAGUUUGCCCCCAGAGUUUUUGGACAAAACCGGGUAUUGCCAGCCUGAACUCAUUAUUAAUCUCACGCGGUUCGUUCUAAGCAUCUGAAAAGCUCAUUUGGCAGUGCUGUAUCUUUUCAAUGCAGUUUCGAAUGCAUGAAAAACUCAGCAUUUACCACAACUCAAUGGACAUAAAAUCCUCCAGCACCAAAGCAAAAGCAGAUUCAUCCUAGUCUGGGAAUAGUUAACGUCAAGCUGAGAAUGUGCCUUGAAAAUCUAAAACUGGAGGAAAACAAAAAGUAUAGCACUCGCAUCCAAUAUCGAUCAUAAAACUAUGUCCAGCAGCCACAGCGAUCAAGCAUCAAAACCCUUCGUAAAGAAAACACGAGUCGAGCAAUCUUGAACCGACUGAUACCCAUUUUCGUACCUGUGCUGCCUUUAAAGCGAAUGAGGCGCGAGCCGGUGUUGCAGUGAAGGUGGCCAUUCCGAGCUCCGAUUCAACAGAAGGUGAAGGAAAUGAAUGAGAGAGAAAGAGAGAGAGAGAGAGAGAGAGAGAGAGAGAGAGAGAGAGAGGGAGAUCACAGAAGGAGAACGCGAGAAGUUUGUGAGAGAGAGAGGCGAUGUAUAUAUUGUUGGUAAUUUGUUUAUAAAACAAAUGAAGAGGUGCAUUGUCCCACAUCGAAAAGAUGUGAGUGCGCAUAUGGACGGAAUUUGGCACUAACCAACGAUCAUUAUGUUUAUUUAUUGAAAAUUUGGAUUUAUUUCUAUAAAAAAUUAAUUAUAAAGUCUUGUUGAAACAGAGCGACUGUUCACGAAAAGUUACAAUUAUUUUUUAUUUAUUUAAUUCUGAAUUUCUUAUGUCUUUUCAACGUAAUCUUUGAGACAUACUUGUUCAUUUUACAACCUUUCCCGAAAGGUUGUCUUUGUUCUUUUGCAAUAUUUUGAAGAGUUGCAUUUAUUCGAAAGACAUAUAUAAGUACAUUUGUUUUGAGAUCAAAUAUAUAUCUUCUUCCAUUUUUUCGUUUUCUUUAGAGAGAAACUGCAGCCAUUAUUUCUAAUUGUUUCCCAUGAGAGACUCUGGAGAAAUACUAGAAUUGCUAUCUAGUAUUCUUACUUGAGACUUUGUUGUAUCCUGGAGGAAAUUUGCCGGUGACCAUUAGCAACGUAGUGGGGCAAAUAAAUCCUUAAAGAAAGUGAUAUCACGCCUCAAAGUCCGACUCGAGUACUCUAACGAUCCGACUUCAUUGUUCUACCCAAUUUGAAGCCAUAUUUUUCCAACAAUUUUAAGGAUUUAUUUGCAUAACAAUGAAGUCAGAGUCGGAGGAAGUACCAGCCUAUGGUGGCUCACCAUCAGCGGUCCGAAAGAUGUCGUCCAUGAAUCCCGAAUCUUCCUCUUCUUUUGCCCAUCUCAACAUGCCUCUCAGAAAUUGGAAAUGCGAUGGAUGGCGUGCAGAAUAUUAUUAUUUGCUUGUUCAUCUCCACCGCCUCUAUCAACAAUGAAGUUAAAGUCAAUCACCAGAAGUCGAAAAGUUCCUUCAGAGGCUUCGGGUCGUGAUAUUUGUGGCCUGGCUGUGUAUCUCACUCACUUGCGAGGCAUGCUAGACGAAUGAUUUAUCGCCAGUGGAGUGAGCAUUGGACGAUUAUCUGGUUCUCUUCGAGUCGGCCUCGGUCUAGUCUGCAGAGAUUGUGGGCUUGUGCGAGGAGUGAUGGAAGGGCGAUCAGCCCGAGAAACAGAGGAAAGGAGACAGAAGAGAGAAAUCGUGAGAGGUUGGCCACGAUAAAAAGAGAAAUACAAUCCAAGAGCAGAGGCGAUUAAAAAAAAUAAAAUAAAAAUGAAUGAGAUAAGUUCAUCCAGGGAGAAGUUGAGAAAACGCCAAAGCAGAAUUAGGCAUGUUCUUUCCUUUGGAGUUUACGUUCUCUACGGCCCUUCUCCAAGCCGAAAUCCGAUGACCUGAAAGUUUCAAAUGAGUUGGUCCUUAAACUUCCGGUUGCCGAACAUACGAAGCACUUCAUCUUUGCUAUGAGGGAACCCGAGUUGCUGUCCGUGAUUUACAUGCUCGCCAUGCAGAAUUUGUCCGGGAUUCCUGCCCGGAACGUCGAGUGUUUGAUUAGAGAGAGAAGGGGGCAGCGACUGUGUUCUGGGCUUUGUUGAUUUAAGGCUAUUGCUGAAAUGUUAUACGCGAUUGUUGUUUCGGCAUUGCAAAUAUGAUCCUUGUCAAACGAAUGAGAGAGACGCUCUGUACCAAUCUCUCCUUUUACAGGAUGUCUCAUUCUUUGAUGGGGAAACAUUGAUUCAUCGAGGAAUGGGGCAUUUACCAGCCCGAAUUGGAAGAAACUGUCGAGUAAAGAAGCGUGCAGUUGUUCUUGAUGAAUUUUUUUUUUAGGGGCAAUGCUUCGAAAGGAUUUCUCGCCCAAUGGAGUAAUUUAGGAAUAAGGUAUGGCAUGUGGGCAACUAAAAUGUGCUAAAUUGCUCAUCGGCUUAUACACUAAGGUCUGUGAUGUUUUUAUUUCCAUGUUUACAUUAUUUGUCAUUGAUGGUCUCAUACAGGCUCUUGGUCUUGAGUCAUCUUUCGGCAAGUGCNNNNNNNNNNNNNNNNNNNNNNNNNNNNNNNNNNNNNNNNNNNNNNNNNNNNNNNNNNNNNNNNNNNNNNNNNNNNNNNNNNNNNNNNNNNNNNNNNNNNAAAGAAGUUGGAUAAGAUGAUAUCCGAUGCCGGUGUGAAACUUCCCGAGAAGAAUCGGGCGCUUGAUGUCGAAGCGUCUUUGCCGAGUGAAUUGAGCGGUGCCCCAGUUUGCGAAGAUAAUGGGGAUCGAGUCGAUGGUGAAGGCGAUGGCCACGCCGAUUCAUCGACUGAUUCCUGCGAGUAUGGCGAGGAUGGAGGUUCGGGUUCGGAGUCUGAGGCAAAGGUAAUACCCCCGGCUCCGCAAUUGCCACCGUCCUCUGGAUCCAUAGGCAUUGCGGAGGAGUACGUCUCGCAUCUGCUCUCUGUAUAUGGCUUCUCGAGGUCGUUUAGCGUCGCGCUAUAUUUGUCCCUUUGGAUUGGAUGACUUUGUCGGGGCACUUAAUUCUUUGCUUCCAAAUUCGUUAUUGGAUGCCAUCCACGUCGUCUUGAUGCGUUCAUUAAGGCUUCAUCUGGAAACCGUCUCUUCCGAGGGUUCAGAGCUUGCUUCGAAAUGUCUAAGAUGCAUUGAUUGGGACUUGCUGGAUACUUUGACGUGGCCCAUUUACGUGCUCCAUUAUUUAACUAUGAUGGGUCAUGUUAGAGGGCAGGAGUGGAAAGAUUUCUCUGAGGAUGUUUUGUACAGGGAGUAUUACUCCUUAUCUGUAGGUAAGAAGUUGUUGGUUCUUCAAAUUCUGUGUGACCAUGCAUUAGAGUGUGCAGAUAUGAGAGCUUCCAGAAUUUUAAUAUCAUGAAGAAAUGAGGUAUGGCUCUGAUUAUACCUUUUAGGUUUCGGAUUAUAUGAUGUUGAUUCCAUUCCUAGAAUUGCCGGUAUCUUCUUUUCGCUUCUCUCAAUUCCAGUUUAUGCACUUUUGAUACCUCCAUACUCGAUUUGCUCGCGUUUAUUGGAUUGUUAGAGAAUGUCAUUACAUGCAUGGGCUAAUAUGUAGUGCUCUAUUUAUGGAGGCGAUAUAGAGAUAUUAAAUAGGUUUUCAGGUGUCCCUUGUUUGGUUCUAAUGUGUUUUAUUUGCUGUCCUUGCCCCUCAUAGAUUUGAUUCUAUGGAAUAGCAUAAAUGAGCCAAGAGAGUAGAAUUGCAUUGAUUUACUAUUUUGAUGUAUGUAUUUCAUCGAGGAUGAAAAUUUGAUGAUGCAUAAUUUCGAUUAAUUACCUAUUGGAAUAUUCUUGAAGUGGGGCUAUGUCCGAAGGGGACUUUAGAACUAAUAUGAUUGGAAUCAUUGAGAUUAAGAAGUAUCUGACUUUCAUUUUCAAAAUGAAAGAUUUGGGUGAAACAGAUACUAUUUUAAGUGUUAAAUUAAAAAAUAGUGGGGGUUAUCCUUUGAGCCAAAGUGAUUACAUGGAGAAGAUGUUGUAUAGAUUUAAACAUCUUAUUUUCAAAUAUAUAAGUACUCUAUUUGAUUCCUGGUGGAGAGUUUUUAAUGUGAGUGCUAUGGGCCUUUAAUGUAUGCGAUACAUUAUACUAGACUUGAUAUUACUUUUUAUAUAUGCAAGUUGAGUAGAUAUGCUAGUAAUCCAAUUAUAGAACAUUGAAAGGCUAUUAUUAGAAUUUUUGGUUAUUUUAAGAGAACCUAAAAUUUAUGAUUGUUCUAUAAUAAUUAUUCGGUUGUAUUAUAAAGAUACACUGAUACUAGUUGGAUUACAAGUAUGGGAGAUGAAAUUUCUGGAUGAAUUUUCAUAUUACAUGAAUGUGUUGUUUCUUGGGUGAGCAAGAAACAAAAGUGCAUAAUUCACUCAACUUUGGAAUUUGAAUUGUUGCUUUAGCAAAAUUUGGGAAAGAGGCUAAAUGGGCUAUGAAUUUGUUGUUGAAUAUCAAUUCAUGGCUUAGUCUUAUGGCUCUUAUUUCUAUCCCUUGUGAUAGUUAGGCUACUUUGGUAAGAGCCUAUAGUAGAACCUAUUAUAGUAGAACCUAUAAUGGUAAGUUUAGACAUAUUAGUCUAAGACAUGAAUAUGUGAGACAAUUGACUAAAGAUGGUACCAUAACAAUUGUUUACGUGAGGUCAAGUAAUAAUCUUACCGAUCCUUUGAUGAAUGCUUUACCAAGACAUAUGAUAAUAAUGACCUCAUAAGAAACGGGGCUAAAACCCUUUAAUUGAAAUCACCAAUAAUGGUGACCCGACCUUUUUCUAGAACAUCACUAGUUACAAGGUUUAAUGGGUAAGAACAAGUUAUUGAAUGUUUUCUUGCCUUUACCAAAAAAAAAAACAAGUUAUUGAAUGUAAUUGUUUGAUACUGAUGCAGCCCUGAUAUGAGAAGUCAGUAUCGUCUGUUACGUUUUGUAGGCUGAAUUAAAUUCUUAAUGAAGUAUGAUACAAAUUUGUAAUGUGUUCUUUACCAAAAAAAAAAAAAAAAAAUUUGUAAUGUGUUGAUAGUAACAGAAACACAUGGUAGAUACUUCACCUAUAUGAGCUUAGAAGUGGUGCCGCUUCUUACGAAAGUUAGGGUUGCUUUCUAGAGAGCUCAUGAAACAGGAUCAAGCACAAGGCCAUAAUAGUGCGGAGUAAUAUAGAACUUCUCGCUGAAACAAGAGGUUAGUGUAUGUGUGGUAUGUCCGGUUCUAUUAUAUAAAAGUACAAGUUUAAAGCCGAGCUACUUGUCACUUUGAUAGGGCUUUGAGAUACUUGCACUAAGUAAAUGUUUAACUCGAAAGAGACCUUUAUGUAUGUAUAUUAAUCUCACGGAAAUUUUGGCUGUAUAUUUCUAACGUUUUAUUUUUUGUUUUUGUUUUAUAAACAAAAGUGGGGGAUUGUUGGUAAUUUGUUUAUAAAACAAAUGAAGAGGUGCAUUGUCCCACAUCGAAAAGAUGUGAGUGCGCAUAUGGACGGAAUUUGGCACUAACCAACGAUCAUUAUGUUUAUUUAUUGAAAAUUUGGAUUUAUUUCUAUAAAAAAUUAAUUAUAAAGUCUUGUUGAAACAGUGCGACUGUUCACGAAAAGUUACAAUUAUUUUUUAUUUAUUUAAUUCUGAAUUUCUUAUGUCUUUUCAACGUAAUCUUUGAGACAUACUUGUUCAUUUUACAACCUUUCCCGAAAGGUUGUCUUUGUUCUUUUGCAAUAUUUUGAAGAGUUGCAUUUAUUCGAAAGACAUAUAUAAGUACAUUUGUUUUGAGAUCAAAUAUAUAUCUUCUUCCAUUUUUUCGUUUUCUUUAGAGAGAAACUGCAGCCAUUAUUUCUAAUUGUUUCCCAUGAGAGACCCUGGAGAAAUACUAGAAUUGCUAUCUAGUAUUCUUACUUGAGACUUUGUUGUAUCCUGGAGGAAAUUUGCCGGUGACCAUUAGCAACGUAGUGGGGCAAAUAAAUUCUUAAAGAAAGUGAUAUCACGCCUCAAAGUCCGACUCGAGUACUCUAACGAUCCGACUUCAUUGUUCUACCCAAUUUGAAACCAUAUUUUUCCAACAUAUAUAGGGGAGAGGGAGGGAGCGGAAGCUUGUAGGACGGUGUUCGUUUCAAGUUAUCUGAAAAGCAAACAUUUUAAAUGAGCACUUUGCCAACGUUACAAAAAAGAAAUUCAAAGGGGAGCAAAAGAACAUGAGAGAAAUUGGCAAUUUGCCACUUUAAGGACGGUUAAGGAAUUUAGGUAAGUGCACUUUUAAUGGAAAGGCCUAGUUAACUUCUUCCUCAAAUUUCACCAUUUUAUCCUGGUUUUUUCUUUUGCCAAUUUUAUAUUUUUCUCUCUCUUUAAAGCUAAAUUGUAGUACAGUAUUAACAUAACAUGUAGAUGAGCGCCAAAAUGAGAAAUUUAAAAGGCGAGAUAAAAUGGUGUUUUGGCUUUUACAUAUAUAGAUAGAAAAGCUGGUUUCUUUCUUCUUCUUCUUCUUCUUCUUUUUUUCAGUGAUCUAUAAUAAUCAAAACUAGAAGUGACGGUGUAUUUCAUACUGAUGUGGCUACACUGUGAUGUAUUGAAAUACAUGUGUACGUGUUUGGCAAUGCAUCUUUGAAAGUUGCUGUGCUAUAGACAGCUAUGAUGACUAAUAUGUUUGAUCGCUGUAGUUAUUAGAAUGAAGAAAAGACCUUUUAAUAUUGCCGCAGAGCUUUUACCAACGUUUAUAUCCGUGUUAUUGGAACUUUUGCAGGAUACCUUUUUCACCAUAUGAUGAUGAUGAUGAUGAUGAUAGUUGAAUCCGGAAUAGACAUUUUGAGAGGACUUCAUUUCCACCCGAAAUACCAAAGUAAUCCAUGUUUAUACAUGAAAUUGCAGAAGAAAAUAUGAGGCAGUACAACGCCGAACACCUUGAAAUGCACAAUCUACUACAGCCCAAUGAGGCUGCAACCAUAUGUAUCCAAUUGNNNNNNNNNNNNNNNNNNNNNNNNNNNNNNNNNNNNNNNNNNNNNNNNNNNNNNNNNNNNNNNNNNNNNNNNNNNNNNNNNNNNNNNNNNNNNNNNNNNNNNNNNNNNNNNNNNNNNNNNNNNNNNNNNNNNNNNNNNNNNNNNNNNNNNNNNNNNNNNNNNNNNNNNNNNNNNNNNNNNNNNNNNNNNNNNNNNNNNNNNNNNNNNNNNNNNNNNNNNNNNNNNNNNNNNNNNNNNNNNNNNNNNNNNNNNNNNNNNNNNNNNNNNNNNNNNNNNNNNNNNNNNNNNNNNNNNNNNNNNNNNNNNNNNNNNNNNNNNNNNNNNNNNNNNNNNNNNNNNNNNNNNNNNNNNNNNNNNNNNNNNNNNNNNNNNNNNNNNNNNNNNNNNNNNNNNNNNNNNNNNNNNNNNNNNNNNNNNNNNNNNNNNNNNNNNNNNNNNNNNNNNNNNNNNNNNNNNNNNNNNNNNNNNNNNNNNNNNNNNNNNNNNNNNNNNNNNNNNNNNNNNNNNNNNNNNNNNNNNNNNNNNNNNNNNNNNNNNNNNNNNNNNNNNNNNNNNNNNNNNNNNNNNNNNNNNNNNNNNNNNNNNNNNNNNNNNNNNNNNNNNNNNNNNNNNNNNNNNNNNNNNNNNNNNNNNNNNNNNNNNNNNNNNNNNNNNNNNNNNNNNNNNNNNNNNNNNNNNNNNNNNNNNNNNNNNNNNNNNNNNNNNNNNNNNNNNNNNNNNNNNNNNNNNNNNNNNNNNNNNNNNNNNNNNNNNNNNNNNNNNNNNNNNNNNNNNNNNNNNNNNNNNNNNNNNNNNNNNNNNNNNNNNNNNNNNNNNNNNNNNNNNNNNNNNNNNNNNNNNNNNNNNNNNNNNNNNNNNNNNNNNNNNNNNNNNNNNNNNNNNNNNNNNNNNNNNNNNNNNNNNNNNNNNNNNNNNNNNNNNNNNNNNNNNNNNNNNNNNNNNNNNNNNNNNNNNNNNNNNNNNNNNNNNNNNNNNNNNNNNNNNNNNNNNNNNNNNNNNNNNNNNNNNNNNNNNNNNNNNNNNNNNNNNNNNNNNNNNNNNNNNNNNNNNNNNNNNNNNNNNNNNNNNNNNNNNNNNNNNNNNNNNNNNNNNNNNNNNNNNNNNNNNNNNNNNNNNNNNNNNNUUGCUCUCCCCACCUGUCUUCCUCAACAUCAUAUCAUGUUGAACACAGAAGCAAUCAGAUUUUGAAAGGAUGUAUUCUGCACCAUGUCUUGGAGAUACAGCAAGAUUGGCAUGAUGCCAGGUGAUGAGGGUAAAGAUAAAAAGUUCAUACUACUCGCCAUGCAGGUGAUGGGGGUAAAGAUAAGCGUAUCUCUCUCUCUCUCUCUCUCUCUCUCUCUCUCUCUCUCUCAAUUGUGCAAACUUCUCUCCUCUGUUAAUUUACUACUGAUGUUGAGUUCUGCCUGCAAAGUUCUGGCAAGUUUUUUGCCAUUAUCUUCUUUGAAAAAUCAAAAAGAAGAGUGGGGUUCAGAGGUGGAAAGAAGAACAGCUUGAAGAGAAACGGAAAAGUGCAGACUUGCAACAGAAGGCGCGGAAAGCUGUUUGCUUUAAGAUGCAUGACAACCAUGCAGAUGGCCAAUGUGGUCUUCUCCACCCAAAAACAAUCGUUUCUCGUGGUCCGAAUGGAAUUUUAUAUGAUUUGCAUCCGAAUAGAAAAAUAAUAUCGUAAUCUAAUAUCAUCUACCGCCUGCAAAGUUGCCAUUAUCUUCGUUGAAAAUUCAAAAGAAGGGGAGAGGCAGAAAGAAAAACAACAUAUGAAGAGAAACGGAAAGUGCAAACUCUCCAUAGAAGGCACAGGAAAGCAGUUCGCUUUAAGAUGCUUGAUAAACUACUAAGAAACGAUUUCAUGUGGUCUUUAAUGAAAUGUUAUAAGAUUCUACAUCAAUGAUAAUCGUACUUUGCGCUCCACUACUGCCUGCAAAGUUGCUAUUAUCUUCUUUGAAAACUCAAAAGAAGGGGCAACGUAGAAAGAAAAACCGCAUCGAAGAGAAACGAACAUCAUUAACUCUCAACAGAGAGCACGACAAAGCUGCUUGCUUUAAGAUGCAUGAUGAACUACUAAUGAACAAUCAUUUCACGUGGUCUCUGAUGAUAUUUUAUAAGAUUUACAUCCGAAUACCGGAUCGAUAUCGUGCUUUAUGCUCCACUACUGCCUGAAAAGUUGCUGUAAUCCUCCUUGAAAACUUCAAAGAAGGUGGGAGAGGCAGAAAGAAAAACAACAUUGAAGAGAAACGAACAUCACCAACCCUCAACAGAAGGCACAAGAAAGCUGCCUGCUUUAAGAUGCAUGAUAAACUUCUAAUAAACAAUCAUUUCACGUGGUCUCUGGUGAAAUUUUAUAAGAUUUACAUCCAAAUACAGCAUCAAUAUCGUACUUUAUGCUCCACUAUUCCCUUGAAAGUUGCUAUCAUCUUCUUUGAACGCUCAAAAGAAGGGGAGAGGCAGAAAGGAAAACAACAUUGAAGGGAAACGAACAUCGCAAACUCUCAACAGAAGGCACGAGAAAGCUGUUUGCUUUAAGAUGCGUGACAACCAUGCAUAUGGUCAUUGUUGAAUUCCUACUCAAAACCAAUUAUUUCUCUUAGCCUCUGAUGAGAAUUUACAACCAUUACAGCCAAAUGGAGGAAUAAUAUUUUACUUUAUGCUUCAUUACUAUAAUAUAUGUACAUAUCUAUUCAACGCAACCAAAAGAAUCAUGUUUCUCACACAUAAAUAGGACAAGUUUUUUGAGUGUCUGAAAUUUUUACAUUCAAAAUGUUAUUGUUUUGGACGGAAACAUUGUGACUCGACGCUGGAGAAUUGAAAUUCAAUUGUAAACCUAUCGUAUGAAUUCAAAUUCAAUCUCAAACAUUUUAAUUCAAGCAAUGUUGUUUUAAACCUUUGAGUGAAAAUGUAAUCAAGUCCUCCUGGUCAAGUCUCGCCUAAAUAGCAAUCCAAUCAUUUGUCGUUGUACGUGUCUUGACUAGUGAUUUGAUGUGGACAAAUAUUCUCGAAACAGACGCCAUCGUUGCUCAACUCCACAAGCCGUCAACCUUGCCAAGAACCGCCCUCUCUCAAGUUGAUUUCUAUUAAUAGUCACAGCUUAGCUAGAGCUGGCACCUCCAAAUGUGGAGGCUUGGCAGUCGGUCACCAUGCCCAUCGGGCUCCUUGGCCCCUCCAUGGAAGAUGAUUGUACAACCCUCAAAUUUUUAGUGAUGUUUGUUUUUCCUCCCUGACCCUUCCAUGCCAUGCAAGAUGAUUGUAUAACCCUUAAUUUUUUUUUUUUUGUGACGAAGAAUUUUUUGGUUAAUUUUUAAAUAAAUUUUUUCUUUUCUUUUUUCAUUCCUUCUUCUUCCUUCUCUAGCUAGUCACAGGACCUCGGUGACUAGCCAGAGACGAGUUGACAAGGCCAACCUUGCCCAACCAUCGCAAGGCUCCCUUGAGAUUGGUGCAGCCACCCUCAUCAGCCCUCCUCUCUAGUUGGUCAUCGGCUAUCAUUGAGGCCUAUGUAGCACCGACACGGACACGCGACACACGACACGACACGACACGCCGACACGUUAUUUCUUAAAAAUAAAGAAUUUCGACACGUUCCGACACAUUAUAUAUUAAAUAUAUAAAUACAUAAAUAAAUAAUAAUAAAAAUAGCCUAGAAUUAAUUUACACGAAAAAUAUUAAAUAAUAUCAUUCAUUAUUUUAAUUUGUUACAAUAAUACAUAAAACUUAGAGGAAAAAAACAUUAUUUAAAGAAAAAUGCUGAAAUGAUAUUUUUAUAUUUAUUUAUUUAUCAUAUAUAGCAUUUUUUUAUUACUUCUUUCAUAGUAAAAGACUUUUAAAAAAACUAAAACAAUUAUAAAAAAAACUGAAAAAAAAAAUUAACCCUGUGCGUGUAUAUUUAUAGCAAUUUUAUUACUUCUUUUAUUACUUCUUUUUUGUAUAUUUAUAUUUUGACCCCUCAAGUAUUAUAAAUUUUUAAAAUUGACCCCGUGCGUGUCGGAAUCACGUGUCGGAAUUCUAGACUCACGUGUCGGAGAGAGUUAACCACGUGUCGGAUUUUUCGACACUCGUUGACCGCGUGUUGGGACGUGUCGGAGCGUGUCGGACACGCGUCGGAGUGUCGGACACGACUCGAAGGCUUCCGGAGAGUGUCCGUGCUACAUAGAUUGAGGCCUGACGAGAAGAGGGGGAAUAAGAAAGGAAACGAAAAAGAAAAAGAAAAAAGAGAAACUGACCUUUAUUAGAAACUGUUCCUGAUGACAAAUAAUUCUUUCUACUUUCUAUUUUCGUUCUAAAUUUAUUUUCUGGCUACUGAUCUAUUUCAAAAAAAAAAAUAACUAACAUUAUCAAAUAUUUUUUUUUUCCUGUUUCGGAGAAUGAAAUAACAGAAAAAUAGAGAAACAAAAUGAUCACCAAAUAGGAUCUAACUUUAUAACUGAACUUGCAAUUCUUCCAACUCAACCUAUGCCUAUUAUAAGUUUUCUUUUCUUUUAAUAAUUCUUUCUCUCUUCUGUCUCCUCUCUUCAUCGGUAUAAAAUGGGUAAUCAGGGAUGGGUGGCUUGUGUAGUGGAAGAGAAACCGUAUUCCCAAUGGUCGCACAGCGAAUUUGGGUCCAUAUUCAAAUCCACCAGAGGAAGUAAACUGACCUCUUUCACCAUUAAAUCACCAUGCUGAGUGUUGAUUUUAACUCCAUAAAGUCCUCUGACACGUCUGCCCCUCGGGACCUUCCGGAUUAUAAAAGCGACAGCAAAAGUCAUAUCCUAUGAUUUUCAAUCUUUACCGACACAGAGAAACGGAUUUGCGCAUAGCUAAUAUGAGAAAACAGCUAUCCUAUACAUUGGCAUUUAGUUGAUAAAAAAGGUUGAUCAAUUUAGGGAUGACAUGCAGCAACUUGAAUUCCAUCCACAAAUAGAUAACGUGCAGCCAAGGCUAUGUCAAAGCCCCAAUACAUGUAUUAGAUACUAUGCCAUCUCAAUCCACCAAGAGAAAAGGUAUGCAUUUUCAACUCCAGCAGAUGAGAUAUCCUUUGGGAUGGUGGUCUUGGAAGAUGAAUCUUGCUUCUGGUCUCCAUAAUUUGGCAGCAAUGAUGGUGAUUCCACUGGACUGGUUAGGACUACUUUUAUCUUCCUCUCCUCUAUGCAUUUAUCACUUUCCUUAUCAAAUUUAAAAUUUAAAAGAAAACUUCUCAGGUUACUUGACCCAAAAGAUUAUGGAACACAAAGCAGCAAAAUCUACCAUGUCAGCAGUAAUGUCCUCUUCACCUGUAUCAAAAACUUGUCUCAACGUUGCAAGACAGGUGGAGCUACCUGCUGUGCUUACAUGGUAACGGCAUCAAACGGAAGAUAGGAUUAAGGGCCUACUCUAAUUUUUUCGAAGUAUCAGGACAUAGCUACUGAGGCCUAUCAUGGUUUUCCUGUCUCAACGUAUAUUAGGCUACUAUGCUAGGCAUUCAAAAUCUUAUUCAAAGAUGAUCCUUACUGCGAUGUGACUGACAUUACCUUAAGCAGUUCAUAUCCCAGUAAUGAUACAGUCUUACAGACAUGUCGUGGCAAAGAAAUUGCAAAAUAAUCAUUCAGCUGAUUCAAGUACUGCGGGCAUGUCCCUCCUCACAAGUAUGUCGGUGGUUUUAGUAUGUGAACAUGAUGUUUCACUGACUUGAGCAGAACAAUUUCGAAUCAGAUUAUCCAUUUGGCUUGAUGAUUCCUACAUUUGGCCGCACACAGAAUUUCUUCAGAGACGUAGCCUUAGCCUGGAAUGUUUUGGAUAUCCAGUAUAGAGCUCAUAAUGUUUCUCCACAAUAGAGAGUUCUUAAUGCGCUGAUGUACUACUCUGAAAAUUAAAUUACAUCAAGAGAAUACAAGAUUGAAAGGAAAUUGUCCACCCGCCAUAACCUAAAAAAUAAAACUUGAUCACGGUGAAAGAAAAGGUCCAAAGAAUAUUCACCUUGAAAGCAACAUACCGAUCAGUCUUAUUGCUUAGCGGAAUGAGCAUGAGCUUUGUUUACUCAACUCAAUUGCAUAAUCACGGAGAAGAGGCUUCAGAUGAAAGAAUUAAAGAGAAAGGGGGCCCGACAUGAGGACAGGAUGUGAUGAAAUGGACCAUCGUCUUGUUCAUUCAUUUUCUCUACUAAUCAUUCUCUGAGUCAUUUGGUUACAACAACCAUUCACCUACUUAAUCUCCAGAAAGAAAUUUACGUCAGAAGUCAUUCUAAGAGUUUGCGGUGUGAGGGACUACGCAAAAAUGAACAAACCUGACCAAAUAUUUGAAAACAACACAAGGAAAAGAAUUUGAAAACGGGGCGACCAGUGACUGAUUCAUACAUGCCAUUGAAGCUUAUGCCUUAAGAUAUUUCCUUUACCAUUUUAUAUGAUGUUGAACCGCAAAUUCUCAAGCAAAUUAUUGUAGAACGGAGAACUAUCAUCCCCUUCACUUAUUGCCUAAUAAAACAGGUGGCAAGCAAUGCAAAUUUUAACGUGGCACCAAAAAUGAAAAUGAACCAAAUGUGCAGCACUAUAUAUACUCACAAAUUAAACUCAAGUUCAUGAGGCCGGAUCUCCAACAGCUCUUCGGCCAUGAUGACAACUAUAGCACCAAUCCACAUAAAACGACAGGUCACAUGGCAGGGUAACGACAAUCAAGCAAAAAGCUCUGCAUGAAGCUCAAUUUCAAGCACCCAUUUCGUAUAAAUCUGAUCACGCGCUGUCUCUAGCAGAUUCCUCAUUUCAAACACCAAAUUUGCACAUGAUCACCAAACACUAGACAGUCAAAAAUGGCUCAGCACCCAAAUUACGAACACAAUCCAAGAGCAGUUCAGGAUUUACCAAAAAUCAGAGCACUACAUUUGGCAAUGAAAGCUUAACCAUCAGGGGAGUAUCUUACAGGUCAGAAACUUCCUUUGGCAGUGAAAUCUUAAUCUUCGAGGGAGUAUCUUACAGGUCAGAAUCUUCCUUUUGAUGGAUCCCAAUAAUGAGAAAAUCAAACUCCAGUGCAAGUUCACAACGAAGGACAUGACAAUAAUAUCAGCUAAGGGAUAUGCCAUGACUCGCACAACCCAAGAGAAAUCGCAGGAAAGACCCCAAGUCAGCAGGCCUAAAUUAUCACCUCUCCAAGACACAACACUAACAUAGCAGCAGCAGCAGCAGCAGCAGUACCAAACUCUAGUAGUCCCUGAUGACAGUUGGGUUGACUCUGACUUGGCAAUAACAACUUCGUGCCAUUUCACUCAGUAAAUGAACACAUAAUCUUCAAUACAUGUGGCACUACAAAUUCGUAAGGACCAAUGUAGCGGGAGUAGCAUUGACCCAAGAAUCUGAGAGAGCAAACAUGUUUUCCAUUAUUUGAUUAUUCAUACAAUAAAUUUAUGACUGAAUUUGCGAUUCUCCCAACUCACCUAUGCUUAUUAUGAGUUUUUUCCCUCCUUUUAAAUAUUUCUUCCCCUCUUCUGUCUCCUCUCCUCAUCUGUAUAAAAUGGGCAAUCAAGGGUUGCUUGUGUAAUGGAAGGGAAACGGUCCUCCCAAUGAUCUUACUGGUGAAAGUAGACCAAAUACAAAUCAACCAGGGGAAGAAAACUAACCUCUUUCAACUUUGUAUCACCCCACUGAGUGUUGAAUUUAACUCCUUAAAACCUCUGACACAUCCAACCCUUCAGGAUGCUGGCAUCAAAAGACAAUCCUUCUGGAUUAUAAGAGUGAGAACAGAAGUCAUAUUCUAUCAUGAGUAAUAGAAAUGGAUACAUGUACAGUUAAUAUGAGAAAAAAGCUAUCCUAUACACUCGCAUUUAGUUGCUAAAGAGGUUGAUCAAUUAUAGAUGAUGUGUAGCAACUUGAUUUCCAUUUACAUAAAUAACAUGCGGCCCAGCCAAUGCUGUGGCAAAGCCCCGAUCCAUGUAUUAGAUACAAAGCCAUCUCAACCCAGAAAGACAAUAAAGUGACAUAUUGAUGUUUUCUGGCAGUCAUACCCUGAGAAAAGGUGAUGCAUUUUCGACUCCAGCAGGUGAGAUAUCCUUUGGGAUGGUAGUCUCGGAAGAUGAAUCUUGCUUCCGGUCUCUGUAAUCUGGCAGCCCUGAAGGUGAUUCCACUGGACUGGUUAGGACUGCUUUUAUCAUCCUCUCACUUAUGUAUUUACCGCUUUCUUUAUGCAAUUGAAAAUUCAAUAGAAAAUUUCUUGAGUCGCUUGACCUGAAAGAUUAUGAAACAUAUAGCAGAAAAACCUACCAUGUCAGCAAUAGUGUCCUCUUCACCUGUAUCAAAAACUUGUCUCUGCACAGCAGGACAGGUGGAGCUACCUGCCGUGCUUACAUGGUAACUGCAUCAAACAGAAGAUGGGAUGAAGGCCUACUCCAAUUCUUGUUGCCUAGCGGAAUCAGGCAUGAGCUUUGUUUACUUAACUCAACUGCAUAAACACAGAGAAGAGGCCUAAGAUAAAAGAACUUAAUGGGGCAUGACAUGAGAGCAGGAUGUGAUGAAAUGGACCAUCAUACAUUUUCUUUGAAGAUAUAAUGCAGCAAUGAAGUCUCAUUUUGUGCGUUAGUUUUCUCUACUGAACAUUCUCAGUCAUUUGGUUACAGCACUCACCUACUUUUAUCUCUAGAAAGAAAUUCACUCACAUGGCACUAUAAGAGUUUGUGGUGUGAAGAUAGAAACUAUGCAAAAAGAAAGAACCUGACCAAAUAUUCGAAAACAGCACAAGGAAAAGAACUUGAAAAACAGGGCGACCAAUGACCGAUUCAUACUCGCCAUUGAAGCUCAUGCUUUUAGAUAUUUUUUUUACCAUUAUUUAUGAUGUUGAACCACAAAUUCUCAAGCAAAUUAUUGUAGAAUAGAGGAACAUCAUCCGCUUCACUUAUUGCCUGUAAAACAGGAGGUAAGCAAUGCAAAUUGAAUGUAGCUCCAAAAUAAAAAUGAACCAAACGCACAGCACUAUAUAUACUCACAGAUAAACUUGACUUCAUGAGGCUGGAUCUCCAAGAGCACUUCAGCCAUGAUGAUGACUAUAUUGCUGAUCUACAUGAAAUGGUGGAUCACAUAGCAGGGCAACAACAAUCAAGCAAAAAGGUCUACAUAAAGCUCAAUUUCGAGUACCCAUUCAUAUAGGGUGCGUUUGGUUUGGCUUUUGGAGAAAGCCUUUGGAUAAUGCAGAGGCUCUUAGCCUAAAGGAGUUUUGUGAAAUGCAAAGACUGUUUGGUAAUUUGCAAUUUUAAAGUGACUUGGGAAGUAACAUUGGGAAAAUACUAUUUGAUAAGCAUAUAUUUAAAAAGUCUUUUGAUGAAAAUCAAUUUCUUAAAAAUUUAUUUAAAAAAAAAAAAACACAACGAUGGCAACUUUUAUAUUUUCACAUUACGAGUGAUGUAAAAGAGACAUAUUAACAAGUUCAAAAAUUAAAAAAUUACAUGAGAAGUGUAAAAAAUAAUAGGGCCCUCAGAUAUACAAACAGUAAAGAAAGUAUAAUGACCAAUGGGCUAAGUUACUGAGAAUAUAAAAAUAAAAUUUAGUUGUUUCUGAUGUCAUAUGGAAAGUCUUAUCUAAAACUGGCAUAUGAUAAGAAAUAUGUCUCUUAUUCAGCCUAAGACAAUUAGACAUAUCUUAGCUGCAACAUGACAGCACCAAGUCAUAUCUUGCUCUUUCUGAAUGGACAACUGAGCACCUCUUUGCCUUAAACGACUCCAUCAAUUUCCCCAUGUCUUAGAGGCCAAAAAUACUAUGAGAAUGGACUGAACCGCCUAACACUUCCUCGAGAUUGAUUGCGGAGCGAGCACCACAUGAACACAUACGUGAUGGCGACCAAAAUGAGCUUUUGCUCAUGUUCAAAGCCUAAGCAUGCAAGAAAAUUAAAGAGCUCCGACUCUUGAAGAGCAAUGGACUUCUUCUGUGAACCUCUGAUUGCUGACAAAUCGAGGAUUAGCCUUAAAAAACUGUUCCUCUCAUAAACAUAAGUACAAUCACAACAUCUCAAUUCACAAGGCAGUGCAUGUAUUAAUAUACACAUCAUGGGUAUUCCAAAGAACUUACAAGAGAAGAUAACUCCUAGUAACUGCUGUGUACAAUGGAAAUGAACAUUCAAAGCCCAGGAUUAUUCCUGGGAAAAAUGGAAAAGUGGGGAACAACAGACUUUUACAUCACAUGAAGUAAGAACGACAUAAUGAGUGAAUUUAACCGUCCCAUAGAAUUCUAUUAGCAAUGGCAGUGUCCACUGAUUCCAGUUCUUCCACGACUUUAGUCCUGGAAGGCCACUCGUUAGGAGUCAUUCGGAGGUAUUGUAAAGCAAGUUGUGCUAUUUGGAAUGCAGAAUCCAUAAAUGUAGGGUAUAGGGAUGGUAUAAAUUUGGUUCCCAUUUCUGGCAGGUUGCAACAUCAUGAGCGACCAGUUUCCUCUAAAAUAACCAGUAUUUCUUUUUCGGUUUCUGAGGAAGGGGAACAUCUGCAGAAAAAUGAAAAGUUAUGUAGGCAUGCAACUGUAGAUUCCAUGCCAAAUGAUUUAAGUAGCUAAAAGGGAAACACACCUCGUGUUUCAUAGAGGGGAUUAUAGUGAACCUCAUAUCCAGAAACUCAACCAAAGCUCUGCAUCUAUGAAAGUAGGUACAAACGAAAACUUAAAAGAAAAUGGAGUUUCAAAAGACCNNNNNNNNNNNNNNNNNNNNNNNNNNNNNNNNNNNNNNNNNNNNNNNNNNNNNNNNNNNNNNNNNNNNNNNNNNNNNNNNNNNNNNNNNNNNNNNNNNNNNNNNNNNNNNNNNNNNNNNNNNNNNNNNNNNNNNNNNNNNNNNNNNNNNNNNNNNNNNNNNNNNNNNNNNNNNNNNNNNNNNNNNNNNNNNNNNNNNNNNNNNNNNNNNNNNNNNNNNNNNNNNNNNNNNNNNNNNNNNNNNNNNNNNNNNNNNNNNNNNNNNNNNNNNNNNNNNNNNNNNNNNNNNNNNNNNNNNNNNNNNNNNNNNNNNNNNNNNNNNNNNNNNNNNNNNNNNNNNNNNNNNNNNNNNNNNNNNNNNNNNNNNNNNNNNNNNNNNNNNNNNNNNNNNNNNNNNNNNNNNNNNNNNNNNNNNNNNNNNNNNNNNNNNNNNNNNNNNNNNNNNNNNNNNNNNNNNNNNNNNNNNNNNNNNNNNNNNNNNNNNNNNNNNNNNNNNNNNNNNNNNNNNNNNNNNNNNNNNNNNNNNNNNNNNNNNNNNNNNNNNNNNNNNNNNNNNNNNNNNNNNNNNNNNNNNNNNNNNNNNNNNNNNNNNNNNNNNNNNNNNNNNNNNNNNNNNNNNNNNNNNNNNNNNNNNNNNNNNNNNNNNNNNNNNNNNNNNNNNNNNNNNNNNNNNNNNNNNNNNNNNNNNNNNNNNNNNNNNNNNNNNNNNNNNNNNNNNNNNNNNNNNNNNNNNNNNNNNNNNNNNNNNNNNNNNNNNNNNNNNNNNNNNNNNNNNNNNNNNNNNNNNNNNNNNNNNNNNNNNNNNNNNNNNNNNNNNNNNNNNNNNNNNNNNNNNNNNNNNNNNNNNNNNNNNNNNNNNNNNNNNNNNNNNNNNNNNNNNNNNNNNNNNNNNNNNNNNNNNNNNNNNNNNNNNNNNNNNNNNNNNNNNNNNNNNNNNNNNNNNNNNNNNNNNNNNNNNNNNNNNNNNNNNNNNNNNNNNNNNNNNNNNNNNNNNNNNNNNNNNNNNNNNNNNNNNNNNNNNNNNNNNNNNNNNNNNNNNNNNNNNNNNNNNNNNNNNNNNNNNNNNNNNNNNNNNNNNNNNNNNNNNNNNNNNNNNNNNNNNNNNNNNNNNNNNNNNNNNNNNNNNNNNNNNNNNNNNNNNNNNNNNNNNNNNNNNNNNNNNNNNNNNNNNNNNNNNNNNNNNNNNNNNNNNNNNNNNNNNNNNNNNNNNNNNNNNNNNNNNNNNNNNNNNNNNNNNNNNNNNNNNNNNNNNNNNNNNNNNNNNNNNNNNNNNNNNNNNNNNNNNNNNNNNNNNNNNNNNNNNNNNNNNNNNNNNNNNNNNNNNNNNNNNNNNNNNNNNNNNNNNNNNNNNNNNNNNNNNNNNNNNNNNNNNNNNNNNNNNNNNNNNNNNNNNNNNNNNNNNNNNNNNNNNNNNNNNNNNNNNNNNNNNNNNNNNNNNNNNNNNNNNNNNNNNNNNNNNNNNNNNNNNNNNNNNNNNNNNNNNNNNNNNNNNNNNNNNNNNNNNNNNNNNNNNNNNNNNNNNNNNNNNNNNNNNNNNNNNNNNNNNNNNNNNNNNNNNNNNNNNNNNNNNNNNNNNNNNNNNNNNNNNNNNNNNNNNNNNNNNNNNNNNNNNNNNNNNNNNNNNNNNNNNNNNNNNNNNNNNNNNNNNNNNNNNNNNNNNNNNNNNNNNNNNNNNNNNNNNNNNNNNNNNNNNNNNNNNNNNNNNNNNNNNNNNNNNNNNNNNNNNNNNNNNNNNNNNNNNNNNNNNNNNNNNNNNNNNNNNNNNNNNNNNNNNNNNNNNNNNNNNNNNNNNNNNNNNNNNNNNNNNNNNNNNNNNNNNNNNNNNNNNNNNNNNNNNNNNNNNNNNNNNNNNNNNNNNNNNNNNNNNNNNNNNNNNNNNNNNNNNNNNNNNNNNNNNNNNNNNNNNNNNNNNNNNNNNNNNNNNNNNNNNNNNNNNNNNNNNNNNNNNNNNNNNNNNNNNNNNNNNNNNNNNNNNNNNNNNNNNNNNNNNNNNNNNNNNNNNNNNNNNNNNNNNNUGAGAUUCUACAACCAAAGACAAGUCAGCCACUGCUUCAGAUUUUCACUUGGUGAUCUGUCCUGUGCAAAUGUGAAUGAUGUUGAGCUGCGCGUGGCUCUGGCAUUGGCUCUGGAAAUGGAUCCCAAGUUGCUUUCUCAGCUGAAAGUAGUACAGCUUAUUGGAAACCUUUUGGAGUUUGUGCAUGAGAAAAAUAUGGAAGAUUUUCUCAAAAUGAUGUUUGGCUUGUGCAAAGCUCUUCUUUUAUGAUCACUAGGUUCUACGAAAGGUUCCACAUACAUGGAAGAGCCAACACUACUUGAUGAAAGUUCUUCUAAGGCAGUGAGUAGCAUAUGACACAUAACUGACUUUGGUGGCAGUGCCAGUGUUUUCCGGGAAAUGAGUGGUUCUCAUGACAGAAACAGUGCUGAUAUUGCUUCUAAAUUAACAGCUCUAUUACUGAAGGCAGCCCCAAGGGAAGGUGCUCUCUUUUUCUUACCAAUCUCCUGUAAGUGAGUGCAAUUCUCGAGUCUCAGCAGAAGGGUGCUCCUUCUCUACUGGUACCAACGAAUGCUGCAUUCUCUCAGUUACUCCUGUAGGCGAUGUUUGCUGCAUGGAAUGAUUUUUGUCAGUGUGCCCGUCAAAGAUUGCUAUGAUUGAAGGCAUUGUUGCUGAGAUAAAAUAUUCUGCUGCUGCUGCUUUAGCCAGCGCUGCCACACUGGUAAUCUUGGAAUUGCAGUGGCUCCCUCAUUUAUGACUUCUCCAUAACAUUUACAAAUCCCACCAAGAAGCACACCUUUCCUGAAAAAUAAACUGAACUUAAGCAUAGCAAUACAGAGUGUCUGUCUACUACAAAGUUGCAAAUGAGCUGAUUGUGCUGUAAUGUCCCAGGAUGAGAACCAUGGUCAUAUGACCUUCCAGCACACAUUCCACCUAUUUGUUUACAGCAUAGCGAAGUUAUCUCCAAUGCAAAGCGAGGUUAUCAAUUUCAAAAUAUAUGAAGCAGCAAAUCGACAAGGAUCUCUAAUAAUUUGGUACAUAUCAAAUAAAAUCGAUGCAAUCGAAAUGCAUAUCUCUAGGAGAAAUCAUCCUAGGGAAAUGUAGCUAAAAAAGCCAAACCAAACUAGGAAAAGAACACAAAUACGUGUACAUAAUUAAGAGCCCUUUGGCUGUUCGGAGGUAUUAUAAUUUCAAUGCCGUCAUCAGAUUUUCAGACAUGAACCCGCAGAUAGGUCAUUAAAAAGUGCAUGCGAAACUUCUCUGCUCAUAUCUCUGAAAGAAUUUGAUUGCCAGAAAAGGAAAAGAUUGGUACUUACCUCAAUUCGUUUAAGGUUUGAACACGAGGGAACAAUUUGCAGUUGUGCUUCAAAAAGCUUCCAAGUGCAACGUGCACUUAUUCAUCAUCUUCUUCAUCGUAUUCUUCCACAAAUUUUUCUUCUUCAUUGUCUUCUUCCACAAAUUCGUCUUCUUCAUCCUCUCCCACAAAUUCAAUUGACUUCUCCAAGCAAAGCAAGAAAUUUCCUCCACAUCUAAUUUCCUGCAUCCUCUUAUUGUGACCUCUCGCAGUCUAUUCAAGCUUGACAGCUCAGGCAACUUCUGUAAAGAUUCACAGCUGUCAAUAUACAAUGUUUCCAAAGAUUGGGGUAGUUCGCCUUGAAUCUCAACCAGAUUAUGACAAUCUCUUACUGAAAGACCUAUUAUUCCGUCCAAAUUGCUUAGAUCAGGGAUCUGCAUCAGUAUAUUCAAUCCUUUGAUUGUGACCUAUCGCAGUCUCUUCAAGCUUGACAGCUGAGGCAACUUCUGUAAAGAUUCACAGCUGUCAAUCCACAAUGUUUCCAAAGAUUGGGGUAGUUCGCCUUGAAUCUCAACCAGAUUAUGAUAAUCUCUUACUGAAAGAUAUCUUAUUCCAUCCAUAUUGCUUAGAUCAGGGAUCUGUAUAUUCAAACCUUUGAUUGUGACCUCUCGCAGUCUCUUCAAGCUUGACAGCUCAGGCAACUUCUGUAAAGAUUCACAGCUGUCAAUCCACAAUUUUUCCAAAGAUUGGGGUAGUUCGCCUUGAAUCUCAACCAGAUUAUGACAAUCUUCUACUGAAAGAUCUGUUAUUCCGUCCAAAUUGCUAAGAUCAAGGAUCUGUAUAUUCAAACCUUUGAUUGUGACCUCUCGCAGUCUCUUCAAGCUUGACAGCUCAGGCAACUUCUGUAAAGAUCCACAUUCAAUAAUCUCCAAUUCUUCCAAAGAUUGGGGUAGUUCGCCUUGAAUCUCAACCAGAUUACCACAGGAUUCAAUGUUCAAGUAUUCGAAAGAUUGGGGUAGUUCGCCUUGAAUCUCAACCAGAUUAUGACAAUCUCUUACUGAAAGAUAUCUUAUUUCGUCCGAAUUGCUAAGAUCAGGGAUCUGUAUAUUCAAACCUUUGAUUGUGACCUCUUGCAGUCUCUUCAAGCUUGACAGCUCAGGCAACUUCUGUAAAGAUCCACACCAUUGAAUCCACAAUGUUUUAAAAGAUUGGGGUAGUUUACCUUGAAUCUCAACUAGAUUACCGCAGGAUUCAAUGUUCAAGUAUUCCAAAGAUUGGGGUAGUUCACCUUGAAUCUCAACCAGAUUAUGACAAUAUUCUACUGAAAGAUCUUAUUCCAUCCAUAUUGCUUAGAUCAGGGAUCUGUAUAUUCAAACCUUUGAUUGUGACCUUUCGCAGUCUCUUCAAGCUUGACAUCUCAGGCAACUUCUGUAAAGAUUCACACUGUUGAAUCCGCAAUGUUUCCAAAGAUUGGGGUAGUUCGUUUUGAAUCUCAACCAAAGAUUUACAGCUGUCAAUAUCCAAUGUUUUCAAAGAUUGGGGUAGUUCACCUUGAAUCUCAACCAGAUUAUGACAAGAUUCUACUCUAAGAAGUGUUAUUCCAUCCAUAUUGCUUAGAUCAGGGAUCUGCAUCUGUUUAAAGCCAGAAAGCUGGAACCGAUCUCCACUUAAAUAUUCAAAACUUUGAUUGCCAAUACGCACAUACACAUAAACAUGUGUCUUACCCAUUAUGCUGAACGGAUCGGGGAACUCCUGUAACGAAUCACAGGAACAAAUUUUAAGUUUAUCCAAAAACCGUGGUAGUUCACCUUGAAUCUCAACCAGAUUACCACAAUCGAUUACUUCAAUAUGCCUCAGCGUGUUUAACUUGCUUAGAUCAGGUAGCAUCACCAGCUGUACGACGUGCCAAAGGCGGAAAUCUCGUAGGUUCUCCAAACAACCAAGGCCUUCAAUCUUUGCAACUGUAGAGCAGCAAAUGUCGAGAGACGAUAGUUUCCUCAAAUUCGAUAGAUCCAUCGAGCAAAGUGAGUCGCAACCAGAGAGACAUAAGACGGAUAAACUUGAGGGAAGCCUCAGGAGGAGAGGCGGAUGAGGAGGGAGGCUGAGGUCUGUCGAUGAGGCGGUCCCCCCGAAAAAGCGCAGUAGCAGAGAUUCCAAUUUGCUUAAGUUCCCAAUCCACCGUGGUAUCCGUUUUUCUAGGAGCCCAUCAGAUUUCCCAUCACAGUUAGGUGGGCCAAAGCCCAGAUGCAAUACCUUUAAGUUAGCGAGAUUUGAGAGAUCCGGAAACGUGUCCACCCUCAACUCCUCCACUACUAAUUCGAUGAGACUUUCAGGAAACCUUGGUAGGGCGUGUACUCCCGGCCAUCCCAAUAUCUCCUCCCAUGGACCCCCGUAUAAGCAAUAGCCACUUAUUGCAUGGGCAUGCGUGACAUGAUUAUAACGGUCAGCGAUUUCCAUUCCCUUGACCUUCCCCAUCUUCUUACAAGCAUCAUUGUUCGUUCUUUUUUCGAAACCAUUCUGCAUCUUCAUUACUUUCAAAUUCUUCAACAUUCCAAUGGAAUCGGGUACUUCUUCGAUGCUCGUGUGACUUAUGUCCAACUUAGUUAGCGAAUCCCAAUUUCCAACCGUCUCCGGAAGCCUCUGAAGAUUCCAACAAUUGCUUACAUCUAAGAAAAUUAAGCGUUUCAACUGACAAAUUGAUCCAUCAAUUUCGAUUAAUGAUUCACAGCCUGAUAGGAUCAAAUGUUCUAAAUUUGAAUGAGCUGAGAAGUUGGGGAUUCUCUUCAAGUGUUGGCAAUGGGCCAGAUUUAGAACUUUCAAAUUCUUAAUCACCUGUGAAAGAAAAAUCAUGCACAGUUUACUUUCGAAUUUAAUGAGACGGAAGAACAAGUAUCGUCUAGCAUAUAACAUACCUUCAUGUGGCUCCACCCCUUCCAAUCAUUUGUAAUUUGACUCUGAGAUAGAUCAAGAACAAUCACAUUUUCCAUGGAGAAAUUUGUAAUCUCAAAUGUUGGGCAAAUGUUAUGCCAAGAAAGCCAUCGUAAUUGUGGAAGGAGAUUUGAAUUCUCCUGGAAAAAAUUAAUUGGAAGACAAUUUGAUAGCCAUUCGAGACAACAAAGCUCCUUUUUGGCACAACAAUUUUCCUUCAAGUCGUAAACUUCAAGGAACGUUAGAUUUGGUAGGCCCUUAAAGUCCUCAUGGGUAAAUUGAUGCUGAUGCUCAAACUUGAGAUGAAGAGCAACGACUUCUUUUUUUUCCUGCCCAAAGGAAAAAUUCUAAAUAAAAAAAAGUUGAAAGGAAACACAUUUAUUCAAGUUCACUAUUUUAAGGGGUUGAAUUGAGUACUAUCAUUCCUUUAGAAUCUUAAAAGAGAAAAAAUAUUGGUUGAAUAGGUCGAGAUGGUGCUAUAGAACACAAAAAGUAACUGCCUUUUUUUGGAAAAGACAAUGUCUAUAAGUAACUUGGAGAUGUAAUGCACAAGGCAUUUUACCUUAUGUAUCUUCAUUAGAUUUAAUCCUUCCUCGGGAUUCCACACCCGAUGUGGCUUCUCCAUAUUCAUCCCUCUUUCUUGACAAACUAUUGCUCUUCCAAGGUCUCUGAGUUGAUCAUGCAUCCACAAUAUAUUAUCUUCUCCAAUCUUUAUUAAAGACAUGUUCUGUAAAACUUCCAAGGCUGCUUUCAAAAAAGGUUUAGGUGCAUCCCAGAAAUAAACCACAAUGUCUUUGCAACAUCCAAUGAAAUGACAAGCUAUAUCAAGGAGUAUACGUUUCUGCAAAUCAUUUAAUGCAUCAUAACUUAUUUUCAACUUAUCUUGAACUUUACCAUCGGGAACACUUUCUAGCGUAUUCAAAGUGUCAUCCCACUCUUCCUUAUUUUUGUUGGAUAAAAGUGAACCUAUGACCAUAAUGGCUAAUGGAAGACCUCCGGCAAUGUGUACCGCCCUCAUGGAUUGGCUGAUAUAGUUGUUUGUAAGAGACUCUCCUCUAAAAGCAUAUUUUCUAAAAAGUUGAAGAGAUUGAUACGAAUUCAAGCACGUAAGCUCAUACCUCCAGUCCACUUCCCAAACAUCGAGAACAUCUUUCCUUCUUGUAGUAACAAUAAGUUUGCUCCCUUCACCAAACCAAUCACGCUUACCGACAAGUGCAUCCAUAUGCUCAUUUUCUUCCACAUCAUCAAGAAGAAGGAGGACUUUUUUAAUACGCAAUCUUUCUUUAAUUAUCUCCUUCCCUUCAUCAAUGUUUCUUAUCACCUGUUGUAUCUUAAGGAUGUCACGGAUGAGCUGUUGCUGCAAGUACUCAAUGCCCUUGCGCUUUGACGUGUCACGGAUGUCGGAAAGGAAGCAACAAUUGUCGUACUUGUUGGAAAGCUCAUUGUAGAUGAUUUUGGCAAUUGUUGUCUUUCCAACGCCACCCAUCCCAUGAAUUCCUAUGAUCCGCGUUUCACUUGUGUGAGCACCAAUCUUUUCCAUGAUUUCAUGCACAUGGUGGUCCACACCAACCAAGUUGUUCGAUACCGCCAAAUAAGCCUUCUUCAACUCAUUGAAAACCUUAUGGGUAAUUAUUUUUACGAUCUCACCUUCAUCCCUAGUGUUUGUUGGAGGUCAAAUGGUAAAGUUAGAAAACUGUAUUAAACCAAACUAUGUUCUCACAAGACCAAAGUGAAAACUAAAGACCUAUUCGAAAUGCUUUCUACAAGGAUUUACUCCAUUGUAAAUGAAUUAGCGUUGGGACAUAUGGUUAAUGAAUGACCUUAACUAGAAAAAAAAAGGUUAUUUGGAAUGAAAAACGACAAAUUUGGGAUUGUACCACUAUUUCGUGUGAUUUCUGCAGUAUAAUUGCAAUAGCAUAAAAUUCAAUUUCAACAAGGCUAACACAAAUCUAGAAAAGAAACCAAUUGAACCACAUUAAAGGUUUUAAUGGUACAAGGCACAUCAAAUGGAAUGAUAGAGGUAGUCACCUGUUGGUCUUGGUGUGCAAAUCCCACCCGCUUAUUGCCGCAACUGCAUUCAGAGCAUCCUUCCAUUGACGCAUAGUCUCUUCGUCAUAUCGAUUCUUCUCUUUAUGUAAAAAAAAGGCGUCUCCAUAACCCGUACCCUUAGGUUGGUGUCGAACCUCUAAAGGUGCCACAUCAUAAAAAAUGGGCAUGAUCUUUUGUCCCCUAGUUUUUUGGCACUCAUCCAUUUGGACUAGCUCCUUAAGACACCAUACGCUAGAGGCAUAACCUUUCGAAAAUAUAGGUAUUGAGAUCUUUGAUUGAUUAAUUGCUUGGAGAAGUUCUGGGCCAAAUUUUUCCCCCUUGCGGAGCUCUUUGGCAUCCUUAUAAACGCGGAUUCCCGCAUCUAUCAUACUAGUGUAAAGGAAGCUGGUAAAACCUAUUCGAGUAUCCUCUCCUCUGAAGCUCAAGAAUACUUCAUACGCGCUCCCUGCUAUUCCAUCAUUUUUAUAGGUAUGUUGUGUUUCUAUGCUCCCCUCCAUUGAUUUACUCGAUCUGAUCUUCAAGAAAUACUGAACAGCGUAUCAGGAUGCAAGAAGCCAAAUUUCACCUGAUAAAAUUUAGAUAAUCUUGGUAAUUUACUAAUCACACUGAUAAAAUUUCAUAAGAAAUGGUAAUUUACGAAUAUUUUGUCAGUCAACAACCAGAAGGUUCCAAGCUUGAAAUACACUGGUGAAUGGAAGAAUAGCAGAGAUGAGAGCUAGAGAGCUCAAUAUCAGGAUGCAAGAAGCCAAGUCUCGAAUCAGACGAUUACUACAGUACUGUGGAAUAUUUGGAAGUCAAGAAACCAGGCCAUCUUCAAGAAUAGAAAACCAUAACCAAGCAACCUUGUGGAGUCUGCUUUAGCUGGGUUGAAGAGUUCAACAGAUGGAACCCAAAAUCGAGCGAAUCUAGUAAGACUAGGGACGGAUCGUCACGAUUUUGGAACCCACCGCAGGCUGGAACACUAAAGAUAAACAUAAACGGUGCCUACGAACCUGGAGUUACUGGAGGCUCGAUCGCUUGCGUUUGUCGUGAUUUCGCCGGGAGGUUGGUGGACGGGGUGGUGCGAGUAGUAGCGGCGCCUUCUGUGUUUGGGGUUGAGGCUCUUGCCCUCUUAUAGAAGUCCCAACUCAUCCAUAUCCUCAAAGAGUAGUGCUACUGUGUAAAAAAAGAAAAAGAAAAAGAAUUAUUGAUCAAACGGUGGCCGCCUAGCAAUCAACUAUCAAGGUAACUAACCCACCGGGACCACAACCAUCAUUCACGGCGAGAAUCCAAGGAAAAUCUCGUCAAAAAAAGCAAAGUGAUAGAAAUAAAGCAAGAAAAGCAAAGAAAAAGAAGAUGGGUCAAUCCUAAUGUGGAAAAGAAGACCCACCAAUGCUUUAGCGUGUGCCUUUGGUCGUCCAAGUCUUCGGAGACUUGGCUCAUUCAUGGGUGUGAAUCCUUCUUGGAGCAAAGCAGGUUCAUCAUGGACGGUUGGUAGUCCAAGUCUUCGUAGACUUUGAUUUUGCCCUUCUAAUCCCGUGAUGUUUCGGUCUUCAUUAAUUAAUUACUUCCAGUAAUAUAAAUAAUAAUUAUCAUUCAUGAAAAUAGAAUAUUAACUUUACCAAAGGUGGGAUGGAAUAUAUUUUUGUUUUGCUUUUUCCUUUUUCUCUAUGUGCUUGAGACCUUACGUUGUCCACCAUCUUUUUGGCAUUUCACUUUUGUUCUUCUCCUUUUUGGGACAAGAAAGAAUAUGAAGGAAUAUGAUUGUUCACUUUGGAUCUUUUUAUUAGCAUCAAUUAUAUGGUCUAUCGGCAUACAAAUCUGACAUUUAUCAAAAGUCUUAUUUUUCGGUUUGGAUCUUUUUUCGGUUUGGGUUCAUCAAUGACGUUGUCAUGCAAACACUCAUACAAUUUUGUUCCAGAGGGUAGUACUUUUCCCAAAUUGCCCCUCACGAUCUUCCUUCUUAGUUUGAUAAAAAAAAAAUCAUAUUUGGAAAAUUUGUUUAUGUAAUUUCCAAUGUUUGAAUCAUGUAAAGCUAUUCGAUCCAUAAAAAUGUUUACCAUGAGCUAAAAGUAAUUAAUAAGCUUAAGGAAAAAUGACUUGGCAAGAAGAAUCAUUUUCCCUGAUAUCUAUCCUAAUUUCUUUGUAAUCGUUGUUAUUUUGAUGGAUUAUAGAAUAAAGGAUGAUGAUGUCAUAUCCAACUUAUUAGUCAUUACAUGUUACUUUUUGACUAUACAAGCCACAUUUAAUGAAUUCACUUAUUAUUAGUUACGAUAAAAUCAAUUUCUUCAACUUGUUUUCAGCACAAUCAAAAAAAAUUUUGGUUUACUUUUUUUUUAUAUUGAAUUUCCUAGAACAUUUUCCUGCUACAAAAAAAAUUCUUAACGAGAUAAGCACAACCUAAAGUUUGUUUUCAUACGAUGUUAUUCAAAGAAAGGAAAUGGUAAGAUAGAAUUAUCAAUGGAUAGGGGAAUUGAACAUCAAUUUGUUAUCAUGUGAUUUUUGGGGGUAUAUGAGAGAACCAUGAAUAGUGUUGGAUUUUGCAGGGUGAUCUUGACAUGUUUUUUGCAGUGUUGGAUGCACUUUUUUUUUUUUUAUCAAUGAACAAAAAAUGUCUUUUUAUGGAUCACGGUACAGUGUGACAUUCAAUUUUUUUUUAUUUAACUAUUUGUAGAGCUUUAUAUUAACCCUUAGGCCUUAGGUUGAUUUUUCGUCAUAUAAAGAAUUUUUUUUAGGAUUUCGAAAACUAAUUCGAUAUUGACUUUACCCUUCUAAUCCCGUGACGUUUUAGUCUUCGCAUUACCCCCUACGCUAUUCUGUCUUAUUUUUUUCCUCUCUUUCUCAGAGUGGUAGCUAAUGUGAUUUUAAAUCUAAUGAUAGUAUUUCGAUGCAGGGCAAGACUACAUGUAUACAACACUUUCAUUCUUUUCAUUCGGUUAAAUUAGAUGGUAUCAACUUUUCUAUUAAUUGAUGACAUGAUUGGAUAGACUAUUUAAAGAUCAAAGUUUUUCUAAACAGAUGGCAUUUGUUAUGCAAGUAUUUUUCAAGUUUCUAAAUCAAUUUCGAGGCUACUAAAUAUUUCUUAUUUUACGAUAGAAAAAAGCCACUUCACAAUUAAUGUUUUACGAUAUAGAAUUGACAGAAACCAAAAUAGCCAAAAUCAACUUCUAUCAACCAUUUCGUAGACAAUCUAAGUUAUUCGUAAAGAGUUGGCCCAUAAAAUAUCAUAAGCUUUUCAUGGUAUGGAUGACAGUCAAUCCCAUGGUGAAUGCAUGAAGCAUUGCCUCCUCUCCAUUGAUCUCUCUUGAUCUUCUCUCGGAGAAAAAAAAUUCGAACUGUACAGCAACACAAUCAGUACAGCACAUUGCGAAAUCAAAAUCACUUUUAGAAGCCAAAAUUACAAAUGGUCAUCUCUGUGGGUCAUUAAACGUAGGAGACAGGAUUGGCUAACCAUGCUGAGAGUCGGGGGCCAGUUUGUAUUUUAAUAAUAUAGUCUUCGUAGAGUUUGCUUUCACCCUAAAAGGGAACCGCACGGUGUCCAAUGCAUCUUCCUUCUUCCUCUAAAUUACCCGACGGCACCGUGUGGCGAUAAAUGCCCACGCCGUUCCCUACAAAUUUACAGGAAUGACAGGGCACGAGACCCACUCACAACUUUGCUUGUACAUAAUUGUAGUGUCACUUUUGGGACAGGAGUGUGUCCCAGUCUCAGUCGGGGAAAAAGUAUCGAGGCUGUUUUGGGGAAAACGCCCCCUUCUGUUUUUCGUGUUCUCUAAACCUAAAAUAUACAAUAGAAGUUCAGGAAAAAUGGCAAUUUCAAUGGGGACACGCGGGCUGAAAAUCCAUAAUUUUAGGGUUGCCCUGCAAAAUGCGGCAUGUGGACUGGAUUACACCUCUCUUCACUUCCUAUUCUUCGAGCAAGUCUUGCCCGCUCGUGCACCAGGGCAUGUGAACCCGACUCAUGCACGAAUAGCUCAUCUGAAUUCUCCAUAGAGUCCAUCUCAUCCAUCGAAUGACCCCGAAUUGAUAUAGCAUCUUCUUCCUAUUAAUUGGCUCCUGCUUCACUGCACCUGAUAUCAUCAGUCCCCUCAUGUGAGUCAUGUGACCACCGACGAUUGAUAGCUCUACUUUCCAUCCACCAGAAUCAUGGCCACCUAUCCUUUUUCGCCUGCUCCUCGCCUCUCUCCUCUAUCAAUUGCGUUUUGUCUUUUUGUUGCUACCAAAAUACCCAAAUGCCCUCUUGGCAAGGAAUUUAUUUAUCCUUUUUCUUUUUGGGUAUUGAUUUUGAUGAUAAACAGGGACGAGGGCCUCUCUCCGUUCCUAAAAAAAUCAAGCGAAUUAACCAAGUCAAGCCCCGACACCAUGGCCAUUCAACCACAAAUUUGUGGCCAUGCGAGACUAGCGACCUCUGUCAGUCGCGAGUUCCACGGACAUAGGUUAUGAGAUCUGUGAGGAAAGAAAACAAGAUGAAGGCGUAGAGGACAGACUCGAGUGGGCAAGGCGUUAACUCGCCGGUGGAUUGAUGCAUGAAGUUGAGGGCUAGUGAUGGCAAUGGGUGGACAGCAAAUUCGACGACAUUGAGUGCGUGAUUCCAUAAAAAAUCCUAAACAUUUAUAUUUACCAUAUUACCAAUUAUCCAAAUUGUAUUUUUAUCAUCAAAAUCCCAAAUUUAUAUGGUAAUUAAAAAAACAUGUUCCAUCAAAGUAUGGUCUGAGAUGAAUUGGCAUCUUGCUUGGAUAGCGACGAACUUACAAAUCUGAACUUUGCAAUUUUUAGAGUCAAAGUUUAAGUUUUUGAAAGAAAACUGGACUAAGCAACUUUUAGGGUCCAAGAAGUGAGAUAAUCCACUUCGCGGUCUUUCUUGCAAAAGAAAUGAGCUACAAUUUAAACUUCAAAGGAAAAGUGGGGUGGAAUACAAAUUAUUGCUUUGCUUUUAUCCUUUUCCGCUUCGCGCUUGAGACUCACAUUCAUCCACCUUGAUUUUAGCAUUUCGCAUCUGGUCUUACUCCUUUUCGGGAGAAGAAAGCAUACGAUGGGUCUCUCUUUAUUUGGAUGAAGAGACGGAAGUAUUCAACAUGGCCAGGUUUAGAAUUUUAUCUUUCCUUUUAUUUAGUUUUUUUUCUAGGUAAACUUCGUUUAAACUCCACGACAACUCCUUCCAUGUCGUUCCUUGACCUUUUCGCACGUUUCUUCCUUUGCUCCAAAUCCUUGAUUUUCCCCUCGUUGUCACUGCUCUUUGCUCACACGCCUAGAAAACCCUAGCCCAUGCCCAUGCCCAUGCCCAUGGUCAUUCCCGGUGAUUGACGAGCUGACUUCCUCAAAGUUGCCGGGGAGUGCAUGAUUGGUAUGAAUGCUCCAACACCACCAAGACCUUCAGAUUUCGAUGGGUACGAUGUGGACUAAAUGAACCUAUUUGUAUUUGAUAAGGACGACAUGGAGGAAACACAUGGCGGGGCAGCCAAGGAGGAAAAAUAAAAUCCUGCAAGAUCCAAAGGUGUAAACUGUUUGAUUCCAAAAUUCAUAAGCUCUUCAAUCUUUACAUACGUCCAUCCAAAUCUGACAAAAGGAAAAUUUAAAAUUGAAGCAAUUAAUCGCGAUUGACUCAAUGAGUCAAAAAAGACUUUUGGGAAAUAUCGAAUUCAUCGAUUCGAGACCAACAAAGAUCAAAUUUGUUCUUUGAUAGCUUUAACUUUGAUUAAACUCCACUAAACUUUUGUUUCAGUAAACGAAACUGCAAAGGUGUCGUUGUAGAUUUUAUUUUUUUAAAAAUAAGACUCUUUGCAUUAAGCGUCCUCCUAUACCGUUCAGAAGCUCCAAGAAGAAGAGAAAAUAGGUGGAUCCCAUUGCCUUAACUCCUCUCUUUUUAAAGGAGAAGAGAGACUUUUCAUAUUAGUUGGCUUUAACUAUCAAAGACCUUUGUCCCUUCACCACAGAAAUAUCAAGCAAAUAAAAAGGAAAGAUCUUUUUGAAUGACUUUUGGGGAGGUCAUUGUACUUAGAAGCCACAGGAUUGGCUGAAUAUGUAGAGAGAGUCAUGAGCCAAUUUGCUGCAAAAUUUGGUCAAGAAGGAUGACUCCUUGAAGCAUCGCUCCAGCCCGUCGAAGUUGACAAUUAUGUACGUUUCUUAAUGCGGAAAAUCACUGGACCAUAUGAUGCAGAAAUUUUGGUAUUAGAAUCGACUUUUGCCUCCCAAAUAAAAGGUUGAUCAUUCAAAGUCAAGUCAACAAAAGCAUACAUCAAAUUUUCACAAUUGACCACUCUACCAGUUUGGGAUUUUAUUAUCUAUUUAUCACAUGUGUACUGGUUUGUGUUUUUUCUUAGUAUUAUUCAAUUUAACGGAAACUAAUUAAGGACAAACUUCUCACAAAUGUGUUAGUUUGGAGUUUUUGGUGAUAAAAAAAAAUUGGAUAAAUUUAUCACGGAUAUAUUAGUUUGAGAUUUUUUUGUGGUAUUAACCCUAAAAACAAUAAGCUUAGAGAAAUAUGACUUGGCAAGAAGGAAUCAUUACCCUUGUUUUCUUGCUAAGCUUUGAAGUGAGAAGAAUAUAUUAUUGAUGCUCAAUUUUUCUACAUUCCCAAAGCACGAUUAUAUCUAAUAUUUUACAAAUACGAUUUUGUAAUUUCUAUCUUAAUUUCUUUGUAAUCAAUGUUAUUUCGAUGGAUUAUAGAAUAAAUGAAGAAGAUAUCAAUUCUAGUUGAUUAGUCAUUCCAUGUUAAUUUUAAUGAUACAAGUUGCAUUUAGUGAACUCACUUAUUACCAAUUACAGUAAAAUCAGUUUUUUUUUUCAACUUGUUUUCACCAUAAUCAAAAUUUUCCAAUUCCCUUUCUCUGAAAUUGAAUUUCCUAAAAGCAUUUUCCCGUCGCAAAAAAAGUUCUCAGCGACAUAAAGACAUCCUUAGAGGUUGUUUUUAUUUGAUUUUUGAAUCUCAUAUGAAAUUAUAGAAUCGAAGGAAAUCAUCCAAUGAAAUUAUUUUUUUUUUUGGUAAAGGUAAGAUAUAUAUUAAGAAAAGCCAAAUGUACAAAAGAUCUCGUCACCAGUAACUUGCACUCCAAAUGUAGUACCAAAAGAAGUGGAAGGGUGACGAGAUGCAAAAGCCGCAGAGGCGGCACAACAACAACAACAACAAGGCCAAACUAAGCACGGCUAGCUCGACCAGCUAUCAAGCAGAGACAAAAAACAAAGAGGAGGCCAUCGUCUGAUCUAGGACCUAAGGGUCCCCAUUGAAAAUAAUCGGGUCUAGACUCCAACUUCUCUGCAGCCUUUUGUUUCUGAAAUUGUCUUCGACGUUCCUGAAGGUGAUAGCCUUGUCGCGAACCACUUUAAAGAUGUGGUUUUUAAUGGUCGGAAUAGAGAGAGGCUGGUCUCUAAAGAUGAUGGCAUUCCUAUUUUUCCAAAUGAUAUGACACAACACGCCAAAUGAAAAACGGGCUAUGCACUUAUAGAAAUCUUUCCCCAUCAAAUAGGUAGUUGCCCACCUGAAAUUCUCCCCCCAACCUCUGUUGCGCCAGGGUAAAUUGCAUCUGGACGCCCAAAAGAAGGCAACGCUAGCCGUGACACAGCAGUCAAAAAACAAGUGGUCAAGAGAGUCAGGCACAUUCUUGCAAAAUGCACAGGUAGCAUUUCCAAUAAUACCAUAGGCCAAAAGGAGGUCCUGGGUUGGAAGCCUACGUCUGGCCAUGAGCCAAAGAUUAAGUUGAUAUCGAGGCACUAUGGCGUUGUCCCAUACAAAGGAGUACCAGUGGACCCGCGUCCUCUUCUUCCUGAUGAAGUUCCACGCCGAUGCCAUAGUGAAUUGGCCCGAAGAGCUUCCUCGCCAACAGCAACGAUCCGGGUCAUUCGUCAGGGUCGGAAGAGGUUGCCCCCACGAUUGAAGCACCAAUCUAAGAGCUUGGCCAGCAUCUGAGAAGAGGUCAGCAACACAAGCUUGUCUAGAGAGCCCUGAACUAUAGAUAAGAGAGUCUGAAAAGAACAGGUUCAAGGGCCCUCUAGGAUGCCAGUUGUCAAACCACAGAGAGGUUGUUUGGCCAUCGCCAAUUUUCCAGACGAAUGCCAUCCUAAAAUUCCUUCUUAGGGUCAACAAGCUCUUCCAGGCCCAGGAGCCAGAAGUUGGCUUCCUAGCAACCUAAAAAUUCUUGUUUUUUAAGAACGUGGAAUGGACCCGUCUACACCAAAGCGCUUCCUUGUCGGAGAACAAGAUCCAAAUAUGCUUUAGCAUGGAGGCUUUAUUGCAAUCUUGGAGCCUCCUAACACCUAGCCCUCCUUCAUCCUUUGGAAGGCAAACGUCAUCCCAGGCUACCUUCGUACCACCCCUGCCUAGGUCCGGACCUUUCCAUAGGAAUUGUCUAAAUAUUUUCUCUAUCUGUUCUAUCACAACUGAAGGUAAGACAAAGACACUAGCCCAGUAGGCUUGUAUAGCAUGAAGAACUGACCUGAUAAGCUGAAGCCGACCAGCAAUAGAGAGGAAACAGUGAGUCCAAGACUGAACCCUUGUAGUGAUGCGAUUGACCAGGGUACAACAGUCUGCUUUAUUGAUUCUCGAAGUGAUAAUGGGAACCCCCAAGUACCGAACUGGCAGGCUUCCUUCUCGAAAGCCCAACUCCAAUAGAAUAUUAUUCCUUAGGGAAGGAUUGCCACCCGCCAAGAAGAUUUCACUCUUGCACGAGUUAGGACGAAGGCCACUCCAGGAGGAAAAUAUGUUUAGAGCUUCCUUAAGGAAAGUUACCGAAGGAAGGUGCGCCUCACAAAAAAGGAAGACAUCAUCUGCAAAGAAGAGAUGUGAAAGACCCACUGCCUUGCACCUCCAAAAGAAUUUGAAAUCAGGCCUCGAGGAUUGCUUAAGAAUGAUCCCUGAGAGCACUUCCAUGACCAUAGUGAAAAGGUAAGGAGAGAUGGGAUCCCCUUGGCGAAGACCUCGACCACUCGCAAAAAACCCGUGGAGCUCUCCAUUCAAGGCAAUUGAGAAUUUCGGAGUGCGAACACACGUCAUAAUUAGGCUAGUGACAGAGUGAGGAAAGCCAAAGGCCAGCAUGACAUUCUCAAGGAAGCUCCAAUCCACCGUAUCAUAUGCUUUCCUGAAGUCCACCUUUAUCGCACAUUUAGGUAGAUAAGGCUGAAGGUGAAAGCUAGAGAAUAGCUCCUGGGCCAGUAAUAUAUUGUCCCUAAUUCGUCUACCUUUUAUAAAAGCAGUCUGAAAAGGGCCUAUCAUGUUCUUCAAAGCUAGGGCCACCCGAUUAGCUAGCACCUUUGUAAUACACUUGUAGAUAGUGUUACAACAGGCGAUAGGCCUAUAAUCCUCCACAGAUGUGGCGUUGAGCACUUUCGGAACCAUUACCAAGAUGGUAUUGUUAACCUCCCUCAAGAGUUUUCCGGAAUUGAAGAAGUCCAACACUGCAGUCGUUACUAAGGGACCUACCGUGUCCCAGUUUUCUUUGAAAAACUCCGCUGUGAAACCAUCUGGCCCAGGAGCCUUUUUCUUGGGCAAAGAGAAGAUAGUGUUCCGGAUCUCUAUCUCUGUAACUGGUUGAGCAAGAAGAGCAGCCUGAUCAAUCGAAAGUGGAUGUUGGAUAACCUCUCUCGAGUCCUCUAACGAAGGUCUACUAAUCUCCCCUUGUGGCAUCAAGAGGUCCUCAAAGAACUCUACAAACCUUCGUUGCACCAGGCGUGGCUCCGUCAGUAUGUUCCCCGAAGAGUCGAGGACGGAUAGGACUCUGUUCCUUACCUGUCUUUUGUUAACAUAUUGAUGGAAGAAUUUGGUAUUUCGGUCUCCCUCCUUGAGCCAUCUAACCCUGGACUUUUGCCUGAAGAAGGACUCUUCCGAGGAGCGCAACUCUGCAAAGAUACAUCUUUGGCUUUUCUCCACCUCAGAAAGGUCGGCAGAAAAGGGAUUUAGUUGUAAUUCUACUUGGGUGGCCUCCAUCAUCUUCCGCGCAUCAAGAGUUCUAGCAGAUAUAUUAGAGAAGGAAUCUCUGUUGAGUUGCUUAAGCCGACAUUUGAGAGCCUUGAGUUUAGAGACAAGCUUGUACAUAGGGACACCAUUCCCCGGCGCAUUCCACACUUGUGAGACAAUUUCCUUGAACUCCGGGUGCUUCAUCCAGAAGUCGAAGAACUUGAAGGGCUUCCUUGUAUGAGUCGGAUUAAGAAUCUUCACCACCAUAGGCGAGUGGUCCGAGAUUCCAGGAGCAAGGAAGGAGGCUUCUGAGUAAGAUAGAUCCAAGCUCCACUUUGCAUUCACUAGAACCCUGUCAAUCUUUCUUGCUUUCCUAGUAUGCCCUAAAGACGUAGUCCAAGUGUAUCUAAACCCAACGAACCUCAAGUCUUCCAGCUCAACUUGCUCCAAGCACUGUCCAAACUCAUUGAAACAAGGGAGCCAAUCUUCGGAGCCACCGACCCGGUCCGAUGGAUCCUUAAUAGCAUUGAAGUCCCCCAAGACAAGCCAAGGAGUGUCUCGGAGAUGGGUGCUUUUCAUGAUGAUGUCUUCCCACAGCGGUCUCCUCAGCGAAAAGGAGUGAUCUCCAUAAACAAAAGAAACACAGCAAGCCACCCCAGAGUCUAGGCUCUCAAGGUUCCCAUGAAUCCAAUGAAAUUAUUGAUGAAUAUGAGAAUUGGAAAUCGAUUUGUUGCCAUGUAAAUUUUGUGGGUGAAUGAGAGAACGAGGAGUCGGUGUUGGACUUGACAAAGUGAUUUCGUGACAUUUUUUUCCCUUCUUUUUGAUAAAAUCUCCACGUUCAUGGAUGCCCGUCUGUGAGGGAAAAAGUACCAAAUGAAUGAAUCAUUGGUGUGAUUCCUGCCUGAGCAAAGCUGGUUCAUCAUGGACUGUUGGUAGUCCAAGUCUUCGUAGACUUUGACUUUGCCCUUACCAAUAAGCUGUUAUUUUAUUUAUUUAUUUUCUUUGGAGAGUGGUAGUUAAUGCAAUUUUUAAUCUAAUGAUUUUAUUUCGAUGCAAGGCAAAACUAUAUGUAUACCACAUUUCGCUUGAUAACUAAAAAUUUUAUGUUUCACGAUAAAAAAAAAAAAAAAUAGCUACUUCACAACUGAAGUUUUACAAUACCAACUCAACAAUAACCAAGGUAAGUUGCAUUGUCGACCGUUUUUAACCAAUAAAAGUCACUCAUAAAGUGUUGAUAGGUACGAUAUCAUAAUAUUUUCACAGUCUGGAUUAUGAUCAAUCCAAUGAUGAAUAAAAUAAGCAUUGCCUUCCCUCUGUUGAUCUCACUUGAUCUUUUCUUUGGGAGACAAUUCAGACAUGGAAAAAAGUUCAGAGACUACUUAUUAGGUGCUGCUAGGCCAAAAAAAAAAAAAAAAAUCCUUGAUCAAGCAGUGGCCGCCAAUCAAUCAACUAUCAAAAUAAUUAACUCACUAGAGACCUCAAACGUCCCUGAGGAUCCAAGGAAAAUCUUGUCAAAAAAGCUAAGUGAUAAUGAAAGAAAUAAAGCAAUACAGCAAAGAAAAAGAAGACAAAUCCUAGCGUGGAAAAGAAGACCCACCAAUGCUUUAGCACGUGCCUUUGGUAGUCCAAGUCUUCGUAUACUUGGGUCAAUCUUUGGUUUGAUACCUUCUUGGAGCAAAGCUGGCUCAUCAUGGCUGUCGUUAGUCCAAGUCUUCGUAGACUGACUUUGCCCUUCUAAUUCUGUGAUGUUUCGGUCCUCUUGCACCCCCGUAUGCUGUCCCGUCUUUUUUUUUUUUUUUUCUGUCUUUCUGAGAGUGGUAGCUAAUGUUAAUGCCACGUUAAAAUGAAGAUUUUAGAUUGUUGGCGUCUGUAUCGAUAUCACAUUGACCAAUCUCAUGCAAUUCCUAAUCUAGUGAUUGUAUUUCGGCGCAAUGCAAAAAUCACAUGUAUACAUCACUUUUGUACUUUCCACUUAGUUAAAUUAGACGGCAUUAACUUUUCUAUUAAUAAUACAAUUGGUUCGACUAUUUAAAAAUCAAAAUAUUUCUAAACAGAUAGUUUUUUUUUUUUUUUUGCAAAUAUGUUUUUUUUUCCUAAAUCAAUUUUUUGAUUAUUAAACAUUCCAUGUUUUCCCACUAGAUCCGAAGGUAUAAAAAUGUCCAUUCCAAAAUUCACAAGUUCCUUAACUCUUUUUAGGCCGAAAUCCAAGUGUGAUGAAAAACAAUGUUUAAGAUUGAAGUUAUUAAUCACAUUGACUUGAUGAGUCAAAAAAACACUCUUGGGAAGUAUCGGAUUCCCAUUUGAGUAGUAUCUAUUUUGACAAAUCUAUUUAUUCACUUGCUGAAUAUUAAAUAAAAAAUUUGAUCAUAUCACUUAAUGUAUCAAUUUUAGUAUACUUAUUUAAAUUACUUGUAAAUAACCUAGAUUUAUUGGUUAAACUUCAAAUGAUGAAGAGUUUGUGCUUAUUGAGAAAAAGUGCACAUAUUUUUAACAAUAUUAAAAAAAAUAAUCCACAUAUUGCUAGCGGUGGAAAUUAAAAUGUUAUCUAAUAUGUGAAACGUUGAAUGCAUGUUAUUUGACAAAAUUCUCAUAGCAACUAACUCACUAGGACCUAAAUAGUUAUUCACGGCGAAAUUGCCUUGAUGAAUCCAAGGGAAACUCAUGUUAAAAAGCAAAGUGAAUAAUGAAAAGAAAUAAAGCAAUACAGCUAAGAAAAAGAAGAUGUGGUCAUCCUGAUGUGGAAAAGAAGUCCCGCCAAUGCUUUAGCGUGUCUUUGGUAGUCCAAGUCUUCGUAGACUUUCACUUGGGUCAAUCAUUGGUGUGAUUCCUUCUUGAGCAAGCUCGUUCAUCAUGGACUGUUGGUAGUCCAAGCCUUCGUAGACUUUGACUUGGGUCAAUCAUUGGUUUCAGUCUUCUUGCACUGUCCGCACGCUGUUCUGUCUGAUUUUUUUCUCUCUCUCCGAGUGGGAGCUAAUGCUAAUGCCACGUUAAGACAAGGCACAUGAAACUUAGGUUUUAGUUUGUUGGUGUCCUUAUCAAAAUCACAUCGACAGAUCCUACGCAAUUCUUAAUCUAGUGAAUGUAUUUUAAUGCAAUGCAAAAUUAUGUAUGUGACAUAUUUUAUUUCCAUUUAAUUAAAUUAGAUCAUUCCAACUUUUUUAUUAAUCGAUGACAUGAUUGACUAAACUAUUUAAGAAAAAGGCUUUUUUGGACCGAUGGUGUUUCUUUGCAAGUAUUUUUCUGUUUUUUGAAUAGAAACAUUCCAUGUUUCACAAUAGAAAAAAAGAAUCUCGCUAGAUGUAGAAGUGUAAAAUUCUUCCAUUUCAUAAUUUAUAAGUUCUUAAGUCUUUUUAGGCAUAAAUCCUAGCAUGACCAAAAAAUAUUAAGAUUAAAGUUAUUAAAUCACCAUGACUCGAUGAGUUAAAAAAAAGAAGACUCUUGGGAAGUAUCAAAUUUCUUGAAUUGAGAUCGAUGGAAGAUCGGAUUUGUUCUCCGAUAGCUUUAGCUUUCGUUAUCACUCCACCGUACUUUUGUUUUAGUAAAACAAAACUCAUCACAAUUUUUUUUUUUUUUGAAAUCAAACUCCAUCCAUUUGAAUCCAGGUUGAGCUUGCUCCUUUAGCUUAAAAGCUCGGGAAGAGUAGAAAAUACGUGGAUCCCAUUGUCUAACUCUUACUUCUUUUUAAAGGAAAAUAAAGACUUCUUGUACAUAUGCGGGCCUUAAUUAUUGAGACCUUCGUUCCUUUACCCCAGAAUAUGCAAACAAUCGUGGGCCAGUUUUGCUGCAAAAUUGGUCAAUAAGGAUGCUUCCUCGCAACAUCAUUGCAGCCUGUCAAAGGUGACAUAUAUUAUGUUUGUUAACGCGGAAAAUCAUUGGACUAUGUGGUGUAGAAAUUUUUGGAUGAGAAUCUACUUUUGCCCUUAAAUAAUUCAUUCAAAGUAAAGUCAACAAAAGCAGUCAUGGAACUUCCAAAGCAAGUUCGUUUCCCCAUCCUAAUUAAGGUGAACUUCGGUCGGUCCAGUUUAAUGGGCUGAUUGGGCCCAAGCCUGAAUUAACUCUGAAGCACAAAGCCUGGUGGAAUUGUUGGGCUUGGUCUUCGUCAAAGCACUCCCUAGUGAUCAAUUGAAUUAAGAAAAGAUUACAUUUUAUUUCGGGGUGAAGCAUCCUUCACAUUUAACCUAUUGUUAGUGUCAAUAAAUUGCUCGUCACAAAGCAUUGCAAUUGGACAUUAAAUCCAGGCAUCAUGCUGAUUAUUAUACAAAAAAUUACUAAAACGAGGUACACAAAACCAAUGUGUAAUCGUAUUAAAACUUUGAGCCAUUGACAAGUGUGGUAAAUAAGCUCAUAAACAUGAUGUGACCUAUUAGAUCUCAUUUGGAAUUUAACUCAAUUAGCAUUUCCACAUUCACGAUUGUACUUGAAAGCCUCUAUGAUUGGCAAAAAAUUAGUGAAACCUCUCCAAUGGCUAUAAUGAUUAAAAAAAAAUGUUGACUCCCCCUGAAUUCAAGUACAAAAGUUCUCUAUUUCAGAUAAUGUUUUUGGAGGUCUAGCUCUUCACUCUCUUGGUUAAUGCUUGUGAGUUAUCUAUUACAAAAGGUAAAAAAAAAAAAAAAAGAGGUGCAAAUAUAAGAACUUGCAGACAACGUGAGACUAUUCCACAUUUAAUUUUGAGAAUUAAACAAUUUGGGUCAUUAUUUUAGAUUUACCUUCAAGUUAGAUAAUGUCAGACCAAGUCCAUUUGCAACUGGAAACAUUUUUUAGUAUAAUUAAGAAUUGGAACGCCUCCUCUUCAAAUUCUAUGAAUCCAACUUAAGAGCCAUGCUUUACCCAAAAAACAAAUUGGACAUGCAUUUACCGAUGUAGAGUAUCCAUCUUCUUCACAUUGCAAUUUUGUUGCGGUUGUUGUCGUAGAGGUGAUGCCAUAAGUGCUGAGAUACUUUCACACACAUUGUAAUGGCUACUUUGACGUAUACCAUAUGAUGAAGUUAAUGAUCUCCUGCGUGAAGAAAGCAAAAAUUUUACAUAGAAACGAACAAUAUUGGACAGGGAAGAAAAAAUGGGAAAAAUUAAAGUCUAAGCACACAUUGCAUGCAAAGGAAAUCUAAUUUCCGUAAGACAGUUCAUAUUCAAGUUGGUUCAGUGAGGGCGACUGUGAAAGUCACUGAAUGGGUCACUCUUUUCCUUCAGUUUGUCCUAUUUAAUAAAAUAAAAAAGCAUGGGAGGACAUUGUAGAUGUCUGAGAUGGACACAACUUCUUGUAACACUAGAAAACCAUAGGAAGACACCUGGGGCCAAGGCAUGUCGUGAAAGAAGCACAUUGGGGCAUCGACCAAUUUCAAAUACAGUAAGACAAAGCAGCAAAUUAUAAGGUAUCUUAGAUGAAUCACCACAUAAUAUAUUGAAAAAAUAAUGCACUUGGAAUUUAUAUAAUUUGACCUCACCUUUAGCAAAUCAAGCCAUUGAAACAUCUAAACCAAACCAAACCAAAACAACAAAGAUCUGAACAAGGGUAUUUGCAUAAAAAAGAAGAUUUACAUAAACCUCUUUGUAAUUCAUAUGUUUAACAGAAUAGGAAGCACUUCUUAUCAGAUAAAAAAAGUACUCAACAGGGGCAGGUGUCCAUUCACUUUUCUUUCGCAGAAAUUUGCCAAGUUUGAUCAACCAACCCCAUAAUGUGCUAAGUUUCCAAAUCUCCCGUGGUGAAGAAUGUCUAUUUGUUUUAAUUUCCUCCACAUUGGUACAUUAGAAACAUCAGGAUAUAGUUGCUAGAGAAGAUGCGCAAAUUGUCCCGUGAUUCUGGUCGAUCAGAUGACCACGAUGAUCUAAAUGAAACUCCAUUAGUUUCUUCAAGCCACUCAGUAGGCCAAUCUGUCCAAUCGGUUGAGUUUGUUCAGCUGCAAAUUCUAGUUUGAGUCUGGUGCGUCUUUAUCCACUUGUAGUUUUUCAAAGACUAGUGUUCAAGGCUUAUGAAGGUAACAAAUCGAGUCAAGAAGCUCCAAGAUCCCAGCUCCUUAUAGAAAAAGCCUCAAUAGGGAAGUCGUGUAAUUGAUUGAAGGUUUUGUAGUCAGUGAGGAACAAUGGCCAGCACGGAGAAUUUCUAGACUCUUCAAUCUUUGUGUUGACACCUAAUUUUUGCAAAUUUAGGAAAAUAAAGAAAAUAAAAAUUGCAUUGGAACAAAUAAAAGGAAAAAAUGAAAAAAAAAAAAGGAAAAUUGAUUUGAUUGAUUAUGUAUGGAAAUUUGAAAUUCUGACGAAUAUUCGGAUUUUGUUAAAUGUAGAACAAAUUUAAAAAUCAAGUGAAUAAAUGAAAAGAAUUUCACAAAAUGAAAUAAAUCUAAGUAAAAUCGAGUUGAUUGCGAAAUCAUGCUCUGAUUUACAGUUUUGAUUUAAUAUAAUAGAAAAUGGAAACUCGGAAAAUGCCGUACAAAGCGACUGUCCAAAGUCAUUAUAAAAGAGAGCUUCAUUUUUCAUAGCUGGGAGGGCAAUUUUCGAAAGAAUUGAGAGAAAAAUUUCGAGGCAAAGUUGUCUUCGUUUAUUUUUUGGAUUUCUUUGUUUUAGGUCAAAGUCAGAAAAGUGAGGUUUUGGUUUUUUUUUUUUUUUUUUUAGUCUUAAGUGAGGUUUUGGUUUAGAACGGAGAAAAUACAGCAGAGGGUGCUGCAAAGAGUGGACGUGAGGGGACGUGAGAGAGAAAAAAAGGGAAAGAGCGCUACAGUGUCGUCUUCUUCGGAGGCCCCCCAUUCGAUCGCGCCAGUCCGUGCCGCGCCGGCCACCGUGUCGGCACCGCGACGCCGGAUACCACCGCGCCUCGCCACCUCGCUGGUCCACUGCACCUCCGCCGCACCUCCGCCACCGUCGCGCCGCCGGCCUCGCCGCCUCGCUGAACCCCUGCAACCACCGACGCUGCGCCUGCAUCUCCGCCUCUGCCCACGACGAGCAGCAACUGAGCCACCUGCAAUCUUCUCUCCAGCGCGCCUCCCCUUGCAGUCGCCAGCCAUCGCCGCUGCUGUUGAGCCACGACCCGACGCCAGCGGAAGCUCGCGCCCAGCCCGUCGCCGAAACCAUCGACACCCGCGACGCCCCUAGCUGCUUCGCCCCCUGCCGACGCGACCCAGCCCCGACGCCGCCUCCGCCGUCGAUCUUGCAGCUCGCGAAGCCCCUCACCGCCUGACUACUGCUGUCUUGAUCUCACCGCUCGAGUGCCCCGACACCUACAGAUCUCCUGCUCGCCUGUCACCGCGCCGGGGUGCCGCUCGAUUCGUCGUGCCCCUGCGCCGGAAGCUCAACGCCGUCGCCGCCCAGCAGUCCGCGACGCCCCGACGCCCGCUGGUCGCUGCGCCGAACCUCUGCGACGCCGUCACCGCCCCUGCCCUCAGCGCCACCAGCAACCCCGUUGCUGCCCAGCUUCGCCGGAGCUCCGACCGCGACGCCCCUGCCGGACCUCCGAUCAGCCACUCUUGGCCGGGCCCCACGGCUGCUACCCUAAUUUUGAAGAAAAGGAUGAAAUAGUUUUUUUAGUUUAUUUUAUUUUUAUUUUACUUUAUCUUGUUUUUUUUUAAGUAUAAUUAGUCCUUAGUAUAUGAUUGGAAAUUUCAACAUAUUACCUGAUUCGCAACCGCGUUUUGAUUUUUUAUUUCACUAUGAGACUUUAGAUGAAAUAAUUAAUCAAGCAGGAAUAAAAUUGAUCCUUUGAUUUUUAAGGUUUAAGUCAAUUUAUCAAUUUUACUAGCGAAAUAUUAUCCCUUGAAUAGAAUGAUAUGUGAUAUUUUUUGAAUGAUCAGUUUUGUCUUAAUUGCUUAAUUUAUUUUGAAAUAUGUUUGAGUUAGAAUAUUGUAUGCUUUAGGGUUAUUUGCAUAUUUAGAAUAAACAUUUUAUUCAUCAUGAGUUUUCGAAAUUAAAAAAGAAAUUAAAAAAAAACAUGAAUUUAGGUUGUUAGAUUUUUGUUUCAUUAUCUUAAAUUGCAUGUUUAAUUAUUUGAACCUUAAGUCACAUAGAAUUAUGACAUAUUUUAAUUAUUUUAAAAUUUCGAAAUUAAUUAUAAAAAAAAACAACAACAAAAAUCAUUAUGCAUAUAUCAUGUAGAAUUAUGGCAUAUUUUGUACAUCAUUGCAUAUUAGGGUAAAAUUGCACUUAAUUUAAUUUUAGAUAAUAUGUUUCUUAAUUUAUUAUAAGUUUAGGUAUUUUCUUAAAUAGAUUGCAUUUUAGGAUUAUUUGGGUUAAGAUAUUAUUUUAGUUUAAAUUAGGAUUUGGUUUAACUUAAUUCCUAAUGCAGAUUGAAUAUGAUCUUAAUCUAGCUAGAUAAUUUUCACAUUUUAUCUAAUUCCGAAUUUCAUGAAAAAAAUACAAAAACGUCUUAGGAUAAAUUAGUUUUAUUUUUUUUAAGGAAAAGUUGCAUUCUUUUAGGAAAAAAUGUCAUGCAUGUCAUAUAGGAUUAGAUUCAUGAAAUGCACGUCAUUUAGAGAUUGUUAUUAGGUCCAUUUAAUUAGAAAUUGCAUAUCAUUAGUUAUAGGUCAUUUAGUCAAUAUUGCAUUGCAUAUUGCAUGAUUUUUAUUAAUUAAGUGAAAAAAAAAAGAAGAAGAGAAAAUUGCAUGUUAAUUAGAAAUCAUAUCUAUAAUUGUUGAUGUGAAUUCUAAUUUAAUAUUGCAGAUGUUUUCGUUGCUUUUAGGUAUGUUUUGCAAUUUAUUCAUUACUUAUUUGGGUGUUAAAUUAGUGGUUUGCGCACCGCAUGAUUGCCCCACAUGUUAGGGAAAUAAAUUUAAAAUCAAUUUAAGCUACCUGCAAAAAAAAAACAUUUUUGAAAAUAAAAAAAAUAGUACCAAAAGGACAGUAGAAAAAUCUAGUGUAAUCAAAUCUCUAUACCCAUAGUCUCUGAUUCGUAGGAGUAAAGUAAACUCCCGUUAUUUAUUUGGGUUUCUAAUCGACUCACAAAAAAAUAGAUUAAUGACGACUACUAAAUAAAAUCUAUCUGUUAAAUAUUUGAACCUUAAGUUACAAAUUGAAAUGAGUUUUGGAGAGUCCGAGCUAAAUUUAAAAACUUAGUAGUCUUAAGUGGUGCACUCGAAAUUUAGAUCGCGACACCUUGACAUUCAAGCAUAUAUGCUUUAUUGAUGUCCCAUCAAUCAAUGGUUCUCUCAAACAUUCCAUUUACUAGGCUCCUUGGGGAGAUGGUGGAGAUCCAUCGUUCCAAACUCACAUGUACUUGAGGUCUAGCAUCUAACAGAACCAUUUUGACAUCGAAAGGUCCACCUGAACUGACUGAAUUGAGGUCAUAAAGCAAUCCCUUCUAGGCCAAGUCCUUGUCAAACUUUCCCCUUCCAUCUUGGUAGUUUGUAGAUGUACAUUCCCGAUAAGUUAGGGACUUGUUUGUCCAUCUUGGUAGUUCUUACAAUACUUUCUGUUCAUGUGAAGUCCUCUGAGAUGCACUAUUCGAGCUAUACUCCUUUCAUCAUUUUAUUCAAAUCAUUUCACUGUUCCCGCUGCUCCAUGGUUUAUAGCAGCAUCGUCAUAUGGACCACCCAUCUCCAAUGAUCUUACUUGUGCUUAGACUCCUCUGGAAGAAAUCUUUGAAAAGAAUAGCAGAAACAACGAUGGUAGCAACUGUCACCACACACGGGACAACCUCAAGUGCGUUAAUCGUUUUGCGCCAGCACAAGUGGUCCACCUUGGCAGAAACAACAAUUGUUGUGCUGCUGCUGUUGCUCCUCCUACUCGGAGGCAUGGGACGAUGCCUGCUGGUUCUAGCUUGGUUGUCACUGCUCAUUCGAGAGAGAGGCCGAAUCGGAAUCCGAAGUGACGAUCUGAAAUAAAAAUGGGAGGAGGAGAGAGUCGGAGGGGGAUGGUGGUAUAUUCGACCUGGCCUUGCUGCCUGACGCAACCAAUUCUUAACGUUGCAGUCUCACGUACACUGGAAGAUUAAGUUUGAACCAAAACUACUCAGUUCACGUACGUAUACAGGCCUGUCAUUGCUGUCUUACCAGCGUGCUAGAAGCCAGGAAAUACCUUCAUAUGAGGUAGCAAUAUAUGCAGGAUACAACCUCGCCAAGGAUUCGCUCACAAUGUGAUUCAAAUUAUUCAAUUCAUGGAAAAUAGUGUGACCCGCCUAUUGUUAAGUCACCGCAUUUGGGGGUGGGCUACAAUUUUUUCACGUUCAUUGUUCUUUCUUUUUCAAAUUGUUUCAUGUGAAUAAGCCAUGUAUGAAUUUGAUAAAAGCAUGAGACGUGUAUAAAUCUGUUUCGUGCUUAUUAGCACCUAAGUUUGACGAGUGAUUGAUCUAUCAACACUGGCCAUAAAUGAAGAGAUUUGGGGAUUGUUCUCUGCAAAAAGUUAUUGUUACACCCUUCACAUUCUUGAAUCACACCUUGUUCUUCACUUCCGAUUGUUGUUUUGUGUACUAACUUCUCUAUAUAUUGGAAUAACAUGAAUUUUCAGAUUAAGCUUGAAUCUGAAGAUAUUUGACUGGAGAAGUUUGCCAUCAUAAUGAAGUAAUUGCAAUUUCAUAUACCUCCACUAAUAUAAUUAAACAAAUGAAUUAUAUCAAUUUUAAUUUGAGUGUAUAGUAACCAACUAAUUGAACUAUAGAGCACCCAUUUGUCCAACAGAAUGUCUCAUUCUCUUUGGCUAAAAUACAACAGAAGGCAUCCCCACGGAGUCUUUCUAAACGUUCCAAUUUUAGCAAAACUUACUUCAGUGCUCUAAUGCACACGACGUAAAUCACCGAAUGUGACAUUGAAAAAGCCCGCCAACAAAAUAGGAUCCCAAGGGCAAAUAAGGAAAGAUCGUAAAGAAUAUGGAACAGAACAAAUCACGUUUGAGGGCGAUGGUUGUUCUGACAUGCUUGAUUGCUGCAAAGUGAGGCGAUACUCAAUCAUACAGUUUCUUCAAGUUUGAUAGGUCAAUCAAUGUAAGCGUCAACUGGAAAUGUGUGGUUCAUAAGGGCAAUAAACUUGAGGGAAGCAUUGGGAGGCACCGCAGACAUUCAUUAGAGAGUUCAAGUCUCCUAAGAUGUGAAAGCUGUGCAAUAUAUGGUGAUAUAGUGGUCAUUGUUGAAGAGGACAACUCUAAUGACUCUAGUUUGUUUAACCGACUAAUCCACCGGGAGACAACAUCUUCUGUUAAAAUAUGUCUCAAGUUUAAGCCCAAUGCAAAAUUAUGAAUAUUACAAAUUGGAUAUGUUGCGGAUGUUCGAAAUCGAGCAAAGAAGAUCCGAAGAUCAACUUCCCAAACUUGAAUAUGUGUUGGAGAGUCUGGCUACUAAAAUAGGAAAGUCCAACUUUGACUAGGACUUGGAUUUUGUUUAAAAUAUAUAAAGAUAUGUUUUAGAUAAGAAAUAAAAUCCUAUGAGAAGUUGGCAAAAGAAUAAGGGUUUUACUUAUAUAUAGACUUGAGGCCGUGGGUGAUAGAGGUGGAUCAUAAAUUGUCUUGAAGCGCCGCGUGAGUGCUUGGUGUUCCACUGUUGAUCGUGAAGAAUUGGUCUUGAAGUGCCGCCUCGUUGUCGAGUGCUUAGGAGGGAUUUUCUUUGUCGUGAAUUGCAUCCAAUAAGGUUUAGUGUUGAAGCCAAUUAAAUCUUGUGGCAAGAUUUGCGUGUAAUUCCUUCGUGAGAUUGAUAGAUUAUUUCUUGAAGAAUUUUGGGGCUAAACACUGUGUGUGUUAUUGGGUGUAAUUGGGGCUUGGGAAACACCGAGAGAGUGUUUGAGUGACUUGAGUAUGUAAUCUCCUUGUAUUGCUUGAUCUAUAGUGAAAUUCGCUACUGCUCUCCCCGUGGACGUAGGUCUUUAUGACUGAAUCAUGUAAAUUUGGUGUCCAAUAUUUUUUUUUUCUGUCUAUAUUAUUGUUCGAUCGCUCGCCUUAUCGCAAUAAGUGGUAUCAGAGCCAGGCUUGGCUAAGUUGAAGCAUAUCGAUGGCGACGGAAGAAGUAAAAGUGAGAAUCGACAUAUUUGAUGGGAAUGAUUUUAGUUUCUGGAAGAUGCAGAUUGAAGAUUAUCUUUAUCAGAUGAAACUGCACUUGCCCUUGUCUGGAGAGAAACUAGAGACGAUGAAGCAAGCGCUGAUUGGGAUUUGCUGGAUAGACGAGCUAUGGGUGUUAUUCGGCUUAUGUUGGCUCGUAACGUCGCGUUUAACAUCCUAAAGGAGAAGAUCAUUGCUGAUUUAAUGCAAGCCCUGUCGGAUAUGUACGAGAAGCCCUCUGUGAUCAACAAGGUUUGUUUGAUGCGACGUCUAUUUAAUUUGAAGAUGAGCAAAUGUGCGUCAGUUGUUAAUCAUAUUAAUGAAUUUAAUGUGAUUAUUAGUCAAUUGAAUUCAAUUGAGAUUGACUUUGAAGAUGAGGUACGUGCUUUGAUUCUGUUAUCCUCAUUACCUGAUAGUUGGAAUACUACUAUUACUGUUGUUAAUAAUUCCUCCGGGUCAACAAGUUUGACGUUUGAUGGGGUUUGAGAUUUGAUUCUGAGCGAAGAUAUUCAUAGAAGAGAAUCUGGCCAAUCUGUUUUUAUUGCUUUAGUAGGUGAAAAUAGAGGAAGAUCUGUAACGCGUGUAGGUAAAAGUAGUACUAAUAUGAACAGACGUAGUCAAUUUAGGACUGCUAAUGUUUUCUAUUGGAGUUGUGGUAAGAGGGGGCAUCUUAGAAGGGAUUGUCUUAAGCUGAAGAAUGAGAAGGGUAAGGAAAUUGUAGUUGAUUCUGCAGAUAAUGUUGUAGCUGUAGCAGAUAAUGCCGAUUAUGUAUUGUCUGUCACUAAUGAUUCAUCGUUUGAUGAAUGGAUUAUGGAUUUUGGUUGUUCUUUUCAUGUCACACCAAAUAGAAACUGGUUUAUCACUUAUCAGUGCACGGGUAGUGGUAAAGUUCAAUUAGGGAACAACGUUAAGUGCAAUAUUGUGGGUGUUGGUAAUGUUAAAAUCAGAAUGCAUGAUGGCAUUGUGAGGAUAUUGACUGGAGUGAGGCAUGUUCCAGAGUUGAAGAAGAACUUAAUUUCCUUUGGUGCCCUAGAUUCAACUGGUUGCAGGUAUUCUUCAGAAGGUGGAGUUCUGAAGGUUGUUCGAGGUGCCUUGGUGAUAAUGAAAGGAAUCAAGCACGGAGGCCUGUAUAAACUUCAAGGUGGGACGGUAACAAAUUUCGUUGCAGAGACGUUGGAUGCAUAUGUUCGAGAGUCUAUUGACUGCUCGAGGAAGACCUGGAUGUUUGUGCCAAUGCACAAGUUUGAUGGUGAUGUCAGGAUCACGCGGUUGAGAGUUUUGAUCGAGACGGAGACUAGUAAGUCGAUCAAGCAUGUGUAGACUGACAAUAGCAUGAAGUUCUGCUCGGAGCUGACAAAUAAAUUCUGCAUGAAAGAGAGUAUAGUGAAAUACCGCACCAGUACCAGUAAAUUACAACAAUUUGCAGAAUUGAUGAGCAGAAUAUUACUAGAGACGGCCCGUAAAAUAAUCUCUAGUGUUGGUAUUGCUAGGAGAAUCCUAACUGAUGUGCUUAGUACAAUAAGCUGCCUGGUGAAUAGAUCCCCAUCAACUGUUAUUGAAUGGCGGACUCCUGAAGAAGUGUGGUCAAGUAAAGUUGCUAGUUAUUCUAUCAUUAGAAUGUUACGUUGUUCGUAUUAUUUUCGAGUGAGUGAUGGUAAGCUCGAUGGGAGGGCAAGGUGCAUAUUCCAUGGCUAUGCACAAGGUGAGCAAGGCGAUCGAUUGUGGUGCAUAGAUAUAAAUUCACCUGUUAACAGUAGAGAAGUUACUUUUGACGAGUCUCCAAUACUUCUGACUAGGAGUGAUUAUAGCAGUGUUCAAACGGAUUUGAACGGUGUUCAGCUUGAGGUGGAGUUACGACCAGAAACUCCUGAGGUAGCGAGUACGAGUACUAGCAAAGUAAUCGACACAAAUGGUGCUCAUAACGAGGUAGAGCUUAUAGAGCCAAUGGUUACUGUAACUGCUAAAAUUAACAAGGUACGUAUUCGAUCUCCUAACAGAUAUGGAUGCAACAAUGGUUUUGUUUUAUCUGUGGUUAAGGAGGUUAUGUCGGAAAAUUCUUGCGGAAUAGUUAAAGGUGCAUGUGGAGUUGGUAUUCUGAUGAGAUCAUCGGUUAUAGCGAAGUUCAAGCGAAGCUUGGACUUGGACAAUAUCGCCCAUCAGGGGCUAGGGGAAAGUAGUAGCAGAGUUUGAAUUUUUUGCGAAGCGAUUGCGACUUAGCUCAAACGUCGAGCCAAAGUGGAGAUUGUUAAAAUAUGUCUCAAGUUUAAGCCCAAUGCAAAAUUAUGAAUAUUACAAAUUGGAUAUGUUGCAGAUGUUCGAAAUUGAGCAAAGAAGAUCCGAAGAUCAACUUCUCAAAUUUGAAUCUGCGUUGGAGAGUCUGGUUACUAAAAUAGGAAAGUCCAACUUUGACUAGGACUUGGAUUUUUUUAAAAUAUACAAAGAUAUGUUUUGGAUAGGAAACAAAAUCCUAUGAGAAGUUAGCAAAAGAAUAAGGAUUUUACUUAUAUAUAGACUUGAGGCCGUGGGUGAUAGAGGUGGAUCACAAAUUGUCUUGAAUUGCCGCAUGAGUGCUUGGUGUUCCGCCGUUGAUCAUGAAGAAUUGGUCUUGAAGUGCCGCCUCGUUGUCAAGUGCUUGGAAGGGAUUUUCUUUGUCGUGAAUUACAUCCAAGAAGGUUUAGUAUUGAAGCCAAUUAAAUCUUGUGGUAAGAUUUGCGUGUAAUGCCUUCGUGAGAUUAAGAGAUUAUUUCUUGAGGAAUUUCGAGACUAAACACUGUGUGUGUUAUUGGGUGUAAUUGGGGCUUGGGAAACACCGAGAAAGUAUUUGAGUGACUUGAGUGUGUGAGAUUAAAUCUCCUUAUAUCGCUUGAUUUAUAAUGAAAUUCGUUACUGCUCUCCCCGUGGAUAUAUGUCUUUACGAUUAAACCACGUAAAUCUGGUGUCCGAUAUAUUUUCUUUUUCUGUCUAUAUUAUUGUUCGAUCACUCGCCUUAUUACAACAAGCCACAAGCUUAGACGGGUCAACAGGGCGAGGAUACUUUUGGCAUCCCAAAGACAAAUCUCUCAAGCUUUUCAAGUUCAAGAGAUUGGAAAUCCUAUCAUCAGCUCGCCGCUCGAUAUGAAUAUGUAGACAGAGAAGAAUUUCUGGGAGUCUUAGCACUUGGGGUAUCUCAACACAUGUCGGUUUCAAAAUCUUCCGAGAUGAACAUCUCCAGAUAUCAUAGGAAUUUCUGAUUAGCAAAUUUUCACUAAGCUCUACAUCUAUUCUUCUAGCUAUUCCUGCUUCUAUACUGCACUAGUUAUCAUUCUCAUGAUAGAGAACCUCAUCUUCAAUGCUUUCAAAUACUUCAUGUUCCCGACCAAUCUAGCAGCUUCUCUAUGUCCAUGUUCAAUUAUCGAACUCAGCAAGUGAUUCCAAAUUUCAGAUUGAGUCCAGUAGUGUCUUUGUUGACUUGUAGUUCCUGGAAGACUAGUGUUUGAGGCUUACGAGGGAUCCACUUGAGCUGGGAAGCUCCACGAUCCCAGCUCCUCAUAGAGAAAGCCUCGAUAGGGAAGUUAGGUGACAGAUUGAAGGUUUUAUAGUCAGUGAGGAACGAUGGGAAGCACAUAGGACCUGCAAGCUCUUCAAUUCUUGACAUUUAGGCAUAUGCUUUAUUGAUGUUAUGCAGCAAUCCCUUUUUAAGGCAGUUAAGUCCAUGUCAGACUUUCCCCUUCUAUCUUGGUAAUUCGUAGAUGUAUAUUCCCUUUUAAGAUAGAGAUUAUCAAUGUCUGUCCGUUAAAACCAGCAUGCGAAAUUGCGAAUUGAACAAAGUCAACGUCUAGCAAGCUAGUCGCCUUAUCUUUCUCCCAAAAAUCAUGUACUUUUAUUCGUGUGAAGUCCUCCAUCAGGUACUAACCGAGUUAUCCAGAGUUAGAUUCAUAUACUAGUAAGAAUACUUUGAGGAACCUUGUUUAGCUUUCUUAUACUUGUUUCAUAGUUUGAUUCCAUCAAUUCUCGGUUCACGCUGCUCCAUGGUUUAUAGCAGCAUCGUUAUUUGGUUUGCCCUCUCCGGUGAUCUUGCUGCUCUUAAUCUUCUCUGCUCCAUGGUUUAUAGUAGCAACUUUCGCCACACACAAUGCAACCUCAACUGGUGAAUCGUUCUGCACCAGUACAAAUGGUCCACCUCAGCAGAAACGACAACUGUUGAGCUGCAUGAGGAUUGGGGUGGUCUGACUUGGCCUCCCCGCCCGAGUCGCAAUGGGUCAGGAAUUUUUUUUUUUUUUAUAAAUUAAAAAGUGUGGGAAAAGAUGACCAAUACAAGUAUCCAUUCUUGUUGUUACAUAAAGUGUUAUGUAUAUUACAGAAUAUCUCCAUUGAGCCAUAACCACGCCAUCCGUCUAUAAGUGUGCAAGUCUAUCACCAUAACUAAUAUGUCAAAAGCCUGAAAAUAUUUCCACAUAAUGUUGUGAAUACCUAAAAUACUGAUUGGUGAAAAGGUCACUCAUAACAUGAUUCAAACUCACAAAUUUAUAGAAGAUGGCAUGAUCCCUUCGUCAUUGGGUUAUCGUGCUUGGGGUUGGAUUGUGAUUGUGACUUUUUCAUGUUUAUAUAUAUAUAUACUUUCAAAGUGAAAGAAUGGUGCAUGAGCCUGAUCCAAAGUGAUUUAUAAAUCUAUUUUGUGCUCAUAAAAUUUGACUUAAUCAAAUGAGGUGUUGUGUUUAUGUUGCCAAUAAAAGAAGAGGUUUGAUGACUGGUUUCUAUAAAAUUGAUUAAUUUACUCUUCAUAAUUUUCUCAAGUUAUUCAACCUUUUUGUUUUGUGUACUAAUUUUUCUGUGCUUUUAUAGACAUUUGACUGUGAAUAUAAAUGCAUGAGAGCCACCAAACAUCGUGCAUGCGACGCAUUGGUGUUCUUAUAUUAUUAUUUUUUUUUUGCAUGAGCUAAUUGUGAUUUAAGGAAAAAAAAUCUUCCACGUUCUUUGAUAAUUUGAAAAUGACAUUUUGUGACUUUUGUUGUGUGAGGUUACAAACUCUUUUUACUCCGAACACAGCCGAUGAAAAAGUCCAAUGACUUUUGUUCUCAGAGAUUAUGGACCUUUUUACUUGUUUAAAUCUUUUACAUGUAAAGUAUUCAAUUGCAAUGAUUGUACAACUCAUAUAUCAAAUCAGUAAUUGUGAGAUGACGAUGGCAUCAUUUUAUAAGAUAGUGAUCGGUCAAAUCGUAUUCGCACUAAAUAUUUUGUAAAUUCUAAAUAAAACAACCUAGCUCAAAUUAUUGCAUAGACGUAAAAAUAAAAACUAUCAAAUCCACUUUCAUAUAAAUUUUAAAGAAUAGAAUUGAUCUGUCAUGAUAAAUCACAUUCUCGAACUCUCUCAACCCGAGAGAAGUGGGCUCCACAAUCCACAAUUAAGCUUAAUUCACUUGUCUCGCACGUUGAAUAAUAUUCUUUUCAAGUUCGAAUAAUAUUGGCAAAGAAAAAGUUUGAAUGAUUUGAGUUAUUAGAUUGGUUCGAGCUUGGAAUCGGAAAAAUUUUACUCAAUAAGCUUGAGAUCAAAGGAAGCGCCAAAAGAGGGGAGAGAGAGAGAGAGAGAGAGAGAGAGAGAGAGAGAGAGAGAGAGAGAGAGAGAGAGAGAGAGAGAGAGAGAGAGAGAGAGAGAGAGAACGGAAAUUUGUCCGGGAGCACGCCUCAUUUUAGCGAAACUUCCUUCAUUGCCCUCGCGGAAACGACGAAAUCACCGGACGUGACACCGAAUAUGCCUGCCAACAAAGCAAGAGCCCGAGGUCGAAUCAGGAAAAUUCGCAAAUCCAUCGUCCUCUCCUUCCCUUUCCCCCACUCAAAAACAAAAGCUUGCCGUAGCUUUCGAUUGCCAACUGCUGCGAAAAUCGCUACGGAGUCCACGAACGCUGCGAAGACCAGGAUUCGAGUGUUGAAUUCGAGCAAUGCGGACGAAGACCGCAAUCGAUCUCUCCACCUCGUCGGGCGAUCCCACCAUUUUGAUUGCGUGAGAUUGGAAUGAUGUUGUUGCUCCAGCAGAAUGUGGAGUUGAGGGUGAUGGUUGUUCUAAAGUGCUUCAUUGCCGCGGGUGGGGGCGAGAGGUAAUUGCAAUUCGGGUUCAUGUAAUCAAUUACAUGCUCUGAUCCUCCCACUUGAUUGGGAUUGGGAGUCUAGUAUCAAGCAUGUCGGUUUUGAGCUUGUAGGUUUCAGCAGACUAGCUUUAUGGGAAAGAGGAGCCUUAUGCUUUUCACUUAUUCGCCUUUCGUUGCAUUUGAACAUAUAGUUCUUUAAGUUCACGAACAAGGAUGGCAGAAAUAUACUGAAAUAUUAUUUUGAGUUGAUGUUUCCUUGAGAAGUGUUCCUCUUACUUGAUUGUCGAAAUAGCUUGCUAGAGACAUAAGAAACUUGCUCCAUUGUGAGAUAGCUAGUAUAAGCACCUAGAGGGGGGUGAAUAGGUGCACAAACAAUUUAUCGAGAUACGGAAGCGAUUUUAGGCAAACGAUAGAAAGGAAGUUCUCUAUUGAUUAACAAAAUGAAGUACGAUCAAAGUAAAGAGAGUAAGGAAAAGAAAAUUGAACACAAGGUUUAUAGUGGUUCGGCUUAUUCCAAGCCUACGUCCACUCUUCCGCACUGACAGCCCACCGGCUGGAUUUCACUAUGAACAAAAGAGUAGUUACAGCACAGCUUUUCCUUGAUUCCACAGUGUAGAUGUUCUACCACACCUCCUCAAGGUUUCUCACAAUAUAGACUCUCUUUUGUAUACAAAGUUUCGCUCAAAGGAAUUGUCUAAACAACAAGGAGCUUCAAACUUUGGAAUUCUUCUAUCGCGCACACCUCGAACAACUUAGAACGUCUUCCUUAUAUACUCCUUUAUGCCAUCAUACCCGUUGGCACUUACCAAAUGAAUUCCUCCAAUCUACUCAUUGGACGGAAUCAAUUAGGAAGAUUAUUCGAGCUAUUAAAGGAACGUGUCGAUAGCCCAUCAAUCAUGUUCGCCCAUACAAUCAGGAUCUCGGUUUCUAUAAGUAGAACCUUCCAAGAAUAUUUAGGCAAUAAUCGGAUCCUUAAUCUUCGAGUCAAUCUCGAUCAAUCAAAGGAUUCCGUUGUGUUUUUUCUAGCCAAGAGAUCUUCUCCAGUUGAUAAGGUCAUAUCCUUAAUGAAACAUCCAGUUCUGGAUAACCUUUCUUCAACGGAUUAGAGACUGUCAAUGAGGAUAGACUUUGAGUCUUGAGUCUGGCUAUCCGGAGGUCUUCAGACUCUAAAUAGCAGAGUCUGCAAGCCUUCAGACUAGACUGAUGGAAACGUUUUGUCAGCUUCAAAACACUUCAAGAAGAUUUCUCCAACAAUCUCCCCCUUUUUGAUGGUGACAAAACUUUCCUGUAGAUUUGGACAACUUUGACCUGCAAAACAUUUCUCAAACACAUAUGCAUAUCUUAUAGAGAUAAAUUACCAAAUGAAUAACACUAGAAUCUGCAACCACAGAAAAUAGGUUAGUCUAAUAUGCGAUAAAGCCAUCCAUAAGAUAUGAAUAGUAGUUAAUAGAAGCAGUCAAGCCCAAGUCUAGUUCAGUUCUCAUCUAGACACAAAAACAAAGUCAAACAGAUCAAAACAAUCCAACAAAAUCCAACAAACAGUCCAACAAACCAUACGAUUAAAAGUCAAAUUGUUCAAAUCUUGCAUCUCUCCCCCUUUUUGUCAGCAUUAAAAAGGUUGAGAUGAAAGUGGAAUAAAGUCAAGAUUGCUUGGGAACUCGGACAAGCUGGAAAUCUCCCAUAGACUGAACGAUGCCUUCCAGCCUUUUCAAGUCUUCCUUCAGUUGUGCAAUCUCCUCACCCUUGGCAUUAGCCUGAAUCUGAACAGUGAGGGCUUGGAUUUUAUCAUUCAAUGAACAUGAAGAAACUUGACCCGCAAUUUGCAAGUUUUGAACCUUGCAUCCCAAGGCAUAAAUUUGACCUCGCAUCUCCAAGAGAAUAUCCAUGAUUCUGCGAAAAUCUGCUGCAUUAUCAGUCUGAGUACUUGCUUCGGCUCGAUCUGAUGGAGUAAAUGCAGACAAUGGUAGAUCAGCAUAAUCUCACAGGUUUGGCGAUGAAACUUCAUGACCUUCUUCUGGAAAUUGAGAGGCAUAAACGUCCUCUGGAUCUGCAGGUGAGUGAUUGACUCCUUCACUUGCAUCAGGAUAUGAGGACUUCCCUCCUUUCUCUUGAUCUUUCCCUGUUUCCAUGCCUACAGGUGGAGAAGAGUGUUCCUUAGAUUCUCCUUCUUCUCUUCUUUCUUCUUCUUCUUUCUCAACUCUUUCAUUCUCAGCUUCUCUUUCUUCUUCUCCUUUCUCCUCUGCUUCCUUCUCCUCUAUUUCCUUCUCCUCUGUUUCUUUCAUCUCUGCUUCUUUUGUCCUUUGUUUUGAUUCUUUCUCUGGAACAGAACGACUCAGAUUCUUCAAAGCCAUUGCAGAAACAGUGAGAUUUUCAUCAUCAUCUUCAUCUUCAACAAUAUGAGCUCUUCUUUUCGGUUUUGAAGCAACCAAGGGCUCAUUUCCUUUCCAUUUUGAUGAAGAAGAGGGUUGAUGAGCUUUGACUGGAGUCUUCUCCUUAAAUUUCUCCAACGCCUUGUUUAGUUUCUUCAGACGCAUCUUGGUCACCAUUUUCAGUCCUACCACCAUAUGAUCGCACGAUCGAACACAAAAGAUUUGCGGAGGCUGAAUAUUCAGAUGUCUGAAUAACUUCGUCACAAGACUUGGAUAAGGGAGUUGACCUCUGUCCUUCAUCAUGGCUCUAUACAUGUGAAACAUAACAGUGUGAGGAAGAGAAAACCUUUUCCCAGUGAGGAUGGCAUACAUCAACUUUGCCUCUGAACUUGAAACAUCGGUCUUGGAAGUUGAUUUUGGUCGGAGGCAAUUGAUCACAAUCUUGUGAAGCAAGAUGUUGAACGCACUCAUCCUUGAGUAGGAAAUCUUUUCCUCUGUUCUCCUGUCCUUAACAAGUUCCAAUGUAGCAUGAGCAAUAGAAACUUUGAUCGGUUGAUAUCUUCCUCUCUCAACUCCUAACACAUCUGCCAGCAUAUCUAUAUCCACAACAUAGUCUUGAUCUUUGACACCGAAAGAGAAUCUAUUCGCAUCCAAAAAGUUAAGAUUUGAAUAGAAAUAUGCGGUUAGUUCAGCAUAGGCCUCUGUAGUGUCGGAGCAGAACUUUUCAAGUUGAAGAUAACCGAAAUUUUCCCUCAAGUUCACAUUUACAGCAUCCAGAAAAUCAAAAUCCACACUCCUAGGGUUUAUUACCCCACGCUUCAGCAAUUUUGAGUACAAAUCCUUUUGUUCCUUUGAUUUGAACAAAUCUCAUCUUUUUCCUCGAUUUUCAACCGCAACACCCAUUCUCGGUUGAAAUUGACUGUACAAUUUGUCAUCUUCAUUCCCAUCUACAGGAUUCACUCCCCAAUCACGAGGAUCACUUGGGAUAUUCGCAAGGGUUUCUUCGGCCACCCCUUUACAAGCAAUUCCCAAACUUUCCAUUUUUCUCAAAAAGAUAUAUUCAUUGCCAUACCCUUUGUCUUUAAGAAAAUCAUCGACAUAGUUCAAUGGAGUAUGAGUUCCUUUUAAAGCACGAUACAUCUGAUAAAUAAAAGUGGGCUUUUGAACUCUUACAGGGUCUGCAUCCUCAAUGAUUUCUUCCUCUUGUUGAUGAUCAACGCCUUGAGGACUAGAUGGAGGAGAAUGACGCUGCUGAGAAUGUUGUGGGUUCGGUUGCUGUUCUGGAGACACUUCUUCUUCAGUAAGAUCGAAGUGCGUAGGCCCCUCAUUCAUUUGCCGUGGUCCCCUGCUUGCGAUUCUCGAAGACUUUCUUGAAGAUGACAUCUUUCUCAGUUUUUGGAAGAUUCCUUACUUGACUUUCCCAAGAAAGAUGACGACUUUUUCGAAGAUUAAAUAAGGGAGAAAAACGGGAAUGGAAGAUCGAUGCUUUCUAGGGUUUUUGAGAGUAAAGUGAAGAGGAAUCAACAGUGCACGAUCAGUUAAAAAGGGAGAUAAACAAACCGUCACAAAGGAAAAUAAAAAGAUGCAUUUUCAAAAUAACUGUCAUUUUUCCGCGAAAAUAGUCAUUUAAAAAAUAACUUCCUUUUUGAAAAUGAAACGAUGCAAUAGUUACGUCGAUUAAAUAUAGAAAUAAUUAAACACAGUCUGACGAUCGUACCUCUUCAAGAUAAGAUUCGAGAGAGAGAGAGAGAGAAUUACUUAUAGUCUGACGAUCGUACCAAGACUAACUUAUAGUCAAAGUCUUGUAUGUCUGAGUCUGAGAGUCUUUAGACUUUGAUUUCCUCAUACCUCAAAAUGUUGAGUCUGGAACGAAUAGUUUCAAAUUGAUUUUUCUCCAAAGGCUUUGUGAAUAUAUCCGCCAGUUGGUUCUUUGAGUCAACAAAUUGAAUUGAAACAUCUCCAUUUUAAACAUGGUCUCUAAUAAAGUGAUGUCGAAUCUCUAUAUGCUUUGCUAUUGAGUGGAGAAUUGGAUUUUUGGUGAGAUUUAUAGCGUUGGUGUUGUCGCAAUUUAUCUCCGUGCAUGAGUCUUCAAUUCCAAAGUCUCUUAGCUGUUAUUUUAUCCACAGAAUUUGCGAACAACAACUUCCGAGAGCUAUAUACUCUGCUUCUGCUGUAGAGAGAGCUACUGUACUUUGCUUUCUUGAAAACCAAGACAUUGUCCUGCCUCCAAGUAGUUGACAAGUACCCGAGGUGCUCUUUCUAUCGACUCUGCAUCCAGCAAGGUCUACGUCUGAAUAUCCAAGAAGAGUAAAGUCUCCCUUUUUUGGAUACUAGAGACCAAAGCUUGAAGUAGAUGAAAUAUAUUUGAUAAUACGCUUCACAGCAUUCAAAUGAGAUUCUUUUGGGUCUGAUUGAAAUCUGGCACAAAUGCAAAUACUAAACAAAAUGUCAGGUCUAGAAGCAGUAUGAUAAAGAAGUGAUCCGAUGAUACUCCUGUAUAGCUUUUGGUCGACUUUCUUUCCUUCUUCAUCUUUGUCUAUCUUCAAGGAACUUGACAUUGGUAUAUCAGCCUUUUUGCAAUUGUCUAGUCCAAACUUUUUGACAAGAAAGAAGGUUAACUCACCCAUCAUGCUCAUUUCAAAUUCAUCCUGCAUAGUCUUAGAAAAUUUCUUGCACAGACUUUCGUUAGAGGAUCCAAAGAUAAUAUCAUCGACAUAUAUUUGAACAAGCAGAAAACUUUUGCUUUCUCUUUUAAUAAAAAGAGUAGUGUCUACUUUACCUUUGACAAAACCAUUUCGAAUUAAAAACUUACUUAAUCUGUCGUACCAAGCUCGAGGUGCUUGCUUUAAGCCAUAUAAGGCAUUUUUGAGUCUGAAUACUGAGUCUGGUUUCCUUGGGUCUUCAAACCUGGGUGGUUGUUCCACAUAAACUUCCGCAUGGAUGAAUCCAUUUAGAAAUGCACUUUUGACAUCCAUUUGGAAUAACCUGAAAUUCUUAUAACAAACAAAUGCAAGUAAUAAAUGAAUUGCUUCUAACCUUGCUACCGGUGCAUAAGUCUCGUCAUAGUCGAUCCCUUCUUCUUGUGUGUAUCCCUUGGCCACGAGUCUACCCUUGUUUCUUAUGACUUUUCCUUUUUCGUCCAUCUUGUUCUUGAAAACCCAUUUAGCUCCAAUAAUUGAUUUACCUUUUGGUUUAGGAGUCAACUCCCAGACAUCAUUAAUUCUGAAUUGUCUGAGUUCUUCUUGCAUAGCUUCAAUCCAGCUUUCAUCGGAUAAAGCUUCUUCUAUGCUCUUGGGUUCUAUUUCAGAAAUAAGAGCCAUGGCACUAGACUCUUCUUGCCUUUUGGAUCUUGUGCGAAUUCCUUCAUUGAUGUCGCCAAUAAUAAGAUCUUUGGGAUGACUGGACUUAUGUUUCCAGUUGUUGGUUAAUUAAUCAGAUUGAUGGUCACUUCCUUUACUUGAAUCUUUAACAGUCACUUGUUGCUGGUCCUUCAAAGUCUGAGCUGCUUCUUGAGAUUUAGACUUUGUAGAGUCUGGAGCAGAUUUAGUCUCUUCAAGAUGAGUCUGAAUAGAUUCAUUUUGUAUAGAAUCUUGGAAUUUGACAUUCAUUGAUUCUUCCACAGUUUGAGUCUUCUUGUUGUAGACUCUGUACGCUUUGCUUGUGGUUGAAUAUCCAAGGAAGAUGCAUUCAUCUGACUUUUCUUCAAACUUACCAAUUCGAUCAUUUGGAUUUUUCAAUAUGAAACAUUUGCAUCCGAAUACAUGAAAAUAUGAAACAAUGGGCUUCUUUUCUUUGAAUAGUUCAUAGGGGGUUUUUUCUAGAAUAAGUCUUAGAAAAACUCUAUUAAUAAUAUAGCAUGAUGUUGAAACUGCUUCAGCCCAAAAACGUAAAGAGAUAUUGCUUUCAAUUAAGAGAGUUCUAGCCAUUUCUUGAAGAGAUCUAUUCUUCCUUUCCAUAACUCCAUUUUGCUCUGGAGUAUAUGGAGAAGAGAACAAAUGCUGAAAACCAGAUUCUUCACAAAAUUUUGCAAAAUCUUGAUUUUCAAAUUCAUCUCCAUGGUCUGUUUUUAUACUUGAAAUGACAUACCCCUUUUCAUUCUGAACUUUCUUAGCAAAUUUUUCAAAGUAAGAGAAAGUUUCAGACUUACUUGCCAAUAAAUAUACCCAAGUAAAUCGUGAAUAAUCAUCCACAAUUAUUAGGCAAUAUUUCUUACCUCUAAUACUCUGCGUUCUUGUUGGUCCGAAGAGAUCCAUAUGCAAGAGCUGUAGUACACGGUUAGUGGAAACUUGAUUUAUUGGCUUAAAGGAAUUUCUUACCUGUUUUCCCAAUAUACAUGGUGUACAUAGAUCAGACUUUUGGUAUGAUAAAUUGGGUAGACCACGAACAAGCUUCUUUGCUGAGAUUUUGGCUAUCUGCUUUAUGUUGAUAUGCCCAAGUUUUUUGUGCCAUAAGUUUGCUUCGUCUUGGAUUGAUGUUAGACAUUGCGAUUCAUCUGGUUUCACGUCUAAGAGGUAGAUAUUCCCAUGUCUUCGACCCAUAAAUGACUGAGUAGAGUCUUUACUGGUUCCUGAACAAAUACCCUCUUGAAAGUUGAUUUUAAAACCGGCAUCACAUAGCUGACUGAUACUGAGCAAGUUAUAGUUUAGCCCUUCAACUAAAGAAACAUUGCUUAUUGUGAGGUUCCCAAUCUUUACAAUUCCGAAUCCCAUUAUUUUUCCUUUGCUGUUUCCUCCAAAUGAAACUUUUCCACCAUUCACUUGAACAAGCUUUAUGAAGCAAUUUGAAUCUCCUGUCAUGUGUCUCGAGCAUCCACUAUCCAGGUACCAUUUCACCUUUUUCUUGAUAGUAACCUGCAUUUAAAAAAGACUCAAGCUUUCUUUGGUACCCAUAUUUUCUUGGGUCCUUUUGAGUUAGUCUAAUAUGUGGUUUUUGCCCAGACUUUAUUGACAUGUCUCCAAACCAUAUGACAUCCUUUCUUAAAAUGUUCUGCACUAUUGCAUUUUGAACAUCUAAGAGCAUUGCGACCUACUAGUUUUACAAAGGUCCUUUCAAAAUGAUUUUUGUAAGCAUUUCUUGUGGGUCUUUGUUUGAUUCUUUCUUUUACUUUAGGAAAAUCGAUUAAAGGAAUGGUUUUAGCAGUCAUUCCUAAACCGGCUUUAUUGAAAUAAGGUCUUUGGACAGAAAGUAUUUUCUCCAGUUUUUCAGAUCCUAGAGAAAAUCUUUUGGAAAUAUUUGAAAUAUCAUUUUUCAAGAAUGCAUUUUCUUUUAAAAGAUUAUAUUCACUUUCUUUGAGAGAAGAAACAUCCCGGUCUAAGCAUUUCACUUUUUCUUUCAAAACAUUCUCUUGUUGUUUUAGAGCAGAAUUUUCUUUUUUGAGUUCGGAAAUUCUUUUAAGAGAAGUCUUAAGACUAAAACAUAAUUCAUCAAUGUAUUUUGAAACUUUAAAAGGGAUUUUGAAGUUACUCACCUCAAAUUCACUUUCUGAAUCUGAAUCAGUCUCGGAGUUUGAUUCUGAGUCUGAUUGUGCCAUUAGACAUAUGUUGGCAUAAUCAUCAUCACUAUCUUCGCACUAUGUAUCACUCCAGGUUUCAGCUUUGAGAGCUUUUCGAUAUCUUUCAGUUUUUCCUUUCUUCUUCCUCAAAAGAGGACAGUUGGGUCUGAUGUGUCCAUUUUUCUUACAUUCAAAGCAGACUAUAUCUUUGUUUGAUUCAUCAUCUUCAACAGACUUGGUCUGUUGCUUUUGAAAACUUUGUUUCUUUGAAUUGAAUCUUCUUCCUUUUCUGUUCAGCUUUCUGAAUCUUCUUAUCAUGAGAGCAAGUUCUUCAUCAUCCAUGUCGUCUUCAGAAUCUGUUACAUCAUUAGAUUUUAAUGCAAUUGAUUUCUUACCUUUAGGAUCUUCGUCUUCAUUGAUUCGUUCCACUUCAUAAGACUGAAGGGUCCCAACCAACUCAUCGACAGACAGUGGCAUGAUUCUUUGGGUCUCUCUGAUUGAGGUCUUUAUAUGAUUCCAAUCCUUGGAGAGUCCACGCAAUAGCUUGUUUACUUUCAUGGGAUCAGAAAUUGGUUGACCUUGAUUUUCAAGACCAUUCACGAUUUCUGUAAAACGACUAAACAUGUCAGUUAUUGAUUCUCCUGGUUUCAUUCUGAAGGCUUCGUAUUGACCGAGAAGAAUGUUGAUUCUAGUCUCUUUCACUCGAUCGGUUCCUUCAUAGGUAAUGUGUAAUCUAUCCCAGACUUCUUUGGCUGUAUCACAAGAAGAUAUUUUGUUAUAUUCAGUAGGUGAUAAAGCACAAUAUAAGGAAUAAAUUACUUUUGCAUCAAGAGCUUGUCUCUUAAUUAUCUCUUCCCGAGUCAUUUCGCUAGACUCAACAGUGUCUUUUCCUCUUUUUGAGACAGAUGUAGCUUUAGGAACAAUUCCUUUUUCUACAACGUCCCAUUCCAGAGGAUCCUUUGAUCUUAAGAACGUCUUCAUCUUGUUUUUCCAUAUAUUGUAGUCCUUUCCAUCAAAGUAAGGCGGUCUGGUGUUACUUUGCCCUUCUACCAGCCCUGGAGCCAACAUACUAGCCAUUGAUCUUUAACUCUGAAGUAAAACACUUCAAACAAAGUGAGUACACGAGCUCUGAUACCAAUUGAGAUAGCUAGUAUAAGCACCUAGAGGGGGGUGAAUAGGUGCACAAACAAUUUAUCGAGAUACGGAAGAGAUUCUAGGCAAACGAUAGAAAGGAAAUUCUCUAUUGAUUAAUAAAAUGAAGUACGAUCAAAGUAAAGAGAGUAAAGAAGAGAAAAUUGAACACAAGGUUUAUAGUGGUUCGGCUUAUUCCAAGCCUACGUCCACUCUUCCGCACUGAUAGCCCACCGACUGGAUUUCAUUAUGAACAAAAGAGUAGUUACAGCACAGCUUUUCCUUGAUUCCACAGUGUAGAUGUUCUACCACACCUCCUCAAGGUUUCUCACAAUAUAGACUCUCUUUUGUAUACAAAGUUUCGCUCAAAAGAAUUGUCUAAACAACAAGGAGCUUCAGACUUUGGAAUUCUUCUAUCGCGCACACCUCGAACAACUUAGAACAUCUUCCGUAUAUACUCAUUUAUGCCAUCAUACCCGUUGGCACUUACCAAAGGAAUUCCUCCAAUCUACCCGUUGGACGGAAUCAAUUAGGAAGAUUAUUCAAGCUAUUAAAGGAACGUGUCGAUAGCCCAUCAAUCAUGUUCGCCCAUACAAUCAGGAUCUCGGUUUCUAUAAGUAGAACCUUCCAAGAAUAUUUAGGCAAUCAUUGGAUCCUUAAUCUUCGAGUCAAUCUCGAUCAAUCAAAGGAUUUCGUUGUGUCUUUUCUAGCCAAGAGAUCUUCUCCAGUUGAUAAGGUCAUAUCCUUAAUGAAACAUCCAGUUCUGGAUAACCUUUCUUCAACGGAUUAGAGACUGUCAAUGAGGAUAGACUUUGAGUCUUGAGUCUGGCUGUCCGUAGGUCUUCAGACUUUAAAUAGCAGAGUCUGCAAGCCUUCAGACUAGACUGAUGGAAACGUUUUGUCAGCUUCAAAACACUUUAAGAAGAUUUCUCCAACACAUUGCUUGUCAUUAAAUGAGUUUUUGACCACAUUUUCAAUGUGAAAUUUUCUCAGCUGGUAAAUGCAGAACUCAGAGUGAGGUCCAAGGCUUGUAAAGCUGUUUAGAAUUGCACUCUUGCCAUGACAUUGGCAGAGUAUGCAUCAGCUGUAAGUGUUCUUUAUAAAGAUUUUCACGUUUACCUAGAGCUUGUUGUUGUUAUUACUCUUCAGGUUUCACCAUUUAAAUACAAUAACAUUGUAACUAAAUGCACAGCUUUUUAUUUUGUAGGUUUAAUGCCAGAUUUGACAGAACUUUGUAGUUGGUUUUGUCCUAGAUGUGAUGGAAAGACCCAGGUAAUUUAAUAUGGUUCAAUAUGACAUUGUUGCUGAGGUUGCCUGAAGAUGGAUCCUUAGUACAGUAUUAAAUGGCCAAUUCUUCUGAUGAGAUUUUGUGGGCAUAUGCUGCCUCCUCUUAUUAGAUACUGAACUGGUAAUUAAUGCCUUUUGAUAUGAGAGGAGGGGUUUGAAUUCAUUGAAUUGAUAGUGGACAUUCAACACUGCUUACACACAGAUUGUUUGGUUGCAGUGGCUUACCAAUCUGCAAUGCUUGCGAUGCCUAUAUGUUUAAAUUGCAUCUAAUUCUUUAUAUCUAUUUCUAAACGUACAUAUAUGUUACCUGUAGGCAUACGUUGGGGUGGCCAAGGAUCUUAAUGCUAUGAUUAUAGCUUUUAGAGGUGCACAAGAACAUAGGUAUGCAUGUUAACUUUACCAACUCUUCCCCUUACAAAUGACUUGUGAAGGUUUUGAUGAAAAUUUAGCUAAGAAGAGCAACCUCCUGUGAGUGUGUACACAAGACCCAUGGAUCGACUGUCCAUAAGAAGGGAAAAGGGUGAAUCAUUUCCACCAAGAUGUGAAAGUUACCUUCUUGUAAUUGUAGAUUGGUUCAUGAGAAGAUCACAUACUUCACUAAUUUUGUUCUGUGAAAAAUUCUAUCACCUCUCUUUGUCAUUUGAGCUUUUCAGGUAGUGAUUACUUCUAUUUAUGUUUACAGCAUACAGAAUUGGGUUGAAGAUCUCUACUGGAUAGUGGAAACAGCUUGACGUACUACCCGGGCAUGCAUGGUGCCCUGGAUAGCUCUAAAGAUGAUUAUGCCUCUUGCAAUCUGUGGAUUCUUCUCAUUUGGAUUGAGUUACAGUCUUACUCUAUUGAUGUCCCUUUAUCAUGAUAUGACAAUUCAACCUGGUAGGAUGCUGUUAUAAGAACCAAGGAUUUAUGAGGGGACAUCAAUGUCAUGGUGACAGAGCAUUCUAUGGGAGGGGCUAUGAAAUCCUUUUGCAAAAUUGAUCUUGUGGUAAGAUAGCUAAAAACUGCUAUGGUCUGGAGUUGUGAAUUUUAUCUUCUUCUUUUUUUCCUAUUGCGUUCUUCCAAUAUUCAGAUGAUAAUCUAUUAAGAGUCAUCUAGAAUUCUCUGCCAAAUCUGUAUUGAAGAGUCUAGGCUCUUUAUGUGGAUCUUGAACUUUCUAUUGCUCUCAUAUUUAUAUUCACAAUUCAUCAUAGACAGCAUCUUGUUUUCUUUCAGUUUUGGUAAGUCAAACCAUAGACAAAACACAAGCAGAAUGGGGUGCACUAAGCCAUUUAUGCUAACCAACAAUUGUUUAAGUAUCUAGCACUGUAAAUUGAGUCUUACCCAUAAAGCUAUGGAGCUUCAAGUUGGUUGAAUACCUAAAUAUAGUGGAUAAGGUCACUUCCAACUAAUCAUUACAAAGUUUACUUACUUGCUGGAAAAUUUAUGGAAUUGUCGAUAUGUUUAUGGUCUAGACACAUAACUUUUUAAAGCACUUGAAGCUCAAGUUUUAUGUCAUCUAAUCUUGAAGUGCUAAUGCUUUUUAAGAUAGAUUAUAUAUCAAUCCUAAAUUUGUGUUUGGUGUACUGUUUCUAUCUAAGUCUCUCUCUAAUCAAAAGAAGCAGAUCCUCUUCAGUAGGACUACAAGGCCAGAUAUGUUGUAGGCUGGAGCCAAUGCUAAGAUGUCUAAAUUAUGCCUUUUCUCUCUGCUUUAUUGGACAGAGUGUUCCAGGGUACAUUUGGAGGCACCUGUUGCUCAACUAGUACCAGAAAUGGUGCCCAAUCCAAAAUCAUGUCCCAUUGAUUCUCUUCUCCAUGACAAGUGGUGAUUUUUUAGAGUUAAACUUGUAGCAAGUAUAACGUCUUGUCCUAAAACUUUUAAAUGAUUUAUAAUUUUAUUUUUGUUUACUGGUUUCUUGCUGAAAAUUUUGUCGAGCCAAUUGUGACGUCAUGCCUAUUCGUUGUGAUCCUUUUUAAGAUUGAGUUUCUCCUUCGCUACUUGUGAUAGUAAGUUUUGUAGUUCAAGGGGCAUUUAUGUUAUUAGCAGGAUGUGACUCACCCCACCAACAUUCAAGUGCUUCUUGUGGAAGCAAUUAAAUGCGCUUCUGUUGUAAAUUCGCGUCCAAUCCCACUAUUCCAUAUUAUUAACACCUUUUUGUGGUGCUGAGGGUGGGUUUGGUUUUGUUGUGUGUGGGGUUUUGUGUUGGGAAACUUAUGGAUGGGAUCUUGACAGAGUUAACGCUAGACCUUCAACCCUUAUGGAGACAAAGGGCUAUUCUAUUGUUCACCUUUGUAUAUGAAAUGCAAUAUAUGGUUAUUGAUGCAUAGUGUUUGUUUCCCAUCUUGAAAGGGCUAUUGAUGUAUUGACAUUCAAGUUAUUUGGCUGUCUAAUUAUGUGUGCUGAAACUCUCUUUUCCAGACCAGCAUUUGCCUGAUUUACUUAACCAAAACACUUUAUUUCCUGGUUAAUCAUGAAGCACAGAAUAUUAAGGUUUUGACAUUUGGACAACUCUGUAUUGGCAAUGCAGUGUUUGCAUCUUACUACAGUGUCUGCUUACCAAAAACAUUACGUAUUCUUCCUGGACAAGAUUUUUUGUCUUAUUUGCCUCCGUACUAAUUUCGGUUCCCACAGAAGACGUACCAUCAAUUCCCUAGAGAGGUAUGGUGUUGAUCUUGACAGAAUAUCAAAUAAAUUAUGGGGAAUUGUUGAUGACUGAAUUUGAGGUUUGCUUCACAUUUCUUUCAACCUGUCUAACAAGUGAAGUAUCAUACAUUCCGGCAUUGUAUGUACUCUCUUUUUUCAGCUUAUAAAUUAUGACUGUCUUGUUUGUUUUUCUUCUUAACAAAGCAAGGUAGUUUGUAGGACUCAUUACGUUAUAAAAUUUUGGGAUAAGUGUUCCAGAAGUCCUACAACUUGUCACGAAAGUGCAUUUCAGUCCUAAAACUUGCAAAAAAUGCAUUUCAGUCCUACAACUUGUCAAAAUGUUUCAAACGAGUCCUAAAAUCGACGCCGUCUAAUUUCUUAACGGAAAAAGCUGACGUGGCCCCCGCGUGGCUUUUUUUAAUCGUUUCUCUCUCCUCCGUUGCAAAUAGUUUUUAAAAAAAAAAGCCACGCAUGCAAAACGACGUCGUCUCCUCCUUUCUUCUUCACCACGAUGCCGUCUCCUCCUCUCUUCUUCACCACGACACCGUCUCCUCCUUUCUCCUUCCCCACGACGCCGUCUCCUCCUUUCUCCUUCCCCACGACGCCGUGUCCUCCUUUCUCCUUCCCCACGACGCCGUCUCCUCCUCCCCCCUCUGUCUCUACUUCUUCUUUCUCUAUUUUGAGUGUCCCCUAAGCCCCAAAUCGAAUUUGUCCAAACCCUAAGCCCCAAAUCGAUCUCGUCCGAACCCUAAACCCCAAAUCGAAUUCGUCCGAACCCUAAGGCCCAAAUCGAUCUCGUUCGAACCCUAAACCCCAAAUCGAAUUCGUUCGAACCCUAAGCCCCAAAUCGAUCUCAUCCGAACCCUAAAACUCAAAUCGAUUUCGUCCUAACCCUAAGCCCCAAAUCAAAUUUGACAAUCUGCAGUUAUCUUGCGAUUUGGGUCCUCAUCGAACUUGAGUUCGACGCUCGUCGUGAGUUCGUGUUCUUUCCUUCCUUUGACGAUUGCGUGUUCGUGUGAAGAUCUCGCUUACGGGAGUCUCGACAUCUCAGCGGCGAAGCGAUUGGCGUCGGGGACGACGAAAGGGUCAACGACGGCGAUGGCGACUCCUCCUCACGCAGGUAUCGCUCUCUGCAUUAUAGCAUUUUGUUGUUUUCCAUUCUCCAAUACUAGUGACAAAUUAGAACAUUGAUGCAGAAGUAAGUUAUGGUUGUUUAUUCAUUUAGUGCAUUUUAAAGAGAUGUUUUUUGGAGAUUGAAAACAUCUCCUAAAUCUCUCAAGUAAACACAUUGCAUUAUGCAGAAGUUAUUAAUAUGAAGACGUUAUGAAGGAAUCAUAAUAUAGCUAAUAUACUUCUAUUAGGUUCCUAUAAUACGAAGCCCAGACGAAUGAGGGUAGCAAUAUCUGCAUCAAGUAGCGUAACUCCUAAUGAGGUCAACUCGGAGCCAACAUGUUAUUGUGGCCUUCAAUCGCCAAUUCUUAUGGCAAAGACAAAGAAAAAUGCAGGAAGAAGGUUCCAUGGAUGUGCUAAGUUUGAUAGUCCAAGUUGCUGCAAUUUCUUCAUGUGGGUGGAUCCAAAGAUACCAAAUCAUGUGAGGGACAUGAUAGUUGACCUCCUUGAAAAAAAUCAAACAUUGUCUGAAUCAAGCCAAUCGAGGGGUGACGGAGUCGAGGUGAGCUCAUUGCUAGCUGAAAUAAAGACUCAAAAGGCAAAAAAUAGACGUUUAAAGGUGGAGCUUGCACAAGUAAAGAAAGGAAAGAUGCUAUAUCAAUCAACAUUCAUUCUAUGCAUGUGUUAUAUCGCUAUAUUGGUUAUGUAUAAUGUGAAAAUUGGUGGGAAAUUUCUAAGUCUUCCAUAGUACCUUCUAUCUGAGUUUGUAAAUUUGAACACUAGUUGUGGAUAAUUGAGAUGUGAAUGAAAUCUGAUGUGAGUUUGUAGUUUGCAAGACCAGUUGCUUGCCAUGCGAGAAAUUACUAUCGCAUUGCAAAAUGUUGCUUGAUUUGUGUGCUUGUCAAUAGCACUACAUGAGCUAUUGCCACUAGAAUAAAUUUGGAACUUCAAAAUGGUGACAACUCCCUUAUUAUGCAAUCGAGAUUGUUAAUUGGUGAUUUUUUCAUGAUUUUAAUAACGAGCUUGCCUCAAAUGGAAUGUGUAAAAAAUCAAGUGAAAUCAAAGCAGUCGCCUACAAUACCUAAGUUACCUAAUCAAAUCUUCCAUGAAUCAUCCAAUGCGGGCCACAGAGACCACGUAGAGCAAAACCCCAUCAUAUAAAAUGAAAAAUUAGCAAUAAGAGGUGGUGGUAUCGGUUACCAUUAAUGCCCCUGAGGAACUCGAGAAAAAUGUAUGGGAAAGAAGAUGACAAAAGUAUUGGAAGAAUGAAAAUUCUGCAUGGCCAAUUUCAGUAAUUACCUAUUAACAAUCCCGAAGAGUAAUCACUUUCAUGCAUUAUCCAAACCAAAACCAAGCAUCCCACAUAACUUGUUGAAACACGAUUCAUUGACAAAGCAACAGGCUUACAUUUUCAGUGCACAAAAGGUUCUGUUCAACAAAAUAUGCACUUUCAGUGCAGAAAAUGUUCUAUGCACAAACGCUACACGUCUCAUACAAAAAACCAGCUAAUAAUUGAUAUACAUUCACCUAACAACACCAAUUUCAGCAGACAUAUCAAUCCAAUAUGAUGGUCUCCGGUGGUCCAGUAGGUUGAGCCUUCACUUGAUUCAGAAUUCUGGCGCUUUUCCUUAUAUAUGGUCUCGCAGCGAUAGGCUUUGGAGGAGUUGUUGUAGCCUGACGUUGUAAUAGUGGCUUUGGCUUCAUCGCAACAUGCUUUCGAGGAGGUAAUGUUACACGAGAUGAUUGGGGUUGGGAACUUACCUGGGGUUGUGAUGGUGCCUUUCGCUUUAAACCAAGAUGCUUCUUCUGAGCUAUUGUAGCUUGAGAUGACUGAGCUUGAGAACUGGCCUGAGGUUGUGAUGGUGUCGUUGGUUUCAUUGCAACGUGCUUUGGAGGAGCUACUGUUGCAUGAUAUGACUGACGUUGUGAAGUGGCCUUGGGUUGUAAUAGUGGCUUCGGCGUCACCGCAUUUUGUUUUCGAGGAGCUGCUGAUAUAUGAUAUGACUGAGGUUGUGCACUGACUUGGAAAUGCACCUUUGCUGUUGACGUAGCUCUUGUGACUACCCCUUUGUCCGGUAGGUUAACGAUUCUUGCACCAAUUGUAUUAGGCUACAUAAGAAUGAGUAUCUUUUUAGCUUAAGGAGAUAAGUAAUUGCUAUUAUAAAAAUUUAAAAAUAUUACUCACCUUGCGAAUAUGAAGGUUUGUCAUAGGGUUUGCAUCAACACCCAACCCUAUCAUUUUCAUCCUCUUGCCUUGUGAUUCUCUCUGUAUCAUGCAAUUUUCAAUGGUAGGUCUUUUAAACUGAAAUAAUAGAAAAUUCAUUCAACAUCAGAACAUAGUCACAAUACAUGUAUACUUGGGGAUUGAGGUAUUACUUACCGGAAUUUUUUCACGUCUAUGCUUAGCCAUUAUAUUGGCCGCUGCACUGCCUUCCCCUUGAUCCGAACGAACUUCACCAAAAGCAUUGGCCUCACCACUACAUCCUCUAACAUCAGCACUAGCAUGAGCAGAAGUAGUGGCACUACAUUCUCUUACAUUUGCACGAGCACUACAUUCUCUUACAUCUGCACUAGCCUGAGCAGAAGCAUUAACAUGCCCACUAUUGUCUCCUACUGAAUUGGCAUUUGCAGAAGCAUUGGCAUGGCUUUCGGAUCCUCCUUCAGCUACGCUUGUCGUUGCUUUAGCUUUAGCCUGAAUAUAUAUUCAAAGUUACUAAAUUGGAAUCUUCAUAUACAAAACUUACAAUAAUGGUUAGAUGACAACUUACUUGUCUUUUUCCGAGCCUUGGACCAGUGGAAUUAGCCUGAGAUUGAGCAUAAGCUUCAGCUGUACUUGCAUUGGCAUGAGCACUGGAUGUACAUACAUUGACCUGAGCAUUGGAUGUACGUAUAUUUGCAGAAGCAUUGGAUAUACGUACAUUGGCCCCAGCAUUGGCCUGAGAAGCACAUAUAAAGUAUUGAUUAACAACAUGUUAAAGUGACAUGCCCAGCAUUAAGAUGAUCAGUUAGUUGAGGAAAUACCUUUUUUAAAGGACAUCCCUUGCAGUUAUGUCCAAUUUGUUUGCAAGCAGAACAAGUCAUUUGCUUACCCUCUUUAGUCAUUCUAUCACCUCUUACAAGCUCAAUCGGUUGCUUUCUUCUACUCCUUUUUGGCCUACCAGGCAUGUUCUUCAUUGGUGGGGGUUGAGGAGCUUCUUUAUUGGUUUUAUUCCAAAAUUUCUGUCAUCUCACCGUAGGCAUCAUGAAUUGAUAAGCACUUAGAUACUUUUCCUUGUUGAAGCACUCGGCUAGAUAGUCGGUCGGAUCAUUUCUCUUAUGGUGUAUUGCACAAAUGGUAUGGCAACAUGGAAUUCCACUAAGUUCCCAAGCUCUACAAGAACAAGUUUCUAAAUUCAAAUCAACAACAUAUUUGUCACCACCUUCUGUAAUCUCAUAUCCUUCAUUUUCAUUCCAUAUCAAAUGGCAAUACCUACUAGCAGAUGUAUUCUCAUGUAACUUAUGCAUAAUCCUUGGACCGUAAUUUCUAGUCCACCUAGCACAUCCAUCCCUCUGAGUAUGCAUUCUAUUCAUAACCAUGAUUCUAAUAUCCUCCAGCAUACUCACAAUGGCCUUGCACCUAGCUUCCACACACCUGCCAUUGAACGCUUCACUCAGAUUAUUAUCAACGACAUCACAUUUAAUAUCGGUGUCAAAGAAGGCUUUGCACCAAUGUUUUGGCUCAAUACAGAAUAAGUCAUCAUGACCUUCCCGAGUCAGUUCCUUCAACCUCUGUCUAUGCAUCUCGAAAUCUGACAUAUUAUUGCUCUUGACACAUCUCCAAAAUUGCCUCAACAACUGUUUUCCUUUGUAUUUUUUACCCCAGUUGGAAUAAAUGUGCCUUGCACACAUCCUAUGCUCUGCAUUUGGCAACAAUUCAGCUACAGAUUGGACAAGACCCUGACAAUUACCGAAAAAAAGAAAAUAUAUAUGAAAACAGAAAGAAAAACAUUGUAAUGUCACAAUCAAUUUACAAAUGAAAAAAGAAAAAAAAAACAUACCUUUUGUUGAUCACUUAUCAACGCCCAUCCGUCACCAUUACACAUAUCAAGGUCUGACUUCAACAAUUCGAUAAACCAAGUCCAUGUGUCCUUAUUCUCGAUUCUUACCACUGCCCAUGCCACUGGAUACAUUUGAUUGUUGCCAUCCCUUCCGACGGCACAUAACAACUCACCCUUGAUCAAACCCCUCAAAAAACAUCCAUCUAAUCCAAUGAUCUUCCUACAUCCAGCCAAAAAACCUUUCUUGCAAGCAUCAAAGCAAAUGUAAACCCUAUCAAAUACUGGUAGAGAAUUUGGCCAUGGCCUUUCAACUUUCAAUUUAAAAUUGCUUGAUGGGCUUGCAGUGUAAAGCUCUCCCAAGUAGUCGUGCAUCUGUGCAUAUUCCUUCUUGUAAUUGCCUUGCAAUUCCUUUAAUACUUCCAGCUUUGUUCUCCUACACUGACUAAAAGUGACAUUUACUCCAAGUUGUUCUCUAACUAAUUUCUUUAACUCAAGUGCUUUGAUUUUAGGCAUUGUAGAAAUGAGAAUCAUGAAGUGCUUAGCUAAAUAAUUGCUAGACACUCUCUUAUUCUCGAAAGUGAUACUGCAUAUAUGCUGAUUUACAUACCUUCUCAAAUGAAAUGACCUAGUUUUUCUAUCAAGAGCACCAUAGAUCAUCCAGUUACAAUUGUUCUGGCCACACCUGGCUCUUACAACACUUUUUGUGUUCUUAGUGUAUUUGAUUGCUCUUUGCUCAGCCACAGAAUACUUCAAAAUUGCAUUCUUGAACUCAGUUGCAUCAUCAAAUGUCAUGCCAACAAUAAAUUCUGGAUUUGUACCACUUUGAUCAUAUGAUGGAAACCUACUUCUCCUCCUUGAAAUAACAUCAACCUCUUCACCACCCUCAUCAUUUAAAAUUGAUUGAAGACUGUCUUCCUCAUCUGAAUCAGCAUACUCUGUUUCGUACCCAGAAUCAUCUAACGAUUGAGUCUCAUCCACAGUCGGUGGUUGGGAAGUACUAGUUGCCUCACUAUAAUUUAAUAUUUUGAGCCUAUGUCUUGCUGAAAAUUCAAUUAAUUUUUUCCUUGCUUCAACCAGUUCAAAGUCAUCAUCAUCACUCGCCUCUUCCAUAUCCACCAAAUUAUGUGCAUCAUCAUCCUCUUCCUCAUCUAGAUCCCUAUUGGCAACUCCAGCCCGAUUCCCGUCACCAUCAGUAUUUCUAAUCACAUUAAACAUACCUCCAGUUUUCAUCUCAACACCCCCCAUCUCAGCUCCUGCCUUUUCAUUAUCAACAUGCUCAACAUAUAGUUUUCAGAGCAUAGAUGAUGAUAAAAUAGAUCCAUCACAUCAGCGUUAUCCCAUAAAUACCUAAGAGUUACUCCGUCUACAAGAGUCUUACUUCCAGGAACUCUGUAAAAGAGUUUCUUUACUCUACAUACACCCAAAGCCUCAAUAGCUUCAAUUAUACUAGACAGUGAAGGCUUACUUAAACUUAUUUCAGCAACAUCAGCCCUUCCACCUAUGUAUUCCAAUGGUGGGCCACCUUUAAAGUUACCUCCAUAACGAACAGUGACAUAAACUUUGUUCUCGGCAAUUGGACCUACAAGGGAACAGAAACAAAAAGCAGAGCACUUUCAAUCAUCAAAUUAUUGAAGCAAUGUUCAAGUUCUAAAUUGAAGAUAUUUUUAUAAAAGACUAACAAUCAAUAUAGAAACAGCAAAUUAGCAUAAUCCGUUUUACAACCACAAUGCAACUACAUGAUCAAUAGUGAGAGCAAUGUUCUAAUUUGCUGCAAUGUUAUAAUUUAUCGCAAGAAUUGAAAAAUACAAAACAACCAUAACGCAGAUAGUAAAACGCCGCUAUAAUGUAGAGAGUAAAACACCUUUGCAAAACAAAACAAAAAAAAAAUGGUAAUAUUACUAUGACAUAUCCAAAUACUGUAAUGUAGAGAGUGAUACCUGCAUGAGGAGUCACCAUCACCGUCCCUGAUGCUGCUCGCUCCGCCGUUGAGACGCCGAGAUGCCCACAACACAUAUCUUUGCACGAACUCGCAAUUAUCAAAGAAGAGAACAUAAAGUUGAUGUGUGUCAAACUCGAGCUCUCUGAACUCCAAAUAAUGAAGAACUGAGGAUGCUAACUGACAUCGUUUUACAUAAUGCAGAGAUUAAAGCACUUUUGCAAAACAAAAAAACUCGUAGCAUUACCAUGAGAUACCCAAAUGUUAUAAUGCAGAGAGCGAUACCUGCAUGAGGAGGAGUCGCCAUCGUCUUCGCUGACCCUGUCGUCGUCCCUGACGCCAAUCGCUUCACCGCUGAGAUUUCCAAACUCCCGCAAAGAGGUCUUCACAUGAACUCCCAAUCGUCAAAGGAAGGAAAGAACACGAACUCACGACGAGCGUCAAACUCGAGGUUGAUGAGGACCCAAAUCGCAAGAGAACCGCAAAUCAUCAAAUUUGGGGCUUAGGGUUCGGACGAAUUCGAUUUAGGACUUACGGUACGGAUGAAUUCGAUUUAGGGCUUAGGGUUCGGACGAGUUCGAUUUGGGGCUUAGGGUUCAGACGAGUUCGAUUUGGGGCUUAGGGUUCGAACGAGUUCGAUUUGGGGCUUAGGGGAUACUCGGAAAGCAAAAGAAUACGUAGAGAUGGAGAGGGGAGGGAGAACACAACGGUGAAGAAGACAUACAGACGGAGGGGGAGACGAUGUCGUGGUGAAGGAGAAAGGAGGAGACGACGUCGUGGUGAAGGAGAAAGGAGGAGACGGCGUCGUGGGGAAGGAGGUUCGGACGAAUUCGAUUUGGGGUUUAGGGUUCGGACGAGAUCGAUUUGGGGCUUAGGGUUUGGACGAAUUCGAUUUGGGGCUUAGGGGACACUCAGAAUAGAGAAAGAAGAAGUAGAGACAGAGGGGGGAGGAGGAGACGGCGUCGUGGGGAAGGAGAAAGGAGGAGACGGCGUCGUGGGGAAGGAGAAAGGAGGAGACGGCGUCGUGGUGAAGAAGAGAGGAGGAGACGGCGUCGUGGUGAAGAAGAAAGGAGGAGACGACGUCGUUCUGCAUGCGUGGCUUUUUUUUUUUUAAACUAUUCGCAACGGAGGAGAGAGAAACGAUUAAAAAAAGCCACGCGGGGGCCACGUUAGCUUUUUCCGUUAAGAAAUUAGACGGCGUCGAUUUUAGGACUCGUUUGAAACAUUUUGACAAGUUGUAGGACUGAAAUGCACUUUUUGCAAGUUUUAGGACUGAAAUGCACUUUCGUGACAAGUUGUAGGACUUCUGGAACACUUAUCCCUAAAAAAUUUUAAGUAACUCUCAUUCUUGCGAAAGCCAUCAUGAGUUUUUCAUAUCGAUUCCAAAGUUUAAGACACAUAAUAAUGUUUAUUAUACUCUCUAUCUCUCUCUCUCUCUCUCUUACACACACACACACACACACUAUGUAUGUCUACCAAUGCGUAUAAUUAUUAGUGACUAGCUCAAAGAUAGCCACGGUUGAACAUAUUAAUGUGAGAUGAAAAUGAUUUGAUUCCACCUGCUUCUCUAAUAACUAAUCAUACUCGUAACAGUUUUCAUGUAAU
rnacentral:lncRNA from 1 species